UACAGAAGCACCUCAAUCCCUACUAUUUGCAGAGCUGUAGCCAGGAUUCAAUGAUAGACCGGACUGAACUAAAAGGAACAACUUUCUUAGGAAUAUGUUAUCGGCAUUUUCUCUGGCCUCAGGCCAUCAACAAAGCAGUUUCAGUGCUUCUUAUAUAAUUCCAUGGAUUAUUCCUUGCCUUUACAGAUGAUAUAAGUCACAAUUCAUAUAUUAAUUUCUCCAGAUUCCGUACAAGUGGACCAUAACUAUGGAAAAAUUCAAAGAAUGCAACAGCCAUUUGAUUGGUCCAUGUCAGAAGUUAAUCUGGGGAAAGAAGCUUGAUCUAGCUGUAAAAUUCUCUCCUUCAAUCAGUCAGUUUGGGGCAGCAACAAGAUCAAAGCCACCACGCAAACAUUUACUAAAGUUUAUAUAAUAUUCUUGAACCUCAUCUUAAGUAAAGCAACAAAAGCCUUCACUGUUUCUUAACAACUUUAUUGCUCUAACACAUAGCAUAACAUUUUUAAAUUUGCAUAAAGCACAAUAGUACUUCAGUUUGUAACAACAGCACGGAUAAUAAAUAGCAUUUUAUAGCUUUAACAAAAGCAUACAAAAUUCUUAAACCUUGUUUCAAGCAAUCCAUUAAUGCCACAAGGAUAUCUUUUUGCUUCCUACAGUUUUUAUUGAAAUUCAUAUAUUCUUCUUUAUCAAAUUAAGUAAUUUUCCUUUUUCAAAAAAUCAAGAAGGUUUCGACUGCAUGGAAAUACAGCACACAAUUACUACUAUUCCCGGAGUAAGAAAUUCAUAAAUGCAAUAUAAACAUACAUUUUCAUAAGACAUCAGAAUCAAAGAAUCAUCAAUGCAUCAAAUCUGUACACCCAAAAAAGUUGAAAGCAUCAAGAGAAAAUUAUACCGCAUGGACCCUUUACAACCCUUAUAACGAGUUCAGACAGCCUAAUCCAAUUUGAUAGAUUUGAGGACAGCUACAAUGUGCAAUACAAAAUUUCCCAAUACUAUUUAGAACAAAGUCUAGAAAACAAAACUUAUAUAUUGUACAAAAUCAUGAAAACCAGAAAUGACGAAAAACCUGCAAAUGUAAUUUUUGGGUUUCUUCAACAUAUCUUCCAUCCAAAUCAAACAAGAAUCGAUAAAUCAACAACAUUCAUCUUUAAACGACAUAUUACCACAAUAAAAUUGUCAACCAAGCCUCAUAUAAACCUUUUUUGUGUUUUUUGGUAAAUAUGUUUGUUUUUCUCUAAGAAUACUAGGGAAAAAAGAAACCCACUUUCUUAAUCAAGAAUCAAAUAAUAUAUAUGAAUCUAAGCUGAAGUAAGUCUUGGGUUUGAUGAAAUAGCUUGCAUUGCGAUUUAGAUUGGAAAGGAAGUUGAUUUUUACUGGUUGAGAGAGAGAGAUUUGAGACUUAAGAGAGUGUUGCUAAUCUUCAAUCGUGUAAACAAGGGUAACUGGGUCAUAGUUCAAAAUAAGGGUCCAAAAUUUACUAAAGCUAUUAAGGAGCCCAAAACUCAUAAUGGCUUCCCCAAAAUAAAUAAAAUUUUCUAGCAUUAAGUUUUUGUUUCUUCUUGAGAUUUCCUUGUCGUACUUACCCAUAUUUCGAUAUUGCCUCCAAGUAAACUUAUAUAUAUUGAUUAACAAUAUAAACAAGCACUAUGAAGUUUUAGGCCUGAAAGAACAUUAGGAUUGAAAUGAAAACCAUCUAUUUAAGUAACAAAUUCUUCUGAUAAUCUGAUGCUUAAUUUAGAGAAGAGAUGACAUAUCAAUCACGUUAUGAUGUGGAAGUUAUGAUUAUAUUCAUCUUAGAAUAAGAUCUUUCAGGCACUGGCAGAUUAGUAUAAAAAAUACUCAGCAUAAGACCUACAAACUAGAAAUCACGCACCAAUUAUUGAACUCAGCACAUAAGUUGAUCUUUUAUAAGCUAUAAAACAAAUCUGCUAUAACAUAAGAAAGUGGGAUUUAUCACCAGACAAGUAUUUUGGUGAAACUCAAGCUGACGGAAGGAUAUCCAAAGCAACCUCCUUAAGGGAAGGCAUCACUUCCUGCUGAUGCAAACAUAUAUAUUUAUUACUCACUUUCUUGAGGACCUUCUAGGAACCUGGGUAGCACCUAACAGAAAGUGGAAAAGAAUAAAAUGUAAAAUAUAAGUUAAACAGCAGGAAAACAGUGAGUGAUACUAGGCAAGCAUUAAUAUGUUGCCGCAAGAAAAGUGUCAGUAACUAGCUAGCAAACCUGAAAAGGGUUCCUCCAUUACGACCCUUAAAAUUGUGAAUGUAAUAUAUGGUCUCCAUCACAGGAAAAAGUGUUUUGGAUAGUGCAGCCAGCUUAGGGUAGAAGAAUGACGGAUAAUCUUAGCUCAUUUAAGGAAAUCCUCUCUGAUCCUUUCAUUGCACAUUCCAAAACAACUCUACUACAACCAAGUUACCAAUUCUUUUUGUUAAGUCAUUGUUAUUUGUUAAAAAAAAAAAAAAGUCUUCCUUGUAACAUUUUAUUGAAAGAUAUAACAUGAUCAUCCCUAUUAAUUCCCUUUUAGAUUUCUGUGAGUGAAUUUCAAAUUAUUGUAUUAAAAAAUAGAAGCAAAAGACCCACUUUACUUUCAAUUUCUGCAACAAGAUACCAAUUGAAGGACCAAAAAGUUGUAAACAAGCAAUUCAAUGAGUGGACAUCUAGAAACUGCUAUAUAGCAUCAAAAUCAUACUAAAUUUACAGAAAGCACGAUAAGAAUGAAAGAAUGGUGAAGGAUACACCCAGACCUUAUCCGGUCAAGUUCUCCAUUGAAUAUAAUCAGUUUCCGGGCAGUAUUGAAGACAGCUUCUUUGUAAAGCUCUUCAACGACAAGCAUUUCUACAAGACAAAAGAAAAGCAAAAUUAAUUACCUUAAGGAAUGAAUAUCAAUGAGAAGACAAGGUGUAAGACUACCAUUGACAUUAAAAUAUGGAUAGGCGACUAGAAACAAUUCAUCUUCCGGCUUCACACGGUCUGCCAUUUUAACCUUCUCAGUGAAUCCAAAAUCCUCAAAGAAUGAAGGUUUUGUUAGAUAGUCCAACUUAAAUGAUGAUCCUUCAAAGACCGAUUUUCUUGCAAAUUUGACUUCAUUUGCCUCUGGGAAAAACUAAAAACCAAAUGACAGACCAAGAUCACGAAACGAAUCAUGAACGUAGAUAUCAGAUAAUCAGAAAUGGGCAUUAAACAGACUACUAACAAGUAGGAAAUGCAUACAGAAAACAUUAUUCAUACACCUUAUGCACAUGAAAUAUAUAUGCAGAGGGAUCCUCUUGUGAAUUUAGUUUAUAUCCUAAUAUGAGACGAUGAACAAUUGGAUGCCAUCUAAGGGCUAACAUUUGUUUGAUUAUUAUAUGAAAAAAAAAAAAAACAGAGUUGAUUGAUGGCCUUUGAUGGAUUGCCUACACUCCUAAAGUGCAGAGAGCCUGAUUGAUUGCUUUACCUGCCCCCCACACACACUUGAUUUUAUUAUCUCUCUUUUCAAAUAUAUAAUCAUUGCCUGUCUUUCAUCCUGAUCCAGCUCUCCUUCCAGGCACCAGCUGUGUUUUCUUCAAUUCAGUGAAACAUUCACUUUCAGGUAAGAAUAAACUUGUCCUUCCUCAAAAACCAACUUCUCACCAUGAAGCUUUCUUUUUUAAAACAAUUACUAGUCUAGCAUAAUUGAAGACAACUCAGAAUUGAAAAAGCCAUACUUUAAUGUCUGCUGUUGGGACCUCAAGACCAGGAACAAAAAGCUUCUUUCUAACCGUUGGAUUAACAAGUAGAAAUAGCUUUUUUCUGAAGGACCCAACAUUGCAUUGAAAAAUUCAACAAAAUGACUGGCGUCAUAUUUAGUCCUGCUAGAAUUUUGUGCACUUAACACAAUGGCUAAUAAUUGGCCCAGCGGACACUUUGUCGAACUACUGGCAACCUUGACUGUGGAAAUGCAUAUUUCAAAUGUUGGCAGGCUCUAGCUUCUUGAUGUACUGUUGAUAGAAAUGCCUAUUUCAAAAGUUGGCAGGCUCAAACUGCCGAGACUUUGGUUUCUUACAUUUCAAACCCACAAAUAAAACUUUGGCAGAACCCCAGAAAGAGCUACACCUCCCAAAUUUGAUGACAUAUGAGGAGACCAUGCCUAGUGCUUGGUUCGGCAAAUGAGUAAGUUUGAAAGAAAUUGAGGGAAACCUUUCCCACAGAGAGUCAUAUUGAAGGUUACAAUUUGAAGACUUUGUCCCCUGUCGCCCGUAACCUUCUUUGAUCUCUUUUCUUAGUCAUAAAUAAUCAAACAUGUGUUAGUCGUUGGAUGCAAUCCACUCACUGACAUCUCAUGUCCACAAUCAAUCAACCAUAUUUUAAUAGAAAUGAAAACAUUUUAAUUAAAAAAAAUGAGAUAGGAACAAAAUCAAACUUGGCAGACAUGGUCUAUGAGAUUUUAAAGAUGCUUGGUGAAAGUUGUAUUCAAGAGUUCAACAGUCAGUUCUAUCACCUAUGGCAAAGUAACCACCGCAACUAAAGCAAUUACAAAACAUCAAGAAGCUUGAACUUGGCAAGAGGUCUCAUUAACAGUAUACCUCAGAAAUUAAGACAGACUUAAAGUGCAAGCUUUUGGAUUUAUUUAAACACUGAAAAUAAUAUGGGUAGAAGCUCCUAUGGUCACAGCAAACAAUUACAAAGCACAAAACCCAAAAAACAGAUAUGCAAAAAGCUGCAAAAGAACAUUAUUAGCAAUUGACAUCUGCUUUUGCUCAGACAAAGGUUCUCAUAACAAAGGACUUAGUGAUUAUCUGUCAUAUGUUUAUGUUAAGGGGAAAAAGGAAGUUUGUUUUAGUCAAUCUCACGUCUAAUGGCAUUUAUAAGGAGCCCAAAAAUAAAAGAAAAAAUAAAGAGUUAGUAGGUGUUUCUUGCAGCACAAAGAAAAUUUAUCAUUCAUGAAAAACUUAGUAUGGAAAAAGCUAACUCAUUUAUCUGCCAAUGGAGAAAAACUUGUUGUCCACCCACUAAGGACCCACCAUUGGCAGGUCUGAUGGAUCCCAUGGAUGGGAACCGCAAAUAUUUUAUUCUAAAUGACAUGUGUAUUGUACCCAUAUCAUUUAAUUUGUAGAUUCCACUGAUGGAACUCAUCAAACUUGCCAAAUGGCAGGUCCUCCGUGGGUAGGCGCAUCACUUCAGCAUCCUUCUCCACCGAUGACCAAAUUUGGACUCAUUUAAAAAGAAUACAAAGCAAAACUAACUGACAUAAAUUGCAUAGAGAUCUAGGAGCCAAAUCAAUGUUGUUAACUCAUCCAAUUAAUACAUUCUCUUAGAGGCAGGGACGGAGCCAGCGUGGGACGAGGUGGGGCACAGGCCCCAGCUGGCUUUUAAUUUUUUUUUAUAAUUAUACUAAAAUAUGUAUUUUAUUUGUUAUUUAUGAAAAAUGUCUCAGCUGAAUUGUAAAAUUUAAAAUUGACUCCAGUAAUUUUAAAAUAUUUCAUACUGUCCCUAAUUUAUAUUUUUAAUUAUAAAUUAUUUAAUUAGUUAUUAACAUUUCAUGAAACUUUAUUAAAGACACAAGAACAAAUAUUAAAAUAAAAAAUAAUCAUAACAAAAUGUUAGUAUAAUGGUUAAUGGACUAGUUUUUAAUCUUUUUAUUUUUUAUUCAAGUAAAAUUAAUUAUUUAGUCUUUCAACACUGACCAUAAGUUGUAAGUCUUCCUAAUUCUAAUUUAUAAUUUUCUAAUUAAUCUUUUAUCUAGUUUUAAAAUUUAUAAUUUUAUCAUGCAUUUCAUAUUUGUUCUGUGUGUUGCAAUAUAUGAAUAUUUUUGUUAUUAUUAAAAGAUUUUAAGAGCAAAUUAAGUAAUAACCUAGUCUUGUAUAUUGAAAAAUAUAUUUUUGCUUAUAUUGAUAAUUCAUUAUUUUCAACUCAUAAAAUCCCAUUGAGGAGAUUUCGCGGAGAACCAUUGUAAUAAGUAAAUUUAUUAUCAAUGAAUAUUAUAGUUGUAAUGCUAUUUAUUGAUAUCUAAAUUUUUAAAAAUGUAUUAUACUUUAAGUAUGCUUUCAAUUAGAUGCAUACAGACGCACUCUAUAAGAAGUACAAUUGUACAUGUAGCAAGCUCCCAUUUAGAGUUUAUAGGGCCCACAAUACAGUUUCUCAAAUGACGACUUAUCACACGAGCAAUCGUACAUUCGAGUCAUCUUUAAUUUUAAAUGUGCCCCGGCUCUAUCAAAAUCCUGGCUACGUCCCUGCUUAGAGGUCAUACCUUGGUAACUCAUUUGAAAAGAAAUUAAAAGAAAAACGACUGCACAAAUUGUACUGAGCUCAAGAAAACCUGUUCAAGGUGUUCACUUGUCCAACUAAUAAAAGUCAUCAAGGAUUGUAUCGGGGACUUGGGACCAAUCCUGCCUUAACGAGAGAAAGGGAAUUUAGGAGGAAGAAGAUAACCUCUUUUCCUAGAACCCUUGAGAAAAUUAUUGAAGAAAUAUGUAUCUCCUUUUCUUAUUUUUACAAUAGGGUUACACAAUACAUAUAUAUAUAUUCUAAACUACAUAAUGUGCUAGAGUAGGAAAGUAAACAACUAACUGCAGACCAAGAAACUAGGAAACAAACUCUAUCUAAAAAACUGAAAUUCUAUCCCUAUCUUUUUUCUUUUCUAUCCCUAUCUUUUUUCCUUAAAAACAGGAUAGAAAACAAGUGACUUUUCCACACUCCCCCUCAAGCUAGUUCGAAGAUAUCAAUCAUUCCCAGCUUGCUAGUUAGUGACUCAAAGCUUGAUUUAUGAAGUCCUUUAGUAAGAAUAUCAGCUAGCUGCUUUGUUGUUGGAACAAAGGUCAUGCAUAUCAAACCACUUUCUAUUUUCUCCUUGAUAAAAUGACGAUCCACUUUGUUGAGUGUUAGAAAAUGCAUAUUUAUAAAGGAGAAAACCAUCAUUUUACAUUUCAAGUCGUACUAACAACUCUUACUUUUAUGUAUUUAACCUUCUUGUGAUAUAAUUACGUGUGUUUUAUUUUAAUUAAGUAUUUUAUGUAUUUUAGGGGCAUUAUAGUCAUUUCACAAUAAAGGAGAGAUUAGACGGCAAAACGGACAUCACUUUUGAACUCAGGACGGUCGAAAACCUUAGGAGGAGCAUAAAAGGAAAAAUGGCACUAUUCAUAUGUACGGUACUAUUCGCGUGUACGGUAUUAACUACGUUACUGUUCACAACACUGUUCACAACACUGUUCACAUAGACGGAUCGAUGACGUGGCAUUGACCGAUGAUGUGGCAUUGACUGAUGAGGUGUCACGAUCCUGUUGGGCUAAAAUUCUUAUGUACUGUUGAUGGUGACGUGGCAGCAUAUCAGUGGAUGAAAAAUCUCGCGUACGGUACAUGCAUCACACAUGAUUAUUCUCAACCAAACCGUGUUACUGUUUAUCCGAGUCAAACCGUGUUACUGUUCAUCCACGUGGUCAAACCGUGGACUGUUGACUUAUGACGUGGCGCAAUCCUGAGCGUCCAAACUGUUUUUAAUCUGAUGGCCAUGAUUUACUCCAUGUAUCUAUAAAAAGGGGGCCUUCCCCCCCUAAUUUGAUAGCUCUGAAUCCAUUUUUGGGAUCCAUUUUCUGUAAUUCCUUCUCCAUCUUGUAUUUUCUUUGUAUUUUAAUAAAUUCCCAUUUUGCCCCUAGUUCAAUUAUGAGUGGCUAAUUUUCUUUCAAGCUUGGGUUGAAGGUGAAGUCUCAACAUGUGUCAUGGGCUUAAUUUGGUAAAUUUAUUUUCUCUUCCCCUCUAGUUUUUGUGGAUGUUUUGACUUCUCGUCGACAAAUAAUAAUAAUCUUGUCUAGAUACCGCCUUGGUUACACCGGCUCUCUAGUAUAAGGUUAUUAUUAUUUGGCACGAUAAGCCCUUAGCACCAUAUUGAUUAUAGCGUGGUUCAUGAGGUGUGGAUUCCCCCCUCAUGAUUUAAUUGGCAUUAAUAAAGAUUAUUUAGCCCAUGAUGCAUGUUGAUACGGAUCCAGAUACCCAAGUACGUCAUUUUAAUAGAAUUCUCUUCAAUUUAUUCUCGCCAUUUCAAUUCCAAUUUUAGAAUUUAUUCUCGCCAUUUUAAUUUAAGUUUUAGCAUAUCCCAAAUCAUUUCCACCACAAAUCCAAUCACCCAUUUACAAAAUUAAUUCUACACAAUUAAAAUCCACCUCCUCGUGGGAUCGACACUCGUCACCAUUAGUCUAUACUACAAUAGAUUCGUGCGCUUGCGAGUACAUUAAAAUUUGCACAACAAGUUUUUGGCGCCGUUGCCGGGGAGGUAAGUAAUUUUAAUUCAUAGAAUUAAUUUUUGUGAAUAAUUUCUUUUAUUUAUUUUCUUGUAUUUUUUUUUAUUAUUAAAAAAAAAAGUAAAUCUACAUUUAAAGGUUAGUAUUUCUUUUCUUUUUCUCUUCUUUAAAAUUCUGUAAUUUAAUUUUCAAUUUAUUUUUCUUUGUAAUUUUUUUUUGUUUAUUUUAUUAAUUUAUUUUUAGUUAAUUUAUUUCACGUAUUUAUUUUUGUGUAUUUUUAUAGUAAGGUUGUAAUAGCGCAAUAAGGUUAGUAUUGUAAUUUCUCUCUCUUCUUUAUUUUUAUUUGUUUUGUUCCAUCUUUAUUUUUAUUUUAUUUAUUUUGUAUGCAUGGUCGUAGGUCUUUAUUACCUAAUCUUGAACCUAUAGACCUUGAACUUGAGAAAACACUUCGCACACACAAGAACGUUAAAAAUAAAUUUGAAAUGGAUUUACAAGCACCACAGGAGAGGCCAUUUAAGGACUAUUUUAGUCCCUUAGCUAAUUUGAGCACAUCAUGCAUAAGAUACCCAAAUGUAGCUGCUAGGAGUUUUGAAUUAAAACCUAGUGUGCUAAAUUGUCUCCCCACAUUCUAUGGCCUAGAAAAUGAGGACCCAUAUAAUCAUCUGAAUGAUUUUCAUGCCAUUUGUCAAACUUUUAAAUAUGAAAAUUUUUCAGACGAUGAUGUUAAACUUAGAUUAUUCCCAUUUUCUUUAAAGGAUAGAGCUCGUUCAUGGUUAAAUACUUUGCCUGCUAAUAGCAUUGCAUCAUGGGAACAAAUGGUUACAAAAUUUCUAAAUAAAUAUUUCCCAGUGCAUAAAACCAAUUCUAUUCGCAGGGAAAUUUCAGAGUUUACACAAAGAGAGGACGAGCAGUUUUUCGAAACUUUGGGAGUGAUUCAAUGGGCUACUCUUGAAGUGUCCACAUCAUGGGUAUGAGAAAUGGCACCAAUGCCAAUACUUUUUGGAGGGAUUAUUGCCAAAUGUGCAAGAAUGGCUAAUGGCAACAAGUGGAGGAGAGCUAAUGUCAAAAAGCGCAACAGAGAUUUGGGAAUUCUUCCAGCGACAAGCGGAUAAUUCCCAACAACGGAGUCGAUCACUCAGGAAUACUAGAAGAAUUAAGGGAGUAAAUGAGGUUCAAAUUGGCGAGUCAACUUCGGGAAUCAAAGAAGUCAAGGAGAUAGUUGAAGGUCUUGCUCGACAAAUAGCAUCGUUGUCGACUGCUAAAUCAACAGAACCACAUGACCAUGACUCAUACUCCGAUCAAGCCAAUGCCAUAGGUGUAAUGAGAAAACCAUCGAAUUACAACCCAUACUCCAACACAUAUAACCCUGGAUAGAGAGACCACCCCAAUUUUUCAUGGUCUCAAGGAUUCCAACAGAAUGGACCAGCAGCUCCAGCUCCACAAAUUCCUCAAGUUCCUCAAGCCUCUCAGCCCCCAUUUAGACCAUUUAAUCAGAACCAGAACUACUCUCAACCCAGACCAUGGGAGGAUUCAUUCCAGAAUCUCAAGAAUCUUACUCACUCCACGAUUGAGCAGCAGAACCGCACCGUUGAUGGACUACGAAAUGAGUUGAGAGCAGGCUUCAACUCACAAGAUCAAUCAGUUUCAAACCUCGAGAAAAUGGUGGGACAACUUGCUUCUUCAGUUCAGACCUUGGCAAUGACUGUUGAGAAAGGAAAAUUUCCAAGUCAACCAGUGCCUAAUCCUAAAGGAGUGCAUGAAGCAAGUACCAGUUCACCACAGCAGCAUGGGGAGGUCAAAGCAGUCAUGACCUUGCGAAAAGGAAAGGAAGUCGACAACAAAGUGGAGAUGCCGGUGACAAAAGAAAAUCAAAUUGUACCUGUGAAUGUUGAGGACUCACCACCGGAGGAAAAAGAAGAAACCAACCCACGAGAAUAUGUUCCUAAAGCUCCAUUUCCUCAGAGGUUAGCGAAAGGAAAGAAGGGAAAUUCCACAGGUGAGAUUCUCGAAAUCUUCAAACAGGUAAGUGUUAACAUCCCUUUACUUGAUGCUAUAAAGCAAGUUCCAUCUUAUGCUAAGUUUCUUAAAGACCUUUGUACUAAAAAGAGAAAUAUGCAUGUUCAAAAGAAGGCAUUUUUAACAGAAAACGUUAGUUCUAUACUCCAACAUAAAAUUCCUUUAAAAUGCAAAGACCCAGGCUCCCCCACUAUCUCAUGUAGUAUAGGGAACCACACAAUUGAGAAUGCUUUGUUGGAUUUAGGAGCUAGUGUAAAUCUUUUGCCUUACUCUGUAUUCGUGAAACUUGGACUGGGAGAAUUACACCCAACUCCAGUGGUGUUACAGCUUGCAGAUCGGUCCACGAAAAUACCUCGUGGUAUUGUGGAGGACGUGCUUAUCCAGGUAGACAAGUUUUAUUUUCCUGUUGAUUUCAUUGUAAUUGACACUCAACCAAUACAGGAUUCAAGGAAGCACAUCCCCAUUAUUCUAGGCCAACCUUUCUUGGCAACUGCGGAUGCUCACAUUCAAUGCAGGACUGGAAAUAUGCAAUUGUCCCUCGGCAACAUGACUAUGGAGCUGAACAUCUUCAAUAUUGCCAAACAACCUCAUAAUGCAGAUGAUAGAAUUGUAGACGUGGAUUUAAUUGAAGCAUUAGUUGAUGAUACUUUUGUUUCAAACCUUAGUGAUGAUCCUUUACAAACAUGUUUAACUCACUUUGGUUUGGAUUUUGAUAUUGACAGAUCGGUCGAAGAGGUCAACGCCCUGCUUGACUCAGCACCAUACAUGGACACUAAUAAAUGGAAGUUAAGAGUUGAACAACUAGCACCAUCAGAGAAGAAACUCAUCCCAUCAUCAGAAUCACCACCGAAACUCGAGGUCAAACCAUUGCCCAACACAUUGGAAUAUGCAUUUUUGGGAGAAGAAAUUACUUUGCCGGUAAUCAUCUCAUCAUCCCUAAAUGACGAACAAAAAGGUAAGUUGUUGGAUGUUUUAAAAGAGCACAAAGGAGCAUUAUGAUGGACCAUAGCAGACAUAAAAGGUAUAAACCCAGUAGACUGCAUGCAUUACAUUCACCUUGAUGAAAAUGCUAAAUCUACUAGGAAAAUGCAACGUCGGUUAAAUCCUAAUAUGAAAGAAGUUGUUAGAACAGAAGUCCUUAAGCUAUUAGACGCAGGUAUCAUUUACCCAAUUUCUGAUAGUUCAUGGGUCAGUCCUGUACAAGUUGUCCCCAAAAAGUCAGGAGUCACAGUAGUUACGAAUGCUGAUAAUGAAUUGAUACCCACUAGAGUAACUACAGGAUGGCGUGUAUGCAUUGAUUAUAGAAAGUUGAAUUCUGUCACACGUAAAGACCAUUUUCCUUUACCAUUUAUUGAUCAAAUGCUUGAUAGAUUAGUAGGCCAUGAAUUUUAUUGCUUUCUAGAUGGCUACUCAGGAUAUAAUCAGAUUCCCAUAGCACCAAAAGAUCAGGAGAAAACUACUUUCACUUGCCCUUUUGGCACAUUUGCAUAUAGGAGAAUGCCAUUUGGAUUAUGUAAUGCACCUGCUACAUUUCAACGAUGCAUGUUGAGCAUUUUUUCUGAUAUGGUUGAACAAUUCCUUGAAGUCUUUAUGGAUGACUUUUCUGUUUUUGGUAACUCGUUUGAUCAAUGUUUACAUCAUCUAACGCUAGUUCUGCAGAGAUGUAUCGAGAAGAAUUUAGUCUUAAAUUGGGAGAAAUGCCAUUUUAUGGUAAAACAAGGUAUUGUUCUCGGUCACAUCAUUUCGAGCAAAGGUAUUGAGGUUGACAAAGCCAAGGUGGAUCUCAUUUCUAAUCUUCCUCCACCUAAAACAGUCAGAGAAGUACGAUCUUUCCUUGGACAUGCUGGUUUCUAUAGACGUUUCAUUAAAGAUUUUAGCAAAGUUUCUAGACCCUUAUGCAAUUUACUUGCUAAGGAUGUACCUUUUAUCUUUAAUGAUUCAUGUCUCAUGGCGUUUGAAAAAUUAAAGCAAUUGUUGACAUCAUCACCCAUCAUUCAGGCCCCAAACUGGAGCUUACCAUUCGAGCUCAUGUGUGAUGCAUCUGAUUAUGCAGUAGGAGCAGUAUUAGGACAAAGAGUUGAUCGAAUUCCCCAUGUUAUUUACUAUGCUAGUAUGACAUUCAAUGAUGCACAGUUGAAUUAUUCAACUACUGAAAAAGAAAUGCUAGCAGUAGUGUUUGCAUUAGAAAAAUUUCGAUCUUAUCUCAUUGGUUGUAAAAUAAUUAUAUUCACAGAUCAUGCUGCUCUUAAAUAUCUUCUCACAAAGAAAGAUGCAAAAGCUAGACUAAUUCGUUGGGUAUUACUUUUGCAGGAAUUUGACUUGGAAUUCAAAGAUAAGAAAGGCACAGAAAAUGUCGUGGCGGACCAUCUCUCUCGUCUCCAUUUUGACACAAUUACAGAGCCAUUAAUAUUAAAUGAGUCAUUUCCAGAUGAACAAUUAAUGAGUGUGGAAGUAUUACCUUGGUAUGCUGAUAUAGUUAAUUAUCUUGUUACAGGUAAACUUCCAGAGCAUUGGACCAAGCAAGACAAGGCUAAAUUCUUUGCGGAAAUAAAGAAUUUCUUUUGGGAUGACCCAUAUUUGUUCAAGUAUUGUGCAGACCAAAUUGUUAGACGAUGUGUCCCUGAAAAUGAAAUUCAGAAUAUUCUUUCAUUCUGCCAUGAACAAGCUUGUGGAGGCCAUUUCAGUGCUAAGAAAACAACGACUAAAGUUUUACAAUGUGGUUUCUAUUGGCCAACUAUAUUUCGAGACGCUUACACUUUCUGUUCUUCAUGUGAUAGGUGUCAACGAAUGGGGAGCAUUACACGAAGGAACAUGAUGCCACUAAAUCCAAUUUUAGUGGUUGAGAUUUUUGAUGUAUGGGGUAUCGACUUCAUGGGACCCUUUCCCUCUUCUUUUGGCCAUCAAUACAUAUUGGUUGGUGUUGACUACGUCUCAAAAUGGGUAGAAGCAAUUCCAUGUAGAACCAAUGAUCACAAAGUGGUGAUAGGAUUUUUGAAAAGCAACAUUGUCUCACGCUUUGGAUUCCCUCGAGCAAUAAUCAGUGAUGGUGGUGCCCACUUUUGUAACAAAGCAUUCAAAGCUCUUUUGACAAAGUAUUCAAUCACACACAAAGUGGCAACCCCUUAUCAUCCGCAAACCAGUGGCCAAGUUGAGAUCUCCAAUCGAGAAAUAAAGCAUAUAUUAGAAAAGACGGUGAGGCCAGACAGAAAAGAUUGGUCAUUAAGACUUGAUGAUGCAUUAUGGGCAUAUAGAACGGCUUUCAAGACCCCGAUUGGGAUGUCACCCUACAGGCUAGUGUAUGGAAAAGCUUGCCACCUACCUGUGGAACUCGAGCAUCGUGCAUAUUGGGCCAUCAAGAAAUUCAACUUUGACAUGCAGCAAGCCAGCUCAGAAAGAAGAUUACAACUGGCAGAACUUGAAGAAAUUCGCAAUGAUGCAUACGAAAAUGCCAAAAUUUACAAGCAACGAAUGAAAGUCUUUCAUGACAAGCACAUUAUGAGAAAAUCGUUCACUCCAGGUCAGAAAGUGCUUUUAUUCAAUUCUCGCUUGCACCUAUUCCCAGGUAAGUUACGCUCUCGAUGGUCUGGUCCAUUUAUUGUUCAUACUAUUUUUCCACAUGGGGCAAUUGAAAUUAAGGACCCAAAGAACGGUGUCACGUUUAAAGUUAAUGGUCAAAGAUUAAAGCCAUAUCUUGAGUACCAACCACAUGGAGAAGACACCGAAAUAAAUUUGAGUGACCCACCAGAUUUGAAUUGAUUUUUUUUCUUUUUGUUGAUUUGAUUUUUCUUUCUUUUUAUUAUUCUUUUGCUAAUUGAAAUUAUUUUUGCAUAAGUGUGUUUGUUUUACCAUUAAGUUUUCUUUUCUCUUAUCAUUGUUAAUCAUGAGUACCAUACUUAGACCGUUCCUCCUGAACAUUCUUAAACCACUUCAACGUGUCAAAACUCAUCUCAAAAAGCAGAUUCAAUUUUGUAAAACACAACGCAUUUGGGCUCUACAACCACCAGAGUUAGUAGCCUAUGUUGAGGGUUUAGAAUGCCAACUCAGAGACAUUGAGAGAAGUGUUUACGACAUCCAGUUAGAGCUUGAGGUAAAUUCAAUAAGAGGACGAUUUUAAUUUUCUUUGUGUGUUUUAAUUUGUUUUUCUGUUUGUGUGUUUUAGUUUGUUACCCCGGUGAAAUGGCGGAUAACGGUACUCCGUGACAAUCAAGUCGGUUACUUCAGUUUCCCAUAAUAACUGACAUUCUGAGGCGAAAGUAUGGACAGAAAAGAGAUUCUAGCAAAGCUUCACAAGCGAUUCCCUUCACUUCCUCAGAAUGCCCUCCUUACGAUCUAUAAAGCUCGGUCCGAACGCAUGCGAUUACUCAUGAAGAAUAACAUACCUGCUGACAUCCGUUGGUUAAUCGAGGCUAAAGUACGAUCGGCAGGUGAGUUUCCUCCAAAAUUUAUUGCAUACAUGCCUGGUUGUGGUAAAGGAAAUUAUGCAAGAAAACGACGAGCUCGAAGAAUUUCUGUUGCUUGUCAUAAGUGUGCUAGAAUGAGUUGCGAUAGAAACCCAUGUUCUUUAGGAAUGGUGUCUGAUAACAGGGAAGAUAAGAUUUAAUUCAUUAGGGAUGGCUUGAAUAAGGAGUCAUUGGAUGAUAUCCUUUUGUCUCUUGAAACGCAUCCUAGUGGAUAUGUGCAAGGAGCGAUUCUCCAGUUAUGGCCAUUAUUCCAGAAAGAGCAUGCACGAUAUAGUCUCGGGAAUCUGACUAUAAACGACCCUGUUUGCCAGUUUAUAAGAAAACUGGAUAGGAAGCCUAUCCUCGACCCAUAGAGGGCGUUCAAGCCGUUUCUGGACGUAAAACCAGAGGAAGAUGUGAGCCACAGUCGCAACUACGUGUAAAUAUCCUUUUACUUUACUGUUAUUUUAUUUCAUUUCACUGUUGUUUUAUUGUUUGCAUUAUUGUCUUUAAUAAUUUUGUUACUGUUUGCUUUUUCCUUUUUACUGUUUCCUUUUUGACUCACGAGCCACGUGCUUAACGCGUUAUUUGACACUGACAUGCCACCCCAUACACAGUUGUGACCCACUGUCACCAAGAUUCUUAAAUAUGACUUUUUGUUAAGCACUCACAAAUUGUUUCUGAGAAAUAUUCCAAUGGCAGCUACUCCUAAUAGACAAUUCAAGAACAUUUGUGUGCUUUCUGGAUUUACCUAUGGCAAACAUAAAGAGUUCGUGGAGGCAGCCAUAGAUCUUGGUCGAAGCAUAGCAGCGAGAAAAUUACACUUGGUGUAUGGAGGAGGUAACCGAGGGUUAUCAAAAAUGGUCUCAGAAGCAGCUUUUAUCAGAGGAAGUCAAGUGUUAGGCAUCAUCCCAAGAGUCCUAAAACCAUUGGGCAGUUCGUCUGACUCAUCAACUGGAGAAGAGUUAGUCGUCUCAGGUAUGCAAGAAAGAAUAACUGAAAUGCUUAAUCAUGCUGAUGCUUUUAUUUUCCUUCCAGGAGAUCUUGCAACACUAGAGGCACUUAUGACACUAGCAUCUUGAGCCCAUCUACACAUUCACCAGAAACCCAUCGGUUUGUUAAAUGUCAAUAACUUUUAUGAUGGCUUUAUCGCAUUUCUUAACCAUGCAAUAAAAAACUAUUUCAUUCCUUCUAAUGUGAAAAAACUCUUUAUUUGUGCUCACACUGCUAAUGAGCUACUUGAUAUGUUACAAGCUUAUAAACCGGAGCCAGACCCCUGGACCUUUGUGUUGGAGCGACCAAAUAAUGAUGGUAACAGUAGCCGCAGUAAGAAGUACAAAUUAGAUUUAACUCUCCGCCUGUAAAUAUUUUCUUCUGUGUUGCACCACCCAGGUGAUGUCUUCUAAACUCUACUUCUUUCAUUUCAAACAUUGAGGACAAUGUUUCGUUCUGGUUGGGGGGAGGGAAUAGUCGACAGUUGUGGAAUCUUGGUUAAAUUUUUACUGAUUUUUUGUUGUAGAAACUAACUGUUGCUAACUUUUUAUGUUGAAGAUGGCUGAAUAUGGAGUGUAGUGACUCUAGAAACGCAUUUUCAUCGUUUAAAAAAAAUUAAAAAAAAACUAAAAAAAAAUUUCAGACAGUUUCUUUUUUUUUUCUUUCUUUAUUCUGUUUUUAUGUUUAUUUUUCUUCUUUUUAAUUUCUCCUCUAUAAAUAUACAUUUUCCAACUUGUGAGUCGAAGAUGGCUGAAUAUGGAGUGUAGUGCCUCUAGAAACGCAUCUUCUUAAAAAAAAAAAAAAAAAAAACCCAUUUUCUUUUUCUAUCAUUUUACGUGUAACUUUUCUAAUUAGUUUUUAUGCAUCAUUUUCACAUUUCUGCAUGCAUAUUUUCCUUUCAUGUUUAGAAUAGGUUGGGGGGUAGAAUGUUGUUUAAAAAAAAAAAAAUUGUGUUAUUUGUUUUAACAUUGGAUGACAUGAUUAAUUUCAAAUUUUAGUAUUUGUAUUAUCUUUGGUCUUAAGUGAUGUUACGCUAUGUUUGCUACUUUACAUGUUGAUGUCGGAGACAAAUAUGAGUUGCUUGAAGGAAUGAACAUGUCAUAAAUAAGUGCCAAGUGAGUUGUUGAGCCUAUCAUUUUCUUGGAGAGUAACACUUUUGCCCAUUCUCUAUACAGCUUAGCAGUUUAUUAGUUUAUACACGAUCUCUAGAUUUCUUUUGAGUUAACCCUUUAAAAAAAAAUGUGUGUUGCUACAUUGGGAGACCCAUCUAACUAGUAGAUAUGGAUAAUUAUUUAGAGCCCUAAAAGACGAUGGAAAGGCCAUAUUUGAUCCGUUUGAGCCUUUCUAGCCAUCCCUUUUAUUAAAUAUCCAUAGUUACCCCUUUUGAGCCUUUUUUUAAAAAAAAAAGAGAACAAAAACAUUUUCUUUGUCAACUUAUCAUCUUGACCCACUCCGAUUUGGAGUAUUACCCAAUGUCUUUUAAGUUCCAUCACCUAUUUAUGUUUGAGAAAAUGUAAAUAAUGAUGUUGUUCAGUGAAGUUAUGCCAAAUAAAAGCAAAAAAAAAAAAAAAAAAACAAAAGUUGUUGUUUCAAAAGAAUAAAAAUAACAAUAAUAGGUGAAAUCCACCUUGCAACUUCAAAAAAAAAUAUAUAUAUUUCUGCAUUUUUCUCAAACAUACACUUUGUUUUCCUUAUUUCCUUUCUUUGUUAGCCAUAUCCCUAGCCUACGUUAUGUCCUAAUAAAAGUCCUUCUUGAUUUUAGGGAACUAUAGUUUGAAGUAGAAGCUAGUUAUAUGGGCUAAAAAGAUGUAGUGAUGCAUAAUAAAAAAAAAAAAGAUAAAUAAAGUGGGUUGACUAACAUUUUAUUUGACUUGAGAUCGUAUUAUUUCUAAGCUAAGGGCAUAUUUAUUUCAUCUUGGUGAGAGCAUGUGAUAUCACUUCUUCAUUAUUUUCUCUCAAUUACCAUUCAUUGGAGUGACUAUUUUUUUAGGUUUAAUUUCUUUGUGAGAGUGUCACUACUUCCAGUGAGAUUUUGGGUUUUGACAUGUCAUUCUUGAAAGUAGUUAUAACAAAGUCUACUGGCCGAUUCAUGUGGAUGGUUGAUGUGGGUGUGAUGUUGUUUUAGACUGGAGAUAAUACUUAUACUUUUAUUUGAUUGCUAUCAUUAAUCUGAUUGAAUAAACACGAGUGUUUCUAAAAAAAAAAAAAAAAAUUAUUUUGAAUUUGAAUUUUGUUUUCGCUUUAUUUGCUAGGGACUAACAUUAAGCUGGUUGGGGGGUGUGUUGAGUGUUAGAAAAUGCAUAUUUAUAAAGGAGAAAACCAUCAUUUUACAUUUCAAGUCUUACUAACAACUCUUACUUUUAUGUAUUUAACCUUCUUGUAAUAUAAUUACGUGUGUUUUAUUUUAAUUAAGUAUUUUAUGUAUUUUAGGGGCAUUAUAGUCAUUUCACAAUAAAGGAGAGAUCAGGCGGCAAAACGGACAUCACUUUUGAACUCAGGACGGUCGAAAACCUUAGGAGGAGCAUAAAAGGAAAAAUGGCACUAUUCAUAUGUACGGUACUAUUCACGUGUACGGUAUUAACUACGUUACUGUUCACAACACUGUUCACAUAGACGGAUCGAUGACGUGGCAUUGACCGAUGAUGUGGCAUUGACUGAUGAGGUGUCACGAUCCUGUUGAGCUAAAAUUCUUAUGUACUGUUGAUGGUGACGUGGCAGUAUAUCAGUGGAUGAAAAAUCUCGCGUACGGUACAUGCAUCACACAGGAUUAUUUUCAACCAAACCGCGUUACUGUUCAUCCGAGUCAAACCGUGUUACUGUUUAUCCGAGUCAAACCGUGUUACUGUUCAUCCGCGUGGUCAAACCGUGGACUGUUGACUUAUGACGUGGCGCAAUCCUGAGCGUCCAAACUGUUUUUAAUCCGAUGGCCAUGAUUUACUCCAUGUAUCUAUAAAAAGGGGGCCUUCCCCCCCUAAUUUGAUAGCUCUGAAUCCAUUUUUGGGAUCCAUUUUCUGUAAUUCCUUCUCCAUCUUGUAUUUUCUUUGUAUUUUAAUAAAUUCCCAUUUUGCCCCUAGUUCAAUUAUGAGUGGCUAAUUUUCUUUCAAGCUUGGGUUGAAGGUGAAGUCUCAACAUGUGUCAUGGGCUUAAUUUGGUAAAUUUAUUUUCUCUUCCCCUCUAGUUUUUGUGGAUGUUUUGACUUCUCGUCGACAAAUAAUAAUAAUCUUGUCUAGAUACCGCCUUGGUUACACCGGCUCUCUAGUAUAAGGUUAUUAUUAUUUGGCACGAUAAGCCCUUAGCACCAUAUUGAUUAGAGCGUGGUUCAUGAGGUGUGGAUUCCCCCCUCAUGAUUUAAUUGGCAUUAAUAAAGAUUAUUUAGCCCAUGAUGCAUGUUGAUACGGAUCCAGAUACCCAAGUACGUCAUUUUAAUAGAAUUCUCUUCAAUUUAUUCUCGCCAUUUCAAUUCCAAUUUUAGAAUUUAUUCUCGCCAUUUUAAUUUAAGUUUUAGCAUAUCCCAAAUCAUUUCCACCACAAAUCCAAUCACCCAUUUACAAAAUUAAUUCUACACAAUUAAAAUCCACCUCCUCGUGGGAUCGACACUCGUCACCAUUAGUCUAUACUACAAUAGAUUCGUGCGCUUGCGAGUACAUUAAAAUUUGCACAACACACUUCAACAUGUUUAGUUCUGUCAUGAUGAAUAGGGUUAUGAGCAAUGUUUAUUGCUGCCUUGUUGUCACAAUACAACUUCAUAGGAACAUCAAUGAUAAUCUUCAAUUCUUCAAGUAGCUUCUUUAACCACAAAAGUUCACAAAUACCAUAUGCUACUGCUCUAAAUUCAGCUUCAGCACUGCUUCUUGCAACCACUGAUUGCUUCUUACUCCUCCAAGUUACCAAGUUUCCUCCCACAAAUGUGCAAUACCCUGAAGUUGACCUUCUAUCAAUAAUAGAUCCAGCCCAAUCUGCAUCAGUAUAUACUUCAACUUGCAUAUUGUUAUUUUUCUUGAAUAGCAGGCCUUUUCCUGGAGUUUUUUUCAGGUACUUGAGAACCUUGUAAACAGCUUCUAAGUGCUCUUUACAUGGAGAGUGCAUAAAUUGACUAAUAACACUUACUGCAAAGGCUAUGUCUGGCCUAGUAUGAGACAAGUAUAUCAACUUACCAACCAACCUUUGGUAACUUUCUCUAUCCACUGAUUUUCCUUCAAUUGCAUAUCCCAAUUUGUGAUAAGGAUCAAUAGGAGUGUCUCCAGGUUUGCAUCCCAACAUGCCAGUUUCCUUGAGUAAGUCUAAAGUAUAUUUCCUUUGAGAAACAAAAAUGCCUUUACUGGAUCUUGCAAUUUCCAUGCCCAAAAAAUAUCUUAAGGGGCCAAGGUCCUUCAUCUCAAAUUCUCUAGCAAGAACCUUCUUGAGAUUUUCCAUUUCUAUUACAUUGCUUCCAGUCAAGAUGAUAUCGUCUACAUAUACAAUGAGGAUCACAACACUACCAUCAGUGAAGUGUUUAAAAAACAUUGUAUGAUCUGCUUGACUCUGUAAAUAUCCAAAGCUAUGAACAGAUUUGGUAAAUCUGUCAAACCAAGCUCGAGGAGAUUGUUUUAAGCCGUAAAGUGAUCUCUUCAGCUUGCACACUUUUUCAAUACCAUAUUCAUUCUCAAAACCUGGUGGCAGAUCCAUAUAUACCUCUUCUUCAAGCUCUCCAUUAAGAAACGCAUUCUUAACAUCUAAUUGUUGUAGUUGCCAUCCUAAGCUUGCUGCAAGAGACAACAAAACCCGAAUGGAAUUCAUUUUUGCCACGGGAGCAAAUGUUUCUUGGUAGUCAAUGCUAUAUGUUUGUGUAAAACCUUUCGCGACAAGCCUAGCUUUGUACCUCUCAAGUGACCCAUCUGCUCUGUAUUUAACUGUAAAAAUCCACUUGCAACCCACUGGUUUUUUUCCUUCUGGUAAUUUAACUAGUUCCCAAGUUUUGCUUUUUUCUAGAGCUCUCAUCUCUGCAUACCCAGCAUCUCUCCAUUCUGGAAUAGAAAGAGCAUCUUGUACAGAUUUUGGAAUUGCUAUGACAGACAGGUUAGCUGCAAAAGCUCUAAAAGAUGGAGAUAAUCUAUGAUAUGACACAUACUUAGAAAUUGGAUGAAGAGUACAAGACCUAGUUCCUUUUCGUAGUGCAAUUGGAACAUCUAGAUCAUUUGUAGUUUCUAAAACAGAUUCUGAAAUAGGAUUAGAAUGAAUGUUACCUGCAAGUUCCAAGUUGCCUGUGUUUGGAUCCGAGUCUUGGCAGUGAGGAGAGGAAUGAUGAUUUGACCUUUUCGAAUUCCGUCGUGUGUAGACUUGAAGCUAUGGUUCUGGAACUCUCUCUAAUGAUUUUUCAUUAUUCAUAAUUGAUGGCAUUGUAGAAGGAACAUGAGGUACACAAGACAUAAUAGGCAUUGGAAGAGAUAAUUCCCAAAAAUGAUCUUCCGGAGUAUGAUUCUCCCCCUGAAGAGAAGUUUUGGGAAAGAAAGAUCUAUUUUCAAAAAAUGUGACAUCCAUUGUGAUGAAGAAUUUUUUAGACAAUGGAUCAUAACAUUUGUAGCCUUUUUGAGUAGGAGAAUAGCUAAGAAAUACACAUUUUAAAGCUCUAGGAUCAAGUUUGCUCAUGUUCUAUGUAUGAAUGUGAACAAAAGCAAUGCACCCAAAAAUCUUGGGUGGUAAAGAUGUGAAAAACUUAGCGGUAGGAUAGAAUUUUGUGAAAACAUUUAAUGGAGACUGAAAAUUAAAGAUUCGGGUAGGCAUGCGAUUUAUCAAGUAUGAUGCUGUGAGAAUGGCUUCACCCCAAAACUGUUUUGGCACCCUAUUUGUGAACAUAAGAGAGCGUGCAACUUCUAACAAGUGUUGAUUUUUCCGUUCAGCAAUACCAUUUUGCUGAGGAGUAUCUACACAAGAGGAUUGGUGCACAAUGCCAUUUUCCAUGAAAUAAUGACCAAGGGCAGUAGAAAAAUAUGCUCUCCCAUUGUCAGUUCUAAAGACUUGGAUUUUUGCUUGAAAUUGUGUUUGAAUCAUGGUAUGAAAGGUUUUAAAAACUGUUGCAGUUUCUGAUUUUUCUUUAAGCAAGUACACCCAACAAACACGAGUGUGGUCAUCAAUAAAAGUUAUGAACCAUUUAGCCCCCGAAAUGUUUGUAACAUGAGAGGGUCCCCAAAUAUCACUGUGUAUGAGAGAAAAAUGUUCAGAUUUUUUAUACGGCUGUGAAGGAAAAGAUACACGAUGAUGUUUGGACAAUACACAAAUUUCACACUGAAACAAAGAAGGAUUUUUAUUCUUGAACAACAAAGAAAACAAGUGUUGUAAAUAAGAAAAACUAGGAUGACCUAAUCGGAGAUGCCACAACAUUAUUUUAUCUUUAAUAGAGAAAGUUAGUUCAUUAUUUGUUGCCUGAGCUUCUCCACACAAACUAACAUCCUCCUCGAAGUAGUACAAACCAUCUACCUCUCUAGCACUGCCAAUUUUCUUCCCUGAACACAGGUCCUGAAAUUCACAAUAGGAAGGAGAGAAUUUAGCAAUGCAAUGAAGAUCCUUGGUAAUUUUGCUAACAGAUAAAAGAUUACAAGACAAAUUAGGAACAUGAAGAACAGAUGUUAACACCAAAUUUGUAGAGAUAGGAAUAGAUCCUUUUCCUGCUGCAGAAGAUAGUGAACCAUCAGCAAUUUUAAUUUUUUGACUACCAGGACAUGGAAUAUAUGAAUAAAAUAAUUUAGAAUGGCUAGUCAUAUGAUCGGUUGCUCCUGAAUCGAUGAUCCAUGGAUCUUUUUUCUCAUAAACAACUCCUAAAGCACUGAAAUCAUUACCUUUCUGGGCUAAAGAACUAGAAGAUGAAGGAUUUGGGAGAGAUUGUGACUGAUUAAGAAACUUGUACAGUUGCUCUAACUGUUCUUUAGUGAAGAGUUGAGAUUCGGAUUCUCCAGUGUUGAUUGUCGGCUGAUUCUCCCCAAAAACUUGAAAACCUCGACUAUGUUUACCAGAGAAUUUAUUGUUUUUCAAAUUUGGAGGUUUUCCAUGAAGCUUCCAACAUGCAUCUCUGGUAUGUCUUGGCUUGUGACAAUAAUCACACCAAACUCUGUCCUUCUCAUCACUCUUCUUCAGGUUUUUUGUUCCCCCAAUCAGUGGAGCUUCUGGUGUAACAGAGAUCAAGGCUGAGUUCUCUGCUGAAGAACCUCCCAUCAUCACAUUCUUUCUACUUUCCUCUCUUUUUACAUAAGAAAACACUUCCCUGGUAGAAGGAAGAGGUUCCUUGCCAAGUACUCGCCCACGGACUUCAUCAAGGUCUGAACUCAAACCUGCUAAGAAUUCAAAUACACGCUCUUUUUCUAACAUCUUCUUGUAUUUAGCACUAUCAGCAGCACAUUCCCACUCGCCAUCAUAGUACUGAUCUAACUCUUGCCAUAAGCCCUUCAAAAUAUUGUAGUAUUUAGUCACUCCUUGACUACCUUGUUUGGUUUCUCGAAUUCUGGUUUUCAGAUCAUAAAUCUGAGCAGAAUUUCCCAAAUCAGAAUAGGUCUCGGUGACAGCAUCCCACAAAUCCUUUGCUGUUGGCAGAAACAAGUAAGUUUGACCUAUCUCCGAUUCCAUUGAAUUCACUAACCAUGACAUGAUCAUUGAGUUGUCAGCAGCCCAAGUAUGAAACUUUGGGUCUUCUUCAGUUGGUUCUUUAAUUGAACCAGUAAGGUAACCAAUCUUCCCUUUACCUCUGAUAAACAUCUUCACAGAUUGGGACCACUGAAGAAAAUUUUGACCAUUCAAUUUAUGGAUUGUGAUCUAAAGUGAUGGACUAUCAUUAGAAACAUAACUUGAUAGUUGUAGAUGUCGUUGCAAUUGCUCUGAAGAUAACUCAGAAGUUUCUUGCUCGCUAUACUUUGAUAUUGGUAUUCAAAUAGAAUUGAAAACUAAAUCCAAGAAUCAAAGAGCGACUCUGAUACCAUGAGAAAAUUAUUGAAGAAAUAUGUAUCUCCUUUUCUUAUUUUUACAAUAGGGUUACACAAUACAUAUAUAUAUAUUCUAAACUACAUAAUGUGCUAGAGUAGGAAAGUAAACAACUAACUGCAGACCAAGAAACUAGGAAACAAACUCUAUCUAAAAAACUGAAAUUCUAUCCCUAUUUUUUUUCCUUUCUAUCCCUAUCUUUUUUCCUUAAAAAUAGGAUAGAAAACAAGUGACUUUUCCACAGCCCUUUUGGACAAAAAUGAUUUCCUGCUAAUUUUGAGAAUAAAACCAUAGACAUCUAACUUCUGAUAUCUAGUCAAUCUGGUAAAAUCUUGGCAGUUGCACUUGGGGCAUAAAUUAGUUCCACCUUGGUUUAAGGACAGAAAUUCGUCAUAUGCAUGUAUUUAUUUAUGUUUUAUACACACACACAUGCAUGUACACACAAACACUACCUUCACUUUGAAGAAAAGAUUAAAAUAACACUGCUCACAUACACAAUACUUACUAUUCUAGUUCGUGUAACUUUCUCCGGAGUCACAAACAGGUCACAGAAUUCACGUAUUAACCGCAUACUUCUAGUCAUUUCUAUUCCUCCUUCACCAUCACUUGUCCCACAAUUACAAAAAGUGAGAGGUAAUAACCAACAUAUUUGGGUUGCUCUUCGGUAAGGGGUGGGAGGUAAGGGUUAGUUGUGGAGGGCACCUAGUACAGAAUCAAGGCCAGCUGUUGGGAAUUUGAUCUCCUGUAACAUAUACUUGUUCAUCAUAAACUAUAUACUUAUUCUGCAGUCGAUGUGUGCAUAUAGCUCUUCAAUUAUCCAGUAAUAACUCACCAUCAACUUCCUGCCAUCUUUCACGGCUAAUUCAGCAGCCAUUUUUGCCUGCUUAAAGGUCAAAAGCCCAAACUAAGCAGAUGCUCCUACUCCGAUACUUAUUAUCUAACUACUACAGAACAGAUGAUACGCAUCAAGUUGUAUCAAGAGAGACACCAAGUUGUGUUUUCCAAGAGGUUCCAAAGAGGUUUUGUUUCUUUGUGUAAUUUUUAGACUGCUUUGACAACUCAUCUUAAAGGUGCCACUCAUCCAAUAUGAUGUGGUGACAGUAGUUUAGAGUUUUAAACUAAAUGCAGAGCUAAUAGUAUUUUGGAAUAUAAUCAUCCUAAGAUACUAUAACACAGGGAUUCUUACACAAAAACAACAACUUCGAUGUAGAGAGAAGAUGAUUUCACAAAAGCAGAUGUUUUGAUUUAAGUCUCCAAAACCCCCACCAAAGAAAUGUUCAACAGAUAUAGAAAUAUGAUCCACAUAUCUGUAACUUAAACUGUGAAAGUUGUUGAUGUUGUUCUAAAAUUGCCACAAUCUAUCUACCCCAUGAAUGUUUUUGGAUAAAACAACAAGCAGGACCCAAUGCCUGUUUUCUAAUAGCUUCAAAAAGGCCAAAUUGGUUUUGAAAUGUCUCCAGCUUUUCAUUUAAUAAGAGAGAGAGAGAGAGAGAAGAAUCGCUCCCCUUUCAAAUACCGUGCUCUUUUGUACCUGGGAAUUUAACUAAUUCUUGCGAAUAAAAAAAUUUAUAAAUUUGGUAAAUUAUUUAUUAAAAAAUAUUGAGAGGCUGUGCAUUAUUUUAUUAGUAAAGAUAUAGUUAUCAUCAAAUUAGUUAUAUUAAAAUAGUUUUUGACUCACGUAAUUUAUUUUUAUUAUUUUUAUAUAUAUAUUUAAUUAAUAAAUUUAUGUUAUAUUCAUUUGUAUAAAAAUGUACAGUUCUAUCCUCACUCUUAUUUUAUUUUUAUUAUUUUUUCAGAAAAUGGUAUGCGUUAUUAAGGUUAAGGGUGACAACUGGGAUCAAUAUACGGUUUAUUCGAGUGCUUAAAACCUAAUAAAUAUCCACUAACUCAUAUUUAAUUAAAAUAUAAUUAUUUUUAAAUAAAAAAAUUUAAUAUAAACUAAACAAAUUGAUUGGAUUUUGUUUCUAAAGGUACAUCAUUAGAACGUUACCUUUAAUUGAACAAAAGCACACAUAACUAGCACAUUCGCCACAAAAGCCUCAGCUUAGUGGUCGGCUUAUUAAUUAUCUUAAUAAAAUCAUGGUCAUAAAUUUGAGUCCCCGUAGGAAUUAUUAGGUUAGGUAGCUUUUUUAGACUACAAAAGCUUUUUUAGACUACUCAUUCAUUUAAUUUUCCGUUAUAUAUAUUCAUCUUUUUUAGAGGCCAAGAAGUCUUCGACAGAAAUGUGAUCUUUUUCUAGUUGCCUCCCGGUGAUGAGCUUCUCCCAAGUUUCAAUUAAUUCGCUUUGAGUGAGGAUAUUUUCUGGUGGCCUCAAAUACAAUGUCUUGUUCAGCACUCAAGGGUCAUCUAUUGUCUUAAUAGUAUAUGUGGCAACAUCAUCAAGAUGCACUAUAGAAAAAAAGAUAAUCAUUUUGUUUAAUAUGAACAUAAAUUCUUACAGUCUAACUCAUAUUAUAGUGAACGAUGCUGUUAUGUGGUGCGUGCAUGCACUAUCUAUAGUUUUAAUAUUAUUAAUAAAGAGUUAAAAGUCUUGAUUUAAUUUUAAAUUGUCAUUCCUCUAACUUCACCGUCUUCAUAGAUGCAGACUUUAUCUUUUGAAGGGUGAGGGUAGCUAUAUUUGAGAGAGGUGUCUAGGGAACCAACCAGCAAAAAACAGCUAGCAGAAACAUAAAUGACAGGGAUUUGAGCAGCCUUGAUUGCCCUUCUCACACAUGCGCUCUGCGUUCUCCCUCCCGCUCUCACUCACUCACGCCCAAAUCUCACCUCACUCACGCAUCUCUCCUUCUGACCGGUGGUUUUCUCUCUCUCGCCGUGGGUCUCAAGGCUGGCAGGGAUUUCUCGACUUGACUACUAAAACAUAAUCCAAAAACUACUAAGAGAUGUAUAUAUUACUCUGAUAUACACAAUAUGAAGAAACUGCAGUUAUAUUUCAAAUAUUAUAUGAAGGAAGAGGCUGUAUGGAUUAUCUAAAGGUGCUGAAAUUAAGAGACCUAUUGAAAAGUCAUGCAUGUGGUAAUUUUUCAAAGAGCUACCAAACAUUUGAAGAAAAAAUGGAAAGUUGGCAAAUUUGUCAAAUUUGCCAAAUGGACACCAUUGACUAUUGGCUUAGGUUAGGUGGAAUGGUAAAGGGGUUGGUGCAAUAGUGCCAUUAUUUUUCCUAUAAAUAGAUGGCACUUUUUCCAUUCUUUUGCAUCCCAAAAUUGUUAAGCUUAUAAGUUUCUAAGCUUUUGAGAGAAGUGAGAGAAGUGUGUCUGGGGAAUUUAUCUUUCCUGCAGAGUGUGAGAGUACUGGGUAUAUUUUGGGUUUCUGGGAAGUGAGAUUCGUUACUCAAAUAUUGUACUCUAUUAAUUGUUAAAUAAACAAUUAUUCUUUCUUGCCUCCGUGGAUGUAGGUUUAAUUACCGAACCACAUAAUUCUUGUGUCCUUUAUUUUUUCUAUAAUUAUUUGGUGCGCUUGAUUCCGCAUUCCAAGCACAACAAGUGGUAUCAGAGCCGAAGGUUCGUACUUGGGGGGAUACGGUACUGUUCACGUAUACGGUACUAUUCCCAUAUACGGUACUGUUCACGAAUACGGUGGAGACGGCCAUUUGUACUUGGGAGACAGUCUAUUGUAAGUAGUGUGUAUUUUUGCAUGUUUAGGAAAGUUCUGUCAACAAAGGCGAUAAGAGUCUAAGGAUUCUGGUUUUUAAUUGGGACCGAGUUCCCGUCCAGUUUCUUGGGAACUUUCCUGGUGCAUUUAUUCAUGCGAAAUUAACAUCAUAGAGACUGUUUUUCAAGUGGAAAUAGUUCGUUGAGAAAAUGGUAGAAGGUGAAACUUCCAGAAUUGGGGAGAGAUCUACCGAGACUAUUUCAGGAGACACUUCAGGUGGGAGACGAGAUUUGUCAAAUCGCUAUUCAGCACCUGUUAUAGGAGGUCAGAAGAUCGAUGUUGAAAAGUUUGAUGGGAAAAUCAACUUCGGCAUGUGGUGGCGCGAAGUUAUGGAUGCCCUUAUUCAAAUCGAUCUCGAUGUUGUUCUGAAAAAUAAAAGACACUUGUAUGAUGAAGAAAUUUGGGAUCGUAUGAAUGAAAAAGCUUGUGGUUAGAUCAGAUCUUGUUUGACCAAGGAGGUGAAAUACUUGGUGAAAGAUGAGGAGUGUGCGGUAACUUUGUGGCGUACAUUAGAGGAAAAGUACUUGGUGAAAAGUCCUGAAAAUCGCCUUCAUGCAAUGAGCCAAGUAUAUGGUUUUCGAAUGAAGCCUGGGGUGUCAAUGCACGAUCAUGUUUCAAGAUUUGAAAAGUUACUUGCUGAUUUGAAGAAUCUUGAUGAAGAUAUUAAGGAUGAAGUCAAGGCUAUGAUUCUGUUACACUCACUACCAGAGGAAUAUAGCCAUUUUGUGACUACUUUGAUAUAUGGGAAGAGUGUGAUCGUCUUCAAAGAUGUUUGCACAACAUUGACUAGCUUAGAGAUUCGGAAUAAUGAUAAAAAUUCUGAACGAGCAUCGUCUGAAGCUUUAGUGAGCAGAGAUUGGGCGAUGGAGAAACAGAAGAAGCGUGGUGGAAAGAACUCUCGAUCCAAAUCGAGAAGCAGAAAUAUAGCUCGAGAUGAGUGUGCCUUUUGUCAUGAAAAGGGCCAUUAGAAGAAAGAUUAUCCAAAUGCUCAAAAGAGAGAUGGGAAGAAACCAGCAGCAGCAAACAUGGCACGGAAAGAUGAGGGAUCUGAUUAUUCACUAAGUAUUACUCCUGCAGCAUACGUGGCUAGUUCGAGCGAGUGGAUACUUGAUACUGGAGCAACCUAUCAUUUGUGUCCCAUUAAGGAAUGGUUUACGGAUUUCAACGUAUUGGAAUCUGGUGCAGUUGUGAUGGGGAAUGAUCAACCUUGUCGCACAAUGGGGAUAGUAACAAUUCGGCUCAAAAUGUUUGAUGGAAUGGUCAGAGAACUCAAAAAGGUUAGAUUUGUUUCAGCUUUAAAGAAAAAUCUAAUUUCUGUGGGUGCUUUAGAAGCUAAAGGCUACAAGGUUACCAUUGAAGAUGGUAUAAUGAAGUUUACACAUGGGGCUAUGGUGAUUCUGCAAGGGGUUCGGCGUCACAAUCUGUACUAUUUGAAGAGAGGUACAACUGAUGAAGCAAAUGUUGUUGAGGCACACAGUGACACCACCAAGCUAUGGCAUGUACGACUAGGACAUGCUAGAGAGAAGUCUUUGCAAACUCUGAUAAGGCAUGGACUCUUAAAAGGUACCAAAACCUGUAAAUUAAAUUUUUGUGAGCAUUGUGUAGUAGGCAAGAAAACAAGGGUUAAGUUUGGUACAGCUAAUCACGAUACUCGUGAGAUCCUUGAAUAUGUUCAUAGUGAUGUAUGGGGACCAACCAAGACUGCAUCAAUUGGUGGAAGCCAUUAUUUUGUUACAUUUGUUGAUGAUUUCUCUAGAAGUGUGUGGGUGUACACCAUGCGAGCAAAUGAUGAGGUUCUAGAGAUUUUCGUGAAAUGGAAGAAAUUGGUGGAGACUCAAACUGGAAGAAAGAUCAAAGUAUUACGAUAUGAUAAUGGGGGUGAAUAUACUUCUGAUCCAUUCUUGCAAGUAUGCCAGAACGAGGGUAUUAAAAGACAUUUCACAGUGAGACAUACUCCGCAACAGAACGGUGUGGCUGAGCGUAUGAAUCGUACUUUACUGGAGAAGGUAUGGUGUAUGUUAUCUAAUGCUGGUUUAGAUAAAAAGUUUUGGGCUGAAGUUGUGAGCUACGCAAGUCACUUGGUAAACCGGUUGCCUUCUGCUGCAAUUGGAGGUAAAACUCCUAUGGAAAUGUGGUCUGGAAAGCAUGCACAAGACUAUGAUUCCCUUCGUAUAUUCGGGUGUCCAGCUUAUUAUCAUGUCAAAGAUGGUAAACUAGAUCCUCGUGCUAGAAAAGCUAUCUUUGUGGGAUUCAAAGGUGGAGUAAAGGACUUCAAGCUUUGGGAUCUCGAAGAUAAAAAGUUUGUGUGUAGCAGAAAUGUCACAUUUGAUGAAGCUUCAAUGAUGAAAGCUUCAAGUUCUCAGCAGGUGGAGAACAAGACCAAAGAGGUAUUGCUGCGGGUGGAGUUUGAUGCAACUCCAUAUGUACCAGUUAGUUCUACAUCAAAGAAGAGUUCAACUAUAGAGGUGACACCUAGAGUUGAAGAAGAGGUUGUUUCUUCUGAUGUCCCACAAAAUGAAGAAACAAUUGAUAAUGUAGAUAAUGAUGAUUUUAUAGCAACAAGGAGGCUAAGAAGAGAGAUAAAGAAACCCGGAUGGCUUACUAAAGAUAUGGUGGUAGCCUAUGCACUUCCAGUUAUUGAUGAUGACAUCCCCAACACUUUCGGUGAAGCAUUACGCAGCAGUGAAAGUGAUCAGUGGAAGUUAGCCAUGGAGGAAGAGAUGAAAUCUCUCCAUCAAAACCAGACUUGGGAACUUGUAAAGUUACCAAAAGGGAAAAAGGCUAUUGGCAAUAAAUGGGUCUACACCAAAAAGCAAGGAUCUCCGAAUAAAAUAACUCCUCGAUACAAGGCAAGGCUCGUGGCAAAAGGUUUUGCUCAAAAGGAAGGUAUUGACUACAAUUAAGUUUUCUCUCCAGUUGUAAAACAUACUUCCAUUCGUAUCCUACUUGCCUUAGUUGCAGAAUAUGAGUUAGAGUUGGCUCAAUUGGAUGUUAAGACCGCGUUCAUACAUGGAGAUUUGGAGGAGGAAAUCUAUAUGAUUCAGCCUUGUGGUUUCAAAGUUGCUGGAAAAGAGAAUCAUGUGUGUAGGUUGAUUAAAUUUUUGUACGGACUGAAGCAAUCGCCAAGGCAGUGGUAUAAAAGAUUUGAUCAAUUUAUACAAGGGCAGAAAUUCACCAGAAGUGAACACGAUCAUUGUGUUUACUUUAGAAGACUACCAGAUAGAGCUUUCAUCUAUUUGUUACUCUAUGUCGAUGAUAUGCUUAUAGCUUCGAAGAAUAGAGAUGAGAUCGAAAGAUUAAAAAAGCAACUGGCUUCUGAGUUUAAGAUGAAAGACUUGGGUGAUGCACAGAGAAUACUUGGGAUGGAGAUUCGUAGAGACAAGAAGAAUGGGAGCGUAUGGUUGACUCAAAAGUCUUAUUUGAAGAAAGUGCUAGAAAGAUUCGGUAUGGAUGACAAAACUAAACCAGUAUGUACACCUCUAGCUUCUCAUUUCAAAUUAAGCUUUUCUUCAUGUCCUAGAUCUCAAGAGGAGCGUGAUUAUAUGGCUCGUGUUCCAUAUGCUAGUGCUGUGGGUAGUCUUAUGUAUGCUAUGGUAUGCACAAGGCCCGAUAUAUCUCAAGCAGUGAGCAUGGUUAGUAGAUACAUGCAAAAUCCGGGUAAAAAUUAAUGGCUUGCGGUAAAGUGGAUUCUCCGAUAUCUGUAUGGGACAGUUGAUGUUGGGUUAUUGUUCAAGAAGGAUUGUGGUCAACAAUGUGUUGGGUAUUGUGAUUCUGAUUUCGCUGGAGACCUUGACAAGCGAAGAUCAACAACGUGCUACGUAUUCACAUUGGGUGGAGGUCCGGUUAGCUGGAGGUCGAUUCUACAAUCGACAAUUGCUCUGUCCACUGCGGAAGCAGAGUAUAUGGCAGCAACUGAAGCUAUAAAAGAAGCUAUCUGGUUGAAAGGUUUAUUAGGUGAUUUGGGAGUAAUCCAGGAGAACAUUGCGGUCUUAUGUGAUAAUCAAAGUGUGAUAUUCCUUGCGAAGAAUCAAACAUAUCACGCUCGGACGAAGCACAUAGAUGUGAAAUAUCAUUAUGUGAGAGAGAUUAUCGAGAGCGGUGUUGUGUUGUUGAGAAAGAUCGAUACCAAAGAUAAUCCAUUAGAUAUGUUGACGAAGGUAGUUUCUGGAGUUAAGUUUCAACAUUGCUUGAAAUUAAUUCAAAUCCUUCGAUUGUGUUAAGAUAUGUCCUUCGGGAAUUUUGAACUACGGUUGGCUUGAUCCCAAAUUUUGGGUACGUAGGCAGUCAUAGAGAUGCAGCCACUUUGGGGAUGAUGAUUGGUUGGUAGUCGGCUCAGAUUUGGACAAAUUUUCACCGAGGUGGAGAAUUGUUGAAAAGUCAUGCAUGUGGCAAUUUUUCAAAGAGCUACCAAACAUUUGAAGAAAAAAUGGAAAGUUGGCAAAUUUUUCAAAUUUGCCAAAUGGACCCCAUUGACUAUUGGUUUUAUGUUAGGUGGAAUAGUAAAGGGGUUGGUGCAAUAGUGCUAUUAUUUUUCCUAUAAAUAGAUGGCACUUCUUCCAUUCUUUUGCAUCCCAAAAUUGUUAAGCUUAUAAGUUUCUAAGCUUUUGAGAGAAGUGAGAGAAGUGUCUGGGGAAUUUAUCUUUCCUGCAGAGUGUGAAGUACUGGGUAUAUUUUGGGUUUAUGGGAAGUGAGAUUUGUUACUCAAAUAUUGUACUCUAUUAAUUGUUAAAUAAACAAUUAUUCUUUCUUGCCUCCGUGGAUGUAGGUUUAAUUACCGAACCACGUAAUUCUUGUGUCCUUUAUUUUUUCUAUAAUUAUUUGGUGCGCUUGAUUCCGCAUUCCGCGCACAACAAGACCCACACCAACCGACAGACCCCCGGUGAUAGAGAGAAAGUCGACUGUGAGAUGCAUUCAAGACGGGGGAAGAGUGAGAGAGAAAACUGCCCGGUCAGAAGGAGAGAUGCAUGAUUGAGGUGAGAGAUUUGGGCGUGAGUGAGUGAGGAGUGAGGGAGAGGGUGCCGCGUGUGUGGGAUGCGUACAAUGACAAUUUAUACUUACAUCAAAACGCCGCGUUCGGUGCCAUGUGUAGGGCUAACUGUGGUUUGAAUCUCACUUUGGUAAUGGAAAUGACUUUGCAAUUGACAGUUUUUGUCAAAAGUUCGCACUGCAUGAAACUAGUGUUAAUAUAAUUUAAAAAAUUAAUUUCAGUAUUAAUUUUUAAAGUUUUAAUUAUUAUAUUUAUUUUAAUAAUAGAUUUAUAUUUAUUAUAAAAAUUUUAGUUAAAUAUUUGUGUUAAAUGGAAUUUAUAAUUAAUAUAAUAGAUCUUAGGUAUUAAUAUAUUAUAAUUAUUCUAUAUGCUAUUGAAAAUCAUUUAUAUUUUUAGACGUUUAUUUUCAUAUUAAGUUUCUAUUUAUUUUAAAAUUUAGUUUAAUAUAAUAUAAGCAAGUAAAGUAUUAAAAUAUUUUUUAGUAUUAUUUAAAAUAUUAAAAUAAUUUUAAAAUAUAAGUCAAAUUUUUAAGUGAAUAUAACUAAUAUUUACAGCUAUUUGAUGGCCUCAACAAGCUAAAGCAGCAUCAAAAUUUGUGGCUCGUUAAUUUAUUUUUUCCCUUUCAAAAAGGGAAGAGGAUAAGUUUGGAAGAAUGAUUAUAUUUUUAAUAAAUUCUUUUUUAUUAUAAUACUUUUUGUCUUUAUUAAUUUAAAAAUAUUGACUCUUAUAUUUUAAAAAAUAUAAAUAUAAUAUUAUAAUAAAAUAUAACAAUAUAUAUCAAAUAUUUAAAAAAUUUAAUAUUUUAAUAUUUUAUAUUAUAUUAAAAUAAAUUUUUAAUAAAUAAAAAUAAUCUAUUAAAAUAAAGUACAAAAAUUUAAAUUAUUUUCAAUAUCAUCUAAAAUAAUUUUACUAUUAUUAAUGCAUGAAAUAUAUUAUAGUAAUUGUAAAUUUCAUUUAACUCAAAGAUUUAUUUAGAAUGUUCAUAAUAAGUCCAAAUAUAUUAUUAAAAUAAUUAUAAUAAUUUACAUUUUAAAAAUUAAUACUGAUAUUAAUUUUUAAAUUAUAUUACUCUACCAGAAAAAUUAAACUAUUAAAUUAUAUCAAUAUUUAUUAAAAAAUUUUGAAAUUAAUUCUUGUUAUAUUUUUAAUUGGAAUUUUUUCAUGUGAUAUAACCAGAAUUGCUACAAUUUUUUUCCCUAAUUAAAGAUGGAGUUAUAAAUUAUUUGUAUAAGUGUCUGUGUGGAAACUAAUGUGACAUGAAAGUAAUAGCUGAAUAACAAUAAUGGGCCGAUUUCAAUUCUUAAACAGACUUGUCCUUCAUCCCAAUUUAUUUACCCCAUUUGGGCCGGUUAUGACAUAAACAUAUUCUUGUGGAAUGAAAAACAUCAUGAGAAGAAAAUGUUUUAUUAUAAUAGAAAAAAGUGGUCCAUAAGUCUAUUCAUUACUUUUUUUAUUCAAUAUAAAUGGCUAACUUUAAAAAUGGUAAAAAUCACAUAACGCGCAAACAUAUUUUAGAUUUAUAUUUUUUAAUACUCUCCGAGUCUCUCUUUCUCUUUUUCUUUUUUUAAAUAAAUGUCAGUAUAAAAUUUAAAAAAAAUUUAGAUAUAAAAUUUGGCAAUGACCAAACAAAAAUUGCAGAGGAAACCUUGAUAUCAUUGAAAUACUGAUAAUAGACACUACAGUAUAAAUAACUUGUUGUGAUCCACUCAACUUGUAACACUUUAAUCCAUAUUCUAAAAUUUUCAUGUUUGUUAGGAUUUUUAUUAUUGAUACUACUGUAUCAAUAAAAUUAUAAUUUAUUCAUAUGGAAUGAAAACAUCAAGAAAGGACCUCUGAUGUUUAUUGUCAUAGAAAAAAGUGGUCCAUAAGUCUAUUAAUUAUUUUAUUUAUUCAAUACAAAUGGCCAACUUAAAAAAUGGUAAAAAUCACACAAUGCACAAGUAAAAUUUUACAAUUACAUUUUUUAAUUCUCUUUGAGUCUCUCUCUCUCUUUAAAAAAUAAACCUCACUGUAAAAUUAGAAAAAUUUUAGACGUAAAAUUUGACAAUCACCAAAUAGAAAACAUAGGGAAAUGAAAAUGGAGGAGCCCUAUUUUCAUUAGAAUAUUGAUCAUAGAUACUAUAAUGUAAAUGAUUUGUUGCGAUUCCUUCAACUUGUCACACUCUAAGCUAUUUUCUAAAAUUUGUAAGGUUUAUAGGAUUUUUAUUACUGCCAUCAUUGUAUCAAUAAUAUUAUAAAUUAUAUAUUCUAUUGUAAUGAAAAUUUGUGUAAUCUUAGGUAUUUAUUGUAUUAAAUUGUGUGGAUUAAUUAAGAAUAUUUUUGGAGACAAAAGAAGUGUGUGUACGUAGGAUUAAUGAUAAAAAAUUUCUAAAUAAAGGUGAUUGCUUCAUUGACAAGUACAUAUUUAUAUUCCUCUAUUAAUAUUUGGGUUGUAAACUCUAUAAUAAAGUUGGUUGGUGUGAGUGGUUCGGCACUCUCACUCUUUAAGAGAGGUCGGGAGUUCAAGCCUCGCUCUCGUAUGGAGUCACCACUUUGGCCAGCACUUUACCUCUUAUGGGCCGACCCGGUGCGAGUGGGAAUUAGUAUGGGUUGUGGUAUGGGCUUAAAGGUGUCUCCCACAGUUGGGGCCCACUCAGGACCACCUCGUGAUUCAAACAAAAAAAAAAAGUGAAUAUAUUGUGGCAAGUGAUGUGGGCAAUAUCGGAUGCGAAAUAUUGAGAGAUCAUUAACGCAUAUAUUUAUUGAAGAUGCGUAUAGAGGAAAGAGUGUAGAUCCGGCCGUAACAAUUACGAAGCUUUCCCCAAGUAUACUCAUGCUUCCUUAACUGUUUCGAAGUAUUUUUCAUAGUGUGCAGAUUUACUUUAUGGUGUCUUUAAUUCAUCUUAAAUGAUUACUUUAUUGUUUUAGGAUGCAAUGUCAUUUAUUGUGUUAAUUUAAACAAUAGAAAAAAUAAGUAACAGUAACGAAAGACUAAUUUGUGAUAUUGAAGCGUACGGGCUUAACUCAAUCCAAAAAUUAGUAAAUUAGCUCAAGAGUUAAGAGUUGUCCAAAUCUUAUAUGAUGAACCCAAGUUUAAUACACAAUUGAUGCGGGAUGUUAUUCCUAACACCUCCCGUCAUGUGUAGGAUUGGCAAAAAAACUCGGGUCAGUCCCGCCUAAACCUACGAGCUUUAUGCAUGGCUCGCAUGAUGAAGUUACGGAUAUUAACCUAAAAAUUUGAAACUUACUAUGAAUGGCCUUGCUUAAAGACUUUUGCAACUUUAAUUUAUAACAAGUAUGUAUAUCUACACACACAUAAGCUUAGAUUGCAUUUGGAUGGCUUUUUUAAUCAAUUCAAACAAUCUGAAAUUUAUCAGAUUAAUCCAAAUCUUAUAUGUAUCCAAUUUUGCCCGCCCCUACUAUAUAUAAGCCCAAGUGACUCUCUUUUACUAAUUAAUAAGAGAAUUUUUGACCUUAUAUCCUUGUUGUGGCGUUAGACUGUUGGUUAUUUUGAUUGUUUCCUACCUUCCAUUUACGCCAGCUAUAACAUUGUAUUAUCACCAUUUUAGCCAUUUAAAUGAAAUUUUAUUUUUCAUUUUAUUGUGUCAAUACUAUCAUAAUUUAUUCAUUUUAUUGUAAUGAUAAUUUGUCUAGUCUUAGGUACUUACUAUAUUAAAUUAUGUAAAUUAAUUGAGAAUACUUUUAGAGACAAAAGAAACACGUGUAUGUAGGAUUAAUAAGCGAAGAGUUGUAAAUGAAGGUGAUUGCUUCAUUGAGAGGCAUAUUAAAUAAUUAUGGAGAGUUGCUCUAUUUCGGAAGCAUAUAUUUAUACUUCCCUAUCAGGAUUUGGGGUAAGCGAGGUGCUUUAUGUAUUGCAGUAACCAAAUGUGGGCAAUAUCAGAGCCGAAAUAUUGAAAGAUCAUAACGCAUAUAAACGAUUAGUAUAUUGAAGACACAUAUAGAGGAAAGAGUGCAGAUCCGGCCGUAACUAUUAUGAGGAUUUCCUCAAGUAUUCUCAUGCUUCCUCAACUGUUCUGAACUAUAUAUUCCUCAUUGUGGGCAGAUUUACUUAAAUACCAACACAAUGAUUCAAUACUUCAAAGGUCAAGGAAAUGUCAAAAUAUGAAAUGAAAAUACUUAAAUACCCUUCUACCUAACAAAACUUAGUACUUCUAACUGCCUUAGCAGAGAAUCUAUAAAAUUAAAAAAAAAAAUUCAUCCAUGAAAAGCUUCGUAACAGAAAAACCGUCUUUCAAAAAAUAAAAAAUAAAAAAUAAAAACAGAAAAACCGACUCAUUUAUCUGCCAAUGAACCAGUCAGGACUCAUUUAAAAAAGAUUACAAAGCAAAAGUAAAUGACACAAAUUGCAUAGAUAUCUCGGAGCCGCAUCAAAGGACAAUGGUGUUAAUUUGUCCGAGUAAUAAAUUCUCCUUGGUCAAAAGCAAUUAACGAUGAAAACUUUCUUCAUUAAGGUUCUGGCCUACGUAAAAAAAAAAAAAAAAAACCACCCCAAGGUCAAAGCACAACGAUAAGUUUAGAAUUGCAGUUUUUAAUUUUUUUUAAUAAAUCAACGUGUAUAAAAAAUAGAUAAUAAUUUUAAAUAAAUUUUAUUUGAUAAAUAUAGGCAUAAAAUUUUAAAAUCACCAAACAGAAAAACAGGGGAAUUAAAACAGAGUCCCUGUUUAUCCUCUAUUUUGCUUGUUAUUAAACAGGGAAAUGAAAAGAUCACAAGCGGAAAUUUUGUUUCUGCGUUGUCUCUUCUCAAUGCUACAUGCAUUCAAAUUAAACCUUACAUAUGCUAGCAAACUAGCUACCUGCGUUUAAGUGUUAGAGUGCAAUUUAUGCACUAAUUUUGCAUUGUUUACUUCUUUUAAUAUCGAUAUUUUGCACUUAAUAAUAGUGAUUUACUUGUAUUUUAUUUUUGUAAGUGCAAUUCUAUUUAUUGGUGCUAAAAUUGGGCUACAAGAUGAUGUUUGAAGAUGAUUGUUUUCUUGGAAAAAUUAUGAGUUUCAGAAGAACUUUGUUGAUAAGGCGUGGGCGCUGGCUGUCAACUACGGACCUGUAGUUUUUAGUUUAACGUGUUUUGUCUUUUUGGUUAUUUUUGUAAUCACGAAUUUAAUAUUUAGAUAAUAUUUUAGAUAUUAGUAUUUUAUUUUAAAAAGAACUCUAGAAGAGAAUUUAAGAGGGGAAUCUAUGGUCAAAGGAAAAAAAAGAAAGGAAACCCUAGAUCUAAAUUUUUCUCUUCUCUCUAUGAAGAACUAAACCUAUUAUUCUGGUUAAAGGUUAAUGGAGCUUUGAUUCAUCAUUACUGUGAGAUCUUUCUUAUGCUUUAAUUGUUUUAUUGAUUUUUGGGUAUUUGUUUAUUCUCUAAAUUAUUGUCAUGAUUAUGUUUGUUAAUUAGAUAAUUAGCCAUUAUUUAAUUAUCAACUUAAUCUAUUGUCAAUUAAAGGAUUCAUCGUAUGAAGAUUUUAAUGUUUGUGACAAAUAGCAUAGCAGUUCGUUAUGUUAUGAGAAUAAACAAUCUAAUUUAAAUGAACCAUCGUAUGCGUUUGUUGAUUAGGAUUUGGGUCUCUCUGGUUUUUCAGGUUGUCAAUUGAUUAAAUCCUAUGAUCGUAUCUAGGGUUGUCUAUUGAUUAGGGAAAUAACCAAUGGUCGUACCUUGGUUAUCGACUAGUUAAGGAGAGAUUGGCUAUUAGAGGGUCUCAGUAGCUAUAACCGGUCUAUUCAUAAGUAGUAAUGAUUUAUAUUUGAAUCAAUGAUCAAUAGUCGAAUCAAGCUGAGUUAAUUCCUUCAACCAGAGCUUUCCCCAAUUUUAAUUUGCAUUCUUGUUAUUUUAAUUUGAUUUUUAUUAUUGUCAACAAUUCCCCCAUUUUGCAUUUUGCAUUUUAAAAGGAUUUAAAUAAUUACUAAUCUCUGUGGACACAACCCUACUCAAUCACUAUACACAAUUUAUUUAGAGUAUGUAUUUAUUUUUGCUGGCUUCGACAACCAUCAAUAAGUUCUCGAUAAGUCCAAAUAAUAGAAUAAUUGUAAAAUGUUCAAAUUCAGUAAUUAAUUAUACAUAUUUAUUUAUUCAAAAUUAUUAUUAUUAUUAAUUAUUGUCAAUAAUAUAUUAAUAUACUAAUUAAUUGUAAACUUUUUUAUCAUUCAUAACAAUGAUGAUGAUGAUGAUGAUGAUGAUGAUGAUAAAAAAUUCAAAACAUAUUAAUUAAUUAUAAUAAUAUAUUAAAUAUUUAAUUAUUUAAUAAUAAUAAUAAUAAAUGCACAAUGUAUAAAUUGAUUAGAAUAAUUAUAUUAAUUAAUCAUAAUAAUUUUUUAAUUGAGGACAAAAUAGAUAUUUUAUAGUUUGUGAGAGGGGGCAAAAUGGUCAAUCUUGGGAAUGGGGGAUUGAUUCCCACCACCUUCCUUAGGAAUCAAUCUUCCAUUCCUCAUUCCUAAUUUGGGUGGUCCCCAUAGUUCUGAUUCGGAUCCCAGCCUCCAUUUUAUGAAGUAAACAUCAUUAAGAUUUCGAUUCCGGAUUCCGAUUCCCCAAUCCAAGAAGUACAGGCACCAUUAUUGUUGAUUGGUUCAAAUGCACAAAGAGAAUGUACCAUGUAGCUAGGCGUCAAGGUUGUGCUGCACAAGUAACCUUUUUCUUUUCUUUUCUUUUUAUUUUUCUUAUUUUCCUUAAUGUAUCGGAAGAAACUGGUGCCUUUGAGAUACUACCAUGUAAAUAAGUACUUAUGGUUCAUUGAAUCUGUAACACUCGGUACCCUACAAUUGCUUUUGAAAAAGGGCUUUACUCACUUAUCGCUAAUAUUCAAGUAAGUUUGUUUCAUUUCAGAAGGUGCAAAGUUUCAAACUUGUUGUAUUGAGAUGUAACAAACUUUGGCCUUAUAUGCUUGUUGUGACGUUUGACUGUUCAUUUUGACUGUUUCCUACCUUCCACUUACGCCUGUAGCACUGUAUUAUUCACCAUUUUAGUUGUUUAAAUGAAAUUUUAUUUUGUCAAAAAUGAAAUGACACCAUUAAAAUUUAAAAAAAUAGUCAUGGAGAUCCCAAAUUUUUACUAAAGAACACCAAUAUUCCCCUUGACUAUAAUACCCUUAGCAGGUGGUAAUAAAAAAUUGACUUAAAAUUUUUUGCGAAAUGUAAAUAUGAUUUAAAUAAUUUAAAUUUUCCAAUAGACUAAUAUAUAUAAUUUAAAUAAUUAAUUUCAAUAUUAAUUUUUUAAAUGUAAAUUAAUAUAUUUGUAUUUAUAAAAUAUUUGCAAUUAUUAUAAAAAUUUUAAAUAAAUCCUUAGGUUAAUAGAUUUUACAAUAAAUAUAAUAUUUCUCAUGUAUUAAUAAUAUUAAAAUUAUUUUAUAUGAUAUUGAAAAUAACUUAAUUUAUAUAUUUAUUUGAAUAUUAUGUCUCUAUUUAUUAUAAUUUGGUUUAAUAGAAUACGAGAUUGUAAAAUAUUAAAAUAUUUUAGAUAUUGAAAUUUUAAUAUGUAUAUAUUAUUAUAUUUAUUUUAAUAUAUUUAUAUUUAUUAUAAAUUAUUAGAGUCAAUUUUUAGUUAAUAAAUUUAAAAAUAUUAUAAUUAAAAAAAAGAAUUCUUAUUGUCUGUUAUUCACAAUAUGAGGUUCUACAAAAUUAUUUCUCCAGACGGGUGUCCUUUUCUUAUUUGUAAAAGGAAAAAUAAGUUCAGGGAUCUUAAAAAAUUCUAGUCCUAUCGACCACUAUGACUAAUGGGAAACGACAUUGCAAUUGACAUUACUUUUCGCAAUAUGACAAAUUUUUGGAGGGAUACGGGAGAAUCGUCAAACGUUCACACCACACGAGAGCUUUAGGUGGGAUCGGGGAGGAUUGUCAAGAGUUCACACCACGAGAAAUUAAUGAUAGGCCUAAUUUCGCUGUCAGUUCUUUAUUUAUUUAUUUUAUUUAUUUCAUACAUUAUUAUCUUGUUGGUAUUGUUUUGUAAAGGUAUAAAAGUAAAGUAAAAUACUAGGGGUACCAUUAAGUUACAGCUGAUGUAACUUACAGUGUUUUAAAAAAUAAUAUAAAAAAUUUAAUAGCUGGUGGGAUCCACAUAUUUUUGAAGAGACUUAAGUUACAACAGUUGUAACUUAACAAAAUCCAAAUAUUUGACAAUAAUGCAUAUAAUUUGGAUUUGAUUUUUAAAAGAUUAUUUGAGCACCACCUAUCCUUAUGAUAUUAAUGUGAAUAUAUCUUAAUAUUAAAUAAUCAAAAUUUGUUUAAUUAUUAUUUGUAUUUCAUACAUUACCUAUUAGAUUUGUUUGAAUUUUACGUUCUUGCUAAUAAAUAUUUAUGUUGUCAAAGUCAAAUUCUAAUGAUUAAAAGAGCAACUAUCCCUUAAAUUUUAAUGGUGAAUUGUAUAUAGUUUUUAAGAAAGUAAGGAUAAGUUGGAUAAUUGACUUAAAUUCUAAUGAUUAAAAGAGCAACUAUCCUUUAAAUUAAAAUGUCAAUUUCUUUAAUUAUAAUUUUUUUUUCAUGUGAUAUAACCACAAUUGCUAUAGUUUUUUUAAAUAAUAAUGGGAGUUAUAAAUUAUUUAUAUAAAAUUUGUGUAGAAUCUAAUGUAACCUAAAAGUAGUUGCUGAAUAAUAAUAUUUGAAACUCUAGGUAAUUUUCAUAUGAGCCCUUUUUAUAUUCAGCAUCUUGAAUCGGGGGAAAUCCGACUUGAAUUGGCGGCUGAUUUUGGUGAUGUAGCUUUCGGUUUAUGGUUGCCUUACAGUGGCGGACGACUGAUUUACGGUCGCCGACUGCUAGGGAUUAUGGUGGUGGUGUAAAUUGACGGAAAAAGUAGAAGGUUUGGUGGCGGCGCGUGUAGGAACCACUCGUGGGUUGUCGUUUCGUGUGGUGACUGCGGGUGGCGAUCAAGGGCUGACGUUGGUCGGUUUUUGGUCAACGGAGGGCGGCCAGUUUGUUGGUGGAGGUGGCUGGCGGUGAAAGUGGCUGAAUGGUGGUGGAUAUCUUGGUGGAGCUACGGGUUUGGGUUGGUGAUUUGCGGCUGUUCAGGCGGCGGUUGAGGCAGCGAUAGCUGCGGCUUGGUCGGCGGUGGCUAGCGAGGUUUGUUGUGGUGUUGGCUGGCUGAUCGGUGGUGGUGGGCGGCGGCGGUGGAGGUUGAUGCGGCGGGUAGGGUUUUCAAAUCGGUUUUUGAUAUUUUUUUUUUUUUUUAUGAAUUUGGUGUGGAUGGGUAUAGGGUAAGAAACACUAGAUAUCAUUCUAGUACUGGACCAAGCCAACGCAAUUAAUUUACCAUCUAGUCGAAGGGUGAUUAGAUAUCGUUCUAACCCAAACGAUAAAAUGAGAUUUUUAACAACGCGUAAUACAAGAUUAGAUGAUGCUCUAAUCCAAACGACUCUACAACGACUCUAUAAGAGAGAUUUUGAUAGAUAAAUCUAGGGAAAAUUAUAAAAGAUGGGUUUUAUUUAAUAAUUAAACCUAAAGUUUUGAAAACAAUGACAAGAUAUUUUUAUUUAUAAUACAGGAAAUCUGCUUCCCUAAGAUAACCUAAAAAAGAAAAGUAAAUCAUAAUUAUAAUAGAAAUGAAAGAUUAAGAUACACACCAUAAUUGACUCAAACUAAAAUAGAAAAUCUUAAAGUAAUAAAUAUUCUAAAAUUGUAAAUUAUCUAAAAUAACAAUAAUUAACUUCCUAAAUCAUUUCUUUGGUGUAAAUCAUUUUACAUCCAACCUCGCUUUAAAGGUUUGAACCAGCGUUACCAACAACAAUGUAUCAAGUUCCAAUCUAGCUUAAGAUCAUGCUGAUACAUCUACUGAUAUCUUUAUUUGAUUAGACAAUAAUGAGUCUAUCUCAUCACUUGUUACCUCUUUCUUGAAGGCUGCAUCUGUUGAGCGAUAACCUCGUUGAAAGUUUAAAGAUCUUCCUCCAUGUUAAAUUAAAUGGGCAUUUGAUUAAGAACUUUAUCUCUAUCUCCUUCUAUCAAAUAACAACCAUCCAAAGGGAAAAAAAAAUUAAAAAAAUCCAUGGGUCACAAUAAUUUCUGGUCAGCCCACAAACCCCCCAUUAUCUGCCACUAUCAAUCAUGAAAAUGAAAAUAAAUGGCAUAUUCCCAAAAUGACGAAAGAUUUUGGGGGAUAUGGGGGAAUUGUCAAAAGUUCACACAACGCGAAACAAGUGUUACAUCCAAUUUUAUUUCGUCAUAUAAUGAUAAUAUCAAAUAAUGACAACCAUCCAAAAGUAUGAUGGGUCUUCCAAAAUUUUAAAAAUGUCGUCAACAUUUAAUUUUCAAUGCUAAAGAAAAUGAAAUGCCCAAAAAUGACACGCAAGACCCACUCACAAACUAAAUGGCCCUUGACCAUAUGUAACAAACUUUGACCUUAUGUCCCUGCUAUGGCGUUAGACUGUUGGUCAUUUUGAUUGCUUUUUACCUUCCAUUUACACCCACUGAAGCAUUGUACGAUUAACCAUUUUAGCUGUUUAAAUGAAAUUUUUAUUUUUUUCAAAAGUAAAAUGACACGCUUAAAAUUUUAGAAAAUAGCCAUGUAGACCCUAAAAUUUUAAUAAAGAACACCAAUACCCUUUUUGACUAUAGUACUUUUAGUCGAUGGUAACAAAAAAAAAAAAUGACUUCAAAAUUUUUUACUAAAUGUAAAUAUGAUUUAAAUAGUUUAAAUUUUCUAGUAGACUAGUAGGUAUAAUUUAAAUAAUUAAUUUAAAUAUUAAUUUUUAAAAUGUAAUUUAAUAUAUUUAUUUUAAUAAUAUAUUUUUAUUUAUUAUAAAAUUUUAAAUAAAUCCUUAGGUUAAAUAGAUUAUAUAAUUAAUAUAAUAUUUCUCAUGUUUUAAUAAUAUUAAAAUUAUUUUACAUGCUAUUGAAAAUAAUUUAAAGUUUUAUAUAUUUAUUUGAAUAUUAUGUCUCUAUUUAUUAUAACUUGGUUUAAUAGAAUAUGAGAUUGUAAAAUAUUAAAAUAUUUUUAGGUACUGAAAUUAUUUUAAUAGGUAUAUAUUAUUAUAUUUACUUUAAUAUCCUACUUAUAUUUAUUAUAAAAUAUUAAAAUUAAUUUUUUUAGUUAAUGAAUUUAAAAAAUAAUAUAAUUAAAAAAAGAGUCUUAUUGUCCGUUAUUCACGAUAUGAGGUUUUACAAAAUUAUUUUCAAAAGGAAAAAUAAGUUCAGGGGUUUCAAAAAAUUCUAGUCCAAUCGACCACUAUGACUAAUGGGAAACGACAUUGCAAUUGACAUUGUUUUUCGCAAUAUGACAAAAUUUUGGAGGGAUAUGGGAGAAUCGUCAAAAGUUAACACCACACAAGAGUUUUAUUUAUUUAUUUAAUUUAUUUCACACAUAUAUUGUCUUGUUGGUAUUGUUUUGUAAAGAUAUAAAAGCACAAGUAAAAUAUUAGGGGAAGUAAAGUAAAAUAUUGGGGGUGCUGCUAAGUUACAACUGCUAUAACUUACAGUUCCUUCAAAAAUAAUGUAAAACAUUUAACACGUGGUGGGACCCACAUUAUGUUUGAAUAGUCCGUAAGUUAUAGCAGUUAUAAAUUAGUAAAAUCCAAAUAUUAGACAAUAAUACACAUUAACAAUGCAUAUAAUUUGGGUUUAAUUUUUUUUAAAUUAUUUGAGUAUUACCUAUCCUUAAGAUAUUAAUGAGAAUAUAUUUUAAUAUUGUGAAGCUUUCCUCAAUUAUUCUCAUGCACCCAGACCUUAUCUGGUCAAGUUUUCUGAUUCAAUACUGACGACAGCUUCUUUGUAAAGCUCUUCAACCACAAGCAUUUCUACAAGGCAAAGGACAAGGACGUGUUGGAAUGAAUAUCAACAUGGGAAUGUCUUAUGAAUUUAGUUUAUAUUCUAAUAUAAGACAAUCAAUAAAUAUUGGAUGCAAUCUAAGGGCUAACAUUUGAUUGAUUAAUAUAAGAAAAAAAAAGGGUACAAAAAUGCAAAACAGAGCUGAUUGAUGGCCUUUAACAGUCAGUUCUAUGACAAAGUAACCACCAUAACCAAUGGAAUUAUAAGACAUCAAGAAACUUGAACUUGGCAGGAGGUCUCAUUAGCAGUAUACCUCAGAAAUUAAGACAGAGACUUUAAAAUGCAAGCUUAUGGAGCAAUUUAAGCACUGAAACUAAUAACAGUGAUGCCAAAAAAGGUGCAGGAGUACGGUAUUAGCAAUUGACCUCUGCUUUUGCUUGGACAAAGGUUCUCAUCACAAGGGACUCAUUAGUUGCCCUUGCCUCACACGAUUGGAUGCUAAGGGGGAAAAGGAAGUUUGAAUUAGUCAAUCUCAUUUCUAAUGGCAUUCACAGAGAACCUAUAAAACAAAAAAGUAAAUAAAAAUUUUCAUCCAUGAAAAGCUUAGUAACGGAAAAACCGACUCUUUUAUCUGCCACUGACCUAAUCCGGACUCAUUUAAUUAAAAAAGAAUUCAAAGCAAAACUAAAAGACACAAAUUGCAUACAAGUCUAGGAGCCAUAUCAAAGGCGUUAUAUAACUUGUCCAAUUAAUAAAUUCUCUUAGGGACCAUGCCGUGCUCACUCAUUUCCAAAGCAAUUAAUGAUAAGAACUUUCAUCAUUAAUUGAUAUGGCCAGUGUAGAAAAAAAUGAAAAACCCCUCCAAGAUUAAAGCACAAGGAUAAGUUUAGAAUUACACUUCUUAAAUUUUGGUUAAUAAAUAAACGUCUAUAUGAAAAUAGAAAAUCUUUUUGGAAUAAAUAAACGUCAAAUUUUUGUUUCUAUCUUACUACCUUCUAAAUCCGCAAUCCCAAGUACUUAGAAGUAAAUGCUACAUAGUACAUGAGAUGUUUCCCGUUCAAAUAGCUCGUCCGAUACCAUUAACAUGUUCAUCUCUCUGUAAUUGGUGUAAUUACGAGAUUGGUGGUUGACAUGGCUUUCCUUGUACAGGUAUGUAUGAUUGUUUUUUUUUUUUUUGGCACUUCUAAAUGGAUACUGUUGAAAAGCUUAAAAUUGAACUGAUAAUUUUGUUUGGAAGCUCAGAAAAUUCAUGAGAAAGUGAAAUAGAAUAUGCUGGAUUUCUUUUCUUUCCAUAACAUACAAAUGACAAACGUAGCAGUAUUUAUACUCGUUGCUUACAUCAUAAAAACAGAAUUAAAGCAAGGUACACAACUAUAACAGCAUCAAAAGCGUGCUUAACUAAUUGGCUGAGCUGGCAUAUACUUCUUUAACUAACAAUGCUGCUGACUGGACUUUAGCUCACACAUGCUUAUCGUGCAGCUACUCUUAGUUCACACGUGCUCAGUGUGCUUCCUUAACAGACACAAGGGAAAAGACAUGAUUUUGAGAUAUAACGCUUGAAUGUUCUCGGAAUGGCAUAACGCUUCGUGUGUCUCGGAGCGGCUGAUUGGUGCUGUACGUGUUUCUCAUAUAGAACUCAAGUCUGCUGUUGUCCCAAAGUUGGAACCAGAGAUAUCAUGACUCUGGUUUCAUUUCACCUCAACUGUGUUUUUUUUUUUAAUUAAAAAAAUAAUUUUUUUAGGUAUACAUACAUGUAUUUUGAUCCCAUUUUCAUGGGAAUUUUGCAUUAAAAAAUGAAGAAUAGCUAAUAGGGAAUUUCCUGAUUCUUUAGUUACUAUUUUUGGAAUGAGGGUAAUUAGUAGUAAAGUUGGUUUCUACUCGCAAACAAGUGAGCUGCUCGAUUCCCAAGUGGUAUCAACCAGUUUUCAACUUUUUAAUAUACACAAAUUGUUAUUGUUUAAUAGCUACUACUAUUAAAACUCAACAUCUUACAAAAAUACUUAAAAAAAAUGAUUUUUUCUUAUGAUGCUGUAAAAAAAAUUACGGGUUUACUUAUUUCCACGAGAUCUUGUAUAGUGUUCUUGUAUAGUGGAAUUAAGAUUGUCUUCCCGAUGGUGCAAUUCACCCUCUUCCUUUACAGUCACUUGCACUUUGUGCAGCUUUGGUGUGGAUACGAUUCCCAGGGAAAAAGUCUUCAUGUUCGGACAAUGUGUCACAAAUACUCGUUCCAAUGAUGGGAAUUCAAGAGUGUAAUUCUCCAAACAAAAGCUGGUAAGCCUUGGUAAAUCAUCAAGUUCCAAAAGUUUUAAUUCACUGAAAGCAAUACGAUUCUCCUUCACUUCUUCUCCAGCAUGUCCUACGAUUUCUUCUAAUUUUUUGCAGUUCCAUACAUAAAGAUUCACCAGACUAGUAGGAAUUCCAACCUGAAAAUAAGCAGAGAGAGUGUGUGUGUAUAAAUAUUAAAAAAGUAAAAAUGUAAGAGUAUCAUUCAACUAGGCUCAAAGUAUGUUUGAUCAUACAAUUAUACGUUUUAUGAACAUAACAAACUGUGAAAUGUCUACUAGAUAUUUUUUGUUAAACAAAAAAGGUAACAAGAUAAAUAAAUAAAUAAAUAAAAGCCAGAUAAACAAAGAUGAUAAAAAUGUAUUUACACAAUUAGUAUUAGGGACGUAGAAAGAAUUUAAGGCAAUUUCUAAAUAUUUUAGACUUAUUUUGCAUCUUGAUAUAAGUUUUUAAGCAUAAAUUUGCACAUUUCAACUAUUCCUUUAAAAAAAAACUCAACUAAAAUGCCUCUUUUUCCCUUUUCCUUGGUCCCCUUUUUUUUAUGUAUAUAUAAAAAUGGAAAAAAAAAUUUGGAAAAGACUUCCUAGUACUGUCAACAAGGGAUUGCUGUAAAGUGGAUCUUUAUUAAGUACUUCCAGACUCGAGGAAAUUUCUUUACAAUCAAGGGUCAGUUGUAAACAAUCAUGAAUUUAUGGUUAAGUAAUGGCAUAAUCAAUUCUUAACUAAACUGGAGAUAUUAAUUAAAUUUGAAGACUUUUUUUUUUUCCCAAUCGAAAUGUGAAGAACUAAGGAAAAGAGAAAUAUAUAGAUGAAUUUGUGAACUUAUAAGAUGAGUGACUAUCCUUUAAUUUUUGAAAAUCGUACUUAUUAAGAUAUGAGCAAAAACAAUUAAAUUGAAUUAUAUUAUGCUGUUGAAUCUGUUUAAAAAAAUUAUAUUGUUGAUUCUAAUGCUGGUGAACCUAAAAACUAGACUUAAAACGUAGAUUUCAGAGUGGUGGUUUGAAGUACAAUAUUUGAAAUAAAUAAUUAGUGGCUGAAUAUCAUUUGUAAACACAGAAAUGAUUAAAAAAUUGUUGAAUGUUAUUUGAAAAAAAAAAUCGAAAUGAAUACAGAAACCUUACCAAUGGAGGAAAAAUAUUCAUUAGCUUAUCACACUCUUCUAUCUCCAAAUUCUUCAAUUUCCUGAAAGACUCCGAAGCAAGCUGGUGGUGCCAUAUUGUUCUUAGGUUAUCCAUCCACACAAUAUAUAAUACCUCCAACCUAGGAAGUCGUACCUGGCAAUUAAAGAUUAAAUAACUAAUUAAUCAAUUAAUGGCAUAAUCAAUUGAUAACUAAAUUAGAGGCGGAUAUUAACUAAAUUUGAAGACUCAAGGAAAAGACAAAUCAAGUAUUGUGACUAAAAUUAUUUUUUUAAUUAAAAAAAAAAAACUUUUCAUCAAAGAGAGGAGGAGGUUGCAUUUCAGAAUGAAUAGUGUCUUCUGGUGAGCUCGUAGAGAUGAAUCUUAACAUAUUACUGCAACAACCAAUCAUGAGGUUUAGCAAAGAAGGGAAUUCAACAACUAAAUCUGAAUGAAUAUGUCCCAUAUUGGCAAAACCUUUAAUUCAAUCAACUUUCCUUCAUCUCUUUCUGACCAUCCCGUGGUGUCGACUACCCCUUCCAUUGACUCACAAUAGCUUAUCUCAAGAUGUUGGAGUUGCAAAAGGCUAUUAACCAUAGAAUAUGAAAACAGAUACUUUAGACGAUAACACCUUUCCACAGUCACUUUUGUUAAAUUUUGACGAAAGUACAUUCCUUGAUUAUGAUCGGCCCAUAAUUUUUUCAUGUUUCUUAAGUCCCUGAGAUUCAAUUCCUCUAAGCUCGGAAGAAUAACCUGCAAAGAAAACCCGUACAUUUUUGUUCCUUCAAGUACAACCGUCUAGUAUAAUAUUCUUUUGAUGAUCAAAGAUUAAUUGUGAUAAUAAAUUAAUCAAUUAAUUAUUGAACAGAAAAUUAUCACCUUUGGAGCAGGAUCAUCAUCAGCAAUGAUUUCGUUGAAUCCCAAAGAAGUUGUUGGUUUGCUAAUUGUUGCACCAAAGAAGUAAGAUUUGAAACUUGUUUUUCUAGAGAAGUAGUACUUACCUCAUUGACUCGCUUAGGUGGCGGCAGUAGAUCGUUCCUAGUGUUGAACUGUUGGGAAUUAGCAGCCAUGUUAGCAAUGAGAUUUCGGGCUGCUUCUGGUGUCUUAUCCACGAGUGCUCCUCCACUAGCGGCAUCAAUCAUACUCCUAUCCAUAGGUAGUAGAACCUCAUAAAAGUAUUGAAUAAGAAGUUGAUCACUUAUCUGAUGGUGAGGGCAACUAGCACAUAGCUUUUUGAAUCGUUCCCAAUAGUCGUAGAGCGACUCUCCAUUAUACUGUCGGAUUCCACAAAUUUCUUUUCGAAUGCUGCCAGCUUUUGAUGCUGGGAAAUAUUUCUCCAAAAAUAGCUGACGCAUCUCAUUCCAUGUAGUGACAGUACCGGAGGGAAGAUAGUACAACCAUUCCUUGGCUGAAUCCGCCAAAGAGAAUGGGAAGGCCAUUAGCUUAACUUGCUCUUCAGAAACUCCGGCUGGUUUCAUUGUGGAGCAGACCACAUGGAACUCCUUCAAGUGGUUAUUUGGAUCCUCUCCUGCAAGACCAUGAAAAGUAGGAAGAAGAUGAAUCAUCCCAGAUUUGAGUUCAAAGUUUACUUGAGGGUUUGGAUUCUCAAUGCAUAAGGGUUGUUGGUCCAAGUUAGGAGCUGCCAACUCUUUAAGUGUUCGGUUGUUAUUCUGAGCCAUUGGUUGGGGUUCUGGGCUGCUUGGNNNNNNNNNNNNNNNNNNNNNNNNNNNNNNNNNNNNNNNNNNNNNNNNNNNNNNNNNNNNNNNNNNNNNNNNNNNNNNNNNNNNNNNNNNNNNNNNNNNNNNNNNNNNNNNNNNNNNNNNNNNNNNNNNNNNNNNNNNNNNNNNNNNNNNNNNNNNNNNNNNNNNNNNNNNNNNNNNNNNNNNNNNNNNNNNNNNNNNNNNNNNNNNNNNNNNNNNNNNNNNNNNNNNNNNNNNNNNNNNNNNNNNNNNNNNNNNNNNNNNNNNNNNNNNNNNNNNNNNNNNNNNNNNNNNNNNNNNNNNNNNNNNNNNNNNNNNNNNNNNNNNNNNNNNNNNNNNNNNNNNNNNNNNNNNNNNNNNNNNNNNNNNNNNNNNNNNNNNNNNNNNNNNNNNNNNNNNNNNNNNNNNNNNNNNNNNNNNNNNGCUAGUCCCCGGCAACGGCGCCAAAAAUUUGGUAGUGUCGUUAAGGUGCACCAAAUUUAAAACCUUACCACUAAUAUAAAUAAUUAGUACAGAGCGAGUAAGGAUCGAUCCCAUAGAGACUAUGCUAGUUAUAUUUAUUAUUAACUCCAAAGCAAGAUUUAAAAUAAAAUAAUAGUAAUAGUAAUAAUAAUAUAAAUUAAUCUAACUAAAGAAAAUGCCAAUUAAAAAUAAAAGGGGGGUUUAUGAAUUUUUAACUAAAUAGUAAGAAAUAAAGAAAUUAAAAUUACGAACAAGAAUUUAAUAAAAACUCUAAUUAAAGGAGAAAGAAAUAAUAAUGAUGAAAACUUUGGUUAAAGGAUCAUUCGCCACCACCAAACAUGCACAUAAUAAAUCAAUUCUAUUAUCAAUUUAUAUUGAAACUAUCAACCAUAGACAACAAUAAGCUCUGUUAGUCUCAAUCUUUCCUUAGUGUGUCGUUAGGUAAAAUAAGCUCUUCACCUAAUCUAUAACCAUUAAAUAAUUUAAAACAAGCUCUUUAAAUUUAAGAUAAUGGAAGCAUUAAACAAAGAAAGAAAUUAGGUUGAUCUAGGCAAUAAACACACAAGCUCAGAUUAUUUAACCUAGGUUAUGUUCUCCAAUUGAAAUCAUUAAUUCCAACCUGCUACUAAUGAUUAAAAUAUCAAGACAAUUACGGAUCAAGAAUUUUAAUCUAGCAAUAAAAUUUAUUCAAGUCCUAUCUAAUUGGCCACUCAAACAAAACAAGAAUAAACCAUGAACAUUAAUUAUAGAAGAACAUAAACAAUCUCAAUUAAAUAAAUUGAAUGAUAGAAUUUAAAUUUAAUUGCAUAGCAUGUUUAGGGUUUUGAAUUCACCCUCAACCAAAUAAAAAUCUAGCCUAACAUAAUUGAAUUGGGAAUAAGAGAAUUGACAAAACCAAUCAUAGAGAUUAAUUCAAGCGGCUGCCUUUUUCUUCAAUUGAAUUCCGGCUGCUGAUUUUUUCUUCUUCUUGCGGCUAUUGAUUUUCCUCUUGCUGCCGAAUUGGAUUUGCCCUCCCAAAGUCUCUUGCUGCCCGAAUUCUUUUCCCUCUAUUGCUUCCGCUUGAUCCUAUUUAUAAUGCUUCAAUUGUGGCUUUUUUUAAAUCCUUGCCUGGAAAGAAUUAAAUUCAAAGCUCAAAACCGCCACCUCAUGCUUCAAUUAAUAAGCCAAUAAUGAUUUCCUAAAGCCAAAAGGCUUUAUUCUCUUUCCUUUCACGUGGCAACUUUUGGUUUGCAUCUUUGUUUUCCAAUUUUGCUUUCAUGUGAUGGCUUGGCUUGUUAAUUGGCUUGGCUUCCUUUUUGACUUCCAUUUUCUAAUUUUAGCUCCAUGUGCAACAUUAAUUUUGCUCGGCCCAUACAAGCUUUAAUUAAAUUUAUUUUCUAAUUCCUUCCAAUUCUUGAUCUCUUGUGCACUUUUGUCUCUCAAUCUUCAAUCAAAUUUUUUUUCUUGAAUGCUCCGAUUUAAUUUCUCUUUAAUUCCAGAAUAUACCUAAAAUAACAAAAUAAAUAAAACUAAGAUAAAAAUUAACAAAAUAAAAUAUAAUUUACUAAAUUAAAAAUUAACUAAAAUAACUAGAAUAUUUAAGACCAAAACAAGAAAAAGAUAGAGAAAUUAAUAGCAAAAUAUAUGAAAAAUAUGCACUUAUCACAAGCCUCUCAUUUUUCAAAGCUUUUGCAAGGGUAAUAAGUGCAACAGGCAAUCCUCCGCAUUUUUCAACGAUCUCAUCUGCUAAAGGUUGAAAAGCAGAUGCUUUUGCAGAAUUACACACUAUCUUUCCAAACAAUUGCAAUGCUUCUUCCUUUGAUAAAACUUCAAUUGAGAAAUCCUUCUGAGAUUUCAUAUCAUUGCGCAAUAAAUCUCGACUUCUAGACGUCAAUAUUAUUGUGCGUCUUCUCCGAUCGUCCUCUCUAUCUUUCUCAUCAACAUCCCCAUAAGGAAUUCCAACUGUAUCGAACUCAAGUUUUGUCCAAAUAUUAUCCAGUAUAAUGAGGAGCCGCUUCUCUUGCUUCAACCUUUGACACAGUCGAGAAGCUCUUUGAAAUUCAUUCUCAUUCAAGUCAAAUUCCAUGCCUAAAUCAAAAGCAAGUUUGUCUUGAAUUUUAUGAUGAUCUGGGGUCUGUGUUAUCUCAGCCAUAACGAACUUAUCGAACAACUUAUCUUCCAUCACUUGGUUUGCAACUUGUUUGACCAGCGUGGUUUUGCCCACGCCGCCCAUCCCAUAGACCCCAAUUAUGUUGACCUUGUCAUCCUUCACCGCCUCCAUAACAUCUUGAAAUACUUUCAUUCUUGAAUCAAACGCCUCGAAAUCUUUCACUUGCAUAUGUUCUGCCCGCUUUGGAGCAGGACUGUAGGAAACAUUGGAGAAGUUGCCUUUUCCCACGAGACUAGCGGCAGCUUCUGCCGCCUUUGCUGCUUGUUUACUAAGCUUGUAACGAGAAAUCAAGUUUGGGCAUAAUCCUUUGAAGCAGGACUUCUUAGCUCUAUCUUCAUCAUCAAUGAUGGAUUUUGCAACCCCUUCACUGAUGAAUUCAUCAACGCUAUGUAGCCAGUCUGUGACACCCUCAUAAAGCUCAUCCCCUUGUAGCCUAGCAUGAUUAACUGGUUGCUGCACCAUUUCUCUCUUAUAUCCCAGCUGCUUCACUUGAUCUUUUAGCUCAUCUAUGUAGCUCUGGUACUUGAACACAUAAGAUAUCUGCCGUGUAAUCGGGUUGAACAGUGACUUUGCACCUUCUGAUACACAGUUGGUUAAAAAAGCCAGACACGCUUCUAUAGCCAUUGCCGGUUGCUUAACAAUAUAUAUCUAGUUUUUGGCUGUUGAAAAAAAAAAUGGAUUCAAAUAAAUUAAAUGAACUAGCGGGGAAGAAAAAGAAAGAAACGACAACAAACAACUUUUUAGAAAAAGGUUUCAGGGGCCUGAAUGGAAAACCAACAAUUUUUUGAAGAAAGAAAACUUUUUUGGAAGAUGGAUGCAAAUUAACCAUUAAUAAUACUGCAUAAGAACACAGAAGUUAACAAUAAACAGUAACUUAAAACUCAAGAAAAUUAAAUGACAAGAUUAAGACAAACAAGAGAUAGUUUUUGUUGGACAUUAAGAAACAUCUGCUAUCAAGAUCAAAGAUUAGAAAUUAUGCUAUUGAAAGAAAUUAUUAAAGUAUUUAGAACAAACGCACCUCUUCAAUUAUCGAGGAUCACAGAGUUUAUGAGCUUCACUCUUGGCCUUCGAUUUAUAAGAAAAAUUUUAAUGAGCAAAAGAUCACUGUUAACUGCAGAAGAAUGUGAGUAAAGAGUUUAUGGGAGUAAGCAAUACAAUUGAAUUGUAAAAGAACAAGACUUAAAGCGUGCACCCCGUGUUCAUAUAAACAGAACACAUGUUCAUUUUUAACAAAGUGAUCAAUAACUCUAUUCGUUAUUUAAUUGAUAUUGUAACCAAUUCUAAGAGAAUAUAAUAAUAAUCAUUCAAUCCAUAAAUUUAGAAUUAGAUUUUUUUAACUCUUUAUUUAAAUAUAAACCUUAAUGGAAAAUUAUAAAAGUUUAGAGAUAAAAUUUUUCAAUCACCAAACGAAAAAAACAGGGGAAUGAAAACAGAGGAAUCUUGUUUUAACUAUUUUUUUCCUCAACUCUCGUUCUUAUAUUAAUAAUCUUGUUUUGAUGAUAGUGCUCGUGACUGCGGGAAAAUUUCUACUGGAAACAACUCAAUUUCGGAAGAAAACUUAAUUUUGCAAGUGAUGAAUUUGAACUCGUUGGAUUGGUUGAUUUAUGAUUGACUGAAUUUCACUUUUGCCCAAAAGAUCUUUAACCAAAGUUUAAUAGCCAUCAUGUACUCCUUAAAAGCAAUUUUUUUUUUUAGAUUUGACUGAAUUUGAACUUGUUGGAUUGGUUGUUUUUAGAUUAUUAAUAUGAGAUAUUACAACGUAAAUAUUUUCAUGUGGUUGAGCCCUAUUCUAAAAUCUGUAUAGUUAGCUUUAGAAAAAGGGCUUUUCCUGCUGAUCUGUAAUCUUCAAAUAAACUUAGAUACAAAUAAUGAAAUAAAAGACAACAAACAAGCAAUACUGAUACAAAGCCAACAGAUCAGAGUUUUUUCUUGCCUUCUUUUGUUGAAGGAUUAGAGUUUUUGGUAUUAUCAGUAAAGGUUUCAAGGAGUAAAGCCUAUAAACUUUUUUUUUGGGGGGGGCGCCGCCGCGGGGAGGGGGGGGGGGGGGAGAGCAUGCAAAUUAACCAAAAGAAAUAAUAAGAGCACAGGCUUUAACAAUGAAUACUGACUUAAAACUCAUGCAAAAUAAGUUACAAUAUUAAAACAAACCAGAGAAAAUUUUUUCUUGGAAAGUAGAUGGAACUUAUGAAAGAGCAGAUGUCAAGGAUUUAGAAAACGCGCACCUCUUUAAUUAUCUGGGAUUAGAGAGUUGGUGAGCUUCUCUAUUUAAGAACAAGUUGAAAGAGGAAAAAGAUCACUGGUAACUGCUGAGGAAUGUGUGAGAAAAGAGUUGAUGAGAGCAAUAACAAAGACCUGCAAAAGAAAAAGAAUUAGUCAUGCACCGCUUUUCUAUAUCAUGUAUUUGGUUAUUGUUGCCCUGUUGACGCAUGUUGAAGAAGAAAGCACUAGUUCACAACUCUACGUUUUCAUAUAUUCUAAAGAAAUAAUUAAGUUUUCAUAGAAUGAUACCUGUUGUGUUUGAGUAAUUUUGGUAUAUACAUUGCUUGUGUACUGUGAAAUUGAAAUGAAUAUUGAUGGAAUGACUGAAUUUCACUUUUGCCCAAAAGAUCUUUAACCAAAGUUUAAUAGCUAUCAUGUACUCCUUAAAAGCAAUUUUUUUUUUUAGAUUUGACUGAAUUUGAACUUGUUGGAUUGGUUGUUUUUAGAUUAUUAAUAUGAGAUAUUACAACGUAAAUAUUUUCAUGUGGUUGAGCCCUAUUCUAAAAUCUGUAUAGUUAGCUUUAGAAAAAGGGCUUUUCCUGCUGAUCUGUAAUCUUCAAAUAAACUUAGAUACAAAUAAUGAAAUAAAAGACAACAAACAAGCAAUACUGAUGCAAAGCCAACAGAUCAGAGUUUUUGGUACAAAGCCAAUAAAAGACAAUAAACUUAGGACCUUUUUUUCUUGCUUUCUUUUGUUGCAGGAUUAGAGUUUUUGGUAUUAUCAGUAAAGGUUUCAAGGGUCUGAGUAAAAGCCUAUAAUCUUUUUAUAAACUUUUUUUUUUGGGGGGGGGGGGGGGGGGGGAGCAUGCAAAUUAACCAAAAGAAAUAAUAAGAGCACAGGCUUUAACAAUGAAUAGUAACUUAAAACUCAUGCAAAAUAAGUUACAAUAUUAAAACAAACCAGAGAAAAUUUUUUCUUGGAAAGUAGAUGGAACUUAAGAAAGAGCAGAUGUCAAGAUCAAGGAUCAGGGAUUCUACUAUCAAAAAAAAAAAAAUUAUUCAAGGAUUUAGAAAUCGUGCACCUCUUUAAUUAUCUGGGAUUAGAGAGUUGGUGAGCUUCUCUAUUUGGCCUUCAAUAUUUAAGAACAAGUUGAAAGAGGAAAAAGAUCACAGGUAACUGCUGAGGAAUGUGUGAGAAAAGAGUUGAUGAGAGCAAUAACAAAGACCUGCAAAAGAAAAAGAAUUAGUCAUGCACCGCUUUUCUAUAUCAUGUAUUUGGUUAUUGUUGCCCUGUUGACGCAUGUUGAAGAAGAAAGCACUAGUUCACAACUCUACGUUUUCAUAUAUUCUAAAGAAAUAAUUAAGUUUUCAUAGAAUAAUUUUGGUAUAUACAUUGCUUGUGUACUGUGAAAUUGAAAUGAAUAUUGAUGGACAGAGCAAUGCAUAUGCCUAAAAAAACAUAAAGCAAAUCCUUGAACGAAUGAUUCAGGACUAAAACUUUUAUAAAAGCAAAUACCGGAAACACACAAAAAGCAUUUAAGAGAGAAACUAAACCGCAAAUAAUCGAAGUAAGAUCAAUAAUAUAUGAUUUGAUUUAUGCAUAUUCAAAAACCAAAAUAUAAAAUAAAAUACAAAAUUAAAGUUUGGUUUAUUCUUUCCACAAAAAACAGGGGAAUGAAAACAGAGGCAACUUGUUUUACCAAUUUUUUCUUCUUAAUUUCCGGCAAAAAAAAUCAAUAAACAGGGGAAUGAAAACAAAGGAACGAAAACAGAGGAAACUUGCUUUUCAGGCUAUCUUGUGACAUGAUGAUAUUGCUCGUGAAUGCAUGAAAAUUUCUAAUGCAAACAGCUCAAUUUGGGAUGAUAAGCUUAAGUUUGCAAGUGAUGCAUGAUAAUCAGAUAUUUGUGGCUUUUAAAACUCAAGAAAACUCAAGAAAAUUAAAUGACAAGAUUAAGACAAACAAGAGAUAGUUUUUGUUGGACAUUAAGAAACAACUACUAUCAAGAUCAAAGAUUAGAAAUUAUGCUAUUGAAAGAAAUUAUUAAAGUAUUUAGAACAAACGCACCUCUUCAAUUAUCGAGGAUCACAGAGUUUAUGAGCUUCACUCUUGGCCUUCGAUUUAUAAGAAAAAUUUUAAUGAGCAAAAGAUCGCUGUUAACUGCAGAAGAAUGUGAGUAAAGAGUUUAUGGGAGUAAGCAAUACAAUUGAAUUGUAAAAGAACAAGACUUAAAGCGUGCACCCCGUGUUCAUAUAAACAGAACACAUGUUCAUUUUUAACAAAGUGAUCAAUAACUCUAUUCGUUAUUUAAUUGAUAUUGUAACCAAGAUCAAGGAUCAGGGAUUCUUAUGCCUACUGAUAUUUAAACAGAGAAUUCUUUCUUCUUUUUCUCUUCAUGGAUUAGAGUUUUUGCUAGUAACAGAAAGGUUUCAAGGGUCUGAAUAAAAUCCCAGAUUUUUUUUUAACUUUGUUUUUUGUGGGAAAAUGGAUUCAAAUUAACCAAAGCCAAUAAUAAGAUCACAGACUUUAACAAUGAACAAUAACUUAAGCAAAACCAAUGACAAGAUUAAAACAAACCACAGAAAUUUUUUCUCGGAAAGUAGAUGAAAAGCAAGUAAGAACUGCUAUUAAAGGAUAUUAUUAAAGGAUUUAGAACAUGUAUACCUCUUUAUUUAUAUGGGAUCAGAGAAUCGAUGACCUCCUCUAUUCGCUUCAGAUAUUAAGUAAGAACUGCUAUUAAAAGAAUGAAUUGAUGAGAGUAAUAACAAUGAUUGCAAAAUAGGAAGACUCAAUCAUGCACCCCUUUUAUACCUGAUCAUAUUAAGAAGUCGUUAAAGAAUAACGACUAAAUUAGGAAUUAAUUCUGAAGUUCAGAAUCAAGAACAAAGACGAAGCUUUAAUAACGCAUGCAGUGAGAUACAAGAAAUGGAUCUGGUAAAAUACAUUAAAAAAAUUUGUUCAACUUCAACCUAGUUAAGCUGAUGAAAGCACUAGUUGUUGGCUCUACGUUUCAUAUGUUCUAAUGAAAUAAUUAAGUUGAAGUUUUCAACGAAUAAAUACCUGUUUCGCUUGAAUAGCUUUGGCAUAUACAUUACUUGUGUCCUGUGAAAUUGAAAAGGUUAUUGAUUUACAAAGCUUAUUAGUAGAGAAAAGCUACGUAAGAUGCCUGAUAAAAGAUAAAGCAAGAGCUUGAAUGAAGAAUGACAUUUUAGAAAGAAACUAAAGUGUAAUCAUCAAAGUAGGAUCAAUAAUGUACCACUUUCCUUGCAAAUCUGGUGGGUUUUCUGAAUAGAUUUUUACAUUAUUCUAUUUAACCAUUUUGGGUUUACCCUAAGCAUUCUUGGUUGGCAUUGUCCUGUAAUCUGCGUGCCCUGGAUACGUGUGAGGGAAAGAUGAGGGUAGAUAUGCAAUUUCAAGAAGCGAUUUGCUUGCAUAAUUCAAUGCAUGGAAAGAGAUGUACCUGACCAGAAAAAAAAGGGCACCAUCCAUAUCUGAGCUUGACUUUUUAGAUGGAUAAAUAUUCUUAUUACUGUUGAUAAUGGAGAAGGGUUCUACUUUUACUUUGCCAUCUUUGAUAUAAAACAGCAUGAUUCCUUUUUAUCAAACACUUGCCUAAGUCUAUUUUUUAUUUUUCUUAUUUUCAGAAAGAGAUUAGCUUAAUUUAAAUUAUAUUCAAGUACAAAGUGUUAUACACUCAUAAAACGAGAAAUAGGCAUGUAUUGAUCACGCGCAAUCUAGUUUUUUUUUUUUUUCUUUUUUUUUAAUCCAGUCUUCUUAUUAAAAAAAAAAGAAUUUAUUUGCUUUAUUUUAAAUUAUUUUUUCAUGCGGUAAAUGCAAUACUGAGUAAUGGGUGAGCAAAAUAUUUACAGGCACACCCCCUUUUAAUGAUUUCGUACUAAAAUUAAAAAUUGACGAUUCCAUGAUAAAGUUCAAAGAGUAAAUGAAGACCCAUAAAUGUUUUUUGGUCAUGAGCAAUUUUUGAGUUGGGACAGCACUCGUAUGAAAAAAAAUAGUUUUUUUUUUUCUUUAAGCAUGAGGAUAUUAAUUCUUUUUUUAUAAAUCAGCGUGAAUAUAAAAUUAAAAAAAUAGUUUUGAAUAACUUCUUUUCUUUUUUCAUAAAUAUAGAUAAAAAAUUUUAAAGUCACCAAACACAAAACCAGGAAAAUGGAAAGGAAGCCCCUGUUUCUCCGCUGCUGCAAGCACAAAUUCGGUUUCUACAGGAGUACCUUCUAAAUGCACCAUUUGUAUUGCUUUGUUUCCACGUAAGCUAACGGAAUUUGAUGAAGACAAAAUAGAUAUGAGUCGUGCUAUUCACACCCCUCGAUAAUUCUCUCAAAAUCCCCUUUCUAAUUAUACCGCCUUGAAUAAUUUCAAAACUGACUUUUCCUCUUAUAAUACCACCUUCAAUUCCCUUAAUACCCUUGUUCGCUAUGAAAAUAAGGAAAAUGCCUACAUAAAAAGCUGGCUCUGAUAAUCUACCUGAAUUUACAUUAGAAAAGAGUGGACUUUGAGAAAUAAGAAGACAAUAUAGGGAAUUUUACCAAAAUAAUCCAUUUUUAUAUACAGGGAAUGGUAUUUUCUAAUAUAAGGAGGAGUGGAGAAAUUAAAUUUAGCAAAAUAAAGAACCUCCAUCGAGAAGCAAAAAUGAUGAUAUCUUUGUCGUGAAGAGAUUUCAAUUCAAUUGCAUACAUUGACGAAACAUUAAAUACGGAAAAAACAAAAAAGAAAUAAUAGAACAUGGGGAUUUCGAGAACUUCUAAAGAGAGAAAUGUAUUUAUAAGCAUUGAAAAUUAGCUCAUUAAAUUUGACAGAAUAAUAUACAAUCUCACUGUUGGCCAGAAAAUAAUAGUAAGAACUUGUGAACAUAUAUAAUCAAUUGCUUAUUACUUAAGCUUUUUCUCCGUUAUUUUGAAUGGGUGCAAAGAGGAGAAGUUUUGUACCCAAAUUCCAACUCGAAUUGUGUAGGCUGCUUGCAAGAGCUUCAUUAGAUUUUUAUUUGUCUUUUAAUAGUGCUACUCGAUAAAUACAGCUAGCUAUCUGUCCUUUUUGUUACUGGACUAUAGAUCAAUUGACAGUUGAAGUUAUAUUAAUUUGUUGUACUGGAAUUGAAGCUUGUAUCUUAGCCAUUUCGUGAAGUGUCAAAUAUAUUUUUAAUUUCCUUAAAAUUGUUCAAAAUAUGUUUACACUUUUAAAGUCACUAUUAUACAUGAGUGCCCUAAAAUCAUUUCCUUAAAAUUGUUCAAGUGGGAUCCUAGUUCUCUAUGGCAGUUGAAGAGGUAAAUGCGCAUAGAGCUAUGCUCUAUCAUAGGCCUCGGCCACUAUAAGAAAUUUGAUUUUUUAAGACGAUAUUUUUUACAACAACUUUAAAUUUGGUCACAAAAUGGUAUUUAUUGUGACAAAUUUUUUAAAUCGUAGCUAAUAAUCUUGUCCUAACUUAUAUUUUUUUUUGUAACCAAUUAUUUUUAUUUUGAGACUUGUUCAUUGGUCAUUAAUUAAAUUUUUUUAUACCAAAAAUUAUUUUAGUCACCAAAAGAUAUAUUUUUUUGGCGCAAAAUCUUCCCUCCAAAAGUGAUUAUUUUGAGACAAUAUUUCACUAUUUAUGACAAAAUAAAUAGUCAUGAAAUAUAAUUAUAGGCGACCAAAUUAUUUGGUAACUAAAAGAGGGGUGUAAAAUUAACUAAACAAUCUAUGACACAAAAUAUUAGUAGCCAAAAUUAUUGUUCUUUUGGCAUAUUUUAAGACCAUUUUUUUGGUCAUAUAUAAUUACCUACAGUGACAAAAUUAAAAAAUAGUCGUUGAAUGUUUUAUCUUGAAUAAUUUUAUAUUUGAUAACCAAUUUUUUUUUCUUUUUGAGACAUAUUACUUGGUCCCUAUUUCAACUUCUUUUUGACUAACUUUAUAAUAGUCACAAAAGACAUUUUUUUUUUUUUUGGCAUAAAAAGUCUGUCCAAAGUUAGCUCUUUUGGGACAAUAUAUAAUCUUUUAUGACAAAAUAUAUAGUGGCGAAAUAUAAUUAUUUUUUACAAAGUUAUUUCGUAGCUGAAAAAGAGGUGUAAAUUUAGUUAACCUAUUUGUGACAUAAAAUAUUAGUCUCCAAAACUAUUAUGCUUUUAGCCAAUUUUAAGACCCGAUUUUGUUGUCAUGGAUAAUUACCUAUUUUCAAAAAACUAAGAGAUAGUAAUCAAAAGUUUGUCUUGAUUGACAUUGUAUUUUAUGAGCAAAAUAUUUUGUUUCAGUGACACUUUACUUGGUCUCUGAUUAGACUUGUUUGUGAUGAUCAAUAGAAAUAUAUAAUAACCACUAAAUUUUUUUGGAUUAAAUUUUAUAGAUACUAUUAAUUAAGUUGUUGACGAAAAUGAUCGAACCAAUACUAAUAUGGGAUACCAUCAACAGCCGUAAUACUUAUGAACCGAGAAAUUAUAAUAUGUAGUGAAAAAGUUUUAACAGUAGUCCCUAGUAUUUAGAAUUAUUUUGACUACUUUAUUUAUUUCCAAAACAUAAAAUUCUCAACCCAAAAUUCCCCGCAUUGUGUUUUAUUUUGUCUCCUCACUCAGUUACUCUUAUUAACUCACGGCUUGACAAAAAAAAGAAAAAAAUUCUCACAGCUUGAUGUUCUCCUCUCUUUAAAAAUAAAAAUCCCCAGUUACUCUGCUCAAACUCGUUAAUAUUUGUUUCCACCACCAAAGCAGCCACUCGUAUCUUUUAUUAAGCAUAACGUUUUUCUUAAAACCUAAUUGAUCAUUCUUUAACGUCUCCAGGAUUAUAUUUGGCACGCUAUUUUUCUCCUUCAAUUGAAUAGAAGUCUAGAACCUUUUUUUUUUCGCAAUUCACUUUUGCUGUGUUUCGUGGUUUGGACUAAGAUCAUGACAAUUAUUGAACGAUGGGGAUAAAUAUCAAAGAAGGAGCUUACAUGCCCUAUAUAUCUCUCUUUGGAUGAAUAACGAAUGUGAGCUUUCAAAGUACAGAGAUUUACAUGUUUUAAUUGUCAUUUACAUUGCUGCAUGCCAAUUGCUUGAUAAAAUACUGCAACAAAUACGCAUUCUCGAUUUUCUUAUAAAUUUAUUUUCUUAAUCUGAAAAAAAUUGAAUGUUCAGAGAAUUUUGAAGGUUUUGGUGUAUGCAUUAAUAUUUCGAUUCUAUUUAUGUUGUUUAACUAAUGAAGAUGAUACAUCUAGCCUCUUUUUGCCCCUUGUUGUUUUUAUUCUUGUGCUUUAUAUACGGUUCAAGUGUGAUACACUUUAGUUUUUCUCAAGUGUUUGUUAGUAUUUCCCGAAGCAAAAUUUGUCACAGACUUUGAGUUCAAAAGUUGAAAUCAUAACUAACAUACUUCGAUUUUUUAUUUUCCUUUUUUCUUCGGUAUCCUUCUAUAUGGCAUUGGUUGAGAAAUUGGUGUACUUAGAUCGUAAUAUUCUGUAGAAAUAAGCCAAUAUUUCAUUACGUACAUUGUUUAAUAUGAUGAGUAUUGUAUAGAAGUUUUACAUAUAAGCUCCUUAUAUAUUAUGCAUUAUGUUUUUAUCAUAUUGUUGCUUGGAACUUUGAAGGAUUGGCCACAGGGCUUUAGUCCUACAUGGACAUUUUAUAUUUAAUAGCUGGUUAGGCAUUUUAUUUGAUGUUAUUUGGACUUGUAGGUGUUAAAAGUUUUGUUCAGUAAUUUUAUAAUUCAGAUUCCCAUUGUGAUAAGAUAGCAAUUUUUUGUGUGUCAGAUUCUGUCAACUGAUAUUUAGCUAAAAUAUCUCACUAACCCCUAUUGGUUAGGUAUUAUUUUAAAUCACAUACUUGAUUUUUAUUUUCUUUUUAUCUGUGGAAUCCCAUGUAUCAUUCAUAAGAAACAAGCUAUUAUAUAAUCUAUUCUUUAGAUCCAUUUAUAUGUAGUGAGCACUCUGAUUUCUAUUAUUUGAAUUUUUUGCUACUGUUACUACUCUUUCGGCCCUUCAAAUAGGGGUUAACAGAAAUGGUGAGUAUAUUAAUACAAAUUCAAACUUUCUUUUUCUAAUUUUAUCCAAAAUAACCUACUAUUUUAUUUUAAUUUCAAACUUUUGUCAUAGUCUAAUGGGCAGUUGUCUUGUCAUUAUUUGGUUUCAAGUAAGAAGAGAGAAAGUUAGUGAGAGGAUGAAAAUUUUGCAAAAACUUGUUCAUAGCUAUGGUAAUUAAGUAGUUUGAGUUCUUUUUUUUGUUGUUUUCUAUGUUGGUUUUGGAUCAUUGUAGUUGCUGAUUGUGAUUUAUUGUCGCCUAUGGUUGCUGACUUUUGUUUACUGUGGCUACUUUAUUAAAGCAAUUUUGGAUAUUGAAGUUUAUGGCCAACUUUUAUUAGACACUUCUGACCUUUAUCGAUAUAUUUUCUGAACCUUUACACUUAAGAUGUGUGUGUGUGUUUUUAAAAAAUACAUGUGAAUGAAAUAGUACUUGAAAUAAUAUAUUUUCUCAACUUUUAUUAGAUAUAGUGAAAUAGUACUUGAAAUAAUAUAUUUUCUCAACUUUUAUUAGAUAAUUCAAAGUAUAUCCCACUUAUUAUCGAUAUAUUUGCUCAAGUCUCAUGUGCAACAUGUGAAUGAAAUAGUACUUGAAAUAAUAGAGACUUUGUUUUAUGACUCAUAUUUUUACAUUUCUUUGCAAGGAACCAUACUUAAUUGUACCUAAUAGAAGAGAUAUCUUUUCACUAUAUAGUCUUAGUAUAAAAAGAUACAUCUUCUAUAUAAGGCACAAUUGAUGGGACAUAUCUUUAUACUAAGACAUCAUUCAUAUUUAUCACACAAUAAUAGAAACUGCAAUGGUAGGUGGAAUAUUAUGAAGUCAAAAUUGAGAACGACAUUAAAUCAUGAAUUCUUUAUGUGUUUACUCGAAUGCCUGACAGUAUUUAGUUCAAUUAACACAGAUUGGAAAUCCAAAUGAUUGAAGAGUUGUAUGAGUUCAAGUUCAGUAUUUAAUUACUAUAUAAUUAUACAUAAAUGUGGAUUUUGCAAGCUUGAACCCAUGUGUGUUAGCCCAUUUCGGCCCAAUAAACAUAUUGUUCUGGAUAAAAAAUAUCAGGGGAUCUCUGAUGUUUCUUUGGUUUAACAUAAAUUUAUUCCUAACUCUAUAACCAUGCAUUAUUUAGACAAAAAUUUUUGCAAUCACCAAACAGUAAAACAGAGAAAUAAAAACGGAGGAGCUCUUUUCUAAAACAGAAGUAGGUGUUUUGUCUGAACGUACCACUUUCUGUUUAAUUAUUAUGUUUACGGAAUAGAUUUUUUUUUAUUAUUCUGUUUUAUGUUUCCGUCUUUACCCUAAGCAUUCUUGGUUGGCAUCGCUGCAUUGUCCUGUAAUCUGUGUGCCUUGGUGAGGAGGGGAAUGGAUAACUGUGGUGCUGGAUACGUGAGAGACAAUGAUGAGGGUAGAUUUGUAAUUGCCAGAAGCGAUUUGCUUGCAAUAAUUCAAUGCAUGGAAAGAGAUGCCUCUAACAAAAAAUGGGACUAUCCAUAUCUGAGCAUUAGAGCUCUACGUCUUAGAUAAAUAAAUAUACUUAUUAGUAUUGUUUUUGCAUAUAUCUUUCACAAAAUUAUUGUAUUCGCUUAUAUAGAGAGGACGAUUUAGAUAAGUUUCAACUAAAAAUUGACAAUUCCAUGAUAAAGUUAAAAAUCACCGAAUAAAAAACUGGAAAAUCCCCUGUUUCUCCUCUGCUUUCUUUUGAUUAUUAUUAAAAAGGGGAAUUAAAAAAUGAGUUGCAAGCACAAAUUUUAUUUCUACAGUAGUACCUUCUAAAUGCACCAUUGUUUGAUACAUUAAAAUUAAACAUUACUUAUGCUAGUAUAUCGGUACUUCACAUGUCCGUUCUUCAUUAAUGUAUAUUCAUUUACACCCAAGCUACCUGUCAGUUUUGCGAAAACUGAAUUUAAAGGUGUGGCUUAAAUUAAAAUAAUAAUCAGCCUCAUAGAAUACAGAGAAAAAAGAUAAUUUAUCACAAUCAUAUCCUAAUGCAUCAUAAAUUUAGAUUAUUUAAUUACUGUUAGGAAAUCUGCUUAGAUAAGGCGCACACUACAAAUUCUAAAUUAAAUUCCUAAUUAACAAUAAAAGAUAGACCCUAUUAAUCGUCCACCAGGUACCUUGUAGCCUGCAUCAUAAGUUUAGAUUUAAAUUUUUGCAAUUACCAAACGGAGAAACAGGGGAAUGAAAACAAAGGAGCCCUAUUUUUUCCAUUUUUGUCCCCCUUAACUCUUGUCCUUAUACAAAUAUUUUUCCUUGGAAUUUCAGGCAUACGAAAAAAUAUUGAAAAUUAUUUAAAGCAAACAGGUGGAUGAUAACAAAAAUAUAUUUAAUUAACCAAAUCAAGACACUAUAUUGGUCGUCAAUGUUUCGGCAUCACUGUCUUCUUCAGAUGUUACUUGUUUUUCACAUUUAUUUUGCGCUGUUGUGGAUUAAUAUGGUUCUGCUGGGUGCACAUUUUUACGUGCUACUGUAUUUUCUCUCAGUCCUUUUUAAAAGAACAUACACCCACAUACUAUGUAGAGUGACCUUUUUUAAUGAGGAAUCUGUCAUUUUAAUAAAAUGAAGAAUAAACUAAAAGGUAGAAGUACACGAACUCUAAUGCAAUAUACCUUUUCUUUUCUUUUACCUUUACUAUAAGAUAGGGAAUGAUAUAAUUGAUAAUGGAACUUGGGGUCAGAGCAGCGGUGUAAUUUUGAGAGGAUUUACAAGAUGGUAAGUGCAAUAAUUAACAGGCUCAUUUAAUAUAUCAAACUGCUAGAUAAUUGUACUAGUUAAACAUAAUUUUCAGAGAAUCUUUUUAAGGGUUUAUUUAUUAAUAUUUUGUUUCUUUCCAGCAUGAACACUUUGUUUUGACACGUGCUUAACAACCUUCAACGAACUGGAACAACCUUCAUCACAUGCUUCCUCACGUGAUUACUUAAAUUGAUAUGUAAAACGUGCUCCAUCCAUGUCGUUUCCACUAAAUCGUUUUUUGUUAAGAAUCAGCUGAGCAGCACGUGAGCUAAUGAAGCUUUUACGGCUUCAAAACGCAGCCGUUUCUGGGAACCAAACUUGAUUCAUCAUCUCACAACUACAGAUGAAUUAUCGAAGUGGCUGAUUGGUGCUGUACGUGUUUUUCGUAUUGAACUCAACUCUGCUAUAAUACAUGCGUGCAUCUGAUACAUGCACAAAAACCACCACUCCCACUCCCACUCCCACUCCCACGCCCUCGCGUCACGCGCCUUACCACUCCCUCGCCUCACCUCACCUCUCUUCUUGUUCCACGGCCAUCAACGGCGGCACGAGUCGGCAACGAUCAACUGCGGCUGUAAAUUGACCACAAUCAUCUCUCUCUCUCGGCUUUGCUCAAAUUUGGCCGAUCUAUGCGCUUGCUUAAGCUUGGCCGAUCUAUGCUUGCUCAAUUACUCUUCCUAUAUUCAGUCGGAGUCAACUGUUUGACAAGAGUCGAAGUCCAAGGUUCUUUUUUACAGGAUUUGAGCUACUUCUUUUAUUCUUCUUCCAUGUUCACUGAUACGAAGCUUUGAUGUGGUGUUCUGAGAGCGGGUGGAAUUUGAGAUUCUCCUUUCUUCUCUAUAUGAAGGUGCUUGUCAUGUGUCAAGAAAAAUAAAAUUAUUUACAAAAGAUUAUUUUAAGGAGAUUUAUUAUUAUUCGUGGAUCGGGAAGCUCAAAAAAUUUUCUUAUGUAGACUCAAAUCAUUUCUAUAGGGCGAAGCAUAUGAAUGAUACAUAUUAUCUUUUUUUGGCCUUAUGUAUUGUUAUUUGCAGUGUGAUUUGGUCUAGCUUAAGAGCUUAAGCUUGCAGGCUGGAUUUGUCUGACAUGGAACAAUUUAAUUUGUUCAUCGUGAUGUUUAUAUCCAUUUUGUACUACUAUCAAUUUCAAUCAUGGCUAAUUUUUAUAUGUAUUUCUCGUGGACUCUCAGGUUCAGUGCACAAGAGGAUGAAGACGAUGGACACCCAAAUUUGAUGUGGAGAACAACUAUUGCAAAUGGUCCUUGAUUUACUUCUCCAAUUGACUUGAAUUGGUUUGACGCAAUUUAUAGUGUAUUUUUGUCAUCUUUGUAUGACUGGCAGGUCGUCCUGAUUUGGUACAUGACUGGACACAGGAAUUGGACUCAUAUUUUUCAAACCAGAAUGCCAACAAUCAAGCAUUUUCUUUUGAAAGCACUGGCGUCUUCUUCAGUGCCAAAAAGGUUAGAGAUUUUCUGUAUCCUGUUUUGUAUUUGAUCAGUUUAGCAUGUGGGUGGCAAUCAAGAAAAGUUAUUAUAACAUUUUUGUGUUCCCGAAAAACUGCUGCUGAUGUGUAGUGCAGGAAAUGAAUUGUUUGUGACUUCUUUUUAUUUGUAUUCUUUCUUUUUUCUUUUCUCCCCAACAGAAUUACGUAUUUCUGAAGAGCUUCUUGAAGUUGAUUACCAUGUAUGCCACUUUCUUUACUCUAUGCUCAGGAUGUGAUUUUGUUUAGGUCAGAACCAUCAUCUAAAGUUUACUUAAUGCUGCCGAGAAGCUGUAGUAGAGCAAUGAAGGCUGUUGGUGUUAUGAAGGCCAGCUGUGAAGAAAUAUUUGAACUUGUAAUGAGCAUGGAUGGGACACGAUACGAGUAUGCUUCUUUUCUAUUUUUUAUUUUUAGUUACUUUAACAUAAUCAAGACUAUAUUGGCUGUCUGUGUAAGCUGAGUAUUAUAUUUCCUCUUGUAUGCUGUGAAAUUCACAUUGUCUCCAGUCCCGAUUCUGUAUGUGCCUUUUUGAAUAUAUUUAAUUAAUCUGCAUGGUGCUUUCUAAAGAUUAUUACAAACUUUUGUUGCUUAAGUAUAUGAAGAAUGUGGAAAUGAAAAUAGCUUUUGAAGUUUGAUGGAUUGCUUCAUUAAUAAAGAAAGACUAGGACUCAUUUUUAUAACUUUUCUCCACUUAGCUAAUGGUAUUUGAUGAAGACAAAAUAGAUGUAGCUAUCUAUAUUUUUUGUUGCUGAACUAUAGAUCAAUUGAUGGUUGAAGUUAGUUAUAUUAAUUUGUUGUACUAGAUUAAAGCUUGUAUCUUAGCCAUUUCAUGAAGUGUCAAAUACGUUCUUUCCUCUUUUUUUUUUUUUUCGAAACAUGUUACACUUUUGAAGUCACUAUUACAUAAAAGAGUGUUCUAAAACAGGAGAAGGCGUGCUGCCUGAAAUUACCUGUUUCCUAGCAAAUCUAGCUGGUUUGCGAAUUAGAUUUUAACAAGUCUCUUGGCAAGGUUUGCUAGUAAUGUGUUCAAAUUAUUCUAUUUAAUUUUACUGUCUGUACCCUAAUAAUUCUUGGUUUGCACCAUUGCAUUGUUCCAUAAUCUCUGUGCGUUGGCUUAUAAAGGCCAGCAAGGCUGAUCAUUUGUCGAAUAGUUAUUUCCAUGAAAUUCCUAUCAAUUUGACUCAGUAUUUAGAGGUCUUGAAGAGGGCAGUGUACUAGACAUGGAUUUCUACCUCUUUUGGUUGUACAAUUGUUGUAUUUCUUGGCCAUCAGAUCUUUUUUAUGUACCUUUCUCAAAGUUCUUGCCGCACGUACACCGUUUUUCAUGUUUUGUGCAGGUGGGAUUGUAGUCUUCUGUAUCGCAGCUUAGUUGAAGAGGUAGAUGGUCAUACGGCUAUUCUCUAUCAUAGGCUUCAGCUGGACUGGCUUCCAAUGUAAUAGUCUCUUGAUUCAAUCAUCUCAUUUAUGCUUUGGUCAGAAUAGAACAUUUAUUGUUCUUCUUUCCCCUUUCCUCUCUUCUGAUGUAAUAUGUGAGGAAAUUACCUAAAAUUUCUGUAUCCCAAUGUAAUUGUUGGCAUUCAGAAAUAAAAUAAAUACACCGUCUUGUUUUUCCCUCGGUUCAGUCCUAAGUUCUCUUUGGGCCUUCUGCAAGUUUUUAAACAUACUGUGACAGUAAAAAAUCUAGUGAUUGAGAUCAUUUUGAUGAAUUUAAUUUUAAUUCUUAGCUGAUACUUUUUCUGGAAUUUUUUUCUUAUGUUUCCUCAAUAUGACUUAAAUAUAGGGCUUAGUCAUGGAUCAUGCACCAGAGUGAUGGAAGCACCCCUUGUUUAUUAGGAAAAGCAGUUGAUUGUAACUAUAUCCGCGGUCCUAAGUAGUUAGAAGUAAAUGCUCUUCGAAUUCCUAUAGUACAUGGGAUGUGUUCCCUUUCAAAUAGCUUGUUCAAUACCAUUAACAUGGUUUAACAUUGUUCAUCUUUCUGUAGAUUGAUGUUGACGUGUUCUUCUAGAGUUGCUAAUGGAGUUUUGGGCCUUGUAAUUGGUGUAAUUACGGCAUUGGUGGUUGACAUGGCUUUCCUUGUGCAGGUAUGUAUGAUUGUUUUUUUCCCCCACUUCUAAAUGACACGAGGGAAGAGACAUGAUUUUGAGAUAUUGUACUGCAAUUUGCAUAUUUGCAUACUUGAAUAGUAACUCAAGAAUCAUUUUCAGAAUGGUAUAAUGCUUCGUGUAUGCAGGCAAAUACUACAGAUGAAUUACCGGAGCGGCUGAUUGGAGCUGUACGUGUUUCUUAUAUAGAACUCAAGUCUGCUAUUGUCCCAAAGUUGGAACCAGAGACAUCAUGACUCUGGUUUCAUUUCACCUCAACUGUUUUUUUUUUAAUUGAAAAAAAAAAUCAUUUGUUUUAGGUAUGCAUACAUGUAUUUUGAUCCCGUUUUCAUUGUAAUUUCUCAUUUACUUUGAAAGAAAGUCACUGGUGUUUUCGAAUAGGAAUUUUGCAUUAAAAAAUAAAGAAUACUUAAUAGGAAACUUAAUAAUUCUUUAGUUACUAUUUUUGGAAUGAGUGUAAUAGUAUUGAAGUUGGUUUCUACUCGCAAUCAAGUGAACUACUCGAUCCCCAACUGCGACCGCACUAAUUGUCAUUGUUUAAUAGCCUACUACUUUUAAAACUCAACAACUAAAAAAAUGAUUUUCUUAUGAUGCUGUGAAAACAUUUAUGGGUUCACUUAUUUCCACAAGAUCUAUAACAUGGUCUUGACUUCACGAAAUUCUUUUAACUUAAAGGGUUCUGGUCUGAGAAAGUUAAUUUGACGGAUUAAUUCCUUUUAAUAAUGGUCGAGUUAAUUUUACUAUACUCGUAAAACUAUUAUUAUUCUGAUAAUGCCACAAAUGUUAUGAUGUUUUCUUCAGCCAAUAAUCUUCUAUUAGGACUAGUUAGAAAUCAAAUGCUUAAAACACCAAUUGAAUGAAUAAUGCAGAAGUUUAAACAGUAUCUAAUUGAAAAUUACAUGAAGCAUGAAACAUCAAUUCAAGUCCUUCCUUAAACAGAGAAUGCAUCAAACAAAUCCAAAGUGUCUUGCAUGUCUGUAAAUAAUUGUAAAUGCGUUUAGAUUAUUCAAGUACAGGAGAACAAGCAAGUUGAAUCAUGUACAAGAGGUUGGCCUGGUUCGAGAUAGCUUCUUCACAGUACCUGAAGGGUUGGCUCAAUCUUUUCUUUAGAAUUCUGCACAUUUUGUAAUUACUCGUGUAAGCAAGCAUACAUUACAACCAUAAUAAUAAUAAGGCAAGAGUAAUGAUACGACCACAGCCUCUUGUGCACAAAUAAUAUUGUACAAACUAAUAUGACAUAAUAUGAUUGAUUAAACAAAAACAUAACAUGACCCUCAUAAUUUAUUUAUUAUUAUUUUAUAUUUUCAGUCAAGCAAUCAUAUUAUGCCACAUUAAAUAGAAAUAAUUUACUAGAUAGUGCCAACACUUCAUUGAUACUCACCAUUUCAUUGAACAAUUUUUUUAUAGUGUCAUUGAGGUUGCCUUCCCAACAUCCUUCAUCAUCACCAUCUUCAUCUUCGGUGGGUUUCACUUUGUUUAGCUUUGGUGCGUCUACGACUCCUGGAGAGAAAAUCUUCAUCGUUGGGCAUUGUCUCACAACUACGUGUGCCAAGGACGGGAACUCAAGAGCGUAAUUACCCAAACUAAAGCUUGUUAGGCUUGGCAAACAAUCAAUUCCCAAGUACUCCAAUUUCCUGAAAACAAUGCAAUCUUCCGCUUCUUCUCCAACCUGCGACUGUAUAAUUUCUUCCAUCAUUUUGCAAUCAGUUAUCUUCAUUCUUUCAAGAUUCACUAGACUUUCAGAUGUUGAGAGUGUCAAUAAAUUUAUCAACCCAUGACACUUCGAUACUUCCAGAGUCGCAAGAUUUUCCAAAUGCCACAAAGCUGGUACUAAUUUCUGCAACUUACUACAUUCAAAUAUUUCUAGACUUUUCAAGUUUGCAAACACUUUGUUGGAUUCGGCAUUUUCCUUCCAGAGAUGCUGCACUUUGUGUAAUCCAGAUAGCUUUAACUUCAUCAAUUGAGGGAAUGCAACCUGAAAAUCAACAAAAUUAAGUUGUAAAUGAAAAUAUGUAUCCAAUCUCUACAGUCUUCCCCUACAUAUUUUAUGGACAAGAUUAAUCACGGCAUUUUAUAUUUUAUUUCCAAAUUAGUAUGCUUUGCAGUAGGAUCCCAAAUAUAAGUAUCAAAUCGAUUACCCUUUGAAACACAUAAAUGAAAUCUGAUCAUAAAUCCAAUAUGAAUUAGCUAGGAAAACAAAGAUCUAACACGCAUAAUUUAUGCGAUAUAGUUCAUCACCUCCUGUCACUAGGCAUCUAAUUAAUUUGAGACAUUUUUUUAAUUCAUACUAUAAAGUUAGUUAAUAACUACAAUUAUAUUGUUAAAUCAGAUAUAAAUUAAGACGACGUGCAAAAAGAUAAGUCAUUAAAUUUGAUUUGAUUCUAAUGAAAUUACAUCUAUGCGAAUGAAAGUGAAGGGAAAAAUAAUAAUAAUGAUUACCUUUUUAUCGAAGAGAUGUUGUAUUUGAUUAGCUACCAAGAGGUUCUCUUCUGAUUUUAAUUUUUGAGCUUCCUUAUUAUCUGCUGUCAUGUGCAAUACAGAUGUAGAAUUGGAUAUGAAUGUUUCCAUGUCAGGGCAAUUCUCAAUAGUUAGAUAUCUCAACUCAGGCAGUUCAAUUAUAUUCCCAGUGAAGUUGCAGAAUCUUUUGAGUUUUGGAAGAUCAAUGAGCCUUAGAUUGGAAAGCUUAGGAAACAUGGGGCCUAUAUGUUCUUUGUCAGCAUUUAGCUCUUCCAAACGAAGCACCUCUUCUAGUGAAUCACAAUUCCUCACUUCCAGCCGUCGCAAAUUGUUCAAGCAUCGUAGCAGAUUGGCAGGAAUAGCACUCGACAUAUUCGUGCAGUCAUCCACCACCAGCCGUGCUAAAUUGUUGAAGAAGCUGACAGGCAGUGCUUGGCCAUGCCAUAUUUCUUUCAAACGUGGAAAAUGUGAGAGUUGCAAAUACCAUAUGUCACGGAAUCCAAUCUGCACAAACCAAAACAAUUGCACCGGAUAUAUACAAUUUUUUUUUUGAAAGGCAUUAUAUAUAUACACAUUAAACUUACAUGUUUUGUGUUUUAACUUCUAAAAAUAUAUAUACAAGACCGGGGUAUAUGCUUAAAUGUGCAAUUGCAGGGGAGAUGCAUAAACAAUUUGGGUGAAUCGAUUAACACAUACCAUUUCUUUGUAAUACUUUUGCAUAAUGGAAUUAAGGUUAUUGCCUUCCCAAUGGUGCAGUUCACCCUCUUCCUUUUCAGUCACUUGCACUUUGCAUGGCUUUGGAAUGGAUAAGAUUCCCUGAGAAAAAGUCUUCAUAUUUGGACAACGUAUCAUAGAAACUCGUUCCAGUGAUGGGAAUUCAAGAGUGUAAUUCUCCAAACAAAAGCUGGUAAGCCUUGAUAAAUAAUUAAGUAUCAAAACUUUUAAUUCGCUGAAAGCAAUACGAUUCUCCUUCACUUCUUCUCCAACAUGUCCUACGAUUUCUUCUAUUUUUUGGCACUUCGAUACUUUAAGAUUCACCAAACUACUAGGAAUUCCAACCUGAAAAUAAGCAAAAGUGUGUGUAUAUUAAAAAAGUAAAAAUGUAAGAAUAUCAUUCAACUAGGUUCAAAGUAUGUUUAAUCAUACAAUUAUACGUUUUAUAAAGAUAACAAACCAUGAAAUGUCUACAAGAUAAUUUUUUGUUAAACAAAAAAAGCAACAAGAUAAAUAAAUAAAUAAAAGCCAGAUAAACAAAGAUAUUAAAUGCAUUUACACUAUUUAGUAUUAGGAACGUACGAAGAAUUUAAGGCAAUUUCUAAAUAUUUUAGACUUAUUUUGCAUCUUGAUGCCAGUUUUUAAACAAAAUUUGCAAAUUUCAACUAUUCCUUUUGGGAAAAAAAAAUCAACCAAAAUGCCGCUUUUUCCCUUUUCCCUUGGUCCCUUUUUUUUAUGUAUAUUUAAUUUUGGAAACAAAAUUAAAGUGGAUCUUUAUUAAGUACUUCCAGACUCGAGGAAAUUUCUUUACAAUCAAGGAUCAGUUGUAAAUAAUCGUGAAUUUGUGGUUAAUUAAUGGCAUAAUCAGUUCGUAACUAAACAAGAGAUAUUAAUUAAAUUUGAAGACUUUUCUUUUCUUUUUUUCUUUUUCCAAUCGAAAUGUGAAGAAUUAAGGAAAAGAGAAAUAUAUAGAUGAAUUUGUGAACCUAUAAGAUGAGUGACUAUCCUUUAAUUUUUGAAAAUUGUACUUAUUAAGAUAUGAGCAGAAACAAUUAAAUUGAAUUAUAUUAUGAUGUUGAAUCGUGAUUAAAAAAAUUAUAUUGUUGAUUCUAAUGCUGGCGAACCUAAAAAAUGGACUUAAAAUGUAGAUUUGAGAGUGGUGGUUCGAAAUACAAUACUUGAAAUAAAUAAUCAGUGGCUGAAUAUCAUUUGUAAACCCAAAAAUGGUUAAAAUAUUGUUGGAUGUAAUUUAAAAAAAAAAAGAUUCGAAAUGAAUACAACGACCUUACCAAUGGAGGAAAAAUAUUCAUUAGGUUAUGACACUUAUAUAUCUCCAAAUUCUUCAAUUUGCUGAAAGACUCCGAAGGAAGCUGGUGGUGCCAUAUUUUUCUCAAAUUAUUCAUCCAGCUAAUAUCUAAUACCUCCAACCUAGGAAGUCGUACCUGGAAGUUAAAGAUUAAAUAACUAAUUAAUCAAUUAAUGGCAUAAUCAAUUGAUAACUAAAUUAGAGGCGGAUAUUAACUAAAUUUGAAGACUCAAGGAAAAGACAAAUUAAGUAUUGUGACUAAAAUUAAUUUUAUUUAUUAAAAAAAAAACCUUUUCGUCAAAGAGAGGAGGAGGUUGCAUUUCAGAAUGAUUGGUGUCUUCUGGUGAGCUCGUAGAGAUGAAUCUUAACAUAUUACUGCAAUUACCAAUCUCGAGGUUUAGCAAAGAAGGGAAUUCAACAACUAAAUCUGAAUGAAUAUGUCCUGUAUUGGCGAAGCUUGUCAGUUCUGUAAGCCAAUAGAGCUGCAGGGAGUGUAGUUUAGGAAAAACCUUUAAUUCAAUCAACUUUCCUUCAUCUCUUUCUGACCACCCCGUGGUGUCGACUACCCCUUCCAUUGACUCACAAGACCAUAUUUCAAGAUGUUGGAGUUGCAAAAGACUAUUAACCAUAGAAUACGAAAACAGAUACUUCAUACGAUCACAACUUCUCACGUACAGCUUUGUUAAAUUUUGACAACAGUACAUUCCUUGAUUAUGAUCGGCCCAUAAUUUUUUGAUGUUUCUUAAUUCCGUGAGAUUCAAUUCCUCUAAGCUCGGAAGAAGAACCUGCAAAGAAAAGCCGUACAUUUUUGUUCCUUCAAGUACAACCGUCUAGUAUAAUAUUCUGUUGAUGAUCGAAGAUUAAUCGUGAUAAUAAAUUAAUCAAUUAAUUAUUGAACAGAAAAUUAUCACCUUUGGAGCAGUAUCAUCAUCAGCAAUGAUUUCGUUGAAUCCCAAAGAAGUUGUUGGUUUCUCCCUGUCGGGUCCUGUAAACAAACAAAAACAAUAUACAUAAUUAAUCUUUGUCGUUGUCUUUUUUUUUUCAAAAUAAUUGAGGCGAAGUCCAUAAAUCCACCAACACUUAAUUUCAACACUUACCAACAGUCAUUUCCAGUUUAUUGCAGGAAGCCACUUUGACCUUUUGAAGCCGCAGUAGGUUUCUGGCUAUGGAAAAUGAGAAAAGAUGCUUCAAUUUAUCACAGGAUUCUACUUCUAUAAUCUUUAAGUUGCUGAAAAAUUGAUCUUCUCUGAGUUGGCUGUGGCAUAUGGCCUCCAAAUUGAUCAAUUUAUAGAGAGACAAUGACUCCAGCAAGGGGAAGACUUUGCGAUGAACCCGUCCAACUGAACCGACAAUGUGUAAAAUCUCAGAACACCUUUCUACCCAAAGAUGCUUCAAUCGUGGAAAACCUUCCCCAUCAUCUAAUUCAUGAACAACAUUCUGAACACCCGUCAGUUCCUCUAGACGGAUAUCUUCAGUUAACUUCAGCAACAUUUUCAUCCCAUAAUUCUCCAAAAGAGUGCUAACAUUUUCUAACCCAUGGAGCUGCACCAAUCUUGAUGUUUCAGAAUUAGCGCGCCAGAUGCCCCACGCUUCUCCUAUACAUAUCCUAUAUCUUGGCAAUUCGACAAAGACCAAAUCCUGCGGCAGCAUUUGGGCAUCCUGAACUUGUAUCUCCAAAGUAGUUAGCUUUGACAGCCCCUUCAAUUCAGCAAGACUGGCGUUACUUCCUCCUUCAACCUUAUCCCACUGCGGAAAGCUGUCACCCAUAUAUAGUUCUUCCAAUCGAGAAAAUUUUGAUAUGACAUUUGGUGCUAUCACUACAAGGCUGCUACAAUUGCUCAAAUCUAGCAAUUGUAACUGCGCCAAUUGACCAAUUUCAAGUGGCAACUGCUUAAUGUCGGAAUAUCGAAAGCUAAGAAUCUCUAAUUUCUUUAGCUGUCCAAUUGCCGCUACAUCUUCUAGUUGGCACCAGUCUAAACACAAUGUUUGAAGGUUAAUGAGGUGACCAAGUGAUGAAGAUAAUGAAGAGAAAUGAAUUCCGCUAAGACUUAAAACUUUGAGAUCUUCCGUCCCUUCAAAAAAGAGGUGUGAAAUUUCCAAAUAGCUAUCACCAUUUGCAAGCAACAGUAAUAACUUGAGUUGGGGACAUUCCAACCUUUCGGGAAGCUCUUGAAUAUCUCCAUAAGGUAUAGAAAUAGCAAUUGCACCUUUCUGUAUGAUCUUUUCUAUCUCUUCCUUCAAGUUGGUAACAUUUGGGAUACUAAACAUGAGCUUCUCUGAGGCAAUUGAUACGGCAACAACAUGAAUGACGUCAUGCAUUUUAACUUCAUCUUCAGCAUCGCCGUCCAACAAUAAGCAUGAAGCUUUGAGAUUGUCGAUCAAUGCGUCCACUCUAUUCCUUGCAUUUUCCAAUGUGCGAACAUUUUUAAACAAACCCUUACCAUAUCUCAACAAGGAAGCAACUUGUAUAGGAGUACCUUCACCAAAUAGAGUACAAAGAAGGAACAAAGAUUUUGCUUCAUCACUUUCCAAGAAGUUGUAACUCAAUUCUAUGGAAGAGCAGACAUUUGCAUCCAUUCCAUGAAUUUCUCUUGGAUUAGAAUUUCGCAGCUGAGUCAACGCAUCCUUCCAAACGGGAAGCUUCUUAUUUUUCAGAGCAUUUGCAACUGUACUCAGUGCAACAGGCAAUCCUCCACAUUUUCCAACAAUCUCAUCUGCUAAAGGUUGAAAAGCAGAUGCUUUUGCGGAAUUGCCCACGAUCUUUUCAAAAAAUUGCAAUGCUUCUUCCUUUGAUAAAACUUCAAUUAGGAAAAUCUUCUGAGAAUUCAUAUCAUUGGUCAAUAAAUGUUUACUUCUAGACGUCAAUAUUAUCGUGCGUCUCCUUAGAUCUUGCUUUCUAUCUUUCUCAUCAACAUCCCCAAAAGGAAUUCCAAUUUCUUCCAACCCAAGUUUUUUCCAAAUAUUAUCUAAUAUAAUGAGGACUCGCUUCUCUUUCGUCAAUCUUUGACAAAGUUGUUUUGCUCUGUGGGGUUUGCUAUCAUUCAAGUCAAAGUUCAAGUCUAAAUCGGAAGCGAGCUUGUCUUGAAUUUUCUGAACAUCUGGGUUCUCUGUUACCUCAGCCAUAACGACCUUAUCGAACACCUUAUCUUCCAUAACUUGCUUUGCAAUUUGCUUGACUAGCGUGGUUUUACCCACGCCGCCCAUACCGUGGACCCCAAUUAUGUUGAGCUUAUCAUUCCUCAAUGCCUCCACAACAUCUUGAAAUAAUUUCAUUCUUGAAUCAAAGGCCUCGAAAUCUUUCGCUUGCAUAUGUUCUGUACUCUCUGGAGCAGGACGGUGGGAAACACUAGAGAAGUUGCCUUUUCCCACGAGACUAGCGGCAGCUUCUGCGGCCUUUGCUGCUUGUUUACUAAGUUUAUAACGAGAAAUCAAGUUGGGGCAAAAUCCUUUGAAGCAGGACUUCUUAGCUCUAUCUUCAUCAUCAAUGAUGGAUUUUGCAACCCCUUCACUGAUGAAUUCAUCAACGUUAUUAAGCCAGUCUGCAACAUCCUUGUAAAUCUCAUCUCUUUGUUGAGUAGCCUCACGAACGGGUAUUCCCACCCUUUCUCUUUUAUAUUCUAGCUCCUUCACUUGAACUUUUAGCUCAGCUAUGUAGCUCUGGUACUUGAACACAUAAGAGAUCUGCCGCAUAAUCGGUUCGAACAAUGCCUUUGCACCUUCUGUUACAAUGCCGGAAAAAGUAGUGGAAACCAGGUCUGCAGCCAUUGCCUAGCCUGUUGCUUUCAUACAUACAUACAUACAUAUAUAUAUAUAUAUAUUAGCUGUUGGAAAAAUUAGAUUCAAAUAAAUUAAAAUGAACUAGGGGAAAGACGGAGAAAGAAAUGACAACCAACAACUUUUUAAAAAAAGGUUUCAAGGGCCUGAAUGGAAAACCAACAAUUUAAAAAAAAAAUUGUAAGAUGGAUGCAGAUUAACCAUUGCUAAUAUUACAUAAGAACACAGAAGUUAACAAUGAACAGUACGUAGAAAAUUAAAUGACAAGAUUAAAACAAACAAGGGCUAUUUUUUCUUGGACAAUUGUACCUAUUUAAUUAUUAAAGAGUUAAUGACCUUCACUGCUGGCCUUGAAUAUAUAAGAACGACCAGAAGAUGAAUAUUAACUGCAGACGAAUGUAAGUAAAGAGUUCAUGAGAGUGAGUAAUACAAAUGAAUUGUAAAAGAACAAGACUUAAGUGUGACCCCAUCUUUUGUUUUAUUAUAUAAAUAGAACACAUGAUCAUUUUUAACAAAGUGAUCAAUAACUCUAUGCGUUAUUUAAUUGAUAUUGUAACCAAUUUUAAGGGAAUUUAAUAAUAAUCAUUCAAUGCAUAAAUUUAAAAUUAGAUUUUUUUAAUUCUUUAUUUAAAUAUAAAUCUUAAUGGAAAAUUAUAAAAAUUUAGAGAUAAAAUUUUUCAAUCACCAAGGAAAAAAAAUGGGAAUGAAAACAGAGGAAUCUUGUUUUACCUUUUUUUUUUUUUCCUUAACUCUUGUUCCUAUACAAAUAAUCUUGUUUUGAUGAUAGUGCUCGUGACUAUGGGAAAAUUUCUAAUGGAAACAACUCAAUUUCGGAAGAUAAGCUUAAUUCUGCAAGUGAUGAAUUUGUUCAAUUGACUCUGUACUUGAACUCGUUGGAUUGGUUGAUUUACGAUUGACUGCAUUUCAAUUCUGCCUAAAAGAUCUUUUUAAUAGCUAUCAUGUACUCCUUAAAAGCAAUCAUUUUUAGAUUUGACUGAAUUUGAACUUGUUGGAUUGGCUGUUUUUAGAUUAUUGAUAUGAGAUACUACAAUGUAAACAUUUUCAUGUGGCUGAGCCCUAUUCUAAAAUCUGUAUGUUGCUUUAGAAAAAGGGCUUUUCCUACUGAUAUUUAAUCUUCAAGUAAACUUAGAUAUAAAGUAAAUCAAAUAAAAUGACAAACAAGCAAUAUAAUAAAAGACAACAAACUGGCAAUAUUGAUACAAAGGCAACAGAUAUUAAACUUUAGGACAUUUUUUUCCUAGCUUUCAUUUGUUGGAGGAUUAGAGAUUUUGGUAUUACCGGAAAGCUAAAAGGUUUCAAGGGUCUGAGUAGAAACCUAUAAUCUUUUUAAAAACUUUCUUUUUCUUUUUUCUUUUUUCUUUUUUUGGGGGGGGGGGGGGGGGGGGGGGGGGAAGAAUGCAAGUUAACCAAACGAAAUAAUAAGAGCACAGGCUUUAACAAUGAACAAUAACUUAAAACUCAUGCAAAGUAAAUUCAAUAUUAAAACAAACCAGAGAAAUUUUUUUUCUUGGAAAAUAGAUGGAAAUUAUGAAAGAACAGAUGUCAAGAUCAAAGAUCUACUAUACACAAACACACACAUUAGAGGAUUUGGAAAAUGUGCACCUCUUUAAUUAUCUGGGAUUAGAGAGUUGGUGAGAUUCUCCAUUUGGCCUUGAAUAUUUAAGAACAACCUCAAAGAGCAAAAAGAUCACCGGUAACUGCCGAGGAAUGUGUAAGAAAAGGGUUGAUGAGAAUAAUAACAUUGACUUGCAGAAGAAAAAGCAUUAAUCAAGCACCCCUUUUUUAUAUCAUGUAUUUGGUUAUUGUUGCCCUGUUUACGCACGUAUAGGAUAAUUAUAUGCAAUCUUUUUUUAAAAAUCCACAUGCACUUUAGGGCUUCUUUCAUAAAAGCAGAUACCGGAAACACACAAAAAUCAUUUGAGAGAGAAACCGAACAGCAAAUCAUCAAAGUAAGAUCAACAAUAUAUGAUUUGAUUAAUGCAUAUUCAAGAACAAAACAAAAAUAAAUAAAUNNNNNNNNNNNNNNNNNNNNNNNNNNNNNNNNNNNNNNNNNNNNNNNNNNNNNNNNNNNNNNNNNNNNNNNNNNNNNNNNNNNNNNNNNNNNNNNNNNNNNNNNNNNNNNNNNNNNNNNNNNNNNNNNNNNNNNNNNNNNNNNNNNNNNNNNNNNNNNNNNNNNNNNNNNNNNNNNNNNNNNNNNNNNNNNNNNNNNNNNNNNNNNNNNNNNNNNNNNNNNNNNNNNNNNNNNNNNNNNNNNNNNNNNNNNNNNNNNNNNNNNNNNNNNNNNNNNNNNNNNNNNNNNNNNNNNNNNNNNNNNNNNNNNNNNNNNNNNNNNNNNNNNNNNNNNNNNNNNNNNNNNNNNNNNNNNNNNNNNNNNNNNNNNNNNNNNNNNNNNNNNNNNNNNNNNNNNNNNNNNNNNNNNNNNNNNNNNNNNNNNNNNNNNNNNNNNNNNNNNNNNNNNNNNNNNNNNNNNNNNNNNNNNNCCCCAGGGGAAAAUCUGGAAUUCCUUUUUUUAAUUUUUUUUUUUUUAAAAAAACCCCACCGGAAAUUCUUAAAAUUUGGAAAAAAAAAUUUUGAGUCCCUUAUUCUGGGGGGGGGGGGGGGGGGGACGAAAACAGAGGAAACUUGUUUUACAUUUUUUUGAUCUUAACUCUUGUUCUUAUAUAAUAUUUUCCCUGGGAUUUCAGGCAAACCAAACAAAAAAAAAAAAAUUCAAUAAAGAGCAAGUUGCUCUAAUUGAUUUAUCUUGUUUUUCAGGCUAUUUUGUGACAUGAUGAUAUGUAAUGCUCUUGAAUGCUAGAAAAAUUCUAAUGCAAACAUUUUUGCAAAUGACGAAUGUAAAUAACUUUUUUUGAUUAAUUGAAUCUCUAAUACUCUUACCCUAUUCUAAAAUUUGUAGGUUGCUUCAGAAAAAAAGGGUAUUUCUCACUCAUCUUCAAUCCUCAAGCACAAUUAGAUUAAAAGCAAAUCUAAUAAAAUAACAAACAAAUUAACAAAAAAAAGAAAAAGAAAAAAAACAAUGUUGAUCUUGAGACAAUUGAUACUUAAACAGAGAAUUCUUUGUUCUUUUUUUACUCCCCCUGGCUCGAGGAUUAGAGUCUUUCUUUGCUAUUAACAGAGAGGUUUUAAGGGUCCGAAUAAAAACCCGCGCUUUUUUUAAAAACUUCUUUUUUUUUUUUUAUUGGGGAAGAUAGAUUCAAAUUAACCAAAGCUAGUAAUAAGAACACAGGCCUUACAAAUGAACAAUAACUUACAACUCAAGCAACAUAAAUAAUAAGAUUAAGACAAACAUGAGAUUUUUUUCUUCGAAAGUAGAUGGAAAUCAAGUAAGAACAGCUAUUAAAAGAAAUUACUAGAGAAUUUAGAACAUGUGUACCUCUUUAAUUAUUUGGGAUCAGAGAGUUGAUGAGCUCUCUAUUCGCCUUGAAUAUUAAGAACUGGUAUUAAAAGAAAUUAUGAAGAACAAUUUUAGUGAGCGAUAGAUCACUGUUAACUUCAGAGGAAUUUGUGAGUAAAAAGCUGAAAAGAGCCGUAAUAAUGAAUUACAAAAGAAGAAGACUUAAUCAAGCACCCCUUUUAUACCCGAUUUUUAAGAUUUAGUCUUGAAGUUCACAAUCAAGAACAAAGACGAAGCUUUAAUAAAGCAUGCAGUGAGAUACAAGAAAUGGAUCGGGCAAAAUACCUUACGAAGCGUUUCAUAUUUUCUAAUGAAAUAAUUAAGUUGAAGUUUUCGACGAAUAAAUACUUGUUGUGCUUGAAUAAUUUUGGCAUAUACGUUACUUGUAUCCUGCGAAAUUGAAAAGCACAUUGGUUUAUUAGAGCUUAUUAGGAGGGAAAAGCUUUGUAAGAUACCUGAUAAAAGAUAAAGUAAAAGCUUGAAUGAAGAAUGACAUUUUAGAAAGAAACUAAAGUGCAAUCAUCAAAGUGGGAUCAAUAGUGACUUGAUAUUUCAAUUGUUCUGUCCACAAAUGAUGCUUCGUUAUUACUAAUUCCAGAUGGACAUUAUUAGAAAAUGAUCUUAUGUUUAACAGAAAAAUAAAAACUCGUCAUCAUACAAAACAGCGUGAAGAAAUCUUCAAUUUGAUUAUUAUAAAAUAAUAAGUUUCAUUACUAGAUUAUGCGGACAUUAAUGUUAGAGAUUUGAUCAGAUUAUCAUAUAAUUUACUAAACGCUUUGAGAAGAACAAUAAUUAAUUUUUAAAAAAUUGAAAAAUAAAUUAAAUAAAGAGUACACGCAAAUAAUGUUACUUCCAAUCACCAAACUGAAAAACAGGGGAAUGAUAACAGACGAGUCCCUGAUUAUCCUCUCUCUCUCUCUCUCUUUUUCAAUCUCUCUCUUUGAUAUCCAUAUCUGAGCAUCAGAGCUUGACAUCUUUGAUAAAUAAAUAUGCUUACUGGUACUGUUUUUGCAUAUGUCUUUCACAAAAUCAUUGUAUACGCUUACAUAGAGAAGAAGAUUCAGAUAACUUUCAAAAUCUGAAUCCGCCUGAUGGACAGGCUUGACCACACAGCCCCGAGACAAGGAAGUCCAAGCAACUAAUCUAAACCGUUCUCCUUUAUUAGCUAGAUUUAGUAUUUGGGUUCUUUAUGUAAAACGACACUAUGAUCUUGAAAUUUUGAUUUAAUUAAUAAAUAGUUAAAUUCUUAAUGUUUCAGGAGUAGAUACAUAGACUCUCUUCUAAUUUUAGUCAUUACAAACAAUGCCAUUGUGCGGUUAUACUAUUGCUUCUUUUAUGAAACCAUUCUCACCAUCACAUAGAUCUUGGCAUAUAGAGUCUCAUAAUGUCAUCAAAUAAUUUUUUUUUUUUUUAAAAACAUAAAAUAUGAUACAUGUAUUCAUUUUUUUUCAAAUUAGGGUGUAUUAUUCUUAAAACUUAAGUGUUCUACUUAUAAAUAUCUUGAAGGUGUGAGUGUUUUCUUUUCGUAAACAAACCGUAAAAGAAAAAGAGGAACAAUAAUUUUUUACUUAUCCUUAGAGAUAAGAUUCAAUCGGGAUGUGAGUAAGUGUGUUUUUCUUUUUUUAUUAUGCUAAAUUAUCGAGUCACAAAGCAUAUUGAUUCAAAAGUAUAACUUUAUACUGAUGAUAGAUAAUUUCAAAACAAUGGAAUGAAAACAGAGGAGCUCCCCCCUCCCCCACCCCAAUCCCCGCCCCCCCCCCCCCCCCCCCCCAAAAAAAAGUUCUUCUUCUUUUAUAUAUUUUUCUUGGAAUUUUAGGUAAAAGAAAAAAAAAACUGAGAUUGAUUUCAAGGGAACAGGUGGAUAAUAACUAAAAUACUUAUUUUUAUAUAUUUGAUAUGUGCGCUCACUAUUAAUAGAACUUAUUAGAUACUACAACUUAAAUAACUUCCCAUGGUUGAUUGAGGGUAUGUUUGAGAUUUCCUUUACUUUCCAAGAAUUAAUUUCUACCUUGAUUCUGAACAAAAAAAUAAUUUUACAAAUAAUCUAUUAGGGUGUUUGGUAAAUGAUGAUUAUUUGACAAUCAAUUUUUAAACGGUUUACUAUACAAAUCUGGUAAAUGAAAAUUAAAAGUGUAAAAUGUUCAUGUACAAUGACAAAAAUGUACUUGUUUACUUGUUUGUAAUUUAUUUAGAAUAUUAUUAUUUAAAUCUUUUUUUAUUUACAAGAUUUUUUAAGAGCAUAUUCUAUUUUCUUUAUUACAUAUUUAAAUAAUUUUUUAUUAACUAUUUUAAUUUGCAAUAAAAUUAACUUCAAUAUCUUUUUAACUAAAAAAUUUGUUAUGUAGUUCGUGAUAUAACAAAUACUAACAUAUCAUUAGUUUGAUUAAUAAAUUAAGUGCAAAAAAGAAAAUGCAAAAAUUUAAUCUUUAUAUAAACUUUUAUGUACAUAAAAUCAUUGUAAUCAAACUAGUUCAUAGAAAUAUAAUAUUAUAUACAUGUGUGUAAAAAAAAAAAACAUAUGACCAUAAUAUUAUCCACUCAUUAAACUUGCUGCACUAUUAUUUCUCAAUCUCUCCAUCUCUCGACCUUCAAGAACAUUACUACCAUAAUCUUCUUCUUCUUGAAUCCAACCUCUAUUUCCUCAUCAUCAACAAUGCGACCAAUUUGCCUUGAUAGCCUUUCAACUAGAAUAGAGUUGGCAGUAGAUAUUUUAGUACUCUCAAACUAUGCCCAAACAGGGUCACCAGUGAUUGUUGUAUUAAAAGACAUUCUAUUUAAUUUUCCUCUGACUCUGGGUCGAUACCUUUUAUGCAAAAUCUAUUUACUUAAGGAAUUUUCUACACAUGUCGAUAUCAUAUUAAAGUGAAUUCAGAUCCUAUAUUAUUGACAUUAAAAUUUAGCCGAAUAGUAAAAAAUUUCCCUUUUUGUUUGUCACACAACCAUAUAGUCCCAUUUUUGGUUAUAAGCUCACAAUAUGUAAGGGAAAUGAAGAUCUAUUAAAACUUUCCCAUAAUAUUAAACAUUAAACAAUAUCAACAUUUUGUGCAUAUGGUGCCUCAUCAACAAUUUGAUGUUCAUUUUGUUGCUCGGAGGAAUAUGACUACCUAUUAAUUAAUUAGCAAGAAUUGCGUUGCGAGUCCAUGUUUUUGUCGUUUGGAUGGAGGAUGUGCCAUCUUUUUAUUGUAGAUGCUUUGUAAGGCUUUUGAUUUAAUGAUUUAAUGCAGUCAAUUAACAAAAGCUUACAUAUAUUAUUAUGUAGUUGCUGAGAUGUCUGUUCUUGAUAAAGUCGAUUUAUUUACACCCAAGCCAACGGAAUCAAAGCCUUUUCGUUAAUAAUAUACACGGUAAUUGUUUUUGUUAAAUUGAUUUCUGGCUAACAAGAUAUUUGAAAGCAUUUAGGUAGCGUUUACAUUUUGCGUUGGAGUGAGAAUCGUGAGAAAUGAGAAUCCUGGGAUUAGGAGUGUGGAGUGGGAGUCGAAGUAUGUUGUUUACUUACACUGAAAUGGAAGUAUGGAAUUGAAAUCAGAAUCCAAUUUAUUUGUUUACAUUGUCUUAGAUUGUGAGUAAUGAUUUUAAAUUACAGCUUUACUCUUAAAGAAUUAUAGUUAUUAAUUACAAAAUUAAUAAAAAUUAUAUUUUUAAAUUAAUAAUAAUUAUUAAUAUUCUUAACUAUGUAAAUCACAAUUAUUUUAUUAAUUUUAAUUUUAAUUAUAUAAAUAAAAAAUUAUUAAUAACAACAAUACAAAUGAAACAUUAUUAUUGAUAAUAUAGUACAAAAUUAAUUUUUUUAGAAUAAAAUAUUUAUUAUUAUUAAUUACUAAUAUUAAAUAAAUAUAAUAGUAUUAUUUUUAAAUAAGUAUAAUAAUAUUAUAUUUUCAAAUAAAAAUAGAAUAUAGUAAUAUUAUUAAUUCUUUAUGAAUAUAAUGAUAUUAUUUUUAAGUAAUUUUAACUUAGAAUCAAUGUAAAUUAUUAUUUUUAACCAAAAAAUUAAUAUUAUUUUAAAUAUGUUUAAUAUUAUUAUUUUUAAUAAAUUUAAUUUAUAAAAUAAUAAAAUAUUAUUAUUUAAAUAAAUAUGAUUUUACUUAUUUUAUUAAAUUUAAUAAAAUAAAUAUGUUUAAUAUUAUUAUUUUUAAUAAAUGUAAUUUAUAAAAUAAAAUAAUAAUAUAAGUUAAAUAAAUAUGAUAUUAUUUAUUUUAUUUUAUUAAAUAUAAGGGUGAAAAAGGAAGAGAGGCGAGUGAAUUUCCACUCCCACCUUCCUCCAUGGGAGUGGGAAUCUCACUCCCCCACUCCAAAAUUAGGUGGGAUCCACGGAGUGGAAUUCUCACUUCCCCUUUGAAAAUUGUAAGUAAACACUGGAGUAAGAGGAAUCCACACUCCUCACUCUCACUCCAAAAAGUAAACACUAUAUUAAAGAAGUCAUUGACUUAUAAGAAAGCCAUGAUUAAAUACACGGCGAAGCAUGUGAGCUCGUUUUUCAAUUUCUUUGAUCACUCAUAAGUAGGGGUGGGCAAAAUCGGAUUCGGAUUGGGUUCGGGUUGAUUUGAUCAAUUUCGGAUCAAUCGGGUUGGGGAAAAAAUCAUCCGAACUCAAUCCGAAUUAUUAACCCGAUCCAAUCCGAUCCGAAUAUAAUUCGGAUCGGAUUGGAUCGAAAAUUCGGAUUAAUUCGGAUUAGAUUCAGAUUUAAAAGCAUUCGGGUUAUAUAUCCAUUCUAUAUUUCUGGGUUAAUUUCAGAAGCAAUCAAGUAAAACAAUCAACCUUUUCUCAAGAUAUAGUUUUGUUUUAAGCUUUUUAAAUUAAAUUAUUUAAAACAAUAUAGUCAAUACCACCAAAAACUUGGUGACAGUGAAUGUGGAGGUGAAUUUAGUUGUAGCAGUUGUGGUAACCGGUGAAGCUAGUGGCAGCAAGCGGUAGCAGUCGAGGUGUAGUAGAUUCCAUCGGCACGUUGCGGUUGCAGCGAUGGCUUAGCUUUGAACGAUCGCGUCGGUGACUGAUGGCUGCUGGUUCACGCAGUUGCAUCUCCGAUUUGCUGGCUGCUGCUUCUUGCGGUUGCAUCUCCGAUCUGCUCGCCGCUGCUUCGCUGACAUCUCCGAUCUCCGAUGGUUUGGCUUCGCACGAUCACAUCGGUGAUUGCUGGCUGCUGGUUCGCGGCUUCGCGCGGCCGCAUCUCCGGUCUGCUGGUUGCUGCUUCUUGCGGUUGUAUCUCCAAUCUGUUGGCUGCUGCUUCGUUGUUUGGCAUCUCAACAUUUCCGAUCUCCGAGGCCAAACCUCUAUUUGUGUGUGACCGUGUGUGAUGUGAGUGUGUGUGUGUGCACUUACAGAUUAUUUUAAUUUAGAUCUAAGAUUUGCUUUUUGUGUGGUGUGAAUCCGAUUUUGUUGUGUUUGCCACUUUGUUAGUUUGUUACACAGUUUUUUUUUUAAGCCAACCCGAUCGGGUUUUCGGAUCGGAUCGGGUUUCAUCCGAUCCGAUCAUGAUCCGAUCGGGUUGGCAAAGUUACAUCCGAUUGGAUUUUGUUAACAAUCCGAUCCGAUCUGAACCCGAUAUUUUUUGGGUCAGAUCGGAUCGGAUCGGGUCGGAUAUUUUGCCCAACCCUACUCAUAAGCUUUUCUAUACCACUCACUAUAUCAUCCUUUUAAGUCAAUUUCGACUGAUCAUCAGAGAUCAUGCACCCCACCUUGAGAUGAUUGAUCACCAAUUUGGCAUUGUAACGUUGAUCACCUCUAAUUGCCCAUGCUAAAAUUGAGACCCCACAGCCAAUUGCUUCUACAGUUGAAUUUUAUCCACAGUGAGAUAAAAAUCCACCUAUUAAUUGAUAACUCGGCAUCAAUAAUUGUGGUGCCAUUCCAUCUAUUAUCAAACCCUUUUUACCGGCUUUACUAUCUAAACCACUAUGAAAAUAAGCUGGUUAAAUGACGUGGAGGAUCCAAUCUAUUUACAUCAGUUUGAAUUACCUAAAUAAUCGGUGGAUUUGAUGCUUCUAAAUCAUUGGCUAAUGUUGAAUAAUCAUUUAAGGUGGGACCCAUUUCGGUACCAAAUGACAUGUAUAACACUGAUCCACAUGAUUUCAAAUCUAACCAUUGAAUGAUCUCAUCUUUGGUCAUGUUAGAACUCCGCCGGUUGGUUCUCAUCUCACAAUCACGAAGCACUGAACCGGUCGAUUUGUAAAAUUGUUCAGGUAACAAUGGGCCCACUCCCCACACUAGCAUCAACACCAUCGAUCCCUCCACUUGCUUCAUCCAGUGUGGUUGAUCACUCGGUUCUGAUGGACCUAUUUUCUCUGAACCGGGUGCACCUCACAAAGGUUGUGGGCCACCAGGAAGGGACCCGUGAGGCCUGCGUUUAAGAUCUGAUUGGAAUAAAGCAACAUCCUUGGGUAACCCAAGAAGUAAAUGGGCCUCUCCCGGUUUGGCAUCCUGGAUGCGAGCCUGCCACAUGGCACACUCCACAGCUGCUGAGCAAGCAUCAGAAGUGAAGAACCCAACAAUGGGAACUUCAAAAUUCUUGAAAACAUCAGCCGUCCAGCCCAUCAUAACGCCGAUGACUACGCAAACAGGUCGGCUUUCGGGUUCCGGGUUGAAAGGAGGUUUCGAAGACCCUGAAGCAUUUGGUUGUGCAUGACAACAUGGAGGUAAGAAGGAGGCGAUGGUAGUAGUGGAGAUGAGGAGGGUAUUUCGGUAAUUUCACAUAGAGGGUAUUGGUGAAGAGAGGAAGGGGUGAUGCUGGUGGUGGAAACGUGAGAGGGAAUAAUGAGGGUAGAUUUGUAAUUACGAGAAGCAAUUUGCUUGCAUAAUUCAAUGCAUGGAAACAGAUGUCCCUGACCGAAGAACGGGACAAUCCAAAUCUCAGCCUCAGCAGCAUUCGCAACAGAGCUUGACAUCUUUUAUGAAUUAUUUGAGACUUAAUUGUUAUUGACUGCUUUUGCCAUCUUUCAUAAAACAUUCUUUGUUAUAUAUUCAAGUAAAUAAAUUUAUCGUUUAAAAUUAAUUUUUCAUGUGGUAAAAGCAAUACUAAAUAUGGGGUGGAGAGAAUAAUUUGUAGGGCAUACCCCCACCAUUUAUUUAAUUUCAUUAAAAAAGAAAGAAAAGAAAUAAAGGCUUGUUCAACAUUCAAUUAAAAUUAACAAUUCCAUGAUAAAAUUACUUGAGAAUAAAAAUUUUUAAAAAAAAAGUAACUCAAAAACGAGGAAUUUUUGAGUAACUGAAGAACCAUAGAUGUUUUUUGGUCAUGAGCAAUUUUUGAGUUGACACAGAACUUGUAUAAAAAAAAUAGUUUUGAAAACUUCUUUUCUUUUUUCGUAAAUAUAGAUAUAAAAUUUUAAAAUCACCAAACACAAAACCAGGAAAAUGGAAGGAGAGCCCCUGUUUCUCCUAUGUUGCAAGCACAAAUUCGGUUUCUAAAGUUGUACCUUCUAAAUGCACCAUUUGUAUUGCUUUGUCUCCACUUGAGCUAACGGAAUUUGAUGAAAACAAAAUAAUUGAACGAUAGGGAUAAAUAUCAAAGAAGGAGCUUACAUGCCCUAUAUAUUCUCUUUGGAUGAAUAACGAAGGUGAGCUUUCAAAGUACAGAGAUUUACAUGUUUUAAUUGUCAUUUACAUUGCUGCAUGCUAAUUGCUUGAUAAAAUACCGCAACAAAUACGCAUUCUCGAUUUCUUAUAAAUUUAUUUUCUUACUCUGAAAAAAAUUGAAUGUUUAGAGAAUUUUGAAGGUUUUGGUGUAUGCAUUAAUAUUUUGAUUCUAUUUAUGUUGUUUAACUAAUGAAGAUGAUACAUCUAGCCUCUUUUUGCCCCUUGUUGUUUUUAUUCUUGUGCUUUAUAUACGGUUCAAGUGUGAUACACUUUAGUUUUUCUCAAGUGUUUGUUAGUAUUUCCCGAAGCAAAAUUUGUCACAGACUUUUAGUUCAAAAGUUGAAAUCAUAACUAACAUACUUCGAUUUUUUAUUUUCCUUUUUUCUUCGGUAUCUUUCUAUAUGGCAUUGCUUGAGAAAUUGGUGUACUUAGAUCGUAAUAUUCUGUAGAAAUAAGCCAAUAUUUCAUUAUGUACAUUGUUUAAUAUGAUAAGUAUUGUAUGGAAGUUUUACAGAUAAGCUCCUUAUAUAUUAUGCAUUAUGUUUUUAUCAUAUUGUUGCUUGGAACUUUGAAGGAUUAGCCACAGGGCUUUAGUCCUACAUGGACAUUUUAUAUUUAACAGCUGGUUAGGCAUUUUAUUUGAUGUUAUUUGGACUUGUAGGUGUUAAAAGUUUUGUUCAGUAAUUUUAUAAUUCAGAUUCCCAUUGUGAAAAGAUAGCAAUUUUUAUUGUGGGUCAGAUUCUGUCAACUGAUAUUUAGCUAAAAUAUCUCACUAACCCCUAUUGGUUAGGUGUUUUUUUUAAUUCACAUACUUGAUUUUUAUUUUCUUUUUAUCUGUGGAAUCACAUGUAUCAUUCAUAAGAAACAAGCUAUUAUAUAAUCUAUUCUUUAGAUCCAUUUAUAUGUAGUGGGCACUCUGAUUUCUAUUAUUUGAAUUUUUUGCUACUGUUACUACUCUUUCGGCCCUUCAAAUAGGGGUUAACAGAAAGGGUGAGUAUAUUAAUACAAAUUCAAACUUUCUUUUUCUAAUUUUAUCCAAAAUAACCUACUAUAUUAUUUUAAUUUCCAACUUUUGUCAUAGUCUAAUGGGCAGUUGUCUUGUCAUUAUUUGGUUUUAGGUAAGAAGAGAGAAAGUUAGUGAGAGGAUGAAAAUUUUGCAAAAACUUGUUCAUAGCUAUGGUAAUUAAGUAAUUUGAGUUCUUUUUUUUUGUUAUUGUUUUUUAUUCACUUUUUCCUGUCUUAAAACAAAUAACGAGUUUUUGUGUUUUUAAUAUUUCUUAUAAACUUCAUGUUGUUUGGUAUAAAAUUAGGUAAUUGGAAAGGUCUCAUGUUGGAUGAAAUUAUCAAUUAUGUGCAGUCCCUACAAAAUCAAGUGGUCGUCAAUGUGUCAGCAUCACUUUCUUCUUCAGAUGUUACUUGUUUUUCACAUUUAUUUUUCUCUCAGUCCUUUUUAAAAGAACAUACACACACAUACUAUGUAGAGUGACCUUUUUUAAUGAGGAAUCUGUCAUUUUAAUAAAAUGAAGAAUAAACUAAAAGGUAGAAGUACACGAACUCUAAUGCAAUAUACCUUUUCUGUUCUUUUACCUUUACUAUAAGAUAGGGAAUGAUAUAAAACUGUUCGAUAAUAGUAAGUGAAAUAAUUAAAAGGCUACUGUUCUAGCUCAUUUAAUAUAUCAAACUUUUCUAGCUCAUUUAAUAUAUCAAACUGCUCGAUAAUUGAAUUGGCCUAGUUAAACAUAAUUUUCAGAUAAUCUUUUUAAUGGUUUAUUUAUUAAUAUUUUGUUUCUUUCCAGUAUGAACACUUUGUUUUGACACGUGGUUAACAACCUUCAACGAACUCGGAACAACCUUCAUCACAUGCUUUCUCACGUGGUUACUUAAACUGAUAUGUUAAACGUGCUCCAUCCACGCCGUUUCCACUAAAUCAUUUUCUGUUAAGAAUCAGCUGAGCAGCGCGUGAGCUAAUGAAGUUUUUCGUAUUGAACUCAACUCUGCUAUUUUCCCAAAGCUGGAAAGCAGAAACAUCAUCCCUUUGGUUUUAUUUCACCUCAACCUUUUUCUGAUCCCAUUUUCAUUGUAAUUUCUCAUUUACUUUGAGUGAAAGUCAUUGUUGCUUUCGAACGAGGUUUUGCAACUAAAAAGGAAAAUGGGGCGGCUACAAUACAUGCGUGCAUCUGAUACAUGCACAAAAACUGACCAUUGGAUUAAAUGGAGUGAUCUAAUGGCUGAGAUUUGUUUCAUUAUUAAGCAAUAAAAAAAUUUGAAACAACCAGAAACCUGUAAAACCGGUCAUUUGGUUUAAGGUAAAAAUAUAUAAAUGAAAAAAAAAAAAAAAAACCCACCACUCCCUCGCCUCACCUCUCUUCUUUUGGGUUUAGUAUUGCUGCUUUUAACAUAAUUGACCUAUGGCCCAAAUCAUUUCUAUAGGGCGAAGCAUAUGAAUGAUACAUAUUAUCUUUUUUUGGCCUUAUGUCUUGUUAUUUGCAGUGUGAUUUGGUCUAGCUUAAGAGCUUAAGCUUGCAGGUUGGAUUUGUCUGACAGGGAACAAUUUAAUUUGUUCAUCGUGAUGUUUAUAUCCAUUUUGUACUACUAUCAAUUUCAAUCAUGCCUAAUUUUUAUAUGUAUUUCUCGUGGACUCUCAGGUUCAGUGCACAAGAGGAUGAAGACGAUGGACACCCAAAUUUGAUGUGGAGAACAACUAUUGCAAAUGGUCCUUGAUUUACUUCUCCAAUUGACUUGAAUUGGUUUGACGCAAUUUAUACUGUAUUUUUGUCAUCUUUGUAUGACUUGCACGUCGUCCUGAUUUGGUACAUGACUGGACACAGGAAUUGGACUCAUAUUUUUCAAACCAGAAUGCCAACAAUCAAGCAUUUUCUUUUGAAAGCACUGGCGUCUUCUUCAAUGCCAAAAAGGUUAGAGAUUUUCUGUAUCCUGUUUUGUAUUUGAUCAGUUUAGCAUGUGGGUGGCAAUCAAGAAAAGUUAUUAUAACAUUUUUGUGUUCCCGAAAAACUGCUGAUGAUGUGUGACUUCUUUUUAUUUGUAUUCUUUCUUUUUCUUUUCUCCCCAACAGUAUUAUGCAUUUCGAAGAGCUUCUUGAAGUUGAUUACCAUGUAUGCCACUUUCUUUACUCUAUGCUCAGGAUGUGAUUUUGCCAAGCAUUAAAAUGGUUUAGGUCAGAACCAUCAUCUAAAGUUUACUUAAAGUUGACGGAUUAAUUCCUUUUAAUAAUGGUCUAGUUAAUUUUACUAUACUCAUAAAACUAUUCUUAUUCUGAUAAUGCCACAAAUGUUAUGAUGUUUUCUUCAGCUAAUGAUCUUCUAUCAGGACUAGUUAGAAAUCAAAUGCUUAAAACACCGAUUGAAUGAAUAAUGCAGAAGUUUAAACAGUAUCUAAUUGAAAAUUGCAUGAAACAUGAAACAUCAAUUCAAGUCCUUCCUUAAACAAAGAAUGCAUCAAACAAAUCCAAAGUGUCUUGCAUGUCUAUAGCAUGACAAAAAAGUUGUAAAUGCGUUUAGAACCAAAUUAUUCAAGUACAGGAGAACGAGCAAGUUGAAUCAUGUACACGAGAUUGGCCUGGUUCGAGAUAGCUUCUUCACUGUACCUGAAGGGUUGGCUCAAUCUUUUCUUUAGAAUUCUGCACAUUUUGUAAUUACUCGUGUAAGCAAGCAUACAUUACAACUCUUGUACACAAACAAUAUUGUAUAAACUAAUGCGACAUAAUAUGAUUGGUUAAACAAAAACAUUACAUAGCCCUCAUAAUUUAUUUAUUUAUUUAUUAUUAUAUAUUUUCAGUCAACCAAUCAUAUUAUAUUACAUUAGUUUCUAUAAAAUAAUUUUCUAAAUAGCACCAAAACUUAAUUGAUACUCACCAUUUCAUUGAACAAUUUUUUUAUGGUGUCAUUGAGGUUGCCUUCCCAACAUCCUUCAUCAUCAUCAUCUUCUUCAUCAUCAUCUUUUUCUUCUUCGGUGACGUUCACUUUGUUUAGCAUUGGUGUGUCUAAGACUCCUUGAGAGAAGAUCAUCAUUUUUGGACACUCUCUCACAACUACUUGUUUCAAGGACGGGAAUUCAAGAGCGUAAUUACCUAAACAAAAGCUUGUUAGGCUUGGCAAACAAUCAAGUCCCAAGUACUUUAAUUCCUUGAAAACAAUGCAAUCUUUCGCUUCUUCUGCAACCGGCGACUGUAUGAUUUCUUCCAUCAUUUUGCAAUCAACUAUCUUCAUUCUUCCGAGAUUCACUAGAUUUUUAGAUGCUGAGAGCGUCAACACAUUUAUCAACCCGUGACACUUCGAUACUUGUAGUCCCCACAGAUUUUCCAAAUGCCACGAAGGUGGUACUAAUUUUUGCAACUUACUACAUUCCGAUAUUUCUAGCCUUUUCAAGUUUGCAAACGCUUUGUUGGAUUCGUCAUUUUCCUUCCAGAGAUGCUGCACUUUGUGUAAUCUAGAUAGCUUUAACUCCUUCAAUUGAGGGAAUGUAAGCUGAAAAUCAACAAAAUUAAGUUGUAAAUGAAAGUAUGUAUCCAAUCUCUGCAGUCUUCCCCUGCAUAUUUUAUGGACAAGAUUAAUCACGGCAUUUUAUAUUUUAUUUCCAAAUUAGUAUGCUUUGCAGUAGGAUCCCAAAUAUAAGUAUCAAAUCGAUUACCCUUUGAAACACAUAAAUGAAAUCUGAUACUAAAUCCAAUAUGAAUUAGCUAGGAAAACAGAGAUGCGACAAGCAUAAUUGAUAUAGUUCAUCACCUCAUGUUACCAGUCAUCGAAAUAAUUUAAGACAUUUUUUUAAUUCAUACUAUAAAGUUAGUUCAUAACUGUAGUUGUAUUGUUAAUUCAUAUAUGAAUCAAGAUGACAUGCAAAAAGAUGAGUCAUAAAAUUUGAUUUGAUUCUAAUGAAAUUACAUCUGUGCGAACAAAAGUGAAGGGGAAAAUAAUAAUAAUAAUAAUAAUAAUAAUAAUAAUCACCUUUUCAUCGAAGAGGGGUUGUACUUGAUGAGCCAGCAAAAAGUUCUCUUCUGAUGUUAAUUUUUGAGGUUCCUUGUUAUUUGUUGUCACAUGCACUACAGAGUUGGAUAUGAAUGUUUCCAUAUCAGGGCAAUUCUCAAUAGUUAGAUUCUCCAACUCAGACAGUUCAAUUAUAUUCCCAGUGAAGUUGCAGAAUCUUUUGAGUUUUGGAAGAUCAAUGAGCCUUAGUCUGUUAAGCCUAGGAAACCGGGGGCCUAUAUGUUCUUCCUUAGCAUUUAGCUCUUCUAAAUGAAGCACCUCUUCUAUUAAAUCACAAUUCCUCACUUCCAGGCAUCUCAAAUUGUUCAAGCAACGUAGCAGAUUGGUAGGAAUAGCACUCGACAUAUUCGUGCAGUCAUCCACAGCCAGUUGUCGUAAAUUGUUGAAGAAGCUGACAGGCACUGCUUGGCCGUGCCAUAUUUCUCUCAAGCGUGGAAAAUGUGAGAGUUGCAAAUGCUCUAUGUCACGGAAUCCAAUCUGCAUAAACCAAAACAAUUGCACUGGAUAUAUAUAAAUUUCUUUUUUUGAAAGGCAUUAGAUAUAUAUAUACAUUAAACUUACAUGUUUUGUGCUUUAACUUCUAAAAAUAUAUUUACAACGCAGGUGUAUAUGUUUAAAUGUGGUAUAGUGGAAUUAAGCUUAUUGCCAUUACUUCGUAAUGGUGUUCGUAACACCAUUACUUCGUAAAGUGAAUCGAUUAACACAUACCAUUACUUCGUAACACUUUUGUAUAGUGGAAUUAAGCUUAUUGCCUUCCCAAUGGUGUUCACCCUCUUCCCUUUCAGUCACUUGCACUACGUAUAGCUUUGGUGUGGAUGAGAUUCCCCGAGAAAAAGUCUUCAUGUUCGGACAAUGUGUCAUAGAAACUUGUUCCAAUGAUGGGAAUUCAAGAGUGUAAUUCUCCAAACAAAAGCUGGUAAGCCUUGGUAAAUCAUCAAGUUCCAAAAGUUUUAAUUCGUUGAAAGCAAUACGAUUCUCCUUCGCUUCUUCUCCAACAUGUCCUAUGAUUUCUUCUAUUUUUGCACAGUCUGAUACAUCAAGAUUCACUAGACUAUUGGGAAUUCCAACCUGAAAAUAAAGAGUAGCAUUCAACUAGAUUCAAAGUAUGUCAAAAUCAUACAAUUGUUUUAUGAAAAAUAACAAACCAUGAAUGUCUACUAGAUAUUUUUUGUUAAAGAAAAAAAAGAAAAAAUAAAAAUAAAUAAAUAGAAGUCCAGAAAAACAAAGAUAAUGAAAAUGCAUUUACACUAUUUAGUAUUAGGAACGGAGAAAGAAUUUCAGGUAAUUUUUAAAUAUUCUAAAUUCAUUUUUCAUCUCGAUGCUAGUUUUUUAAAAUUUUUAAUUUUCAAACAUGCCUAUUUUUAAAAUAACUAAACUAAAACGCUGUAUUUCCCUUUUUUUUUUUUUCCCGAUAUUCAUGCUUUUAAAAAUGGAAAACAUUUCUGGAAAACACUUCCCAACGCCAUCAACAUGGGACUGUUAUAGAGUGAAUAUUUGAGGAAUUUUUUAAUCAACGGUCGAUUCAAAAUGACCAUCAUGAAUUUGUGCUUAAUCAAUGGCGUAAUCAAUUCAUAACUAAACUAGAGAUAUUAACUACAUUUGAACACUUUUCUUUAUUUUUUUUUAAAUCGAAAUUUGAAGACCCAAGGAAAAGAGAAAUAUAUAUGAAUUUGUGAGCUUAAAAGCUGAGUAACUAAGUAUCUUUUAAUUUCUAAAAAUCUUAUUUAUUAGGAUUUAAGGAAAAAAACAAUUAAAUUGAAUUAUAUUAUGCUGUUAAAUCGUGUUUAAAACAAUUAUAUCGUUGACUUUAAUGCGGGUGAACCUAUAAAUUAGAUUGACAAUGCAGAGUUCAGAAUGGUGAUUUGAAGUACACUACUUUUUUGCCCUCCUGAUGUUUGAAGUAAAAUACUUGCAAUAAAUAAUUUGUGAAUGAAAAUUAUUUGUAAACACAAAAAUGAUUAAAAUAAUUGUUGAAUGUUACUUGAAAUAAAAAUUCAAAAUGAAUAUAGCAAUCUUACCAAUGGAGGAAAAAUAUUCAGUAGAUUAUUACACCCAGAUAUCUUCAAUUUUUUCAAUUUGCUAAAAGACUUCGAAGCAAGCUGGUGGUGCCAUAUUUUUCUCAACUUAUCCGCCUCACUAAUAUGUAAUACCUCCAGACUUGGGAGUCGUACCUGAAGUUAAAAAUUCAAUGCAAUUAGAGAUGUAUAUUAAUUAAAUUUGAAGACUCAACGAAAAGAGAAUUUAAAAAUUCAAUGAAAAAAAACCUUUUCAUCAAAGAGGGAUUGAGGUUGCAUUUCAGUGUGAAUGACGUCUUCUGGUGAGGCAAAGCUACUUAGUUUUGGAAGCCAAUGGAGCGACAGGUAGUGUAGUUUGGGAAAAACCUUAAAUUCAUCUCUUCCUCCUAACGUCGUGGUGUUGACUACCCCUUCAAUUGACCGGCAAUUACGAAUCUCAAGAUGUUGGAGUUGCCCAAGACUAUUAACCAUAGAAUAUGAAAACAAAUACUUCAGACGAUGACAACUCCACACGGUCACUUUUGUUAAAUUUUGACAACAAUAUAUUCCCUGAAAUUGAUCGGACCAUAAUUUUUUUAUAUUUGUUAAACUGACAAGUUCCAGUUCCUCCAAGCGUGGAAAAGUAACCUGCAAAGAAAAACCAUACAUUUUUGUUCCUUCAACUACAACUUCUAAUAUAAUAUUCUUUCGAUGAUUGAAGAUCAAUCGUGAUAAUAUAUUAAUUAAUUAAUUAUUAAACAGAAAAUUAUUACCUGGUGAACAGGAUCAUCCUCUGCAUUGAUUUCUAUGAAUCCCUGAGUUGUUGUUGGUUUCUCCAUGUCGGGCCCUAUAAAUGAACCAAAACAAUAUAUAAUAAACAUCCGUUGUUUUUUUCCCCAAAAAAAGAAAAAGAAAAAAAGAAAGAGUCAAUGUCAAUAAUCCUACCAAUAAUUAAUUUCAACACUUACCAAUAAUCAUUUUCAAAUCAUCGCAGUCUUCCACUUUUACUUUUUGAAGCCGCAAUAGGUUUUUGGCCAUAGAGAAUGAGAAGAGAUACUUCAAUUUUCGACAGGAAUCUACGUUUAUAAUCCUUAAGUUGCUGAAGGAUUGAUCUUCUCUGAGUUGGCUGUAGCAUAUCGUCUCCAAAUUAGUUAAAAACAUAAGAGACAAUGCCUCCAGCAAGGGAAAGACUUCGCAACGAACCCUAACUGAACCGACAAUAUGUAAAAUCUCAGAACAGUCUGUUACGAGAAGACGCUUCAAUCGUGGAAAACCUUCCCCAUCGUCUAAUUCAUGAACAACACUUUGAACACCCUCCAAUGUUUCUAGCCAGAGAUCUUCAGUUCUCUGCAGCAACAUUUUUGUCCCAUCAUUCUCCUGAAGAAUGCUAACUUUUUUUAUCCCCUUGAGCAUCAUCAAUCUUGAUGCUUCAGAUUUGACGAGCAAUGGGUCAAACUCAUCUUCGGGCCCAUCUCCUAUACGUAUCUUAUAUCUUUGCAAUUCCACAGAGACAAAAUCCGGCGGCAGAAUUUCGGCAUCCGGAACUUCUAUCUCCAAAGUAGUUAGCUCUGUCAACCUCUCCAAUUCGACAAGACUGGCAUUACUUCCUCCUUCAACCUUCUCCCACCCUGAAAAACCGUUACCCAUAUACAAUUCUUCUAAUUGAGAAAAAUUUUUGGAUAUGACAUUUCGGUGCUAUUCACCUUCAAGCCCACCAAACAAUUGCUCUCAAAUCUAGGAAAUUGGUAACCGCGGCCAAUNNNNNNNNNNNNNNNNNNNNNNNNNNNNNNNNNNNNNNNNNNNNNNNNNNNNNNNNNNNNNNNNNNNNNNNNNNNNNNNNNNNNNNNNNNNNNNNNNNNNGCGAGGCUGAGAAUCUCUAUUUCUUUAGUGUCCCAAUUGCGCUAUAUCUGCUAGUCGCACCAGUCUAAACACAAUGUUUGAAGGUUAAUGAGGCGACCAAGUGAUGAAGGUAAUGAAGAAGAGCCAAUUCCAGGAAACUGUAAAACUUUGAGUCCUUCCAUCCCUUCAAAAAAGUGGUCUGAAACUUGCAUAGGGCCAUUACCCUCCGUAUACAACAAAAAUAACUGGAGAUUGGGACAUUGCAACCUUUCAGGGAGCUCUUGAAUAUCUCUAUGAGGUAAUGAAAUAGCAAUUGGAUCUUUCUGUAUUGUCUCUUCCAUCUUUUUCUCCAAGUCAGCAACAUUUGGAACAUUAAACAUGCGCUCCUCUCUGGCAAUUGAUACGGCAACAACAUGAAUGACGUCAUGCAUUUUAACUUCAUCUUCAGCAUCACCGUCCAACAAUAAGCAUGAAGAUUUGAGGUUGUCGAUCAACCGAUGCACUCUACUCCUUGCUUCUUCCAAUGUGUAAACAUUUUCAAACAAACCCCAACCCACACCACAUCUCAAUAAGUCAGAAACUUGUAUGACAUUACCUUCACUGUAUAGACUACAAAGACGGAACAGAGAUUUUGCCUCCUCACUUUCCAAGAAGUCAUAACUCAAUUUUAUGGAGGUGUACACAUUUGCUUGCAUGCCAUGAAUUUCUCUAGCAUCCGAUCUUCUUAGCUGAUUCAAUGCAUCUUUCCAAAAGUAACUAUCCUUAGUUUUCAGAGCAUUUGCAACUGUACUCAGUGCAACAGGCAAACCUCCGCAUCUUUCAACGAUCUCAUUUGCUAUACUUUGAAAAGCGGAUAUUUUAGUUGAAUCACCCACUAUCUUUUCAAAUAACUGCAAUGCUUCUUUUGGUGGCAAAGCAUCGAUCGGGAAAUUUUUCUGAGAAUUCAUAUCAAUGCGCAAUAAAUCUCGACUUCUAGACGUCAAUAUUAUUGUGCAUCGUCUCUGAUCAUCCUUUGUAUCUUUCUCAUCAACAUCCCCACAAGGAAUUCCAACUUUUUCGAACUCGAGUUUUUUCCAAAUAUUAUCCAAUAUAACGAGGACCUGCUUCUCGUUCUUCAAUCUUUCACGUAAUCGAUCUGCUCUUUCGAAUUUAUUCUCAUCCGAGCCAAAUUUCAUGCCUAAGUCAAAAGCAAGUUUCUUUUGAAUUUCCUGAUGAUCUGGGGUCUGUGUUACCUCAGCCAUAACGACCUUGUCGAACACCUUAUCUUCCAUAACUUGCCUUGCAACUUGCUUGACUAGCGUGGUUUUACCCACGCCGCCCAUCCCGUAGACCCCAAUUAUCUUGAGCUUAUCAUCCUUCAACGCCUCCACAACAUCUUCAAAUACUUUCAUUCUUGAAUCAAAGGCCUCGAAAUCUUUCACUUGCAUAUGUUCUGCCCGCUUUGGAGCAGGACGGUAGGAAACAUUAGAGAAGUUACAUUUUCCCAUGAGACUAGCAGCAGCUUCUGCGGCCUUUGCUGCUUGUCUACUGAGCUUGUAACGAGAAAUCAAGUUUGGGCACAAUCCUUUGAAACAGAACUUCUUAGCUCUAUCUUCAUCAUCAGUGAUGGAUUUCGCAGCUCCCUGACUGAAUUCCUUGACGCUAUUAAGCCAGUCUGCAACAUCCUUAUAAAUCUCAUCUCCUUGUUGAGUAGCCUGAUGAACGGGUAUUUCCACCCUUUCUCUUUUAUAUCCCAACUGUUUCACUUGAUCUUUUAGGCCAUCUAUGUAGCUCUGGUACUUGAACACAUAAGAGAUCUGCCGUAUAAUCGGUUUGAACAGUGACUUUGCAUCUUCUGAUACGAUGCUGGAAAAAGCAGCCAGACCCACUUCUGCAACCAUUGCCUGUUGCUUAACAAUAUAUGUAUAUAUAUGAAUAAAAUGAAUAAAAAUGUCAAAGAAAGGAAUACAAAUAAAUUAAAAUGAACUAGAGGGAAAGACAGAGAAAGAAAAGACCGCAAACAACAUCGCGAUAUUGAUUUUGAACCAACUGAUACAUAAGUAGAGAAUUUCUUUUUCUAUCUUAAGGAUCAGAGGUUUUGCUAUUAACAGAAAGGUAUCCUUUAAGGAAAGUUGAUGGAAAUUAAGAAAGAAUGGCUAUCAAGAUCAAGUAUUCUGCUACUAAAAAUAAAUGAUAUGACUUAAGAAAAGUAAAUGAUAUGAUUAAGAAAAACCAGAGAAUUUUUUCCUAGGAAAGUUGAUGGAAAUUAAGAAAGAACCGCUAUGAAGAUCAAGUAUCAGAGAUUCUGCUACUAAAAGAAUAUUACAGGUUUUAGAACAAGUGCACCUCUUUACCUGUCUGGGAUCAGAGUCGAUGAGCUGCUGUAUUCACCUUGAAUAUAGAAGAAAUAUUACAGGUUUUGACUAAAGAGGAAUGUGAGGAACGAGUUGAUGAGAGUAAUAACAAUGAAUUUCCAAAAGAAGACGACUUGAGCAUUAAGCAUGCACCCCCUUUAUCAAUCAAAUAUUGGUACGUAUGUACGUAGGGACCAUUAUGCGUAUAUGAAGUCCAUUAGUUGCAAUCAGAAACCCUGGCCCAAUUUAAUUGACACUCGAUUUUUGAUAAGAAGAAGGCAAGGAUAAGGACAAAGUCAAUCAAUCACCAACAGUAAUUACUUCAAUCUUUGUCAAUCUACUUAAAUUGUCGAUCAACAUGAAAAUUGUUUAAAUUGAUAUUUGUAAAUCAAUCAAUUUUCUAGUUACUAUGAUUAUAACGUUUCACCUUUCAUAUUGGAUUUUAUCUUUUCGAAAGUUUUCAAAUAUGAGUGUCAAUAAUUAUUGAGACUCCAAGCCGUGCUCUCAAGAUCGUGCUGACAAAUCACUAUUGACUUUGUUUAUGCAAAAUUCAAAGAAAAAAAGUUAUGGUUUUGUAUUGCCAGCCCUGCUACUUUUUGUUUUUUUCAUUUGUAUUAUUUACGAAUUAUUUUUUAACAGAAACAUGAGAACUCAUCAUCGUAUAAAAUUGCAUGAAAAAAUCUUCAAAUUUAUAAAAGUAAAUUUCAUUGACAGAUUGUGGAUAUGUUAGAAAGAAUAAGGAUAAGAAUGAGUUAAGAAAUAAUAUAUAUAUAUAUAUAUAUAUAUAUAGAUAGAUAGAUAGAGAGAGAGAGAGAGAGAGAGAGAGAGAGAGUGAAAGUAAACAAUGUUUUGGUACAUUUGGUAUUGUUUUCAAAAUAUUUUGAAAAGAAAAAUUUUCAAUUAUCCAUCUAAGAAUUAUCUUAUUAUCCAAAAAGUUAUAAAAAUUUAAAAAUAUUUAAUUUUAUACCCAUUAUUACAAUGUGUAUCAACUGUUUACUAAAAAAAUAAAGUUACUCCUAAAACAUAAUCACCACUACAAUUUUGUGUUCGGUUCUAUUUUGUCACUUUGAACGAAUAACUUUAUAUUUUUAACAGAUGUUUCAUACAAAUUGCAUACAUUGGAUGUAAAAUUAAAUAAAUUUAAAUUUUUAUAAUAAUUUUAAUAAUUGAAUAAACUUUGAGUAAAUGACUGAUAAUUUCUCUUUUAUAAGCUACAAGAAGUUAAAAAGAAAAAAGAAAAAAUAGGAUGAUAAUUUCUCUUUUAUAUGCCUCAGAUGAUUUAUUGUUUCGGGUCUAAGAUUUUAAUUAUUCAACUUAAAAGAUUAAUAUAUUAUAAAUUAAUUAAUUAAAUAAUCAUUAAGCAACUAAAUUGGGUCCCCUGGAUGUCAAUUCCUUUAAUAUUGACGCAACUAUUUUUUUCUGGCAAAUAAUUAUUAAUGCACUGACGGAACUUUUGCAUAUCUACACAGCGAUUUUAAAUAUUACUGGUAACUGCUGAGAAAUGUGCGAGAAAGAAGUUGAUGAGAGUAAUAACAGCGACUUGCAAAAGGAAAAGACAGAAUCAUUCACCCCUUUUUGUAUCACCUAUUUGGUUACUGUUUCCCUGUUGACGCAUGUAUAAAUUUGACUGGUUUUUCUGCACUUUUUUGGCUGUUGCUUAACAAUGUGUGUGUGUAUUUGCUGUUGAAAAAAUUGGAUUCAAAUAAAUUAACUGAAAGAUUAGAGUUUUGACUAUUAACUGAAAGGUUUCAAGGGUAUGAAUGAAAAGCAACAUUCUUUUUUAGAAACUAUUUUAGAGGAGAGAUGCAAAUUAACAAAUGCUAAUAACAAGAACACAGAAGUUAACAAUGAACAGUAACUUAAAUCAAGAAAAUUAAAUGACAAAAUUAAGACAAACAAGAGAUAUUUUUUUCUUGGACAUUAAGAAAUAACUGCGGUCAAGAUCAAGGAGAUUAUGCUAUUAAUAGAAAUUAUCAAAGGAUUUAGAACAAGUUCACCUCUUUAAUUAUCCGGGAUCAGAUAGUUGAUGAGCUUCUCUAUUUAGCCUUGAAUAUUUAAGAAUAAUUUUAAAGAGCAAAAAGAUCACUGGUAACUGCUGAAAAAUAAGUGAGAAAAGAGUUGAUGAGAAUAAUAACAAUGAAUUGAAUAAAAAAAGGACUUAAUCAUGCACCCCCUUUGCAUAUCAUGUAUUUGGUUACUGUUGCCUUGUUGACGCAUGUAUAGAAUAAUUACAUGUAUUAUUAUAAUUUUGGAUUCGAUAUCCUUGUAUUAGUGUCUAAGAUUUUCAUGAAGAAUUAAACUUGGAAUGACCAAAAGAGGAAGCUGCAGUGUAUUGUUGGACCCAAUUAAGUUGAAGAAAGCACUAGUUCACAACCUUACGUUUGGAUAUAUUCUAAAGAAAUAAUUAAACAGCAAAUCAUCACAUGCACUUUAAUGAUUUGAUCUAUUGUUUUCAAAAGAAAUUGCAAUUAACAGUUUUUGUCAAAAGUUCGCACAGCGUGAAACUAGUGUUAGUAUAAUUUAAAAAAUUAAUUUCAGUAUUAUUUUUUAAAAUGUUAAUUAUUAGAUUUAUUUUAAUAAUAUAUUUAUAUUUAUUAUAAAAAAUUUAGUUAAAUAUUUGUGUUAAAUAGAAUUUAUAAUUAAUUUAAUAUAUCUUAGGUAUUAAUAAUAUUAUAAUUAUUCUAUAUGCUAUUGAAAAUAAUUUAAAUUUUUAGACAUUUAUUUUAUAUUAAGUUUCUAUUUAUUACAAAAUUUAGUUUAAUAUAGUAUAAGCUUGUAAAGUAUUAAAAUAUUUUUUUCAUUUUUUUUAAAAUAUUAAAAUUAUUUUAAAAUAUAUAUAUUAACAUUGAAGCUAAUUUUUUGAGUUAAUAGAGCUAGUAGGUGUUAUAGUAAAAAAGAGUAUCUUAGUAUCUCUUAUUGAAAAUAUAUAGAUCUAUAUAAUCAUUUUUUCAAAUAUUGAGAUGUAGAAAAAUAAAUUAAAAAAUUUUAAAUUUUAAUAUGGCCAUCGUAGGGUUAGAAUCCCCGCUCCAACCCGAUUUGGAGAUUUAUGUUUUUAAAAAAAAAAAGAACAAAGAAAAAAUACACACCCGACCAAAUCAAGCACCUCAUCAAAUCAAAAAUAAAAAAGGAAAGAAAUUAAUGGCUUGCAUGCAAUUUUGGAUCUGAAAUUAAAAUUACAUAAAAAUUAAGGCUUACGUACCUUAAUAUUUACAGCUUGUUUGAUGGCCCCAACAAGUUUAAGCAGCAUCAAAAUGUUGUGGCUCCUUAAAUGACAACAUCGACUUGUUUGACAGCUCCAACAAGGCUACGAUGAUCAGAAGAUGAGCCCUCAAUCAACAAGGCUAAGAUUGGCUUCUCUAUCCUCUGCCGACAUGUCCUCUUCUCCCAACAACCAGCGCCUUGCUCUUUGUCAUUUUUCCUCUUGUUAGUUUUCUUCUACAUAUAAUUAUUACACUGGGAAGUAUACACACACUUCUUUUCUUUUUAUAGUACCUUACUAUUAUAUCUUUACAAAACAAUAUCACCCUAAGACAUAUAUGUAUGAAAUAAAUAUAUAAGGAACGGACGAAAUAAAAUUAGAUCUAACACUAGUUUCAUGUGGUGUGUGAACUUUUGACAAUCCUCUCAUACCCCAACAAAAACUUUGUCAUAUUACAAAAGUUAUCACGACCAUAGACUUUUCAAUUGCAUAUUGGAAUUGCAAUGUCAUUUUAUUAUAGUAAUGUCAUUUCCAUUAUUCAUAGUGGCAGACAAUGGACAUCACGGGACACGGCUAGAAGUUAUCACGACCAUAGACUUUUCUAAUUUAUGAAAUAAAUGAAAUUAGAUCUAAUUCUAGUUUCAAGUGGUGUGAACUUUUGACAAUCCUCCCAUAUCCUAACAAAAGCUUUGUCAUAUUGCGAAAAUACCUUUUCAAUGUUUCAAUUGCAAUGUCAUUGCCAUUAUUCAUAGUGGCAGACAAUGGACAUCACGGGACAUGGCUAGAAGUCUAUGUUACGGCUUCUGUAAGUAACAGCAGCCAAUGGGGAACUUCCAUGGGGGCUAUAGGAGAGAGAAAGAGGUCCCAAUACAAGUGUUAGAGUACAAUUUAUACACUAGUUUUGCAUUGUUUACUUCCCUUAAUAUCGAUGUUUUGCAUUUAAUAAUAAUGAUUUACUUGUGUUUUACUUUUGUAAGUGCAAUUCUAUUGAUUUGUGAUAGAAUUGAGGUAUAAGAUGAUGUUUAAAGAUGAUUGUUCUCUUGGAGAAAUUUAGAGCGUCAGAAGAACUUUAUAGAUAAGGCGUGGGCGCGUGCUGUCAACUGCGGACCUGCAGUUUUUAGUUUAAUGUGUUUUGUAUUUUUGGCUAUUUUUGUAAUUACGAAUUUAAUAUUUCAAAUAUUAUUAUUUUAUUUUAAAUAGAACUUUAAAAGAGAAGAGAGAGAGAGUAUUUAAGGGAGGAAUCUAUUGUGAAAAAGGGGGGAUUUUAAUUGGAGAAAAAGAAAGAAACCCUAGAUCUAAUUUUUCUCUUCUCUCUAUGAAAAACUAAACUUAUUUUUUCUAGUUGAAGGUUAAUGAAUUUUUGAUUCAUCACUACUGUGAGAUCUUUCUUAUGCUUUAAUUGUUUUAUUACUUUUUGGGUAUUUGUUUAUUCUCUGAAUUAGUUUCAUGAUUAUGUUUGUUAAUUAGGUAAUUGGCCACUAUUUAAUUAUCAACUUAAUCUAUUGUCAAUUAAAGAAUUCAUCGUAUGACGAGUUUAAUGUUUGUGACAAAUAACAUAGCAGUGAGUUGUGUUAUGGGAAUAAACAAUCUAAUUUAAAUGAAUCAUCAUAUGUGUUGAUUAGGAUUUGGGUCGCUCUGGUUUUUCAGGCUGUCAAUUGAUUAAAUCCUAUGAUCGUAUCUAGGGUUGUCUAUUAAUUAGGGAAAUAUCCAAUGGUCGUACCUUGGUUAUCGACUAGUUAAGGAGAGAUUGGCUAUUAGAGGGUCUCAAUAGCUAUAACCAGUUUAUUCAUAAGUAAUAAUAAUCUAUUUUUGAAUCAAUGAUCAGUAGUCGAAUCAAACUGAGUUAAUUCCUUCAACCAAAGCUUUCUCCAAUUUGAAUUACAACUUUAAUUUGCAUUUUUGUUAUUUUAAUUUGAUUUUUUAUUAUUGUCAACAAUUCUCCCAUUUUACGUUUUACGUUUCAAAAGAAUUUAAAUAAUUACCGAUCUCUGUGGACACAACCCUGCUCAAUCACUAUACACAAUUUAUUUAGAGUAGGAAUUUAUUUUUAUUGGCUUCAACAACCAUCAACAAGGUGAUGGAAAUGGGAAAGUUCGAAGCUGUUACUUUCAGCUUCUGCACCGUAGCCAUGUCCCACGGGACAAGGCUAGAAGUUAUCAUGACCAUAGACUUUUCUAAUUUAUUUUUUCCUUUCAAAAAGGGACAAGGAUAAGUUUGGGAGAAUGAUUAUAUUUUUAAUAAAAGAAUUCUUUUUUAUUAUAAUACUUUUUGUCUUUAUUAAUUUAAAAAUAUUAACUCUUAUAUUUUAAUAAAUAUAAAUAUAAUAUUAUAAUAACAUAUAACAAUAUAUACAAAUAUUUAAAAAAAUUUAAGAUUUUAUUAAAAUAAAUUUUAUAAUAAAUAAAAAUACAUUAUUAAUAUAAUUUUAAUAAUUUGCAUUUUAAAAAGUAAUACUGAUAUUAUUUUUUAAAUAUUAAUUUUUUAAAUUAUAUUACUCUACCAAAAAAAAUUAAACUAUUAAAUUAUAUUGAUAUUUAUUACAAAAUUUGCAAUUAAUUCUUAUUAUAUUUUUAAUUGGAAUUUGUUCCUGUGAUAUAACAACAAUUGCUACAGUUUUUUCCCUAAAUAAAGAUGGAGUUAUAAAUUAUUUGUGUAAGUGUCAUGAAAGUAAUAGUUGAAUAACAAUAAUGGGGCUUUAGGCAAUUUUUUUUAUGAGGUCUUCUUGCAAUUUCAACACUUAAACAGACUUGUCCUUGAUCCCAAUUUAUUUACCCCAUUUGGGCCCACGAUGAGAUAAAUAUAUUCCUGUGAGAUGAAAAACAUCAGGAGAAGAAAAUGUUUUAUUAUAAUAAAAAAACAAGUGGUCCAUAAGUCUAUUUAUUACUUUUUUUAUUCAAUACAAAUGGCCAACUUAAAAAAUGAUAAAAAUCACAUAACGCACAAGCAAAAAUUUAGAUUUACAUUUUUUAGUUCUCUCCGUGUCUCUCUUUCUCUUUUUUAAAAAAAAUAAAUAAAUGUCAGUGUAAAAUUAGAAAAAUUUUAGAUAUAAACUUUGGCGAUGACCAAACAAAAAUUGCAAGGGAAAGAAAAUAGAGGACCCUUGAUAUCAUUAAAAUACUGAUCAUAGACACUACAAUAUAAAUAACUUGUUGUGAUCCACUCAACUUGUAACACUUUAAUCCAUAUUCUAAAAUUUGUAUGUUUGUUAGGAAUUUUAUUAUUGACAUUACUGUACCAAUAAAAUUCUAAUUUAUUCAUAUGGAAAGAAAACAUCAAGAAAGGACCUCUGAUUUUUAUUAUAACAGAAAAAAGUGGUCCAUAAGUCUAUUUAUUAUUUUAUUUAUUCAAUACAAAUUGCCAACUUAAAAAAUGGUAAAAAUCACAAAAUGCACAAGUAAAAUUUUAGAAUUACAUUUUUUUUAAUUCUCUUUGAGUCUCUCUCUCUCUCUCUUUAAAAAAUAAACCUCACUGUAAAAUUAGAAAAAAUUUAGACAUAAAAUUUGACAAUCACCAAACAGAAAAUGUAGGGAAAUGAAAAUGGAGGAGCCCUAUUAUCAUUAGAAUAUUGAUCAUAGAUACUAUAAUGUAAAUGAUUUGUUGUGGUUCAUUCAACCUGUCACACUCUAAGCCAUUUUCUAAAAUUUGUAAGGUUUAUAGGAUUUUUAUUAUUGGCAUCAUUGUAUCAAUAAUAUUAUAAAUUAUAUAUUCUAUUGUAAUGAAAAUUUGUGUAAUCUUAGGUAUUUAUUGUAUUAAAUUGUGUGGAUUAAUUAAGAAUAUUUUUGGAGACAAAAGAGGUGUGUGUACGUAGGAUUAAUAAUAAAAAAUUUCUAAAUAAAGGUGAUUGCUUCAUUGACAAGUACAUAUUUAUAUUCUCUAUUAGUAUUUGGGUUGUAAACUUUGUUUAUAAAGUGAAUAUAUUGUGGUAAGCGAUGUGGGCAAUAUCGGAUGCAAAAUAUUGAGAGAUCAUUAACGCAUAUAUUUAUUGCAUAUAGAGGAAAGAGUGUAGAUCCGGCCGUAACAAUUAUGAAGCUUUCCCCAAGUAUUCUCACGCUUCCUUAACUGUUCCAAAGUAUUUUUCAUAGUGUGCAGAUUUACUUUAUGGUGUCUUAAUUCGUCUAAAAUGAUUACUUUAGUUCUUUUGGGAUGAAAGGUCAUUUAUUGUGUUAGGAUUAAACAAUAGAAAAAAUAAGUAAUGGUAACGAAAGACUAAUUUGUGAUAUUGAAGCAUACAUGCUUAACUCAAUCCAAAACUUAGUAAGUUAGCUCAAGAGUUAAGAGUUGUCCAAAUCUUAUAUGCUGAACCCAAGUUCAAUACUCAAUUGAUGCAGGAUGUUAUUCCUAACACCGCCCGUCAUGCGUAGGAUUGGCAAAAAAACUCGAGUCAAUCCCGCCUAGACCUGCAAGCUUUAUUUAUGGCCAGCAUGAUGAAGUUACAGAUAUUAACCUAAAAAUUUGAAACUUACUAUGAAUGGCCUUGGUUAAAGACUUUUGUAACUUUAAUUUAUAACAAAUAUGUAUACACACACACACAUGUUUAGAUUGCAUUUGGGUGACUUUUUUUAUCAAUGCAAACAAUAUCAAAUUUAUCGGAUUAAUUUGAAUCUGAUCUAUAUCCGAUUUUGCCCGCCAUAAGCCCAAGUGACUCUCUUUUACUAAUUAAUAAGGGAAUUUUUUGACCUCAUGUCCUUGCUGUGGCAUUAGACUGUUGGUCAUUUUGAUUGUUUCCUACCUUCCAUUUACGCCAGCUGUAACAUUGUAUUAUUCACCAUUUUAGCCAUUUAAAUGAAAUUUUAUUUUUGUCAAAAAUAAAAUGACACCCUUAAAAUAAAAAAAAAUAGUUAUGUAGACCUCAAAUUUUUAAUAAAGAAUGUCAAUACCUCUUUUAACUACAAGAUUCGUAGUAGAUGAUAAAAAGAAAAUUAACUUCAAAUUUUUUCAUUAAAUGUAAAUCUGAUUGAAGUAGUUUAAAUUUUUCUAGUAGACUAAUAUAUAUAACUUAAAUAAUUAAUUUCAUUAUUAAUUGUUAAAAUGUUAACCAAUAUAUUUUUAAUUUAUUAUAAAAAUUUUAAAUAAAUCCUUGGAUUAAAUAGAUUUUACAAUUAAUGUAAUACUUCUGAUUUAUUAAUAAUAUUAAAAUUAUUUUAUAUGAUAUUCAAAAUAAUUUAAACUUAUAUAUAUAUUAAUAUUAUGUCUAUUUAUUAUAAUAUGGUUUAAUAUUAUACGGGAUUGUAAAAUAUUAAAAUAUUUUUCAAUAUCCAAUUAUUUUAAUAUGUAUAUAUCAUUACAUUUAUUUUAGUAUCAUAUUUAUAUUUAUUAUAAAAUAUAAAAUUAAUAAAAUUAAAGAGUAUUGCAGUAAAGUAAAAAAGAAAAGUCUUAUUAUCUCUUAUUCACGAUAUGAGAUUCUACAAAAUUAUUUCCCGAAACGGGUGUCCUUUUCUCAUUUUCAAAAGAAAAAAUAAAGUAAGAAUAAGUCCAUGGGUUUCAAAAACUUCUAGUCUUAUCCCGGGACUACAUUGUCUGCCACUAUAACUAAUGGAAAUGACAAUACAAUUGACAUUGCCUUUCGCAACAUGACAAAUUUUUGGUGGGAUAUGGAAGAAUUGUCAAAAGUUCACGCCAUGUGAGAGUUUUUGGUGGGAUGUGGGAGGAUUGUCAAAAGAUCACACCACAUGAUAUAACCACAAUUGCUAUGGUUUUUAUUUUUUAAAUAAUGAUGGGAGUUAUAAAUUAUUUAUAUAAAUUUGCGUAGAAACUAAUGUAACAUAAAAGAAGUAGCUGAAUAACAAUAUUUGGUGCUUUAGGUAAUUUUUAUAUGAGCCUUUCUUUUAUUUAGCGGCUCUAGUGCUUAAACAAACUUGUUCUCGAUCUUAUAACAGAAAAGGCAUCCCAUUUAAGCCUAUGAUGACAUAAUUAAACAUAUUCUUUUGUGACGAAAACAUCAAGAGAAGACAUCUCAUGUUUUAUUAUAACAGAAAAGAAGUGGUCCAAACGUCUAUUCGUUAUUUUAUUUAUUCAAUAUAAAUGGCCAACUUUAAAAAAAUGAUCAAAAUCACACAACACUCAAGUAAAAAUUUAGAAUUACAUUUUUUAAUACUCUCUAAGUCUCUCUCUCCUGCCCCCCCCCCCCCCACCCCGUCCCCUUUUUUGAAAAAAUAAACCUUAGUGUAAAAUUAGAAGAAUUUUAGAUAUAAAAUUAGAAGAAUUUUAGAUAUAAAAUUUGGCAAUCGCUAAACAGAAAAGCAGCGGAUUGAAAAUAAAAAAACUCUAUUACCAUUGGAAUAUUGAUUAUAGACAAUAUAAUAACUUGUUGUGGUUCAUUGUAGCACUCUGAGCCAUAUUCUAAAAUUUAUAGGUUUGUUAAGGCAUUUAUUAUUGACAUUAUUGUGUCAAUACUAUUAUAAUGAUAAUUUGUCUAGUCUUAGGUACUUAUUAUAUUAAAUUAUGUAAAUUAAUUGAGGAUACUUUUAGAGACAAAAGAAACACGUGUAUGUAGGAUUAAUAAUCGAAGAAUUGUAAAUGAAGGUGAUUGCUUCAUUGAGAGGCAUAUUAAAUAAUUAUGGAGAGUUGCACUAUUUCGGAAGCACAUAAUUAUACUUCCCUAUCAGGAUUUGGGGUAAACGAAGUGCUUUAUCUAUUGCAGUAAGCAAUGUGGACAAUAUCAGAGGCGAAAUAUUAAAAGAUCAUAACGCAUAUAUUGGAGCCAUUUAUCUUCCGCAACUGUUCUGAACUAUUCUUCAUUGUGGGCAGAUUUACUUAAAUACCUGCACAAUGAUUCAAUACUUCAAAGGUCAAGGAAAUGUCAAAAUAUGAAAUGAAAAUACUUAAAUACCCUUCUACCUAACAAAACUCGCAGAGAAUCUAUAAAAUUAAAAAAAAAAUAUUCAUCCAUGAAAAGCUUCGUAACAGAAAAACCGUCUUUCAAAAAAUAAAAACAGAAAAACUGACUCAUUUAUCUGCAAAUGAACCAAUCGGGACUCAUUUAAAAAAGAAUACAAAGCAAAAGUAAAUGACACAAAUUGCAUAGAUAUCUAGGAGCCGCAUCAAAAGACAAAGGUGUUAAUUUGUCCAAGAAUAAAUUCUCCUAGGUCAAAAGCAAUUAACGAUGAAAACUUUCUUCAUUAAGGUUCUGGCCUACGUAAAAAAACAGAAAAAAACCACCCCAAGGUCAAAGCACAACGAUAAAUUUAGAAAUGAAGUUUUUAAUUUUUUUUUAAUAAAUCAACGUGUAUCAAAAAUAGAUAAUAAUUUUGGAUAACUUUUUUUGAUAAAUAUAGACAUAAAAUUUUAAAAUCACCAAACAGAAAAACAGGAGAAUUAAAACAAAGUCCCUGUUUAUCCUCUAUUUUGCUUGUUAUUAAAAAGGGAAAUGAAAAGAUUGCAAGCGGAAAUUUUGUUUCUGCGUUGUCUCUUCUCAAUGCUGCAUGCAUUCAAAUUAAACCUUACAUAUGCUAGCAAACUAGCUACGCUGCAUGUAAGUUCUCGAUAAGUCCAAAUAAUAGAAUAAUUGUAAAAUGUUCAAAUUCAGUAAUUAAUUUUAUUUAUUUAUUUAUUCAAAAAUUAUUAUUAUUAUUAAUUAUUGUCAAUAAUAUAUUAAUAUACUAAUUAAUUGUAAAAAAAUUUAUCAUUCAUAACAAUAAUAAUGAUGAUGAUGACGAUAAUAAUAAAAAUUCAAAAUAUAUUAAUUAAUUAUAAUAAUAUAUUAAUUAUUUAAUAAUAAUAUAUUUAAAAUAUAUAUAAAUUGAUUAGAAUAGUUAUAUUAAUAAAUUAUAAACAUAUAUUAAUUAAUCAUAAUAAUUUUUUAAUUGAGGACAAAAUAGAUAUUUUAUAGUUUGUGAGAGGGGGCAAAAUGAUCAAUCUUGGGAAUGGGGGAUUGAUUCCCACCACCUUCCUUAGGAAUCAAUCUUCCAUUCCUCACUCCUAAUUUGGGUGGUCCCCAUAGUUCUGAUUCGGAUCCCAGCCUCCAUUUUAUGAAGUAAACAUCAUUAAUGAUUUCGAUUUCGGAUUUCGAUUCUCCAGUCCAAGAAGUAAAGGCACCAUUAUUGUUAAUUGGUUCAAACACACAAAGAGAAUGUACCAUGUAGCUAGGCGUCAAGGUUGUGUGGCACAAGUAACCUUUUUCUUUUCUUUUUAUUUUUCUUGUUUUCCUUAACGGAUCAGAAGAAAUCGGUGCCUUUGAGAUACUACAAUGUAAAUAAGUAUUUGUGGUUCAUUGAAUCUGUAACACUCGGUACCCUAAGGUUGCUUUUGAAAAAGGGCUUUUCUCACUGAUCACCAAUAUCCAAGUAAGUUUGUUUCAUUUCAGAAGGUGCAAAGUUUCAAACUUUUUGUAUUGGGAUGUAACAAACUUUGGCCUUAUAUGCUUGCUGUGACGUUAGACUGUUCAUUUUGAUUGUUUCCUACCUUCCACUUGCGCCACUGUAGCACUGUAUUAUUCAUCAUUUUAGUUGUUUAAAUGAAAUUUUAUUUUUGUCAAAAAUAAAAUGACACCAUUAAAAUUUAGAAAAAUAAUCAUGUAGAUCCCAAAUUUUUAAUAAAGAAUACCAAUAUUCCCCUUGACUACAAUACCCUUAGCAGGUGGUAAUCAAACAAAUUGACUUAAAAUUUUUUACGAAAUGUAAAUAUGAUUUAAAUAAUUUAAAUUUUCCAGAAGACUAAUAUAUAUAAUUUAAAUAAUUAAUUUCAAUAUUAAUUUUUAAAAUGUAAAUUAAUUUAUUUGUACUUAUAAAAUAUUUGUAAUUAUUUUAAAAUUUUAACUAAAUCCUUAGGUUAAAUAGAUUUUACAAUUAAUAUAAUAUUUCUCAGGUAUUAAUAAUAUUAAAACUAUUUUAUAUGACAUUGAAAAUAACCUAAAUUUUUUAUAUAUUUAUUUGAAUAUUAUGUCUCUAUUUAUUAUAAUUUGGUUUAAUAGAAUACGAGAUUGUAAAAUAUUAAUAUUUUAGAUAUUGAAAUUAUUUUAAUAUCUAUAUAUUAUUAUAUUUAUUUUAAUAUCCUAUUUAUAUUUAUCAUAAAUUAUUAGAGUUAAUUUUUUUAGUUAAUAAAUUUAAAAAUAUUAUAAUUUAAAAAAAGUCUUAUUGGCCGUUAUUCACGAUAUAAGGUUCUAAUAAAUUAUUUCUCUAGACAGGUGCCAUUUUCUUAUUUUCAAAAGGAAAAACAAGUUCAGGGCCUCGGGGGUUUCAAAAAAUUCUGGUCCUAUCUAUCACUAUGACUAAUGGGAAACGGCAUUGCAAUUGACAUUGCUUUUCGCAAUAUGACAUAUUAUGGAGGGAUAUGGGAGAAUUGUCAAACAUUCACACCACGCGAGAGCUUUAGGUGGGAUAGGGGAGGAUUGUCAAGAGUUCACACCACAAGAAACUAAUGAUAGGUCUAAUUUCGUUGUCAGUUCUUUAUUUAUUUAUUUUUUUUAUUUCAUACAUUAUUGUUCUUGUAAAGGUAUAAAAGUAAAGUAAAAUACUAGGGGUGCUGUUAAGUUACAACUGAUGUAACUUGUAAUUUUUUCAAAAAUAAUGUAAAAAAUUUAAUAGGUGGUGGGACUCACAUAUUUUUUAAGAGACUUAAGUUAUAGUAGUUGUAACUUAACAAAAUCUAAAUAUUAUACAAUAAUGCAUAUUAAUAAUGCAUAUAAUUUGGGUUUGAUUUUUAAAAGAUUAUUUGAGUACCACCUAUCCUUAUGAUAUUAAUGUGAUUAUAUCUUAAUAUUAAAUAAUCAAAAUUUGUUUAAUUAUUAUUUGUAUUUCAUACAUUACAUAUUAGAUUUGUUUGAAUUUUAAGUUGUUGCUAAUAAAUAUUUAUGUUGUCAAAGUCAAAUUCAAUAGCUACAAAAGCAGAGAUAAUGGUAUUGUAUAUAGUUUUUAAGAAUGCAAGGAUAAGCUGGAUAAUUGACAUAAAUUCUAAUGAUUAAAAGAGCAACUAUCCCUUAAAUUAUAAUGUUAAUUUCUUUAAUUAGAUUUUUUUUUUCAUGUGAUAUAACCACAAUUGCUACAAUUUUUUUUUAUAAUAAUAAUGGGAGUUAUAAAUUAUUUAUAUAAAAUUUGGGUUGAAACUAAUGUACCAUAAAAGUGGUUGCUGAAUAACAAUAUUUGAAACUUUAGGUAAUUUUCAUGAGUCCUUUUUAUAUUCAGCAACCUGAAUUGGGGAAAAUCCGACUUGAAUUGGCGGUUGAUUUUGGUGAUGUGGCUUUUGGUUUAUGGCGGCUUUACUGUGGCGGAAGACUGGAUUUACGGUUGCCGACUGCUAGGGAUUAUGGUGGUGGUGUAAAUUGACGGAAAAAGAAGGUGUUUUGGUGGCGGCGCGUGUAGGAAGCACUCGUGGGUUGUCGUUUCGUGUGGUGACAGAGGGCGGCGAUCAAGGGCCGAAGUCGGUCAGUUUUUGGUCAACGAAGGCCGGCGAGUUUGUUGGUGGAGGUGGCUGGUGGAGAAAGUGGCUGAAUGGUGGUGGGUUGCUUGGUGGAGCCGCAGGUUUGGGUUGGUGAUUUGCGGCUGUUCAAGCGGCGGUUGAGGCAGCGAUGACUGAGGCUUGGUCGACGGUGGCUAGUGAGGUUUGUGGUGGUGUUGGCUGGCUGAUUGGCGGUGGUGGGCGGCGGUGGGGGUUGGUCUGACGGGUAGGGUUUUCAAAUUUGUAAUUUUUUUUUUUGAUGGAUUUGGUUUGGAUGGGUAUGGUGUAUCUAGGAAAGAUGUGUGAUUCGCACAGAAUUGCUUUGAUACCAAUUGAUGGAGCGAGCGUAGCGGAAGUGGAAUUGAUAAGGUAAGAAAUACUAAAUAUCAUUCUAGUACUGGAUCAAGCCAACACAAUUAACUUACGCUUUAAUCAAAGCGUGAUUAGAUAUUGUUUUAAUCUAAAUGAUUCAAUGAGAUUUUUAAUAACGCGUAAUACGAGAUUAGAUGACACUCUAAUUUAAAUAACUCUAUAAGAGAGAUUUUGAUAAAUAAUACUAGAGGAAAUUAUAAAAAAAAGAGUUUUAUUUAAUAAUUGAAUUUGAAGUCCUGAAAACAAUGACAAGACAUCUUUAUUUUUUUUAUUACAGACAUCUUUAUUUAUAAUAAAAGAAAUCCACUUUCCUAAGUUAACCUAAAAAGAAAAUUUAAAUUAUAAUUAUAAUGGAAAUAAAAGAUUAAGAUACAUACCAUAAUUGACUCAAACAAAAAUAGAAAACCAUAAAAUAAUAAAUAUUUUAGAAUUAUAAAUUAUCUAAAAUAACGUUAAUUAACUUCCUAAAUCACGUCUUUGGUGUAAACCAUUUUGCAUCCAACCUUGCUUUAAAGGUUUGAACCAACGUUACGAACAACAAUGUAUCAAAUUCCAAUCUAACUUAAGAUCCUGAUACAUCUACCGAUGUCCUUGUUUGAUUAGACAAUAAUGAGUCUAUCUCAUCACUUGUUACCUCUUUUUUGAAGCUGCAUCUGUUGAAGUGAUAGCCUCGCUUAGAGUUUAAAGAUCUUCUUCCAUGUUAAAUAAAGUGGGCAUUUGAUUAAAAAACUUUAUCUCUAUCUCCUUCUAUCAAAUAACGAAAACUAUCCAAAGGAAAAAAAAAAAAUUAGAAAAGUCCAUGGGUUGCAAUAAUUUAUGGUCUGUCCUCGGACCCCAUUAUCUGCCAAUAUCAAUGAUGAAAAUGAAAAUAAAUGGCAUCUUCCCAAAAUGGCGAAAGAUUUUUAGGAGAUAUGGGGAAUUGUCAAAAGUUCCCACAACGCGAAAUAAGUGUUACAUCCAAUUUUAUUUCAUCAUAUAAUGAUAAUAUCAAGUAAUGACAGCCAUCUAAAAGUAUAAUGGGUCUUCCAAAAUUUUGAAAAUGUCGUCAACAUUUAAUCUUCAAUGCUAAAGAAGAUGAAAUGCCCAAAAAUGACAUGCAGGACCCACUCACAGACUAAACGGCCCUGACCACAUGCAACAAACUUUGACUUUAUGUCCCUGCUGAGGCGUUAGACUGUUGGUCAUUUUGAUUGCUUUUUACAUUCCAUUUACGCCAUUGUAGCAUUGUACUAUUUACCAUUUUAGCUGUUUAAAUGAAUUUUUUUUUCCAAAAAUAAAAUGACACCCUUAAAAUUUUAGAAAAUAAUCAUGUAGACCCCAAAAUUUUAAUAAAGAACACCAAUACCCUUUUUGACUAUAGUACUCUUAUGGUAGCCACAAAAAAAAAAUGACUUCAAAAUUUUUUACUAAAUGUAUAUAUGAUUUAAAUAGUUUAAAUUUUCUAGUAGACUAGUAUGUAUAAUUUAAAUAAUUAAUUUUUAAAAUGUAAUUUAAUAUAUUUAUUUUAAUAAUAUAUUUAUUAUAAAAAUUUUAAACAAAUCCUUGGGUUAAAUGGAUUUUAUAAUUAAUAUAAUAUUUCUCAUGUUUUAAUAAUAUUAAAAUUAUUUUAUAUGAUAUUGAAAAUAAUUAAAAAUUUUAUAUAUUUAUUUGAAUAUUAUGUCUCUAUUUAUUAUAAUUUGGUUUAAUAGAAUACGAGAUUGUAAAAUAUUAAAAUAUUUUUAGGUAUUGAAAUUAUUUUAAUAUGUACAUAUUAUUAUAUUUAUUUUAAUAUCCUACUUAUAUUUAUUAUAAAAUAUUAAAAUUAAUUUUUUUAGUUAAUAAAUUUAAAAAAUAUUAUAAUUAAAAAAAAGAGUCUUAUUGUCUGUUAUUCACGAUAUAAGGUUCUACAAAAUUAUUUUCAAAAGGAAAAAUAAGUCUAGGGGUUUCAAUAAAUUCUAGUCCUAUUUGCCACUAUGACUAAUGAAAACGACAUUGCAAUUGACAUUACUUUUCGCAAUAUGACAAAUUUUUGGAGGGAUAUGGGAGAAUCGUCAAAUGUUCACACUACGCGGGAGUUUUGGAUGGGAUUGGGGAGGAUUGUCAAGAGUUCACACCACAAGAAACCAAUGAUAGCCAUAAUUUUGCUAUCAGAUCUUUGUUUAUUUAUUUUAUUUAUUUCAUACAUUGUUGUCUUGUUGGCAUUGUUUUGCAAAGAUAUAAAAGUAAAAUAAACUAUUAGGGUGCUGCUAAGUUAAGCUGUUGUAACUUACAAUCCCUUAAAAAAUAAUGUAAAAAAUUUAACACGUGGUGGGAUCGACAUAUGUUUGAAGAGGCUUUAAGUUACAGUAGUUGUGACAUAGCAAAAUCCAAUUAUUAGACAAUAACGCACAUUAACAAUGCAUAUAAUUUGGGUUUGAUUUUUUGAAAAAUUAUUUGAGUAUUAACUAUCCUUAAGAUAUUAAUGUGAAUAUAAUUUAAUAUUAAAUAAUCAAAAUCUGUAUAAUUAUAAUAUAUAGUUCAUACAUUGCAUGUUUAAUCAAAAUCUGAUUGCUUUUUACCUUCCAUUUACGCCCACUGUAGCAUUGUACUAUUCACCAUUUUAGCUGUUUAAAUGAAAUUUUUUUUUUUUCAAAAAUAAAAUGACACCCUUAAAAUUUUAGAAAAUAGUCAUGUAGACCCCAAAAUUUUAAUAAAGAACACCAAUACCCUUUUUGACUAUAGUACUCUUAUGGUAUUCACAAAAAAAAAAAAUGACUUCAAAAUUUUUUACUAAAUGUAAAUAUGAUUUAAAUAGUUUAAAUUUUCUAGUAGACUAGUAUGUAUAAUUUAAAUACUUAAUUUUUAAAAUGUAAUUUAAUAUAUUUAUUUUAAUAAUAUAUUUAUUAUAAAAAUUUUAAACAAAUCCUUGGGUUAAAUAGUUUUUAUAAUUAAUAUAAUAUUUCUCAUGUUUUAAUAAUAUUAAAGUUAUUUUAUAUGAUAUUGAAAAUAAUUUAAAAUUUUAUAUAUUUAUUUUAAUAUUAUGUCUCUAUUUAUUAUAAUUUGGUUUAAUAGAAUACGAGAUUGUAAACUAUUAAAUAUUUUUUGGUAUUGAAAUUAUUUUAAUAUGUAUAUAUUAUUAUAUUUAUUUUAAUAUCCUACUUAUAUUUAUUAUAAAAUAUUAAAAUUAAUUUUUUUAGUUAAUAAUUUUAAAAAAAUAUUAUAGUUAAAAAAAAGAGUCUCAUUGUCCGUUAUUCACGAUAUGAGAUUCUACAAAAUUAUUUUCAAAAGGAAAAAUAAGUCCAAGGGUUUCAACAAAUUCUAGUCCUAUCUGCCACUAUGACUAAUGGAGACGAUAUUGAAUUGACAUUGUUUUUCGCAAUAUGACAAAUUUUUGGAGGGAUAUGGGAGAAUCGUCAAGCGUUCACACCAUGCGAGAGCUUUAGGUGGGAUAUGGGAGAAUUGUCAAGAGUUCACACCAAGAGAAAUUAAUGAUAGGCCUAAUUUCGUUGUCAGUUCUUUAUUUAUUUAUUUUAUUUAUUUCAUACAUUAUUGUCUUGUUGGUAUUGUUUUGUAAAGAUAUAAAAGUACAAGUAAAAUAUUAGGGGAAGUAAAGUAAAAUAUUGGAGGUGCUGCUAAUUUACAGCUGCUGUAACUUACAGUUCCUUCAAAAAUAAUGUAAAAAAUUUAACACGUGGUGGGACCCACAUUAUGUUUGAAGAGGCCGUACAUUAUAGCAGUUGUAAAUUAGUAAAAUCCAAAUAUUAGACAAUAAUACACAUUAACAAUGCAUAUAAUUUGGGUUUGAUUUUUUAAAAAAUUAUGUGAGUAUUACCUAUCCUUAAGAUAUUAAUGAGAAUAUAUUUUAAUAAUAAAUAAUCAAAAUCUGUUUAAUCAUAAUAUGUAAUUGAUACAUUGCAUGUUAGAUUUGUUUGGAUUUUAAGUUGUUGCUAAUAAAUAUUUAUGUUGUGAAAGUCGAAUUCAAUAGCUACAAAAGCAGAGAUAACGGUAUUUUAUGUAGUUUUUAAGAAUACAAGGAUAAGACCAUAACGCAUGAGAUAAUGGUAUUUUAUAUAUAUUAAAAGACCAUAACACAUGUAUUUGAGCCAUUGAUAUUGAAGACACAUAUAGAGGAAAGAGUGCAGAUCCGGCCCUCAGUAUUGUGAAGCUUUCCUCAAGUAUUCUCAUGCACACAGACCUUAUCUGGUCAAGUUUUCUGAUUCAAUAUAAUCAAUUUCCGCGCAGUACUGACGACAGCUUCUCUGUAAAGCUCUUCAACCACAAGCAUUUCUACAAGGCAAAAGACUAGGACGUGUCAGAAUGAAUAUCAAUAAGGGAAUGUCUUAUGAAUUUAGUUUAUAUCCUAAUAUAAGACAAUCAGUAAAUAUUGGACUCAUUAGUUGCCCUUGCCUCAGACGUUUGGAUGCUAAGGGGAAAAAGGAAGUUUGAAUUAGUCAAUCUCAUUUCUAAUGGCAUUCACAGAGAACUUAUAAAACAAAAAAAUUAUAAAAAAAAAUUCAUCCAUAAAAAGCUUAGUAACGGAAAAACCGACUCUUUUAUCUGCCACUGACGAAAAAAAAACUGAAGUAUCAAAUAGAUAAAGAUUUUAAUUUUUUUCUUGGAAAAACUAAUAAUAAAUUAACAAUUGGAUAAUACUAUUAAUUAGAGAUCUUUAAUAUUAAGGUUAUCAAAGAUAGAAUGUGUAUAAAAAUUCUUAAUUAUAAGAUAAUUACUAACUAAAAAGAGGCCUAAAAAAGAAGAUUUGCUAUUAUAAGUAAUACCAAAAAUAAAAAAGGGAGACUUCCUAAUUGUUUAAUUGUUAAAAAAGAGGAUUUGCUAUUAUAGGCCUAAUUUGCCUAUAAGUAAUACCAAAAAUAAAACCGUUCCUGGAUGUAAAAAAUAAAAAUUAUUGUUAAAUUCCUGACUAAUAAGGUCAUUGAAAGUAUUCAAAGGACCUGAACUUAUAGGAAAGCCAGCCAUGAUGAACUAUACCACGUUGCAAGUGAGCUCGUAUCUUCAUCCCUUGAUCUGCCAUCGGCAUUUCUGUUCCACUCACUAUACCAUCCUUUUCAAUCGAUUUUUAUUGAUCAUAAGAGGCCAUGUGGCCCACCUUAUUUUUAUUUUGGAUCCAUAACCCAAAGCUGGCCCAAGUUCUGAUUCCAGAAUCAUUUGUCUACAAAGUGACCUCAUUCCGGCAAUUGGUUUAUGCUAAUAGCACGUGCAAUUUUCAUUUUCUUCUUUUUAUUAAUUAAUUUCAUCAUUAUUAUUUGCUUAUUAUUUUAAAUUAAUUAAUUAAAUUGUAUUAUUGAAAUUAGUCUUUCUUUUUUCUUUUCUCUUUCAAUGCACAAAGCCAAACAACCAUUCUUGCUUCAAAUACCGAAGAGCUCCUGACUACGGCUGUCAAUGCUUCUAUAUUUACGUGCUGUGCUGCAUCACUCUUAGCGAAAGCUUGAAUGAAUGAUUAAAGACAAAAGCUUAUAUAAAAGCAGAUGCCGGAGGCACUCAAAAAGCAUUUGAGAGAGAAGCUACACAGCAAAUCAUCAAACGUACUUCAAUGACUUUGAUUUUGAUUCUUUUUUUUUUCAAAAGAAGUAGAAAAGUCCAUGGAUCACGAUAACUGCUUGUCCUAUGCCGUGACCUCAUUGUCCGCUGCUAGUGUCAAAUAGAUUAAUCUUUCUAGUAGAUUAAUAUAAUUUAUAAUUUUAAUUUCAGUAUUAAUUUUUAAAAUGUUAGUUGUUAUAUUUAUUUUAAUAAUAUAUCUAUUUUUAGUAUAAAACUUUAAAUAUAUAUUUAGAUUAAAUAGAUUUAUAAUUAAUAUAAUAUAUCUCAUGUAUUAAUGAUAUUUAAAUUAUUUUAAAUAAUAUUAAGCCUAACUUAAAAUUUUAUAUAUUUAUUUUAAUAUUAUGUUUCUAUUUAUUAUAAAAUUUAGUUUAAUAUAAUAUAAGAUUGUAAAGUAUUCAAAUAUUUUUUAAAUAUUGAAAUUAUUAUAAAAUGUAUAUAUUGUUACAUUUUUAAUAUUGAAGUCAAUCUUUUUUAAGUUAAUAGAGUGAAAAGAUAUUAUAAUAAAAGGCUACGUAAUCUUUCACUUGCACAUAUUCUGUACUCUCUGGAGCAGGACGGUAGGAAAUAUGAUUACAAAUGUUAAAUUCGCCUUUCUUCACAAGUUUAUCAGCUUCGUUUGCGGCCUCUGCUGCUUGUUUACCAAGCUUGUAACAAGAAAUCAAAUUUGGGCACAACCUUUUGAAGCAGAACAUCUUAGCUCUAUCUUUAUCAUCAAUGAUUGAUUUUGCAACCCCUUCACUGAAUUCAGCAACUCUAUUUAGCCAGUCUCUGACACCCUUAUAAAUCUCAUCUCCUUGUAGAGUAGCCUCUCUAACCAGCAUUUGCACCCUUUCUCUUAUAUAUUCCAGCUCCUUCACUCAAUCUUUUAGCCCAUCUAUGUAGCUCUGGUACUCGGAACACAUAAGAUAUGUGCCACAUAAUCGGUUUGAAUAAUGCUUUUGAACCUUGUGAUACAAUGCUAGAAAAAGUAGGGAGACACCCUUCUGCAGCCAUUGCCUGUUGCUUAACAAUCUAUAUAAAUAAAUACAAGUGUCAAAGAAAGGAAUACAGAUAAAUUAAAAUGAACUAGUGGGAAAGACAGAGAAUGAAAAGACUGCAAACAAUAUUGCGAUAUUGAUCUUGAACUAACUAAUAAUUAAAUAGAGAAUUUCUUUUUCUUUCUUGAGGAUCAGAGAUUUUGCUAUUAACAAAAAGGUACUUCGAGGGUCUGAAUAAAAAACCAACCAUAAAUUAUCAAAAGCUAGUAAAAACACAGACGUAAAUAAUGAACAAUUACUUAAGCAAAACAGACCAUGAUACAAAGCAAAUCUAAUAAAAUGACAAAAAAAGAAAGAAAGAAAGAAAGAAAGAAAAUACAACAAAUAAUAUUGAAGUGUUGAUUAUGAGCCAACUGAUAUUUAAACAGAUUUUUUUAAAAUUUUUAGUCUUUUGCUAAAGGAUUAGAGUUUUUGUUAUUAAUAGAAAGGUUUUAAAGACCUGACAUUACUAGAAAAAUACUAAAUAAUGACAGAAAUUUUAUAACAUAUAUCGUUAUGUCACGAAUGUGUCAUGAAAAUAUGAUAGAUUCGUGAUAUAUAUUCAUGUCCAGAGUAUAUGACAUAUUCAUGACUUAUAACUUAACCAUCGUAAAUAAAUGAUACAUAUAAGUCAUGCUUAAGUUUUGUGAACUUAUAAGAUUGUAAAACAAUGCCGUUUAAAUUAACGACACCGUUUUGUAUAACUUAAAACCCAUUAACACUCGCAGCCAAAUUUUGGCUAAGCGUUGAAUUAAUCCCUCUCUCCACUGUAGAGAUGGCAGAAAAGCCCGCUCAGACCGGAUCCGGACUGGACCCGGUGCAUACGGUCCGGGUAAAACCCGGAUCGGAUGCAUGGAAAAAGCGGAUCCGGGCACGGGUCCGGUCACAGCACCAAGAAUCUGGAACCCGGACCCGUGCCCACUUUUUUAUUAAGUAAAAAAAAAAUAUAUAUAUAUAUAUAUAUAUAGUAGUUUUCCAAUCAGGGAUUAGUUAAAAGACAAAAUAAACACAUACUCCAAUGCAUUGUAUUUUAUCAUGUAGUGUAGUAAAAUUUAAAUUUUUUUGUCUUUUAGCUAAUCCAACUACUAUAUAUAUAUAUAUAACAACAAAAAUGCAUUUUGCUUUACCCAAUUUCCCCCAAACCCAACCGGCCAACCCUAAAUCGCAACAAGUCUCAGAAUCGCCACCUCCCUCCGUUUCUCCACCAACAACCACCACCCAUCUUCACCGAUGCAGUGUUGACGGCGCGGCCUCUUCCCCACUUACAGAAAAAUGCGCAUGCUUUUACCGAGAAAAGAAAGCUUUUAUUUUUUGUAUGACAUCUGGUCCUCCCAUCAAGCUUACCUGAGGCAGCGAGGCUGAAAGUCUCUGUUAUCAACCAUCAGGACACCAGAAAGAGUAAUUGCUCACAUCGUAAGCGCCAUGAACUAAUUUUUCCGAAAAGGAGGAAAUGAAGGUCACAAUGGAGCUCAUUUCCCGCGAUUCGAGAGCCCUACAGAGAGGUAGGACCCCUAACUCACUCCGUUUUAGUCACCUUUCAAUGGCUCCCUUAAUUUCCUAAAUCAAUAAGUGUUCUAAAAGGGCUUGAAAAAUCAAAAUGAUGCCCAACAUUAGUGCCAGGAUUAAGGAACUUUUCACUGCAAAGAAGUGAAUAGCUACGUGGAUGAAGUUAUGGGCCAUGCAGAAAUUCACACUUCACUCUCUCUUGAUUUGUACUCAAAAGUCGCCACCAACCUUCAAUUAUAUGGACUCAUGGAUUCAAUAUUUAGGCUUACAAUUGGACCUUCACAAAGCAAUUGGAGCACUCCAAGCUGCAAAAAAUGUCUCUUCUCUGUGACAUCUGCAGGUGGGCUAGAAGAAGGUUAUGCAUAGAUGGUCUAUGUGCGUGUGCUUACUAAAUGCAUACAAAAUGUAUAAGAACUGAGAUUCCUAUGUUUUUUCCUUUUUAAUUUUAAUAAUUAUGUUAGAUGUUUGCUUGGUAGUUAAGAUGUUUUGGUUUUGGACUGUUACGCUUUGUUAGAACUUAAAAGUAAACAAUUGUUUAGGCUGUAUUUUUUUUUACAGUGUUUUCACCUUUGAAAAUCCGGGUAGAGAAAACCCGGAAAAACCCGUGCCCGGAUAGUGCCGGGCAUGUACCCGGCCUGUAUAAAAAAAAUUCCGGACACGGUGCGGGUUCGGGUAGUUACGUGUGACAUCCGGGUCGGUCCCGGGCAGCCUCAAACCCAGACCCGACCCGGACUUUUGCCAUCUCUACUCCACUGGCCACUGCAACCUAAAAUAGUUUUUCACUUUAAUAACCCAAAAGCUUUCCUCUGUUUCAACUAAGCGAAAAUUUACAUAUUAAAGCCUGGCUCAAAUUCCUUUUUUCAAUCGAAAUUAAACGUAGCCACAAAACCCUAAUUCACCACACCAAUUUAUCUCUGCCCGGUAUUCAUUUAAACCCUACCUCGCGGUUCAAUGUCAUUCAAUACGAUUGCAGAUGCUGUUUCAACUUGUCAUUUAGUUAGCGCCAUCCAGUUCUCUAUGGUAAGCCUUAACCCUAACAACUAAUCGACUGCGGUAGCACGUUGCUUGUUAGGAGUGGGGAUACAUUAUUUGAAUAUAUGAAUUGGGUGAUGUUAGUGAUUCAUUCCCCUAUUUGUCGUGAAUUGAGAUUUGUGCAUAAUGCUAGUAAGAUUGCUAAAAAUUUCAUAUUUUGUAUUGUUCCAGUUGAAUUUCUUGCUUGUGGAAGAUAAAACAAAAGUUCAAUUUCAUGUUGAUUUAAUUCUUCUUUUCCUUCUUUUUAUUUUUCUUCUUUAUAGUCACGCUCUGGCUUUGGUGCUAUGCUUAGUGCAGUUUAUGGUUUCAAGAUUAAGUCAUGUUUAUUUGAUGGCAUCGAUUCCAUCGUUGAGGAUUGGAUUGUUGAUCAAAUGCACAUAGUAAGCUCUUCUUAUUUUAUCUCAAUUUUAAUUUUCUUUUAUUAUCUGCCUCUACCUGAAAAUGGACGUGUUUUACUAGUAAGCAUAGACCUUGUUUAUUUAAUUGAUAUUUUAAUUUUAUGUAUAAGAAUGGAGGUUUAUUUUGGAAAAAAAAAGAAAUAAAAAAAAUACUCUGUUGAAGCUAAUUAGUACUGAAUUUUUUUUGGUGGUGCGACCAGAGGUGGAAACAGGGUAUGAAAAUGUGUUACUGGUGAGGCUGCUGCUUAAGAUGAGAAUGCAUUCUUUUCAAAAAUCCUUGGAAGGUGUGAUCUAAUUAUAUUUGAUGGAAUAUUAAAUGGCUAAAAAUCUGUCAUACGUUCAAACUUUGUUUGUGUUUAGAAGAAUGGUGUUGACUGUAUAUUCGUUUGGAAGAAUGGUGUUGAUUGUAUAUUCAUUUGCUUAGCCUUUUGACAGAUGGAUUUGGAACUGACGAUAAAUGUGAUUCAAUUUACAAGGUUUUCGAGGGGCUCACAGUGGAAGGGAUAUUGAAGAACUGGUCGAAGUUAAAGCCUAUGAUUGUGAAAGAUUGGAGUGAGAAUAUAGAUGCUCAUUUAAAUCUUUUUGGCAAGGUCAGAGAUGAAUGGAUAGAUAAGGAUUUAUUUGACAACUUGGACUGGUGCUAAUAGGUAUUUUAAGCAAGCUUUUUGAGAUAACACUGAGCAAGUUAUACUACUAUUUUGCACAUGAUGAUCAAAACUCUCGAAAAGUAAAUAAAAUAAAGUAUUAACUUUUACUUUCAUCUUUUGCAUAGCAAUCAAUGUGGUGCUUGUUCUGUGACAACUUUGAUAAUCUACUUAAUUACUGGUUAGCAUUUGGACCAAAAAAGUUCUUAUGAUUUACAUGUUUUGUAGAAAUGCAUGAACCUUAAAUGUGCUGAUCAGGGAGUUUAAUUAUUGCACCUUGAAAUUCAUUUACUGUUAACUAAUUGGCUUUCCUUUGCAUAAAGCCGCUUAUAAGGCUUGAGUGGACGUCUUUAUGGGCAUAUUUUUUGUAUUUCUCGAUGCAUGCCUUUAUCAUUUAAUGUGGUGCUCGUAUUUCUUUAUGCAUGCCUUUAUCAUUUAAUGGCCAGCUCCCUUUCCUCUUUUGUAAUUUGAAUAGUAGUAUGGGCCUCCAUUUUACAAAUCUUUAACAUUUUUUGCUGUAAAUUAAUUUUUCUUUCAAAUAUUUUGGAGGUCAUUGGAAUUCCUGUAGGUCUAUUUACCAGAUUUUAGUAUGUUUAAGGUUAUAAUUUUGCUUAGACUUUAAUUUUUCUGAAAGAUUGUAGUAUUGAUCCUUAAAGUAAGAUCAUGCUACUUCAAAUUAUUUUGAAGUGUUGCUAGUUAUAGCCUUACAUAUCAAAUUCCAGUUGUCUGGAAAUUUAUUGAUAGCUGUUACAGCAGCAUAUUUUAUGACUCUACUUCUUAGUUAUGUAAGUUCAUUAUGUUUAGGUCAGAGGCAGUCAGCUGUGGGGAAUCGAUUUAUACACAGAUGACUUUGAUCUUGUUGCUGGUAUGUGGUUCUAUGAAUAAUUGUUCACAAUAAUUGUGUUUGCCUCACUGUUUUUGUUUUAUGAGAUCUAUAAUUGAUCUUGGGAUAUUACUUUUUAGUUCUCAUGCAGGCAAGUUACUACCUUCCCACUGCAUCUCCUCCUUUAUCUGCUACUCAAGAGUUGCGUGCCAUAAUCUGGUAUUACCUCUGCAAGAUUGUGAAUGAAUAUGAUGCCUCUAAAUUUAUUUUAUACAUAAUGCUAAUGCUGAAUAAUAUAUUGUAGCUCCUGUCAUAUUCUACUUUGACUUUUUAUAUUCCGUUUCAAAUAAAAAUCUUAUUCAACUUUAGUUGUUCAUGAGCAAAUGUCACAUGUAUAAGCCCAAAUGAUGUUUAAAGGUAGCGCCGCUACCUUCAGUUUGAGCUUACAAUGGGUGAAAAAGAAAUUGAAACUGAUAUUUUGCGGUUUUUCUUAUUUUUCAAAGUAUUUUAGAUCAUGACUUUUGUUUGGACUUGAUGGUUAUAGAUUGUGUCUAGAUUUGUUAAGUCGUUUCCAACACCUCGUGCCAAAUCAAAGCACAAUCUUUCUGAUUCAGAUGUUUUGUUAAUUGUGCUUCAUUUUUUCGUUAAAGGUUGGAUGGUUGAAUGGAUUGAUGGAGUUGGAGUUCAACCAAUAAUUCUAAUUUUUUGGACUUAAAAUGCCUUUUUCUUCUGUAUAAAAGCUUUAGUAAGUGCUAUUGAGUUGACAGAAGUUGAAUACUUACAGGUUGUUUCACACUUUUUAAUAGUUUUACAUAUAUGAAUUUCUGUUUUUUGAAUUGCAGAAAGGAGGUGGAACUAUUGAUUUGGAGCCUUAUCUUACUCACUCAUCAACAACGGAGCCUACCCUCGCUCCUAUGGCAGUGGAACGGACAAUGACUACUAGGGCUGCAACAUCAGUUGGUUCGGGUCUGUUUUGAUAGCGAAUUUUGAUAUGUCAAUAUAAUGUGUAAUUGUUUUGGGUUGAGCUGGUAAUUAUGCUGGAUUAGAUUGGUUUGGUUUUGGUGCUUCGCUGAUGGAACACUGGUUUUUUAGAAAAUUUGAAUGUAAUAUGAGACUACAUUUAGUUUAAUUGAACACUGCAUCUAGUCUAAUUACUAGAAGUGUGGCAUUUGGUUUGGUUUAUCCGAUAUUCUCCAGAAUUUCACUUGCAUCUGGUUUUGUUGCAUAUGUUUGCUUGCAUUUGAUGGCAGUAGCAGACUGUUUGGUUUUGUGGCAUUUGAUGGCAGUUUGGUCUGUUCUUGGUGCUGAUUUACGAUUGUUCCUGAUGUGUUGAUGUUAAUUGCAGGUGCUUGAAUCAGCUAGGGUUGCUGGUUUUUUCAGAUGGUUGACUCAGGCGUUGUUACUGGUUGAUUCAGGUGGCUGGCUCAAGUUGUUCAUUUAAUGUUAGGAAGCAAAUUAAGAAUUAAUGAAGUAUUCAUUUAACUAUAAUUAUUGUAGUUAUUUUAUUUCAUAACUGAAUUAUAAUCUAUGAUACUUGUGAACAAAUUAGAGAAUUUUUAUAUAUAAAUUAUAUAUAUGUGUGUGUAUGUACAUUUUGCUUUUUAUAUAAUAAUUUAAAGAAUAUAUUUCAAUUCCCACAAAAAAAUGGCCCCAAUUUCAAUAAUUCCUGCCAAAUAAUUAAUUUUUUUUAAUUUACCGCCAAAAUAUAUCUUAAAGAAAUGUUAGUUAUUCUUGCUAGAUUUAACAAAAAUAAUUUAUAGGAUUAACAUUUAAUUAAAAUAAUUAAAUAAUUUUACUAUUUCAAUUAAAUGUCAUGUUUAUAUCACAGACAAUAGUCAUGAAUGGGAAGUAUUAGUUACAUAUUUUUCCUUGUAGUUAUUUUAUUUCAUAACUGAAUUAUAAUCUAUGAUACUUGUGAACAAAUUAGAGAAUUUUUAUAUAUAAAUUAUAUAUAUGUGUGUGUAUGUACAUUUUGCUUUUUAUAUAAUAAUUUAAAGAAUAUAUUUCAAUUCCCACAAAAAAAUGGCCCCAAUUUCAAUAAUUCCCGCCAAAUAAUUAAUUUUUUUUAAUUUACCACCAAAAUAUAUCUUAAAGAAAUGUUAGUUAUUCUUGCUAGAUUUAACAAAAAUAAUUUAUAGGAUUAACAUUUAAUUAAAAUAAUUAAAUAAUUUUUCUAUUUCAAUUAAAUGUCAUGUUUAUAUGACAGACAAUAGUCAUGAAUGGGAAGUAUUAGUUCCAUAUUUUUCCUUGGGAUUUCAGGCAAAUGAAAAAAAGAUUGAGAAUGAUUUCAAGAGGACAGGUGGAUGAUAAGUAUUCAUUUUUGUAUAUUUGGCUAAUGUCCUCAUUAGUGGAUUUUUAUGGUAUUGAUUUUUUUUUUUUUGGUUUAUAAUUUUCAAUUAGUUGUUACCCUAGAGGAAGAGCAGGCUGAUCAAAUUGAUUUGUCUUAUUUUUCCGGCAAUCUGCGACACGAUGACUGUGAUAAUGCUCGUGACUGCUGGAAACUUUCUGGUGGAAAUAACUUUAGAGUUCGUAGCAAGCAUUUUUGUUAUGACAAAACAAAGGUUCCCCCAUAUUUUGGUUGUUUGUUAUGGUAUUUAUAUAUCCUGCAUAUGCUAGGUCGACAGGUUAUGAUGUAGUUUGGUUGGCUCUUGUGCUUUGUGCAAUUUGUAACUGCAGAUACCUGCGGGAAAACAUUUAAUGGAUCUUGUUGCUGUUGAUUGGUUCAAAGACACAAAGAGAAUGGACCAUGUAGCUCGGCGUCAAGGCUGUACUGCACAAGUAACUGAAGAAAAAUGUGAAUUGGUUCCUCUUUUUCUUACUUUCCAGAACAGUAUGUACAGGGAAUAUAUACAGCAAAAUAGGAGAGAAAAUAGGAGACUACAUCUAUCCUUUCCUAAAUAAUAGGAAACAAAAUCUGGAAAGAAUCCUAAUGAAUCUUCCCAUUAUAAUUUAACUUAUUCCUAAAAUAGCCUAGAUUACAAAUAAAUCAUAACUUUGAAUCUUUAUUUUCAACACUCCCCCUCAAGCUAGUGUGUGUAUAUCAUACAAACCCAGCUUGUUACUUAAGUCUUCAAAGUUAGGUCUUGGCAGUGCUUUAGUAAGGAUGUCUGCAAUUUGUUGUCUAGUUGGAAUGUACUUUAGUUCCACACUUCCACUAGUGACCUUCUUUGAGAUGAAGUGCCUAUCAAUCUCGACAUGUUUGGUUCGAUCAUGAUGCACUGGAUUUUUUGCGAUGCUGAUUGCUGCUUGAUUGUCACACCUCAUUAGAAUGGAUGAAGGGUUGCACACACCGAGUUCUUUGAGUACACGCUUUAUCCAAAUUCCUUCACAGAUUCCAUUUGCCAAAGCUCUGAACUCUGCUUCUGCACUACUCCUAGCUACAACUGAUUGUUUCUUACUCCUCCAGGUUACUAGAUUUCCCCAGACAUAGGAACAGUAAGCAGAUGUUGAUAUUCUAUUUGUGAUGUCUCCAGCCCAGUCUGCAUCAGAGUAGAUCUCAAUAUUCCUAUAUUCUGAUUUCUUGAAAAACAAUCCUUUUCCAGGUGUCAUCUUUAGAUACUUCAAAAUUCUAAAGACUGCAUCCAUGUGUUCCUCUGUAGGAUUGUGCAUGAAUUGGCUCACAGCACUAACAACAAAGCCUAUGUCCGGACGGGUAUGUGAGAGAUAAAUUAAACGACCAACCAGUCUUUGAUAUCUCUCUCUAUUGACUGGAACACUAUUCUCAACUGAGCCUAGUUUCUUGUAGGGAUCCAUAGGAGUAUCUACUGGUUUGCACCCAAUCAUACCAGUCUCCUUUAGUAAGUCCAGGGUGUAUUUCCUUUGGGAGACAACAAUUCCCUUCCUAGAUCUUGCCACCUCCAUCCCAAGAAAAUAUUUCAGAUUCCCUAGAUCUUUAACUUCGAAUUCCUGAGCUAGCUGUUUCUUCAACUUCUGCAGUUCUUCCUCAUCAUUUCCUGAGAGAAUGAUGUCAUCAACAUAUACGAUUAGGAGAGAGAUCUUCUUUGCUUGUGAUGUUCGGAGGAAUAGAGUGUGAUCUGCCUGACACUGAGUGUAACCAAGUCUCACAACUGCCUUCGCAAAUCUAUCAAACCAUGCUCGAGGGGAUUGUUUAAGCCCAUACAAAGAUUUCUUGAGCUUGCACACUUUAUUUCUAGUAAGAUUCAGAUCAAGACCCUGGGGAACUUCCAUAAACACUUCUUCUUCAAGAUCGCCAUUGAGAAAUGCAUUUUUUAUAUCUAGUUGGUAUAAGUACCAAUCUAGAUUUACUGCUAAGGAGAGCAAGAUUCUAAUGGUGUUGAGCUUCGCAACCGGAGCAAAGGUUUCAAGAUAAUCAAUCCCAUAUGACUGUGUGAACCCUUUAGCUACAAGACGAGCUUUGAGCCUCUCAACACUUCCAUCUGCCUUGUAUUUAACAGUAAAAAUCCACUUACAUCCAACUGGUCGUUUCCCUGCAGGAAGAUUUGUUAUAACCCAUGUAUCAUUUUUCUCAAGAGCAUUUAUUUCUUCAUGAACAGCUCUCUUCCACUCAGGAUGACCGAGAGCCUCUUGUAUAUUGUUGGGAACAUGUAGAUUAUCUAAAGAAGAAACAAAGGCUCGGUAUGAUGGGGACAAACCAUCAUAUGAGACAUAUUUGGCAAUUGGAUGAGUGGUGCAACUUCGAACCCCCUUUCUUUCUGCAAUUGAUUUAUUAGAAUCAUCCACACUUGGAACCAUGAACUCAACCGAGGCAAGACUAUCCAUACCUGUGUUGUCUUCAUAAGAGCUUGGAUUUGGUUCAGUUUCUUGGACAUGUGGCUGAGUUCUGUGCUCUAUCUGCUCUCCAGUUCUUCUCCUCCUAUAAACAUUAAGAUUAUCAACAGCAAGCUGUGGAAGAGGUGAGAUUAGAGGUUGUAGUUGAUGAGCUGAUGGAUGACGGGGUGACUCGGCUGGUUGUGGUUGGGAGGACUCAGAUGACUCAAAAGGUUGUGAAGAUGUUGGGAGGAUUGCUGAUUGUGGCUGUUGGAUAGAUUGAUCAUGUGUGGUGGUUGAGUUAUGAGGGUUUUCAUGAGGGGUUUCCAGCCAAGAUUGCCAAGAAGAUUCCCAAGGCUGAUGUUCGCUCAUACUCUCUCCCUGAACAACAGUUUUGGAAUAGAAAGGCAGGUUUUCAACAAAUGUUACAUCUCUGGAAAUGUAUAUUUUUCUGGUAUGAGGAGAAUAGCAUUUGUAUCCUUUUUUAUGUGGAGAAUAGCCUAAAAAUAUACACUUGAGAGAUCGGGGAUCAAGUUUAGUCCUGUGUUGAGAGUGAACAUGGACAUAUGCUGUGCAACCGAAUAUUUUUUGUGGUAAAUCUGCUGAAACAAUCCUAGUGUGUGGAAAGAAAUUGAGAAGAACUUUUCUUGGGCAAUGAAACCCCAAGACUCUAGAAGGCAUUCGGUUGAUUAAGUAGGCUGUAGUGAGAACAGCUUCACCCCAGAAAAAAUUAGGAACAUGAGAUGAGAACAAAAGACAGCGAGCCACUUCAAGAAGGUGUCUGUUUUUGCGUUCAGCGACCCCAUUUUGUUGUGGGGUGUCAACACAAGAACUGAUGUGAAGAAUGCCUUGAUGGAGAAGAUAUGAGCUGAGGGAGUCUUUGAAAUAUUCCUUGGCAUUGUCGGUUUUAAGGACUUGGAUUUUGGUAUUGAAUUGGGUUUGAAUCAUGGCGUUAAAGUUUUGGAAGAUUUGACUAACUUCGGAUUUGUUUUUCAUGAGAAACACCCAAGUGAGACGAGUAUGAUCAUCCACAAAUGACAAAAACCAGCGAGCCCCAGAAACAUUUUUAAUUCUUGAGGGACCCCACACAUCAUUGUGAAUUAAAGCAAAUGGACGAGAAGGCUUAUACUUAACGCUUGAAUAAACAUUUCGAGUAUGUUUUGCAAAUUGACAAAUUUCACAAUGAAAUGAUAAAGGGUUUUUAUUGAUGAAUAGAUUGGGAAAAAUUUUUGCGAGAUACAUGAAACUAGGAUGACCUAAUCGAUAGUGUAACAGAACAAUUUCACUAUCGUUAUUGACAUUUGGACUAACAAUAGAAUGAGGAUAACUAGUUGACAGACUAUUGGACUUGGCACAGUUUGCUCUCGAAUCUUGUAUGAAGGAGGAUUGAUCGCUUUUGAGUAGAUAGAGUCCAGAACAUAGCUCAGCACUGCCAAUCGUCUUCGCGAAUCCAAGUCCUGAAAAACACACAUAUUUGGAUAGAAUUUAGUUACACAAUUCUGAUCACGAGUGAAUUUACUGAUUGAAAGUAAAUUGCAAGCCAAAUUAGGCACAUAAAGUACAGAAUUAAGGUGUAACUCCUUAGUGAGUCUGAUGGAACCUGUCCCUGCUAUAUUGUGUGAGAGCCAUCUGCGAUCCGGACUGAAGUGCUGUUGAUGCUAGCUUUAUAAUCCUGCAACAUUGAGGCAUCUCCAGUCAUGUGAUCAGAAGCACCAGUGUCAAUUAUCCAGGGUUUGCUUGCUCCAUUAGUGGCUGCAAAUGCUGAAUGAGUCUCUUUCUAAGCCACUAGACUUGUCCCUGCAUUGGAGUUCAAAGUGGCUUGAUCGAAAAGCUUUUGAAGAAUCUCCAUUUGCUCCUUGCUGAAUGGAUUUGGCUCGGGUAGGGCCUGAUUGUCCGUGGUGGAUGCUGCAUGAGCACGAGAUUCACGGUCACCUUUGGAACGAGGUUUCCAAUCAGCAGGUUUGCCAUAAAUUUUCCAGCAACUCUCCUUAUAGUGGCCUGCCUUACGACAGUGAUCGCACCAUGGUCUUUCUUUCUUUGUACGAUUUUCACUAACCCCUACAGAGUUGGAUGCACGGGCAACAAGUGCAGAGGCGCCCAGUGUUGGUUCUGAUGACCCCAUCAUCACCUUUUUCCUACUUUCUUCAUGCCUAACUUCAGAAAAGGCUUCACGAGGGCGCGGUAGAGGCUUUGUCCCGAGUACACGGCUCCUAACCUGAUCAAGAUCUUUAUUGAGUCCGAGGAGAAAUUUAAACGUUCUCUUCUGUUCCACAAUCUUCUUGUACAAGGUUGUAUCGUCGGUGCACUUCCAAGGGUAUGUUUCAAAUAGAUCAAGGUGUUGCCAAUGCCUAGUCAGAGUAUUAAAGUAUUGAGUGACAGAUUGUUCUCCUUGGCGGAAGUCAUGGAGGAUGGUUUCAAUCUGGAAUAACUCUGAUGUGUUCUCAGAGCUAGAAUAGGUUUCCUUUGCAGCAUCCCAUAUGUCAUUUGCAGUCCCAAACAGAAGAAAAUUCUCACCAAUAUCAUUGUUCAUGGAAUUGAUAAGCCAUGACAUGAUCAUGUUGUUCUCUGACUNNNNNNNNNNNNNNNNNNNNNNNNNNNNNNNNNNNNNNNNNNNNNNNNNNNNNNNNNNNNNNNNNNNNNNNNNNNNNNNNNNNNNNNNNNNNNNNNNNNNNNNNNNNNNNNNNNNNNNNNNNNNNNNNNNNNNNNNNNNNNNNNNNNNNNNNNNNNNNNNNNNNNNNNNNNNNNNNNNNNNNNNNNNNNNNNNNNNNNNNNNCACGUAACAGAGGUUGAUGAGGAAGCCAUCCCGUAUUUUGCCACAGAGAAUACAACUGAUGGGAGAGGAAGGAAGGUAGAUUGUUCAAUUUAUGAGAGAAGAAGGAAAUGGCGGCUGAUAGGAGAACUAGGGUUUAGAGCCAGGCUCUGAUACCAUGAAGAAAAAUGUGAAUUGGUUCCUCUUUUUCUUACUUUCCAGAACAGUAUGUACAGGGAAUAUAUACAGCAAAAUAGGAGAGAAAAUAGGAGACUACAUCUAUCCUUUCCUAAAUAAUAGGAAACAAAAUCUGGAAAGAAUCCUAAUGAAUCUUCCUAUUAUAAUUUAACUUAUUCCGAAAAUAGCCUAGAUUACAAAUAAAUCAUAACUUUGAAUCUUUAUUUUCAACAGUAACUAUUCUUUUCUUUUUAUUUUUCCUUUUCUGAAAGAAACUUAGUUUUGUAUUGUUUGGCAAGCUAGAAAAUGAAAGAAAAUAAAAGAAAGCGCUGUAAAGAAGUUUGUAGAACCUUUAUUACUCUAGCAUUACAACUGAAUGAAUACAGACUGAUAUUUCUAUUAAGCUACAAUUUUCUCAACACACACACAAGUUUGUUACAUCACAUAACCAUUUGCUGCAUAACUAAUUUGACACAUCAGCUCAACCAGCUAACUAACUUUGCCAGGUCAAGCCUAGUGAGUUGAUCUGCUAAAGUCAGCUACACAGCAACAUCAUGCUCUGCUCCAACUUCAUUCAAUUCACUAACAUCCCCCCUCAAGCUGAAAUGUUUAGGAUGAACAUUCAGCUUGCUUCUUAAGUAACUAAACUGUUUGAGAGUAAGCCUUAGUCAACACAUCUGCUGUUUGAUCUUGACUGGGCACAAAACAUACUUCAAUCUCUUUUGCAGUAACUUUAUCUCGAAUAAAAUGUAUAUCCAAUUCGACAUGCUUAGUUUUAGCAUGAUAGACUGGAUUGUAAGCUAAAGCAAUUGCUUCUUGAUUAUCACACCACAUCAUAGGAGUAGAGCUCAAUUUGAUGUUAAGUUCACCAAGUAAAGAUUGUAUCCAGGGAACCUCUGAAGCAGCAUGAGCAAGAGAUCUAUACUCAGCCUCUGUGCUGGACCUGGAAACAACAACUUGUUUCUUUGAUGACCAUGAGACUAGAUUAGGGCCUAGGUAAACAGCAAAGCCAGCCACUGACUUCUUAUCAUCACGAUCACAAGCCCAAUCAGAAUUUGAAAAACAAUGUAGUUGCAAAGUUCCUUUGUUAUUAAAUUGCAGCCCAAGAUGUAUAGUGCCUUUUAAGUACCUCAAUAACCUUUUGCAUGUUUCCCAAUGUUGUGUUCUAGGACUUGAAAUGAAUUGACUUAGGUUGUUUACAGAGAGAGCAAUGUCAGGUCUGGUAAGAGUAACAUAUUGAAGAGCUCCUAUAACACUCCUAUAUUGAGAAACAUUAUCAAUUAGCUCUCCUGAUUCUUUUGUGAGAUAAUAACCAGUAGACAUUGGAGUAGGCACAGGACUGCAAUCUGUCAUGCCAUGUUUAUCCAGAAUGUCAGUAAUAUACUUUGCUUGUGUCAAGGAAACCCCUUGUGAAGACUUGCUGACUUCAAUCCCCAGAAAAUAGCUAAGUUCCCCCAUGUCUUUUAAAGCAAAGGCUUGAUUCAUAAUCUUAAUAACUUGCUGAAUUAGUGUUGGACUGGAACUAGUGAUGAUAAUAUCAUCAACAUAGACCGAAACAAGAGUUAGAUGACCACUGUUCCAGGCAUGAAACAGAGAGUUAUCAGACCUUGAAUGCUAGAAAUGCCGUUUAGAGAUCAUUGCAUCCUUGAAUCUAUCAAACCAGGCUCUAGGUGCCUGUUUUAAGCCAUACAAAGCUUUAUUCAGCUUGCAGAUAUGAUUAGGUUUAGUUGAGUCAACAAAACCUUCAGGUUGAGCCAUGUACACCUCUUCAAUUAAAAUGCCAUUUAGAAAGGCAUUAUUAACAUCUACUUGCCUAAUCACCCAUUGAUUCAAUACUGCUAAGCUAAGAAUAACUCUAACAGUUGAAGCUUUAACUACUGGACUAAAAGUUUCUGUAUGGUCAAUCCCAUGUGUCUGAUGAAACCCCUUUGCAACAAGCCUGACUUUAUAUCUUGAAACUGAACCAUCUGAGUUAUACUUUAUUCGAAACACCCAUUUGCUGCCAACUAUCUUCACUGGAGUAGCAUGUAAAACUAAAUCCCAGGUGUGAUUAGUUUUAAGUGCUAGAUACUUUUCUUGCAUAGCCUUAUACCACAUAGGAUCAGAAAGUGCUUGGGAAACAGAAGUUGGUUCUGAUUUCUGGGCUAAUAAAGCUGACAAAUAAAUUUUUGGCUUGAAAAUACCUGCUUUUGACCUGGUUAUCAUUGGAUGACCAGUUGAUGCAGGUUGUGGCAAUGUAUGUGGAGGUGAAUUAUGUGGUAGUGAAGAAGAAGAAGCUGAGUUGGAAUUAUCAGAAAAAUAAAGUGGAGUAGAAUUUGGUGAGGGAGUAGGAGCAUCUGAAUGAUGAACAUUUUGAUGGUGUUCUGAUGAUGCUGCUAAAGGUGCUUGUAACUGAGUAAUAGAAGGAACAGAGGAAUUGAAAGAAGACUUAUAAUUUUUUGUUGACUAACAACUUGAAGAGAGUGAAGAAAAAUCUGCUCCAGACUCAUAAGGAAAAGAAUUUUCAUCAAAGGUGACAUGAUUUGAAAUGUAAACCCUCUUAGAAGAGUGAAGACACUGAUAUCCCUUGUGUUGUGAAUUGUAGCCAAUGAAUAUACAUCUGGCAGUUCUGAAAUCAAACUUAUGUCUAUUGUAUGGUCUGAGUGUUGGAUAACAAGCACAACCGAAGGUUUUAAGUGUUGAAUAAUCUGGUUGAUGAUGAAAUAACUUUUGGAAAGGAGAAAUGUUGUUUAGAAUUGGAGUUGGAAGUCUGUUUAUCAAAUAGACAGCUGUGUGGAAUGCAUUCCACCAAAAUUUGAGUGGUAAAUGUGCUUGAGCUAAUAAGGUCAGACCUACAUCAACUAUGUGUCUAUGUUUCCUCUCAAUUCUUCCAUUUUGAUGAUGAAUAUGUGGGCAAGGGUGUCUAAAAUGGAUACCAGAAGCAGUGAGUAAUGAGGAAAAUGUUCUGAACUCUUCUCCCCAAUCAGUUUGGACAGUUUUGAUUUGAAGUUGAAGAUGCUUUUCAAUAAAAAUUUUGAAAUUGGUAAACACUUCAAGAGCAUCAGAUUUGGCUGACAAUGGAAAUAUCCAGGUAAAUCUACUAUAAUCAUCUAAGAUUGAUAAGUAGUAAUUAUAUCCUUGGGUAGAACAGACAUGAGAAGGACCCUGAUGGCUGUCGAAGCCAACAAAAAUAAAUUCCUACUCUAAAUAAAUUGUGUAUAGUGAUUGAGCAGGGUCGUGUCCACAGAGAUCGAUAAUUAUUUAAAUCCUUUUGAAACGUAAAACGUAAAAUGGGGGAAUUGUUGACAAUAAUAAAAAUCAAAUUAAAAAUAACAAGAAUGCAAAUUAAAGUUGUAAUUUAAAUUGGAGAAAGCUCUGGUUGAAGGAAUUAACUCAGCUUGAUUCGACUACUGAUCAUUGAUUCAAAUAUAGAUUAUUAUUACUCAUGAAUAGACCGGUUAUAGCUACUGAGACCCUCUAAUAGCCAAUCUCUCCUUAACUAGUCGAUAACCAAGGUACGACCGUUGGUUAUUUCCCUAAUCAAUAGACAACCCUAGAUACGAUCAUAGAAUUUAAUCAAUUGACAGCCUGAAAAACCAGAGAGACCCAAAUCCUAAUCAACACAUAUGAUGAUUCAUUUAAAUUAGAUUGUUUAUUCUCACAACACAACUCUCUGCUAUGUUAUUAGUCACAAGCAUUAAAUUCUUCAUACGAUGAAUCCUUUAAUUGACAAUAGAUUAAGUUGAUAAUUAAAUAGUGGCCAAUUACCUAAUUAACAAACAUAAUCAUGAAAAUAAUUCAGAGAAUAAACAAAUACCCAAAAAGUAAUAAAACAAUUAAAGCACAAGAAAGAUCUCACAGUAGUGAUGAAUCAAAGCUUCAUUAACCUUCAACCAGAAAAAUGGGUUUAGUUUCUCAUAGAGAGAAGAGAAAAAUUAGAUCUAGGGUUUCUUUUUCUCCAAUCCAAAAUUCCCCCCUUUCACAAUAGAUUCCUCCCUUAAAUACUCUCUCUCUCUUCUCCUCUAGAAUUCUAUUUAAAAUAAAAUACUAAUAUCUGAAAUAUUAAAUUCGUAAUUACAAAAAUAACCAAAAAUACAAAACACGUUAAACUAAAAACUGCAGGUCCGCAGUUGACAGCACGCGCCCACGCCUUAUCAAUAAAGUUCUUCUGCCGCUCAUAAUUUCUCCAAGAGAACAAUCAUCCUUAAAAAUCAUCUUGUAGCUCAAUUUUAUCACCAAUCAAUAGAAUUGCACCUACAAAAGUAAAACACAAGUAAAUCAUUAUUAUUAAGUGCAAAACAUCGAUAUUAAGGGAAGUAAACAAUGCAAAACUAGUGCAUAAAUUGCACUCUAACAAAUUCCCCCACACCAAGAUGAUGCUUGUCCUCAAGCAUAUAACUCAAGAUUAAUCCCAAAUCUCCACUCAAUUCUCAUCUCAACUCAUCCAAAAAUAGAAAUUAAGUCGAUCAACAUUCGAGAGACAAGGAUUUUAAAGCAUAGAAUCUCAUAAGAUAGAAUAAGAACAUUCAACCACCAAGAAGAUCCAUUCAAAAUUCAAGUGCAACAAGAUGUAAUAGCCCUCUCAAUAACUUCACUCCAUGCACUCAAAGUGUUUAGGGUGUCAUUUAUCCACUCAAAUCAAAUCAAAGAAUGCUAUUACCAUAAGCUUGCUCAUAUAUCACAUCUCAAUCCACAAAACAUGAAUAAAAUGCAAAAAUCUAAGGGUCUUAAAAGGAUUGUAAUGGGGUUAAAUGGGUUAAAUGAAAAAGAAAGGUUUACGAAAGAAAAAGAGAUCAAAAUGAGAAGAAUGAACUCAUUGAAUGAACUUAUGAUAUCAAAAUGCUUAUUUCUACUCAAGUCACCAAGAAUGUAAACAUUUUUUUUUUCGAUUUUUCUUUUUCUUUUUUUUUCUUUUUCCUUUUCUUUUUCUUUUUUUUUUUCAUUUUUUCAUUUUUUUUUGUUUUUUGUUUUUUGUUUUUUUCGAAUCAAACAAAAGAAACGAACCUUGCACAAUUUAAUUCAAGCAUAAUGCUUGUUGAUCUAAUUGAGAAACUUCAAUACAAGGUAGAAAAAGCAACAAAAUAUAUCCACACAAUGAGUCCAAAAAUCUCCUUAAAUUGAGGCUCAAAAAGAAGAAAAAUGGUUAAGUAGACGGAGAGAAUUAGAUGGGUAAUGGUUAAGGCUCAAACAAAGGUAGCAAAUAAAGGUCUUCGGGUAGAGAAAAAGGAAAAUGCGAGAAUAGAAAAAUGGUAAAUGGUUUGCCCUUAUCAUUUUAAUGCCUAAAAUCCCGUAAUGUGGCUUCAAUAUGCAUAACAAAGCAAAUUCUAGAAUAAACAAACUAGGAUUGAUAUUCACAUAACAAAAAUAAUUAGAGCAAAGUGGUUGCUCAUAGGCUCAAAUCCUCACAAAGUUGGUAAAUUUGCCAUCAAAUCAUGUACACUCUUCAAAUGAAUCAACCAUCAAUAGUGGUGUAGAAUGAGAAGAAGGUAUGAGUGAUAUAUAAAAGAAAAGGUAAAAAUUAUAAGAAGUGAGAAAGAUGUAUGUAGUAAUAUGAAAAGUGAAAGAUAAAAUGUGAGUGAUGAAAGAGUAUGGUAAAAUAAAAAUAGAUAUGAAUAGUUUGAGAUAGAUGGGAAAAAAGUAGUGAGAAAGAAAAGAAAAGAAAAUUAAUAAUAUAUGAAGCAUACUAACUCCAAAAUCAUUUAAGGAUGAGUAGAGUGAAAAUAGAUGAGUAGAGUGAAAAUAAUAAUUCCAGACAUCAAUAAUGCAAAAAUCCCUCCCCCACACCAAGAACUUACAUUGUCCCCAAUGUAAGAUAAUCAAAGCUCACAUAAAAAUUAAAGCGUAAGGAUAAAAGAUUAAGGGCAAAAAAAAAAACUUCCCUGAAUUGUGAGCUUUGAUCCACAUAACGUCUAUGGGCUUGGCGGAAAUGGUGGGGUAAAUCCCACACUCUCGAAGUAUGCGGCCAAAUUCUGCUCCAUCUUGUUCAGCUUGUGCUCCAUUUUCUCUAACUGAAUACUCAAAGGUGGUGCGGAUGUAGAAGGAAUAGUUGGCGGGGCAGCAGUGUCGUCGUCAAACUCGUCAUCAGAGGUAGCACCACUCCUAGCAUAAAGCUUCUUCGGAAGUUGAGUGGGUCCUGGUUCAGUAAACUGAAAUCUCCCCUCCUUGAAUUCAACCACACCUGUUCUUUCAAACACAGACAUAUCCAAAAAUUCCUUUUUGCAAGCAGGAUGCAAAUCAUUAUUGUCGGGAUCAAGAACACAUAGGUUUAUAGCUAACAGAGUAAUGUAUGGACCAAGAAAUAAAGUCCUAUACCGUUUAAGCACAUUUUGAAAUUGAUCCGCUAACCAAAAACCUAAAUUAGGCCUCACAUCAUUUAACAUGCACCAGAUAAAAUAAAAUUCAGUUUUAGAGAAAAUUCCCGAGUGAUCUUUCUUGCCUAAAAAAUUAUAUGCUAAGAAUCGAUGCACACAUUUCAAAACAGGAUCACGUAAGAAAGAACUCUUUGAUUUACUCGGGUCAUAGGCAUUGUGAUCAACAGAUAAAUUACGCCAAAGACCAUAAGGCUCAAAAUUUUCGCUAAAGUCACAAGUUGUUCCUAAAUAUGCAUCACUAGAAGAAUAAUCAUCAUCAAUGAAUCCUAAAGCUAGGUUAAAAUCCGUGAUAGAGUGUGAAAAAUUUCGUCUCAUUAACCUAAACUUAAUGACAUUCGGGGUAUGCAAAGUAAAAUCAUUCGGCAUAGUAAAUUGAAAAGUAGCAUAAAACUCCCUAAUCAACUCAACAUAACCCAAACAAUCAACAUCAACAAAUUUACGCAACCCAAUCUUAUCUAUCAAAGAAUCAAAAUUAUCCUUAACAUUCAAUUUUUCAAGAGUCGGGUAAUGAAUAUACUUAGCUGGAAGUAUUUUGCAAGUGGAAAUAUCUUUGUACCUCUCUUUCUCUUGUUGAGUCGCGAACGCGAGGCACCCUCCGAGAUUGGAUUCCGCAAGUGGCAAAACACUCAUGCCUUUUCCAUGCUUCGAUCUUUGUCUCACGGCUUUGCGUGAAUCUGAAAUUGUGUUCCAUGGAACCGUAGUGGGAGCGGCAAUCUUAGAUUUCUUUACGACGGGUUUCUUUUUCGAUGACUUGGAAGUAGAUGCUUUCCUCUUCGGCAUUGUUACAAUAAUUGCACUCACGGAUUUCGAUUUACCCGGCUGGAAUACAUGACGUAGGCUGGUUGCGUUGCGUUGCUGCUCGACUGGAGCUUGCUGUGCGGGUUGGAGCUGGUUGCGCACUGCUGGGCUGCGAGACACGGGAUGCUGGUGCUGCGCUCGCGGGGGCUUGCGUUGCGAGCUGGUGAUUCGCGUUGCUGGUUCGUGCUGCGUUGCGGGGCUGCUGGUGGGACUGAUGUUGCGCGUUGCGGCUGGGGCUGGAUCUACGCACUGCUGUGUGAUUCGCGAGAGCCGGUUCGUCUGCGUUGCUGUGCUGCACUGAGGUUGAUUCGCGUUGCUGCUGGUUGCGGUGCGCGAUGCUGCGCCCGGCGGCUGGGGCUGGUGGGGCUUGCUGCUGGAAAACGAUAAUCAACAGUAAUUUUUUUGAAUUAGGGAUUUGUGAACAGUGAUUUUCGAAUUUUUUUUUUUUUUUUUUUUAGUGAUGAAUCACUUUGAGACACUAAAAAUUUCAGAAGUACUUUUUUAAUAAGCACGUGGGCACGCCUUAUCAAAAAUUUUCUUCUGGCCAAAAUAAGCAAACACAUUAUUUUAAAAAAAAAUCUGAAUCAAAAUUAAAAGAAGAUAUAACAAAAACCAAAAUAAAUAAAUCAUUUGGGUUGCCUCCCAAAAAGCGCCUUUGUUUUAUGUCUUUGGCUAGACACGUUUAUGCAUCAAUCUCCAUAAUUGGGACUCUCGAGAGCCACAUCCUCCACAAUAUUCACCGAAAAACCUUCAUAAAAAGGUUUUAAGCGAUGACCAUUAACCUUAAAAACUUUGUCAGAGGUCGGACUCCGAAUCUCAACUGCACCAUGAGGAAAAACAUUAGUAACAAUAAAAGGUCCAACCCAGCAAGAACGUAAUUUACCCGGAAAAAGUUUAAGCUUAGAAUGAAAAAGAAGAACUUUUUGACCAACAGAGAACUCCUUUCUCAAAAUCAUUCUAUCAUGAAAUGUCUUCGUCUUUUCCUUGUAAAAAAUUUCCUGCGCUAUAGGGUUAAUAACAUCCACAGAAAAUACCGAAUGUUCCUCACUAGGAUAUUUCAUGGUAUCAUUCAUAUUGAAUCCUAUAACCUCUCCAUCAAACUCCAUAGUGAGAGUCCCUUUAUGUACAUCCAUUUUAGUCAUAGCAGUCUUAAGAAAAGGUCUUCCUAGCAAAAUUGGGACAGAAUUAGAGGAGUUAUCAUCUUCCAUAUCAAGUACAUAAAAAUCAGCAGGAAAAACCAACUCAUUAACUUGUACUAAGACAUCUUCUAAUACCCCAUCAGGAUAUGCAUUAGACCUAUCAGCUAGUUGAAUUAUCACGCCAGUUUCUUUUAAUGGACCAACAUUCAAAGAUGAAUAAAUGGAACGAGGCAUGACAUUAAUAGAAGCUCCUAGAUCUAACAUAGCCUUUUCAACUCUAACACUACCAAUUUUACAAGGGAUAGUAAACAUACCUGGAUCCUUGCACUUAGGAGGUAGUUUCUUUUGGAAAAUUGCUGAAACAUUCUCCCCCAUGUGAACUUUUUCAUCUCCUCUUAAUUUUCUUUUGGAGGUGCACAGUUCCUUAAGGACUUUAGCAUAUCGAGGUAUUUGUUUUAUAGCAUCUAAUAAAGGAAUAUUUACCUCAACCUUGCGAAAUGUCUCAAGGAUGUCUUUCUCUUGUUCUUCCUUCUUGGAUUUUGCAAACCGGCUUGGAAAAGGAGGAGGUAUCACAAUAGGUAGGGGUUUCGCUCCGGUGGGUUGUGCAUCUUGAGAUUGAGGCAUCAAUUCAUUCUUCUCAAGCUCAUCUUCUACAUGCUCUGUCACUUUCUUACUAGGCUCUUGCAACUCCUUCCCACUUCUAAGGAUGAUAGCACUAACGUUUUGCUUUGGAUUCACCUCAGAUUAUGAAGGCAAUCUUCCUAAUACUCGAGACUCCAGAUGGCUUACUGUAGUCGCCAAUUGACUCAUUUGGUUCUCCAAGUUCUGAAUGCUUGCUGUAGUUGCCUGCUGAAAUUGUUGAGUGUUAGUCGCAAGUGAUUUAACAAUUUCUUCAAGAGAUAUACCUGACUUGGAGUUUGACUGUGGAGGUGCUGGUUGUCUUGGUGGAUACUGUUGUGGGAAUCCUGACGGUUUAACUCCAUAGCUGAAGUUGGGAUGAUCCUUCCAUCCCAGAUUGUAUGUUUGUGCAUAAGGAUCAUACCUCCUCUGAGGCAUGCCUGGAAAUCCUCCAACUGCAUUGGCUUGUUCAACGAGUUCUUCUUGGAGUGUAGGACACAUAUAAGUUGAAUGACCCAUAUUGUAACAAAUGCCACAAGUCUUCACCUGUUGCACAUUACCUACAACAAACUUUUCCACAAGAGAAGUAAGUUUAUCUAAACGUUGUUCAACAAAAGAAAUAUUUACCUCAUUCACCUUCCUUGAAGUGGGAUCUUGCCUGCUACUAAAUUGUUGUGCAUUGGCAGCCAUAUUUGAGAUCAACUCCCUUGCUUGAGUAGGGGUUUUGUUCACCAACACACCUCCACUAGCAGCAUCUAUCAUACUUCUAUCCAUUAAUGAUAGUCCUUCGUAAAAAUAUUAAAUAAGAAGUUGAUCAGAAAUCUGAUGCUAAGGACAGCUGGCACACAAUUGUUUGAAUCGCUCCCAAUACUCAUACAAAGUCUCCCCAGGAAGUUGUCUGAUCCCACAAAUAUCUUUUCUGAUGUUGGCAGCUCUUGAAGUAGGAAAGUACUUCUCAAGGAACUGCUUUUUCAAACCAUUCCACGUUGUAAUUGAUCCAGGAGGCAAGUAGUACAACCAAUCUUUAGCUAGCCCAUCUACAGAGAAUGGAAAAGCACGCAACUUAAUCUGCUCUUCAGUCACGCCUUGUGGCCUCAUACUUGAGCACACAACAUGAAACUCCUUGAGAUGUUUAUGAGGAUCUUCACCUGCAAAACCAUGAAACUUGGGUAAUAAAUGAAUAAGCCCAGACUUUAAUUCAAAAUUUACCUCCAAGUCUACAUAUUGAAUGCAGAGUGGUUGUUGAUUCAAGUCUGGUUCAGCUAACUCUCUAAGAGUUCUUUCUACAGGUGCAGGUCUAUCCAUCACUUGUUCUUCUGAAUCGCUAGAUGAUUCAACUAAAUCAGGCACUGUAUCUGUUUCAGAAAGCAAAGGCGACGAGGAUCGUUGCUUAGCUCGCUUUGUCUGCUGUCUCAGUUGGCGAGCUGUCUUCUCAAUUUUAGGAUCAAACGAAAGUGUACCUGUACGAGAAGAACGAACCAUACACCAAGUAAAACGUAAAAAAGAUUAAAUAAAUGACACCAAUCCCCGGCAAUGGCGCCAAAAUUUGAUGGGUGUCGAAGCCAACAAAAAUAAAUUCCUACUCUAAAUAAAUUGUGUAUAGUGAUUGAGCAGGGUCGUGUCCACAGAGAUCAGUAAUUAUUUAAAUCCUUUUGAAACGUAAAACGUAAAAUGGGGGAAUAGUUGACAAUAAUAAAAAUCAAAUUAAAAAUAACAAGAAUGCAAAUUAAAGUUGUAAUUUAAAUUGGAGAAAGCUCUGGUUGAAGGAAUUAACUCAGCUUGAUUCGACUACUGAUCAUUGAUUCAAAUAUAGAUUAUUAUUACUCAUGAAUAGACCGGUUAUAGCUACUGAGACCCUCUAAUAGCCAAUCUCUCCUUAACUAGUCGAUAACCAAGGUACGACCGUUAGUUAUUUCCCUAAUCAAUAGACAACCCUAGAUACGAUCAUAGAAUUUAAUCAAUUGACAGCCUGAAAAACCAGAGAGACCCAAAUCCUAAUCAACACAUAUGAUGAUUCAUUUAAAUUAGAUUGUUUAUUCUCACAACACAACUCUCUGCUAUGUUAUUAGUCACAAGCAUUAAAUUCUUCAUACGAUGAAUCCUUUAAUUGACAAUAGAUUAAGUUGAUAAUUAAAUAGUGGCCAAUUACCUAAUUAACAAACAUAAUCAUGAAAAUAAUUCAGAGAAUAAACAAAUACCCAAAAAGUAAUAAAACAAUUAAAGCACAAGAAAGAUCUCACAGUAGUGAUGAAUCAAAGCUUCAUUAACCUUCAACCAGAAAAAUGGGUUUAGUUCCUAAUAGAGAGAAGAGAAAAAUUAGAUCUAGGGUUUCUUUUUCUCCAAUCCAAAAUUCCCCCCUUUCACAAUAGAUUCCUCCCUUAAAUACUCUCUCUCUUCUCCUCUAGAAUUCUAUUUAAAAUAAAAUACUAAUAUCUGAAAUAUUAAAUUCGUAAUUACAAAAAUAACCAAAAAUACAAAACACGUUAAACUAAAAACUGCAGGUCCGCAGUUGACAGCACACACCCACGCCUUAUCAAUAAAGUUCUUCUGCCACUCAUAAUUUCUCCAAGAGAACAAUCAUCCUUAAAAAUCAUCUUGUAGCUCAAUUUUAUCACCAAUCAAUAGAAUUGCACUUACAAAAGUAAAUCAUUAUUAUUAAGUGCAAAACAUCGAUAUUAAGGGAAGUAAACAAUGCAAAACUAGUGCAUAAAUUGCACUCUAACAGACCCCAAAGAUCUGCAUAUAUCACUUGUAAGGGUGCUGAAGUUUUUGUUUCAACUGAAUCAAAAUGCAGCAUAUGAUUUUUCCCAUAUUGACAUGCUGAACAAAAUUUCAAGCUUUCAAUUUUAUUAUAAGCAGUAGAGUUGUUACAAGUUUUGAGUAUAGUUUUGAGAGUAUAAGAUGCUGGGUGUCCUAAUCUUCUAUGAAGAAGAUUUACAUCAAUAGAACUCUUUGUAACAACUGACAGACAUGGCUUUUUAUUCAAUUCAUAAGAACUAACAGCAGUGAGCUGAUCAGAAUUGAAAACAGGAGAACAAGCAAAGAGAGUGAAUUUUAUUUUGACCAACUGAAUUGAGAAAGACUGAAUGAGCAGCAACAUGUGAAGAGACUCUAUACAAGUCACCUUUAGCAACACCUUCAAGUAAAAUUUUCCUUGUGUUCCUAGCCUUUAUAAAAAACAAAUCACCAAGAAAUUCCAACAGUAACUGGAUUGUCAGCCAAUAAUUUUGAAAUGCUAAGCAAAUUCUUAGUAAUAAAAGGGACAUGAAGAACAUGGUUUUUAAAGGUUUAGAAGUUGAAGUAUUUAGCACAACUGAUCCUACAUGUGUAAUAGCUAAUGCAUUUCCAUCUCCAACAAACAAUUUUUCAGUACUAGUAUAAAUUUGUGAAUCCAGAAGUUUACCUAGAUCAUUUGUAAUGUGAUUUGUUGCUCCACUAUCAAUAUACCAUGAAGGAUCUUCAAUGUGUUCUGGUGGAAGUGAAGAAGGCAUAGCUGAGGAAGAUGAAGCACUUGACUGUCCAGGAUUAUUAUUUCCUUGACCAGAAACAAAAGUAGAUGGUCUAGGGGUGAAUGAGUAAUAAGCAGAAGGAUUACUAUCUGGAUACACCAUAUUUCCUUGAUAGCCAAAACCAGCAUUUAAACCAAAACCUCCAAAACCUCUGCCACCAUUACCAUUAAAAGCUCUUCCUCUACCAUAUUGCCCUUGAUUAAAACCUCUGCCACCAUUCAUAUUACCUCUGCCAUAGUUUCUCUGUGGAACAAAAGAUGAAUUGUACCUAUUUUUGCAUCUAUUGGCUGCAUGACCAGGUAUGAAGCAGAUUUGACAAACAGUUUCAGAGGAAUUACCACCAUUAUUAAACUGACCAUAUCCAUAUCCAUUAAAACCUCCAUACCUAGAAUUAUUUCCAUAAUUUUUUUGAAAAUUGCCAUUAUUCUUUCCAGCAUAUGAGUUCUUCUGAGCAAUAUUUGCUGUCAUAUUGUGCAUCACAUCACCAGCAAUUUUUCCUUUCUUUUGUUCAACUCUAUUUUCAUGAUUCAAUAGCAAAGGAUAUAGUUCAUCUAAUGUUAUCUUCUCACCUCGAGCUAAAACACCUGUGACUAAAGAUUCAUAAUCUGAUGAAUCAAGACCAGUUAAUACAUGAAUCACAAGAUCACUUAACUCAACAGGUUUUCCAGCUAGAGCUAAAGUAUCAGCUAUACGUUUUACUUUUGCAAAGUAAUCAGACAUAUGCAUUGCACCUUUCUUAAUAGUUUGAAUCUGCAUUCUAAGUGUUUGAAUUCUAGCUUGUGAUUAAGAAAUAAACAUACUAGUAAGAGUCUUCCAAAGCUGUUUUGAAGUUGUGGAGUCAAUCACAGUAGCAAGUAGAUUUUGCUGUAUCGACGACAUCAUCUAACUCAACAGAAGUUGAUCAGUCUUCAUCCAAGCUAUGAACUCUGGAUUAAUAGAUUUGGAUUCAGAUUCAGUAAAAAUUUCAGCUCCAUUGUUGUUUCCAAAAGAAAGAAACUACUCAGGACAUUCUUGAUCACCAUUGAUAAACCCUUCCAGACCGUUUCCUUUGAUCGAUGCUAAAAUUUGUGCCCGCCAUAAAAUGAAGUUGUUUUGGUCUAGCUUUGCAGGCGUAACAAAACUAAAAGAGUUGUUAUUUUGAACUGUAUUCGCCAUUUAUGGCUCUAAUACCAUGAAAGAAACUUAGUUUUGCAUUGUUUGGCAAGCUAGAAAAUGAAGAAAAUAAAAGAAAGCUCUGUAAAGAAGUUUGUAGAACCUUUAUUACUUUAGCAUUACAACUGAAUGAAUACAGACUGAUAUUUAUAUUAAGCUACAAUUUGCUCAACACACACACGAGUUUGUUACAUCACAUAACCAUUUGCUGCAUAACUAAUUUGACACAUCAGCUCAACCAGCUAAUUAACUUUGCCAGGUCAGCUUAGUGAGUUGAUCUGCUAAAUUCAGCUACACAGCAACAUCAUGCUCUGCUCUAGCUUCAUUCAAUUCACUAGCAUUUUCCCUUGAUACAUUAGGAGAAAAGACUGCCUGUGAGAUACAACAAUGUAAAUAACUUCUCAUGGUUCAUUGAAUCUAUAACGCACUGAGCCCUAUUCUAAAAUAUGUAGGUUGCUUCUGAAAAAGGGCUUUUCUCACUGAUCUUUAAUCUUCAAGAAAGUUUGUUUCAUUUCAGAAGGUAUAAGUUUCAAACUUAUUGUAUUGGGAGGUUGUAUAGUUGUAACCUAAGCAUCUGCAGGUUCCUGGUUCAACACAUUAUAGUAUGGUAUUUUAUUUUGUCACAAGGCAAUUGGUUACGGGAUCACUUUUGCAACGGUUUGUUGAUGGCGAUGAUGAAUUUCGCAAUAGUAGGUUGAAACUUAUUCCAUCUGUUCCUAAGGUAUCCAUCUUGGCCUUCAUGUAGUAGGACUAUAUUAACGUAUACUUACCCUUUACUGCAUGGUACACUUCAAUUUGUACAAAGAAGGCAUGCAUUUAGGUGUGAAUGUAUUGAUGGGUUGUACCUUCAAACUUUAUCUCCUUUUUACCCUCUUGAAUUUGUUUUGCACUUGUUCUUGAUUUUCAGCACUGAAUCAUGCAGGGGUCAUGGAUAGUGCGCCAGAGUGUUGGAAGCACCCCUUGUUUAUUGGGGAAGGCAGUUGAUUGUAACUAUAUUCGCGGUCCCAAGUACUUAGAAGUAAAUGCUCUUGGAAUUUCUAUAGUACAUGAGAUGUUCCCCUUUCAAAUAGCGUCCAAUACCUUUAACAUGGUUUAACAUUGUUCAUCUUUCUGUAGAUUGAUGUUGACAUCGAUUCUUCUACUGUUGCUAAUGGAGUUUUGGGCCUUGUAAUUGGUGUAAUUACGACAUUGGUGGUUGAGAUGGCUUUCCUUGUACAGGUAUGUAUGAUUGUUUUUUUCCCCCACUGCUAAAUGGACACAAGGGAAAAGACAUGAUUUUGAGAUAUUGCACUGCAACUUGCAUUUUUGCAUACUUGAAUGUUCUCAGAAUGAUAUAAUGCUUCUGUGUGUGUCUUCUUUAUCUUGCUCUUCUGUAUGCAGGCAAAUACUACAGAUGAAUUACCGGAGCGGCUGAUUGGUGCUGUACGUGUUUCUCAUAGAGAACUCAAGUCUGCUGUUGUCCCAAAGCUGGAACCAGAGAUAUCAUGACUCUGGUUUCAUUUCAGCUCAACUGUGUUUUUUUUUUAAUUAAAAAAAUCAUUUGUUUUAGGUAUACAUACAUGUAUUUUGAUUCUAUUUUCAUUGUAAUUUCUCAUUUACUUUGAAUGAAAGUCAUUGGUGUUUUCGAAUGGGAAUUUUGCAUUAAAAAAUGAAGAAUAAUGAAUAGGAAAUUUCCUGAUUCUUUAGUUACUAUUUUUGGUAUGAGUGUAAUUAGUAGUAAAGUAGGUUUCUACUCGCAAACAAGUGAACUACUCGAUUCCCGAGUGGUAUCAACCAGUUUCCAACUUUUUAAUAUACACUAAUUGUUAUUGUUUAAUAGCUACUACUAUUAAAACUCAACAGCUAGCAAAAAUACUUAAAAAAAAUGAUUUUUCUUAUGAUGCUGUGAAAAAAAUUACGGGUGUACUUCUUUCCAUGAGAUCUAUAACAUGGUCUCGACUUCACGAAAUUCUUUUAAUUUAAAGCGUGCUGGUGUGAGGUCAGUUUAACUGAUUAAUUCUUUUUAACAGUGGUCGAGAUAAUUUUACUAUACUAAAAAAUAUUCUUAUUCUGAUAAUGCCACAAAUGUUAUGCUGUUUUCUUCAGAUAAUGAUCUUCCAUUAGGAGAGGUUAGAAAUCAAAUGCUUAAAAGACCAAUUGAACGAAUAAUACAGAAAUUUAGGCAGAAUCUAAUAGAAUAUUGCAUGAAACAUGAAACAUCAAUUCAAGUCCUUUCUUAAACGGAGAAUGCAUCAAACAAAAUCCAAAGUGUCUUGCAAGUCUGUAGCGUGAGCAAAAAAUUGUAAAUAUGUAGAACCAAAUUAUUCAAGUACAGAAGAACGAGCAAGCUAAAUCAUGUAUAAGAGAUUGGCCUGGUUCGGGAUAGCUUCUUCACUGUAUCUGAAGGGUUGGCUCAAUCUCUUCUUUAGAAUUCUGCAGAUUUUGUAAUUACUCGUGUAAGCAAGUAUACAUUGCCACCAUAAGAAUAAUGAAGCUAGAGUAAUGAUAUGACCACCACCUCUUGUGCACAAACAAUAUUGUAUAAACUAAUGCGACAUAAUAUGAUUGGUUAAACAAAAACAUUACAUGGCCCUCAUAAUUUAUUUAUUUAUUUAUUAUUAUUAUUAUAUAUUUUCAGUCAACCAAUCAUAUUAUAUCACAUUAGUUUCUAUAAAAUAAUUUGCUAAAUAGCACCAAAACUUAAUUGAUACUCACCAUUUCAUUGAACAAUUUUUUUAUGGUGUCAUUGAGGUUGCCUUCCCAACAUCGUUCAUCAUCAUCUUUUUCUUCUUUGGUGACGUUCACUUUGUUUAGCAUUGGUGUGUCUAAGAGUCCUUGAGAGAAGAUCUUCAUUUUUGGACACUGUCUCACAACUACUUGUUUCAAGGACGGGAAUUCAAGAGCGUAAUUACCUAAACAAAAGCUUGUUAGGCUUGGCAAACAAUCAAGUCUCAAGUACUCCAAUUCCUUGAAAACAUUGCAAUCUUUCGCUUCUUCUCCAACCUGCAAUUGUAUGAUUUGUUCUAUCAUUUUGCAAUCAACUAUCAUCAUUCUUUUGAGAUUCACUAGAUUUUUAGAUGCUGAGAGCGUCAACACAUUUAUCAAUCCGUGACACUUCGAUACUGCCAAAGCCUCAAGAUUUUCCAAAUGCCACGAAGGUGGUACUAAUUUUUGCAACUUACUACAUUCCGAUAUUUUUAGACUUUUCAAGUUUGCAAACACUUUGUUGGAUUCGGCAUUUUCCUUCCAGAGAUGGUGCACUUUGUGUAAUCCAGACAGCUCUAACCAUCUCAAUCGAGGGAAUGAAACCUGAAAAUCAACAAAAUUAAGUUGUAAAUGAAAAUAUGUAUCCAAUCUCUGCAGUCUUCCCCUGCAUAUUUUAUGGACAAGAUUAAUCACGACAUUUUAUAUUUUUUUUCCAAAUUAGAAUGCUUUGCAGUAGGAUCCCAAAUAUAAGUAUCAAAUCGAUUACCCUUUGAAACACAUAAAUGAAAUCUGAUACUAAAUCCAAUAUGAAUUAGCUAGGAAAACAGAGAUGUUACACACAUAAUUAAUAGAGUUCAUCACCUCGUGUUACCAGGCAUCCAAUUAAUUUAAGACAUUUUAAUAAUUCAUAUUAUAAAGUUAGUUGAUAGCGGAGGUUAUAUUGUUAAAUCAUAUAUAAAUUAAGACGACGUGCAAAAAGAGGAGUCAUUAAAUUCGAUUUGAUUCUAACGAAAUUACAUCUAUGCGAAUGAAAGUGAAGGGAAAUAAUAAUAAUAAUAAUAAUAAUCACCUUUUCAUCGAAGAGAGGUUGUACUUGAUGAGCCAGCAAGAAGUUCUCUUCUGAUGUUAAUUUUUGAGGUUCCUUAUUAUCCGCUGUCAUGUGCAGUACAGAGUUGGAUAUGAAUGUUUCUAUAUCUCGGCAAUUCUCAAUAGUUAGAUUUCUCAACAUAGGCAUUUCAAUUAUAUUCCCAGUGAAGUUGCAGAAUCUUUUGAGUUUUGGAAGAUCAGUGAGCCUCAGCCUGUAAAGCUUAGGAAACAGGGGGCUUAUAUGUUCUUUGUCAGCAUUUAGCUCCUCCAAAUGAAGCACCUCUUCUAUUGAAUCACAAUUCCUCUCUUCCAGCCAUACCAAAUUGUUCAAGCACCGUAGCAGAUUGGCAGGAAUAGCACUCGACAUAUUCGUGCAGUCAUCCACAGCCAGUUGUCGUAAAUUGUUGAAGAAGCUGACAGGCAGUGCUUGGCCAUGCCAUAUUUCUUUCAAACGUGGAAAAUGUGAGAGUUGCAAAUCCCAUAUGUCACGGAAUCCAAUCUGCACAAACAAAAACAAUUGCACUGGAUAUAUAUAAAUUUUUUUUUUGAAUCAACUUACAUGUUUUGUGUUUUAACUUCUAAAACUAUAUAUACAAGGCAGGUGUAUAUGUUCAAAUGUCCAAGUGCAAGGGAGAUGCAUAAGUAAUUUCGACGAAUCGAUUUAACACAUACCAUUUCUUCGUAACACUUUUGUAUAGUGGAAUUAAGGUUGCCUUCCCAAUGGCGCAAUUCACCCUCUCCCUGUUAAGAAUAGAAUUAGUUAGUUAAUGAGUAUGCUGACAUGGCAGCUGAGUCAGCUAAAGGUUGUUAUAGAGGUUGUUAGUAGUAAACUGUGCGUGUGUGCAAUGUGUGUAGAAUCUUCUAUGCACAUAUAAAAAGGCUUGUAAUUUCCAGAUUCAUUAGAUCAAUAAUAACAGAAUUCUCAGCUUACAGAAGUUUUCUUUCUUCCUAUUUUCUUAGUAACCAAACAACAUCACAGUUUCAUAUAAAACUUAAUACUUCCUUUUUACUCACAUGCACUUCGUGCAGCUUUGGUGUGGAUACGAUUCCCUGAGAAAAAGUCUUCAUGUUCGGGUAACAUGUCAUAGAAACUCGUUCCAAUGAUGGGAAUUCAAGAGUGUAAUCCUCCAAACAAAAGCUGGUAAGCCUUGGUAAAUGAUUUCAGGUAAUUUUUAAAUAUUCUAAAUUCAUUUAGAAUAUUUAAAUGAAUUUAGAAUAUUCACUAUUUAGUAUUAGGAAUGGAGAAAGAAUUUCAGGUAAUUUUUAAAUAUUCUAAAUUCAUUUUUCAUCUUGAUUCUAGUUUUUUAAAAAAAUUUAAUUUUCAAACAUGCGUAUUUUUAAAAUAACUAAACUAAAACGCUGUAUUUCCCUUUUUUUCCCGAUAUUCAUGCUUUUAAAAAUGGAAAACAUUUCUGGAAAACACUUCCCAACGCCAUCAACAUGGGACUGUUAUAGAUGAAUUAAGGAAAAGAGAAAUAUAUAGAUGAAUUUGUGAACCUAUAAGAUGAGUGACUAUCCUUUAAUUUUUGAAAAUUGUACUUAUUAAGAUAUGAGCAGAAACAAUUAAAUUGAAUUAUAUUAUGCUGUUGAAUCGUGAUUAAAAAAAUUAUAUUGUUGAUUCUAAUGCUGGCGAACCUAAAAACUGGACUUAAAAUGUAGAUUUGAGAGUGGUGGUUCGAAGUACAAUACUUGAAAUAAAUAAUCAGUGGCUGAAUAUCAUUUGUAAACAAAAAAUGGUUAAAAUAUUGUUGGAUGUAAUUUGAAAAAAAAAAAAAGAUUCGAAAUGAAUACAGCAACCUUACCAAUGGAGGAAAAAUAUUCUUUAGGUUAUCACACUCAAAUAUCUCUAAAUUCUUCAAUUUGCUGAAAGACUCCGAAGCAAGUUGGUGGUGCCAUAUUAUUCUCAAAUUAUUCAUCCAGCUAAUAUGUAAUACCUCCAACCUAGGAAGUCGUACCUGGCAGUUAAAGAUUAAAUAACUAAUUAAUCAAUUAAUUGCAUAAUCAAUUGAUAACUAAAUUAGAGGCAGAUAUUAACUAAACUUGAAGACUCAAAGAAAAGACAAAUUAAAUAUUGUGACUAAAAUUAAUUUUUUUUAUUAAAAAAAAAACCUUUUCGUCAAAGAGAGGAGGAGGUUGCAUUUCAGAAUGAUUGGUGUCUUCUGGUGAGCUCGUAGAGAUGAAUCUUAACAUAUUCCAGCAACUCUGAAUCUCGAGGUUUAGCAAAGAAGGGAAUUCAACAACUAAAUCUGAAUUAAUAUGUCCCGUAUUGGCAAAGCUUGUUAGUUUAUAAAGCCAAUAGAGCUCCAGGGAGUGUAGUUUAGGAAAAACCUUUAAUUCAAUCAACUUUCCUUCUUCUCUUUCUGACCACCCCGUGGUGUCGACUACCCCUUCCAUUGACUCACAAGAUCUUAUCUCAAGAUGCUGGAGUUGCAAAAGACUAUUAACCAUAGAAUAGGAAAACAGAUACUUCAUACGAUGACAACUGCUCACGUACAGCUUUGUUAAAUUUCGACAACAGUACAUUCCUUGAUUAUGAUCGGCCCAUAAUUUUUUCAUGUUUCUUAAUGACCUGAGAUCCAAUUCCUCUAAGCUCGGAAGAAUAACCUGCAAAGAAUACCCGUACAUUUUUGUUCCUUCAAGUACAACCGUCUAGUAUAAUAUUCUUUUGAUGAUCGAAGAUUAAUCGUGAUAAUAAAUUAAUCAAUUAAUUAUUGAACAGAAAAUUAUCACCUUUGGAGCAGGAUCAUCAUCAGCAGUGAUUUCGUUGAAUCCCAAAGAAGUUGUUGGUUUCUCCCUGUCGGGUCCUAUAAACAAACAAAAACAAUAUACAUAAUUAAUCUUUGUUUUUUUUUUCAAAAUAAUUGAGGCGAAGUCAAUUAUCCCACCGGUACUUAAUUUCAACACUUACCAACAAUCAUUUCCUGAUCAUCGCAAAAAGCCACUUCUACCUUUUGAAGCCGCAGUAGGUUUUUGGCUAUGGAGAAUGAGAAAAGAUGCUUCAAUUUGUGACAGAAUUUUACUUCUAUAAUCCUUAAGUUGCUGAAAGAUUGAUCUUCUGUGAGUUGGCUGUCACAUAUUGUCUCCAAAUUGAUCAAACGACGAAGAGACAAUGACUCCAGCAAGGGGAAGACUUUGCGACGAACCCGUCCAACUGAACAGACAAUAUGCAAAAUCUCAGAACAACUUUCUGCAGAAAGAUGCUUCAAUCGUGGAUAACCUUCCCCAUCAUCUAAUUCAUGAACAACAUUCUGAACACCCUUCAGUUCUUCUAGAUAGAGAUAUUCAGUUCUCGUCAACAACAGUUUCAUCCUGUAAUUCUGCAAAAGAACGCCAAACUUUUCCAGCCCCUGGAGCUUCAUCAAUCUUGAUAAUCCAGAUUUAACGGACCAGCUGCUCCACCACUUAUUUCCUAUACAUAUCCUAUAGCUUUGUAAUUCCACAGAGACGAAAUCCUGCGGUAAAAUUUCGGCAUCCCGAACAUGUAUCUCCAAAGUAGUUAGCUUUGACAGCCCAUUCAAUUCAGCAAGACUGGCGUUACUUCCUCCUUCAACCUUCUCCCACUGUGAAAAGCUGUUACCAAUAUAUAGUUCUUCUAAUCGAGAUAAUUUUGAUAUGACAUUUGGAGCUAUCACCACAAGACUGCUACAAUUUCUCAAAUCUAGCAACUGUAAUCUCGUCAAUUGUCCAAUUACAACUGGCAACUCCUUAACAUCAGAAUCUCGGAAGCUGAGAAUCUCUAAUUUCCUUAGCUGUCCAAUUAUAGUUAUUUCGUUCAGUCGGCAACCGUCUAAACACAAUGUUCGAAGGUUAAUGAGGCGACCAAGUGAUGAAGGUAAUGAAGAGAAAAAUAUGCCAGUAAAAUCUAAAACUUUGAGUUCUUCUGUCCCUUCAAAAAAGAGGUCUGAAAUUUGCAAAGAGCUAUCACGCUUUGAAAACAACAAAAGUAACUCGAGACGGGGACAUCCCAACCUUUCGGGAAGCUCUUGAAUAUCUCUAUAAGGUAAAGAAAUAGCAAUUGGACCUUCCCGUAUUGUCUCUUCCAUCUUUUUCUCCACGUAGGCAACAUUUGGAAUAUUAAACAUGAGCUCCUUUUCUGCAAUUGAUACAGCAACAGCAUGAAUGAUGUCAUGCAUUUUAACUUCAUCUUCAGCAUCACCGUCCAACAAUAAGCAUGAAGAUUUGAGUUUGUCGAUCAAUGCAUCCACUCUAUUCCUUGCAUUUUCCAAUGUGCGAACAUAUUUAAACAAACCCAAACCCAUACCCAUACCAUAUCUCAACAAGGAAGCAACUUGUAUAGGAGUACCUUCACCAAAUAGAGAACAAAGAAGGAACAAAGAUUUUGCUUCAUCACUUUCCAAGAAGUCGUAACUCAAUUUUAUGGAAGAAUACACAUCUGCAUCCAUACCAUGAAUUUCUCUUAGAUUGGAACUUCUUAGCUGAUUCAACGCAUCCUUCCAAAUGGCAAGACUCUUAUUUUUCAGAGCACUUGCAACUGUUCUCAGUGCAACAGGCAAUCGUCCGCAUUUUCCAACAAUCUCAUCCGCUAAAGGUUGAAAAGCAGAUGCUUUUGCGGAAUUGCCCACGAUCUUUUCAAAAAAUUGCAAUGCUUCUUCCUUUGAUAAAACUUCAAUUGGGAAAAUCUUCUGAGAAUUCAUAUCAUUGAUCAAUAAAUCUUGACUUCUAGACGUCAAUAUUAUCGUGCGUCUCCUUAGAUCUUGCUUUCUAUCUUUCUCAUCAACAUCCCCAGAAGGAAUUCCAAUUUCUUCCAACCUAAGUUUUUUCCAAAUAUUAUCUAAUAUAAUGAGGACUCGCUUCUCUUUCGUCAAUCUUUGACAAAGUUGUUUUGCUCUGUGGGGUUUGCUAUCAUUCAAGUCAAAGUUCAUGUCUAAAUCGGAAGCGAGCUUGUCUUGAAUUUUCUGAACAUCUGGGUUCUCUGUUACCUCAGCCAUAACGACCUUAUCGAACAACUUAUCUUCCAUAACUUGCUUUGCAAUUUGCUUGACUAGCGUGGUUUUACCCACGCCGCCCAUACCGUGGACCCCAAUUAUGUUGAGCUUAUCAUCCCUCAAUGCCUCCACAACAUCUUGAAAUAAUUUCAUUCUUGAAUCAAAGGCCUCGAAAUCUUUCGCUUGCAUAUGUUCUGUACUCUCUGGAGCAGGACGGUGGGAAACACUAGAGAAGUUGCCUUUUCUCACGAGACUAGCGGCAGCUUCUGCGGCCUUUACUGCUUGUUUACUAAGUUUAUAACGAGAAAUCAAGUUGGGGCACAAUCCUUUGAAGCAGGACUUCUUAGCUCUAUCUUCAUCAUCAAUGAUGGAUUUUGCAACCCCUUCACUGAUGCAUUCAUCAACGCCAUUAAGCCAGUCUGCAACAUCCUUGUAAAUCUCAUCUCUUUGUUGAGUAGCCUGACGAACGGGUAUUCCCACCCUUUCUCUUUUAUAUUCCAGCUGCUUCACUUGAUCUUUUAGCUCAGCUAUGUAGCUCUGGUACUUGAACACAUAAGAUAUCUGCCGCAUAAUCCGUUCGAGCAAUGCCUUUGCACCUUCUGAUACAAUGCUUGAAAAAGCUUCGAGACCCACUUCUGAAGCCAUUGCCUAGCCUGUUGCAUAUAUAUAUACAUUAGCCGAUGGAAAAAUUGGAUUCAAAUAAAUUAAAGUGAUCCAGAGGGAAGGACAAAGAAAGAAAUGACAACGAAUGACUUUUUAAACAAAGGUUUCAAGAGCCUGAAUCGAAAACCAACAAUUUGAAAAAAAAAAAAAGAAUUGGAAGAUGGAUGCAAAUUAACCAUUGCUAAUACUACAUAAGAACACAUAAGUUAACAAUGAACAGUUACUUAAGAAAAUUAAAUGACAAGAUUAAAACAAACAAGCGCUAUUUUUUCUUGGACAAAUGUACCUGUUUAAUUAUUAAAGACUUAAUGAGCUUCACUAUUGGCCUUGAGUAUAUAAGAAUGAGCAAGAGAUCAAUGUCAACUGCAGAGGAAUGUCAGUAAAGGUUUCAUGAGAGUGAGUAAUACAAAUGAAUUGUAAAAGAACAAGACUUAAGCGUGCACCCCCUGUUUUGUUUUAUUCGUUAUGAAAAUGAUAUUGUACCCAAUUUUAAGAGAGCAUAAUAAUAACCAUUUAAUGCAUAAAUUUAGAAUUAGCUUUUUUUUUUGUAAUUCUUUAUUUAAAUAUACACGUCAAUGGAAAAUUUUGAAAAUUUGGAUACAAAAUUUUAAAUCACCAGAAAAAAAAAAGCACGGGAACGGAAAUAGAGGAAUCUUGUUUUACCUUUUUUUUUCCCCCCUUUAACUCUCGUUCUUAUAUAAAUAAUCUUGUUUUGAUGAUUGUGACUCGUGACUGCGGGAAAAAUUCUAAUGGAAACAACUCAAUUUCGGAAGAUAAGCUUAAUUCUGCAAGUGAUGAAUUUGUUCAAUAGACUCUGUACCUGAACUCGUUGGAUUGGUUGAUUGAUGAUUGACUAAAUUUGAAUUAAGUUUAAUAGCUUAGCUAUCAUGUACUCCUUAAAAGCAAACGUAAAUCUUUUUUAGAUUUGACUGAAUUUGGGAACCUGUUGGAUUGAUUGUUUUUAGAUCAUUAAUAUCAGAUACUACAAACGUAAAUAUUUUCUUGUGGUUGAGUCCUAUUCAAAUCACACAAAAUUGCACGACCAAAUAUUAAGAGAACGUAAUAAUAAUCACUCAGUGCGUAAGGGUAAAUUUAGAAUUACGUAUUCUUUUUUAUUUAAUAAAAUCCCAGCGAGAAAAUCAUAAAAUUUAGAUAUAAAAUUUUCAAUCACCAAACAAAAAACAGGGGGAAUGAAAACACAGGAAACUUGUUUUACCUUUUUUUCAUCUAACUCUUGUUCUUAUAUAAUAUUUUCCCUAGUGUUUCAGGCAAGCAAAAAAAAAAAAAAAAUCAAUAAAGAGCAAGUUGCUCAAAUUGAUUUAUCUUGUUUUUCAGGCAAUCUUGUGAUAUGAUGAUAAUGCUUAUGAAUGCUAGAAAAACUUCUAAUGCAAACAACUCUAUUUGGGAUGAUAAGCUUAAUUUUACAAGUGAUAAAUAUAAAUAACUUUUUGUGGUUAAUUCAAUUUGUAAUUACCCUUAGCCCUAUUCUAAAAUUUGUUGGCUGCUUCAGAAAAAAAAAAAAAAAAAUUUCACUCAUCUUUAAUCUUCAAGUAAAAAACAAAUCUAAUAAAAUGACAAACAAACAAACAAAUAAAAGACAGCAAACAAACAACAUUUAGCCAACUGAUAUUUAAACAGGGAUUAGAGUUUUUGUUAUUAACUGAAAGGUUUCAAGGGUCUGAAUAAAAUCCCAGACUUUUUUUUAAAACUUUUUUUUUAAUUAACCAAAGCCAUAUAAUAAGAUCACAGACUUUAACAAUGAACAAUAAUUUGAAACUCAAGCAAAACCAAUCACAAGAUUAAAACAAACCAGAGAAUUUUUUUCUUGGAAAGUAGAUGAAAAGCAAGUAAGAACUGCUAUUAAAGGAUAUUAUUAAAGGAUUUAGAACAUGUAUACCUCUUUAUUUAUAUGGGAUCAGAGAGUCGAUGACCUUCUCUAUUCGCUUCGGAUAUUUAGUAAGAACUGCUAUCAAAAGAAUGAAUUGAUGAGUAAUAACAAUGAAUUGCAAAAGAGGAAGACUUAAUCACGUACCCCUAUUGUACCCGAUUUUUAAGAUUUAAUUUUGAAGUCCAGAAUCAAGACAAAAGACGAAGCCUUAACAAAUAUGCAGUGAGAAUAGUUAAGUUGAAGAAAGCACUAGUUUAUGGCUCUGUGUUUCAUAUGCCGUAUUGAAAUAAUUAAGUUGAAGUUUUCAACGAAUAAAUACCUGGUGUGCUGGAAUAAUUUUAGAAGAAUAUUGGCUUAUAGAGAUUAGAGCAUAUUAGGAGGGAUCAGAUUUGUAAGAUGCCUGAUAAAAGAUAAAGCGAAUGUUAUUAUGGACAUACCAAUUUCCGACUUUUCGGAGUGCAUCCGUCUAUCCAUGACUUGAAAAGAGACCCAAUGUGUGGACAGACUUGAUUACAUNNNNNNNNNNNNNNNNNNNNNNNNNNNNNNNNNNNNNNNNNNNNNNNNNNNNNNNNNNNNNNNNNNNNNNNNNNNNNNNNNNNNNNNNNNNNNNNNNNNNNNNNNNNNNNNNNNNNNNNNNNNNNNNNNNNNNNNNNNNNNNNNNNNNNNNNNNNNNNNNNNNNNNNNNNNNNNNNNNNNNNNNNNNNNNNNNNNNNNNNNNNNNNNNNNNNNNNNNNNNNNNNNNNNNNNNNNNNNNNNNNNNNNNNNNNNNNNNNNNNNNNNNNNNNNNNNNNNNNNNNNNNNNNNNNNNNNNNNNNNNNNNNNNNNNNNNNNNNNNNNNNNNNNNNNNNNNNNNNNNNNNNNNNNNNNNNNNNNNNNNNNNNNNNNNNNNNNNNNNNNNNNNNNNNNNNNNNNNNNNNNNNNNNNNNNNNNNNNNNNNNNNNNNNNNNNNNNNNNNNNNNNNNNNNNNAUUUAAUAAUUAUAGAAGAAUAUUGGCUUAUAGAGCAUUUUAGUAGGGAUAAGAUUUGUGGACAGAAUAAAUGAAAUAAUAAAAAGCAUAACUGAUCAAGUCAUUAUUGAUCUUACUUUGAUUAUUACAUUGCACAUUAGUUUCUUUCUAAAAAUGCCAUUCUUCAUUCAAGCUUUCGCUUUAUCUUUUAUCAGGCAUCCUACAAAUCUUAUCCCUACUAAUAUGCCCUAUAAGCCAAUAUUCUUCUAAAGUUAUUAAAUGCCAUUCUUCAUUCAAGCUUUCAUGGACAUUAUCUACAAACUGAAUCUUCAAUGUAAUAAAAUAAUGAUCAGCCUCACAGGAUACAUAAAAAGCUCAUUUAUCACAAUCAUUUCCUAGUGCAUCAUAAACUUAGAUUAUUUAAUUUUACUAUUAGGAAACCUACUUAUAAAAGGCGCACACUACAAAUUCUAAAUUAAAUUUCUAACUAAGAAUAAAAGGUAAACCCUAGCAAUUUUCCACCAGGUGCCGUGUAGCCUGCAUCAUAAAUUUUGAUUUAAAUCUUUGUAAUCACCGAACAGAAAAACCGGGGAAUGAAAACAGAGGAGCCCUAUUUUUCCAUUUUUUUAACCCUUAACUCUUGUUCUUCUAAUUAUAUUUUUGCUUGGAAUUUCAGGCAAACGAAAAAAAAUAGUGACAACUAUUUAGAGAGAACAGGUGGAUGAUAGCAAAAAUAUUUUUAAUUAAUAUGCAUGAUUAACUCUUGUUCUUCUAAUGUAGUGGCUUGAUUAAUUAAUAUUUUUAAUCAAGCCAUUACAUUAUUGGUAGUCUCUGUGGGCUCAUUUCGUCUCCAGACCUGAUAUUGUAUAUCUCUUUUUGAAUAUGUUUAAUUAAUAUGCAUGCUGCUGAAUAAAGACGAUGAUUUCCAAAUUUUUGUUGCUUUUUUUUUUUCUUUUUGCUGCUUUGGUACAUGAAGAAUGUGGAAAUAGAAAUAGCUUUCGAAGUUUAAUGGCUUGCUUCAUUAGUAAAGAAAGACUAGGAUAUCCGUCCUUUUUGUUACUGAAUUAUUGAUCAAUUGACGGUUGAAGUUAGUUAUAUUAAUUUGUUGUACAAGAAUUGAAGCUUAUAUCUUUACCGUUUCGUGAAAGUGUCAAAUAUGUUCUUUCCUUGCAAUUGUUCAAAAUAUGUUACACUUUUGAAGUCACUAUUACAUAAAGGGUGUUGUAAAAUAGGGAAAGGCGGGUUUAUGAUUAGAUUUUAAUAUGUUUAAUUCAAGGAUUAACCGAAGCUAUUAACCAACGGCUACUAACCGAAAACCGAAUUUAACAAUAAACACUAACUCAGAAUUCAAGAAAAUUAAAUGACAAGAUUAAGACAAAUGAGAGAUAUUUUUCUUGGACAUUAAGAAAGAACUACUAUCAAGAUCAAGGAUUAGAGAUUAUAUAUGCUAUUAUUAAUAGAAAUUAUUAAAGGAUUUAGAACAAGUUCACCUCGUUGAUUAUCUGGGAUGAUGAGUUUCUAUAUUCACCUUGAAUAUAUAAUAACAAUUUUAGUGAGCAAAAGAUCACUGGUAACUGCAGAGGAAUGUGUGAGUUUAAGAGCUUAUUAGAGUAAGCAAUACAAAUGAAUUUUCAAAUUAUGUACUUGGUCAUUGUUGUCCUACUGACGCACGUUUUUUUUCAUGAAUAAUUGCCAGAUCAGAAAAGAAUAAGUUCGGUGGAUUGAAAGAUUGCUGAAGCAAGUAAAACAAUCUUCAUAUCGAACAUGAUUCCAAUUAAAUUAAUCUUUUUAUAAGAUGACUAAUAAAAGACAAAAGUAGAAGCUUUGAUGAAUGAACGAUGACCAAAACUUUUGUAAAAGCGGAUGCCGAUAAAAUAAACAAAAGGCACUUUAAAAAGAAACUAAAGUGCGAUCAUCAAAGUAAGAUCAAUAAUGACUCGAUUUAUUUCACCUAUUCUGUCCACAAAUGAUGCUUCGCUAUUACAAGGUCCGAAUGGACAUUAUUUACAAAUUGUUCUUAUGUUUCACAGAAAAAUGAAAAACCGUUCAUCAUCAUAUAAUUAUGAAAUAAAUAAAUUUUAUUAAUGGAUUAUGGGGAUAUGUUAAUGUUAGGGAUAUGUUCAAAUCAUCAUAUAAGUUACUAAACGCUUCAACAAGAACAAGAAUUAAUGAGUUAAAAGUAAAAAAAAAAAAUUUUAAAAAAAGUUAAAUAAAUAAAACUUAGAAGUAAAGAAUGUUAUUUGCAAUCACCAAAAUGAAAACAGUGGAACCCUGUUUUUCCUCUCAUUUCUCUUUCUCUCUUUUUCAUUUGUUGGGAAGUGUCGCCUAAAACACUUCCUCUGCUAGGUGGAAUUAUUGGCUUGAAGAGAUGAGUUCUUGUCACAAGCACAAAUUUUAUCUGUACAUUAUUUCAUUUUAAAUGAUGAGUUCUUGUCACAUGAUCAUUACUUUUUUUGUUUUGAUUUGGUUAGUUCAUGAUAACAAACAAAUUAUUUUGCAUCACAUUAUGGUAAAAAGUUGCCCUCUUUGUUACUUCCACAGCUAUAUAGUUUAAUAUUUUGUAAUAAGAUCACAAAGUGCAUGGGAACCACUGUUCGAGUACUUCAGCCUAAUAUGAAGAUCUAUUGAAAAUUUUCCUGAUGUCAUGAUAUUAAACAAAAAAAGGUACCUCUUUUACUAAUUAAUAAGAGAAGUUUUGACCGAUUUCAUGUGACUCUCUUUUACUAAUUAAUAAGAGAAUUUUUGGCCUUAUAUCCUUGCUGUGGCGUUAGACUGUUGGUCAUUUUGAUUGUUUCCUACUUUCCGUUUACGCCAGCUGUAACAUUGUAUUAUCACCAUUUUAGCCAUUUAAAUGAAAUUUAUUUUUGUCAAAAAUAAAAUGACACCCUUAAAAUUAAAAAAAAAAUAGUUAUGUAGACCUCAAAUUUUUAAUAAAGAAUGCCAAUACCCCUUUUAACUACAAGAUUCUUAGUAGAUGAUAACUAAAAAAAUUAACUUCAAAAAUUUUCACUAAAUAUAAAUCUAAUUGAAAUAGUUUAAAUUUUCUAGUAGACUAAUAUAUAUAACUUAAAUAAUUAAUUUCAUUAUUAAUUUUUAAAAUGUUAAAUAAUAUAUUUUAAUUUAUUAUAAAAAAUUUAAAUAAAUUCUUGGAUUAGAUAGAUUUUACAAUUAAUGUAAUACUGCUGAUUUAUUAAUAAUAUUAAAAUUAUUUUAUAUGAUAUUCAAAAUAAUUUAAACUUUUAUAUAUUUAUUUUAAUAUUAUGUCUAUUUAUUAUAAAUUUAUAAUUUGGUUUAAUAUAAUACGGGAUUGUAAAAUAUUAAAAUAUUUUUCAAUAUCAAAUUAUUUUAAUAUGUAUAUAUCAUUACAUUUAUUUUAAUAUUGCAUUUAUAUUUAUUAAAGAGUAUUGCAGUAAAGUAAAAAAAAAAAAAGUCUUAUUAUCCCUUAUUCACGAUAUGAGGUUCUACAGAAUUAUUUCCCCAAACGGGUGUCCUUUUCUCAUUUUCAAAAGAAAAAAUAAAGUAAGAAUAAGACCAUGGAUUUCAAAAAACUUAUAGUCCUAUCCCGGGACCAAACGUCUAUUCAUUAUUUUAUUUAUUCAAUAUAAAUGGCCAACUUAAAAAAAUGAUAAAAAUCACACAAAGCUCAAGUGAAAAUUUAGAAUUACAUUUUUUAAUACUCUCGGAGUCUUCUCUCCUGCCCCCUUUUUUUCUUAAAAAAAAAAACCUUAGUGUAAAAUUAGAAGAAUUUUAGAUAUAAAAUUUGACAAUCGCUAAACAGAAAAGCAGCGGAUUAAAAAUAGAGGAGCUCUGUUAUCAUUGCAAUAUUGAUUAUAGAUAAUAUAAUAACUUGUUGUGGUUCAUUGUAGCACUCUGAGCCAUACUUUAAAAUUUACUGGUUUGUUAAUGCUUUUAUUAUUGACAUUAUUGUGUCAAUAUUAUUAUAAUUUAUUCAUUUUAUUGUAAUGAUAAUUUGUCUAGUCUUAGGUACUUAUUAUAUUAAAUUAUGUAAAUUAAUUGAGAAUACUUUUACAGACAAAAGAAACACGUGUAUGUAGGAUUAAUAAGCGAAGAGUUGUAAAUGAAGCUGAUUGCUUCAUUGAGAUGCAUAUUAAAUAAUUAUGGAGAGUUGCUCUAUUUCAGAAGCAUAUAUUUAUACUUCCCUAUCAGGAUUUGGGGUAAGCGAAGUGCUUUAUGUAUUGCAGUAAGCAAAUGUGGGCAACAUCAGAGCCGAAAUAUUAAAAGAUCAUAACGCAUAUAAACGAUUAGUAUAUUCAAGGCACAUAUAGCGGAAAGAGUGCAGAUCUGGCCGUAACUAUUAUGAGGAUUUCCUCAAGUAAAUAUUAAAAGAACAACUAUUCUGAACUAUAUAUUCUUCAUUGUGGGCAGAUUUACUUAAAUACCAACACAAUGAUUCAAUACUUCAAAAGUCAAGGAAAUGUCAAAAUAUGAAAUGAAAAUACUUAAAUACCCUUCUCCCUAACAAAACUUAGUACUUCUAACUGCCAUCGCAGAGAAUAUAUAAAAUUUAAAAAAAAAAUCAUCCAUGAAAAGUUUCGUAACAGAAAAACCGUCUUUCAAAAAAUAAAAAAUAAAAAAUAAAAACAGAAAAAUUGACUCAUUUAUCUGCCAAUGAACCAGUCGGGACUCAUUUAAAAAAGAUUACAAAGCAAAAGUAAAUGACACAAAUUGCAUAGAUAUCUAAGAGCCGCAUCAAAGGACAAAGGUGUUAAUUUGUCCAAGUAAUAAAUUCUCCUAGGUCAAAAGCAAUUAACGAUGAAAACUUUCUUCAUUAAGGUUCUGGCCUACGUAAAAAAACAGAAAAAACCACCCCAAGGUCAAAGCACAACGAUAAGUUUAGAAUUGCAGUUUUUAAUUUUUCUUUUUAAUAAAUCAACGUGUAUUAAAAAUAGAUAAAAAUUUUGAAUAAUGUUUUUUUGAUAAAUAUAGACAUAAAAUUUAAAAAUCACCAAACAGAAAAACAGGGCAAUUAAAAGAGAGCCCUUGUUUCUCCUCUGUUUUGUUUGUUAUUAAACGGGGAAAUGAAAAGAUCGCAAGCAUAAAUUUUGUUUCUGCGUUGUCUCUUCUCAAUGUUGCAUGCAUUCAAAUUAAACCUUAUAUAUGAUAGCAAACUAGCUACUCUGCAUGUACGAUAAGUCUAAAUAAUAGAAUAAUUGUAAAAUGUUCAAAUUCAGUAAUUAAUUAUACAUAUUUAUUUAUUCAAAAAUUAUUAUUAUUAUUAAUUAUUGUCAAUAAUAUAUUAAUAUACUAAUUAAUUAUAAAAAUUUUUAUCAUUCAUAACAAUAACAAUGAUGAUGAUGAUGAUAAUAAUAAAAAUUCAAAAUAUAUUAAUUAAUUAUAAUAAUAUAUUAAUUAUUUAAUACUAAUAAUAAUAAAAAUGUAAAAUGUAUAAAUUGAUUAGAAUAGUUAUAUUAAUAAAUUAUAAACAUAUAUUAAUUAAUCAUAAUAAUUUUUUAAUUGAGGACAAAAUAGACAUUUUAUAGUUUGUGAGAGGGGGCAAAAUGGUCAAUUUUGGGAAUGGGAGAUUGAUUCCCACCACCUUCCUUGGGAAUCAAUUUUCCAUUCCUCAUUCCUAAAUUUGGGUGGCCCCAUAAUUCUGAUUUGGAUCCCUGCCUCCAUCAUUAAUGAUUUCGAUUUCGGAUUCCGAUUCCCCAAUCCAAGAAGUAAAGGCACCAUUAUUGUUAAUUGGUUCAAACACACAAAGAGAAUGUACCGUGUAGCUAGGCGUCAAGGUUGUGUUGCACAAGUAACCUUUUUCUUUUCUUUUUAUUUUUCUUGUUUUCCUUAACGGAUCAGAAGAAAUUGGUGCCUUUGAGAUACCACAAUGUAAAUAAUUAUUUGUGGUUCAUUGAAUCUGUAACACUCGGUACCCUAGGGUUGCUUUGGAAAAAGGGCUUUUCUCACCGAUCGCCAAUAUCCAAGUAAGUUUGUUUCAUUUCAGAAGGUGCAAAGUUUCAAACUUGUUGUAUUGGGAUGUAACAAACUUUGGCCUUAUAUGCCUGCUGUGACGUGAGACUGUUCAUUUUGAUUGUUUCCUACCUUCCACUUACGCACUGUAGCACUGUAUUAUUCACCAUUUUAGCUGUUUAAAUGAAAUUUUAUUUUUGUCAAAAAUAAAAUGACACCAUUAAAAUUUAGAAAAAUAAUCAUGUAGAUCCCAAAUUUUUAAUAAAGAAUACCAAUAUUCCCCUUGACUACAAUACCCUUAGUAGGUGGUAAUAAAAAAAAAUUGGCUUAAAAUUUUUACGAAAUGUAAAUAUGAUUUAAAUAAUUUAAAUUUUCCAGUAGACUACUAUAUAUAAUUUAAAUAAUUAAUUUAAAUAUUAAUUUUUAAAAUGUAAAUUAAUUUAUUUGUAUUUAUAAAAUAUUUGUAAUUAUUUUAAAAUUUAACUAAAUCCUUAGGUUAAAUAGAUUUUACAAUUAAUAUAAUAUUUCUCAUGUAUUAAUAAUAUUAAAAUUAUUUUAUAUGAUAUUGAAAAUAACCUAAAUUUUUAUAUAUUUAUUUGAAUAUUAUGCUCUAUUUAUUAUAAUUUGGUUUAAUAGAAUACGAGAUUGUAAAAAAUUAAAAUUUUUAGAUAUUGAAAUUAUUUUAAUAUGUAUAUAUUAUUAUAUUUAUUUUAAUAUCCUAUUUAUAUUUAUCAUAAAUUAUUAGAGUUAAUUUUUUUAGUUAAUAAAUUUAAAAAAUAUUAUAAUUUAAAAAAAAGUCUUGUUGUCCGUUAUUCACGAUAUGAGGUUCUACAAAAUUAUUUCUCCAAACGGGUGUCCUUUUCUUUUUUUCAAAAGGAAAAACAAGUUCAGGGCCUCAGGGGUUUCAAAAAAUUCUGGUCCUAUAUACCACUAUGACUAAUGGGAAACGACAUUGCAAUUGACAUUGCUUUCCACAAUAUGAUAGAUUAUUGGAGGGAUAUGAGAGAAUUGUCAAACGUUCACACACGCGAGAGCUUUAGGUGGGAUAGGGGAGGAUUGUCAAGAGUUCACACCACGAUAAACUAAUGAUAGGCCUAAUUUUGUUGUCAGUUCUUUAUUUAUUUAUUUUAUGUAUAUCAUACAUUAUUGUAUUUUGUCAAGGUAUAAUAGUACAAGUAAAAUACUAGGGGUGCUGUUAAGUUACAACUUAUGUAACUUGCAAUUUUUUCAAAAAUUAUGUAAAAAAUUUAAUAGGUGGUGGAACCCACAUAUUUUUUAAGAGACUUAAGUUACAGCAGUUGUAACUUAACAAAAUCUAAAUAUUAGACAAUAAUGCAUAUAAUUUGGGUUUGAUUUUUAAAAGAUUAUUUGAGUACCACCUAUCCUUAUGAUAUUAAUGUGAUUAUAUCUUAAUAUUAAAUAAUCAAAAUUUGUUUAAUUAUUAUUUGUAUUUCAUACAUUACAUAUUAGAUUUGUUUGAAUUUUAAGUUGUUGCUAAUAAAUAUUUAUGUUGUCAAAGUCAAAGUCAAUAGCUACAAAAGUAGAGAUAAUGGUAUUGUAUAUAGUUUUUAAGAAUGCAAGGAUAAGCUGGAUAAUUGACAUAAAUUCUAAUGAUUAAAAGAGCAACUAUCCCUUAAGUUAUAAUGUCAAUUUCUUUAAUUAGAAUUUUUUUUUCAUGUGAUAUAACCUUAAUUGCUACAAUUUUUUUUAUAAUAAUAAUGGGAGUUAUAAAUUAUUUAUAUAAAAUUUGGGUUGAAACUAAUGUAACCUAAAAGUGGUUGCUGAAUAACAAUAUUUGAAACUUUAGGUAAUUUUCAUGAGUCCUUUUUAUAUUCAACAACUUGAAUUGGGGGAAAUCCGACUUGAAUUGGCGGUUGAUUUUGGUGAUGUGGCUUUCGGUUUACGCCGGCUUUACAGUGGCGGAAGACUGGAUUUACGGUUGCCGACUGCUAGGGAUUAUGGUGGUAGUGUAAAUUGACGGAAAAAGAAGGUGUUUUGGUGGCGGCGCGUCUAGGAAGCACUCGUGGGUUGUUGUUUCGUGUGGUGACAGCGGGCGGCGAUCAAGGGCUGAAGUUGGUCGGUUUUUGGUCAGCAGAGGCCGGCGAGUUUGUUGGUGGAGGUGGCUGGUGGAGAAAGUGGCUGAAUGGUGGUGGGUUGCUUGGUGGAGCCGCGGGUUUGGGUUGGUGAUUUGCGGCUGUUCAAGCGGUGGUUGAGGCAGCGAUGACUAAGGCUUGGUCGACGGUGGCUAGGGAGGUUUGUGGUGGUGUUGGCUGGCUGAUCGGCGGUGGUGGACGGCGGUGGAGGUUGAUGUGACAGGUAGGGUUUUCAAAUUUGUAAAUUUUUUUUUUGAUGGAUUUGGUUUGGAUAGGUAUGGUGUAUCUAGGAAAGAUGUGCGAUUCGCACAUAAUCAUUUUGAUACCAAUUGAUGGAGCGAGGCGUAGCGGAAGCAGAAUUGAUAGGGUAAGAAACAUUAGAUAUCGUUCUAGUACUAGACCAAGCCAACACGAUUAGUUUACGCUCUAAUUGAAGCGUGAUUAGAUAUCGUUAUAAUCCAAAUGACUCAGUGAGAUUUUUAAUAACGCGUAAUACGAGAUUAGAUGACACUCUAAUCCAAAUGACUCUACAAAAGAGAUUUUGAUAACUAAUCCUAGAGGAAAUUAUAAAAGAGGGGGUUUAUUUAAUAAUUGAACUUGAAGUUAUGAAAAUAAUGACAAGACAUCUUUAUUUUUUUUAUUACAGGCAUCUUUAUUUAUAAUAGAAGAAACCCGCUUUCCUAAGUUAACCUAAAAAGAAAAUUUAAAUCAUAAUUAUAAUGGAAAUAAAAGAUUAAGAUACAUACCAUAAUUAACUCAAACUAAAAUAGAAAAUCAUAAAAUAAUAAAUAUUCUAGAAUUAUAAAUUAUCUAAAAUAACGUUAAUUAACUUCCUAAAUCACUUCUUUGGUGUAAACCAUUUUGCAUCCAUCCUCGCUUUAAAGGUUUGAACCAACGUUACCAACAAUAAUGUAUCAAAGUCCAAUCUAACUUAAGAUCUUGAUACAUCUACCGAUGUCCUUGUUUGAUUAGACAAUAAUGAGUCUAUCUCAUCACUUGUUACCUCUUUCUUGAAGGCUGCAUCUGUUGAAGUGAUAGUCUCGCUUAGAGUUUAAAGAUCUUCUUCCAUGUUAAAUAAAAUGGGCAUUUGAUUAAAAAACUUUAUCUCUAUCUCCUUCUAUCAAAUAACGACAACUAUCCGAAGGAAAAAAAAAAUAGAAAAGUCCAUGGGUCACAAUAAUUUAUGGUCUGUCCCCGGACCCCAUUAUCUGCCACUAUCAAUGAUGAAAAUGAAAAUAAAUGGCAUCUUCCCAAAAUGGCGAAAGAUUUUUGGGGGAUAUGGGGGAAUUGUCAAAAGUUCACACAACGCGAAACAAGUGUUACAUCCAAUUUUAUUUCGUCAUAUAAUGAUAAUAUCAAAUAAUGACAACCAUCCAAAAGUAUGAUGGGUCUUCCAAAAUUUUGAAAAUGUCGUCAACAUUUAAUCUUCAAUGCUAAAGAAGAUGAAAUGACCAAAAAUGACACGCAUGACUCACUCACAGACUAAAUGGCUCUGACCACAUGUAACAAACUUUGAUCUUAUGUCCUUACUGAGGCGUUAGACUGUUGGUCAUUUUGAUUGCUUUUUACCUUCCAUUUAUGCCAUUGUAGCAUUAUACUAUUCACCAUUUUAGCUGUUUAAAUGAAAUUGUUAUUUUUUUUCCAAAAAUAAAAUGGCACCCUUAAAAUUUUAGAAAAUAGCCAUGUAGACCCCAAAAUUUUAAUAAAGAACACUAAUAUCCUUUUUUACUAUAGUACUCUUAGUAGAUGGUAACAAAAAAAAAAAUGACUGUAAAAGUUUUUACUAAAUGUAAAUAUGAUUUAAAUAUUUUAAUUUUUCUAGUAGACUAGUAUGUAUAAUUUAAAUAAUUAAUUUUUAAAAUGUAAUUUAAUAUAUUUAUUUUAAUAAUAUAUUUAUUAUAAAAAUUUUAAACAAAUCCUUGGGUUAAAUAGAUUUUAUAAUUAAUAUAAUAUUUCUCAUGUUUUAAUAAUAUUAAAAUUAUUUGAUAUGAUAUUGAAAAUAAUUAAAACUUUUAUAUAUUUAUUUGAAUAUUAUGUCUCUAUUUAUUAUAAUUUGGUUUAAUAGAAUCAAAUGAAAGUGUACAUGUACAAGAAGAAAGAACCAUACACCAAGUAAAACGUAAAAAGGAUUAAAUAAAUGACACCAAUCCCCGGCAACGGCGCCAAAAUUUGAUGGUUGUCGAAGCCAACAAAAAUAAAUUCCUACUCUAAAUAAAUUGUGUAUAGUGAUUGAGCAGGGUCGUGUCCACAGAGAUCGGUAAUUAUUUAAAUCCUUUUAAAACGUAAAACAUAAAAUGGGGGUUUUGUUGACAAUAAUAAAAAUCAAAUUAAAAUAACAAGAAUGCAAAUUAAAGUUGUAAUUCAAAUUAGAGAAAGCUCUGGUUGAAGGAAUUAACUCAGCUUGAUUCGACUACUGAUCAUUGAUUCAAAUAUAGAUUAUUAUUACUUAUUAAUAGACCGGUUAUAGCUAUUGAGACCCUCUAAUAGCCAAUUUGUCCUUAACUAGUCGAUAACCAAGGUACGACCGUCAGAUAUUUCCCUAAUCAACAGACAACCCUAGAUACGAUCAUAGGAUUUAAUCAAUUGACAGCCUGAAAAACCAGAGAGACCCAAAUCCUAAUCAACACAUAUGAUGAUUCAUUUAAAUUAGAUUGUUUAUUCUCAUAACACAACUCACUGCUAUGUUAUUUGUCACAAACAUUAAAAUCUUCAUACGAUGAAUCCUUUAAUUGACAAUAGAUUAAGUUGAUAAUUAAAUAGUGGCCAAUUACCUAAUUAACAAACAUAAUCAUGAAACUAAUUCAGAGAAUAAACAAAUACCCAAAAAGUAAUAAAACAAUUAAAGCAUAAGAAAGAUCUCACAGUAGUGAUGAAUCAAAGCUUCAUUAACCUUCAACCAGAAAAAUAAGUUUAGUUCUUCAUAGAGAGAAGAGAAAAAUUAGAUCUAGGGUUUUUUUCUUUUUCUCUCAUCCCCCUUUUUCACUAUAGAUUCCUCCCUUAAAUACUCUCUCUCUCUUCUCUUUUAGAGUUCUAAUUAAAAUAAAAUACUAAUAUCUGAAAUAUUAAAUUCGUAAUUACAAAAAUAACCAAAAAUACAAAACAUGUUAAACUAAAAACUACAGGUCCGCAGUUGACAGCACGCGCCCACGCCUUAUCAAGAAAGUUCUUCUGACUCUCUAAAUUUCUCCAAGAGAACAAUCAUCUUUAAACAUCAUCUUAUAACUCAAUUUUAUCACAAAUCAAUAGAAUUGCACCUACAAAAGUACAACACAAGUAAAUCAUUAUUAUUAAGUGCAAAACAUCGAUAUUAAGGGAAGUAGACAAUGCAAAACUAGUGCAUAAAUUGCACUCUAACAAGUUCACACCACGAGAAAUUAAUGAUAGGCCUAAUUUCGUUGUCAGUUCUUUAUUUGUUUAUUUUAUUGAUUUCAUACAUUAUUGUCUUGUUGGUACUAUUUUGUAAAGAUAUAAAAGUACAAGUAAAAUAUUAGGGGAAGUAAAAUAAAAUAUUGGAGGUGCUGCUAAGUUACAGCUGCUGUAACUUACAGUUCCUUCAAAAAUAAUGUAAAAAAUUUAACAUGUGGUGGGACCCACAUUAUGUUUGAAGAGGCCGUAAGUUAUAGCAGUUGUAAAUUAGUAAAAUCCAAAUAUUAGAUAACAAUACACAUUAACAAUGCAUAUAAUUUGGGUUUGAUUUUUAAAAAAAUUAUGUGAGUAUUACCUAUCCUUAAGAUAUUAAUGAGAAUAUAUUUUAAUAUUAAAUAAUCAAAAUCUGUUUAAUCAUAAUAUGUAAUUCAUACAUUGCAUGUUAGAUUUGUUUGGAUUUUAAGUUGUUGCUAAUAAAUAUUUAUGUUGUGAAAGUCGAAUUCAAUAGCUACAAAAGCAGAGAUAAUGGUAUUUUAUGUAGUUUUUAAGAAUACAAGGAUAAGACCAUAACGCAUGAGAUAAUGGUAUUUUAUAUUAAAAGACCAUAACACAUGUAUUUGAGCCAUUUAUAUUGAGGACACAUAUAGAGCGAAGAGUGCAGAUCCGGCCGUAACUAUUGUGAAGCUUUCCUCAAGUAUUCUCAUGCACGCAGACCUUAGCUGGUCAAGUUUUCUGAUUCAAUAUAAUCAAUUUCCGCGCAGUACUAACGACAGCUUCUUUGUAAAGCUCUUCAACCACAAGCAUUUCUACAAGGCAAAAGACUAGGACGUGUCAGAAUGAAUAUCAAUAAGGGAAUGUCUUAUGAAUUUAGUUUAUAUCCUAAUAUAAGACAAUCAAUAAAUAUUAGAUGCAAUCUAAGGGAAUGUCUUAUGAAUCCUGAUUGAUGGCCUCUCACAGUCAGUUAUAUGACAAAGUAGCCACCACAACAAACUUGAACUUGGCUGGAGGUCUCAUUAGCAGUAUACCUCAGAAAUUAAGACAAAGACUUUAAAAUGCAAACUUAUGGAGCAAUUUAAGCACUGAAACUAAUAACAGUACUGUAUUAGCAAUUGACCUCUGCUUUUUUCUUGGACAAAGGUUCUCAUCACAAGGGACUCAUUAGUUGCCCUUGCCUCAAACGUUUGGAUGCUAAGGGGAAAAAGGAAGUUUGAAUUAGUCAAUCUCAUUUCUAAUGGCAUUCACAGAGAACCUAUAAAACAAAAAAAUUAUAAAAAAAAAAAUCAUCCAUAAUUCGCCAAACCGAAAAGAAAAACAGGGGAAUGAAAAGAGAGCCCACGGGAAUGAAGAGAUCAGCUCUUGUCGCGAAAAUGCAGUCGACUGUAACUAUAUCCGGGUCCCUAGUACUUAGAAGUAAAUGCUCUUGGAAUUUCUAUUAUAGAUUGAUGUUUCCCGUUCAAAUAGCUCUUCCGAUACCAUUAACAUGUUCAUCUCUCUAUAGAUUGAUGUUGACAUAGAUGUUAUUCUACUUUUGCUAGUGGAGUUUUCCUUGUACAGGUAUGUAUGAUUGUUUUUUUUGCACUUCUAAAUGGACACUGUUGAAAAGCUUAAAAUUGAACUGAUAAUUUUGUUUGGAAGCUCAGAAAAUUCAUGAGAAAGUGAAAUAGAAUAUUCUGGAUUUCUUUUCUUUCCAUAAUAUACAAAUGACAAACGUAGCAGUAUUUAUACUCGUUGCUUACAUCAUAAAAACAGAAUUAAAACAAGGUACACAACUAUAACAGAAUCAAAAGCGUGCUUAACUAAUUGGCAGAGCUGGCAUAUACUUCUUUAACUAACAAUGCUGCUGACUGGACUUUAGCUCACACAUGCUUAUCGUGCAGCUACUCUUAGUUCACACGUGCUCAGUCUGCUGUUGGCCCAAAGUUGGAACCAGAGAUAUCAUGACUCUGGUUUCAUUUCACCUCAACUGUGUUUUUUUUUUUAAAUUAAAAAAAUCAUUUGUUUUAGGUAUACAUACAUGUAUUUUGAUUCUAUUUUCAUUGUAAUUUCUCAUUUACUUUGAAUGAAAGUCAUUGGUGUUUUCGAAUGGGAAUUUUGCAUUAAAAAAUGAAGAAUAGUGAUUUUUGGAGUGUAAUUAGUAGUAAAGUUGGUUUUUACUCGCAAACAAGUGAACUGCUCGAUUCCCGAGUGGUAUCAACCAGUUUCCAACUUUUUAAUAUACACUAAUUGUUAUUGUUUAAUAGCUACUACUAUUAAAACUCGACAUCUAACAAAAAUACUUAAAAAAAAUGAUUUUUCUUAUGAUGCUGUAAAAAAAAAUUACGGGUUUACUUCUUUCCAUGAGAUCUAUAACAUGGUCUUGACUUCACGAAAUUCUUUUAAUUUAAAGCUUGCUGGUGUGAGAAGGUCAGUUUGACUGAUUAAUUCUUUUUAACAGUGGUCGAGAUAAUUUUACUAUCUAAUCGAAUGUUAUGCUGUUUUCUUUUUCUAAUCUGGUGUGAGAUAAUUAAUUCUUUUUCACAAAUGCUAUGCUGUUUUCUUAGGCUAAGGAUCUUCUAUCAGGAGAGGUUAGAAAUUCAAUGCUUAAAAGAGAAUAAUACAGAAAUUUAGGCAGAAUCUAAUCGAAUAUUGCAUGAAACAUGAAAAAUCAAUUCAAGUCCUUUCUUUAAACGGAGAAUGCAUCAAACAAAAUCCAAAGUGUCUUGCACGUCUGUAGCAUGAGCAAAAAAUUGUAAAUAUGUAGAACCAAAUUAUUCAAGUACAGAAGAACGAGCAAGCUAAAUCAUGUAUAAGAGAUUGGCCUGGUUCGGGAUAGCUUCUUCACUGUACCUGAAGGAUUGGCUCAAUCUCUUCUUUAGAAUUCUGCAGAUUUUGUAAUUACUCGUGUAAGCAAGCAUACAUUGCCACCAUAAGAAUAAUAAAGCUAGAGUAAUGAUAUGACCACCACCUCUUGUGCACAAACAAUAUUGUAUAAACUAAUGCGACAUAAUAUGAUUGGUUAAACAAAAACAUUACAUGGCCCUCAUAAUUUAUUUAUUUAUUUAUUUAUUUAUUAUUAUAUUUUUUCAGUAAACCAAUCAUAUUAUAUCACAUUAGUUUCUAUAAAAUAAUUUGCUAAAUAGCACCAAAACUUAAUUGAUACUCACCAUUUCAUUGAACAAUUUUUUUAUGGUGUCAUUGAGAUUGCCUUCCCAACAUCCUUCAUCAUCAUCAUCUUCAUCAUCAUCAUCAUCUUCUUCAUCAUCAUCUUCUUCAUCAUCAUCUUUUUCUUCUUCUGUGACGUUCACUUUGUUUAGCAUUGGUGUGUCUAAGACUCCUUGAGAGAAGAUCUUCAUUUUUGGACACUGUCUCACAACUACUGGUUUCAAGGACGGGAAUUCAAGAGCGUAAUUACCCGAACAAAAGCUUGUUAGGCUUGGCAAACAAUCAAGUCCCAAGUACUCCAAUUCCUCGAAGACAACGCAACCUUUCGCUUCUUCUCCAACCUGCAAUUGUAUGAUUUGUUCUAUCAUUUUGCAAUCAGCUAUCUUCAUUCUUUGAAGAGUCACUAGACUUUCAGAUGUUGAGAGCGUCAAUAAAUUUAUCAACCCAUGACACUUCGAUACUUCCAGAGUCGCAAGAUUUUCCAAAUGCCACGAAGCUGGUACUAAUUUCUGCAACUUACUACAUUCAAAUAUUUCUGGACUUUUCAAGUUUGCAAACACUUUGUUGGAUUUGGCAUUUUCCUUCCAGAGAUGCUGCACUUUGUGUAAUCCAGAUAGCUUUAACUUCAUCAAUUGAGGGAAUGCAACCUGAAAAUCAACAAAAUUAAGUUGUAAAUGAAAAUAUGUAUCCAAUCUCUGCAGUCUUCCCCUGCAUAUUUUAUGAACAAGAUUAAUCACGACAUUUUAUAUUUUAUUUCCAAAUUAGUAUGCUUUGCAGUAGGAUCCCAAAUAUAAGUAUCAAAUCGAUUACCCUUUGAAACACAUAAAUGAAAUCUGAUGCUAAAUCCAAUAUGAAUUAGCUAGGAAAACAGAGAUGUAACACGCAUAAUCGAUAUAGUUCAUCGCCUUAUGUCACCAGGCAUCUAAUUAAUUUAAGACAUUUUUAUAAUUCAUACUAUAAAGUUAGUUAAUAACAGAGGUUAUAUUGUUAAAUCAGAUAUAAAUUAAGACGACCUGCAAAAAGAUGAGUCAUUAAGUUUGAUUUGAUUCUAAUGAAAUUACAUCUGUGCGAACGAAAGUGAAGGCAAUAAUAAUAAUAAUAAUAAUAAUCACCUUUUCAUCGAAGAGGGGUUGUACUUGAUGAGCCAGCAAGAAGUUCUCUUCUGAUGUUAAUUUUUGAGGUUUCUUGUUAUCUGUUGUCACGUGCACUAAAGAGUUGGAUAUGAAUGUUUCCAUAUCAGGGCAAUUCUCAAUAGUUAGAUUCUCCAACUCAAGCAUUUCAAUUAUAUUCCCAGUGAAGUUGCAGAAUCUUUUGAGUUUUGGAAGGUCAAUGAGCCUUAGCUCGAAAAGCUUAGGAAACAGGGGACCUAUAUGUUCUUUGUCAGCAUUUAGCACUUCCAAAUGAAGCACCUCUUCCAGUGAAUCACAAUUCCUCACUUCCAACCAUUCCAAAUUGUUCAAGCACCGUAGCAGAUUGGCAGGAAUAGCACUCGACAUAUUCGUGCAGUCAUCCACCACCAGGUGUCUUAAAUUGUUGAAGAAGCUGACAGGCAGUGCUUGGCCAUGCGAUAUUUCUUUCAAACGUGGAAAAUGUGAGAAUUGCAAAAACUCCAUGUCACGAAAUCCAAUCUGCUCAAACCAAAACAAUUGCACUGGAUAUAUACAAUUUUUUUUUUGAAAGGCAUUAGAUAUAUAUAUAUACAUUAAACUUACAUGUUUUGUGUUUUAACUUCUAAAAAUAUAUUUAAAUGUGCAAGUGCAGGGGAGAUGCAUGAACAAUUUGGAUGAAUCGAUUAACACAUACCAUUUCUUCGUAACACUUUUGUAUAGUGGAAUUAAGCUUAUUGCCUUCCCAAUGGUGCAGUUCACCCCCUUCCUUUUCAGUCACUUGCACUUUGCAUGGCUUUGGAAUGGAUAAGAUUCCCUGAGAAAAAGUCUUCAUGUUUGGACAACGUAUCAUAGAAACUCGUUCCAAUGAUGGGAAUUCAAGAGUGUAAUUCUCCAAACAAAAGCUGGUAAGCCUUCGUAAAUCAUCAAGUAUCAAAACUUUUAAUUCGCUGAAAGCAAUACGAUUCUCCUUCGCUUCUUCUCCAACAUGUCCUACGAUUUCUUCUAAUUCUUUGCAAUCCGAUACUUUAAGAUUCACCAGACUACUAGGAAUUCCAACCUGAAAAUAAGCAAAAGUGUGCGCAUGUGUGGUGUAUUAAAAAAGUAUGUUAAUCAUACAAUUAUGCAUUUUAUAAACAUAACAAACCAUGAAAUGUCUACUAGAUAAUUUUUUGUUAAACAAAAACGGAACAAGAUAAAUAAAUAAAUAAAAUCCAGAUAAACAAAGAUAAUAAAAAUACAUUUACACUAUUUAGUAUUAGAAACGUAGAAAUAAUUUAAGGCAAUUUCUAAAUAUUUUAGACUUAUUUUGCAUCUUGAUAUCAGUUUUUAAGCAUAAAUUUGCAAAUUUCAACUAUUCCUUCUUUUUUUUUUAAAAAAAAAGGGACCAUUUUCCUUGGUCCCUUUUUUUUAUGUAUAUUUAAAAAUGGAAAAAAAAAUUUGGAAAAGACUUCCCAAUACUGUCAACGAGGGACUGCUGUAAAGUGGAUCUUUAUUAAGUACUUCCAGACUAGAGGAAAUUUCUUUACAAUCAAGGGUCAGUUGUAAAUAAUCAUGAAUUUGUGGUUAAUUAAUGGCAUAAUCAAUUCGUAACUAAACUAGAGAUAUUAAUUAAAUUUGAAGACUUUUAUUUUCUUUUUUUCUUUUUCCAAUCGAAAUGUGAAGAAUUAAGGAAAAGAGAAAUAUAUAGAUGAAUUCGUGAACCUAUAAGAUGAGUGACGAUCCUUUAAUUUUUGAAAAUCGUACUUAUUAAGAUAUGAGCAAAAACUAUUUAAUUGAAUUAUAUUAUGCUGUUGAAUCGUGUUUAAAAAAUUUAUAUUGUUGAUUCUAAUGCUGACGAACCUAAGAUACUUGAAAUAAAUAAUCAGUUUGCUGGCUGAAUAUCAUUUGUAAACAAAAAAUGGUUAAAAUAUUGUUGGAUGUAAUUUGAAAAAAAAAAGAUUCGAAAUGAAUACAGCAACCUUACCAAUGGAGGAAAAAUAUUCAUUAGGUUAUCACACCCAAUUAUCUCCAAAUUCUUCAAUUUGCUGAAAGACUCCGAAGCAAGCUGGUGGUGCCAUAUUUUUCUCAAAUUAUCCAUCAACCUAAUACGUAAUACCUCCAACCUAGUAAGUCGUACCUGGCAGUUAAAGAUUAAAUAACUAAUUAAUCAAUUAAUGGCAUAAUCAAUUGAUAACUAAAUUAGAGGCGGAUAUUAACUAAAUUUGAAGACUCAAGGAAAAGACAAAUUAAAUAUUGUGACUAAAAUUAAAUUUUUUUAUUAAAAAAAAAACCUUUUUGUCAAAGAGAGGAGGAGGUUGCAUUUCAGAAUGAAUGGUGUCUUCUGGUGAGCUCGUAGAGAUGAAUCUCGACAUACUGUUGCACCAACUAAUCUCGAGGUUUAGCAAAGAAGGGAAUUCAACAACUAAAUCUGAAUGAAUAUGUCCCGUAUUGGCAAAGCUUGUUAGUUCUGGAAGAAAAUGGAGCUUGAGGGAGUGUAGUUUAGGAAAAACCUUUAAUUCAAUCAACUUUCCUUCUUCUCUUUCUGACCACCCCGUGGUGUCGACCACCCCUUCCAUUGACUCACAAGACCGUAUUUCAAGAUGUUGGAGUUGCAAAAGACUAUUAACCAUAGAAUACGAAAACAGAUACUUCAUACGAUGACAACUGCUCACGUACAGCUUUGUUAAAUUUUGACAACAGUACAUUCCUUGAUUAUGAUCGGCCCAUAAUUUUUUCAUGUUUCUUAAGUCCCUGAGAUUCAAUUCCUCUAACCUCGGAAGAAUAACCUGCAAAGAAAACCCGUACAUUUUUGUUCCUUCAAGUACAACCGUCUAGUAUAAUAUUCUUUUGAUGAUCGAAGAUUAAUCGUGAUAAUAAAUUAAUCAAUUAAUUAUUGAACAGAAAAUUAUCACCUUUGGAGCAGUAUCAUCAUCAGCAAUGAUUUCGUUGAAUCCCAAAGAAGUUGUUGGUUUCUCCCUGUCGGGUCCUAUAAACAAACAAAAACAAUAUAUACAUAAUUAAUCUUUGUUGUUUUUUUUUUUCCAAAAUAAUUGAGGAGAAGUCCAUAAUCCCACCAAUACUUAACUUCAACACUCACCAAAAAUCAUUUCCAGAUCACCGCAAAGAGCCACUUCUACCUUUUGAAGCCGCAGUAGGUUUUUGGCCAUGGAGAAUGAGAAAAGAUGCUUCAAUUUGUGACAGGCUUCUACUUCUAUAAUCCUUAAGUUGCUGAAAGAUUGAUCUUCUGUGAGUUGGCUGUCACAUAUUGUCUCCAAAUUGUUCAAAUAGCUAAGAGACAAUGACUCCAGCAAGGGAAAGACUGUACAAUGAACCCGUCCAACUGAACCGACAAUAUGCAAAAUCUCAGAACAACUUUCUACCCAAAGAUGCUUCAAUCGUGGAAAACCUUCCCCAUCAUCUAAUUCAUGAACAACAUUCUGAACACCCUUCAGUUCGUUUAGAUGGAUCUCUUCAGCUUCCUUCAGCAACAUUUUCGUCCCAUAAUUCUCCAAAAGAGUGCUAACAUUUUCUAGCCCAUCGAGCUCCACCAUUCUUGAUGUUUUAGAAUUAACGCCUCACAUGCGCCACGCUUCUCCUAUACAUAUCUUAUAUCUUUGCAAUUCCACAGAGACCAAAUCCUGCGGUAGAAUUUCGGCAUCCCGAACGUGUAUCUCCAAGGUAGUUAGCUUUGACAACCCCUUCAAUUCAGCAAGACUGGCGUUACUUCCUCCUUCAACCUUAUCCCACUGCGAAAAGCUGUCACCCAUAUAUAGUUCUUCCAAUCGUGAAAAUUUUGAUAUGACAUUUGGUGCUAUCACUACAAGGCUCCUACAAUUGCUCAAAUCUAGCAAUUGUAACCGCGUCAAUUGACCGAUUUCAAGUGGUAACUGCUUAAUGUCGGAAUAUCGAAAGCUAAGAAUCUCUAAUUUCUUUAGCUGUCCAAUUGCCGCUACAUCUUCUUGUUGGCACCAGUCUAAACACAAUGUUUGAAGGUUAAUGAGGCGACCUAGUGACGAAAGUAAUGAAGAGAAAUGAAUUCCAGUAAAAUCUAAAACUUUGAGUUCUUCUGUCCCUUCAAAAAAGAGGUCUGAAACUUGCAUAGGGCCAUUACCCUCCGUAUACAACAAAAAUAACUGGAGAUUGGGACAUCCCAACCUUUCGGGAAGCUCUUGAAUAUCUCUAUAAGGUAAAGAAAUAGCAAUUGGACCUUUCUGUAUUGUCUCUUCCAUCUUUUUCUCCACGUCAGCAACAUUUGGAAUAUUAAACAUGCGCUUCUCUGCUGCAAUUGAUACAGCAACAACAUGAAUGACGUCAUGCAUUUUAACUUCAUCUUUGGCAUCACCGUCCAACAAUAAGCAUGAAGAUUUGAGAUUGUCGAUCAACCGAUGCACUCUACUCCUUGCUUCUUCCAAUGUGUAAACAUUUUCAAACAAACCCCAACCCACACCAUGUCUCAAUAAGUCAGAAACGGGUAUGACAUUACCUUCACUGUAUAGACCACAAAGACGGAACAGAGAUUUUGCCUCCUCACUUUCCAAGAAUUCAUAACUCAAUUUUAUGGAGGUGUACACAUUUGCUUGCAUGCCAUGAAUUUCUCUUGCAUCCGAUCUUCUUAGCUGAUUCAAUGCAUCUUGCCAAAAGUAACGCUCCUUAGUUUUCAGAGCAUUUGCAACUGUACUCAGUGCAACAGGCAAACCUCCGCAUCUUUCAACGAUCUCAUUUGCUAUACUUUGAAAAGCAGAUAUUUUAGUUGAAUCACCCACUAUCUUCUCAAAUAACUGCAAUGCUUCUUUUCGUGGCAAAGCAUCGAUCGGGAAAUUUUUCUGAGAAUUCAUAUCAAUGCUCAAUAAAUCUUGCUUUCUAGACGUCAAUAUUAUUGUGCAUCUUCUCUGAUCAUCCUUUCUAUCUUUCUCAGCAACAUCUCCAGAAGGGAUUCCAACCGCAUCCAACUCAAGUCUUGUCCAAAUAUUAUCCAAUAUAAUGAGGACCCGCUUCUCUUUCUUCAAUACUCGACGUAGUCGAUUUGCUCUGUCGAAUAUAUUCUCAUUCAACUCAAACUUUAUGCCUAAAUCUGAAGCGAGUUUGUUUUGAAUUUGCUGAUUAUCUGAUUCAUGUGUUAGCUCAGCCAUAACGACCUUAUCGAACAACUUAUCUUCCAUCACUUGCUUUCUAACUUGCCUGACUAGCGUGGUUUUACCCACGCCGCCCAUGCCGUAGACCCCAAUUAUGUUGAGCUUAUCAUCCUUCAACGCCUCCAUAACAUCCUGUAAUACUUUCUUUCUUGAAUCAAAGGCCUCGUUAUCUUUCCCGCCCCUAGGUGAUUCGCUCUCUGGAGGAGGAUCGUAGGAAACAUCACUCUUCAGUUUGUCGCCUUUUUCCAUGAGAUUAGCAGCAUCUUUUGCGGCCUUUGCUGCUCGUUUACUGAGUUUGUAACGAGACAACAAAUUUGGACACAAUCCUUUGAAGCAGGACUUCUUGGCUCCAUCUUCUUCGUCAAUGAUAGAUUUUGCAACCCCCUCCGUAGAUUCAACCCUACUUCGCCAGUCUUUGACACGCUGAUAAAUCUCUUCCCCUUGUCGGGUAGCAUGAUAAACAUGUUGUUGCACCAUUUCGUUUAUACCUCCCAACUCCUUCACUUGAUCUUUCAGCUCUUCUAUGUAGCUCUGGUACUUGAACACAUAAGAGAUCUGCCGCAUAAUCGGUUCGAACAAUGCCUUUGUGCCUUCUGAUAUAAUGCUUGAAAAAACACCUUGACAGAAUUCUACAGCCAUUGCCUGCUGCUUAACGAUAUAUAUGUAGUUUUUGGCUGUUAAAAAAAAAAAAAUUGGAUUCAAAUAAAUUAAAUGAACUAGAGGGGAAGAAAAAGAAAGAAACGACAACAAACAACUUUUUAGAGAAAGGUUUGACAGGCCUAAAUGGAAAACCAACAACUUUUUGAAGAAAGAAAACUUUGGAAGAUAGAUGCAAAUUAACCGUUGAUAAUAAUACUACAUUAAGAACACAGAAGUUAACAAUAAACAGUAACUUAAAACUCAAGAAAAUUAAAUGACGAGAUUAAGACAAACAAGGGAUAGUUUUUGUUGGACAUUAAGAAACAACUGCUAUCAAGAUCAAGGAUUAGAAAUUAUGCUAUUAAAAGAAGUUAUUAAAGGAUAGUGCUCGUGACUGCAGGAAAAUUUCUAAUGGAAACAACUCAAUUUCAGAAGAAUUUAUCCAAUUGACUCUGUACUUGAACUCGUUGGAUUGGUUGAUUUAUGAUUGACUGAAUUUCAAUUCGGCCCAAAAGAUCUUUAACCAAAGUUUAAUAGCUAUCAUCUACUCCUUAAAAGCAAAUGUGUAUCUUUUUUAGAUUUGACUGAAUUUGAUCUUGUUGGAUUGGUUUUUUUUUAGACAAAGUUGUUUUCCUACUGAUUUUUAUUCUUCAAGUAAACUUAGAUACAAAGUAAAUCUAAAAAAAUGACAAACAAACAAUGAAAUAAACGACAACAAACUGGCAAUUUUGAUACAAAGCCAACAAAUAUUAAAAUUUAGAACAUUUUGUUUUCUUGCUUUCUUUUGUUGGAGGAUUAGAGAUUUUGGUAUUACCCGAAAGGUUUCAAGGGUCUGAGUAGAAACCUAUAAUCUUUUUAAAAACUUUUUUUUAAAAAAUUUUUUUUGGGGAAAAGGAUGCAAAUUAACCAAAGGAAAUAAUAAGAGCACAGGCUUUAUCAAUGAACAAAAACUUAAAACUCAUGCAAAAUAAUUCAAUAUUAAAACAAAUCACUGAGGAAUAUUUAAGAACAACUUGAAAGAGCAAAAAGAUCACUGAGGAAUGUGUGAGAAAAGAGUUGACGAGAGAAAUAACAAUGACUUGCAGAAGAAAAACCAUUAAUAAUUAUGUGCAUUUUUAUUUUAUUUUUAUCCGCAUGCACUUUAAUGAUUAGUGCUCCUUUCAUAAAGCAGCUACCGGAAACACACAAAUAUCAUUUGAGAGAGAAACUAAACAGCAAAUCAUCAAAGUAAGAUCAAUAAUAUAUUAUUUGGUUAAUGCAUAUUCAAGAACAAAAACAAAAAUAAAUAAAUAAAUAAAGAAGGUUUGAUUUUGUAUUGCCAACGCUGCUUUUUUGUUAUUUCAUUUGUUCUUUCCACAAAUGAUGCUUGGUUAUAAUUAAGUUUCACAUGGCCAUUACUUACAAACUGUGUUUGUGUUAACAGAAACAUGAAAUUCACAUCACACAAAAUUGCACUAUCAAUUCUUAAUAGAACAUAAUAAUAAUUACUCAACGCAUAAGGGUAAAUUUAGAAUUACAUUUUCUCAAUGCAGAAGGGUAAAUUUAGAAUUACAUUUUCUGAUUCUUUUUUAUUUAAUAAAACCCCAAUGGAAAAUCAUAAAAAUUUAGAUAUAUAAAUUUUCUCCACCAAACAAGAAAAAAAAAGGGGGAAUGAAAACACAGGAUUUAUUUUACCUCUCUUUCAUCUUAACUCUUUUUCAGGCAAACCAAAACAAAAAAAUUUCAAUAAAGAGCUAGUUGUUGAAAUUGAUUUAUCUUGUUUUUCAGGCUAUCUUGUGACGUGACGAUAGAUAAUGCUCGUGAAUGCUAGAAAAUUUCUAAUGCAAACAACUCAAUUUGGGAUGAUAAGCUUAAUUUUGCAAAUGACGAAUGUAAAUAACUUGUUUUGAUUAAUUGAAUUUGUAAUACUCUUACCCUAUUCUAAAAUUUGGAGGUUGCUUGAGAAAAAAGGGUAUUUCUCACUCAUCUUCAAUCCUCAAGUAAAAUUAGGUAAAAAUCAAAUCUAAAAAAUCACAAACAAAUUAACAAAAAAAAAAAAAAAAACAACAACAUUGAUCUUGAGACAAGUGAUAUUUAAACAGAGAAUUCUUUAUUCUUUUUUACUUCCCCCUCCCCCCCCGGGGGGCUCGAGGAUUAAAGUCUUGCUAUUAACAGAGAGGUUUUAAGAGUCUGGAUAAAACCCGUGCUUUUUUAAAAAACCACUUUUUUUUUUCUUUUCUCUUUUUUUUGGGAAGAUAGAUUCAAAUUAACCAAAGCUAGUAAUAAGAGCACAUACCUUACAAAUGAACAAUAACUUACAACUCAAGCAACAUAAAUGAUAAGAUUAAAACAAACCGGAGAAAUUUUUCUUGGAAAAUAGACGGAAAUUAAAUAAGAACUGCUGUUAAAAGAAAUUAUUAGAGGAUUUAGGAGCAUGUGUACCUCUUUAAUUAUUUGGGAUCAGAGAGUUGAUGAGCUCUCUAUUCGCCUUUAAUAUUGAGUAAGAACUGGUAUUAAAAGAAAUUAUUAAGAACAAUAUUUCAGUGAGCAAAAGAUCACUGUUAACUGCAGAGGAAUUUGCGAGUAAAAAUUAAGCUGAAAAGAGCAGUAACAAUGAAUUGCAAAAGAAGGAGACUUAAUCAAGCACCCCUUUUAUACCCGAUUUUUAAGAUUUAAUUUUGAAGUUCCCAAUCAAGAACAAAGACGAAGCUUUAAUGAAGCAUGCAGUGAGAUACAAGAAAUGGAUCGGGCAAAAUACCUUACGAAGCGUUUCAUAUUUUCUAAUGAAAUAAUUAAGUUGAAGUUUUCGACGAAUAAAUACUUGUUGUGCUUGAAUAAUUUUGGCAUAUACAUUACUUGUAUCCGGCGAAAUUGAAAAGCACAUUCAUUUACAGAGCUUGUUAGUAGGGAAAAGCUUCGUAAGAUGCCUGAUAAAAGAUAAAGCAAAAGCUUGAAUGAAGAAUGACAUUUUAGAAAGAAACUAAAGUGCAAUCAUCAAAGUAGGAUCAAUAGUGACUUGAUCAGUUAUGCUUUUUGUUAUUUCAAUUGUUCUGUCCACAAAUGAUGCUUCGUUAUUACUAAUUCCACAUGGACAUUAUUUAGAAACUGAUCUUAUGUUUAACAGAAAAAUAAAAACUCGUCAUCAUAAGCAUUCUUGGUUGUCCUAAACCAGAAGUAGGUGUUUUGCCUGAAAGUACCACUUUGCUAGCAAAUCUAGUGGGUAUACUGAAUAAAUUUUUACAUUAUUCUAUUUGAUCUCUCUGUCUUUAUCCUAAGCAUUCUUGGUUGGGAUCGCUGCAUUGUCCUGUAAUCUGUGUGACUUAGUGAAAAGAGGAAUGGGUAACUGUGGUUAUGGGUACGUGAGAGGUAACGAUGAGGGUAGAUUGUUAAUUUUGAGGAGCGAUUUGCUUGCAUAAUUCAAUGCAUGGACAGAAAUGUCCCUGACCAAAAAAAGGGACCAUCCAUAUCUGAAUCUGAGCAUCAGAGCUUGACUUAUUUGAUAAAUAGAUAUACUUGAACUGUUUUUGCAUAAUAACUAAAAUAUUUAUUUUUAUAUAUUCGAUAAACGAGCUCACUAUUGAUAGAACUUAUUAGAUACUACAACUCAAAUAACUUCUUGUGCUUGAUUGAGGUUUUUAUAUAUUCGUAUGUUUGAGUUUUUUUUUUUUUUUUACUUUCUAAGAAUUAACUUCUACCUUGAUUCUAAAAAAAAAUAUAUAAUUUUACAAAUAAUUUAGUUCGGCAUUUGGUAAAUGAUAACUAUUUGAGAAUAAGUUUUAAAAUGGUUUACUGUACAAAUCUGGUAAAUGAAAAUUAAAAGUGUAAAAUGUUCACAUAAUGAAAAUUAAAAGUGUAAAAUGUUCACUUGCAAUGACAACAAAUACUUAUUUACUUAUUUGUAAUUUAUUUUGAAUAUUAUUGUUUAAAUCAUUUUUUUUACUUACCAGAUUUUUUAAGAGCAUUCUAUUUUCUUUAUUACAUAGUUAAAUAAUUUUUUAUUAGCUAUUUUAUUUUGCAAUAAAAUUAACUUCAAUAUUUUUUUAACUAAAAAUUUUGUUAUGUAGUUCGUGAUAUAACAAAUACUAACAUAUCAUUAAAUUGAUUAAUAAAUUAAGUGCAAAAAAGAAAAUGCAGAAAUUUAAUCUUUAUAUAAACUUUUAUGUACAUAAAAUCAUUGUAAUCAAACUAGUUCAUAGAAAUAUAAUAUUAUAUACAUGUGUGUAAAAAAAACAUAUGACCAUAAUAUUAUCCACUCAUUAAACUUGCUGCACUAUUAUUUCUCAAUCUCUCCAUCUCUCGACCUUCAAGAACAUUACUACCAUAAUCUUCUUCUUGAAUUCAACCUCCAUUUCCUCAUCAUCAACAAUGCGACCAAUUUGCCUUGAUAGCCUUUCAACUCCUCCCACUUUCCUCCCUUUUUGCAGACACUCUUUUUCUUUUUCUUUUUCUUCUUUAAUAGCUUCAAUGGGAACAACCUCAUCUAACGACAAGUCCAUUCUUCAACUAGAAUAGAGUUGGUAGUAGAUAUUUUAGUACUCUCAAACUAUGCCCAAACAGGGUCACCAAUGAUUGUCGUAUUAAAAGACAUUCUAUUUAAUUUUCCUCUAACUCUGGGUCGAUACCUUUUAUGCAAAAUCUAUUUACUUCAGGAAUUUUCUACACAUGUCGAUAGCAUAUUAAAGUGAAUUCAGAUCCUAUAUUAUUGACAUUAAAAUUUAGCCGAAUAGUAAAAAAUUUCCCUUUUUGUUUGUCACACAGCCAUAUAGUCCCAUUUUUGGUUAUAAGCUCACAAUAUGCAAGGGAAAUGAAGAUCUAUUAAAACUUCCCCAUAAUGUUCAUUUUGUUGCUCGGAGGAAUAUAACUACCUAUUAAUUAAUUAGCAAGAAUUGCGUUGCGAGUCCAUGUUUUUGUCGUUUGGAUGGAGGAUGUGCUAUCUUUUUGUUGUAGAUGCUUUGUAAGGCUUUUGAUUUAAUGAUUUAAUGCAGUCAAUUAACAAAAGCUUACAUAUAGUAUUAUGUAGUUGCUGAGAUGUCUGUUCUUGAUAAAGUCGAUUUAUUUACACCCAAGCCAACGGAAUCAAAGCCUUUUCGUUAAUAAUAUACACGGUAAUUGUUUUUGUUAAAUUGAUUUCUAGCUAACAAGAUCUUUGAAAGCAUUUAGGUAGCGUUUACAUUUUAUGUUGGAGUGAGAAUCAUGAGGAGUGAGAAUCCUGGGAUUAGAAGUGUGGAGUGGGAGUCGAAGUAUGUUGUUUACUUACACUGGAAUGGAAGUAUGGAAUUGAAAUCAGAAUCCAAUUUAUUUGUUUACAUUGUCUUGGAUUGGGAGUAAAUGAUUUUAAAUUACAACUUUACUCUUAAAAAAUUAUAGUUAUUACUUACAAAAUUAAUAAAAAUUAUAUUUAAAAAAUAAAAUAUUUAUUUUAUUAUAUUUUUAAAAUAAUAAUAAUAAUUAAUAUUCUUAACUAUGUAAAUCAAAAUUAUUUUAUUAAUUUAAAUUUAAAUUAUAUAAAUAAAAAAUUAUUAAUAACAACAACACAAAUGAAACAUUAUUAUUGUACAAAAUUGAUUUUUAGAAUAAAAUAUUUAUUAUUAUUAAUCACUAAUAUUAAAUAAAUAUAAUAGUAUUAUUUUUAAAUAAGUAUAAUAAUAUUAUAUUUUCAAAUAAAAAUAGAAUAUAGUAAUAUUAUUAAUUCUUUAUGAAUAUAAUAAUAUAAUUUUUAAGUAAUUUUAAAUUAGAAUCAAUAUAAAUUAUUAUUUUUAACCAAAAAAUUAAUAUUAUUUUCAAUAUGUUUAAUAUUAUUAUUUUUAAUAAAUGUAAUUUAUAAAAUAAUAUAAUAAUUUAAUUUAAAUAAAUAUGAUAUUAUUUAUUUUAUUUUAUUAAAUAUAAAGGUAAAAAAUGAAGAGAGGCGAGUGAAUUCCCACUCCCACCUUGCCCCAUGAGAGUGGGAAUCCCAUUCAGUCACUCCAAAGUUAGGUGGGAUCCACAGAGUGGAAUUCUCACUCUCCCUUUGAAAAUUGUAAGUAAACACUAGAGUAAAAGAAAUCCACACUCCUCACUCUCACUCCAAAAAGUACACACUACAUUGAAGAAGCCAUUGACUCAUAAGAAAGCCAUGAUUAAAUACAAGGCGAAGCAUGUGAGCUCGUUUUUCAAUCUCUUUGAUCACUCAUAAGUUUUUCUAUACCACUCACUAUAUCAUCCUUUUAAGUCAAUUUUGACUGAUCAUCAGAGAUCAUGCACCCCACCUUGAGAUGAUUGAUCACCAAUUUGGCAUUGUAACAUUGAUCACCUCUAAUUGGCCAAGCUAAAAUUGGGACCCCAAAACCAAUUGCUUCUACAGUUGAAUUUUAUCCACAGUGAGAUAAAAAUCCACCUGUUAAUUGAUAACUCAGUAUCAAUAAUUGUGGUGCCAUUCCAUCUAUUAUCAAACCCUUUUUACUGGCUCUACUAUCUAAACCACUACGAAAAUAAGCUGGUUAAAUGACGUAGAGGAUCCAAUCUAUUUACAUAAGUUUGAAUUACCUAAAUAAUCGGUGGAUUUGAUGCUUAUAAAUCAGAGGGAAUUGCAGCAGAUACACCUUCAUACUUUAAAAAUUACCUCAAUACCUUAAAAUUUGAUUUUUCCAAAAUUUUCAUCAAUAUCCUUUAAAAGCUGAUAGGAAAUGACUAAGUUAUCCUCGUUUUAAAACACUUCAACUCAACUGGCAGCACCUCUCCCUCCCUCUACUCAAACAAACAAACACUCAUAUAUGCUACAAUUCCCUCCACUACCUUUACUCAAACAAACAAACAUUCAUUCUCCAUACAUGCUAAAUCGAACUUCAACACGAGCAAAUUGAGCUGAGAAAGGGAAGCUGCUACAACUGAGAAAGAGAAGCCUAGUUCGUCGCUACAUAAUCGCCAGCGAGAGUUGAUCCUUUAUUGCAAAAUGGUCAGAAUGUAACUAGUUGAGGUAAGUAAUUCCCUAUAAUUUGUUUUCUUGUUGAUAUUCAAGGGAAAAAACAAAAAGUUAGGGUUUUAUAUUGAAAAAAUAAUUAAUUAGUUGCGGGUCUCUCAUAACAUGUUCGAAAACACAUUUCUAGUUGUUUUGUUGCAUGCAAAUUGUGAAAAAUUAAUGGAUUGUGCCGAUUAUAAUUUUUUCAUGUAACACACGAUUUGGUCAUGUAAGGUUAUGUAAGAUUCAAGGUUGUGUAUUACACGACCUUCAUGUAUUGCACGAUUACAUGACCUUCAUAUAUUGCACGAUUACACGAGCUUUAUGUAUUACACAAUUACAUGACCUUCAAUUCCAGAUUGAGGAGUAAAAAGUUUAUCAUCUCUCCAGGUGUGUUCUGUAAUUUAAUUUUUUGUUUCUUGUCGAUAGAAUAUACACAUUACAUUUAGUUUAAUUAGGCUCACAAUUGGGGACAAUAAAUUGGAAUGGUACAUAUGCCUUUACCUUGUGGAAUGUCAUUACUUAGAGAGAUCCUUAAUUUGCAAUUAUAAGCCAUGGUAAGUCAUGGUAUGUCUAGUUAUGAGUGGAAACACUUUGAUCAUUGCGAAUGGUGUUCUUAUGUGUAUAACAUUACAUUAAUUUCCUAUAGUUAAUUUUUUUUCCUAAUUGAUUUCAUGGAUUAAUUAUAUGCAGGCAUUCCUCAUGUAUGCAUGUAUGUUUGGGCAGAGGAAGAAAGCACUUUGAAGAUUAAAAAAGCUUUUUAAAUGGUUGUACUAUGUUUAAUAGCGAUGUUCAUUAGUGUAUCAUAUCCAAAUAUUGAAAAAUUUGUACACUGAUAACUUUGUUUAUUUAUACUAAUUAAUCUAAUCAUUUCUCAAACUGUCGGAUGUUCAAAUUUAGUUUUUUUUUUCUGCAAUUUAUGAACACACGAUUUGGUCGUUUAAGGUCAUGUAACAUAGGAUUCAAGGUCGUGUAAUAUACUCAUGUAUACAUGACCCUCAGUCGUCUAUGACAUGACUUUGUAUAUUAUUACGCGAUCUUGAAUCAUGUGUUACGAGUCUUUCAUGACCUUCAGUUAUAUAUUACACGACUUUCAUGUACUACACGACUUUAUGUAUUACAUGACUUUAUAUAUUGCGCGAUUAUACAGCCUCCAUGUAUUACACGACCUUAAAAUUACACGAAAUUUUCCAUUAAUCAUUAGAUUAAUUUAGUUCAUUAAAGACUUAAUUUGUGCUAAGAAUUUAUAUUUGCUGCUAUGCAGAAAAUGUCAACGAAAAUUAUUAAAAAAAAGAAGUGAAAUUAAAUUGGAAUCUAAAAAAAUUCCACAUCAUCAUUGGUUUGAAUUGUAAGUGGUGGCAUAGGAUCAGAUGUCUUAAGCUUGAACUUCAUUGUGAUUUCGAAUUCCGAAGUAUCUAUAUCAAUAAAUUGAGCUAAUCUUCACCAAUCCGGCAUAUGUUGUCGAUCGUGGUAUCAUUAUCCCUUUAGCCUUGGAACCUUUGAACUUAUACUCAUCAUUUUGGUCAAUCCAUUCACCAUUGAAGAGAAUAGGUACACGUACCAAAACCAUAUCUGAUGAUACAAUAAAAACAAUAAUAUCAAAUUUCAUAUACAAGUAACUACACGACCUACAUGACUACAUUACUUACAUGACUUACACGACCUACAUGACUAUAUUACUUACAUGACCCACAUGACUUACACGACUAUAUUACUUACACGACCUACAUGACUAACUACAUGACGUGCACGGUAUCAAAAGGAAUGCACGACGCAAAACAUUUUCACCAUAAAUAAAUUAUAUUGCUGAAAAAAAUAAUUAAACAACCUACAUUGCAUAUAAUUCUACAUAUAAGAAAAAAUGGUGAAAAUACAACAUUAUAGAGUGAGGAAAUUUUCUAAAUUUUCCUAAAAAUUAAAAAAAAAUUAAAACCCAACAACAUUAACAUAUCUUAUUGGGUUGUUUAAUGAGCAAUGCACCUAAUUUCAGUUAAAGAAAGAGUGGGUGUUAAAGAAAUGAAUAUAUAAUUGUAUUUGUGUAAGAAGUUAUGAGAGAUUUUGAGAGAUUCUAGGAGAUUUUGAGAAAAUUUCGGCAGCAAGAAAAGAUUUGGGUGAAAGAAAUAUGAAGACAAUGAAGUUGAGUGAAUUUGAUGCAUUCAUUAAGGACAUUUCAAACUUUACUUACAUUUAUUAGGGUAUCCAUGAAAACAAAAAAGGGAGGGGAUAUUUAAAUAAUUUUGAAACUAUUAAAGGGUAUUUAAUUAAAAAACCCUCUAAAUCAUUGGCUAAUGUUGAAUAAUUAUUUAAGGUAGGACCCAACAUGUAUAACACAGAUCCAUAUGAUUUCAAAUCUAAUCAUUUAAUGAUCUCAUCUUCGGUCAUGUUAGAACUCCGCCGGUUGGUUCUCAUCUCACAAUCACGAAGCACUGAACCGGCCGAUUUGUAAAAUUGUUUAGGUAACAAUGGGCCCACUCCCCACACUGGCAUCAACACCAUCGAUCCCUCCACUUGCUUCAUCCAGUGUGGUUGAUCACUCGGUUCUGAUGGACCUAUUUUCUCUGAACCGGGUGCACCUCACAAAGGUUGUGGACCACCAGGAAGGGACCCGUGAGGCCUGCGUUUAAGAUCCGAUUCGAAUAAAGCAAUAUCCUUGGGUAACCCAAGAAGUAAACGGGCCUCUCCCGGUUUGACAUCCUGGAUGCGAGCCUGCCACAUGGCACACUCUACAGCUGCUGAGCAAGCAUCAGAAGUGAAGAACCCAACAAUGGGAACUUCAAAAUUCUUGAAAACAUCAGCCGUCCAGCCCAUCAUAACGCCGAUGACUACGCAAACAGGUCGGCUUUCGGGUUCCCGGGUUGAAAGGAGGUUUCGAAGGCCUUGAAGCAUAUGGCUGUGCAUGACAACAUGGUGGUGAGAAGGAGGUGAUGGUAGUGGUUGAGAUGGGAGGGUAUUUCGGUAAUUUCACAUAGAGGGUAUUGGUGAAGAGAGGAAGGGGUGAUGCUGGUGGUGGAAACGUGAGAGGGAAUAAUGAGGGUAGAUUUGUAAUUACGAGAAGCAAUUUGCUUGCAUAAUUCAAUGCAUGGAAACAGAUGUCCCUGACCGAAGAACGGGACAAUCCAAAUCUCAGCCUCAGCAGCAUUCGCAACAGAGCUUGACAUCUUUUAUGAAUUAUUUGAGACUUAAUUGUUAUUGACUGCUUUUGCCAUCUUUCAUAAAACAUUCUUUGUUAUAUAUUCAAGUAAAUAAAUUUAUCGUUUAAAAUUAAUUUUUCAUGUGGUAAAAGCAAUACUAAAUAUGGGGUGGAGAGAAUAAUUUGUAGGGCAUACCCCCACCAUUUAUUUAAUUUCAUUAAAAAAGAAAGAAAAGAAAUAAAGGCUUGUUCAACAUUCAAUUAAAAUUAACAAUUCCAUGAUAAAAUUACUUGAGAAUAAAAAUUUUUAAAAAAAAAGUAACUCAAAAACGAGGAAUUUUUGAGUAACUGAAGAACCAUAGAUGUUUUUUGGUCAUGAGCAAUUUUUGAGUUGAGACAGAACUUGUAUAAAAAAAUAGUUUUGAAAACUUCUUUUCUUUUUUCGUAAAUAUAGAUAUAAAAUUUUAAAAUCACCAAACACAAAACCAGGAAAAUGGAAGGAGAGCCCCUGUUUCUCCUCUGUUGCAAGAACAAAUUCGGUUUCUACAGUUGUACCUUCUAAAUGCACCAUUUGUAUUGCUUUGUCUCCACUUGAGCUAACGGAAUUUGAUGAAAACAAAAUAGAUAUGAGUGGUGCUAUUCACAGCCCUCAAUAAUUCUCUCAAAACCCCUUUUCUAAUUAUACCCCGUUGAAUAAGUUCAAGACCAACUUUUCCUCUUAUAACACCACCUUCAAUUCCGUUAAUACCCUUGUUCGCUAUGAAAAUGAGGAAAAUGCCUACAUAAAAAGCUGGCUCUGAUAAUCUACCUGAAUUUACAUUAGAAAAGAGUGGACUUUGAGAAAUAAGAAGACAAUAUAGGGAAUUUUACCAAAAUAAUCCAUUUUUAUAUACAGGGAAUGGUAUUUUCUGAUAUAGGGAGGAGUGGAGAAAUUAAAUUCAGCAAAAUAAAGAACCUCCAUCGAGAAGUAAAAAUGAUGAUAUCUUUGUCGUGAAGAGAUUUCUGCCUCAUACAAAUUUUUUAUUCUAGAAUGCUUGAAACCGAAAAGUUCUGUAGUUGUUUCAAUUCAAUUGCAUACAUUGACGAAACAUUAAAUACGGAAAAAAACAAAAAAGAAAUAAUAGGACAGGGGGAUUUCGAGAAGUUCUAAAGAGAGAAAUCUAUUUAUAAGCAUUGAAAAUUAGCUCAUUAAAUUUGACAGAAUAAUAUACAAUCUCACUGUUGGCCAGAAAAUAAUAGUAAGAACUUGUGAACAUAUAUAAUCAAUUGUUUAUUACUUAAGCUCUUUUUCUUCGUUAUUUUGAAUGGGUGCAAAGAAGAGAAGUUUUGUACCCAAAUUCCAACUCGAAUUGUGUAGGCUGCUUGCAAGAGCUUCAUUAGAUUUUUAUUUGUCUUUUAAUAGUGCUUCUCGACAAAUACAGCUAGCUAUCUGUCCUUUUUGUUACUGGACUAUAGAUCAAUUGACAGUUGAAGUUAUAUUAAUUUGUUGUGCUGGAAUUGAAGCUUGUAUCUUAGCCAUUUGGUGAAGUGUCAAAUAUAUUUUUAAUUUCCUUAAAAUUGUUCAAAAUAUGUUUACACUUUUAAAGUCACUAUUAUACAUGAGUGCCCUAAAAUUGGAGAAGGCGAUUUGCCUGACAUUACCUGUAUUCGCUUGUAUAGAGAGGACGAUUUAGAUAAGUCGGAACGGAACAACCUUCAUCACAUGCUUCCUCACGUGGUUACUUAAACUGAUAUGUAAAACGUGCUCCAUCCAUGUCGUUUCCACUAAAUCGUUUUCUGUUAAGAAUCAGCUGAGCAGCACGUGAGCUAAUGAAGCUUUUACGGCUUCAAAACGCAGCCGUUUCUGGGAACCAAACUUGAUUCAUCACCUCACAACUACAGAUGAAUUAUCGAAGUGGCUGAUUGGUGCUAUACGUGUUUUUCGUAUUGAACUCAACUCUGCUAUUUUCCCAAAAGCUGGAAAACAGAAACAUCAUCCCUGUGGUUUUAUUUCACCUCAACCUUUUUCUGAUCCCAUUUUCAUUGUAAUUUCUCAUUUACUUUGAGUGAAAGUCAUUGUUGCUUUCGAACGAGGUUUUGCAACUAAAAAGGAAAAGGGGGCGGCUAUAAUACAUGCGUGCAUCUGAUACAUGCACAAAAACUGACCAUUGGAUUAAAUGGAGUGGAUCUAAUGGCUGAGAUUUGUUUUAUUAUUAAGCAAUAAAAAAAUUUGAAACAACCAGAAACCUGUAAAACCGGUCAUUUGGUUUAAGUUAAAAAUAUAUAAAUGAAAAUAACAAAAAAACCCACCACUCCCCCGCCUCACACGCGCCUCACCGCUCCCCGCUCCCUCGCCUCACCUCUCUUCUUGUUCCACGGCCAUCAACGGCGGCACGAGUCGGCGACGAUCGACUGCGGCUGUAAAUUGACCACGAUCAUCUCUCUCUCUCGGCUUGCUCAAAUUUGGCCGAUCUGUGCGCUUGCUUAAGCUUGGCCGAUCUAUGCUUGCUCGAUUACUCUUCCUAUCUUCAGUCAGAGUCAACUGUUUGACAAGAGUCGAAGUCCAAGGUUCUUUUUUACAGGAUUUGAGCUAUUCCUUUUAUUCUUCUUGCAUGUUCACUGAUAUGAAGCUUUGAUGUGGUGUUCUGAUAGCGGGUGGAAUUUGAGAUUCUCCUUUCUUCUCUAUAUGAAGGUGCUUGUCAUGUGUCAAGAAAAAUAAAAUUAUUUACCAAAGAUUAUUUUAAGGAGAUUUAUUAUUAUUCGUGGAUCGGGAAGUUUAUUUUGUUUUUUGGUCUCUUAUUUAUUUAUUGUUUUCACGAGGAAAUUGCUGUGCUUUUGGAAAUUAAUAUGCUGUGUUGUCAAUGUUGUGUGAAAUCCUUUUAUUGGUGUCUAUGUAAAGUGUUUCAGAUUUCAGACCUGAGAGUUAAUCUUCGCGUACCAGUUGGCUUUUGGGUUUAGUAUUGCUACUUUUAACAUAAUUGACCUAUGGCCCAAAUCAUUUCUAUAGGGCGAAGCAUAUGAAUGAUACAUAUUAUCUUUUUUUGGCCUUAUGUAUUGUUAUUUGCAGUGUGAUUUGGUCUAGCUUAAGAGCUUAAGCUUGCAGGUUGGAUUUGUCUGACAGGGAACAAUUUAAUUUGCUCAUCGUGAUGUUUAUAUCCAUUUUGUACUACUAUCAAUUUCAAUCAUGCCUAAUUUUUAUAUGUAUUUCUCGUGGACUCUCAGGUUCAGUGCACAAGAGGAUGAAGACGAUGGACACCCAAAUUUGAUGUGGAGAACAACUAUUGCAAAUGGUCCUUGAUUUACUUCUCCAAUUGACUUGAAUUGGUUUGACGCAAUUUAUAGUGUAUUUUUGUCAUCUUUGUACGACUAGCAGGUCGUCCUGAUUUGGUACAUGACUGGACACAGGAAUUGGACUCAUAUUUUUCAAACCAGAAUGCCAACAAUCAAGCAUUUUCUUUUGAAAGCACUGGCGUCUUCUUCAAUGCCAAAAAGGUUAGAGAUUUUCUGUAUCUUGUUUUGUAUUUAAUCAGUUUAGCAUGUGGGUGGCAAUCAAGAAAAGUUAUUAUAACAUUUUUGUGUUCCCGAAAAACUGCUGAUGAUGUGUAGUGCAGGAAAUGAAUUGUUUUUGACUUCUUUUUAUUUGUAUUCUUUCUUUUUUCUUUUCUCCCCAACAGGAUUAUGCAUUUCUGAAGAGCUUCUUGAAGUUGAUUACCAUGUAUGCCACUUUCUUUACUCUAUGCUCAGGAUGUGAUUUUGCCAAGCAUUAAAAUGGUUUAGGUCAGAACCAUCAUCUAAAGUUUACUUAAUGCAGCCGAGAAGCUGUAGUAGAGCAAGGAAGGCUGUUGGUGUUAUGAAGGCCAGCUGUGAAGAAAUAUUUGAACUUGUAAUGAGCAUGGAUGGGACACGAUACGAGUAUGCUUCUUUUCUAUUUUUUAUUUUUAGUUACUUUAACAUAAUCAAGACUAUAUUGGCUGUCUCUGUAAGCUGAGUAUUAUAUUUCCUCUUGCAUGCUGUGAAAUUCACAUUGUCUCCAGUCCCGAUUCUGUAUGUGCCUUUUUGAAUAUAUUUAAUUAAUCUGCAUGGUGCUUUCUAAAGAUUAUUACAAACUUUUGUUGCUUAAGUAUAUGAAGAAUGUAGAAAUGAAAACAGCUUUUGAAGUUUGAUGGAUUGCUUCAUUAAUAAAGAAAGACUAGGACUCAUUUUUAUAACUUUUCUCCACUUAGCUAAUGGUAUUUGAUGAAGACAAAAUAGAUGUAGCUAUCUAUAUUUUUUGUUGCUGAACUAUAGAUCAAUUGACGGUUGAAGUUAGUUAUAUUAAUUUGUUGUACUAGAAUUAAAGCUUGUAUCUUAGCCAUUUCAUGAAGUGUCAAAUACGUUCUUUCCUUUUUUUUUUUUUUUUUCAAAACAUGUUACACUUUUGAAGUCACUAUUACAUAAAAGAGUGUUCUAAAACAGGAGAAGGCGUGCUGCCUGAAAUUACCUGUUUCCUAGCAAAUCUAGCUGGUUUGCGAAUUAGAUUUUAACAAGUCUCUUGGCAAGGUUUGCUAGUAAUGUGUUCAAAUUAUUCUAUUUAAUUUUACUGUCUGUACCCUAAUAAUUCUUGGUUUGCACCAUUGCAUUGUUCCAUAAUCUCUGUGCGUUGGCUUAUAAAGGCCAGCAAGGCUGAUCAUUUGUCGAAUAGUUAUUUCCAUGAAAUUCCUAUCAAUUUGACUCAGUAUUUAGAGGUCUUGAAGAGGGCAGUGUACUAGACAUGGAUUUCUACCUCUUUUGGUUGUACAAUUGUUGUAUUUCUUGGCCAUCAGAUCUUUUUAAUGUACCUUUCUCAAAGUUCAUGCCGCACGUACACCGUUUUUCAUGUUUUGUGCAUGUGGGAUUGUAGUCUUCUGUAUCGCAGCUUAGUUGAAGAGGUAGAUGGUCAUACGGCUAUUCUCUAUCAUAGGCUUCAGCUGGACUGGUUUCCAAUGUAAUAGUCUCUUGAUUCAAUCAUCUCAUUUAUGCUUUGGUCAGAAUAGAACAUUUAUUGUUUCCUUCUUUCCCCUUUCCUCUCUUCUGAUGUAAUAUGUGAGGAAAUUACCUAAAAUUUCUGUAUCCCAAUGUAAUUGUUGGAAUUCAGAAAUAAAAUAAAUACACCGUCUUGUUUUUCCCUCGGUUCAGUCCCAAGUUCUCUUUGGGCCUUCUGCAAGUUUUUAAACAUACUGUGACAGUAAAAAAUCUAGUGAUUGAGAUCAUUUUGAUGAAUUUAAUUUUAAUUCUUAGCUGAUACUUUUUCUGGAAUUUUUUUCUUAUGUUUCCUCAAUAUGACUUAAAUAUAGGGCUUAGUUUGGUUUAGAAGUUCAUCUAAAACCUUCUCCUUGAUUCCAAAAAAAUUCUCUAGAAAGGUCUCAGAUGGAUUUUAGGGGAGUUUUGUGGCAAAUUUGAAAAGUUCAGGGGAAGGGUCUAAUGAAUUUUAAAACCACAUGGGUUAUCUGUUUUAUUCAGAGGAUAGUGGAAUUCCCUGAAAUUUAUCAUUUUUAUUUAAAUAAUCUUCCUACUUUCCUCUGCAGAAUUUAUUUAUAUAUAUGAAUUCAUUUGGUUGCAGGUUUGUUUGGCCCCGCGGCCUUUGUUAAGUGCGUUAUUGGCGUUGAAAUGACGCUGCGAGUUAUGGUAAGGUUCUUGCUUCCCCACUUCUUGAAAUUAAAUCUAUCUUUUCUGGCACUAGAAGUUUCCAUAAGCUGUGUUUUGUUAUCGCGCAGUUGUGUUAUUUCAUUCUAGGGAGCAUAUGAACUGUGGUCCACAACCCGGAUAUGUACGAGCUCACAUGGAGAGUUAGUUUUCUGUCCUUUACUUUGGUUGAUGUAGAGAAUUAACAAGUGACUAAGUCAUGCCAAGUUGCACCACUUGCUUCCUGUAUUCUGAUUUCUCAGGUGGUGGAUUCAACAUUUCCCCACUAAAACCUCAAAAUGGUAGGCCCAGAACACAAGUACAGCAUCUUAUGCAGAUUGAUCUAAAAGGGUGGGGUGUUGGUUAUGUGUCAAUGUUUAGCAACACUGUCUUCUGCAGAUGUUAAAUAGCAUUGCUGGUAAGUUUCUUGCUUUCACAUUUUAUUUUGCGCUGUUAUGGGUUAAUAUGUUUCUGUUGGGUGGCCAUUUUAAGUCAUAUUUUUACGUGUUACUGUAUUUUCUUCAGUCCUUUUAUAGGGAACACACACAUACACGUAUGUAGAGUCACCUUUUAAUGAGGGAUCUACCAUUUUAAUGAAAUGAGGAAUGAGCUAAAAGAUAAAAAAUUCACGAACUCCAAUGCAAUAUGUGUGUGUGCGCGUGUACACCUUUUCUAACUCUUGUUCUUAGUUAGAUAUUUUUUGGGAUUUCAGGCAAAUGAAAAAAGAGAUUAAGAGAAUGAUUUCAAGAGAACAGGUGGAUAAUAACUUAAAUAUUCAUUUUUAUACAUUUUGUUAAUGUCCUCUUUAAUGGAUUUCUAUGGAAUUAACCUUGUAAUUGGUGUAAUUACGGCAUUGGUGGUUGACAUGGCUUUCCUUGUGCAGGUAUGUAUGAUUGUACUGCAAUUUGCAAAUUUGCAUACUUGAAUGUUCUCAGAAUGGUAUAAUGCUUCGUGUAUGCAGGCAAAUACUACAGAUGAAUUACCGGAGCGGCUGAUUGGAGCUGUACGUGUUUCUUAUAUAGAACUCAAGUCUGCUAUUGUUCCAAAGUUGGAACCAGAGACAUCAUGACUCUGGUUUCAUUUCACCUCAACUGUUUUUUUUUUUAAUUGAAAAAAAAAAAUCAUUUGUUUUAGGUAUACAUACAUGUAUUUUGAUCCCGUUUUCAUUGUAAUUUCUCAUUUACUUUGAAAGAAAGUCAUUGGUGUUUUCGAGUGGGAAUUUUGCAUUAAAAAAUAAAGAAUACUUAAUAGGAAAUUUCAUAAUUCUUUAGUUACUAUUUUUGGAAUGUGUGUAAUAGUAUUAAAGUUGGUUUCUACUCGCAAACAAGUGAACUACUCGAUCCCCAACUGCGACCACGCUAGUUGUCAUUUAAAACUCAACAACUAACAAAAAUACUAAUAAAAAAAUGAUUUUCUUAUAUUGCUGUGAAAACAUUUAUGGGUUCAUUUAUUUCCACAAGAUCUAUAAUUUGGUCUUGACUUUACGAAAUUCUUUUAAUUUAAAGGGUUUUGGUCUGAGAAAGUCAGUUUGACGGAUUAAUUCUUUUUAAUAAUGGUCGAGUUAAUUUUACUAUACUCAUAAAACUAUUUUUAUUCUGAUAAUGCCACAAAUGUUAUGAUGUUUUCUUCAGCUAAUGAUCUUCUAUCAGGACUAGUUAGAAAUCAAAUGCUUAAAACACCGAUUGAAUGUAUAAUGCAGAAGUUUAAACAGUACCUAAUUGAAAAUUGCAUGAAACAUGAAACAUCAAUUCAAGUCCUUCCUUAAACAGAGAAUGCAUCAAACAAAUCCAAAGUGUCUUGCAAGUCUGUAGCAUGACAAAAAAGUUGUAAAUGCGUUUGGAACCAAAUUCUUCAAGUACAGGAGAACGAGCAAGUUGAAUUAUGUACAAGAGAUUGGCCUGGUUCGAGAUAGCUUCUUCACUGUACCUGAAGGAUUGGCUCAAUCUUUUCUUUAGAAUUCUGCACAUUUUGUAAUUACUCGUGUAAGCAAGCAUACAUUACAACCAUAAUAAUAAUAAAGCAAGAGUAAUGAUACGACCACCACCUUUUGUACACAAACAAUAUUGUAUAAACUAAUGCGACAUAAUAUGAUUGGUUAAACAAAAACAUUACAUGGCCCUCAUAAUUUAUUUAUUUAUUUAUUUAUUAUUAUUAUUAUUAUUAUUAUUAUAUAUUUUCAGUCAACCAAUCAUAUUAUAUCACAUUAGUUUCUAUAAAAUAAUUUGCUAAAUAGCACCAAAACUUAAUUGAUACUCACCAUUUCAUUGAACAAUUUUUUUAUGGUGUCAUUGAGGUUGCCUUCCCAACAUCCUUCAUCAUCAUCAUCUUCUUCAUCAUCAUCUUUUUCUUCUUCGGUGACGUUCACUUUGUUUAGCAUUGGUGUGUCUAAGACUCCUUGAGAGAAGAUCUUCAUUUUUGGACACAGUCUCACAACUACUUGUUUCAAGGACGGGAAUUCAAGAGCGUAAUUACCUAAACAAAAGCUUGUUAGGCUUGGCAAACAGUCAAGUUCCAAGUACCUCAAUUUCCCAAAAACAAUGCAAUCUUCCGUUUCUUCUCCAACCUGCGACUGUAUAAUUUCUUCCAUCAUUUUGCAAUCAACUAUCUUCAUUCUUCCGAGAUUCACUAGAUUUUUAGAUGCUGAGAGCGUCAACACAUUUAUCAACCCGUGACACUUCGAUACUUGUAGUCCCCACAGAUUUUCCAAAUGCCACGAAGGUGGUACUAAUUUUUGCAACUUACUACAUUCCGAUAUUUCUAGCCUUUCCAAGUUUGCAAACACUUUGUUGGAUUCGUCAUUUUCCUUCCAGAGAUGCUGCACUUUGUGUAAUCCAGACAGUCUUAACUUCCUCAAUUGAGGGAAAGCAACCUGAAAAUCAACAAAGUUAAGUUGUAAAAGAAAAUACGUAUCCAAUCUCUGGAGUCUUCACCUGCAUAUUUUAUGGACAAGAUUAAUCACGGCAUUUUAUAUUUUAUUUCCAAAUUAGUAUGCUUUGCAGUAGGAUCCCAAAUAUAAGUAUCAAAUCGAUUACCCUUUGAAACACAUAAAUGAAAUCUAAUGCUAAAUCCAAUAUGAAUUAGCUAGGAAAACAGAGAUGUUACACACAUAAUUAAUAUAGUUCAUCACCUCGUGUUAUCAGGCAUCCAAUUAAUUUCAGUCAUUUUUAUAAUUCAUACUAUAAAGAUAGUUAAUAACUGAGGUUAUAUUGUUAAAUCAUAUAUAAAUUAAGAUGACAUGCAAAAAGAUGAGUCAUUAAAUUUGACUUGAUUCUAAUGAAAUUACAUCUGUGCGAACAAAAGUGAAGGGAAUAAUAAUAAUAAUAAUAAUAAUAAUUACCUUUUCAUCGAAGAGGGGUUGUACUUGAUGAGCCAGCAAGAAGUACUCUUCUAAUGUUAAUUUUUGAGGUUCCUUGUUAUCAGUUGUCACAUGCACUACAGAGUUGGAUAUAAAUGUUUCCAUAUCAGGGCAAUUCUCAAUAGUCAGACUCCACAACAUAGGCAUUUCAAUUAUAUUCCCAGUGAAGUUGCAGAAUCUUUUGAGUUUUGGAAGAUCAAUGAGCGUUAGGCUAAAAAGCCUAGGAAACAGGGGGCCUAUAUGUUCUUUGUCAGCAUUUAGCUCUUCCAAAUGAAGCAUCUCUUCUAGUGAAUCACAAUUCCUCACUUCCAGCCUUGCCAAAUUGUUCAAGCAUCGUAGCAGAUUGGCAGGAAUAGCACUCGACAUAUUGGUGCAGUAAUCCACCUCCAGCUCUGCUAAAUAGUUGAAGAAGCGGACAGGCAGUGCUUGGCCAUGCCAUAUUUCUUUCAAACGUGGAAAAUGUGAGAGUUGCAAAUACUGUAUGUCACGGAAUCCAAUCUGCACAAACCAAAACAAUUGCACUGGAUAUAUAUAAAUACAUUAAACUUACAUGUUUUGUGUUUUAACUUCUAAAACUAUAUAUACAAGGCAGGUGUAUAUGUUCAAAUGUGCAAGUGCAAGGGAGAUGCAUAAGUAAUUUCAACGAAUCGAUUUAACACAUACCAUUUCUUCGUAACACUUUUGUAUAGUGGAAUUAAGGUUGCCUUCCCAACGGCACAAUUCACCCUCUUCCUGUUAAGAAUAGAAUUAGUUAGUUAAUGAGUAUGCUGACAUGGCAGCUGAGUCAGCUAAAGGUUGUUAUAGAGGUUGUUAGUAGUAAACUGUGCGUGUGUGCAAUGUGUGUAGAAUCUUCUAUGCACAUAUAAAAAGGCUUGCAAUUUCCAGAUUCAUUAGAUCAAUAAUAACAGAAUUCUCAGCUUACAGAAGUUUUCUUUCCUCCUAUUUUCUUAGUAACCAAACAACAUCACAGUUUCAUAUAAAACUUAAUACUUCCUUUUUACUCACCUGCACUUCGUGCAGCUUUGGUGUGGAUACGAUUCCCUGAGAAAAAGUCUUCAUGUUCGGGCAACGUGUCAUAGAAACUCGUUCCAAUGAUGGGAAUUCAAGAGUGUAAUUCUCCAAACAAAAGCUGGUAAGCCUUGGUAAAUAAUCAAGUAUCAAAACUUUUAAAUUGCUGAAAGCAAUACGAUUCUCCUUCACUUCUUCUCCAACAUGUCCUAUGAUUUCUUCUAUUUUUUCACAGUAUGAUACAUUAAGAUUCACUAGACUAUUGGGAAUUCCAACCUGAAAAUAAAGAGUAGCAUUCAACUAAAUUCAAAGUAUGUCAAAAUCAUACAAUUGUUUUAUGAAAAAUAACAAACCAUGUCUACUAGAUAUUUUUUGUUAAAGAAAAAAGGAAAAAAAUUAAAACAAAAAUAAAUAAAUAGAAGUCCAGAAAAACAAAGAUAAUGAAAAUGCAUUUACACUAAAACGCUGUAUUUCCCUUUUUUUUUUCCCGAUAUUCAUGCUUUUAAAAAUGGAAAACAUUUCUGGAAAACACUUCCCAACGCCAUCAACAUGGGACUGUUACAGAGUGAAUAUUUGAGGAAAUUUUUUAAUAAACGGUCGAUUCAAAAUGACCAUCAUGAAUUUGUGCUUAAUCAAUGGCGUAAUCAAUUCAUAACUAAACUAGAGAUAUUAACUACAUUUGAACACUUUUCUUUAUUUUAUUUUUAAAAUCGAAAUCUAAAGACCCAAGGAAAAGAGAAAUAUAUAUGAAUUUGUGAACUUAAAAGCUGAGUAACUAAGUAUCUUUUAAUUUCUGAAAAUCUUAUUCAUUAGGAUUUAAGGAAAAAAAACAAUUAAAUUAAAUUAUAUUAUGCUGUUAAAUCGUGUUUAAAAUAAUUAUAUUGUUGACUUUAAUGCAGGUGAACCUAUAAAUUAGAUUGAAAAUGCAGAGUUCAGAAUGGUGAUUUGAAGUACAAUACUUUUUUUCCCUCUAGAAGUUUGAAGUACAAUACUUGCAAUAAAUAAUUUGUGAAUGAAAAUUAUUUGUAAACAAAAAAAUGAUUAAAAUAAUUGUUGAAUGUUAUUUGAAAUAAAAAUUCAAAAUGAAUAUAGCAAUCUUACCAAUGGAGGAAAAAUAUUCAGUAGAUUAUGACACACAGAUAUCUCUAAUUUUUUCAAUUUGCUAAAAGACUUCGAAGCAAGCUGGUGGUGCCAUAUUUUUCUCAACUUAUCCGCCCCACGAAUAUGUAAUACCUCCAGACUUGGGAGUCGUACCUGAAGUUAAAAAUUCAAUGCAAUUAGAGAUGGAUAUUAAUUAAAUUUGAAGACUCAACGAAAGAAGAAAUUAACUAUUAAGAAUAAAAUUAAUUUAAAAAAAAAACCUUUGCAUCAAAGAGAGGUUGAGGUUGCAUUUCAGAAUUAGCUUCUGGUGAGGCAAAGCUACUUAGUUUUGGAAGACCAUCGAGCUGCAGGAAGUGUAGUUUAGGAAAAACCUUAAAUUCAUCUCUUCCUCCUAACCCCGUGGUGUUGACUAUCCCUUCCAUUGACCAACAAUUAAUAAUCUCAAGAUGUCGGAGCUGCCCAAGACUAUUAGCCAUAGAAUAUGAAAACAUAUACUUCAGAGGACAACACCUUGUCACGGUCACUUUUGUUAAAUUUUGACAACAAUACAUUCCCUGAAAUUGAUCGGGCCAUAAUUUUUUGAUGUUUGUUAAACUGACAAGUUCCAGUUCCUCCAAGCGUGGAAAAGUAACCUGCAAAGAAAAACCAUACAUUUUUUUUCCUUCAACUACAACUUCUAAUAUAAUAUUCUUUCGAUGAUUGAAGAUCAAUCGUGAUAAUAUAUUAAUUAAUUAAUUAUUAAACAGAAAAUUAUCACCUGAUCAUCCUCUGCAUUGAUUUCUGUGAAUCCCUGAGUAGUUGUUGGUUUCUCCAUGUCGGGCCCUAUAAAUGAACAAAAACAAUAUAUGAUUAACCUCUGUUGUCCCCUCCCAAAACAAAAAAAAAAAAAGAAUGAGCCAAUGUCAAUAAUCCUACCAAUAAUUAAUUUAAACACUUACCAAUCAUCAUUUUCAAUUUAUUGCAAUUUACCACUUCUACUUUUUGAAGCCCCAAUAGGUUUUUGGCCAUAGAGAAUGAGAAGAGAUACUUCAAUUUUGGACAGGAAUAUACGUAUAUAAUCCUUAAGUUGCUGAAAGAUUGAUCUUCUCUGAGUUGGCUGUAGCAUAUCGUCUCCAAAUUAGUUAAAUUAAUAAGAUCCAAUGAUUCCAGCAAGGGAAAGACUUCGCAACGAACCCGUCUAACUGAACCGACAAUAUGUAAAAUCUCAGAACAACCUGUUACAUGAAGAUGCUGCAAUCGUGGAAAACCUUCCCCAUCGUCUAAUUCAUGAACAACAUUCUGAACACCCGUCAGUGAGUAUAGACGGAGAUCUUCAGUUCUCUUCAGCAACAUUUUCGUCCCAUCAUUCCCCAAAAGAAGGCUAACUUUUUCUGGCCCCUUGAGCACCAUCAAUGUUGAUGUUUUAGAUUCGACGAGUCGUCGGUUAGACAUUUGUCCUAUAAAUAUCUUAUAUCUUUCCAAUUCCAUAGAGACAAAAUCCGGCGGCAGAAUUUCGGAAUCCGAAACAUCUAUCUCCAAAGUAGUUAGAUUUGACAACCCCUUCAACUCGACAAGACUGGCAUUACUUCCUCCUUCAACCUUAUCCCACUGUGAAAAGCUGUUAUGCAUAAACAGUUCUUCUAAUCCAGAUAAUUUUGAUAUGACAUUUGGUGGUAUCAACUCAAGGCUCCAACAAUUGCUCAAAUCUAGCAACUGUAACCGCGUCAAUCGUCCAAUUUCAAGUGGUAACUGCUUGAUAUCGGAAUCUGCAAGGCUGAGAAUCUCUAAUUUCUUUAGCUGUCCAACUAUUGCUAUAUCUUUUAGUCGGCAAUAGUCUAAACGCAAUGUUUGAAGGUUAAUGAGGCAACCAAGUGAUGAAGGUAAUGAAGAGAAUUGAAUUCGAGUAAAAUUCAAAACUUUGAGUCCUUCCGUCCCUUUAAAAAAGUGGUCUGAAACUUGCAUAGAGCCAUCACCCUCCGCAUGCAAUAGCUCAAGACAGGGACAUUGCAACCUUUCAGGAAGCACUUGAAUACCUCCAUAAGGUAAAGAAAUAGCAAUUGGACCUUCCUGUACUGUAUCUUCCAUCUUUUUCUCCAAGUCGGCAACAUUUGGAAUAUUAAACAUGAGCUCCUCUUCUGCAAUUGAUACAGCAACUACACGAAUGACGUCAUGCAUUUUAACUUCAUCUUCAGCAUCACUGUCCAACAAUAAGCAUGAAGAUUUGAGUUUGUCGAUCAACGUAUGCAAUCUCCUCCUUGCUUCUUCCAGUGAGUAAACCUUUUUAAAAUAGUCCAUACCCAUACCAUAUCUCAAUAAGUCUGGAACAGGUAUAGCAUAACCUUUACUAAGUAGACCACAAAGACGGAACAGAGAUUUUGCCUCCGCACUUUCCAGCAAGUUGUAACUCAAUUUUAUGGAGGUGUACACAUUUCUUUCCAUUCCAUCAAUUUCUCUUGCAUCGGAACUUCUUAGCUGAUUCAAUGCAUCCUUCCAAAUGUCAAGAUCCUUAGUUUUCAGAGCUUUUGCAACUGUACUCAGUGCAACAGGCAAUCCUCCGCAUUUUUCAACGAUCUCAUCUGCAGUGGGUUGAAAAGCAGAUAUUUUAGUUGAAUCACCCACUAUCUUCUCAAAUAACUGCAAGGCUUCUUCUUUUGAUAAAGCAUCGAUCGGGAAAUUUUUCUGAGAAUUCAUAUCAGUGCACAAUAAAUCUCGACUUCUAGACGUCAGUAUUAUUGUGCAUCGUCUCUGAUCAUCCAUUCUUUCGUUCGGAAUCCCAACUUUAUCGAACUCCAGUUCCCCCCAAAUAUUAUCCAAUAUAAUGAGAUGCCGCUCCUUGUUCUUCAAUACUCGACAUAGUCGAUUUGCUCUGUCGAAUAUACUCUCAUUCAACUCAAACUUUAUGCCUAAAUCAGAAGCAAGUUUGUCUUGAAUUUUCUGAUGAUCUGGGUUCUCUGUUACCUCAGCCAUAGCGACCUUAUCGAACAACUUAUUUGUUUCCAUCACUUGCUUUGCAACUUGCUUGACUAGCGUGGUUUUACCCACGCCGCCCAUGCCGUAGACCCCAAUUAUGUUGAGUUUCUCAUCCUUCAACGCCUCCAUAACAUCCAGUAAUACUUUCUUUCUUGAAUCAAAGGCCUCGUUAUCUUUCCCGCCCCUAAGUGCUUCGAUAUCUGCAGAAGGAUCGAAGGCAAUUUCUUCACUCUUCAGUUUGUCGCCUUUUUCCAUGAGAUUAGCAGCAUCUUUUGCGGCCUUUGCUGCUCGUUUACUGAGUUUGUAACGAGACAACAAAUUUGCACACAAUCCUUUGAAGCAGGACUUCUUGGCUCCAUCUUCUUCAUCAAUGAUAGAUUUUGCAACCCCCUCCGUAGAUUCAACCUUACUUCGCCAAUCUUUGACACCCUGAUAAAUCUCUUUGCCUUGUCGAGUAUCAUGCUUAACACGUUGUUGCACCAUUUCGUUUAUACCUUCCAACCCCUUCACUUGAUCUUUUAGCUCAUCUAUGUAGCUCUGGUACUUGAACACAUAAGAUAUUUGCCGUAUAAUCGGUUUGAACAGUGACUUUGCACCUUCUAAUACAGUGCUGGAUAAAGCAGCCAGAGCCACUUCUGCCAUUGUCUGCUACUUAACAAAUCUAAUAAUAUAUCAAAGAAAGGAAUACAAAUAAAUUAAAAGGAACUAAAGGGAAAGACAGAGAAAGAAAAGACGGCAAACAACAUCGCAAUAUUGAUCUUGAACCAACUGAUACCUAAAUAGAGAAUUUCUUUUACUAUCUUAAGGAUCAGAGGUUUCGCUAUUAACCGAAAGGUAUCGCUUCUAUUUUGUCACUUUGAACGAAUAACUUUAUGUUUUUAACGGAUGUUUAAUACAAAUUGCAUACAUUGGGUGUAAAAUUAAAUAAAUUUAAAUAUUUAUAAUAAUUUUAAUAAUUGAAUAAAACUUUGAGUAAAUGACUGAUAAUUUCUCUAAGAUGAUUUAUUGUUUGGGGUCUAAGAUUUUAAAUAUUCAACUUAAAAGAUUAAUAUCUUAUAAAUUGAUUAAUUAAUUAAUCAUUAAGCAACUAAAUUGGUCCCUGGAUGUCAAUUUAUUUAAUAUUGACGCACCUAUUUUUUUUUUCUGGCAAAUAAUUAUUAAUGCACUUAGGNNNNNNNNNNNNNNNNNNNNNNNNNNNNNNNNNNNNNNNNNNNNNNNNNNNNNNNNNNNNNNNNNNNNNNNNNNNNNNNNNNNNNNNNNNNNNNNNNNNNNNNNNNNNNNNNNNNNNNNNNNNNNNNNNNNNNNNNNNNNNNNNNNNNNNNNNNNNNNNNNNNNNNNNNNNNNNNNNNNNNNNNNNNNNNNNNNNNNNNNNNNNNNNNNNNNNNNNNNNNNNNNNNNNNNNNNNNNNNNNNNNNNNNNNNNNNNNNNNNNNNNNNNNNNNNNNNNNNNNNNNNNNNNNNNNNNNNNNNNNNNNNNNNNNNNNNNNNNNNNNNNNNNNNNNNNNNNNNNNNNNNNNNNNNNNNNNNNNNNNNNNNNNNNNNNNNNNNNNNNNNNNNNNNNNNNNNNNNNNNNNNNNNNNNNNNNNNNNNNNNNNNNNNNNNNNNNNNNNNNNNNNNNNNNNNNNNNNNNNNNNNNNNNNNNNNNNNNNNNNNNNNNNNNNNNNNNNNNNNNNNNNNNNNNNNNNNNNNNNNNNNNNNNNNNNNNNNNNNNNNNNNNNNNNNNNNNNNNNNNNNNNNNNNNNNNNNNNNNNNNNNNNNNNNNNNNNNNNNNNNNNNNNNNNNNNNNNNNNNNNNNNNNNNNNNNNNNNNNNNNNNNNNNNNNNNNNNNNNNNNNNNNNNNNNNNNNNNNNNNNNNNNNNNNNNNNNNNNNNNNNNNNNNNNNNNNNNNNNNNNNNNNNNNNNNNNNNNNNNNNNNNNNNNNNNNNNNNNNNNNNNNNNNNNNNNNNNNNNNNNNNNNNNNNNNNNNNNNNNNNNNNNNNNNNNNNNNNNNNNNNNNNNNNNNNNNNNNNNNNNNNNNNNNNNNNNNNNNNNNNNNNNNNNNNNNNNNNNNNNNNNNNNNNNNNNNNNNNNNNNNNNNNNNNNNNNNNNNNNNNNNNNNNNNNNNNNNNNNNNNNNNNNNNNNNNNNNNNNNNNNNNNNNNNNNNNNNNNNNNNNNNNNNNNNNNNNNNNNNNNNNNNNNNNNNNNNNNNNNNNNNNNNNNNNNNNNNNNNNNNNNNNNNNNNNNNNNNNNNNNNNNNNNNNNNNNNNNNNNNNNNNNNNNNNNNNNNNNNNNNNNNNNNNNNNNNNNNNNNNNNNNNNNNNNNNNNNNNNNNNNNNNNNNNNNNNNNNNNNNNNNNNNNNNNNNNNNNNNNNNNNNNNNNNNNNNNNNNNNNNNNNNNNNNNNNNNNNNNNNNNNNNNNNNNNNNNNNNNNNNNNNNNNNNNNNNNNNNNNNNNNNNNNNNNNNNNNNNNNNNNNNNNNNNNNNNNGGGAUUAUGGGGGUAUGCUAAUGCGGCAACCUGACUGUGAGUCGGGAAAAGCUAAUGAGGCAACUUUGCUUGUGCUGCUUCUUUUUUUUUUUUCUUUUGCUUUCUUUUUUGCUUUUUUUUAAUAAUAUUAAAUAAUAUAAAUUUUAAUUUAAUUUAAUAGAAUAUUAUAUAAUAUUAAUUUUUAUUUUCUCUUAUUUUGACAUCAUAAUUAUUAAUAUAAAUUAAUUAUUUUUAUUCAUAUUUUAAUUUUUAUUACUAAAUAAUAAUUAUAUAAUAAUUAAUAUAUAAAAUUGAUUAAUAAAUACUUAAAUAAUAUAAAAAUAAGAAUAUAACUUGAUAUUACAUUAUUUAAUUAUAUUAUAGUAAUUAAUAUAUAUGAAAAUUUAAUAUAACUAAUAAAAAUAUUUAUAUAUGAAUAAAUUUAAAUAAUAUUAAUUUAAAAUUAAUAUUAAUAAAAAUAAUAAUAUAAAAUAUCAUUAUGUUAUGAUAUUAUUUAGGUAUUAAUAAAUAUUAUUUUCUAAAUAUAUAAUUUAAGUUAAUCACAAAAAAUUAAUACAGUACAGUGUAGCACCAAACAUUGUAUUAUGCUGUAUGCCUGUAUUGUAUUAGCACUGAUUGGGUGUAAAGCGUUUGUAAGUGGCUUUUUAAGUCUGCCGUCAAAUCCCCUGCAAAAGCUUUUUUCUUAAUAUCACGCGUGUUGGUACUACAUAAAACCGUAAACUCUAACAAUUUCUUUGUUCUUUCUUAAUAUCACGCGUGUUGGUACUACAUAAAACCGUAAACUCCAACAAUUUCUUAGUUCUCAACACCCCUUAAUUUACAAGAAUUAAUCACUUCAAGGGUGGAUUAGGUAUAUCUUUAGUUCAUAUAUAACUAGCAAUAUCUAAUAUCCCAUAUACAUGUUUUUCUCCCAGAAUGUAAACCAACUAUUCAUAUCUUAGACUCCAAGUAUUCGUAUCUUAAAGUCAAUCGAUAAUAUUAAUUUAAAUUUAAUAAUAAUAUAAAAUAUUAAUAUAAUAUAAUAUUUAAUUUAAAUUAAUUACAAACAAAUAAUAUAGUACAAUGUAGCACCAAACAUUGUAUAGCAUUAUUAUAAUACAAUGCUAAUGCAAUACAAUAUAAUAUAAUCCACCAACAUUAAAAUAAUAUAAUAUAGCAUAAUACAAUACAGUGUGUCAAAUGCACCCUUAGGGUGUGUUUGGUAUGUGGUAUUGCAUAGCAUUAAAUGUGGGCCCAACAUUAAUUUAAACCAAUAACAUGUUUGGGAGCAAUUGAGGCUUAUUGGGAUUGGGUAUUGAGGGGUGCGCUAAUGCGGGAACCACCGCAUUAGCUUGUCUUUUUUUUUUUACUUUUACUUAAUAAUAAUAUAAAUGAAUAAAUAUAUAAUUUUUAAUUUUUAAUAUAAUAUUAUUUUUAUUUUUAUAUCAUAAUUUAUUAAUAAAUUUAUAAUUUAAUAUGAUUAAUAAUAAAUAUUUAAAUAGUAUAUAAAAUAUAAUAUAAUAUUACACUGUGUAAUUAUUGUAAUAUAAUUAAUAUAUAUAAAUUAUUUAUUUUUAAAUAAUUUAAUAUAAAAAAUAAAAAAAUAUUUAAAUACAAAUGAAUUUCAAUAAUAUUGAUAUACGAUUAAUAAUAACAUAAAUAAUAAUAUAAAAUAUUAGCACAAUUCAUUUUGCUAUUAAAUAUGUUAUAACAAUUUUGUCAUUUUAUAAUUUUGUGGUGUAUAUGAACAUAUGUCUUAAGAUUAUUUUUGAACAAAUCUUGUAGGUUUUAACUAUUUAUUUUUCUUGUUAUAUUAUUUCAAGAUUAUUUGAUUAAAUUAUUUGCUUCGAUAUUUAACAAGUUAUAUAUUUAGAAAAUAUAGAAAAUAAAUGUUAUGCUUCCAAAAAUUAAAGGAUAUAACGUUCGAUCUUUAUGAAGAAUUAUGAUAUUUUUGAACAUUUAUACUAAAAAAUUAUUAAAUUUUUAGAAAAUUAAAAGAUAUAACAUUCGAUCUUUAUGAAGAAUUAUGAUAUUUUUUAACAUUUAUACUAAAAAAAUAAUUAAAUUUCUAAAAUUUAAGACCUCUAUAUUUAGUUUUUUUUAAGUACUAUUAAUAUUAUUUUAUAAAUAUAUAAUAUAAAUUAAUUACAAAAAAUUAAUACAGUACAGUAUAACACCAAACAUAAUAUAAUUAAAAAUUAAUACAGUACAGUGUAAUACCAAAUAUUGUACAAUAUUAUUAUAAUACAGUACUAAUGUAAUACAACAUAAUACAAUACACUGCAUAAAAAUAAUGUAAUUUAGUGUACCAAACACACCCUUACAGAACUUUUGCAUAUCUACACAGCGAUUUUAAAUAUUACUGAUAACUCCUGAGAAAUGUGUGAGAAAGGAGUUGAUAAGAGUAAUAACAGCGACUUGCAAAAGGAAAAGACAGAAUCAUUCACCCCUUUUUAUAUCAUGUAUUUGGUUACUGUUGCCCUGUUGACGCAUGUAUAAAAUAACCGUAUGUAUUUUUUUUGGCUGUUGCUUAACAAAAUGUGUGUUUGUGUGUGUAUAUAUAUAUAUUUGCUGUUUGAAAAAAUUGGAUUCAAAUAAAUUAAAAUGAACUAGAGAGGAAGAGAAAGAAUGAAAAGACAACAAACAAUUGAUAUUGAUCUCGAACCAACUUCUUUCUUUCUUUCUUUCUUUUUUGUGUUUUUUUUUUCGCCCGUACCCCCUCUCAGAUUAGAGUAUUGGCUAUUAAAUGAAAGGUUUUAAGGGUAUGAGUGAAAAACAACAUUCUUUUUUAGAAACUAUUUUAGAGGAGGGAUGCAAAUUAAAUGACAAGAUUAAGACAAACAGGAGAUAUUUUUUCGUGGGCAUUAAGAAAUAACUGCUGUCAAGAUCAAGGAGAUUAUGCUAUUAAUAGAAAUUAUCAAAGGAUUUAGAACAAGUUCACCUCUUUAAUUAUCCGGGAUCAGAUAGUUGAUGAGCUUCUCUUCUUGGCGUUGAAUAUUUAAGAAUAAUUUUAAUGAGCAAAAAGAUCACUGGUAACUGCUGAAAAAUAAGUGAGAAAAGAGUUGAUGAGAAUAAUAACAAUGAAUUGAAUAAAAAAAGGACUUAAUCAUGCACCCCCUUUGCAUAUCAUGUAUUUGGUUACUGUUGCCUUGUUGACGCAUGUAUAGAAUAAUUAGUGACUUCUUUCAUGAAGAAUUAAACUUGGAAUGACCAAAAGACGAAGCUGCGGUGUAUUGUUGGACCAAAUUAAGUUGAAGAAAGCACUAGUUCACAACCUUACGUUUGGAUAUAUUCUAAAGAAAUAAUUAAACAGCAAAUCAUCACAUGCACUUUAAUGAUUUGAUCUAUUGUUUUCAAAAGAAAUUGCAAUUAACAGUUUUUGUCAAAAGUUCGCACUGCGUGAAACUAGUGCUAAUAUAAUUUAAAAAAUUAAUUUCAGUAUUAGUUUUUAAAAUGUUAAUUAUUAUAUUUAUUUUAAUAAUAUAUUUAUAUUUAUUAUAAAAAAUUCUGUUAAACAUUUGUGUUAAAUAGAAUUUAUAAUUAAUAUAAUAUAUCUUAGGUAUUAAUAAUAUUAUAAUUAUUCUAUAUGCUAUUGAAAAUAAUUUAAAUUUUUAGACGUUUAUUUUCACAUUAAGUUUCUAUUUAUUAUAAAAUUUAGUUUAAUAUAGUAUAAGCUUGUAAAGUAUUAAAAUAUUUUUUCAUAUUUUUUGAACAUAUUAAAAUUAUUUUAAAAUAUAUUUAUAUAUUAACAUUGAAGUCAAUUUUUUAAGUUAAUAGAACCAGUAGGUGUUAUAGUAAAAAAGCGUUUCUUAGCAUCACUUAUUGAAAAUAUAAAGAUCUAUAUAAUCAUUUUUUCAAAUAUUGAGAUGUAGUUAUAAAAGAAAAAAUAAAUUAAAAAAUUUUAAAUUUUAAUAUGGCCAUCGUAGAGUUAGAAUCCCCGCUCCAACCCGAUUUGGAGAUGAGCUUGGUCUAUUUAUGUUUUGGAAAAAGAAAAACCAAAGGAAAAAAAAGGCACCCGACCAAAUCAAGUAACUCAUCAAAUAAAAAAUAAAAAAAGGAAAGAAAUUUAAUGACUUGCAUGCAAUUUUGGAUCUGAAAUUAAAAUUACAUAAAAAUUAAGGAUUACGUACCUUAAUAUUUACAGCUUAUUUGAUGGACUCAACAGGUUUAAGCAACAUCAAAAUGUUUGUGGCUCCUUAAAUGAGCCCCCGACAUGGUGCAAAUGACAACAUCGACUUGUUUGACAGCUCCAACAAGGCUACGAUGAUCAGAAGAUGAGCCCUCAAUCAACAAGCUAAGAUUGGCUUCUCUAUCCUCUUCGCCCCACAACCAGCGCCUUGCUCUUUGUCAUUUUUCCUCUUGUUAGUUUUCUUCUACAUAUAAUUAUUACACUGGGAAGUAUACACACACCUCUUUUCUUUUUAUAGUACCUUACUAUUAUAUCUUUACAAAACAAUAUCACCCUAAGACAGCUAUGUAUGAAAUAAAUGAAAUAAAUAUAUAAGGAACUGACGAAAUAAAAUUAGAUCUAACUCUAAUUUCACGUUGCGUGAAUUUUUGACAAUUCACCCGUAUCCCAACAAAAGCUUUGUCAUAUUGCGAAAAUACCUUUUCAAUGUUUCAAUUGCAAUGUCAUUGCCAUUAUUCAUAGUGGCAGACAAUGGACGUCACGGGACGGUAGAAGUCUAUGUUACGGCUUGUGCAAGUAACAGCAGCCAAUGGGGAACUUCCACGGGUGCUAGAGGAGAGAGAAAGAGGUCCCAAUGCAAGGUGAUGGAAAUGGGAAAGUUCGAAGCUGUUACUUUCAGCUUCUGCACCUUAGCCAUGUCCCACGGGACAAGGCUAGAAGUUAUCAUGACCAUAAACUUUUCUAAUUUAUUUUUUCCUUUCAAAAAGGGACAAGGAUACGUUUCGGAGAAUGAUUAUAUUUUUAAUAAAAGAAUUCUUUUUUAUUAUAAUACUUUUUUCUUUAUUAAUUUAAAAAUAUUGACUCUUAUAUUUUAAUAAAUAUAAAUAUAAUAUUAUAAUAAAAUAUAACAAUAUAUACAAAUAUUUAAAAAAAUUUAAGAUUUUAUUAAAAGAAAUUUUAUAAUAAAUACAAAUAUAUUAUUAAUAUAAUUAUAAUAAUUUGCAUUUUAAAAAGUAAUACUGAUAUUAAUUUUUUAAAUUAUAUUACUCUACCAAAAAAAUUAAACUAUUAAAUUAUAUUGAUAUUUAUUAAAAAAAUUGAAGUUAAUUCUUAUUAUAUUUUUAAUUGGAAUUUUUUCAUGUGACAUAAUUACAAUUGCUACAUUUUUUUCCCUAAAUAAAGAUGGGAGUUAUAAAUUAUUUGUAUAAGUGUCUGUGUGUAAACUAAUGUGACAUGAAAGUAAUAGCUGAAUAACAAUAAUGGAGCUUUAGGUAAUUUUUUAUGAGGUCUUCUUGCAAUUUCAACACUUAAACAGACUUGUCCUUGAUCCCAAUUUAUUUACCCCAUUUGGGCCCCUUAUGACAAACAUAUUCUUGUGGAAUGAAAAACAUCAGGAGAAGAAAAUGUUUUAUUAUAAUAGAAAAAGUUGUCCAUAAGUCUAUUCAUUUUUUUUUUAUUCAAUACAAAUGCGGGCCGCGUUCUGUGGGUCUNNNNNNNNNNNNNNNNNNNNNNNNNNNNNNNNNNNNNNNNNNNNNNNNNNNNNNNNNNNNNNNNNNNNNNNNNNNNNNNNNNNNNNNNNNNNNNNNNNNNNNNNNNNNNNNNNNNNNNNNNNNNNNNNNNNNNNNNNNNNNNNNNNNNNNNNNNNNNNNNNNNNNNNNNNNNNNNNNNNNNNNNNNNNNNNNNNNNNNNNNNNNNNNNNNNNNNNNNNNNNNNNNNNNUAAGUAGAGUGAGACUCUGGCAUCCUCUAAAUAUCUCUCAACACUCUUUCUUAUUAACCCCAUUAAAAUAUUUAAAAAUAUUAUAAAAUUCUUUUAACACCUUUUUUAUGGCAAAAAUACCCUUAGUUUAAAUUUAUUAAUAUAAACCCCAUUUUAAUUUUUGACCCCUGAUUGUGAUUUUUUUUUAAAGCACCUGAAUUUUGAAACAAUUAAUUAUCUAUUGAAAAAGAAAGAAAGAAAAGGAAAACAAAAGGAAAAGGGCACUUGCUCCAAGAAAGUUCUACUUUAAUGUGGCAAAUCAUUGAAACACCACAUGGCCAAAACUUUACUCUAUGCAUGACAACUCAUUGUAAUUGAUAAUGACCCUCGCAAACACUUGGCUACCAUGCGUGUAAUUCUAAGGCCAAGUGCUAAUUUGGUUUACUGAUGAAGAUGCUGAGCACAAGCUUCUGAAAAUGCAGAAUUACGAAUUUUUCGAAAGACUGCGAACCUUUAUGGAGAAAGACAACUAGGCCACUGGAAAACAUGUCGGUGGGAAAAUAAUUCUGAUGAUCGUUCAGCUCGUCCUUUGCUUCAUAAUUACUUUCUUCUUUCUUAAUUUCUCUCAUGGGUCUCGGUUUCUUCCUGAAGCUUGUUGAUGAUGAGUUGCAUAUGCCGAUAAUUCCUCACCAGAAAAUAAGAUGAAAAGGUAACUUUCUUAAUUUUUAAAAUGCUGAAUUUCAAUUUAAGGUACUAUUCAUUUUGUCUCUUUCAAGUUAUUUUUCAUUUUUCUGCUGAUAUUUUAAUAUUUACAGUCAAUUGUAGCAUUACUUAAAUUUAUAGUAUGUAGAUCAUAAUUCAUAAAUUAGUUUGCAGUUGGAGUAAACUCGAAAAUGUUAAAAAAAUAAUAAUAACAACAAAAAGAGUAGAGACAAGUUGUCAUCUUGAGUAACAAUAAAAUAAAGAAUUGCAGCUUUUACAAAGUCUUUCUUUAAAAAUAUGAAAUGAAUAAAAUGACUAUUAAAAUGGUUCAAAAUUUUCUGAUAGUGUCAUUGACUAGCUAGAUCAAUUGUUUCUUGUGUGGUAACUUCAAACACCAAAUCCUUGAAAGCAAGUAUAUUAGUUUUGUAUGGUGUUGCCCAGCCUUCUGCACAUGGUUCAUGAUAUUUGAUCCAACUAUUCGCAAUAGGAGGAAUAGGUGAAGCUGGAAGCAUGAACACCUGUAAAAAAAAAAAAAAAGCCAUAGAAAAAUUAGUCCAAUAAUUAAGAUAUUGCAGCAUAAUUUGAAUUUCUAAACUUUUACAUACCUCUAUGAAAUGAUUUCUAUUAACAAAUCCAAUAGCAAUGAUUUUAUGCGAGGAGCGUGAUAAUGGAAUAGAUCUAAGUGGAAGGAAUGUGACAAUCAGCACAUCUGAUAUAUGUAGUAAUACCACAUUAUAUUUAGAAGCAAUAAUAUGACCAAUUUCAGGCAUGGUCAUCCAAUACUCUCUUCCUGGGUUAUUCUCAAAGUAUAAAAGUGAAUGAAGCACCUCCUCUGCUCUACCAGCAUAUUCAAAGACUCUUUUAUAAUCAUUAAAGUGACUUUGCAACUCAACAACUAAGACUUUCCUGACUUGUGCCCAGUUAUCUUCACCAAUACCUAUUAGGUCAGCCACUGCCUGAAAACCACAAUUACCAUCUGCAACAACAUCUCUAACACCACAAAUAUAAGGCCUCAAACCAAAUGGAAAUGAAUCAAUAUAAGAAGCAUGCUUUGGUGCUUUUGUUUGAGAAACACUCAUUUUUCGUUGCCCUUUUGGUUUUUUUGUAGUUGUACUUGAAGACAUAAUGUCUGGAGAAUGAUUAUCCUGUGCGGAUACUACAUACUCAAAUCUUGAUGGAUCUCGGCGGGUAGAUUUAUCAAGCUUUUGGGAGGGUCGUCCUCGAGUCUUAGCUUUAACAGGUAGCUCAAUUAAAAAAGUUAAGAAUGGAUCAGCUAAUUCUUUCAGUUUUCUUUUUAUUUGCAUUUUUCCGAAACCAUCUGAAUCUUCAAAACGCUUGAUAAUCAUUUCCAUUUCAGGGGUACAACUCAACUCUGCUGAUUUUUCAUAGCUGGUGCAGACAAGGUCUAAUUUCCUCCAAUGCAAAUGUACAGAAUCUAAAGGUAUCGGUCGACCUUCACGCUUAUACUCUGCAAUUUCAUGUGCACACGGUAGCCCAUAAGUGUGUCGAACUACACAACCACAUGCUGAAAUAUCUAUACCAAUUAAAUCAGCUCUUUUUGACUCACUUAGUAUCAUAUCUAAUGCAUUUCUAGCAACUAACCCCCUUAAUUCUUUAAAAACUGAAGGUGUGAAACUAUGUUGCACAGUAGUCAAACUCUUCUCAAAUGAUGCCUUAAUUUUUGUAUGUUGCAACUCUACCAAAGAAUGAAGUUUUGUCCAUAAUGUUACAAAGUUUCCUUGGGAUGAACAUAGUUGCCUUUUUAAUUUUGAAUGUGCAGUCUCAGCCCUAAAAAUAAACCAACAAAAAAAUAAUAAAAAGAUAUAUAAAAAAAUGGUGUUGAGUUUAUUUAUAAAAUCAUUGAAAACUAAAUAUUGGUUACCUGUUGGUUGUCAUAUUUCCGAAAUGCAUAAUAAAGUCUGUCCAUGCUGCAAUAAAUUUUUCUUUAUACUUAUCAAGCCAUGUCUACUUCACAUAGACAAGUGCUUUCGGAUAUCUAGCAUAAUCACUCUAAAAAAUACUCAAGUGUUGUAUGUACUCUUGUUCAGUGGCUGAGAACACCAGUACAUUCCAGUUGCUGUUAAAGGCUUCCCAUCUUUCAUUAGUAUGAAAUAGCCUCUUAUAAUUAGCUAACACAUUUUUUGAAAUAUGCCAUCUACAAAGUAAAUUAGUUGCACUUGGAAAUAUCUUUUCAAUGGCAUUCAUCAGAGCUAAUUCCCUGUCUGUCACAAUCACAGCUGGUAACAUAUCAUCUUGCAUAAUGGUUUUCAAUCUUUCUAAUGCCCAAAUAUAGUUAUCUUCUCGUUCGGACUCAAGAUAUGCAAAACCAACAUUAAAUGUCUUUGCAGUCGAUGUGUCACCAACUAUUUCUAACAACGGAAACUUAUACUUAUUGACUUUAUAAGUGCAGUCCAUUAUCAGAACACUUGGAAAAGCUUUUAACAAAUCAAAAGUAAGAGGAUGUGCCUAAAAUAUGUCUUUCACACAAUUUGUAUCAUCAUCACUCCGAUGCCACUCAAUGUAAUUAUGAUCAUGCAAUUUACUCAUAAGCUGUUGCAUUUGUGACCGUCCGCCCAAUUCGCGAACCUUAUAUUUAUACCGAGCAUUAUAAACCGUCUUCAUUGUUGUAACAUUAAAUGUAUCCCUAGUCUUUAAAGUAUGUAAUAUCUCUUUUGGCCGAACAUUAUUUUUAGACAAAUCAACCAAUAUACUAACAUCUUCAUUAGUAAGUCUACCUGCAAAUGAGUGGCCCUCAAGAUAUUGUGCAAAAUGAUGGUUAUGCAAUCCACAGAUUACUUUUAACACCCAAUCUUGAUUAUUCACCAACAUUUGACCCUUUAAUAAAAAUGGACAGCCACACUUUUUUGUUCCAAUUGCAUUCGGUCUUUUCUUCUUUUCCAAGUCGCUAUUCUGCUUAGACAUGUUGGUACUUCUUUUCGGAUAUGCACCACUUCUUUCACAAGCAAAAAUUAUCCUUGGUCUCCUUCCAAUCACAUUCACGUCAGAUCUUUUAAUAAUAAUCACAAGUCCAUUUUUUUCCCAACAUCAUGCAUCCAUCGAAUCAACUUGUCUCUACUGGUGAAAACCUAUGAGAAAGACAAUAAUAUAUUAGUUAAUGAUACAAAGAAAAGAGAAUAUAUGUAUGAAAAUUUAUUUAGCAUUUUACCUCUUCAGUAGUGAAUGCAGCAGUGUAAUCCAUAACAUCUACUUUAUUAUCAAGAAUGACAACUAUGGUAGAACUUUCCUCCUUUACAAUCAUUGUAAGAUAUUACAUAAGUUAAUACAAGACACAAAACUAGAAUAAUAGCAAUUUAUUCAGCAAUAAUCAACCAAACAAUUGACAUUUGUUAAGGGAUAUUUGUUGAACAUUGUUCAACGCUCUCCCAGUCAUUAUAAUUCUAAAACAAUAAAUUAAUAGCAAACUUACUUUUUUAUUAUCAUCCCCAUCUAUUUGCAUGAUUAUUUUGCCCUAAAUUUGAAACUCUUAGAUUAGGGUUUAAGAAAGAAAAGAGAGUUUAUAUCGUAUGCCACACAAAGAAUUUAAAACUCUUAAACAAAAAUAUGCCAUAUAAGAAAUUUUUAAGGGGAAAAAAAUAUUUGAUUUUGAGUGGGGGUUUAAUUAGAAAUUGUCUUAUUAUGUAAUUUUAAUAAAGGUUAAAAUUGUAAAAUAACUAAAGGGGUGUUAAGAGGUAUUUAGAGGGGUGCCAAUAGUCCCACUCAAAUAAGUAAUGGUAACAAAAGACUAAUUUGUAAUAUUGAAGUGUACGGGCUUAACUAAAUCCAAAAAUUAGUAAGUUAGCUCAAGAGUUGAGAGUUGUCCAAAUCUUAAAUGUUGAACCCAAGUUCAAUACUCAAUUGAUGCGGGAUGUUAUUCCUAACACCUCCCGUCAUGUGUAGGAUUGGUAAAAAAACUCGGGUCAGUCCCGCCUAGACCUACGGGCUUUAUGCAUGGCCCGCAUGAUGAAGUUACGAAAUUAACCUAAAAAUUUGAAACUUACGAUGAAUGGCCUUGCUUAAAGAUUUUUGCAACUUUAAUUUAUAACGAGUAUGUAUAUAUACACACACAAAAGUUUAGAUUGCAUUUGGAUGACUUUUUUAAUCAAUUCAAACAAUCUGAAAUUUAUCAGAUUAAUCCGAAUUUGAUCUGUAUCUGAUUUUGCCCGCCCCUACUAUUUAUAAGCCCAAGUGACUCUCUUUUACUAAUUAAUAAGGGAAUUUUUUACCUUAUAUCCUUGCUGUGGCGUUAGACUACUGGUCAUUUUGAUUGUUUCCUACCUUCCAUUUACGCCAGUUGUAACAUUGUAUUAUUCACCACUUUAGCCAUUUAAAUGAAAUUUUAUUUUCAUAAAAAAUAAAAUGACACCCUUAAAAUUUAAAAAAUAGAUAUGUAGAUCUCAAAUUUUUAAUAAAGAAUGUCAAUACCCCUUUUAACUACAAGAUUCUUAGUAGAUGAUAACCAAAAACAUUAACUUCAAAUUUUUCACUAAAUGUAAAUCUGAUUGAAAUAGUUUAAUUUUUUUCUAGUAGACUAAUAUGUAUAACUUAUAUAAUUAAUUUCAUUAUUAAUUUUUAAAAUGUUAAUUAAUAUAUUUUUAAUUAUUAUAAAAAUUUUAAAUAAAUCUUGGAUUAGAUAGAUUUUACACUUAAUGUAAUACUUCUGAUUUAUUAAUAAUAUUAAAAUUAUUUUAUAUGAUAUUCAAAAUAAUUUAAACUUUUAUAUAUUUAUUUUAAUAUUAUGUCUAUUUAUUAUAGUUUGGUUUAAUAUAAUACGGGAUUGUAAAAUAUUAAAAUAUUUUUCAAUAUCAAAUUAUUUUAAUAUGUAUAUAUUAUUACAUUUAUUUUAAUAUCACAUUUAUAUUUAUUAUAAAAUAUAAAAUUAAUAAAAUUAAAGAGUAUUGCAGUAAAGUAAAAAAAAAAGUCUUAUUAUCCCAUAUUCACGGUAUGAGUUUCUACAAAAUUAUUUCCUCAAAUGGGUGACCUUUCCUCAUUUUCAAAAGAAAAAAUAAAGUAAGAAUAAGUCCAGGGUUUCAAAAACUUCUAGUCUUAUCCCAAGACCUCCAUUGUCUACCACUAUGACUAAUGGAAAUGACAUUGCAAUUGACAUUGCUUUUCGCAACAUGACAAAUUUUUGGUGGGAUAUGAGAGAAUUGUCAAAAGUUCAUGCCGCGUGAGAGUUUUUGGUGGGAUGUGGGAGAAUUGUCAAAAGAUCACACCACGUGAUAUAACCAUAAUUGCUACAAUUUUUUUUAAUAAUGAUGGGAGUUAUAAAUUAUUUAUAUAAAUUUGUGUAGAAACUAAUGUAACAUAAAAGAAGUAGCUGAAUAACAAUAUUUGGUGCUUUAGGUAAUUUUUAUAUGAGCCUUUCUUUUAUUUAGCGACUUUAGUGCUUAAACAAAUUUGUCCUCGAUCUUAAUUUACUUACCCCAUUUAAGCCUAUGAUGACAUAAACAUAUUCUUUUGUGACGAAAACAUCAAGAGAAGACAUCUCAUGUUUUAUUAUAACACAAAAGAAGUGGUCCAAACGUCUAUUCAUUCUUUUAUUUACUCAAUAUGAAUGGCCAACUUUAAAAAAUGAUAAAAAUCACACCACGCUCAACUGAAAAUUUAUAAUUACAUUUUUUAAUACUCUCUAUACUCUCUAGCCUCUCUCUCCUGCCCCCUUUUUUUUUUAAAAAAUAAACCUUAGUGUAAAAUUAGAAGAAUUUUAGAUAUAACAUUUGACAAUCGCUAAAUAGAAAAGUAGGGGAUUGAAAAUAGAGGAGCUCUGUUAUCAUUGGAAUAUUGAUUAUAGAUCAUAUAAUAACUUGUUGUGGUUCAUUGUAGCACUCUGAGUCAUAUUCUAAAAUUUAUAGGUUUCUUAAGGUUUUUAUUAUUGACAUUAUUGUGUCAAUACUAUUAUAAUUUAUUCAUUUUAUUGUAAUGAUAAUUUGUCUAGUCUUAGGUACUUAUUAUAUUAAAUUAUGUAAAUUAAUUGAGAAUACAUUUAGAGACAAAAGAAACACGUGUAUGUAGGAUUAAUAAUCGCAGAGUUGUAAAUGAAGGUGAUUGCUUCAUUGAGAGGCAUAUUAAAUAAUUAUGGAGAGUUGCACUAUUUCGGAAGCAUAUAUUUAUACUUCCCUAUCAGGAUUUGGGGUAAGCGAAGUGCUUUAUGUGUUGUAGUAAGCAAUGUGGGCAAUAUCGGAGGCGAAAUAUUAAAAGAUCAUAACGCAUAUAUUUGAGCCAUUUAUAUUGAAGACACGUAUUGAAGACACGUAUAGAGGAAAGAGUGCAUAUCCGGCGGUAACUAUUAUCAGGCUUUCCUAAAAUAUUCUCAUGCUUCCUCAACUGUUCUGAACUAUUCUUCAUAGUGGGCAGAUUUACUUAAAUACCCUUCUACCUAACAAAACUUGGUACUUCUAAUUGCACUCGCAGAGAAUCUAUAAAAUUAAAAAAAAAUUCAUCCAUGAAAAGCCUCGUAACAGAAAAACCAUCUUUCAAAAAAUAAUAAUAAAAUAAAAACAGAAAAACCGACUCAUUUAUCUGCCAAUGAACCAAUCGGGACUCAUUUAAAAAAGAUUACAAAGCAAAAGUAAAUGACACAAAUUGCAUAGAUAUCUAGGAGCCGCAUCAAAGGGCAAUGGUGUUAAUUUGUCCGAGUAAUAAUUAAUUUCAAUAUUAAUUUUUAAAAUGGAAAUUAAUUUAUUUAUAUUUAUAAAAUAUUUGUAAUUAUUUUAAAAUUUUAACUAAAUCCUUAGGUUAAAUAGAUUUUACAAUUAAUAUAAUAUUUCUCAUGUAUUAAUAAUAUUAAAAUUAUUUUAUAUGAUAUUGAAAAUAACCUAAAUUUUUAUAUAUUUAUUUGAAUAUUAUGUCUCUAUUUAUUAUAAUUGGGUUUAAUAGAAUACGAGAUUGUAAAAUAUUAAAAUUUUUAGAUAUUGAAAUUAUUUUAAUAUGUAUAUAUUAUUAUAUUUAUUUUAAUAUCCUAUUUAUAUUUAUCAUAAAUUAUUAGAGUUAAUUUUUUUAGUUAAUAAAUUUAAAAACUAUUCUAAUUUUAAAAAAAAGUCUUAUUGUCUAUUAUUCAUGAUAUGAGGUUCUACAAAAUUAUUUCUCCAGACGGAUGUCCUUUUCUUAUUUUCAAAAGGAAAAACAAGUUCAGGGUCUCAGGGGUUUCAAAAAUUCUGGUCCUAUCUACCACUAUGACUAAUGGGAAACAACAUUGUAAUUGACAUUGCUUUUCACAAUAUGACAAAUUAUUGGAGGGAUAUGGGAGAAUUGUCAAACAUUCACACCACGCGAGAGCUUUAGUGUGGGAUAGGGGAGGAUUGUCAAGAGUUCACACCACGAGAAACUAAUGAUAGGCCCAAUUUCAUUGUCAAUUCUUUAUUUAUUUCAUGCAUUAUUGUUUUUCUAAAGGUAUAAAAGCAAAGUAAAAUACUAGGGGCGCUUUUAAGUUACAAUUGAUGUAACUUACAAUUUUUUCAAAAAUAAUGUAAAAAAAUUAAUAGGUGGUGGGACCCACAUAUUUUUUAAGAGACUUAAGUUACGGCAGUUGUAACUUAACAAAAUUUAAAUAUUAGAUAAUAAUACAUAUUAAUAAUAUAUAAUUUGGGUUUGAUUUUUAAAAGAUUAUUUGAGUACCACCUAUCCUUAUGAUAUUAAUGUGACUAUAUCUUAAUAUUAAAUAAUCAAAAUUUGUUUAAUUGUUAUUUGUAUUUCAUACAUUACAUAUUAGAUUUGUUUGAAUUUUAAGUUGUUGCUAAUAAAUAUUUAUGUUGUCAAAGUCAAAUUCAAUAGCUACAAAAGCAGAGAUAAUGGUAUUGUAUAUAGUUUUUAAGAAUGCAAGGAUAAGCUGGAUAAUUGACAUAAAUUCUAAUGAUUAAAACAGCAACUAUCCCUUAAGUUAUAAUGUCAAUUUCUUUAAUUAGAUUUUUUUUUUUAUGUGAUAUAACCACAAUUGCUACAAAUUUUUUUUUUUAUAAUAAUAAUGGGAGUUAUAAAUUAUUUAUAUAAAAUUUGGGUUGAAACUAAUGUAACCUAAAAGUGGUUGCUGAAUAACAAUAUUUGAAACUUUAGGUAAUUUUCAUGAGUCCUUUUUAUAUUCAGCAACUUGAAUUGGGGGAAAUCCGACUUGAAUUGGCGGUUGAUUUUCGUGAUGUGGCUUUUGGUUUAUGGCGACCUUACAGUGGCAGAAGACUGGAUUUACGGUUGCCGACUGCUAGGGAUUAUGGUGGGGGUGUAAAUUGACGGAAAAAGAAGGUGUUUUGGUGGCGGCGCGUGUAGGAAGCACUCGUGGGUUGUCGUUUCGUGUGGUGGCGGGCGGCGAUCAAGGGCUGAAGUUGGUCGGUUUUUGGUCAACGGAGGCCGGCGAGUUUGUUGGUGGAGGUGGCUGGUGGAGAAAGUGACUGAAUGGUGGUGGGUUGCUUGGUGGAGCCGCGGGUUUGGGUUGGUGAUUUGUGGCUGUUCAAGCGGCGGUUGAGGCAGCGAUGACUGAGGCUUGGUCGACGGUGGCUAGUGAGGUUUGUGGUGGUGUUGGCUGACUGAUCGGCGGUGGUGGGCGGCCGUGGAGGUUGAUGUGACGGGUAGGGUUUUCAAAUUUGUAAAUUUUUUUUUUUGAUGGAUUUGGUUUGGAUGGGUAUCGUGUAUCUAGGAAAGAUGUGCGAUUCGCACAGAAUCCCUUUGACACCAAUUGAUGGAGCGAGGCGUAGCGGAAGCGGAAUUGAUAGGGUAAGAAACAUUAGAUAUUGUUCUAGUACUAGACCAAGCCAACGCAAUUAGCUUACGCUCUAAUCGAAGCGUGAUUAGAUAUCGUUCUAAUCCAAAUAACUCAAUACGAUUUUUAAUAAUGCGUAAUACGAGAUUAAAUGACACUCUAAUCCAAACGACUCUACAAGAGAGAUUUUGAUAAAUAAUCAUAGAGGGGUUUUAUUUAAUAAUUGAACCUGAAGUUAAUGAAAAUAAUGACAAGACAUCUUUAUUUUUUUUUAUUACAGACAUCUUUAUUUAUAAUAAAAGAAACCCGCUUUCCUAAGUUAACCUAAAAAGAAAAUUUAAAUCAUAAUUAUAAUGGAAAUAAAAGAUUAAGAUACAUAUCAUAAUUGACUCAAACUAAAAUAGAAAAUCAUAAAAUAAUAAAUAUUCUAAAAUUAUAAAUUAUCUAAAAUAACGUUAAUUAACUUCCUAAAUCACUUCUUUGGUGUAAACCAUUUUGCAUCCAAACUCGCUUUAAAGGUUUGAACUAACGUUACCAACAACAAUGUAUCAAAUUCCAAUCUAACUUAAGAUCUUGAUGCAUCUAUCGAUGUCCUUGUUUGAUUAGACAAUAAUGAGUCUAUCUCAUCACUUGUUACCUCUUUCUUGAAAGCUACAUCUGUUGAAGUGAUAGCCUCACUUAGAGUUUAAAGAUCUUCUUCCCUGUUAAAUAAAAUGGGCAUUUGAGUAAAAAGCUUUAUCUCUAUCUCCUUCUAUCAAAUAACGACAACUAUCCAAAGGGAAAAAAAAAAUUAGAAAAGUCCAUGGGUCACAAUAAUUUAUGGUCUGUCUCCGGACCCCAUUAUCUGCCACUAUCAAUGAUGAAAAUGAAAAUAAAUGGCAUCUUCCCUAAAUGGCAAAAGAUUUUUGGGGGAUAUAGGGGAAUUGUCAAAAGUUCAUACAACGCGAAAUAAGUGUUACAUCCAAUUUUAUUUCGUCAUAUAAUGAUAAUAUUAAAUAAUGACAACCAUCCAAAAGUAUGAUGGGUCUUCCAAAAUUUUGAAAAUGUCGUCAACAUUUAAUCUUCAAUGCUAAAGAAGAUGAAACGCCCAAAAAUGACACGCAGGACUCACUCAAAAACUAAAUGGCCCUCACCACAUGUAACAAACUUUGACCUUAUGUCCCUGCUGAGGCGUUAGACUGUUGGUCAUUUUGAUUGCUUUUUACCAUCCAUUUACGCCAUUGUAGAAUUGAACUAUUCACCAGUCUAGCUGUUUAAAUGAAAUUGUUAUUUUUUUUCCAAAAAUAAAAUGACACCCUUAAAAUUUUAGAAAAUAGUCAUGUAGACCCCAAAAUUUUAUUAAAGAACACUAAUAUCCUUUUUUACUAUAGUACUCUUAGUAGAUGGUAACAAAAAAAAAAUGAUUGCAAAAUAUUUUAGUAAAUGAAAAUAUGAUUUAAAUAGUUUAAAUUUUCUAGUAGACUAGUAUGUAUAAUUUAAAUAAUUAAUUUUUAAAAUGUAAUUUAAUAUAUUUAUUAUAAAAUUUUUAAACAAAUCCUUGGGUUAAAUAGAUUUUAUAAUUUAUAUAAUAUUUCUCAUGUUUUUAUGUUAUAGAAAUAUUAAAAUUAUUUGAUAUGAUAUUGAAAAUAAUUAAACAUUUUAUAUAUUUAUUUGAAUAUUAUGUCUCUAUUUAUUAUAAUUUGGUUUAAUAGAAUACGAGAUUGUAAAAUAUUAAAAUAUUUUUAGGUAUUGAAAUUAUUUUAAUAUAUAUAUACAUAUUAUUAUAUUUAUUUUAAUAUCCUACUUAUAUUUAUUAUAAAAUAUUAAAAUUAAUUUUUUUAGUUAAUAAAUUUAAAAAAUAUUAUAAUUAUAAAAAGAGUCUUAUUGUCUGCUAUUCACGAUAUGAGAUUCUACAAAAUUAUUUUGAAAAUGAAAAAUAAGUCCAGGGGUUUCAACAAAUUCUAGUCCUAUCUGCCACUAUGACUAAUGGAAACGACAUUGCAAUUGACAUUGGUUUUCAUAAUAUGACAAAUUUUUGGAGGGAUAUGGGAGAAUCGUCAAAUGUUCACACUACGCGGGAUUUUUGGAUGGGAUCAGGGAGGAUUGUCAACAGUUCACACCACGAGAAACCAAUGAUAGCCCUAAUUUCGCUGUUAGUUCUUUGUUUAUUUAUUUUAUUUAUUUCAUACAUUGUUGUCUUGUUGGCAUUGUUUUGUAAAGAUAUAAAAGUAAAGUAAACUAUUAGGGUGCUGCUAAGUUAAGCUGUUGUAACUUGCAGUCCCUUAAAAAAUAAUGUAAAAAAUCCACAUUUGUUUGAAGAGGCUGUAAGUUAUAGUAGUUGUGACUUAGCAAAAUCCAAAUAUUAGACAAUAACGCACAUUAACAAUGCAUAUAAUUUGGGUUUGAUUUUUAAAAAAAUUAUUUGAGUAUUAGCUAUCCUUAAGAUAUUAAUGUGAAUAUAAUUUAAUAUUUAAUAAUCAAAAUCUGUUUAAUCAUAAUAUAUAUUUCAUACAUUGCAUGUUUAAUCAAAAUCUGAUUGCUUUUUACCUUCCAUUUACGCCCACUGUAGCAUUGUACUAUUCACCAUUUUAGAUGUUUAAAUGAAAUUUUUAUUUUUUUUCCAAAAAUAAAAUGACACCCUUAAAAUUUUAGAAAAUAGCCAUGUAGACCCCAAAAUUUUAAUAAAGAACACUAAUAUCCUUUUUAACUACAGCACUCUUAGUAGAUGGUAACCAAAAAAAAAAAAUUGAUUGCAAAAUUUUUUAGUAAAUGUAAAUAUGAUUUAAAUAGUUUAAAUUUUCUAGUAGACUAGUAUGUAUAAUUUAAAUAAUUAAUUUUUAAAAUGUAAUUUAAUAUAUUUAUUUUAAUAUUAUAUUUAUUAUAAAAUUUUUAAACAAAUCAUUGGGUUAAAUAGAUUUUAUAAUUUAUAUAAUAUUUCUCAUGUUUUAAUAAUAUUAAAAUUAUUUUAUAUGAUAUUAAAAAUAAUUAAAAAUUUUAUAUAUUUAUUUGAAUAUUAUGUCUCUUUUUAUUAUAAUUUGGUUUAAUAGAAUACGAGAUUGUAAAAUAUUAAAAUAUUUUUAGGUAUUGAAAUUAUUUUAAUAUAUAUAUAUAUAUAUAUAUAUAUAUUAUAUUUAUUUUUAUAUCCUACUUAUAUUUAUUAUAAAAUAUUAAAAUUAAUUUUUUUAGUUAAUAAAUUUAAAAAUAUUAUAAUUAAAAAAAGAGUCUGAUUGUCUGUUAUUCACGAUAUGAGGUUCUACAAAAUUAUUUUGAAAAGGAAAAAUAAGUCCAGGGGUUUCAACAAAUUCUAGUGCUAUCUGCCACUAUGACUAAUAGAAACGACAUUGCAAUUGACAUUGCUUUUCUUAAUAUGACAAAUUUUUUUAGGGAUAUGGGAGAAUCGACAAAUGUUCACACUACGCGGGAGUUUUAGAUGGGAUCAGGGAGGAUUGUCAACAGUUCACACCACGAGAAACCAAUGAUAGCCCUAAUUUCGCUGUCAGUUCUUUGUUUAUUUAUUUUCAUUAUUUCAUACAUUGUUGUCUUGUUGGCAUUGUUUUGUAAAGAUAUAAAAGUAAAGUAAACUAUUAGGGUGCUGCUAAGUUAAGUUGUUGUAACUUACAAUCCCUUAAAAAAUAAUGUAAAAAAUCCACAUUUGUUUGAAGUGGCUGUAAGUUAUAGUAGUUGUGACUUAACAAAAUCCAAAUAUUAGACAAUAACGCACAUUAACAAUGCAUAUAAUUUGGGUUUGAUUUAAAAAAAAAAAAUUUUGAGUAUUACCUAUCCUUAAGAUAUUAAUGUAAAUAUAAUUUAAUAUUAAAUAAUCAAAAUCUGUUUAAUCAUAAUAUAUAUUUCAUACAUUGCAUGUUUCAUCAAAAUUUGAUUGCUUUUUACCUUCUAUUUACGCCCACUGUAGCAUUGUACUAUUCACCAUUUUAGAUGUUUAAAUGAAAUUUUUAUUUUUUUCCAAAAAUAAAAUGACACCCUUACAAUUUUAGAAAAUAGUCAUGUAGACCCCAAAAUUUUAAUAAAGAACACCAAUACCCUUUUUGACUAUAGUACUCUUAUGGUAGCCACAAAAAAAAAUUGACUUCAAAAUUUUUUAGUAAAUGUAAAUACGAUUUAAAUAGUUUAAAUUUUCUAGUAGACUCGUAUGUAUAAUUUAAAUAAUUAAUUUUUAAAAUGUAACUUAAUAUAUUUAUUUUAAUAAUAUAUUUAUUAUAAAAAUUUUAAACAAAUCCUUGGGUUAAAUAUUUUUAUAAUUAAUAUAAUAUUUCUCAUGUUUUAAUAAUAUUAAAGUUAUUUUAUAUGAUAUUGAAAAUAAUUUAAAGCUUUAUAUAUUUAUUUGAAUAUUAUGUCUCUAUUUAUUAUAAUUUGGUUUAAUAUAAUACGAGAUUGUAAAAUAUUAAAAUAUUUUUUGGUAUUGAAAUUAUUUUAAUAUAUAUAUAUAUAUUAUAUUUAUUUUAAUAUCCUACUUAUAUUAUUAUAAAAUAUUAAAAUUAAUUUUUUUAGUUAAAAAUUUAAAAAAAUAUUACAGUUAAAAAAAAAGAGUCUCAUUGUCCGUUAUUCACGAUAUGAGAUUCUAUAAAAUUAUUUUCAAAAGGAAAAAUAUGUCCAGGAGUUUCAACAAAUUCUAGUCCUAUCUGCCACUAUGACUAAUGGAGACGACAUUGAAUUGACAUUGCUUUUCGCAAUAUGACAAAUUUUUGGAGGGAUAUGGGAGAAUCAUCAAGCGUUCACACCACGCGAGAGCUUUAGGUGUGAUAUGGGAGAAUUGUUAAGAGUUCACACCACGAGAAAUUAAUGAUAGGCCUAAUUUCGUUGUCAGAUCUUUAUUUAUUUUUUAUUUAUUUCAUACACUAUUGUCUUGUUGGUAUUGUUUUGUAAAGAUAUAAAAGUACAAGUAAAAUAUUAGGGGAAGUAAAGUAAAAUAUUGGAGGUGCUACUAAGUUACAGCUGCUGUAACUUACAGUUCCUUAAAAAAUAAUGUAAAAAAUUUAACACGUGGUGGGACCCACAUUAUGUUUGAAGAGGUCGUAAGUUAUAGCAGUUGUAAAUUAGUAAAAUCCAAAUAUUAGACAAUAAUACAUAAUAACAAUGCAUAUAAUUUGAGUUUGAUUUUUAAAAAAAUUAUAUGAGUAUUACCUAUCCUUAAGAUAUUAAUGAGAAUAUAUUUUAAUAUUAAAUAAUCAAAAUCUGUUUAAUCAUAAUAUGUAAUUCAUACAUUGCAUGUUAGAUUUGUUUGGAUUUUAAGUUGUUGCUAAUAAAUAUUUAUGUUGUGAAAGUCGAAUUCAAUAGCUACAAAAGCAGAGAUAAUGGUAUUUUAUGUAGUUUUUAAGAAUACAAGGAUAAGUAGGGGUGGGCAAAUCGGGUUUCGAUUCGGGUUGUUCGGGUUUCGGAUUGGGUUUCAACCCGUUCGGGUUGGAGAAUUGAACCCAAUCGGGUUGAAAGCACCAACCCGAACCAAACCGAACCGAAUUUAAUUCGGUUCGGUUCGGUUUGGGUUGGCAAUUCGGAUCGGAUUGGGUUGAUAAUUCGGGUUAAAAUUUCGGUUCGGGUUAAUUCGGGUUAGAAUGGGUUGGAACAAUUUAAUCUAAAAAUUCUAACAACAACCACUUAAAAUCUAAAAAUUUAAAUUUCAAACAUUCUUAACAACAAAUAUCAAUUACAAAUCAUCCUUAAUAACAUUUCAACAAUUUAAAAAUCUCAAUUCCAAACAUUCCAAACAUCCUUAAGGAACGAUUUAAUCUAAAAAUUAUAACAACCUCUUAAAAUCCAAAAAUCUUAAUUCCAAAUAUCCUUAAUAACAAAUAUCAUCUACAAAUCAUCUUUAAUAACAUUUCAAUAAUUUAAAACUCUCAAUUCCAAACAUCCUUAAUAACAAAUAUCAACUACAAAUCAUCUUUAAUAACAUUUCAAUAAUUUAAAACUCUCAAUUCCAAAUAUUCCAAACAUCCUUAAGGAACAAUUUAAUUCAAAAAUUAUAACAACCACUUAAAAUCUAAAAAUCUCAAUUCCAAACAUCCUUAAUAUAUAUAUAUAUAUAUUUUUUUUUUUAAUUUAAAAGCUGAAUCUUAAAAAAAAAAAAAAGCUUCAACCCGAACGGGUUGAAACUUUGAAUCCGUUCGGGUUUCACCGGUUAACCCAAACCGAACCGAACGCCCACCCUAAGGAUAAGACCAUAACGCAUGAGAUAAUGGUAUUUUAUAUUAAAAGACCAUAACACAUGUAUUUGAGCCAUUUAUAUUGAGGACACAUAUAGAGCGAAGAGUGCAGAUCCGGCCGUAACUAUUGUGAAGCUUCCCUCAAGUAUUCCCAUGCACACAACCCUUAUCUGUUCAAGUUUUCUGAUUCAAUAUAAUCAAUUUCCGAGCAGUACUGACGACAGCUUCUCUGUAAAGCUCUUCAACCACAAGCAUUUCUACAAGGCAAAAGACUAGGACGUGUCGGAAUGAAUAUCAAUAAGGGAAUGUCUUAUGAAUUCAGUUUAUAUCCUAAUAUAAGACAAUCAGUAAAUAUUGGAUGCAAUCUUAGGCUAACAUUUGGUUGAUCAUUAUACAAAAAAAAAGGUACAAAAAUACAAAACAGAGCUGAUUGAUGGCCUCUCACAGUCAGUUAUAUGACAAAGUAGCCAUCACUACUUGAACUUGGCUGGAGGUCUCAUUAGCAGUAUACCUCAGAAAUUAAUACAGAGACUUUAAAAUGCAAACUUAUGGAGCAAUUUAAGCACUGAAACUAAUAACAGUACGGUAUUAGCAAUUGACCUCUGCUUUUUGCUUGGACAAAGGUUCUCAUCACAAGGGACUCAUUAGUUGCCCUUGCCUCACACUUUUGGAUGCUAAGGGGAAAAAGGAAGCUUGAAUUAGUCAAUCUCAUGUCUAAUGGCAUUCACAGAGAACCUAUAAAACCAAAUAAAUAAAUAAAGUUUUCAUCCAUGAAAAGCUUAGUAAUGGAAAAACCGACUCUUUUAUCUGCCACUGACGAAAAAAAAACUGAAGUAUUAAAUAGAUAAUGAAUUUAAUUUUUUUCUUGGAAAAACUAAUAAUAAAUUAACAAUUAGAUAGUACUAUUAAUUAGAGAUCUUUAAUAUUAAGGUUAUCAAAUAUAGAAUGUGUAUAAAAAUUCUUAAUUAUAAGAUAAUUACUAACUAAAAAGAGGCCUAAAAAAGAAGAUUUGCUAUUAUAAGUAAUACCAAAAAUAAAAAGGGAGACUUCCUAAUUGUUUAAUUGUUAAAAAAGAGGAUUUGUUAUUAUAGGCCUAAUUUGCCUAUGCUUAAAACCGUUCCCGGAUGUAAAAAAAUAAAAAUUAUUGUUAAAUUCCUGACUAAUAAGGUCAUUGAAAGUAUUCAAAGGACCUGAACUAUACCACGUUGCAAGUGAGCUCGUAUUUUUAUCCCUUGAUCUGCCAUCGGUAUUUCUCUUCCACUCACUAUACCAUCCUUUUCAAUCGAUUUUUAUUGAUCAUAAGAGACCAUGUGGCCCACCUUUUUUUUAUUUUGGAUCCAUAACCCAAUGCUGGCCCAAGUUAAACAGCAAAUCAUCAAACGCACUUCAAUGACUUUGAUUUUGAUUUUUUUUUUCAAAAGAAGUAAAAAAAUCCAUGGGUCGCAAUAACUGCUGGGAAAUUUAUAAAAAUAGUCAUAAAAUAUUUGUAUUUUUUAACUUUAAUCCCUUAAAGUUUUUUCUAUCAUAACUAGCCAAAUACCCUACUUUUGGACUAGAUUACCCUCAUCACUUUUAUCAAAUUUAUAAAGACAUGCCACUUUUUCAAUUCCAGCACAACUAAAUACGGUUCUUCUUCAAUAACUUAACAAACAUUUAUCACUCUCAACAAACUUCAUCACUCUCUAUAAAUCAAUUACAUAAUUGAAUAUAAUCAUCAAUGGGAGAGCUUCUUAAAAUUAGUUUAUGCUUUUACACAAUGUAAAUCUUUAAUCUAUUGAUUUUAUCAACUAAAUUUGAAAUUAAAGUGGGUUUUGUUACAAAUAUUGUUAUUUUUCAUUCAUAAAACAAUGUGAUUUGUUAAAGUACUUAGUUUGAGUUGAGAAAUGAAGAAAAAUCAUUGAAAAUAUAGAAAAAUCGGGCAAAAAACGAAGUUCAGAACAAGUGAGAUAGGCAAGUGGGACAGGUGCAUGUCUCACAUAAACGCACUGCAUUUAUGUGCGACAGGCACCUGUCCCACUGCUUGUCGCACAUAAACCCAUAAAUUUUAUAGAGUACAUGAUUUUGGAUUUGAUUUGUCUCGUCAUAAGCUUCGAAACAGUAUAUUAUACGCCUAAAACGAACAUAUGUAGCUCAAGUUAUAGCUUUUGCAAUAUAUAUGAAAUUUAGUGAGACAGGCACCUGUCCCACUUGCCUGUCUCACUAAAUUUCAUAUAUGUUUCAAAAAUCAUAACUUGAGCUAUAUAUGUCCGUUUUAGACGUAUAAUAUAUCAUUUCAAAGUUUAUGAUGAGACAAAUCAAAUUCAAAAUUAUGUACUCUAUAAAAUUUGUGGGUUUACGUGCGAUAGGCAAUGGGACAGGUAAAAUGAAUAAACUCUGAGCCUCUCUCUAUAACACUAUAUAGAACCCUAAGCCUAAGUCUCACAUUCGCAACCGCCCCACAUAUCAGAACCACAGCGAACUGCCUCCGACCCUACGGACCCAAAAAAAUUAUUGUAUUCCUGCUCUUUCACUUCAAUAAUUUUUUGUAUUAUUCCAUAUCUUUCACUUUAAUAACCCAAAAGCUUUCCUCUGUUUCAACCCAAAAGCUCAAAUUCCUUUUUUCAAUCGAAAUAAAACGUAGCCACAAAACCCUAAUUCACCACACCAAUUUAUCUCUGCCCGGUAUUCAUUUAAACCCUACCUCGCGGUUCAAUGUCAUUCAAUACGAUUGCAGAUGCCGUUUCAACUUGACAUUUAGUUAGCGCCAUCCCGUUCUCUAUGGUAAGCCUUAACCCUAACAACUAAUCGACUGUGGUAGCACGUUGCUUGUUAGGAGUGGGGAUACAUUAUUUGAAUAUAUGAAUUGGGUGAUGUUAGUGAUUCAUUCCCCUAUUUUUCGUGAAUUGAGAUUUGUGUAUAAUGCUAGUAAGAUUGCUAAAAAUUUCAUAUUUUGUAUUGUUCCAGUUGAAUUUCUUGCUUGUGGAAGAUAAAACAAAAGUUCAAUUUCAUGUUGAUUUAAUUCUUCUUUUUUUUUUCUUCUUUAUAGUCACGCUCUGGCUUUGGUGCUAUGCUUAGUGCAGUUUAUGGUUUCAAGAUUAAGUCACGUUUAUUUGAUGGCAUCGAUUCCAUCAUUAAGAAGCUCUUCUUAUUUUAUCUCAGUUUCAAUUUUCUUUUAUUAUCUGCCUCUACCUGAAAAUGGACGUGUUUUACUAGUAAGCAUAGACUUUGUUUAUUUAAUUGAUAUUAUAAUUUUAUGUAUAAGAAUGGAGGUUUAUUUUGAAAAAAAAAAAGAAAUAAAAAAAUAGACUCUGUUGAAGCUAAUUAGUACUGAAUUUUUUUUGGUGGUGCGACCAGAGGUGGAAACAGGGUAUGAAAAUGUGUUACUGGUGAGGUUGCUGCUUAAGAUGAGAAUGGCUAAAAAUCUGUCAUACGUUCAAAUUUUGUUUGUGUUUGGAAGAAUGGUGUUGACUGUAUAUUCGUUUGGAAGAAUGGUGUUGAUUGUAUAUUCAUUUGCUUAGCCUUUUGACAGAUGGAUUUGAAACUGACGACAAAUGUGAUUCAAUUUACAAGGUUUUCGAGGGGCUCACAGUGGAAGGGAUAUUGAAGAACUGGUCUAAGAUAAAGCCUAUGAUUGUGAAAGAUUGGAGUGAGAAUAUAGAUGCUCGUUUAAAUCUUUUUGGCAAGGUCAGAGAUGAAUGGAUAGAUAAGGAUUUAUUUGACUACUUCGUCUGGUGCUAAUAGGUAUUUUAGGCAAGCUUUUUGAGAUAACACUGAGCAAGUUAUACUACUAGUUUGCACAUGAUGAUCAAAACUCUCGAAAAGUAAAAUAAAAUAAAUUAUUAACUUUUACUUUCAUCUUUUGCAUAGCAAUCAAUGUGGUGCUUGUUCUGUGACAACUUUGAUAGUCUACUUAAUUAUUGGUUAGCAUUUGGACCAAAAAAGUUCUUAUGAUUUACAUGUUUUGUAGAAAUGCAUGAACCUUAAAUGUGCUGAUCAGGGAGUUUAAUUAUUGCACCUUGAAAUUCAUUUAUUGUUAACUAAUUGGCUUUCCUUUGCAUAAAGACGCUUAUAAGGCUUGAGUGGACGUCUUUAUGGGCAUAUUAUUUGUAUUUCUAUAUGCAUGCCUUUAUCAUUAAUUUAUGUGCUGCUUGUAUUUCUUUAUGCAUGCCUUUAUCAUUUAAUGGCCAGCUCCCUCUCCUCUUUUGUAAUUUGAAUGGUAGUAUGGGCCUCCAUUUUACAAAUCUUUAACAUUUUUUGCUGUAAAUUAAUUUUUCUUUCAAAUAUUUUGGAGGUCAUUGGAAUUCCUGUAGGUCUAUUUACCAGAUUUUAGUACGUUUAAGGUUUUAAUUUUGCUUAGACUUUAAUUUCUCUGAAAGAUUGUAGUAUUGAUCCUCAAAGAAAGAUCAUGCUACUUCAAAUUAUUUUGAAGUGUUGCUAGUUAUAGCCUUACAUAUCAAAUUCCAUUUGUCUGGAAAUUUAUUGAUAGUUGUUACAGCAGCAUAUUUUAUGACUCUACUUCUUAGUUAUGUAAGUUCAUUAUGUUUAGGUCAGAGGCAGUCAGCUGUGGGGAAUCGAUAUAUACACAGAUGACUUUGAUCUUGUUGCUGGUACGUGGUUCUAUGAAUAAUUGUUCACAAUAAUUGUGUUUGCCUCACUGUUUUUGUUUUAUGAGGUCUAUAAUUGAUCUUGAGAUAUUACUUUCUAGUUCUCAUGCAAGCAAGUUACUACCUUCCCACUGCAUCUCCUCCUUUAUCUGCUAUUCAAGAGUUGCGUGCCAUAAUCUGGUGUUACCUCUGCAAGAUUGUGAAUGAAUAUGAUGCCUCUAAAUUUAUUUUAUACAUAAUGCUGAUGCUGAAUAAUAUAUUGUAGCUCCUGUCAUAUUCUACUUUGACUUUUUAUAUUCUGUUUCAUAUAAAAAUCUUAUUCAACUUUAGUUGUUCAUGAGCAAAUGUCACAUGUAUAAGCCCAAAUGAUGCUUAAAGGUAGCGCGGCUACCUUUAGUUUGAGCCUACAAUGGAUGAAAAAGAAAUUGAAACUGAUAUUUUGCUGUUUUUCUGAUUUUUCAAAGUAUUUUAGAUCCUGACUUUUGUUUGGACUUGAUGGUUAUAGAUUGUGUCUAGAUUUGUUAAGUUGUUUCCAACACCUCGUGCCAAAUGAAAGCACAAUCUUUCUGAUUCAGAUGUCUUGUUAAUUAUGCUUCAUUUUUUUCGUUAAAGAAUGGAUGGUUGCAUGGAUUGAUGGAGUUGGAGUUCAACCAAUAAUUCUAAUUUUUUGGACUUAAAAUGCCUUUUUCUUCUGUAUAAAAACUUUAGUAAGUGCUAUUGAGUUGACAGAAGUUGAAUACUUACAGGUUGUUUCACACAUUUUAAUCGUUUUACAUAUAUGAAUUUCUGUUUUUUGAAUUGCAGAAAGGAGGUGGAACUAUUGAUUUGGAGCCUUAUCUUACUCAAUCAUCGACAGCGGAGCCUACCCUCGCUCCCAUGGCAGUGGAACGGACAACGACUACUAGGGCUGCAACAUCAGUUGGUUUGGGUCUGUUUUGAGUUUAUUGUCAUUUAUUUGGCAAUGUUUUGAUAGCGAAUUUUGAUAUGUCAAUAUAAUGUGUAAUUGUUUUGGGUUGAGCUGGUAAUUAUGCUGGAUUAGAUUGGUUUGGUUUUGGUGCUUCUCUGACGGAACACUGCUUUUUUUAGAAAUUUUGAAUGUAAUAUGAGACUACAUUUAGUUUAAUUGAACACUGCAUCUAGUCUAAUUACUAGACGUGUGGCAUUUGGUUUGGUUUAUCCGAUAUUCUCCAGAAUUUCACUUGCAUCUGGUUUUGUUGCAUAUGUUUGCUUGCAUUUGAUGGCAGUAGCAGACUGUUUGGUUUUGUGAGAUUUGAUGGCAGUUUGGUCUGUUCUUGGUGUUGAUUUAAGAUUGUUCCUGUUGUGCUGAUGUUAAUUGCAGGUGCUUGAAUCAGCUAGGGUUGCUGGUUUAUUCAGAUGGUUGACUCAGGCGUUGUUACUGGUUAAUUCAGGUGGCUGACUCAAGUUGUUCAUUUAAUGUUAGGAAGCAAAUUAAGAAUUAAUGAAGUAUUCAUUUAACUAUAAUUUUUGUAGUUAUAUUAUUUCAUAACUGAAUUAUAAUCUAUGAUACUUUUGAACAAAUUAGAGAAUUUUUAAAUAUGAAUUAAAUAUGUGUGUGUAUGUACAUUUUGCUAUUUAUAUAAUAAUUUAAAGAAUAUAUUUCAAUUCCCACAAAAAUAAUGGCUCCAAUUUCAAUAAUUCCCGCCAAAUAAUUAAAUUUUUUUAAUUUACCACCAAAGUAUAUCUUAAAGAAAUUUUAGUUAUUCUUGCUAGAUUUAACAAAAAUAAUUUGUAGGAUUAAAUUUAAUUAAAAUAAUUAAAUAAUUUUAUUAUUCCAAUUAAAAAUGUCAUGUUUAUACGACAGACAAUAGUCAUGAAUGGGAAGUAUUCGUUACAUGUUUUUCCUUGGGAUUUCAGGCAAAUGAAAAAAAGAUUGAGAAUGAUUUCAAGAGGACAGGUGGAUGAUAAGUAUUCAUUUUUGUAUAUUUGGCUAAUGUCCUCAUUAGUGGAUUUUUAUGGUAUUGAUCUUUUUUUUUUUUUAAUUUUCAAUUAGUUGCAGCCCUAGAGGAAGAGCAGGCUGAUCAAAUUGAUUUGUCUUGUUUUUGGGGCAAUCUACGACACGAUGACCGUGAUAAUGCUCGUGACUGCUGGAAACUUUCUGAUGUAAAUAACUUUAGAGUUCGUAGCAAGCAUUUUUGUUAUGACAAAACAAAGGUUCCCCCAUAUUUUGUUUAUUUGUUAUUUAUGGUACUUAUUUAUGGUAUUUAUAUAUCCUGCAUAGGCUAGGUAGACAGGUUAUGAUGUAGUUUGGUUGGCUCUUCUUGUGCUUUGUGCAAUUUGUAACUGCAGAUACCUGCGGGAAAACAUUUAAUGGAUCUUGUUGCUGUUGAUUGGUUCAAAGACACAAAGAGAAUGGACCAUGUAACUAGGCAUCAAAGCUGUGCUGCACAAGUAACUAUUCUUCUCUUUUUUAUUUUUCCUUUUCCAUUGACGGAUUAGAAGAAAAUACUGCCUGUGAGAUACUGUAAUGUAAAUAACUUCUCAUGGUUCAUUGAAUCUAUAACACACUGACCCUCUUCUAAAAAAUGUAGGUUGCUUCUGAAAAAGGGCUUUUCUCACUGAUCUUUAAUCUUCAAGUAAGUUUGUUUCAUUUCAGAAGGUAUUAAGUUUCAAACUUAUUGUAUUGGGAGGUUGUAUAGUUGUAACCUAAGCAUCUGCAGGUUCCUGGUUCAACACAUUAUAGUAUGGUAUUUUAUUUUGUCACAAGGCAAUUGGCUAUGGGAUCACUUUUGCAACGGUUUGUUGAUGGCGAUGAUGAGUUUCGCAAUAGUAGGUUGAAACUUAUUCCAUCUGUUCCUAAGGUAUCCAUCUUGGCCUUCAUGUAUUAGGACUAUAUUAAUGUAUACUUACCCUUUACUGCAUGGUACACUUCAAUUUGUCCAAAGAAGGCAUGCAUUUAGGUGAAAAUGUAUUGAUGGGUUGUACCUUCAAACUUCAUGUCCUUUUUACCCUCUUGAAUUUGUUUUGCACUUGUUCUUGAUUUUAAGCACUGAAUCAUGCAGGGGUCAUGGAUCGUGCGUCAGAGUGUUGGAAGCACCCCUUGUUCGUUAGGGAAAGCGGUUGAUUGUAACUAUAUUCGCAGUCCCAAGUACUUAGAAGUAAAUGCUCUUGGAAUUUCUAUAGUACAUGAGAUGUUCAUCUUUCAAAUAGCAUCCGAUACCAUUAACAUGGUUUAACAUUGUUCAUCUUUCUGUAGAUUGAUGUUGACAUUGGUUCUUCUACCGUUGCUAAUGGAGUUUUGGGCCUUGUAAUUGCUGUAAUUACGACAUUGGUGGUUGACAUGGCUUUCCUUGUACAGGUAUGUAUGAUUGUUUUUUUCCCCCACUUCUAAAUGGACACAAGGGAAAAGACAUGAUUUUGAGAUAUUGCACUGCAAUUUGCAUUUUUGCAUACUUGAAUGUUCUCAGAAUGGUAUAAUGCUUCGUGUGUGUCUUCUUUAUCUUGCUCUUCUGUAUGCAGGCAAAUACUGCAGAUGAAUUACCGGAGCGGCUGAUUGGUGCUGUAGGUGUUUCUCAUAUAGAACUCAAGUCUGCUGUUGUCCCAAAGUUGGAACCAGAGAUAUCAUGACUGUGGUUUCAUUUCACCUCAACUGUGUUUUUUUUUUAAUUAAAAAAAAUCAUUUGUUUUAGGUAUAUACAUACAUGUAUUUUGAUUCGAUUUUCAUUGUAAUUUCUCAUUUACUUCGAAUGAAAGUCAUUGGUGUUUUCGAAUGGGGAUUUUGCAUUAAAAAAUGAACAAUAGUGAAUAGGAAAUUUCCUGAUUCUUUAGUUACUAUUUUUGGUACGAGUGUAAUUAGUAGUAAAGUUGGUUUCUACUCGCAAACAAGUAAACUGCUCGAUUCCCGAGUGGUAUCAACCAGUUUCCAACUUUUUAAUAUACACUAAUUGUUCUUGUUUAAGAGAUACUACUAUUAAAACUCAACAGCUAACAAAAUUACUCAAAAAAGAUGAUUUUUCUUAUGAUGCUGUGAAGAAAAUUACGGGUUUACUUCUCUCCACGAGAUCUAUAACAUGGUUUUGACUUCACGAAAUUCUUUUAAUUUAAAGCAUGCUGGUGUGAGAAGGUCAGUUUGACUGAUUGAUUCUUCAAAAAUAUUCUUAUUCUGAUAUUGUCACAAAUGUUAUGCUGUUUCGGCUAAUGAUCUCCUAUUAGGAGAGGUUAGAAAUCAAAUGCUUAAAAGACCGAUUGAACGAAUAAUACAGAAAAUUUAAGCAGAAUCUAAUCGAAUAUUGCAUGAAACAUGAAACAUCAAUUCAAGUCCUUUCUUAAACGGAGAAUGCAUCAAACAAAAUCUAAAGUGUCUUGCACGUCUGUAGCAUGAGCAAAAAAUUGUAAAUAUGUAGAACCAAAUUAUUCAAGUACAGAAGAACGAGCAAGCUGAAUCAUGUAUUAGAGAUUGGCCUGGUUCGGGAUAGCUUCUUCACUAUACCUGAAUAAUUUGCUAAAUAGCACCAAAACUUAAUUGAUACUUACCAUUUCAUUGAACAAUUUUUUUAUGGUGUCAUUGAGGUUGCCUUCCCAACAUCCUUCAUCAUCAUCAUCUUUUUCUUCUUCGGUGACGUUCACUUUGUUUAGCAUUGGUGUGUCUAAGACUCCUUGAGAGAAGAUCUUCAUUUUUGGACACUGUCUCACAACUACUUGUUUCAAGGACGGGAAUUCAAGAGCGUAAUUACCCAAACAAAAGCUUGUUAGGCUUGGCAAACAAUCAAGUCCUAAGUACUCCAAUUCCUCGAAACCAUUGCAAUCUUUCGCUUCUUCUCCAACCUGCGAUUGUAUGAUUUCUUCUAUCAUUUUGCAAUCAGCUAUCUUCAUUCUUCCGAGAUUAACCAGAUUUUUAGAUGCUGAGAGCGUCAACACAUUUAUCAACCCGUGACACUUCGAUACUUCCAGUCCCCACAUAUUUUCCAAAUGCCACGAAGGUGGUACUAAUUUUUGCAACUUACUACAUUCCGAUAUUUCUAGACUUCCCAAGUUUGCAAACGCUUUGUUGGAUUCGUCAUUUUCCUUCCAGAUAUGCUGCACUUUGUGUAAUCCAGAUAGUGUUAACCAACUCAAUUUAGGGAAUGCAACCUGAAAAUCAACAAAAUUAAUUAAGUUGUAAAUGAAAAUAUGUAUCCAAUCUCUGGAGUCUUCCCCUGCAUAUUUUAUGGACAAGAUUAAUCACGGCAUUUUAUAUUUUUUUUCCAAAUUAGUAUGCUUUGCAGUAGGAUCCCAAAUAUAAGUAUCAAAUCGAUUACCCUUUGAAACACAUAAAUGAAAUCUGAUCCUAAAUCCAAUAUGAAUUAACACGCAUAAUUAAUAUAGUUCAUCACCUCAUGUCACUAGGCAUCUAAUUAAUUUGAGACAUUUUAAUAAUUUAUACUAUAAAGUUAGUUAAUAACUGCGGUUAUAUUGUUAAAUCAUAUAUAAAUUAAGACGACAUGCAAAAAGAUGAGUCAUUAAAUUUGAUUUGAUUCUAAUGAAAUUACAUCUAUGCGAACGAAAGUGAUGGGAAUAAUCAUCAUCAUCAUAAUAAUAAUAAUAAUAAUAAUAAUAAUAAUCACCUUUUCAUCGAAGAGAGGUUGUAGUUGAUGAGCCAGCAAGAAGUUCUCUUCUGAUGUUAAUUUCUGAGGUUCCUUGUUAUCUGUUGUCACGUGCACUACAGAUGUAGAAUUGGAUAUGAAUGUUUCCUUAUCAGGGCAAUUCUCAAUAGUUAGAUAGUCCAACUCAGGCAGUUCAAUUAUAUUCCCAGUGAAGUUGCAGAAUCUUUUGAGUUUUGGAAGAUCAAUGAGCCUUAGAUUGGAAAGCUUAGGAAACAUGGGGCCUAUAUGUUCUUCCUUGGCAUUUAGCUCUUCCAAAUGAAGCACCUCUUCUAGUGAAUCACAAUUCGUCACUGUCAGGUAUUGCAAAUUGUUCAAGCACCGUAGCAGAUUGGCAGGAAUAGCACUCGACAUAUUCGUGCAGUCAUCCACCACCAGGUCACUUAAAUUGUUGAAGAAGCUGACAGGCAGUGCUUGGCCAUGCCAUAUUUCUUGCAAACGUGGAAAAUGCGAGAGUUGCAAAUACUCUAUAUCACGGAAUCCAAUCUGCACAAACCAAAACUAUUGCACUGGAUAUAUACAAUUUUUUUUAAAGGCAUUAGAUAUAUAUAUAUAUACACACACACACACAUUAAACUUACAUGUUUUGUGUUUUAACUUCUAAAACUACAUAUACAAGGUAGGUGUAUAUGUUUAAAUGUGCAAGCGUAGGGGAGAUGCAUGAACAAUUUGGGUGAAUCGAUUAACACAGACCAUCUUUUUGUAACAUAUUUUUAAAUGUGCAAGUGCAAGGGAGAUGCAUAAGCAAUUUGGACGAAUCGAUUAACACAUACCAUUUCUUCGUAGCCCUUUUGUAUAAAGGAAUUAAGGUUAUCGCCUUCCCGAUGGUACAAUUCACCCUCUUCCUUUUUACUAACUUGCACUUUGCAUGGCUUUGGAAUGGAUAAGAUUCCGUGAGAAAAAGUCUUCAUGUUCGGACAAUGUGUCACAGAAACUCGUUCCAGUGAUGGGAAUUCAAGAGUAUAAUUCUCCAAACAAAAGCUGGUAAGCCUUGGUAAAUCAUCAAGUAUCAAAACUUUUAAUUUACUGAAAGCAAUAUGAUUCUCCUUCGCUUCUUCUCCAACAUGUCUUAUGAUUUCUUCUAAUUUUGUGCACUUCGAUACAUUAAGAUUCACCAGACUACUAGGAAUUCCAACCUGAAAAUAAGCAAAAGUGUGUGUAUAUUAAAAAAGUAAAAAUGUAAGAAUAUCAUUCAACUAGGUUCAAAGUAUGUUUAAUCAUACAAUUAUACGUUUUAUAAACAUAACAAACCAUGAAAUGUCUACUAGAUAAUUUUUUAUUAAACAAAAAAAGCAACAAGAUAAAUAAAUAAAUAAAAGCCAGAUAAACAAAGAUAAUAAAAAUGCAUUUACACUAUUUACUAUUGGGAACGUAGAAAGAAUUUAAGGCAAUUUCUAAAUAUUUUAGACUUAUUUUGCAUCUUGAUAUCAGUUUUUAAGCAUAAAUUUACAAAUUUCAACUAUUCCUUUUAGGGAAAAAAAAUUCAACCAAAAUGCCGCUUUUUCCCUUUUCCUUGGUCCCUUUUUUUAUGUACAUUUAAAAAUGGAAAAAAAAAAUUGGAAAAGACUUCCCAAUAUUGUCAAUAAGGGACUGCUGCUGUAAAGUGGAUCUUUAUUAAGUACUUCCAGACUCAAGGAAAUUUCUUUACAAUCACGGGUCAGUUGUAAAUAAUCAUGAAUUUGUGGUUAAUUAAUGGCAUAAUCAAUUCGUAACUAAACAAGAGAUAUUAAUUAAAUUUGAAGACUUUUAUUUUCUUUUUUUCUUUUUCCAAUCGAAAUGUGAAGAAUUAAGGAAAAGAGAAAUAUAUAGAUGAAUUUGUGAACCUAUAAGAUGAGUGACGAUCCUUUAAUUUUUGAAAAUCGUACUUAUUAAGAUAUGAGCAAAAACUAUUUAAUUGAAUUAUAUUAUGCUGUUGAAUCGUGUUUAAAAAAUUUAUAUUGUUGAUUCUAAUGCUGACGAACCUAAAAACUGGACCUAAAACGUAGAUUUCAGAGUGGUGGUUCGAAGUACGAUACUUGAAAUAAAUAAUCAGUGGCUGAAUAUCAUUUGUAAACAAAAAAUGGUUAAAAUAUUGUUGGAUGUAAUUUGAAAAAAAAAAAAAAAGAUUCGAAAUGAAUACACUCAAAUAUCUCCAAAUUCUUCAAUUUGCUGAAAGACUCCAAAGCAAGCUGGUGGUGCCAUAUUCUUCUCAAAUUAUCCAUCGACCUAAUACGUAAUACCUCCAAACUAGGAAGUCGUACCUGGCAGUUAAAGAUUAAAUAACUAAUUAAUCAAUUAAUGGCAUAAUCAAUUGAUAACUAAAUUAGAGGCGGAUAUUAACUAAAUUUGAAGAAGACUCACGGAAAAGACAAAUUAAAUAUUAUGACUAAAAUUAAUUUUUUUUAUUAAAAAAAAAACCUUUUCGUCAAAGAGAGGAGGAGGUUGCAUUUCAGAAUGAAUGGUGUCUUCUGGUGAGCUCGUAGAGAUGAAUCUUAACAUAUUACUGCAACUCUGAAUCUCGAGCUUUAGCAAAGAAGGGAAUUCAACGACUAAAUCUGAAUGAAUAUGUCCCGUAUUGGCAAAGCUUGUUAGUUCAUAAAGCGCUUCUAGCUGCAGGGAGUGUAGCUUAGGAAAAACCUUUAAUUCAAUCAACUUUCCUUCAUCUCUUUCUGACCACCCCGUGGUGUCGACUACCCCUUCCAUUGAAUCACAAAGCCUUAUCUCAAGAUGUUGGAGUUGCAUCAGACGAUUACAAUUCCCCACGUACAGCUUUGUUAAAUUUUGACAACAGUACAUUCCUUGAUUAUGAUCGGCCCAUAAUUUUUUCAUGUUUCUUAAGUCCCAGAGAUUCAAUUCCUCUAAGCUCGGAAGAAUAACCUGCAAAGAAAACCCGUACAUUUUUGUUCCUUCAAGUACAACCGUCUAGUAUAAUAUUCUUUUGAUGAUCGAAGAUUAAUCGUGAUAAUAAAUUAAUCAAUUAAUUAUUGAACAGAAAAUUAUCACCUUUGGAGCAGUAUCAUCAUCAGCAAUGAUUUCGUUGAAUCCCAAAGAAGUUGUUGGUUUCUCCCUGUCGGGUCCUAUAAACAAACAAAAACAAUAUACAUAAUUAAUCUUUGUCGUUGUCUUUUUUUUUUCAAAAUAAUUGAGGCGAAGUCCAUAAAUCCACCAACACUUAACUUCAACACUUACCAACCAUCAUUUCCAGAUCAUGGCAAAAAGCCACUUUGACCUUUUGAAGCCGCAGUAGGUUUUUGGCUAUGGAGAAUGAGAAAAGAUGCUUUAAUUUGUGACAGGAUUGUACUCCUAUAAUCCUUAAGUUGCUGAAAGAUUGAUCUUCUGUGAGUUGGCUGUCACAUAUUGUCUCCAAAUUGUUCAAAUUGCGAAGAGACAAUGACACCAGCAAGGGGAAGACUUUGCGACGAACCCGUCCAACUGAACCGACAAUAUGCAAAAUCUCAGAACAACUUUCUACAGAAAGAUGCUUCAAUCGUGGAAAACCUUCCCCAUCAUCUAAUUCAUGAACAACAUUCUGAACACCCUUCAGUUCGUUUAGAUGGAUCUCUUCGGCUUCCUUCAGCAACAUUUUCGUCCCAUAAUUCUCCAAAAGAGUGCUAACAUUUUCUAGCCCAUGGAGCCCCACCAAUCUUGAUGUUUCAGAAUUAACGGGCCAAAUGCGCCACCACGCUUCUCCUAUACAUAUCUUAUAGCUUUGCAAUUCCACAGAGACCCAAUCCUGCGGCAGAAUUUGGGCAUCCGGAACUUGUAUAUUCAAAGUAGUUAGCUUUGACAGCCCCUUCAAUUCAGCAAGACUGGCGUUACUUCCUCCUUCAACCUUAUCCCACUGCGAAAAGCUGUCACCCAUAUAUAGUUCUUCCAAUCGAGAAAAUUUUGAUAUGACAUUUGGUGCUAUCACUACAAGGCUCCUACAAUUGCUCAAAUCUAGCAAUUGUAACCGCGUCAAUUGUCCAAUUUCAAGCGGUAACUGCUUAAUGUCGGAACCUCGAAAGCUAAGAAUCUCUAAUUUCUUUAGCUGUCCAAUUGCCGCUAUAUCUUCUAGUUGGCACCAGUCUAAACACAAUGUUUGAAGGUUAAUGAGGCGACCAAGUGAUGAAGGUAAUGAAGAGAAAGGAAUUCUAGUAAGAGUUAAAACUUUGAGUUCUUCUGUCCCUUCAAAAAAGAGGUCUGAAAUUUGCAUUGAGCUAUAACGCUUUGAAAACAACAAAAGUAACUGGAGACGGGGACAUCCCAACCUUUCGGGAAGCUCUUGAAUAUCUCUCUGGGGUAAUGAAAUGGCAAUUGGAUCUUUCCGUAUUGUCUCUUCCAUCUUUUUCUCCACGUCAUCAACAUUUGGAAUAUUAAACAUGCGCUCCCCUGCAGCAAUUGAUACAGCAACAACAUGAAUGACGUCAUGCAUUUUAACUUCAUCUUCAGCAUCACCGUCCAACAAUAAGCAUGAAGAUUUGAGAUUGUCGAUCAACCGAUGCACUCUACUCCUUGCUUCUUCCAAUGUGUAAACAUUUUCAAACAAACCCCAACCCACGCCAUAUCUCAAUAAGCCAGAAACUUGUAUCGCAUGACCUUCACUGUACAGACCACAAAGACGGAACAGAGGUUUUGCCUCCGCACUUUCCAAAAAGUCGUAACUCAAUUUUAUGGAGGUGUACACAUUUGCUUUCAUGCCAUGAAUUUCUCUUGCAUGCGAUCUUCUUAGCUGAUUCAAUGCAUCUUGCCAAAAGUAACGCUCCUUAUUUUUCAGAGCAUUUGCAACUGUACUCAGUGCAACAGGCAAACCUCCGCAUUUUUCAACGAUCUCAUUUGCUGUACUUUGAAAAUCAGAUAUUUUAGUUGAAUCACCCACUAUCUUCUCAAAUAACUGCAAUGCUUCUUCUUUCGAUAAAGCAUCGAUCCAGAAAAUUUUCUGACAAUUCAUAUCAUUGCACAAUAAAUCUCCACUUCUAGACGUCAAUAUUAUUGUGCAUCUUCUCUGAUCAUCCUCUCUAUCUUUCUCAUCAACAUCCCCAGAAGGAAUUCCAACUUCAUCGAACUUCAGUUCUCUCCAAAUGUUAUCCAAUAUAAUCAGGACCCGCUUCUCUUUCUUCAAUACUCGACGUAGUCGAUUUGCUCUGUCGAAUAUAUUCUCAUUCAACUCAAACUUUAUGCCUAAAUCAGAAGCAAGUUUGUCUUGAAUUUUCUGAUGAUCUGGGUUCUCUGUUAUCUCAGCCAUAGCGACCUUAUCGAACCACUUAUCUUCCAUCACUUGCUUUGCAACUUGCUUUACGAGCGUGGUUUUACCCACGCCGCCCAUCCCGUAGACCCCAAUUAUGUUGAGCUUAUCAUCCCUCAACGCCUCCAUAACAUCUUGAAAUACUUUCAUUCUUGAGUCAAAGGCCUCGAAAUCUUUCACUUGCAUGUGUUCUACCAGCUUUGGAGUAGGACGGUGGGAAACAUUGGAGAAGUUGCCUUUUCCCAUGAGACUAGCUGCAGCUUCUGCGGCCUUUGCUGCUUGUCUACUGAGCUUGUAACGAGAGAUCAAGUUUGGGCACAAUCCUUUGAAACAGAACUUCUUAGCUCUAUCUUCAUCAUCUGUGAUGGAUUUUGCAGCGCCCUGAGUGAAUUCCUUGACGCUAUUAAGCCAGUCUGCAACAUCCUCAUAAAUCUCAUCUCCUUGUUGAGUAGCCUGAUGAACGGGUAUUUCCACCCUUUCUCUUUGAUGUCCCAGCUGCUUCACUUGAACUUUUAGGCCAUCUAUGUAGCUCUGGUACUUGAACACAUAAGAUAUCUGCCGUUUAAGCGGUUUGUACAGUGACUUUGCACCUUCUGAUACAACGCCGGUUAAAAAAGCCAGACACGCUUCUACAGCCAUUGCCUGUUGCUUAACGAUAUAUAUGUAGUUUUUGGCUGUUUAAAAAAAAAAAAUGGAUUCAAAUAAAUUAAAUGAACUAGAGGGGAAGAAAAAGAAAGAAACGACAACAAACAACCUUUUAGAGAAAGGUUUGACGGGCCUGAAUGGAAAACCAACAACUUUUUGAAGAAAGAAAGCUUUGGAAGAUAGAUGCAAAUUAACCGUUGAUAAUACUACAUAAGAACACAGAAGUUAACAAUAAACAGUAACUUAAAACUCAAGAAAAUUAAAUGACGAGAUUAAGACAAACAAGGGAUAGUUUUUGUUGGACAUUAAGAAACAACUGCUAUCAAGAUCAAGGAUUAGAAAUUAUGCUAUUAAAAGAAGUUAUUAAAGGAUUUAGAACAAGUUUACCUCUUUAAUUAUCUAGGAUCAGAGUUUAUGAGCUUCACUAUUGGCCUUGGAUGUAUAAGAAAAACUUUAAUGAGCAAAAGAUCACUCUUAACUGCGGAGGAAUGUGAGUAAAGAGUUUAUGGGAGUAAAGCAAUACAAUUGAAUUGUAAAAGAACCAAGACUUAAGCGUGCGUCCCGUGUUUUGUUUUAUUAUAUAAACAGAACAUAUGUUCAUUUUUAACAAAUUGAUCAAUAACUCUAUUCGCUAUUUAAUUAAUAAUGUAAUCAAUUUUAAGAGAAUAUAAUAAUAAUCCUUCAAUGCAUAAAUUUAGAAUUAGAUUUUUUUUUACUUUUUAUUUAAAUGUAAAUCUCAGUGGAAAAUUAUAAAAAUUUAGAGAUAAAAUUUUUCAAUCACCAAACGGAAAAACAGGGGAAUGAAAACAGAGGAAUCUUGUUUUACUUUUUUUUUCUUUUUAAACCUUAACUCUUGUUCUUAUAUAAAUAAUCUUGUUCUGAUGAUAGUGCUCUUGACUGCAGGAAAAUUUCUAAUGGAAACAACUCAAUUUCGGAAGAUUAGCUCAGUUUUGCAAGCGAUGAAUUUAUUCAAUUGACUCUGUACUUGAACUCGUUGGAUUGGUUGAUUUAUGAUUGACUGAAUUUCAAUUCGGCCUAAAAGAUCUUUAACCAAAGUUUAAUAGCUAUCAUCUACUCCUUAAAAACAAAUAUGUAUCUUUUUUAGAUUUGACUGAAUUUGAACUUGCUGGAUUGGUUUUUUUUUAGAUUAUUAAAAUUUGGAAUAUUUUUUUUUCCUUGCUUUCUUUUGUUGGAGGAUUAGAGAUUUUGGUAUUACCAGAAAGGUUUCAAGGGUCUGAGUAGAAACCUAUAAUCUUUUGAAAAACUUUGUUUUUUUUUUUUUUUAAUUUUUUGGGGAAAAGGAUGCAAAUUAACCAAAUGGAAAUAAUAAGAGCACAGGCUUUAACAAUGAACAAUAACUUAAAACUCAUGCAAAAUAAAUUCAAUAUUAAAACAAACCAGAGAAAUUUUUUUCUUGAAAAGUAGAUGGAAAUUAUGAAAGAACAGAUGUCAAGAUCAAGGAUCAGGGAUUCUACUACCCAAAAAAAAUAAAAAAUAAAAUUAAAGGAUUUAGAAAAUGUGCACCUAGAGUUGGUGAGCUUCUCUCUCUAUUCACUUGAAUAUUUAAGAACAACUUGAAAGAGGAAAAAGAUCACUGGUAACUGCUGAGGAAUGUGUGAGAAAAGAGUUGACGAGAGAAAUAACAAUGACUUGCAGAAGAAAAACCAUUAAUCAAGCACACCUUUUUAUAUCCUGUAUUUGGUUAUUGUUGCCCUCUUGACGCAUGUAUAGAAUAAUUACGUGCAUUUUUUUUAAUCCGCAUGCACUUUAAUGAUUAGUGCUCCUUUCAUAAAGCAGAUACCGGAAACACACAAAUAUCAUUUGAGAGAGAAACUAAACAGCAAAUCAUCAAAGUAAGAUCAAUAAUAUAUGACUUGGUUAAUGCAUAUUCAAGAACAAAAACAAAAACAAAUAAAUAAAUAAAUGGAGAAGGUUUGAUUUUGUACUGCCAACGCUGCUUUUUUGUUAUUUCAUUUGUUCUUUCCACAAAUGAUGCUUGGUUAUAAUUAAGUUCCACAUGGCCGUUACUUACAAACUGUGUUUGUGUUAACAGAAACGUGAAAUUCACAUCACACAAAAUUACACUAUCAAUUCUUAAGAGAACAUAAUAAUAAUCACUCAACGCAUAAGGGUAAAUUUAGAAUUACAUUUUGAAAUUGAUAAAAUGUUUUUUAUGGGAUUUCAGGCAAACCAAAACAAAAAAAAUUUCAAUAAAGAGCUAGUUGUUGAAAUUGAUUUAUCUUGUCUUUCAGGCUAUCUUGUGACGUGACGAUAUAUAAUGUUCGUGAAUGCUAGAAAAUUUCUAAUGCAAACAACUCAAUUUGGGAUGAUAAGCUUAAUUUUGCAAAUGACGAAUGUAAAUAACUUGUUUUGAUUAAUUGAAUUUGUAAUACUCUUACCCUAUUCUAAAAUUUGGAGGUUGCUUGAGAAAAAAAGGGUAUUUCUCACUCAUCUUCAAUCCUCAAGUAAAAUUAGGUAAAAAGCAAAUCUAAAAAAUCACAAACGAAUUAACAAAAAAAGAAAAAAAAAAACAACAUUGAUCUUGAGACAAGUGAUAUUUAAACAGAGAAUUCUUUAUUCUUUUUUACUUGCCCCCCCCCCCCCGGGGCUCGAGGAUUAAAGUCUUUGCUAUUAACAGAGAGGCUUUAAGAGUCUGAAUAAAAACCCGUGCUUUUUUUAAAAAACCACUUUUUUUUUCUUUUUUCUUUUUUUUUGGGAAGAUAUAUUCAAAUUAACCAAAGCUAGUAAUAAGAGCACAGACCUUACAAAUGAACAAUAACUUACAACUCAAGCAACAUAAAUGAUAAGAUUAAAACAAACCGGAGAUAUUUUUCUUGGAAAAUAGACGGAAAUUAAAUAAGAACUGCUGUUAAAAGAAGUUAUUAGAGGAUUUAGGAGCAUGUGUACCUCUUUAAUUAUUUGGGAUCAGAGAGUUGAUGAGCUCUCUAUUCGCCUUGAAUAUUGAGUAAGAACUGGUAUUAAAAGAAAUUAUUAAGAACAAUAUUUUAGUGAGCAAAAGAUCACUGUUAACUGCAGAGGAGUAAAAUGCUGAAAAGAGCAGUAACAAUGAAUUGCAAAAGAAGAAGACUUAACCAAGCACCCCUUUUAUACCCGAUUUUUAAGAUUUAAUUUUGAAGUUCCCAAUCAAGAACAAAGACGAAGCUUUAAUAAAGCAUGCAGUGAGAUACAAGAAAUGGAUCGGGCAAAAUACCUUACGAAGCGUUUCAUAUUUUCUAAUGAAAUAAUUUAGUUGAAUUCUUCGACGAAUAGAUACCUGUUGUGCUAGAAUAAUUUUGGCACACACAUUACUUGUGCCCUGUGAAAUUGAAAAGCACACUCAUUUACAGAGCUUGUUAGUGGGGAAAAGCUUCGUAAGAUGCCUGAUAAAAGAUAAAGCAAAAGCUUGAAUGAAGAAUGGCAUUUUAGAAAGAAACUAAAGUGCAAUCAUCAAAGUAGGAUCAAUAGUGAGUUGAUCAGUUAUGCUUUUUGUUAUUUCAAUUGUUCUCUCUUUUUUCAAUCUCUCUUUAUGUUAUAAUUGAAUAAUUGUAUAGAAAGUGUGACGGUUGCUGCAGCAUUAUGAAGUCAAAAUUGAGAACGACAUUAAAUAAUCAAUCUCUUUAUGUAUUUACUCGAAUGUCUGAUAGUGUUCAGACUUGGAUUUUCAAUAAACACAGAUUCGAAAUCCAAAUAAUUGAAUAAUUGUGUACGUUCAAAUUCAGCAUUUAAUUACUAUAUAAUUAGACAUAAAUGUGUAUAUAAUUUUACUUUCUAAGAAUUAACUUCUACCUUGAUUCUAAAAAAAUAUAUAUAUAUAAUUUUACAAAUAAUUUAGUACGGCGUUUGGUAAAUGAUAACUAUUUGAGAAUAAGUUUUAAAAUGGUUUACUAUACAAAUCUGGAAAAUGAAAAUUAAAAGUGUAAAAUGUUCACAUAAUGAAAAUUAAAAGUGUAACAUGUUCACAUACAAUGACAAAAAUAUAUUUAUUUACUUAUUUGUAAUUUAUUUUGAAUAUUAUUGUUUAAAUCAUUUUUUUACUUACUAGAUUUUUUAAGAGCAUUCUAUUUUCUUUAUUACAUAUUUAAAUAAUUUUUUAUUAACUAUUUUAAUUUGCAAUAAAAUUAACUUCAAUAUUUUUUUAACUGAAAAUUUUGUUAUGUAGUUCGUGAUAUAACAAAUACUAACAUAUUAUUAAAUUGAUUAAUAAAUUACGUGCAAAAAAGAAAAUGCAAAAAUUUAAUCUUUAUAUAAACUUUUAUGUACAAAAACCGUUGUAAUCAAACUAGUUCAUAGAAAUAUAAUAUUUUAUACAUGUGUUUAAGAAAAACAUAUAACUAUAAUAUUAUCCACUCAUUAAACUUGCAGCACUAUUAUUUCUAAUUCUCUCCAUCACUCGACCUACAGGAACAUUACUACCAUAAUUUUCUUCUUGAAUUCAACCUCCAUUUCCACAUCAUCAACAAAGCGAUCAAUUUGCCUUGAUAGCCUUUCAACUCCUCCCACUUUCCUCCCUUUUGCAGACACUCUUUUUCUUUUUCUUUCUUUAAUAGCUUCAAUGGGAACAACCUCAUCUAUCGACAAGUCCAUUCUUCAACUAGAAUAGAGUUGGUAGUAGAUAUUUUAGUACUCUCAAACGAUGCCCAAACCGUGUCACCAGUGAUUGUUGUAUUAAAAAACAUUCCAUGUAAUUUUUCCUCUGACUCUGGGUCGAUACCUUUUAUGCAAAAUCUAUUUACUUCAGGAAUUUUAUACAUAUGUCGAUAUCAUAUUAAAGUGAAUUCAGAUCCUAUAUUAUUGACAUUUAGCCAAAGGUAAAAAAUUUUCCUUUUUGUUUGUCCCCCAACUAUAUAGUCCCAUUUUUGGUUAUAAGCUCGCAAUAUGCAAGGGAAAUGAAGAUCUACUAAAAACUUCCCCAUAAUAUUAAACAUUAAACAAUAUCAACAUUUUGUGCAUAUGGUGCCUCUCCAACAACUUGAUGUACAUUAUGUUGCUCGGUGGAAUAUGACUACUUAUUAAUUAAUUAGCAAGACUUGCGUUGCGAGUCCAUGCUUUUGUUGUUUGGAUGGAGGAUCUGCCAUCCUUAUUGUGAAAUAUGAACUAAAUAUACACUCACGACAUGUCAUAUGUUGAGUCUGUAGUAGCACGACAUGUCAUCUGAUAAGCAUUUGGAACAAAACCGACAUGAGCCAAAAUGUCGUUCUUUGUUUAAGUAGCUCACGUGUUUGGCAUGUGAGCUGAACAAGACUCUUACUCUCAGAAACGACUGAACCAGAAGCCGUUUUGAGCAUGCUUAUUCAAGACACGUUGCAAGCACGUGGCUGAGGCUGAAUCUGUUAUGUUAGCGGGAAAAGCCGCUGAGGAAGGCAUCCAGAAUCAGUUAAUAAAGAACUGGAGUUCUGGGUUUUUCACAACAGGGCCAGAAAACAGAGAGAGAGCAGAGAAAGAGGGAAUGCGAGAGAGAGAGAGUUCUGAAUAGGCUUGUAAUCUCCAUUUGUGUUUGCUCUCUGUAAACUCUUGAACAAGCAAUAAAGUGAAAUCACAGAGUUUGUUUCCAGUGGAUGUAGGCAUCAUUCAUUUGGUGCUGAACCACUUUAAUUCGUGUGUGUUUUGUUCUUGAUCUAUUUGUUAUUCUUGAUUCUUAGUAGGUUGACUUCUUCUUGGUUGAAUCUUGAGUAUAAACCAGUGAGUGAAGUGUUCUUGGGGUGGGUUUAGUCUUGAUAGUUAGGGCUUAAACCAAAACACUUUUAUUUUAGAUGCUUUGUAAGACUUCUGAUUUAAUGAUUGAAUGCAGCCAAUUAACGAAAGCUUACAUAUAGUAUUAUGUAGGUGCUGAGAUGUCUGUUCUUGAUAAAGUAGAUAUAUUUACACCCAAGCCAACGGAAUCAAAGCCUUUUCGUUAAUAAUAUACACGGUAAUUGUUUUUGUUAAAUUGAUUUCUGGCUAACAAGAUCUUUUUUUUUUUUUGAAAGGGCUAAAAAGAUCUUUGAAAGCAUUCAAAGAAGCCGCCGAACUCAUAGGAAAGCCAUGAUUAAAUAUACGGUGAAGCAAGCGAGCUCGUUUGUUAAUCUCUUGAUCACUCAUAAGCUUUUCUAUACGGCUCACGAUAUCAUCCUUUUGAAUCGAUUUUGAUUGAUCAUCGGAUAUCAUGUCCCCACCUUGAGAUGAUUGAUCACCAAUUUGGCAUUGUAAUGUUGAUCACCUCUAAUUGGCCAUGCUAAAAUUGGGAGCCCACAACUAAUUGCUUCCAUAGUUGAAUUCCAUCUACAAUCAAAUAAAAAUCCACCCAUUGAUUGAUGACUUAGUAUCAAUAAUUGUGGCGCCCACCCAUCUAUUAUCAAUCCCCUUUUAACCAAUAAAGUGUUGGCUCCACUGGCAAUGGAGUCCCCUUAAGUGGUUUGACUGGGUUUGCUCCCCAGUUCGAGUCGCAGGGAAGUCGCCUUUGUUGGGAGAACCUGUGCCUCUCGGUUCGAGCGGGGACUUCUAGUCUGGGUUGUGGUACGGGCUUAAAGGUGCCUCCCACAGUUGGGGCCCUCCCCAGGAUACCUCGUGGUCAAAACCAAAAAAAAAAUCAAUCCCCUUUUACCGACUUUACUCUCCAAACCACUGGAAAAAUAACUGCCUUCUACUGGUCUGUCUAAACCGGUUAAAUGACGCGGAGGAUCCAAUCUACCUGCACUAGUUUGAAUUACCCAAAUAAACUGUUGAUUUGAUGCUUCUAAACAUUGGCAAGGCUGAAUACUCCUCUAAGGUGGGACGCACUUUGGUACCAAAUUAUAUGUAUAGCACAGAUCUACGUGAUUUCAAAUCCAACCAUUAAGCGAUCUCAUCUUCAGUCAUGUUAGAACUCUGCUGGUUGGUCUCGUCUCACGAUCAUGAAACGCUGAACCGACCAAUUUGUAAAAUUGUUUAGGUAACAAUGAGCCCACUCCCCACACCGGCUUUCCCAUUUGAUUGGCUAAAUAAUUAAUAAAUGGUCCCUCAAGAUCAUUACAUGUGUUAGAACAUCAACGCCAUCGAUCCCUUCACUUCCUUCAUGCAGUGUGGUUGAUCAUCGGGUUCUAGUGGACCUAUUUUCCCUGAACCGGGUGCACUCUGCAGAAGUGGUGGACCACUAGGAGGGGGCCCACAAGGCCUACGUCUAAGAUUCGAUUCAAAUAAAGCCGUAUCCUCAGGUACCCCAGGAAGUAAAUAGGCCUCCCCUGAUUUGACAUCUUUGAUGCGAGCCUACCACAUGGCACACUCUACAAUUGUUCAACUAAAAUUAAUAAUAUUGUUCUAAUUAAUUACUCGAUAAGCAAAUAGUCAUAGACAAAUCUAUCCCUAAUCCCACAUUUACAAAAUAAAGAAUUGAAAUGAGUUUAUGUGGCUUUGAACCCAAGCCCUCAAGCCUAGUGGCUGGAUCUUGACCACUUUGACAUAAUUAUUAUAACAAUUUUUUUUUUCAUAUUUCACUAAGCAUCUUUUGUUAUAUAAUGAGGAAGAUAAGUUGACGGAGAAGGGUUCUACUUUUACUAGUAGAUGAGAUUUAAAUUAAGAAGGUUAGUUUUAGAUUGUUAAAUUUCCUUAGACGAUUAUUCAUGUGAGAUGUUUAACAUAUACUUGAGUUAGUCGGUGCCUAACAAUUCUUGUGAUACAUGAAACCAACCAAUAUGAAAACCAUAUGAAGUUGGUAGGAUUAGAUUAAUUUAAAUGAAAAUAAAAAUUAGUUUAUGCUAUUUAUUAAUCUUAUACUGUUGAAAAUUGAAAGUUAAUUCUUUAGCCUGUCAAUUGGUUCAUGACAUAAUUAAAAUAUUCAAGUAAAUACAUUUAUCGUUUAACAUUAAUUUUUCAUGCGGUAAAACCAAUACUAAUUAUAGAGUGGAGAGAAUAAUCUGUAGGGUAUACCCCCACCUUUUAUUUCAUUUCAUUUAAAAAAAAAAGAGAGAGAGAGAAAAGUAAAGGCUUGUUCAACAUUCAAGUAAAAUUAACAAAUCUAUGAUAAAAUUACUUCAGAAUAAAAAUUAAAAUGUUUAAAAAAAAAACGGCAACUCGAAAACGACAUACAAAUACCGCAUAGAAGGUUUUCGUCACGAGAUAUUUUUGGGCUGAGACAACACUUGUAUAACUUAGCAUAUAGCUUGGAUGACGGUGAGAAUAAGAAGGAAAACGGCACCGCAGACCGAAAUGCCAGCCCAUGGAGUAUUGAAGUAAUUUUUUUUCACAAUUCAAAGGAGGUUUUGGAACUUACCACAAGGCUGAGUAUUUCAACAGUUAUGGAUGACAUAAUCCAGCUAAGCAGAAGCUGAUCUUGGCGUUUCCACACAGCAUAUUCUGGAUUUUCAUGACCUUCAGAGAUUGACGAAGUGCCUUCAAAUCCAGGUGAAAGAAAUUGAUCAGGACAUAGCUUUGAUCCAUCGAUAUAAGACUCAAGUCCAUUGCCUCGAACUGAAGAGAGCACCUGAUGUUUCCAGAUCGUGUAAUUUGUACGAUCUAAUUUGACUGGUGUAGUGAAGGUGAAAGAAGCUAUGGCACUGGUAUUAGAUUGUGAAUUUGAGUUCGUUAGAGCCAUUGGAUCUAGCUCUGAUACCAAGUUAAAGAAGCUUUUCCUGUUUGUUUACUCAGAAAGUGAAGGAAAAAUACAGAGAAAAUUAUGUAGCUAGAAUGAAUCUAAAACCAUCUUAUUAAUCUAUAUUUGGUUCAAUAUACAACAAUAUUUAUGCUACUCACUGGAACCUUCUAUAUGAAACAAACACGUGAACUCAAUACAAUUCAGCUUAACAAACUUUUAACGGGAAAUAACUAAACAGAGCAACGGCUUGCCAGCGUGGCUGCUGACUCAGCAGCCGACUAAUCAUACUCUGAAAAAAAAUCACCAAACAGAAAAACAGGGGAAUGAAAAGAUAGCCUCCGUUUAUCCUCUGUUCUGUUUUCAUUGUUAUUAAACAAGGGAAUGAGAAAAGAGAGCCCCUGUUUCUUCUCUUUUUUGAUUUUUUUAAUUACUAAACUGGGGAACGCACGGAUCACCUCUUGUUGCAAGCGCAAAUUCUUGUUUCUACUUUAGUACCUUCUAAAUGCUGCAUGCAUUAAAAUUAUUCUUACAUAUGCUAACAUAAUAGCUACUGUACAUGUAAGUUCUUGAUAAAUCCAAAUAACAUAAUAAUUUUAAGAGUUCAAAUUUAGAAUUUAAUUAUAUAUAUUUAUAUAAAUCCAAUGUGCAUAUCGGAUAUUGCAUGCUGCAAUGAUCUCAUAUGUUUCCUCAAUAUGACUUAAAUAUAUAGGCCACAACUUGGUUUUGAAGUUAGUCUAAAGCCUUCCCCUUGAUUCUAACAAAUUCACUAGGGAAGGUUCAUAUGGAUUUUGGGGGAGCUCUAUGGCCAAUUUUAAAAGUUCAGGGGGGAUCAAAUGAAUUUCAAAACUGCAUGGGUUAUCUAUUUCAGUCAGAGGAUAGUGGAAUUCCCUGAAAUUUAUCCUUUUUAUUAAAUUAAUCUUCCUCCUUUCCUCUGUGGACCUUUGCUAUGUGUGUUAUUGGCGUCCAAAUGACGAUGGGAAUUAUGGUAAGGUUCUUGCUUCCCCACUUCUUGAAAUUAAAUAUAUCUUUUCUGGCACUAGAAAUUUCCACAUGCUGUGUUUUGUUAUUGUUUGGGAGAAAUACGUCAACGAGACCAGGCGUGGUGAGCAGAUAUCUGAUAGCAGAGUUCCGCGAACCGGUGUGUUCCGUAAAAGCCUGGUGCGCGGAGGAACAGGAGCAGAAGUAUCCCGCUCGUCCACGAACACGUCAUCCGCGAGGCCAAUUUCCCGUAAGAGGCAUAAGGUCAUUCCGGCUAGAGGUCGAGAGGCGAGGAGACCCGGUCGACGGCAGUUGGCAAGACAUGCUCCCCAGCCCGAGAAUCUAGGCACGACAGCCACGCUUUCCCCAGAACUGUGGCGUAACACGCAAAAUCUCACGGAACCACGACAACCACGCUUUCCCCAGAACCGUGGCGUAACACGCAAGAUCUCACAGAACCACGACAGCCACGCUUUCCCCAGAACCGUGGCGUAACACGCGAGAUCCCACGUUUGCCCAUAACGCAGCAGUCAGAGUCCCAUACCGUCUCGAAAAAAGCGGAAAACUGGGAUUCAGGGGAGGCCUAUAAAAAGGUAGCCAACGAAGGUAAAAGGGUUAGCAUUUUUAAGAUUAGAAAAGAAAUAAAAAAAGCCAUAAGACCUGUGGCAAGCGUUCCCCGAACCUUGAUAUCUGAAUUGAGCGUCGGAGGGUUUGCGCCGGGAAAACAACCGGCGUACUCUGACUUGUCUGUGUGCGCAGGAACCUCUGGAGAAGAAGCCUCACGAGGAGACCUCCUGGUCGUGAAGAAGUUGAUCGGGCAGAGAUCCUGGUCGUAGAACGAGGAGACCCGGAAUCCCGCAUCAACAUUUUGGCGCCGUCUGUGGGGAACAGAGCAAAAAGCUUCUGUUGAUAGCAAGAGGAGGGGCGAAGCAAGUGAAAAGCAAUGGAGACAUGAGGAAGUAGUGGACAAGGGGGUGAUAGGAGGCCUAACGAUUCCGUGACGCUGAGGGAGAUAGUCAGUGAAGCACGGGAAAAAGUCAUGUUCGACCGGAUGGAACGGGUGGAAAAGCAGAUGGAGACCUUGACAACCAUCCUAGAUGAGCUGCGGAGCGAGCGAAGUAUAAUCCAAGAGGGAAGGGGGAGAGGCGGUGGAGUGGCACCAGGUCCCGAUAGUGCGGGGAGAAGUCAAACCACCGGGAGAUUUGGUGGUGAGAGAGGUAACGUACCUCUGCGGGGAGAAUUUCAUAGAGAAAGAGAGCGGUCCCCGGCAAGGCAGACUGGCGACGAGGACGAUGGAGUGGUGAAUGCAGAGGAAACGAAGUUGAGACAACACUUGCAUGAUGUAGAGCAAGAGCGGGAUCAAGUUGCAGCACGUGACCCUGGUCGUGCAGUGCAGCUGGAGGAGGAAGUGCGCAGACUAGCGCAGAUAAUCGACGACAUGCAAGGAAGGAACAGAGCCCCUGGUUGGAGGAUAAUGCUAGACGGAGAAUCACCGCUCGCAGCAGAGAUCAUGAGGGCAGUUAUUCCGAGAGAUUUCCGCCUCCCAGACCUCAGAUACUCGGGAAGAACUGAUCCGUUGGUGCACAUAGAGCGCUUCAACGACAUAACUGGGGUACAAGGAUUAUCUCAAUCCCAAAGGUGCAGAGUGUUCCCACUAUCCCUUGAGGGACGUGCACGAGAAUGGUACAGGAAACUUCCUCGGGGCAACAUUAAAACCUUCGAGCAGAUGUGCCAGGAAUUCGCGGAGCAGUUCAGUGGGGCAAUGGCGCCGGAAGAUGACAUGAUGGAGCUGAAAAGCAUGAAACAGGGGGAGCAAGAAACCCUUCGGGAAUUCAUCAAGAGGUUUCAUCGGGCUGUCCUCGACUUGGGAGCCUUCAACCACCCUCAGGCGUUAAGGGGAUUGAAAGAAGGGGUGAAGAUAGGAAGGCUGUGGUACAAUUUGAGAAGCCCAGCUAUUCAAACGUAUGCAGCCGCAUACGAACAGGCUAAGAGAGACAUCGAGAUUGAAGAGGAGAAGGCUGCACGGAUUAAGACAGACCAGUUACAAGGGUUGGGGAGGAAAGAGAAGAAAGCAUUACCGGGGAAUGGGCCGAUCAGGAGGAGGGACCACCAGGCCUCCGGUAGCGGAGCAGGAGGUCGGGUAGCCGCUUACCAUUCUCAUCAAAGGCCACCACAGUAUCAGCGCAGCAGGGCGCAACCUCCUCGUUCCCCAGUUAGGGAGCCUUGGAGAAGACAUGAGUCGGCAUCUGGUGGUCUCCAUCAACACCCCCACGGUAGCAGAGCGAGCAGACCAGAAGUACUUCCACCGCCCCCAACUCAGAGCGGGGCAAACGGAGAAAGAGUAGUGCACCUGAUCGACCAGAACCCGGACUAUGGGCGGUACACUUCCUUGAAGAUGUCCCUGGAUGAGGUGUACGAGGCCAUAAAGGAUCGAGGGCUGUUGCACCUCCCUACACCAAUAACAAAGCUACCCAACAGGAGGGAUAGAGGGCGUUAUUGUAAGUUCCAUGGCACCCAUGGCCAUACCACAGCAGAGUGUAGAGAUCUCAAGACCCAGGUCGAAGAUUUGGUGAGAAAUCGGUACCUGGACGAGUUUAUGGAUGGGACUUUCCCGAUGGGGGCCGCAACAGGUGAAGGGGAGCAGAGUGGCGGAAACGUGAGGCACGAGCAGCCUGCAGUAAGGGUGAUCGCCGGGGGCCCGACAUUGGCCGGAGAUUCCAACAGAUCGAGAAAAAAUUAUGCUAGGUACGCCAUGACCAGUAAAGAGGUACUCCUCAACACCCCAGCAGCCAAACGAGCAAGGGUCAGGCAAGUGCCAAUCAUGUGGACGGAUGAGGAUGAGGAAGGGAUUCUAUACCCCCACGAGGACGCUUUAGUCAUCAAGGCUACUAUCGCUAGCAAGAAGUUUGACCGGAUACUGAUUGAUACAGGGAGCUCAGUUGAUGUGUUAUUUAAGUCAACCCUGGAAGAGAUGGGAAUAGCCGACCGGAAGUUGGAAUACACCAAUACCUCCUUGAAGGGGUUCGGAGGAGGGAAGCUGGUCCCUCUGGGCGUGGUCGAGCUGCCUAUCACAAUUGGGAGCUCCCCGACAGAAAGAACAAUGAUACUGGACUUUGUCGUAGUGGAUGAGGAAGGUCCUUACCAGAUGAUCUUAGGUCGGCCAUUUUUAAGGAUGAGCAAAGCGGUGUUGUCCAACCAUUAUCUGGCCCUGAAGUACCGGGUGAAUGGGGUAGUAGGAGUGGUACGAGGAGACCAGAGGAUCGCAAGAAGCUGCUACUCCUCGGCAGCAAGGGAAGCAAUGCAGAUAACAUCCCUCGAUACCCGAGUGGAAAGCAGGAAGGGCAGACAAGAACCUGUAGAGGAUCUGGAAACAGUAAGCCUGGGACCAAAGAACCCGGAAAAGACGAUCAGAAUCGGGUCGAGACUUAGGGGAGGGCAAAAGCAGGAGUUGGUGAAAUGCUUACAGGCUCAUGCUGAUGUGUUUGCUUGGACACAUGAAGACAUGCCAGGGAUUGACCCUGAGGUAGCAUGUCAUAAGCUGGCAAUAAAGAAAGGUGCUCGGGCAGUAAGGCAGAAGAGGAGGUGCUUCAACCAGGAGAGGUAUGAGGCUAUAAAUGGCGAGGUGGAGAAGCUCCUGAGAGCAGGGUUCAUUCGGGAAGUCAGUUACCCUGAGUGAAUAUCGAAUGUGGUGUUGGUAAAGAAGGCAAACGGCGAGUGGAGGAUGUGUGUGGAUUUCACAGACCUCAAUAAGGCGUGCCCAAAAGACAGCUUCCCUUUACCAAAGAUCGAUCAGCUGGUAGAUUCAACGGCUGGACAUGAUCUGCUCAGCUUCAUGGACGCGUUCUCGGGAUACAACCAGAUCCCCAUGUACGGGCAGGAUGAGGAGAGCACGGCUUUCAUCACUAACCAAGGUUUGUUCUGUUACAGGGUAAUGCCAUUCGGUCUCAAAAAUGCGGGGGCCACCUAUCAAAGGCUGGUGAACAAAGUCUUUAAGCCGUUGAUUGGGAAAACCAUGGAGGUGUACGUGGAUGACAUGAUCACCAAGUCCAAAAUCCCGGAGGAACAUGUCAGACACCUCGAGGAGACAUUCGAGCUUUUGAGGAAGUAUAAGAUGAAGCUCAACCCGGAGAAGUGUGCUUUUGGGGUCGAGUCAGGGAAAUUCCUUGGAUUCAUGGUGAGCCAUAGGGGGAUUGAAGCAAAUCCCGAGAAAAUCCAGGCGAUUGUGCAAAUGACGUCUCCUCAUAACCUGAAGGAGAUGCAGAGCCUCACGGGGAGGUUGGCGGCGUUGAGCAGAUUCAUAUCCAAGGCUACAGAUAAGUGUCAGCCAUUCUUUCAAGUAAUAAGGAGGGGAAAGAAAACAGAAUGGACCCCAGAAUGCGAGGAAGCCUUGCGGAACUUGAAGCAAUACUUGCAGCAAGCUCCGCUGCUGUCCACACCGAGGGAUGGGGACAUGUUGUAUCUGUAUUUGGCGGUAUCGGAUCGGGCCGUCAGUUCUAUUCUGGUGAGAGAGGAAGAAGGAGUUCAGUAUCCGAUAUACUACACCAGCAAAGCCCUGCUCGACGCUGAGACCAGAUACCCACCGUUGGAAAAAUGGGCACUUGCCCUUGUGGUUGCUGCUCGGAAGUUGAGGCCAUAUUUUCAAGCAUUCCCGGUUUCGGUAGUAACAAACCAGCCAUUGCGUCAAACUCUGCACAAGCCAGAUGCCUCUGGUCGGCUCGUCAAGUGGGCUGUAGAGCUGAGCGAGUUCGACAUAGACUAUAAACCCCGCGCAGCGAUAAAAGCCCAGGCAAUGGCUGAUUUCGUAGCCGAAUUCACAGAGCCCGAAGUAUGCUUAGAUCAACAAGAUGCAGAUAUAGGCAAUGACGAAACUCAAGUAUGGCAGAUGUCUGUGGAUAGGUCAUCAGGGGAGCGGGGUUCAGGAGCAGGGAUUGUCUUGGAAGGCCCAGAGGGGGAGGAGAUCUCUUAUGCUGUAAAGUUGGAGUUUGCAGCCACGAAUAACCAGGCAGAGUAUGAAGCCUUGAUAGCAGGUCUGGAAUUAGCUAAGGCCGUGAAAGCAAACAGAGUUAAGAUCAGAACUGAUUCCUAGCUGGUUGCAAAUCAUGUCAGUGAAAGAUUCCAACCAAGAGAGGAGAAGAUGGAGCAGUACCUGAAGAUAGUCAGGCAGAUGAUGGGGAAGUUUGAAGCAGUGGAGGUAAUACAAAUCCCCAGGGAGCAGAAUAGUCGAGCAGACAUUUUGGCUAGGAUGGCAGCAGUAGCCGACCCAAAAAUGCCAAAGUCGGUUCCUCUGGAGGUGAAGUCCAGCCCAAGUAUUGGUCAGAAUUUGGGGGUGUUGCGGAUAGAACAAAAAUGCUCGUGGAGGGAUCCGAUAGUUUCAUACCUUAGGGACGGGGUAUUACCACCAGAUAAGGUGCGAGCUCGCAAGCUUAGAGCCCAGGCCUCGAGAUACACGAUGAUUGAUGGGGUACUGUAUCGGCGAGGAUAUACACUAUCGAUUACUUCACGAAGUGGAUAGAGGUAGAAGCCCUUAGCAGGAUCACAGAGUCGAGCAGACAUUUUGGCUAGGAUGGCAGCAGUAGCCGACCCAAAAAUGCCAAAGUCGGUUCCUCUGGAGGUGAAGUCCAGCCCAAGUAUUGGUCAGAAUUUGGGGGUGUUGCGGAUAGAACAAAAAUGCUCGUGGAGGGAUCCGAUAGUUUCAUACCUUAGGGACGGGGUAUUACCACCAGAUAAGGUGCGAGCUCGCAAGCUUAGAGCCCAGGCCUCGAGAUACACGAUGAUUGAUGGGGUACUGUAUCGGCGAGGAUAUACACUAUCGAUUACUUCACGAAGUGGAUAGAGGUAGAAGCCCUUAGCAGGAUCACAGAGAAGAAAACAACGGACUUCGUGUGGAGAAACCUGGUCUGUCGAUACGGGAUCCCUUAUGCCUUGGUAACGGAUAAUGGCAGGCAGUUCGAUAAUCACAGCUUCAGGGAUUUCUGCCAGAACCUCGGGAUAGAGCUGAAGUAUUGCUCGCCUGCUCACCCUCAAUCGAACGGACAAGUAGAAGCAGCCAACAAGACCAUCAAGAGGCUUUUGAAAACCAGGCUUGGAGCAAAAAAGGGUGCGUGGGUUGACGAGCUGUCAGGUGUGCUAUGGGCAUACAGAACAACCCACAAAACAGCAACUGGGGAGACACCGUUCGCUUUGGCUUUCGGACAUGAAGCGGUCGUGCCGGCCGAGAUAGGAACGACCACACACCGGACAAAUCAUUUCAAUGAGCAGGAGAACGACGAGCAGAUAUGUUUGAAUCUUGAUCUGCUAACGGAAAGGAGGGAGCAAGCAGCCGAGCGAUCGGUCAUUUACCAACAGAGGGUUGCUCGGUAUUAUAACCAGAAGGUGAACAUACGGCAAUUCAGGGUCGGAGACUGGGUACUGAGAAGAGUGAAUCAGAGCACCAAAGACUCGACUCAAGGAGUGCUGGGACCGAAUUGGGAAGGGCCAUAUAGAGUCAAGCAGAUAGCGGGACCUGGAGCUUACAAGCUGGUACGCACGGACGGCCACGAGGUGAAACGCCCAUGGAACGCAGCACACCUCCGAAAAUACUUCCAGUAAGACUUGUUCACAUGUGAAAACUAUUUUUGCUCAUGUUCAUUACCGUUUAUCUUUCACACUUAUUGUCCAAACAAUCUCAUGUAAGUCGAAUCUUGCCAUUAAUGGAACGUCGAAGAAUUUCUUUCGCUUGAAACCGAGAAAGUUGCCUAAGGCAUGCAAAGGCUCGACAAAGUCUCAAAGCCUGUCUUAUGGCGAGACAGAAGCCAAGCAUGCCAGGAUCUGCUCGGCCACGAGAAGGCGAACAGAAUCCCAAUCCUUGAAGAAAUGCCUAAGGCAUGCAAAGGCUCGACAAAGUCUCAAAGCCUGUCUUAUGGCGAGACAGAAGCCAAGCAUGCCAGGAUCUGCUCGGCCACGAGAAGGCGAGCAGAAUCCCAAUCCUUGAAGAAAUGCCUAAGGCAUGCAAAGGCUCGACAAAGUCUCAAAGCCUGUCUUAUGGCGAGACAGAAGCCAAGCAUGCCAGGAUCUGCUCGGCCACGAGAAGGCGAGCAGAAUCCCAAUCCUUGAAGAAUCCAAGGCAUGCAAAGGCUCGACAAAGUCUCAAAGCCUGUCUUAUGGCGAGACAGAAGCCGAGCGUGCCAGGAUCUGCUCGACCGUGCGAAGGCGAGCCGAAUCCCAGGCAUUGAAGAAUCUCCAAAGGCAUGUGGCGAAACCAUGAGCCAAGCCGGAACCUGCUCGUCUAGACAGACACAAGCAGAUUCUCAACCGAAAAUUAAUUCAUAAUUACAACACAAGAAAGUAAUCAAAAACCAUUUUUAUUAAUUUGUUAAUAAUUAACAGAGGGGACAAUCUCAAUGAACAUUGUUCAUUACAAUACAAGAAAUAUAUCAAGAAGAUGAUGGACCAGUAAGCCCGGCAGCAUCGGUUGGCUGGACCUCCUCAGGUGCUGGAGGGGUAUCACCAGUUGCGUCCGGGGGGGUACUUGCCUCGCCGACAUCAGCAGGGACUGCAUGAGCAGGAGAGUCUUCCUCCUCAAUCACGAUCGGCUCUACCCCAUCAGUAUCUUCCUUAGCCGCCUCCUCGUCCAUGUGUUGAGCAACACCAGCUGCAAGGUCAUCCAUCUUCAGAUCAGGGUGUUGCUUCCCGAGGACGGCCAUGAUGCAACGAUAGGAAUGCCGAAGGCCCUGGUCGUACUGGUUGUCAGCCUCCCUCUCCAAGUUCUCGACCUGAGCUCGGUGGGAGUCGCGGAGAGAUUCGAGCUGAGCCUCAUACGUAGCCUUCUGCCUUUGCAGAUCCUCCUUGACCUUGGUAAGCUCCUCCUCGAGGGAAAUGGCUUUUGCUUGAGCAAGUGAUUCUUGCUCUAUCAGCUUCAGAUUCUCGAGAUUCAGCUCCCCUGCUUUCUUCUCGGCAACGUCAGCCCUGGUCGUCGCCAAUUGAAUAUCCUCCUUCAUCUUCCGGUCGUAGCGGCCAACCUUAGCCUUGUAAUAGGUGGUCAGGCAGCUGAGGUGGAAAGCGUUAUGCUGCAUGGCCCCCACCAGCUCACCCAAGGUGCGGCCGUCAAAGUCCUCCAGGUCCUUCUUGCUCACGAGUUUAGUUAACUCAUUGAGGUAAGGGACCAGAUGUUCUGCUCGGCUGUCAGGUAAGCGAGACCAAGGCCCGACAGGAGGAGAAGAAGAAGCAGGAUCUGUGGCUGCUCCACUAGCUUCCCCGACUUUCACAGAAGCAGGAGGUAAAGUCUUCAAGGGUGGGACCUGCUGCACGAUGUUGGCCCGCUUUGCAGCAGGGGCAUCCUUACUCUGGUCCCUCUUCGUGGUUGGAGGUCGGGAACGUUUUCGGGUCAAAGCCCCAAUCACAGCGUCCUCCAUCCUAUAGCCAGGAAGUAUCAAGCGAGACUCGAGCAAGUUGUAUGUAGUUAACAGUUCUCGGCUCGAGCAGGAAUUGGCUGGUCAGGUUCAAGCGGGAAGUGGACACCCCAAGAAACUACAACACAAACAGACACUUGGUUAGAGACAAGCCAAUAAAGCAAGAACAAUUAUGAACGCAAGACAUCUAGAGCGAGCAGGCAACCUGGGACCGUGAAACGGGGUGGGACGCGACAAUCCUUCCCGUCUAUUUGUGCAAUUUGACCCCAAGGACCCCCAGCAAAAAAGAAUUUCCUCUUCCAAGCCCCACCACCACCGGUUGGAAGAUCGGUUAUGGGUUUCCGGCUCUUGGUGCUAGAUUGGAAGUAGUACCAGCCGGCAUCUUUGGGGCUGCUCUUUAGCUGGUACAAGUGCUUCACCUCAUCAACCGUGGACUCGCUUCCGAAAAAGGACUUUUCUCAUUAAUUUUUGAUCUUCAAGUUAAGUUUGUUUCAUUUCAAAAGGUAUUAAGUUUCAAACUUGUCGUGUUGGGAGGUUGGAUAGUUGUAACGUAAGACAUCUGCAGGCUUCCGGUUCAAAACAUUACAGUAUGGCAUUUUAUUUUGUCACAAGGGAAUUAGUUAUGGGAUCCCUUCUGCAACGAUUUGUUGAUGGCGAUGAUGAACUCCGCAAUAGUAGGCUGAAGCUUAUUCCAUCCGUUCCUAAGAUAUCCAUCUUGGUCUGCAUCUAUUAGGACUUUGUUAACAUGUCGUAACCUUCACUGCAUGGUACACUUCAAUUUGUUCAAAGAAGGCAUACAUUUAGGUAUAAAUGUAUUGAUGGGUUGUACCUUCUAACUUAAUGACCUUUUUUCACUCUGUUGAAUUUGUUUUGCACCUGCUCUUGAUUUUAAGCGCUAAAUCAUGCAGGGGUCAUGGAUCGUGCACCAGAGUGUUGGAAGCACCCCUUGUUUAUUAGGAAAAGCAGUUGAUCGUAAUUUUAUCCGCGGUCCCAAGUUCGUAGAAGUAAACGCUCUUGGAAUUUCUAUAAUACAUGAGAUGUUCCCCUUUCAAAUAGCUCGUCCGAUACCAUUAACAUGGUUUAACAUUGUUCCUCUGUCUUUAGAUUGAUGUUGACAUCGGUUCUUCUAAUAUUGCUCUUCUUUAUCUUACACGUGUCUCUUCUUUAUCUUACUCUUUAGUAUGCAGUCAAACACUACAGAUGAAUUACCAGAACGGCUGAUUGGAACCAGAAACAUCAUGACUGUGGUUUCAUUGCACCUCAACUUUUUUUAAUACCCGAAAAAAAAAAAUCAUUUGUUUUAGGUAUACGCACAUGUAUUUUGAUCCCAUUUUCAUUGUUUUCUUUGGAUGAAAGUCAUUGAUGUUUCCAAAUGAGACUUUUGCAUAAGUAUAGCUAGUAGGAAAUUUUCUGAUUCUUUAUUUACUAUUUUUGGAAUCUGAGUGUAAUAGUUUUAAAAUUGUUUAAUCGGUCUCUAAAUGUCGUACUCACAAGCAAACAAGUGAACUGAUUGAUUCCCAACCGUCACUCAACCGGUUUCCAACUUUUUAAUAUACACAAUAACUGUGUUUGUUGAAUAGCUAAUACUAUUAAAGCUCAACAUUAACAUAGAUACUAAUGGAAAAAUUGAUUUUCCUAUGAUGCUGUGUAAAGAAUAUGGGUUUACCUACUUCCAUAAGAUCGAAAACAUGAUCUUGACUUCACGUGAUUCUUUUAAUUUAGAGAGUGCUGGUUUGAGAAGGUCAGCUUGACGGAUUACUUCCUUUUAAUAAAUGUCAAUACACUAUAUUUGAUAAUACUAUAAAAAUGUAAUAAACAUUGUCUUGUGCUGUUUUCUUCAACUACAGAUCCUCAAUUGAAUCAGUCAAUCAGGUUAGAAAUCAAAUGCUUAAAAUACCAAUUGGAGAAACAAUAUAGAAGUUGAAUAUUGCAUGCAUAUGAAACAUCAAUUCAAGCCCUCACUUAACCAGUGUGCACCAAGCAAAUCCAAAGUGUCUUGCAAUUAUGUAGCAUGACCAAAAUGCUAUAAAUGCAUCUGGGAACAAAUUUUUGAAGUAGAGGAAAACGUGCAAGUUGAAUCAUGUAUAAGAGAUCGGCUUGGGUCGAGAUAGCUUCUUCUUUAUACUUGAAGGGUGGGCUCAAUCUUGUCUUUAGAAUUCUGCAUGUUUGUAAUUAUACAUGUGUAAGCAAGCAUACAUUACCAUAAUAAUAACAAUAAGAAAAAAGAAGCAAAUGUUAUGAUACGACUAUAAACUCCAUCAGACAAACAAUAAUGUAUAAAUUAAUGUGACAUAAUAUGAUUGAUUAAACAAAAACAUCACAUGGACCACUUGAUUUAUUUUUUAUUAUUAUAUAUUUUCAGUCGACCAAUCAUAUUAUACCAUAUCAAUUUCUACAAAAUAAUUUGGUAGUUAGCGCCAAUACUUAGUUAAUUAAUACUGACCAUUUCAUUGAACAAUUUAUGUAUGGUGUCAUUGAGGUUGCCUUCCCAGCAUCCUUCUUAUUUUUCGGUGAGUUUCACUUUAUUUAGCGUUGGCGUGCCUAUGAUUCCUUGAGAGAAAAUCUUCAUCUUUGGGCACUGUCUCACAAGUACUUGUUUCAAGGACGGGAACUCAAGAGUGUAAUUACCUGAAUAAAAGCUUGUUAGGCUUGGCAAACAGUCAAGUCCCAAGUACUCCAAUUUCCCGAAAACAAUGCAAUCUUUCGCUUCUUCAUUUAAUAAUUAUAGAAGAAUAUUGGCUUAUAGAGCAUUUUAGUAGGGAUAAGAUUUGUGGACAGAAUAAAUGAAAUAAUAAAAAGCAUAGCUGAUCAAGUCAUUAUUGAUCUUAUUUUGAUUAUUACAUUGCACAUUAGUUUCUUUUUAAAAAUGCUAUUCUUCAUUCAAGCUUUCGCUUUAUCUUUUAUCAGGCAUCCUACAAAUCUUAUCCCUACUAAUAUGCUCUAUAAGCCAAUAUUCUUCUAAAAUUAUUAAAUUCCAUUCUUCAUUCAAGCCUUCAUGGACACUAUUUACAAAUUGUUCUUGUAUUUGACAGAAAAAUGAAAACUCCUCAUCAUACAAAACUGCAUGAACAAAUCUUCAAUUUAAUUAUGAUAAAAUAAUAAAUUCCAUUAAUAGAUUAUGUUGUAUUUUUUUUUUUUUUGACCACGAGAUAUCCUGAGGAGGGCCCCAAUUGUGGGAGGCACCUUUAAGCUCGUACCACAACCCAUACUAGAAGUCCCCACGGGAACCGGGAGGCACAAUUUCUCCCAACAAAGACGAUUUUCCUGCGACUCGAACUGGGGAGCAAACCCAGUCAAGCCACUUAGAGCCAACACUUUGUUGGUUAUGUUGUAUGUUAAUGUGAGGGAUUUGAUCAGGUGAUCAUAUAAUUUAGUAAACGCUUUAAGAAGAACAAGAAUUAAUAAGUUAAAAAUUAAAAAAAUAAAUAAAUAAAGAGUAGAUGGAAAGAAUGUUAUUUGCAAUCACUAAACCAAAGAACAGGGGAAUGAUAAGAGAGGACGGUUACUGCAACAAUAUGAAGUCAACAAUAUAAAGUGUUUACCAACUUAAAACCAGGGCUAUAAAGUGUUUGAUGAAUUAUUUUUUAAUUAAAAAAAAAAAACUGAUUUAGCGGGAUAAAACAAUGCUCCAUUCCGUUUAGUAUGUGAAGUCCAGAGUAUUACCUACUACUAACUAAAUCCGCUUGAUUCACAAGACUACCAAGAGAUAACUGAAUCAUUAUUUAAUUUUACUAUUAGGAAACCUACUUAUAUAAGGCGCAAACCACAAAUUCUAAAUUAAAUACCUAACCAUAAAUUAAGAUCAACCCUAACAGUCAUCCACCAGGUGCCGUGUAGGCUGCAUCAUAAAUUCUGAUUUAAAUAUUUGCAAUCACCGAACAGAAAAACAGGGGAACGAAAACAGAGGAGCCCUAUUUUUCCAUUUUUUUAACCCUUAACUCUUGCUCUUCUAAUUAUAUUUUUCCUUGGAAUUUCAAGUAUGAGAUGAAUUUGGAGAAAGUAAAUAAAUUUGAAUUACGUGAAAAAUUCUAAUUUUUUUAACCCUUAACAGUUGGUAUAUUUUUUUUAGGUCAUAGAUUAAUAAAUUUCUUUUAAAAAAAUUUAUAAUAUCAAUUAAUAUUAUAACCUAUAGAUUAAUACAGAUAAAAAUAUGAUUGAUUUAUCUCCACCACCUAAGUCUUAGCCAAAUUUAAUUAAAGAUUAAUUUAAUAAAUUACCGAAAAUAAUAAAGUAAACGAAAAAUAAAGCACGCAAUUAAGUAAUCAUGCUUCUAAAGGGCUAAUUAACCAUAAUAGGCAUAGGUAUUAAUUUGACUUCUAUGAAAGUCCCUUCUAGUUUCUCAAAAUUCAAAAAUUACAAUAAAAAGCCAAAGAAAAAGUCAAUGCUUCUAAAGUAGAAAAGUUUGAGUACUAGAUAGGCUGCCCAAAAUACAUUUUCAUUACUCACAUAUCUCUAUAGAAAGUAAUUUUUUUAAUAAAAACAACCUAUUUGGCUAAUAUUCAGUAGUCUUUUUUGUUGAUGGAAUUAUCCUCUUAACAAUAUUUUAAAAAGUUUACAUGAAUAUUCCUUUUUUAAAAAAAAAAAGAAUAAUAACGUGUAUUGUUAGGAUAAAAAUGAUCAUCAAUACGUAUGUAUAUAGGCACAAAUAUAUGAAAAAAAAUCAAGUUUAAGUACAAUGUAUAGGUCAAUGCCUAAGAGUCAAGCCUAAAUUAGGGGUAUAAAAAACUACAAAAUACAAUUUCGUACACUACAAAAUUUUGAUAUCAGCAGUAGGGGUAUAAAAAAAUCAUUGUUGCCAAAAAUCCAAAAGCUAACUAGAGGUUUGGUUUUGUUUCAAAAAUUAAAAAAACAAGUCAAUUCGUAAAAUCAAAAACAGAAAAAGAAAAACAAAAUAUAGAGGAAUUUACAGUUUAAAAAGAAAAACCAAGCCAAAACGAAAUUGAAUCGAAAGUCGAACCAACUCAGUUCAGUUUGAUUUGAAUUUUAUUUUAUAAAAAAAAAUGAUCGGAACCAACUAAACUGUAUUAUGUUAUAAAUUAUUAUAUAACAUAAAUUUUUGAAUACCUUUGUGACGAGCACAAUUUAAAAUUUUAUGAUUUUAAAUUUUAACAUUAAUGGAGAGUUAAUACUCCACCAUUUUCCAAUUUUUACAAUACAUAUUACCAGUUUAGAUAUGCUGUAUAUUAUUGUUAUAAUUUUUCGAGCAAGAUAAUAUUUGUCAAUUGGUGUUAUGACAUCAAAAUACUUGGUAUUAGUUAGUGCUAAGUGCUUCUUUUUCUUAAAAAAAGCGGUUCCUUAGUUUUAAAACAAAAAUCAUUAUCCUGAAAUUCUCCAUUUGCUUUGUUAACAGAUAUAACAAAAUAAAGUGAUAAAAGUUUAAUUUAUAAAACUUCGGCAUUUAUAUCUAUCAGAUUCAACACUUUAGUGUCAUAGAUUUAUUUCGGUGGAGCACGAUGUGGGUUGGGCCAGGCUUAGAAUUUUAAGCACGAGAGCCUUAAAAAUAUGAUAUGAUUAGAGAUGGACUGAGCACAGCACGAUGAAAAUGCCCACAAUAAGCACAUUAUAUUUUUUUAUUGAAAAUAAACUUAAAAUUUUAUGUUUUAUAAAUAACUUGAAGUUGAAUUUUUUAAAUUCAUUUAAUUCUUAGUUUAAAAAAAUAUUAUAAUUAAUUUAUAUUUAUAAUUUAUUAAAUAAAUAAUUGAUAUCAUGAUUUUAAUGAAUAAAAUUAUAAAUAUAAUGAUUUUAUAAAUAUGCAUUAAUAUUAUUGUGAACUAUGAUCUAUGACUCUAUGUAACUCUAAGUUAACAAUUAAGUUAACCCUUAAGAAAAUAUUAUUAUUAUUAUUAUUAUUGUUGUUGUUGUUGAGUAUUAAAAAAAUUAUAAUACUAAGAGGUCAAACUUAGAUCUAUUAAAUAUUACAUUUUCUUACUAUUAUUAGUUUAUUAUUAUUGAAUAUAAACUUGAGUUUUGAUUUUUUGAUUCUAUUAAAUUUGAAUAAAAGUAUAGACCUAAGAAAAAUAUAUAGACUUGAAAAAAAUACGCCAACAGUUUAGUAUGCCCUUUAAAAAUUAAAAAAAAAAAAAAACUUAGUGAGCUUUUUUUCUUAGGCAUAGCACGGCAUGUAUCGGCAUGUGUGUUAGGCCGGACCUAAACAAAAAAAAUAAAAUAAAUCUCGACACGACACAACACAAGCAUAAGCACGCAUGGGCCUUACUUACUGGCCCGACCCAUUGAGCAUCUCUAACUGUAUCUAUCUCCGCCAUAAUAAAUUAAACAUCGGGUAACUACUAGACUAGGCAUUAGCAUAUAAACUAACUAACUAUAGUACCAAAAAGAAUGAUGCGACAUUGUAAAAGAGAUGGGGCAAAGGGCAGAAUGGGAAACGAAUGAACCAAAUAAUAGUAUAUAAUAAUAUGGAUUUGGUAAAAAUAAAAAAUAAAUAAAAUAAAGUGGUGACACGUACCUCCUUUUAUUUCUCGAUCGAGUAGUGCAGAAAGUGGAGUGUGUGUGUGUGUGUUAAUUGUGAAAUGUCAGCCAAUUUUUUCUCUCUCAUUCUGAAACAGCUCAGCAGGAAUAGUGUACACUAGAGACGUCUGUCUGUCAGUCAGAACUGCCAAAAGAGCAAAACGGGUGCACGUACAAAUUAAAUCAGCCAAUCAGCGAUAUAUUUCAGUUACUAAAAGCUAGCACAGAGGGAACAAGCAAUAUGCAGGGCCAAAAGAGAUGAGACCCCUGAACCCGAACCCUCCUGAAUGAUCUGAUCACAUCUGAUUCGAUGUCUCGAGUCAUUAGAUUUAACAUAUUUUAACAAUAUUUCUCAGUUAAUAUGUGAUUUAAUUAAAGGUCAAGUUUACAUCUGAAAAUGAACUUAUUAAAAAUUAAUUUGAAAUAACAUCUAAGAUAUCUAUUUGUUUAUAAUAAAAUUUAAUUGUCAUAUCAGAAUUAUUUUCCGUUAGACUUUACAAUAAGUUAAUCCCAAAUAAAUUGACAAUUUCAAUUUUAAAGUUAGUUUGUAACUUUAAAAUAAUUUUCUAAUAAAAAUUUAAUCUGAAACAUUUGCAAUAAUAUCAAGUAUUUUGAUGUAAUAACACCAAUGUUUCACAUGCACACACAAGUCAUAUAUAAGUUAACAAAAACAUCAUUUGUUAUUAACAAAAUCAUGUUAAUUUUUAAUUCUUAAAUUAACUCCCUAUUAAAUUUUGGCUAAAUGUUAGAGUGCAAUUUAUGCACUAGUUUUGCAUUGUUUACUUCCCUUAAUAUCGAUGUUUUGCACUUAAUAAUAAUGUUUUACUUGUGUUUUACUUUUGUAGGUGCAAUUCUAUUGAUUGAUGAUAAAAUUGAGCUAAAAGAUGAUGUUUAAGGAGGAUUGUUCUCUUGGAGAAAUUAUGAGCGUCAGAAGAACUUUGUUGAUAAGGCGUGGGCGCGUGCUGUCAACUGCGGACCUGCAGUUUUUAGUUUAACGUGUUUUGUAUUUUUGGUUAUUUUUGUAAUUACGAAUUUAAUAUUUCAGAUAUUAGUAUUUUAUUUUAAAUAGAAUUCUAAAAGAGAAGAGAGAGAGAGUAUUUAAGGGAGGAAUCUAUUGUGAAAAAGAGGAUUUGGAUUGGAGAAAAAGAAAGAAACCCUAGAUCUAAUUUUUCUCUUCUCUCUAUGAAGAACUAAACCUAUUUUUCUGGUUGAAGGAUAAUGAAGCUUUGAUUCAUCACUACUGUGAGAUCUUUCUUAUGCUUUAAUUGUUUUAUUACUUUUUGGGUAUUUGUUUAUUCUCUGAAUUAGUUUCAUGAUUAUGUUUGUUAAUUAGGUAAUUGGCCACUAUUUAAUUAUUAACUUAAUCUAUUGUUAAUUAAAGGAUUCAUCGUAUGAAGAAUUUAAUGUUUGUGACAAAUAACAUAGCAGAGAGUUGUGUUGUGAGAAUAAACAAUCUAAUUUAAAUGAAUCAUCAUAUGUGUUGAUUAGGAUUUGGGUCUCUCUAGUUUUUCAGGCUGUCAAUUGAUUAAAUCCUAUGAUCGUAUCUAGGGUUGUCUAUUGAUUAGGGAAAUAUCCAACGGUCGUACCUUGGUUAUCGACUAGUUAAGGAGAGAUUGGCUAUUAGAGGGUCUCAAUAGCUAUAACCGGUCUAUUCAUAAGUAAUGAUAAUCUAUAUUUGAAUCAAUGAUCAGUAGUCGAAUCAAGCUGAGUUAAUUCCUUCAAUCAGAGCUUUCUCCAAUUUGAAUUACAACUUUAAUUUGCAUUCUUGUUACUUUAAUUUGAUUUUUAUUAUUGUCAACAAUUCCCCCAUUUUACGUUUUACGUUUCAAAAUGAUUUAAAUAAUUACCGAUCUCUGUGGACACGACCCUGCUCAAUCACUAUACACAAUUUAUUUAGAGUAGGAAUUUAUUUUUGUUGGCUUCGACACCCAUCACUAAAUCAUUAUUGCAAUUUAUAAAUUAAUAUUUAUAAAAAAUUAUGAAUCAUCCAAAAAGCUGCUUGAUAUAGAUUAAUUUCAUGGUCAUCAAUUUUUUUUUAUUUAUAUACCUUUAAAUUAUCACUUGUAUCAUAUGAAAAGACCAUAUUACCCCUCUAACGUCAUCAUAUUUAAACGGCAACUAAGCUAUGGUGAACGACAUUAUAUUUUGUCAACUUAAGAUGAAUGACUGAUAUACCCUAAAAGUAUUGUAGUAAAUUUGAUAAUAAAGUAUACAAUUGAUAAUUUUCCUAUUUAUAAUUUAUCCCCUUAAUUAUGAGUAAUUUUGUUUUUGUCUUCAUUUGUCCCUUUCCUACAAAACCGUACAAGUUACAUAUAUAAAACAUUCUUCUUUAAUCAAGUUUGGAAUAUUUUCAUCCUUAUGUAAAAUUAUGCAUAUAUCUUUUGAGUUUCUCAAUUGUACUUGAAAAAAAAAAUUACAUUUAAUCACGGUUGGUUAUCCAUAAAAAAUUUUAGGUGGAAAGUUCACGCGUUUUAAAAUUUAAUUGUGGAAUUAUAUUACAUUUAUUAUUUAGUUUCAAUUUAAUCAUGUAUCAAAUUCAUAUUUUAAAACAUGUGGAAAUUUAUAAUAUAUAAUGAUUCUAUGUAAAUAUAUUAUCUCAUUUCUUCAUUCUUUUGUUAUUAGUUCUCCUCCACCACAUUAGAUAUAUUUUGAAGUUUUCUAAUGUAAAUGUUACUAACAAAUACGCAUUGAAUAAUUAUCGGGUAGUUUAUAUUAUAAUUUAAUAAUAGCCACAACAUAAAUGUACAAUUUGGUGAUAGUAAAUGCCAUUACAUGAAAAUGAAAUCAUCAUGUUGCAAACAAGAUGCAACCAAGGGAUUGCAAACAAUGUUAAGUUACUAUUGGGUCACUUGAACUCCUGGGCUCUCUCCUGUGUAAUUUAUAUUAGACUGUCGCGUACAAAACGCAGACAUAUAUAUACAUACAAGUAGUGCUUUGGCAACAGACACAAUAGCCAAGAAGCAGCCCUUGUUUUCAAAUUCAUUCAAAUGCCAGCCUGCAGUUUUGAAUCCUUCAAAUUGUGCUCCACCUUUUGAGGGGACGAUGAAGAGUGAAAGAAGAGACAAAUGGCAGAAAUAUCAUCCAUUGCAAUGCCUCGUUUCUUAUAUUUCCAUGCCCGAACAGCACAUUCCACCAAUCUUUUUGCUGCCUUUUCCCUAUCCACUACUGAAGAAACAAUCUCCACCGCCUCUUGGUUCGAAAUCACAUCCCAAACCUGAAGAACAAUCCAUAAUUGAUCUUUCAAACAUUGACGUUAGUUCAGAUCAAAAGAUAAUUCCAAUAUGUGGAUACGUAUCCCGUCUGAUGCCAGAAUGAUAAAUUGGUCUCGUGUUGUUAUGUUUCUUUGCGUUACAUGGGGCACGGAGAUUAGGCCAUAGUCCUUGACACAGUAAUCACCCAAGGCUCUUGAUAUGGCUAGUCCCGGAGUCUCACCAUUCGGCAUCCAGACUCUGUAUACGCCUGGCUCAUCAUUUAAGCAAAACACAAGCCCUUUGGACUGCGUUAUUCGCUCCGCUUCCUCUGUAUAGGCCAGUGAAGACAAGAACCCGUACGCAGACCUUAAAACACACCCAUAUAUACACCUACACGAGGCAGAAAUAUUUAAGAGACAAUGAGAUAAUUGAGAUCUGAUUGGUAAAAUAUUGUUAAUUAAUAAAAAAUAAUUAAUAUACUUGCUAUUUAAGUAUUUUACUAAUACUUUAAACAUCAGUAUUCAAUGAUGUUAAUAUGUGAUUUUAAUAUUAAAUUUAUGUUCUCAUUUAUAACAGUAUGGUCAUCAGUAUUCACAACACAUCAUAUAUUAAUGUAUGGGUUUAUUAAUAUUAACAAACAUUUAUUUCCAAAUAAAUAUGGUAGCCUUAGUAUUUAAGAAUAUUCUUUAUUGUCUAGUCGUCUGUCCAAGGAAGAACGGGCCAUCAUCAAAUUUAUCAACGGCCUUCUCUAAGUAAUCAAAAGCAGGACCUGUGACAAAUUAAAACUUUUUCCGUGAGUUCAGCACAUAUAUAUACAUAUUCAAAAUGCAUUCCAUUAUAAACAAGUAAGCAAGUUUCAAAUCCUACCAGCUUGUUUUGCUGGGUCUCCUUUGAAUGAAGUAUACACAUCGUUGGUGAAGGUAUCGAUGUGGGAAAACAGUUCAUCAGCAAACUUUCGUUUCUCAGGAUCCUACAAUAUUUUCACAACAUUACUUUACUCAAAGUUGAGAGAGAGAGAGAGAGAGAGAGAGAGAGAGAGAGAAGCUUUUAUUAAAAGCAACAAUGUAAUCAGCAAAAUCUUACAUCAGGUAAAAGUGAAGGCCCUUCAAAAUUGCUGUCAACAUAUUUAAUCAAAUCAAGAGAUUCUCCAAUAACUUUGCCAUUGUGCUCCAGUGCUGGAACCUGUAAAGAACUCUAAUAGGUAAAUAUACUUCAUAACUCCAGCAAUGAUCUCUAAUCUUGCACGAAAGUGUAACAAUCAGUUUAACUCUUUCGUUGUGUUUUCUUGCAAGCAAGCAACUUGCUCAAAUCAGAAUAUGUUAAGAUUUUACUAGGCACACAAAGCACAAAGACACCAUUCCAAUUUUAUUCAGGAACUCCUCCGCACAGAUUACAAGCAUUUCAAUUUCAAAGAUGGGGCAUAAGGACACAGAGUCACAUAAUUAGGCUAUUUGGUAUUGAGGUGCUGUGGUUUUUUUAGCUACAGCUGCCACACGUACCCAAAAAAAAAAAAAAAACUGUAACUAUAAAAUAAAAAUUAAAAAUGCGUAAUAAAUAUGAAUUUUAAAUUAAGAUUUUGACAAAAAUAGUAGAAAUAUUAUAAUUUUACAAAACACUUUAACUCUGUACCUUUUAAUCCAUAGCCGCCCUACCUCAAUACCAAACACAACUAAUCUCUUCCUUUUCUAUAUCUGAAUUGGUCUAUCAACACCUUGAUUAGAAAAAUUCCUAAUUAUUAUUCAGAAACUUUCUAAUACUAUUCAAAAUCUUCCCAGCAGAUUCUAAGCUCCAUGUUAACCAAAAGAAUGCACAUAUUGUUGAUCUAUCAAAUUACUUAAAUGAUCAAUCAAAUAAAAUCAAAUAUUAUUAUUGAUCACACAUCAGCAUCAGCAUCAGCAUCACCUUGUUAACAGGAUAAACCUUCUCCUUGUACCAAGCGGGCCUAUCUUGGAGGUUCAGUGGAACUAACUUAAUCUUGUCUUGUAAUCCCUGCAGCAGCACACCAAAAGUUGUCAAAUUCAAAGAGAGUAUUACGACAAAGGCGAAACGAAUAAACCAUAAAUUACUGUUAUUGUUAUUAUUAUUAUUUUAAUUAAACCUAGAAAGCAGAGACGGGUCAACAGUGAUAAAAAAAAUAUAAUAAAAAUAGUAAAUAAAAAUAAAACCUUGUAGUUCCUGGUGAUCCACACACGCUGAGCAAAUGGGCACGAGUAAGAAAUGUACAACCUGGGAGUUCCAUCGAACAGAGGUGGUAGCUCGGCCUUCGAAUCCAACGGUGGAGGAAGAUUCUCUUGCGCUCUAUCAAAGAUGACACAUGAUCGUUAAAAUAAUGAUCAUAAUUAAUUAUGAAAUUCCAAAAAAAAAAAAAAACCAAAUUCUUGUUGUGGCCAUCGAGGAAGGUAAGACUCUAGAGGUUUCCUGAAUGCUUUUCUUUUGCUUUGAAGAAGAAAGUCAUAUGAUACCGAAAUGUGUCUCUACGCAGAAUGAGUGCGCUUAUAUAUAGAAGCUUUAAAGUAACCUUCUGAAGCCAGCAGUGACGCAAUGCGCACGUGUUAGGGUGUCAUGAUAAUAAUGCAUGUUGCCAAAAAAAAGGGCAAAAUUCUUAUCAGUUUUAGGCAAUUGCCAUGCAUAUUAGUUGGAUUCAAUGGCUGCAAGGGAGAAGCAGUGAGAAUAUCGCUGAUUAAUUAAAUUUGUAUAAUAGAAAAAAUUUGGUAUAUUUUUUUAUGACAUAUUGCUAAAAAUGUGGAGGCUUUGAUAUUAAAAAAGAGUUAUUUAUAAAUAAUGUUAUUAUGUUAUUGUUGAUUAUUAACAAUAAAUUUUUAGGAGAUAUCAUUUGGUUUACAAGUAGUUCAUCAACCGUGUUUAUUAAAAUGUUACAAACAGGAUUACAAAAUAUUAAAUUAUCCUAAACCCAAUUAAUAUCUGCAGGGAUCAGACGACUGUUAGAACAUAUGUUCUAUAAUUUUUCUCUGGAAAAAUAUUAUUUCUUGUACAAACAUAAUAAAUAGCUAUUUAUAACUUAAUAAUUCAAAAAUAGUUAAUUUAUAAAAAGACUAUUCUUGGUGUUAACUAAUGCAGUGGAACUGAUAUAAAUUAACUUAUUGUAAAGAAUUCACUGUAAAGAUAUCAUUUGUUAAUUGUUAAUUAUAAAUAUCCAAUAUUAAAAUUAAUUUCUGAUUUAAUCCAUGAUUGUCAAGCUAUUGUUUUCAUGGUUUACAAUUUUUUAAAAUAGAAGAGGUAAAACAUUAAGUAAAAAGUUUUCAAUCUCGUAUAAAACAAUGUAGAAUGUUUUAACCAAUUCAAAAUUUUUUAUAAUAAAGCAGUUAUUUUCAAAAUUCACAUUAUGUUUCUAUUACUCAUAAAAAAAAAUCCCUUCAAUGAAUGCAGACAUCCUUGAAAGAAACUUCACUACUCUAACAAAAAGGCCAAAAUUUUAGAAAAUGACAGGAAAAGAGAACACCAAUUGUCAACUAGAGUACCCUUUGUGAAAAACACAAUAAUAAAUAGCUGAUAUAUGAUUAGGUUAAUUAAUUGAUUGGAUUGGAAUCAACUUCGGACUGUUUUGCCCUUCCCUGCAGUGCAGCGUAUUAGGUGGCGAAUGAAGUAACUGGCCUCACUAAUUUUAAGUAAAAAGAUUGUUAAUAUUUAACCGCGUCUUAUCAACAUUCUUUGUUUUGAUUAAAAUAUACGACAUCGUUUGCAGAAGAGGCAGCAAGGGCAACAACGUGCCAAGUAUAAUAGACAAAUUUUUUAUCAUAUUAAUUGAGAAGGCUUGAGUUCUGGCCGAUGUUAAUAAAAUUUAAAACACAAAAAAACUGAUAAUGUCACGGCUGGUGAGAUGAUAUAUAAAUAUUAAAAAGAAAAAAAAGAAUUAUCAAUAUUUAAUUUUUGAAGAUUAAACUCAUUAAUUAAAGUGAAUCGUGCAUGCUUUGCUAGCUGAUAUCGCGCGCGCGUGUGUAUGUAUAAAUAUGUUAGAUCAAAUCCAAAGCUAAUUCCAAGUAUUAUAUUAUAUAUAUGUUACUAUUAUUAAUUAGAAUUCCCAAGCUCAAGCUAAUUAAUUGAUGGUAAUCUUUUGGAUGCACUUAAUUGUAAUUAACCGGAUCAAAUUUUGAAACCAAAAUAAUUCACGGGGCAUUCUAGCUUCUAGCUAAUUCAUCCAAAAAAAUAUAAAAUUAUAUAAAAAUAAUAAAAAUACGUGUGAUGUCAGCUUGAUGCGUACAUUCAAAGUUCCAAUUGAAAACAAAUAGAUAUUCAUUUUUCUUGUCAAAUUAUUGAAAGAGACAUCUCUUAAUUUCUUCCAUCACCAGCAACGGUUGAGUGACCUUGUCUUACAUUGUGCAGCAGCCUCCUCGAAGUAAAAAAAAAAAAAAAAUAUAGCCCAUUAUCUUGGCUUUUGGCUGGAUCCAAAUUUUUGUUAAAUACAAAUAAAUAUAAUAUCAAAUUAAAUAUUCCAAUAAACCUUCUAAUAUCUUCUUUGAACAGUUUUAUUUUUAUUUUAUGAGGGAAGAGUAAACCAUUAAAACUAUAAUUCAUCAUAAAUUUAUUGUGCCAAUUUUUUUUUAAAUCCAUAAUUUUGUGAAAUAUAAAUUUUAAGAAUUGAAAAAUAUCAUUAUAGCUUUCAUAUCCAAAGUUAAUUUUGAUAUUUUUGUACAAAUACAUAAUCUUCAAAUGUGGAUAAUGUAAAAGAUGAAAAUUGUCAAAUUAUUAGAUAAUUGUUUUUACAAAAUUUUAACGAUCAGAAAAAUCUUAAUUUAUAUGUCUUAGUUUAAAGAAUUGGUAUUAUCAAAUGUUACUUAAAUGUAAAUAUAAUAUAAAUAUUUUAUGUAUUUAUAUGUUACGUUUAUGAUUUGGUCACUGUUUAUCUAAAUUUUAAUAAAAUCAGACAUAUUUAUGUAAUUUACUCAUUAAAAAAAAAAUCCAUGAUUUAAUUUGCAAUGAUCAAAUUGUUGUAUUUUGUCAUAUCAAAAUACAUAUUUUUGUACAAUUACCCAUUAAGUUUAUGCUACAAUCAAGCUAUUUAUAAUAUAAGUGUGAUUUUUGAAUUUAAUAUUGAUAUUAGUAUUAAAUAUGAUAAUAAAAAAAUAUUUUAUUAGAUAUUAAUUGGGUCAUUUGUGUUAUUGUUUUUAAAAAUUAAUGACCUGCAACAUUAAUUGUCAAUAAUGGGUUUUUUUAAAACAUGCUGGUGCCCGGAUGUAAAUGCCGGUACCUCCCAAGUCAGUAGCCUUAUUAUAAUCCCGUCAGCAUAUUGGCCUGCCCCUGUACCAUUACUCCAAUUGAUGCUGAAAAUAUAACAACAUCAGUGACCGCGUUGUCGUUUCCCGUGAUGUUUAUUCCGAUGCCGGAGAAAUCCUUUUCGCGAUCAUCCCCGCCGAUGUUGAUGUGUUGGCCGAUGAAGGAAUUUCUUAUAUACGUUUCGUGGCCAUCUUGGAUGGAAAUGCCAGCGGUAGUGAAAUGCGAAACGUAACAAUUGUCCACUGUGGUUCUUAUUGAAUUUAUAAUGGCAAUGCCGCCACCCCUAAAAUUGGAGUCCAACAUAAGCUCCUUCAAAGUAAUGUAUUCGUAUAAUGACGAUGAUGAUGACGAUCUUAACUCUAUGAGAUGUCCGUUGCCCGAAAAAUCAUCCGAUGCUCGGAGGGACCCACCGUGUAUCUAUGUAUACAUAUAUAGAUGUUAAAAGUAAGAAUUAAAAGUAAGAAUUAAAUUUUAAAUUAAUAUGUGAUUUGGUAUGAUUCCUGGCAUUUUGUAUUCGGUUUUGUAGUCCUUCAUAAGACUGGCAAAAAUCAUUAUCAAUUAAACAUUAUGUUGUUAUAUUUUUUUAUUAUAUUUUUUUAAUGAUCUUUAUUUUAUUUGCUUUAAACAAUAUCUAUUUUUCAAAAACAAUACUUUUGACAAACAAACCCUAAAGUGAUGAAAGAGAAAGCAUGCAUUUUGCACAUGUUUAUAAAAACAAGAGAGUAUAUUUAAUCUCAAUCUGUAAUUCUGUAUAAUGUAUUAUUCUUAAGUUUGAAUCAAAUUAUUCUUGAUUCCAUCCGCCAAUCCAUCUCGGGCCAUUGAAUUAUGCAUAGCUAUUAUGGUAAUGGUCUCUUUAUUCUCCUCACAAUCAAUUAAUUGUGAUGACCAUACUGUUCUCACGAUUCUCAACCGCAAAAAAUUUAAAUAUUGUAUUGUACAUUUUUAUAAACAAAUUUUAUGUCAUCUCCAUUAUUGUGGAAUUUUAAUAUCCUAAUACAAUAUUAUGAUAGUAAUUGGGUCAAUAUGGGUAUUGGAUCAUAUUAUCGUUAUAAAUAUUAAUUUAUUAUAACUGAGUGUGUAAAGUAUCUUUUUUUAUUGUUGUACCAUAUUUAACUUUUGGCUGCAAAUAUAUAUAUAUUUAGCAUUAUUUAUAUCAAUAAGUUAAUAUAUAUAUCCUUUUCUUUAACAUCAAAUUUAAGUUUUUAAAAAGUUAUGAUAAUUCACUAAUUUGGUAUUUAGGAAAUUAAAUCCAUAUCAAUUUAUUAGAUAUCUUAAACCGUAUGUAAAAAUAGAAUAUUGACCAUUAUUCUAUUAGUAAUAUAUCCAUUAAAGAUUUUGACGUGCUAUGGUCUAAAAAAAUUAACUUGGCGGGAUGUUAUGAUUAUAUUCAAGGUGAUAGGGAAGAAAGUUAUGAGGAGACCCCAUUGAAGCCUAUAUAUUAUAGUAUGCAUAAAGACUCAAAAUGUGCACUUGAAAUAACAGUUGUCACUGACAGGUUAAGAUAAACUACCAAAUUGGCACUUAAAGGAAGAAAUUCUAGUAUUAGUGUCAUAUUUUAUGCCAUAUUAUGUAAUGCAUAUUAGUAAUGAUUUCUUCAUAAUAUCGCAGAUAUAUAAAAGUUCAUCUAGCUAGAUGCAUUGUAGAUUUUGUGAGAAUUAUUUUAUUCCGUCCAAAUGAGUUCACAUUAUUAUCCAAUUUUCCUUUUUUUAAGUUGAUUUAUGAAAGAAAAAAAAAAUGACACCAAUGUUUUCCACGUCGCCGCAAGUCUCAUCGAUAAAAGUCCAUCUACAAAUUAGUUCAUAAUUCUUUUUGUAACUUCGCUAAAAGCUAGUCAAGUCAUUGCUAGCAAGCCUCAAAAGCACGAAGUACGCGAAUCACGGCGAUAACUGAUAAUAACUUGGUUGUCCGGUUUCGCAUACUAAUUAGCUUGAUUGAAAAUCGUGAAGUAUGGGGCACGACUAACGCAACGCAUACGUCUCAUGCAUUAGGCAAAUAUUGUACGCGACCCAUGUUGAGAGCACAAAUCCACUAUCUACAAGUACUAUAUAUAGAGCUGCAAUGCGUGCUUCAAGUAUUCACAACUUACCCCCAGCUGGCUAGCCAGCCUCUAUAAUUUGAAGGGAAAAAAAAAAAAAAAACAACAACCUUGUUCAACUUGCAAAUACCUACCAAUUAUUAUGGAGAAAAGCUUUGAUAUCAUUGCCCUGUCUAUGAUCAUUCUGGUGACUUAUUCAUCUAAAAUGGUGUCGGUCGCCGGCCGGUCGCUGCAUGAACCAUCCAUUGUUGAGAAGCAUGAAAAAUGGAUGGCUGAGCAUGGGCGCACUUACAAGGACGACCUGGAGAAGGAAAAGCGGUUUAAGAUAUUCAAAGAAAACCUUGAAUACAUUGAGAAAGCCAAUGAGGAGGCGAAUCGGACGUACAAGUUAGGCACCAAUGAAUUUUCAGACUUAACUAAUGAGGAGUUUCGUGCUUCAUAUACAGGAUACAGGGUGCCAAGCCAGUCAUCUUCAUCACGGCAAUCCACAACAGCAUCCUUCAAGUAUCAAAACCUGACUGACGUUCCAACUAGCAUGGACUGGAGAGAGAAAGGAGCUGUCACUCCUAUUAAGAACCAAGGUCAAUGUGGUAAGUAAAUCGUAUACUAAAUAUUUAUGAAGUAACUAUAAUAGAUUAUUUAGCCUCCAACCUCUUUCAGAACUCAAACUCAGUUGACCAUCAGCUAAUUAAUAAAAACAGCUUGACAACCGUCUGCCAAACCCCUGCUGGGGCAUGUUUCAUGUAACUUAAUCAAGCCUUUUUUUUUUUUUUCCUUAAUAUGUACGAUGCAGGAGACUGUUGGGCAUUUUCAACUGUGGCGGCGGUGGAAGGGGUGACUGAGAUUAGUAGUGGUAAUCUUAUUCCACUUUCGGAGCAGCAAAUACUAGACUGCUCAAUAGAUGGUAACCGUGGAUGCGGUGGCGGUUGGAUGGACAAUGCCUUUAAAUAUAUUAUAAAAAACCAGGGUAUUGCCUCAGAAGCGGAUUAUCCAUACAAGGAAGUCCAAGGGACUUGUGAAGACGCACAGGUCAAGGCAGCUGCUAAAAUUAGUAACUUUGAAGAUGUAAAACCCAAUGAUGAGCAGGCUUUACUCCAAGCUGUAGCCAUGCAGCCAGUAUCAAUUUGCAUUGAAGGAAGUGGACCAGACUUCCAGAGUUACAAAGGCGGUAUUUUUAACGGAGGAUGUGGAACUCAGUGUUCUCAUGCUGUUGCUAUCGUUGGAUUUGGGGCAACUGAAGAUGGAAUGAAGUAUUGGUUAAUUAAGAAUUCAUGGGGGGAGAGCUGGGGUGAGGCCGGCUACAUGAGGAUUCUCAGAGAUGUUGAAGCACCUGAAGGUCUCUGUGGCAUUGCCACUAAACCUUCCUACCCAGUUGCAUGAGUAGCAGUAUUUUAUAUUAUAAAUAGCCGCCUCUUAAUAAUGAUGUCUUCAAGCCUACACAUGCAUUAGCCUCGAAAGGCUUAUACGAACCGUAUGAAUCGUAUGAUUCUGUGGUUUUACCUAUGUUGAGUAUUUCAUAAGUUGUAAUUGAACGCCAAUAUUUGGUAUUAGUUAAUGUUAAAUCUCUCGUUUAAAUAUAAGUUUGAUCUUUGCAGUAAUUAGUCAUUUACAUUUAAUGCCACGGAUACUCAAUUCGACCAAGAAAUACAUAGUUUAUAUCUUAGUUACUCUGAUAUUUUAUGUGGCAUGUUAUAUGUCGUUCAUUGAUUAAGUUGUAAGAAUAGUAUGUAAAUAAUUAAUAAUAAAUUUAUUUAUUAUCAUUUAUGAGACAAUAAAUGAUUAGUGGAACAUUAAUUAAAAUACAAACUAUUAUUAUUUAUUUAAGAAAUAUAUAUUGGUCAAUGAAAUUAAUGCAAGACAAAAAGUAACUGAAUUUUGAUUACACGCUUGAUGUCUGGAAGUACAAUGAUUAUGAAUUUGUGUUAAAUUAGGUCAAAGUUUUAAGUUAAAAUAAUCAAACCUAUAUACUCACACUAACUUUUAAAGUUUGAGUGGAAUUUGCCCGCUUUAAUUGGGGUCUCAUACAGCAAAAAAAUUUUGGCCAUCUUGAAUUUCUUUUUCUAAUUACUUAUAAAAAUUUAAAGGCUUGGUAAUUUCCCUCCCCCAAAUUCUGUCUUUAUUCCUAAGUAAAUUAGUUAGUCAUUAUUUCAAUAAUUAAAAUUAUUCUAAGUUCUAAAUUUUGGGCGUGGAGGGAAAGUUAAGCGCAAGUAGCCGUGACUGAUUAAUAUUAAACAAUAUAAUUUAAUGCAUUUUUAUUCUUCAUCUAUUUUUUUAAUAUUAGUUUUUGAACAAAAUAGUAGAACGAUAGUUAUAAUUUAUUAAUCAAAUUUUUUUACUUUCAUAUCCAUAUUAUAUUGUCAGUAAUAGUGUCAUGUAAUGAUAAUUAAAAGUAUUAGGAGAUACUUUUAAAAGUCGACCGCCUCAUCAAAAAAUCAGGAUGGCCAAGUGGUCUAAGGCGCCAGACUCAAGUUCUGGUCUUCGAAAGAGGGCGUGGGUUCAAAUCCCACUUCUAAGUAAUUUUUUAUUUUUUAUUCAUUUUUUUACAACGUUACGACUAAACGACGUCAUUUUCAUUAAACGGCAAGUCGUUUCAGUCGUCUUCUUUAACGGAAUAAAAAAUAUCUAAACCGAAGACCAAUGUUUCCAAACCCGCUGUAAACCCUACAGAUAACCCUCAUUGCCACUCGCAUCACUGAGUUCUUAACCUGAGUUAAAAUGGCCGAGUCCGCAUCCGAACUCAGUGAGUUCCGGAUUUUUCCGGCGGACUCACCGCCACCACAACCGAAUUCAACCGGAGUUCCGGUUCAUAAUCUAACACCAGAGGAGCUCGUGGCCAAAGCCAUAGCUCCAGUUAAGAAACAGUUUCUUCGUCAUUAAAUUCCAAAAUAAAUUUUAACAUAAUAAUUAAUUCUUUUAAUAGAUAAAAUUGUCUAUAUGCACGAUUGAAUUCAGCCCCAAAAUGUUAAUUAAAAAACAAUUAUCCAAUAUUCAAGAUAGUUUGAAUCGUCAUUCUCAUAUCGUUAUAAUGUCAUGAAAUAAUUGUACAAAAACAAAUGACCAAUAAAUUCACAAACGUAUAAUAUUGCCUAAUGUAAAUAACUUAUUAAUUAAUAUUGAUAUAUUAUUAAUUACUUAAUGUUUUACCUUUUUAUAAAACAUAAAAUUAUGUUUACUUCCAUUCAAGAUAUCCCAAAAAAAUUAAUCUUUUUGGAUGAUUCAUAAUUUUCAAGAGGAUGUUUUUACACCAUACCAUCGUCAAAUUGAUAAGGGCCAUGUUAUUUUUUAUUUAAUUAAUUUAAAUUUCAACUAGAGAGCUAUUGGAAUCGAUCACUGUAAAAGUUAAGUUGUGAUGUAAUCACACAAUCUUGAGAUCUGCUAUUAGAAAAAUAAUUGAAGAACCAAAUCCCAAUGAAAAUACAUCCAAAAUGAUGUCGUUUUGAAUUUGUUCCAAAAAAAUAAAAUAAAAUCAAACUCACUAAAAAACAACAUGUGUGUUUUUGUUAACCUUUUAUCGAGUUUUAAUUUAAAUAUUUAUCAUGUACUUUUAUAUUCUAUUCAGGACCGGCUCAACCAUAUUUGAGGCCUUAGGCAAAUGGUUUUAAUUAGUUUUUCUUAAAAUUUAAGACAAAAAAUAUGUAUAUUAGUUAUGAGUGAUGAUACAGCCACAAACUCUUGUACAAAUUGACGUGGUAUUAAUUUAUUGGUUGAAUAAAAAUAUAAAAUAAUAAAAACAAAAUCACGUGAGCCAAGUGAUAUUUAAUUCAACCAAUCUUAUCAUGCCACAUCAGUUUAUACAAGAGUUUGUGGUUAUAUCAUUACUCAUAAGUUAUAUAAUAUUUAUUGAAAAUCAAUUCUUCAAACACUCUCUAAAAUGUAAAAUUAUUAAAUAAAAUUAUAUUACACUAUUGUCAAUCCUUGAAAUUUUAAUUCAAUUAUAAUAUUUUUACUUUUUUUUAACUCAAAUUACAUCUUUUAUACUACUUCUUUUCUACAUUAAAUUAAUUUUUUUAUUCUUCUAUUUUCUAAAGUUUUUUUAUAUAGUUAUUUAUUUCACAAUAGAAAAAAAAGCACACAAAAAUAGUAGAUGAAUAAAAGAAUGUAUUAAAAAGAAAUAAGAACACAUAAAUAAUACAAUUAAUUAAGAGAAUAAUAAAAAAUAAAAUCUGAAAUUUGAAAUUUGAGAUGAAAUCAUAAAUUAACUUUAUCUUUAUAUUAAUUAUUUGAAGAUUUGAGUAAUGACUAAUAGCCAUAGAGAAUAGAAAAAAACUAUUAGAUUUUUUCUUUUUUUUCUUGAGUGGAAAGUAGAGGAAGCAAGAUUUUUUUUCCCCUCUCUCUCUUUCUUUCUCUCAAAAACGAAGAACAUAUGGUGUCUUCAUUGUUAGAAGAAAAAUUUAAUGGAUAAGUAAUAAAAUGUGGGGCUUUUAUAGAGGUUUAAAAUGAAUAUAAAACUUUUUAAUUAUAAGUUGUUAAUUCUAACAAUGAAAUAUCAAAUUUAUAGGAUUGAAACUAUUAAUUUAUCGGUUUUGUAGGAAUUAAAACUACUAAGUACUACAUUAAAUAAACUUUAUAGGAACUCGGUAGUUUAUUUGAGAAAAGAUAAUUACAAAAUAAUAAUAAAUUAGAUGCAUAAUAAUGAUUUUUAAAUUCACUUUCCUCUUUUAUAUACAAAAUAAUCAUCUUAUAGGAUCUUCAUGUAAAGUAGGGCCCUAAGCAACCGCCUAAGUUGUCUAGAGAUCGAACCGCUACUGAUUCUAUUACUAAUUUUGAAAUUUUCAGACAUAUUUAAGCUCCACUAUUUUAUUUUUUUAAUCAAAAUAGUAUGUUUAUUAAUAAUGAUUAUAAAAAAAAGAUAAUGAUUCAAUAAUGUUGUUUAUAUAUAUUGAAUCAACUUUAAAAGUCAACAUUUACUUUACACACUCAUAUAAAUGCUAAAAUAACCCUUUAUUUAUUUAUUUUUUUAAGGCUGUAGAAUGUAUUCAUUACAAAGAUAGAGUAAAUUUAAUUUGUGGUAUUCAAAAUUUGAUGAUUACAAUUUUUGAGUUGAUGGUCUUAUGCUUCAUAUUUGCAUUAAUUUUAUGUUUAAUGGUAGAAUUAUCAAGCUCAAUGACAGUGAUUUCAUGUAAAGCUUUAUUUCCUAAUUACAAUUUUAAGUUAAUGGUCCUAGAUUUCAUAUUAACAUUAGUUUCAUAUAUCUUUUAGGUUCAAUAUUAAUGAUUUCAUGUAAUACUCAAUGAUUUCUAGUUUAAUGAUUACAAUUGUAAGUUGAUGGUCAUAUAUUUCAUGCUUAAUAGUAGAAUUAUAUUAAUGGAUGAAGCUGUUGCUAUCAUUUACAUUAAUAUUUAUUUCCUGGAACUCAUUUAUAGCACAUCUCAAUGUCAUUAUUUAAAAAUUUAAAUUGAUGGUUGGUUUUGUAUUCAUUACAUCGGAUGAUUUAUAUUUAAAUAAAUUAUUUCAAUCUCAUAUCGUUUUAUUAUGGGUGAUUUUAUAUCCACAUUAAAAUUUUUAAAGUUGUUAUCAUAACUUUUUAAAAUCAGAGUUGUGUUUAUUUAUCAAUUUAAAACGUCAAUAAUCUACUAUUGGCUUAACAAUUGAUAUUCUCAUUUGGGAAUCAUCAAGAUUUUAAAAUUUUUCAAAGCCCCCAUGCUCAAUUUAUACGCAAAAAAGAGGGGGGGGGGGGUGGGUGGUAAGAUGCAUGAUCAGAAAUGAAUUUGGCAAGUAUUUGAUUGAGUUGAGAGGUCACUAAUCUCACUUAAUUUGCGAAUCACAAUAUGAUUGUUUUCAAUCGGCACCAAAACGAAGGGCUGGUUUUGGUUAUUAUAGUGCCUUGUUCUAUGAAGGAUUUUGGUUACCCACAUAUGGGAUUGAUCUUUGCUUCUACUCAGUAUAAAUUCUUGAAUUAUACUAUAUAUGGGAUUGAGACUUUCGUUAAAUUUUAAUUUAUAAUAUUUUUCCGGAGAAAAGUAAUUAGCAUGAAACACAACAGCGGUGAAUCAUCUCAUUUUUCAAGAAAUAAUAUUUGUCAGAGCUUUUUUUUUAUAUUAGUUUAUAAUUAACUUUUUUUUUUAUAUUAAUCACGAGGUAUCCUGGGGAGGGCCCCAACUGUGGGAGGCACCUUUAAGCCCGUACCACAACCCAGACUAGAAGUCCCCGCUCGAACCGGGAGGCACAGGUUCUCCCAACAAAGGCGACUUCCCUGCGACUCGAACUGGGGAGCAAACCCAGUCAAGCCACUUAAGGGGACUCCAUUGCCAGUGGAGCCAACACUUUGUUGGUUGUUUAUAAUUAACUUUAAUAUGUAAUAAUAUAGCAUAUUCUGGGAAACCUGUUGGGAUAAUUGUUUUUAAUAUUAUUAUGAUAUUACGCAUGAUUGGCAGUCGCAACUCAUCAUCAUCAUCAUCUGAAACCAUAUUAACAAACAUUUAUUUAACAAUAUUCUUUAUGUAAACAGGAUUACCCUAAACCCAAUUAAUAUCUGCAGGGAUCAGAUGACUGUUAGAACAUAUGUUAAAUUUGUAUAAUAUAUGAUUUAAAAAUUUAAAAAAUAAAUUUUUCUUUUUUGGAGAUAACAGUUGGUAUAUUUAUGAUUAGUAAAACUAAAAGUUUUAUUUUUAUUCUAUGUGCUCCAUCAUGGCAGUAGUUAUUUUUUUUGCGAUUAAACAUACUAUUUUGAUUUAAAUGGAUUACAAAAUGGCACAUUUUUUUAACCCUUAACAGUUGGUAUUUUUUUUUAAUAAGAUUAUUAAUGCAUCAAGUAAUCUUGUUUUGAUGAUUGUAACUCGUGACUGCGGGACAAUUUCUAAUGGAAACAACUCAAUUUCGGAAGAAAACUUAAUUUUGCAAGUGAUGAAUUUGAACUCGUUGGAUUGGUUGAUUUAUGAUCGACUGAAUUUCACUUUUCCUCAUAAGAUCUUUAACCAAAGUUUAAUAGCUAUCAUGUACUCCUUAAAAGCAAUUUUUUUUUAGAUUUGACUGAAUUUGAACUUGUUGGAUUGGUUGCUUUUAGAUUAUUAAUAUGAGAUAUUACAACGUAAAUAUUUUCAUGUGGUUGAGCCCUAUUCUAAAAUCUGUAUAGUUAGCUUUAGAAAGAGGGCUUUUCCUGCUGAUCUGUAAUCUUGAAAUAAACUUAGAUAUAAAUAAUGAAAUAAAAGACAACAAACAAGCAAUACUGAUACAAAGCCAACAGAUCAGAGUUUUUGGUACAAAUCCAAUAAAAGACAAUAAACUUAGGACCUUUUUUUCUUGCUUUCUUUUGUUGAAGGAUUAGAGUUUUUGGUAUUAUCAGUAAAGGUUUCAAGGAGUAAAGCCUAUAAACUUUUUUUUUGGGGGGGGCGCCGCCGCGGGGAUUUUACACCAUACCAUCGUCAAAUUGAUAAGGGCCAUGUUAUUUUUUAUUUAAUUAAUUUAAAUUUCAACUAGAGAGCUAUUGGAAUCGAUCACUGUAAAAGUUAAGUUGUGAGGUAAUCACACAAUCUUGAGAUNNNNNNNNNNNNNNNNNNNNNNNNNNNNNNNNNNNNNNNNNNNNNNNNNNNNNNNNNNNNNNNNNNNNNNNNNNNNNNNNNNNNNNNNNNNNNNNNNNNNGAAAAAUUAAGUUUUCAUAGAAUAAAAUGGUACGAUUUUUAAUUGAACAAUUGAGUGCAAUCAGUAACAAAGGCUUUACAUAUGCAAGUAAAAUUUGUAGGUUGCUUCAGAAAAAAAGGGCAUUUCUCACUCAUCUUUAAUCUGCAAGUAAAAUUAGCUACAAAGCAAAUCUAAUAAAAUGACAAACAAAAGAACAAAACAAAGAAAAGACAGGAGGCAAACAACAUUGAUCUUAAGCCAACUGAUAAUUAAACAGAGAAUUCUUUUUUUUUUUUUUUUUAACCUGUUGCUCAAGGAUUAGAGUUUUUAUAUUAACAGAAAGGUUUAAGGGGUCUGAAUAAAAGCCCACAAUUUCUCUAUUUUAUUUUUAUUUUUAUUUUUUGAAAGGAGCUUCACUAUUGGCCUUGAAUAUAAAAGAAUGAGCAAAAGAUCAAUGUCAACUGCCGAGGAAUGUGAGUAAAGAUUUCAUCAGAGUAAGUAAUACAAAUGAAUUGUAAAAGAACAAGACUUAAGCGUGCACCCCGUGUUUUGUUUUAUUGUACGUAUAAACAUAACAUGUUCAUUUUUAACAAAGUGGUCAAUAACUCUUUUUUUUUGGUACAAAGACGUGCCUAGCAUAGACUAGGGCAAAACAAAACGGGGGUGUGAAACCCCAAUACAAUCAUGACGAAUCCAAAACCCAGCCCCUAAAGGAAGAGAAUUGAAAAGGUGCAAUUCAACAGGUAGUGAAAGAGCAGAGUUUGCAGGAAAGUCAGCUGCAAAAUUUGAUUCUCUGUAAACAUGCUUGACCUGCACUUGCCAGGUUCUGUUAAGCAAUUCCUUAAUACCCCUGACAAGAGAAGCAUGUGCAUUUGGCCUAAUCUCGUCAUCCGCCACCAAACGAGUAACACAAAGGCUGUCAACCUCCACCUGAAGCUGCCGAAUUCCAUUAUCCCAAGCCAUACAUAACCCUUGAUAAAGGCCCCAUAACUCAGCACCAAUGAUGGUAACCACACCAACAUUCAUUCCAAAACCAAUUAUCCACUCUCCAUAACAGUUUCUAAUCAAGCCACCCGUACUAGACAGACCAGAACUUUUACGAGCUCCAUCUGUGUUGAGUUUAAAACAAGGCCAAGUAGGUGCCACCCAUCCAAAAUAUUUCUAAAUCUUCAUGGCAGCAGGAACCAAACAACUCUGAUUAACCUUUUGAAUUUCUUCUGUACGGAUCUUAAUAUCCAUUACAACAGUACUCUUGCUGGUAAAAACACCAUUAUGCAGAUUUUGGUAACGCCAAAACCAAAGCCUCCAAACUGUGACCCCAAAAAGACACGGCCAGUCAAACAUACCAUCAUACUUCCACAAGUUCCUCAAAUUAUAUAACGCCCAAUCUCGGAGAUUCAAACUAAAAAAUUGAUGACUAAUCCCAUGGGGUAUCAAUGACGACCAUACAUGCUUAGCACUGGGGCAAUCCCGCAGCACAUUAAGAGUAUUUUCAACAACACAGCCACACCUUGCACAACUCAUAUCAUCAACAAUAUGUCUCCGGAAAAGUUCUGCUUUAGUUUUAAGUCUAUUUUGACCCACCACCCACAGAAAGGUUUUGAUAUGUUGGGGACCUCUCCACUGCCAAAGAAUGCGCCAAAAGGAUUCUUCAUUGUGAACCUCCAUUUUUGACAAAGCCCUAUAUGCUGAAUUAGUAGUGAAAUCUUCUGACUUAGAAUAUGCCCAGUACAUGUAAUCAUCCUCAUCAUUUACACUGGGAGGCUUGGUGGCUGCAAUUUUGAGAAGUAAAUGAUGGGGAAAUAAAUUCUCAAAAAGCCGCCAAUUCCAAGUACCCUCAACAGUGAUAAACCUCGCCACACACUCCUCAAGCUGCUGUAAACGUAUCGGCUGCAAAGCGAAAGUAUACAAAGGGUAUUCCUCUGUUACCCAAUUAUCCCACCAAAAUCUAACUCGGUUGCCAUUUCCAAUGUCCCAUUUGAUCCCUUUUAAAACCUCAUGCCAAAUGCCUCCCACAGCCUUCCACAUGUAAGAGCCAUAUUUCGUAGGUAAUGUGCCGGGGAGGGCUUUAGGAGCCAGCCCAUACUUAGACAAGAGAACCUUCACCCAUAAACUAUUUGGAGAAGCAAUUAAAACCCACCCAAUCUUCAUGAGCAGAGCAUCAUUCAUUAAAUUAAGCUGCUUAAGACCAAGGCCUCCGCUAGGUUUCAGUUGACAUAUUGUAUCCCAUUUCACCAAACUGAUUUUCUUCUUGUCUGCUGCCCCGCUCCAAAUAAACCUCCUACAAGCCUGAUCAAUUUUCUCCCGAAUACCAAACGGAAUCUUCGUGGUCUGCAUUGCAUAAAUAGGAAUUGCCUGGAUUACCGAUUGAGUGAGAGUGAUCCUACCCGCCAAGGACAAAUGUAUCGCAUUCCACCCCGACAAACGUUGGUUCACUUUGUCCAAAAUUCCCUGAUAAGUCAGCUUAUUAACCCGUGAAUGAAUAAUUGGCAUUCCUCAAUAUUUCCCUAGGUUUUUUGUGACAGAAAAACCCAAGGAAUCACCAAUUUCCUUAGCCUCAGCAGACUUUAUGUUGUGGGAGAAAAAAACUUGUGUCUUUGUUUUACUAACUUUCUCUCUAGAGCUCAUACAACAAACAUUCAACACUUCAUUAUAACCAUUGCUUGCCUACAGGAAGCCUCUGCAAGCAAGAUAAGAUCGUCAGCAAAAAAUAAGUGAGAUAAAGAGGUACCUCCACGAGACAGUUUAAUAGGUUUCCAGUGCCCUCUCUUCACAGCGUCAUUUAUUCCAUGGCUUAACCUUUCUAUACAUAACACAAAGAUAUAUGGGGAAAUGGGGUCUCCCUGUCUAAUACCCCUAGAAGGGGUAAAAAUCUCUGUAAUUUCUCCAUUCCAUAGAAGUUGCAUAGUCGCCGUUGUAAUACAUUCCAUAAUAAGCCGAACCAAAAUAGUAGGCAAUCCAAACUCCCUCAAGGUUUCAUAAAUAAAAUCCCAGCUUAAACGAUCAUACGCCUUUUCCAAAUCCACCUUAAUGGCCAUCUGCCCAAUCCUCCCUUUCUUACGUCUCAUCAAAUGAAUAACUUCCUGAGCAACCACUAUGUUUUCCGUUAUGUGUCUCCCCCGGAUAAAACUAGUCUGGGUAGGUCCAAUGAGGUCAGGCAAGAUAGAUUUCAGCCGGUUAGCUAAUAACUUAGUGAUAGUUUUAUAGAUAACCGGGCAAAGACUAAUCGGACGAAAAAGCUUAAGGCUAAUAGGAUUAUCCGACUUAGGAACCAACACAAUCAGAGUUUUGUUCAACUCCUUAGGGAUCUCGUUGCCAUUAAAAAUACCUUUUAUAAGACUACAGACAGAUUUUCCCACUACAUGCCACUGGGUCUGGUAAAAGAGAGCAUGCAACCCGCCUAUUCCAGGGGCUUUCAAAGCCUUCAUGCCGAAGAUCACAUUCUUAAUUUCCUCAUCCUCCACUGCUUGUCCCAAAGCUUGCAUUCGACUUUCCUCAAGGACUGGGAAGGCGUUAACAACAUGGUAUGGAUGAUAGAUUGCAUCCUCUUUGGAAUAGAGCUUUGAAAAGAAGGACACAGCAUAAUCUCUAAUCUCAUCAUUAUUCAACAACCAAUAACUCUAUUCGUUAUGAAAUUGAUAUUGUACCCAAUUUUAAGAGAGCAUAAUAAUAACCAUUCAAUGCAUAAAUUUAGAAUUAGGAUUUUUUUGUAAUUCUUUAUUUAAAUAUAAGCUUCAAUGGAAAAUUAUAAAAAUUUAGAUAUAAAAUUUUAAAUCACCAGACCAAAAAAAAAAAAAAAAAAAAAUAGGGGAACGGAAAUAGAGGAAUCUUGCUUUACCUUUUUUCCCUUUAACUCUUGUUCUUAUAUAAAUAAUUUUGUUUUGAUGAUUGUAACUCGUGACUGCGGGAAAAUUUCUAAUGGAAACAACUCAAAUUCGGAAGAUAAGCUUAAUUAUGCAAGUGAUGAAUUUGUUCAAUUGACUCUGUACUUGAACUAGUUGGAUUGAUUGAUUGAUGAUUGACUAAAUUUGAAUUAAGUUUAAUUGCUUAGCUAUCAUUUACUCCUUAAACGCAAACGUAAAUAUUUUCUUGUGGUUGAGCCCUAUUCUCAAAUCAGUAGGUUGCCUUUGAAAAAGGGCUUUUCUCACUGAUCUUUUUUUUUUUUCUUUAAUUCACACGCACUUGAUUAUUGAAUUCUUUCAUGAAGAAAUAAACUUGUAAUGACUUAAAGAUUUAAUUUCAAGUUAGAAUCAAUACCAAAAGACGGAGGUUUAACAAAGCCGUUUAGUGUGAUAAAAGUACUUUAAAAAAUGUUGUUCGACCCAAUUAAGUUGAAGAAAUAAUAAAGUUUUCAUGGAAUAAAUACCGGUUGUGCCUUAAUGAUUUUGGCAUAGACGUUGCUUGUGUACUGUGAAAUUGAAAUGAAUAUUAAGUGACUGCGCGAUGUAUAUGCCUAAUAAAAGAUCAGCAAAAGCUUGGAUGAAUGUUUGAGGACCAAAACUUUUAUAAAAGCAUUUUUGAGAGAAACUAAACACCAAAUUAUCAAAGUAAGAUCAACAGUAUAUGAUUUGAUUUAUACAUAUUCAAAAACAAAAUAAUGAUUAAUAAUAAAGUUUGAUUUUGUAUUGCCAACGAUGCUUUUUUGUUGUUUCAUUUGUUCGACGUGGCCUUAUUUACAAAUUGGUUUAUGUUAACAGAAACAUGAAAUUCACAUUACACAAAAUUGCAAGAACAAAUAUUAAGAGAACGUAAUAAUAAUUACUCAAUGCGUAAGGAUAAAUUUAGAAUUACAUAUUCUUUUUUAUUUAAUAAAGUCCCAACGGGAAAUCAUAAAAAUUUAUAUAUAAAAGCUUUCAACCACCAAACAAAAAACAGGGGGAAUGAAAACACAGGAACUUGUUUUAACUUUUUUUCAUCUAACUCUUGUUCUUAUAUAAUAUUUUCCCUAGUAUUUCAGGCAAAAAAAAAAAAAAAAAAAUCAAUAAAGAGCAAGUUGCUCAAAUUGAUUUAUCUUGUUUUUCAGGCAAUCUUGUGAUAUGAUGAUAAAGCUCAUGAAUGCUAGAAAACUUCUAAUGCAAACAACUCUAUUUGGGAUGAUAAGCUUAAUUUUACAAGCGAUAAAUAUAAAUAACUUUUUGUGGUUAAUUGAAUUUGUAAUUACUCUUAGCCCUAUUCUAAAAUUUGUAGGCUGCCUCAAAAAAGAAUAAAAAAAAAUUUCUUACUCAUCUUUAAUCUUCAAGUAAAAAAAAAAUCUAAUAAAAUGAAAAACAAACAAACAAGUAAAAGACAGCAAACAAACAACAUUUAACCAACUGAUAUUUAAACAGGGAAUUCUUUCUUCUUCUUCCCCCCCCCCCCCCCCCCCCCCGGGCUCAUGGAUUAGAGUUUUUGCUAUUAACUGAAAGGUUUCAAGGGUCUGAAUAAAAUCCCAGACUUUUUUUUUUUAAUUAACCAAAGCCAUAUAAUAAGAUCACAGACUUUUAACAAUGAACAAUAAUUUGAAACUCAAGCAAAACCAAUGACAAGAUUAAAACAAACCAGAGAAAUUUUUUCUUGGAAAGUAGAUGAAAACUAAGUAAGAACUGCUAUUAAAGGAUAUUAUUAAAGGAUUUAGAACAUGUAUACCUCUUUAUUUAUAUGGGAUCAGAGAGUCGAUGACCUCCUCUAUUCGCUUCGGAUAUUAAGUAAGAAUUGCUAUCAAAAGAAUGAAUUGAUGAGAGUAAUAACAAUGAAUUGCAAAAGAGGAAGACUUAAUCACGUACCCCUAUUAUACCCGAUUUUUAAGAUUUAAUUUUGAAGUCCAGAAUCAAGACAAAAGACGAAGCCUUAACAAAUAUGCAGUGAGAAUAAUUAAGUUGAAGAAAGCACUAGUUUAUGGCUCAGUGUUAAGUUGAAGUUUAUGAAAUAAUUAACUAGUUUAUUAUGCUCAAGUCAGUUUUUGGGCCUUUGCCAAAAAACUUGUGCCACCACUCAUAUGGCUUAAUAAACAUUGUCUUAAAAACCAAAAGCUUUUUGAGUAAUUUGCAGAAAAAUGAAAUAGAGUGUAAAAGAAAGGAUUUUCCAUGAGAAGAAGAGAGAAAAAGAUGCCUUGCAGACCCCGAAAAAAUAAAUAAAUCCUCCUUUUAAGGUCACGCCCCACUCUCCUCUUUUCCCCUUUGUUCUCCUCCACUUACGGGAGUUAAGGAUGAGAUAAAAGUAAUGCCUCCACUCUCCAUUUUUUUCUCCUUUUUCCGUUACCAAACAUCAGUCCCCCAGUUUCUAGUGUUGAGAGUUUUAACGAAUCAAGACUGGAAACUAUAUGAAUUUUAAAGUGACAUCGAUGUGGUUGGCAUAAAUCGGCUCGGGAUUGCUAAAAUUAACCUUACUAUUAGCAAAAAAUUUCAAGUUUUAAACUUUUACUUGCCUUUAAAUAUACCAUUUUCCUACUCGCAUAAUCAUGUAAAGCAGGUUUCAUAAGUUCACGUAUUUAUCUCACCUGAAGUAAGUUUUGAGACUUAGUCAUUUAUCUGCUUUAGAAUAUUUUUCACUCAUAUAACUCUUGCUCGCCUAAUCUUGGUCGGGCAAGAGCAGGCAAACUUUGACUUCGUCUCACUACGAGGAGGUUUAGAGACUGUAAGCCUUUCACUUGAAGUACCCUUUUUUUUUUUUUUUUACUUUCUGCUUGCCUUCACAUGGUUGAGCAGAUUCUGGCAAGCUUGACUUCUUGUCUCGCCAUCGAGCAAACUUUGAGACUUUGAAGUCUUUUAUGUGCCUUAGAAACUUUCUUGGGAUUUUUGUUCUCUGCUCGCCUUUACAUGGUCGAGUAGAUUCUGGCGAGCUUGGCUUCCUAUCUCGCCAUCAAGGAGGCUUUGAGACUUUGGAGCCUUUGCUUGCCUUAGAAACUUUUUUGGAACUUUUGUGGUUUGCUCGCCUUCGCUUGGUCCAGCAGAUCCUGGCAUACUUGGCUUUCUGUCUCGCCAUAAAUAGGCUUUGAGACUUUGGAGCCUUUGCUUGCCUUAGAAACUUUUUUGGAAUUCUCAUUGUUUGUUCGCCUUCACAUGGUCGAGCAGCUUCUAGAGAGCUUGGCUUCCUGUCUCGCCAUCGAGGAGGCUUUGAGACUUUGGAGCCUUUGCUUGCCUUAGAAACUUUUUUGGAACUUUUGUGGUCUGCUCGCCUUCGCUUGAUCCAGCAGAUCCUGGCAUGCUUGGCUUCCUGUCUUGCUAUAAAAUAAGCUUUGAGACUUUGGAGCCUUUGCUUGCCUUAGAAGCUUUUUUGGAACUUUUGUGGUCUGCUCGCCUUCGCUUGGUCGAGCAGAUCCUGGCUCCUGUCUCACCAUAAAAUAGGCUUUGAGACUUUGGAGCCUUUGCGUGCCUUAGAAGAUUUUUGAAACUUUUUUGGUCUGCUCGCCUUCGCUUGGUCGAGCAGAUCCUGGCAUGCUUGGCUUCCUGUCUCACCAUAAAACAGGCUUGGAGACUUUGGAGCCUUUGCGUGCCUUAGAAGAUUUUUGAAACUUUUUUUGUCUGCUUGCCUUCGCUUGGUCGAGCAGAUCCUGGCAUGUUUGGCUUCUUGUCUCGCCAUAAAACAGGCUUUGAGACUUUAGAGCCUUUGCGUGCCUUCAAUGUGCUCUUAUUUGAGGUUUUUGCUUUAAAUCCUAAAAUAUGGACAACCAUCAAAAAUUUAAUUUCGGACUUGUAACUUAUAACUUGUCCAGAAAAUAGCUCACAUUUACAACUUGCGCUUUAGCUAUUUAUAUAUGUUUGGGCCUUUGAUGGAUAAACAUCCUUGGUGUUUUUAUUACCAUCUAUAAUAUUUGGUUAGCAAUAUUAUUAAAGACCUUUGCUAAAGGUGCGGAGCACCAUUUCCCAACACUAAAGAUAUUAAAAUUUAUAUAUAAAAUAAAUCAUAUUAUAUAAAAUAUGUAAUCAACAAAUAAAUGGUACCAUAAAAGUUUAAGCAAAGUCAUAUCACUGUAUCAAGGAAAUACGAUCUCAUGCUAACCCAAGUUCCAUCAAUCCUUCGGUCAAGCAUGUUGUGUGCUAAUAUAUGACUAUGCUAUAUAUUCUAUAAUAUGUAAUCCUUCGGUCAAGCAUGUUGUGUGCUAAUAUAUGACUAUGCUAUAUAUUCUAUAAUAUGUAAUCUUAACUAUUUUCUAUUAACGACUUAAUAAGUCAAAACCUCAUCCAUCAGAUUUUUGAAGUCAGGUAGUGGAUUUAAAGGAUAAAUAUAAAACUGGGGUUUUAGAACAAGUGCACCUGAGAUUGUGCUCUGCAUUAUUUCAUUAGUACUUCAUCAAACAAAUCCCGAGCUUGACUCUGCUUUGCUCCCUUCUUAGAAUUAUUCUUGCAAUAUUUUAACACGGGCACAAAAUGAAUAAAAUAUGAAGGAAACAAAAAUCCAACUUCAUCAAUUCUUUGAAGCUUGAAGACAUGCCUAUCAAUUCUCAUCAUCAAUAAAAAUUUGUUUUGUUUUAAAACCAUUAUUAAGGUUAGCCAAAAUACCAAUACUCGGCCUCAUCCAGAUUAUGCUAAUUAUACUUCUUCCAACACUCAUUAACGAUUAUGAGAAUUUGUGCAAUGUGGAUGACAGGUACUAUCAAAAGACAGCGAAUAUAUGCAUAAUUUCUAAUGUUCUCUUUGCGAAAAUAUAAUAAAGCUAUGGUUAAGAAUAACUCAUGCUCUCAAUCAGUUUGAUACUUAUAUUAAAUAAACUGAAACAGAACCUGGGUUUAGAUCUUGGCUCCUGGGCAACAUUCUCUCAAGCAUAUAUGUAGUGUAUGUAGUGUAAUCAGCAACAAACUCACUUUUGAACUUUCAUAUCCCUUGAGGCGAUUUAACGAACAGCUCCUGAUUUGAAUUUUAACAAUUCUGCCUCAACUUGUAAUGAACCGAGUUUUAUACCAGAAUUGUCUAUAUACUUUCCCUGCAUAGUCUUCACAUGAAAACUAGCUGCAUGAUUGAUUGAUGGGGUGUAAAACCAGUAGGAAAUAUCUUGAAGAAACCAAAGAUCCGUGGAUUUUUAUGCUUACCACCAAAUGAAUUUAACAAUUUGUGUAAUCUUUAUUUUAAGAAAUUGAACAUUGAUAAUACCGCAAAUCGAUUGCUCUUUUGAACAGACUUUAUAUCUUGAGUUCGAUGAAAAGAGAACAAUCAAUCAAGAAAUAUAAAUACAUCAGCAAAAUAAUGAUGGUAGUAGCAUUACACAUCUAAUUAGCCAUAACGAAGCCGAAUAAUUAGCCAUAAUAAAUCUGAACUGUUAACAUUAUGUCAAGCAUGUUGUUGGAAAAUAUUAAAUUAAUUCAUUUGCAAGUAUAAUAGCAUGUAAUCUUGAAUUAUGAAUGAAGCCCAUUCUAACAAGCUAAUUUUGUAAAGGAACAUUAUCAACGAAUUCCAAGGGAUAAUAUUCAAUUUCAGCAAAUAUAUCAUGCACGGUAUUGAAACAUGCAUGUUAUUAAAGAAUUUCCAAGCAUCUCUCAUUUGAUAAAUCAAUAAUCAUAGCAAUUGGAAAUUGAAUUUUAAUGACAAUAUACUUAAAGCAAUAAAUAAGCCAAAACCUUUACAGGUAAGCAUUCCAUCCAGCCUUGAUUGGCUUCCGUGUUUGAGCCAGCUUAUCAAUUUGUGCAUGAUAAUAUUCUGCCUUUGGCUUGGCCGGAUGAAAAAUUGGUAGAGACAAGAAGUUGGCUUUUUGUACCGAUUCCCCACAGACAGUGCCAAAUGUUGAUGCCCAAAUCUGAUCUAGUCUAUUAGCGACUUAAUAUCAAACUUCUACACCAGCAUUAGAUUUAUUUGGUAGAGAAUCGAUUGGUCAAUCGUCAAGAUGUCCUGCAACCACUAGCGAUUAACUUGCGAAUACUUAAAAUCAUAGAAGACGGUCAGAGGCGCUGAAAGUUUUUCCGACGUGAACCCUCCGACACUCAAGUCAGUUUCUGGGCCUUUGCCAAAAAACUUGUGCCACCACUCAUAUGGCUUAAUAAACAUUGCCUUAAAAACCAAAAGCUUUUUGAGUAAUUUGCAGAAAACUGAAAGAGUAUAAAAGAAAGGAUUUUCCAUGAGUGGAAGAGAGAAAAAGAUGCCCUGCAGACCCCGAAAACAUAAAUAAAUCCUCCUUUUAAGGUCAUGCCCCACUCCCCUCUUUUCCCCUUUGUUCUCCUCCACUUACGGAAGUUAAGGAUGAGAUAAAAGUAAUGCCUCCACUCUCCAUUUUUUUUUCUCCUUUUUCCGUUACCAAACACCUACAAAUCUUAUCCCUACUAAUAUGCUCUAUAAGCCAUUAUUCUUCUAAAAUUAUUAAAUGCCAUUCUUCAUUCAAGCUUUCAUGGACAUUAUUUACAAAUUGUUCUUGUAUUUGACAGAAAAAUGAAAACUCCUCGUCAUACAAAACUGCAUGAACAAAUCUUCUGUUUAAUUAUGAUAAAAUAAUAAAUUCCAUUAACAGAUUCUGCUGUAUGUUAAUGUGAGGGAUUUGAUCAGAUGAUCAUAUAAUUUACUACACGCUUUAAGAAGAACAAAAAUUGAUGACUUAAAAAUUAAAAAAUAAACAUAUAAAGAGUAGAUACAAAGAAUGUUAUUUGCAAUCAACAAACUGAAGAACAGGGGAAUGAUAACAGAGGACGGUUGCUGCAACAUUAUGAAGUCAAAAUUAAGAAAGGCAUUUUUUUCUUUUUUUUUUACAUUAUUCUAUUUAAUCUUAAAUUUUUACAAUCACCAAAUGGAAAAACAGGGGACUGAAAACAAAGAAGCCCUGUUUGCAGAAACAGGGGAGUUUCCGGGUUUCUGGAAACAAACUCAGAAACGAAUGAACUGGCUGCCGGCGGUACUUUCUAGAUAAAUCUCUUGGUGUAUAUAAGCUUUCAUGAUCUGGUUUUAGUCUGGUUAGGUUCAGCCACUGUGACUGUUAGGGAUUCUCGUAAACUGAAUUUAAAGUUGCGGCUUAAAGUGUUUACCAACUUAAAACCAGAGCUAUAAAGUGUUUGAUGAAUUAUUUUUUAAUUUAAAAAAAUAAAAAACUGAUUUAGCGGGAUAAAAUAAUGCUCCAUUCUGUUUAGUAUGUGAAGUCCAGAGUAUUACAAAGAGAUAACUGAAUCUUCAAUGUAAUAAAAUAAUGAUCAGCCUCAGAGGAUACAUAAAAAGCUCAUUUAUCACAACCAUAUCCUAGUGCAUCAUAAACUUGAUUAUUUAAUUUUACUAUUAGGAAACCUACUUAUAUAAGGCGCACACCACAAAUUCUAAAUUAAAUUUCUAACUAAGAAUAAAAGGUAAAGCCUAGCAAUUUUCCACCAGGUGCCGUGUAGCCUGCAUCAUAAAUUUUGAUUUAAAUCUUUGUAAUCACCGAACAGAAAAACCGGGGAAUGAAAACAGAGGAGCCCUAUUUUUCCAUUUUUUUAACCCUUAACUCUUGUUCUUCUAAUUAUAUUUUUGCUUGGAAUUUCAAGCAAACGAAAAAAAAAAAAGUGACAACUAUUUAGAGAGAGCAGGUGGAUGAUAGCAAAAAUAUUUUUAAUUAAUAUGCAUGAUUAACUCUUGUUCUUCUAAUGUAGUGGCUUGAUUAAUAUUUUUAAUCAAGCCACUACAUUAUUGGUAGUCUCUGUGGGCUCAUUUCGUCUCCAGACCUGAUAUUGUAUAUCUCUUUUUGAAUAUGUUUAAUUAAUAUGCAUGCUGCUGAAUAAAGACGAUGAUUUCCAAAUUUUUGUUGCUUUUUUUUUUUCUUUUUCUGCUUUGGUACAUGAAGAAUGUGGAAAUAGAAAUAGCUUUCGAAGUUUAAUGGCUUGCUUCAUUAGUAAAGAAAGACUAGGAUAUCUGUCCCUUUUUGUUACUGAAUUAUUGAUCAAUUGACGGUUGAAGUGUCAAAUGUGUUCUUUCCUUACAAUUGUAUAUGCUAUUAUUAAUAGAAAUUAUUAAAGGAUUUAGAACAAGUUCGCCUUUUUAAUUAUCUGGGAUGAUGAGUUUCUUUAUUCACCUUGAAUAUGUAAUAACAAUUUUAGUGAGCAAAAGAUCACUGGUAACUGCAGAGGAAUGUGUGAGUUAAGAGCUUAUUAGAGUAAGCAAUACAAAUGAAUUUUCAAAUUAUGUACUUGGUCACUGUUGUCCUACUGUCGCACGUAUUUUUUCAUGAAUAAUUGCCAGAUCAGAAAAGAAUAAAUUCGGUUGGCUGAAGUAAGUAAAACAAUCUUCAUAUCGAACAUGAUUCCAAUUAAAUUAAGCUUUUUGUAAGAUGACUAAUAAAAGAUAAAAGUAGAAGCUUUGAUGAAUGAACGAGGACCAAAACUUUUGUAAAAGCGGAUGCCGAUAAAAUAAACAAAAGGCACUUUAAAAAGAAACUAAAGUGCGAUCAUCAAAGUAAGAUCACUAAUGAUGCUUCGCUAUUACAAGGUCCGCAUGGACAUUAUUGAGUUCUGCUAUUUGAACUACGCGAAGACAAAACAAAGACAGAAAAAUUGACACUGUUACUUCAACGGCUGUUUAUUACUUUUUGAAUUUAAAAAAUAAAAUAAUCAAAAGAAAAAGGAAAAGGAAAAGUAACGAAAAAAAAGAAAUAAAAUAAUCAAAAGAAAAAAAAAAGAUUACUUUUUGAGUUAAUCUUUCUCCAUCUCUCAUCUCUGCUAUCUGCGUUCACGCACAAAGAAAAAACUCUUCAUCUCACCAUUUUCAUCUCUUUGCAUCUCACCAGUUCCGCAUCUCAGUUACCAUAAGGAAGAAGUUAGAUCUAGAUCUAUAAACAGAGAUUUUGAUAAAAUUAGUACUGAUUAAUUAGUAAGUUAGUGACUCUCACUAUAUUCAAAUAAAAUUUUUAUUGUGUUCUAUAUAUUUAAAUGAUUAGAAUAUUUAAUUUAAAUUGUAAAAAUUCGUAAAUUUUUAUUUUUUAUAUAUUUAAAUUGUUAUGAAUUGUUAUGAUUUUUUUAAUUUAAAUGGUUGUUAAAUAAUGGAAUAGAUUAUAACAAUUUCUGAAUGUGUUUUAUGAACUUUAAAUUUUUAAAAUUAUGUUAGAUUUGACUUUAAAUCUUUGAAAUUGUAGUGAUGGAAUAAUAUUUUGUGUUAAAUUAAAUUUUUAAUUUUUGAAAUUAUGUUAGAUUUGUUUAAUUUUGUCCGCUUGCAAUUUAUUUGUUCACGCUAUCAUGAAGUGAUAUUAUAUAGGCAUCGAUGGUUUUUUAAUUAUUACAAAAUAUUAUUUUUUAAUUAUUUAACAAAAAUUGAUACAAAAUAUUAAUUUUGUAUGACUGAGAGAUACAUAGGGUUAAACAGGACGAGUAGAGAAAGGAACGAAUGAAAAAUAAGUGGAAUGAACAAAGUAAUUAACGAGAAUGAAUAGAGGGGACAAAGUGGAGAACGAGUAGUUGAGGAUGAGAAUAAGUGGAUCAGAUUUUAAAUAAUAAAGAUAUUUAAAAAAUUUUCAUUUUUUAUUAUAAUAUUUGUUGUUGGUCCCACCAAAAAAUUGGAUGAGAGCAGGCGUGAAAGAGCAUUUUUUUUCAUUUUUAUUCUUUAUUUUAAUAAUUGUUAUCGGUCCCACAAAAAAAGAAAAUUGAAUGAGGAAAGGCGUGAAACGGCAGCCAAUUUCUGUCGUCCCAUCGUCGUGCUUUCGUCUAUUUACCAUUUCUCGACAUUAUUUACAAAUUGUUCUUAUGUUUCACAGAAAAAUGAAACACUGUUCAUCAUACAAAAUUGCAUGACCGAAUCUUCAAUUUUUAUAAUUAUAAAAUAAUGGAUUAUGUGUAUGUUAAUGUUACGGAUAUGAUCAGAUCAUCAUAUAAGUUACUAGACGCAUUAACAAGAACAAGAUCUAAUGAGCUAAAAGUUUUUUUUUUAAAUUAAAUAAAUAAAGAGUAAAAGUAAAAAAAAAUGUUAUUUGCAAUCACUAAAAUGAAAACAGAGGAGCCCUGUUUUUCCUCUCGUUUCUCUUUCUCUCUUUUUCAAGUAGUAGAAAAUGAUAACAGAGUUUGAGAGCUCACUGCUUUCAUUAGUUGGAAAGUGUCGCCUAAAACACUUCCUCUGCUAGGUGGAAUUGUUGGCUUGAAGAGAAGAGUUCUUGUUACAAGCACAAAUUUUAGCUGUACAUUAUUUCCUUUUAAAUGCACCAUUGUUGCACAGAUUUGAACCCUAUGAUCAUUAGUUUUUUGUUUUGAUUUGGUUAGUUCGUGAUGACAAAUAAAUUAUUUUCAUCACAUUAUGGUAAAAAGUUGCCCUCUUUGUUACUUCCACAGCUAUUUAGUUUAAUAUUUUGUAAUAAGAUCACAAAGUGCAUGGGACCUAUUGUUCGGGUACUUAGCCUAAAAUGAAGAUCUAUUAAAAAUUUCCCUGAUGUCAUGAUAUAAAACAAUAAAAGGUACCAACUUCAGCUUAAAUUCAUAUAAAAUUAAACCUUACCACAUACUGUAUUGAAACAAAUUACUCAUCUUUAUUGGUAACAUCAUCACCUUCAUAAAAUAUAUGGUAUCGUACAAAGUUCUUGCGCUGGGUUCGGGCAUCUAACAACGAGGACACAGCAACCUAUUCGCUAGGUUAGAGACCAAAGAGCCAACAGCAAAUGUGCACGACGCAUGUCACUAUCAUGAAAACAACAUUCUUUUUCUUUUUUUUUUCUCCUCAAUAAUUUCAGAUAUAAUAUUUUAACUAAGUUUGUAACACUGUUGAUUGAAAUUAUCAAGUACGAAUGUGUGUAGAUUUUAACAUGUGCACUCAUAAUUAUUAUUGUGCAGUUUUAGACUUAGUUGGGUAUUGAGGUGCUAAAACUUUUGCCGUAAGAAAAAAAAGUUUUAAGUAUAAAAUAAAAUUUAAUAGUAUCUAAUAAAUUUAGUUUUUUAAUAAUAUGUUGAGUACAUAAAAGCCCCAGGUCGGCCAUGCUACUAUUUUCACCCCGGCAUGGAUCACCUUAGCCAAAUGGUAUGAGCAGAACGCAGGAUAAACACGAGCCAACCAGAGACGAGUACCGGCCAGGGUAAUGUACCGACCAGAAUCAUAUACCGAGCCGACACCAAUUCCCCAAAAAAGCGGGAACACGAUCCCACAGAAUCACGGUAGUUGCGCUUUUCCCAGAACCGUUGUGGGAGAUGCGAGAUCCCACGUUUGCCCACAAUGUAGCAGUUAAAAUCCCAUGAGAGGCUACCACUACCCGAGAAAGGGGGGGAUGAAGGGUGAGUGAAAACGUGGGACAGCGGCUAUAAAAGAAGAAGAAACCGAUUAAGAAGGGGAGAGAAAAAUUGAGAGAGGGAAAACGCUGCCAAAUUGCAAUCAUGCCAUUUUCUGACAAGACUCCGAAUAAUUUAGAAACCAUUUUUAGAUCUAAAUUGCACUGUUUUCCCGUAAACACCUUGAGCUAACUUAGGCAUUGGAGGGUUUUCGCCGGCAAAACCACCGGCGACUCUGAUCCGUUUUUGGUGAACGCAGGUCUAGUAAGAGAAAGGAGGGUGAUUCCAACCUCAGAGGUUCGAGCAACAGUCGAUAACGUAAACGUUGGUGAAAGAAUCUGGUCGGUCAAAAGGCGAGCAGAUUUAAGCAUCAACAUUUUGGCGCCGUCUGUGGGGAGCUGGAUAAAAAGCUACCACCGAAUUAGUAGUUACCGGAGAAACAACGAACGAUUAGACAUGGAUUUGCCAAGGAAGGACGCUUUGAGGGAGGAUAACGAAUCGGGGGAGACAAGCACCCUUCGGGAAAUUGCAAAUGAAGCCCGAGAGAGGGUGAUGCAAGAUCGAUUGGAAUAGAUGGAGAAGCAAAUGGAGACUCUCGCUACCAUACUGAAUGAGCUGAGAGAUGAGCGGAGAAGGGAUUGCGAAAUCCCCGUGGGGAGAGAUGAUGUGGGAGCAGAACCCAACCUCCGGAGGCGUAGAGUCGAGGAGAUCCCUCCGCCGGUGGACCAACCUUAUGGGGUGCAUCCCCACAGAAGCACUGGUUGAGUUCCUGGAGAACAAAUAGAUGAAGGGAGGAACUAACCUCGCCCCAGGCGAGCACUGGAAGCUGAUGGCCGAGGAGCCAGUGCUGAUGAAGGAGAGUUAAGACAGCGGUUGCAGAAUGUCGAGCAGGAGCGAGAUCAGAUAGCUGCACGUGAUCCUGACCGUGAUGUAGAAUUGGAGGGAGAGGUGCGCAGAUUAGCGCAAGUGAUAAAGGAGAUACAGGGUAAGAGGAAGCCCCCGAGCUGGAGGAUAAUGCUAGAUGAAGAAUCUCCACUAUCAACUGAGAUCGUGGGUACCAUAAUCCCAAGAGAUUUCCGCUUCCCCGACCUCAAAUACUCCGAGCGAAGUGACCCGCUGGUGCACAUUGAGCGUUUCAACGACAUGAUAGGUGUGCAGGGGCUGACACCAGCUCAGAGGUGCAGGGUGUUCCCGUUGACAUUAGAGGGACGAGCCCGAGAAUGGUACCGCAAGCUGCCCCGAGGAAGUAUAAAGGGGUAUGAGCAGAUGUGCCAGGAGUUGGCCGAGUAGUUCCGAGGGGCAGUGGCCCCAGAGGACGACAUGAUGGAACUGAUGAGGAUGAAACAGGAGGAGCAUGAAUCCCUUCGAGAUUUUGUAAAACGAUAUCACCGAGCCGUGCUAGAUCUGGGGGCUUUUAAUCACCCGCAGGCGUUGAGGGGAUUAAAAGAAGGUGUAAGAAUCGGCCGACUGUGGUAUAACUUAAGAAGCCCCCUUGUACAGAAUUACUCGUCGGGGUAUGAGCAGGCGAGGCGAGAUAUAGAAAUCGAAGAGGAGAAAUCAGCAAGAAUAAAAAGUGAACAGCUGGACGAGCUGAGGCGAAAGGAACGGAGAGCCCCAACAGGGAGCGGGUCGGGAAAACGAGCUGGAGAAUCUUCAGUGAUGGGCGGAAUAUCGGCUCGGUCCCGCCCUUACCCCAUAGCUCCGAGAUCGCAGCAGUUCCAGCACAACCGGGCUCAACCUCCGCGUCCCCCAUUUCCGGAUCGGCAACGAGAAUUCCGGCAGAUGGCUGCCCACCCCUAUCACAACACUCCCAGAGCAUUACAUGCAACCAAUUCCAGGGCUAGUCGACCAGAUCAGUUAGCAACUGGGCCAGCCUGAGGUGACAUUCAUGAUAGCCGAGCAGUUCAGCUGGUAGACCAGAGCUUGGCGUAUAGACAGUACACUCCAUUAAAGAUCUCCAUGGAGGAAUUGUAUGAGAGGAUCGAGGGACGAGGCUUGUUAUACCCUCCAGCCCCUAUAACAAAACCGGCUCACCGACGGGAUAAGAGCAAAUUCUGCAAAUUCCACGACACUCAUGGUCACACUAUCAGCCAAUGUCGUGACCUGAAAAUUCAGGUGGAAGAUUUGGUGAGAAACCGUUAUUUGGACGAAUAUGUAGAUGGAAUGUCCCCCGUCACUGAAUCACAGUACACGCGGGAUGAAGGAGCUGAGAUGGGCCUGGAACGUGAACAGCCGACUAUCCGUAUAAUAGCAGGGGGGCCAACAUUGGCUGGGGAUUCGAACAGGGCACGGGAGAACUAUGGGAGAUAUGCCCUGACUAGCAAAGAAGUGCUUUUCAAUUUUCCGGCAACCAAGAAGGCAAAAGUGCGGCAAGUUCCCAUUAUGUGGACAGAUGACGAUGAAGAGGGUAUCUUAUAUCCGCAUGAGGAUGCAUUGGUGAUCAAGGCAAUGGUGGCUGGUACAGAAUUGCGACGAAUACUAAUAGACACAGGCAGCUCGGUUGACAUCCUGUUUAAGUCGGCUCUAGAUGAUAUGGGGAUUGCAGACUUGAAAUUGGAGCGGACAAAUACAUCCUUAAAGGGAUUUGGAGGGGGAUGGUUAACUCCCAUGGGGAUCACCGAACUCCCAAUUACUAUGGGGACAAAGCCAUUUGAAAGAACAAUGAUGCUGGAUUUUGUCGUGGUAGAGAAAAGAAGCCCUUACCAGAUGAUACUGGAGAGACCGUUCAUGAGGAUAAGCCAAUGUGUUGUAUCCACGCAUUACUUGGCACUGAAAUACAGAGUAAAUGGGGUGGUUGGCGUAGUAAAAAGCGACCAGAGGAUGGCAAGGAGUUGUUAUGCUACAGCAGCCAAGGAGACACUGCAGGUUACUUCUCUAGAUAAUCGAGGAAAGUCUAAAAAGGGCCGCCAAGAGCCUGUUGAGAAGCUGGAGGAAGUUGCGGUAAGCAAAAGCAACCCGAGCAGAGUAGUGAAGAUCGGGUCAGGAUUGGUUGGGGCAGUAAAAGGCGAGCUGAUAAAUUACCUACAGUCUCAUGCGGAUAUAUUCGCCUGGUCUCAUGAAGAUAUGCCCGGAAUUGAUCGCGGGGUAGCUUGCCACAAGUUGGCAAUCAAGAAGGGGGUAAGGCCGGUGAGACAGAAGAGGAGAUGCUUCAACCAGGAAAGGUACGAGGCCAUAAACGCCGAGGUGGAGAAGCUGUUGAAAGCAGGAUUUAUAAGGGAAGCCAAGUACCCAGAAUGGAUUUCAAAUGUCGUCCUGGUAAAAAAGGCCAACGGGAAGUGGAGAAUGUGUGUGGACUUCACGGACCUCAAUAAGGCAUGCCCAAAGGACAACUUUCCCCUACCCAAAAUAGAUCAGCUGGUGGACUCAACAGCAGGUCACAGUCUGCUCAGUUUCAUUGAUGCCUUUUUCUGGAUACAACCAGAUACCCAUGGACGAGCAGGAUGAGGAGAGCACUGCCUUUAUAACUAACAUGGGUUUGUUUUGCUACAGGGUAAUGCCUUUCGGCCUAAAAAAUGCAGGAGCCACCUAUCAAAGGUUGGUAAACAAGAUCUUCAAACCGUUGAUUGGACACACUAUGGAGGUAUAUGUGGAUGAUAUGAUUACGAAGUCCAAAGAGCCGAGGGAUCAUGUGAAGCAUCUAGAAGAGACCUUUGAAUUGCUGAGGAAGUAUGAGAUGAAACUAAACCCGGAGAAAUGCGCAUUUGGGGUAAGCUCGGGCAAAUUUCUGGGAUUCCUGGUAAGCCACCAAGGGAUUAAGGCCAACCCCGAAAAAAUACGAGCGGUUACAGAUAUGAGAUCUCCGCGGACAGUUAAAGAGGUGCAGAGCCUUACAGAGAAGUUGGCAGCAUUGAACCGAUUCAUCUCGCGGGCCACAGAUAAAUGCCACCCUUUCUUCCAAAUCAUAAAGAAAGGGAGAAAGAUGGAAUGGACAUUAGAGUGCGAGGAAGCAUUUGGGCAACUGAAGGAAUAUCUGGCCCGUGCACCGUUACUGUCAACUCCGAGAGAGGGUGACCAGCUGUUUUUGUACUUGGCAAUCUCCAAGCAAGCUACCAGCUCAGUCUUAGUCAGGGAAGAAGAAGGGAAGCAACACCCGGUAUACUACACGAGCAAGGCCCUGGUGGACGCAGAAACCAGAUAUCCACUAAUGGAGAAGUGGGCGCUGGCUCUGAUAACGGCAGCACGCAAACUCCGACCAUAUUUCCAAGCCCACCAGAUCGUUGUGAUGACUGACCAGCCCCUUCGGCAAGUGCUUCAAAAACCAGAUGCGUCUGGUCGGUUAGUAAAAUGGUCAGUGGAGCUGAGCGAAUUUGACCUGACCUACAGGCCCCGAGGAGCAAUCAAGGCCCAAGCCCUGGUAGAAUUUAUGGUAGACCGAGCUGAGCCAGGGGAAGGAGAUCGGGAGUAGCAACCGUUAGAGCAGGAGAAAACAGAGGGGAUGUGGUUGGUAAUGGUUGACGGAUCAUGUAGUGAGCAAGGAUCCGGAGCAGGAGUUGUAAUACGGAGCCUAGAAGGAUCCGAAAUAACGUAUGCAGUAAAGUUUGAAUUUCAGCUCGCAAACAACCAAGCUGAAUAUGAAGCCUUUAUCACCGGGCUCGGACUCGCACAUGCCUUAAAAGCAAAAAGGGUAAAAAUUCGAGCAGAUUCCCAAUUGGUAUGUAAUCAGCUCAAUGAUCAGUUCCAAGCAAGGGGAGAGAAGAUGGGCCUUUAUUUGAAGAAGGCGAAGUAGAUGGUCGGGCUUUUCCAAGAGGUGGAGGUGAAGCAGAUAUCUCGGAAUGAGAAUUACCGAGCAGAUAUUUUGGCUAGGAUGGCUGCAGUUGCAGAUCCGAAAUUACCUAAGUCGGUUCCACUAGAGGUAAGGACCUCGCCAAGUAUAGGAGAGGAGGUAGAGGUGAUGAGAGUAUGCAUUGGAGAAUCAUGGAUGGACCCGAUUCGCGCAUAUAUCCGGGAUGGAAUCUUACCAGAGGACAAACAGCAAGCCAGGAGAUUAAAAUGCCGAGCAGCGAGGUACACUCUACUAGAUGGAGUGCUGUAUCGCCGAGGGUUCACCUUACCCCUUUUGAGAUGUGUGGAUGAUGAGGAGGCAGAUUAUGUACUGAGGGAGAUUCAUGAAGGAAUAUACGGCAAUCACUCGGGAGCAAGAACUUUAGCCUUCAAGGCACUCCGGCAAGGAUACUUUUGGCCAACUAUGCACCAGGAUGCGAAAAGGAUGGCAAAGAACUGUAAAACCUGCCAAAGCUUCUCUAAGGUUCCUGCACAACCCCCAGAGAAGCUGACCACUAUGACAUCCCCGUGGCCUUUCGCUCAAUGGGGAAUCGACUUGAUUGGUCCGUUACCUAAGGGCCGAGGAGCGGCGACACAUGCAAUUGUGGCAAUAGACUACUUCACCAAGUGGGUAGAAGCGGGAGUCCUCAGCCAAAUCACCGAGAGGAAGACAACAGAUUUUAUUUGGAGAAAUAUCAUUUGCAGAUACGGGAUCCCCUAUGCCAUCAUUACAGAUAAUGGGAGACAAUUUGACAACAGCAACUUCAGGGAAUUUUGCCGAAAUUUGGGGGUGGACCUGAAGUUCUGCACCCUCGCACACCCCCAGGCAAACGGACAAGUGGAAGCAGCCAACAAAGUAAUAAAAAAGCUUUUGAAAACUAGAUUGGGAGAGAAGAAGGGAGCCUGGGUUGACGAACUACCAGGAGUAUUAUGGGCCUACCGGACAACUCACAAAACCGCCACAGGGGAAACCCCGUUCGCUUUAGCCUUUGGUCAUGAGGCGGUAAUCCCAGCAGAAAUCGGAGUAGGAACACAUCGAACAGAAUAUUUCGCUGAGGAGAAAAACGACGAGCAGAUCUGCUUAAACCUGGACCUGCUGGAGGAGAAAAGGGAAGGGGCCUCGCAGAGAGUGGCCCAGUGUCAGCAACGGGUCAUGCGCUAUUACAACAAGAACGUACGCGUGAGGCAGUUCCGAGCAGGAGAUUGGGUACUUAGGAAGGUGAACCAAAACACCAGGAAUCCUAACCAUGGCGCUCUUGGCCCAAAGUGGGAAGGCCCGUAUAGGGUGGUACGAGCCACUGGACCAGGAGCUUAUAAGUUAGCGUACCUAGAUGGACGAGACGUGAGGAGGUCAUGGAACGCCGAGCACUUGAAGAAGUAUUUCCAGUAAGCAAAGUGCUCUACCAAAUCUUCAUUUUGACAAAUUGUUUGUGUUAACUGCAUGAUGGCUUGAUGCAUAUGUAUGUAUUCAGUAUUUUUGUAACACAUUCAUGUUUCAAAUAAAGAUGAAUUCAGCAUGAAAUCCCCCUACUAGCAAAGCCAAAUAAAAAUUCUACGAAGGCAAGCAAAUGCCUACUUCUGCUUGGUCAACGAAAGACCAGCAGCUAAUUUUACGAGAAAUUCACUAAGGAAAGUGAGUGCCUGUUUCUGCUCGGUCAACGAAAGACCAGCAGCUAAUUCCGCAAAAAUUCUAUUAAGGCAAAUAAGUGCCUAUUUCUGCUCGGACAACGAUAGACCAGCAGCUAAUCUACGAAAAUUCUACUAAGGCAAGUAAAUGUCUGAUUCUGCUCGAUCAAUGAAAGACCAGCAGCUAAUCUACGAAAAUUCUACUAAGGCAAGUAAAUGCCUGAUUCUGCUCGGUCAAUGAAAGACCAGCGGCUAAUCUACGAAAAUUCUACUAAGGCAAGAAAAUGCCUGCCUCUGCUCGGUCAACGAAAGACCAGCAGCUAAUCUACUAAGGCAAGUAAAUGCCUGCCUCUGCUCGGUCAAACGAAAGACCAGCAGCUAAUCUACUAAGGCAAGAAAGUGCCUGCCUCUGCUCGGUCAGCGAAAGACCAGCAGCUAAUCUACGAAGGCAAGUGAGUGCCUGCUUCUGCUCGGUCAACAAAAGACCAGCAACUAAUCCUACGAAAAUCCUACUAAGGCAUGAAAGUGUCUACUUCUGCUCGGUCAACGAAGGACCAGCAGCUAAAUUUAUGAGACUUUUACUAAGGCAAAUAUGUGUCUGCUCCUGCUCAGUCACCGAAGACCAGCAGGCGAUUUUGCGAAAAUUUUUACCAAGGCAAACGGAUGCCUAUUCCUGUUCGAUGCACUAAAGAACCAACAGGCGAAACCAGACAAAAAAGCCAAUAGAGAGCAUUUAAAAAAUUUUAUAAACGUUCAAAUGUUUACAAAGCAAAUGAAAAACUAGAGUCUUUACAAAAAUAGACCUAAGGAUUAGGAGGAUCAACGGCCUCAGCAGGUGAAGGGUCAGCUAUCUCGGGAGGUGGAAGGUCAGCAAUAUCGGGAGGAGGAGGCACGGACCCCUGCCCCACUUCAAAAACACGCUGCCCAGCUUCUCCCUCCUGCACCCCAUUCAAAGGAACCUCCACCUGCUCCUGCUCAUCCUGCUCCUUAUCUCCUUGGCCGGCCCCAGCCAUAUACCUCUCCACCCCAGAUUCCAGCUUGCUCAUGUCGAGCUCGGGGUAUUCUUCCUUGAGUACAGACAUGAUGCACUUAUAGCUGAAAGCAACCCCGGAGUUAUACUCAGCAUCCAACCGAUCAUCCACAUCAGCGGAUUUGCCUUUCUCUUCAGCCAGCUGGUCACUCAGGGAUUUGAUCUCUCCCUCAAGGGCGGUCCUCAGAGUAUCUCUUUCACUUUGAGUAGCCUGAAGAUCGGACUUCAGAUCACCCAGCUCACCCUCAAGCUUGGAGGAAGUAGACUCAGCAACCGCAACUUUCUCCUCAAGCUCCGUAAGCUGCUUGUUCAGCUCGGCCAGCUUCUCUUUGGACCGAUCAGCAGAUUCGGCUUUCUUUUUCAACUCCUGGUUAUCAGCUUGAAGCUUCCUCUCAUGACGCGCGGACCCGGUCUUGUAGCACGAGACCAUUGUGGCCAGCCUGAAAGAGACUCUUUGAACAGAAGCAGCUAACUCGGAGAGGUCCAUGCUCUCGAUGUCCUUCACCAUCUUGGGCCCAACCGAUUUUUUGUAAUCUUUCUGGUAUAGGCUCAGGUAGUCACCUUGAUCCCGAGAUGGAAGAGGAGCAGAUCGGUCCCCAGACUGCAAGCUGACCUCAGGACUCUUGUCGGAGGUUUUCUCCCCACCACUCUUACAGGGUGGGGGAGGGGGCAGAGCAGGGACAGGAGCCUUGGAGGGGCCGACACUAUUCUUCUUUGGAGGAGGAGGAAGGUUGCUGGAGCUGCUUGGAGCCCGACCACGCUUCCUGCUCAUUGCGCUGAGGAUCUUGUUAUCCAUUCCAGCGGCUAUGUCCACUAGGCCCGAACCGACCAGGUUUGUUGGUGACAGGAGGUCUUGGCAGGUAGACGCGUUCACCAGAGCAGUUUCCACCUGAAGCAAAGGCCGAUCUUCAAGCCCCUUUAUCAAACCCCACGACUCUGAAAGAACAAACAAGGUUAAAGAACCCAAUAAGUAACAAGUCGAGAAAGAGUAUAGGCAAAAAAUAAACGACCUGGGGUGACAAAAUGUGUUGGAAGGUAAAUAUCACCACCCAACGAAUGAGCUGCUGGACACUAAGCUCCUCCAGCAAAGAAGAAUUUGUUCUUCCAAUUUUUGCACGAGGAGGGGAAGCCGGUGAUUGGUUUCCUCUUCGCAGAGCUUGACAUGAAGUAAUACCAGCUUGCUUCCUUCGGGCUACUCCUCAGCUGGUAUAGAUGCUUCACUUCAACGAGGGAGGGCUCCUCUGAUCCACACCUCUUCCACAACACAUAUAUAGCCGAGAGAACCCUCCACCCAUUGGGAUAUAGCUGACCUAGGGCCAGAUGCAUACCACCCAAUAUCUUAGCGAAAUAACGUUAAAGGGGCAGCCGAGCUCCUAAUUUGAAGCUCUCCAGGUGCAUCGUCACAUACCCCCGCGGAGGCCGACUAGGGACGUCACCUUUUCCUGGAACUACCAGGAGAAUCUCCGCAGGAAUGUCGUAAAGGUUCCUCAGCUUGAACAGAUCAGUUUGGGUGGUGACACAAGCUGUGUAGUCAAUAGGGUAAAAAUCCGCCUCUACCCUAUGACCAAGGUGCCUUCUCUGAGGAGGUCCGCUCGGUCCAGAGCUGCUCCCCUCACCAUCACCAACUCCUUCAAGGAUCCCAACCCCAUCAAAGCUGUGCUUCUCACCAGAGCCCGACGCAGGUCCACCUCUAUUCCCUACAAGCUCUAGUUCGGGGGAGGGAGAGACAACCAAAGGGCGUGGGUACUCAAGGGUAUCCCUGCCAUGGGAAGGACCUACACUACUGGAGGGACCUAAGAAAUCGGUGGGUAUUGGCACGUUGAGGCCCGAAUCCCCUGAUUCUUCCUCGCCCUCAUCAACAAUUAACUUUCUUUUCCGGUUUGACAUAUCGGAAUCCCAAAAGAAAGCAAAGAAAACUCGAAUGUACGGAUACAAAAGGGGGCAACACGGAACCCAAUCAACAACAACAAGAGAAGAGAUUAAAAGCAGUACCUGAGAUUAACUGGCCCUGAUAGCGCUGCCGUGACAGAGAAAAAACCAGCAAGUAGAAACUCCGGACGCAGGAAGUGUGAGUAAAGUUCAGAGAGGGGGCUGGUUAACGGUGGAGAAACGGAUAAACAAAGCAAUGAGGAUUUCAACCUAGGGAUUUGAAGUGAAAAGGGGAAAGAUAGAAGCAUUUAAGUGAUGAGGAUGCCAGCUCACUCACCACAUAUCGAGGGUGGAUAGCCCGUCGUUUCAAAUUUCAAAUACGAAGAGUCUGGUGAUGCCACGUCACUAACCGUUACAAGAGGCCAGGAUAGAUGUAAGCCCAGAUAUGCAAUGGACAUGUUCACUUAGGCCCAUGCUCAGGUCGGAGUCUCCCCAGAAGAAAAAUGGUACAUCAGGUCAGGCCCAUCCCAAUAAACAGAGGACCAGAUGAGAAGCUCCCCGGGUUGGUGAGAUUUGACCAUCAGUUUCUACUCUUAACUCAUUUCACUCGCCAGACCAGAAACUGGGGGACUGGUGUUGAGUACAUAAAAGCCCCAGGUCGGCCAUGCUACUAUUUCCACCCCGGCAUGGAUCACCUCAGCCAAAUGGUAUAAGCAGAACGCGGGAUAAACACGAGCCAACCAGAGACGAGUACCGGCCAGGGUAAUGUACCGACCAGAAUCAUAUACCGAGCCGACACCAAUUCCCCAAAAAAGCGGGAACAUGAUCCCACAGAAUCACUGUAGUUGCGCUUUUCCCAGAACCGUUGUGGGAGAUGCGAGAUCCCACGUUUGCCCACAAUGUAGCAGUUAAAAUCCCAUGAGAGGCUACCACUACCCGAGAAAGGGGGGGAUGAAGGGUGAGUGAAAACGUGGGACAGCGGCUAUAAAAGAAGAAGAAACCGAUUAAGAAGGGGAGAGAAAAAUUGAGAGAGGGAAAACGCUGCCAAAUUGCAAUCAGGCCAUUUUCUGACAAGACUCCGAAUAAUUUAGAAACCAUUUUUAGAUCUAAAUUGCACUGUUUUCCCGUAAACACCUUGAGCUAACUUAGGCAUCGGAGGGUUUUCGCCGGAAAAACCACCGUCGACUCUGAUCCGUUUUUGGUGAACGCAGGUUUAGUAAGAGAAAGGAGGGUGAUUCCAACCUCAGAGGUUCGAGCAACAGUCGAUAACGUAAACGUUGGUGAAAGAAUCUGGUCGGUCAAAAGGCGAGCAGAUUUAAGCAUCAACAUAAUAAUUUUGAUAAAAUUAGAAAAGAUAUAAUAAUUUUUUUAUUAUAUAAGUGUAAAAUCAAAUCAUCUUAACUUCUAAACUACAACAACUAUAACAUUUGAACUAUUCAAUCUCAAUUCCUAAUAGACUCUUAAUUUAUAAUUAGAUUGUCACUAAAAGAUUUUAAGUAUGUAUUUUAGAAUUUAACGAAUACACUUUUAAACUACCUUUGCCGGAUGAAAUGUUGGGAAAUUUUUAUUAAGAUCCAAAAGUAUUUGAAAUAAAUUUAUGUUUUUAUGAUGCCAAAAAAAAUAAAAAAUUAUGAACAUUUUUGUGAAGCUUAGGCGAAAAUUUUUGUUAGGCUCUAUUGGGCUAGAUGAGCAGCUCGGGCAGUUAAUUGUCGCCCAAGAAGCCCAACCCAGAUUACAACAAGCUGGGAUUUAGUUAGCUCGUUGACGGCCAUUUGGGUAUGCAUGAAUUGGGUGGAUGAUUAAUAAAUACGUUUUAUUAAUUAUUUCGCCGAUUGGGAUAUUCUCCUAAUUUAAUCUUUUCUAAUAUUAUAAUAAAGAGAUUUUGACAUGUGUAAUACAUGUGUUAUUUUAAUAAUCCAAUAGAUAAUAUCUACUUUAUUUUUAUCUUUCGUUAUUAAAUACAAAAACACUAAUAAAAAAAAAAUGACUUAACUCUUUUUAUAUUUUUAAUUUUUAUUUAUUUCCUUUUAUUGCUUUCCUAGCAAUGUUCAUCUUUUUACUAUACAACAUCCAUAACCUUAACUUUGGAAAUAAAAGAGAAUAUGUGAAAGUAUAAGUAGGAGAAAGACUUCAUUGAAAUCAAACAAAUUGGGCAACGUUAGAUUUUUCUUUAAAAUUCUCAUGAGAUAUUAAUUAGUAGUAUUAUCACUGCUGCCUGCCUAUUUCUAACCUCAACCAAUAUAUGAUCAAUGCUUGAUUUGGUCAAUCUAAAUAAUUAUGAUCGAUGAUUGGAUAUUGUUGAAGGGCGGCCCUAAGGAUGAGAGAGGGGAAUGCGUGUGCAAGCCACAUGUGUGAAGAAAAAGAAAAAGGCAAGAGUGAAGAUGACGACGAUUAAAAUCUUGUUUGAUUUCUUUUUCUGAUAAUUUUGUUAAUCUGCUGUUGUUAGUUCCAAAAUUUUAGUUAGCAACAAAAUGACAUGUUUUUGUGUUUAAUAAGGAAAAAGUAAAUAAUAUAUUUUCUAUAGGAUUCUUAGAAUGGAUUAGAUUAGACUACGGAGAGAAAUAUAUUUGAGAAUAUUAGUGUUGAGUUAUUCUAAUGUCUUUAAUAGUAAAUUCAAUUAAGACUAUUUUAGUAAUAUAUUUUUUUUAUUGAAAUUAGAGUGUUCAAAGUUAUAAAUAAAAAAUUCAAUAAUUUUUUAUUGAAUUUAUAUAACUCUGGAUUCUUUUUUUUUUUUUCCAACACUGAUAUGGUUCUGUUCUGUGUAUUUAUAUACAAUUUAAUGUUUACAUACAAAUUAAAUAAGAUCAAUUUAAUGUUUAUAUACAAUCCUUCAAGUCGUAACUCAAUUUUAUGGAGGUUUAUACAUCUGCACGCAUUCCUUGAAUUUCUCCUAGAUUGGAACUUCUUAAUUGAUCCAAUGCAUUUUUCCAACAGUCAAGAUCCUUAGUUGUCAGAGCAUUUGCAAUCGUACUCAGUGCACCAGGCAAACCUCCGCAUCUUUCAACGAUCGAGGAGUAUUUUUGUUGAAUCACCGACUAUAUUCUCAAAUAACUGCAAUGCUUCUUUUUUUGAUAACGCAUCGAUCGAGGAAUUUUUCUGAGAUUUCAUAUCAUUGCACAAUAAUAAAUCUCGACUUCUAGACGUCAAUAUUAUUUUGCAUUGUCUCUGAUCGUCAACAUCCCCGGAAGUUAAUGAACGGAAUUCUUUUAUCCUUUCUAUCUUUCUCAUCAACAUCCCCGGAAGUAACCACAUCGAACAACUUAUCUUCCCUCACUUGCUUUGCAACAUCUUGGAAUACUUUCAUUCUGGAAUCAAAGGCUACGUAAUCUUUCACUUGCACGUACUCUGUACUCUCUGGAGCAGGACGGUAGGAAACAUGAUUACAGAUGUUAAAUUCGCCUUUUUUCACAAGUUUAUCAGCUUCGUUUGCGGCCUCUGCUGCUUGUUUACCAAGCUUGUAACGAGAAAUCAAAUUUGGGCACAACCCUUUGAAGCAGAACAUCUUAGCUCUAUCUUUAUCAUCAAUCAUGGAUUUUGCAACCCCUUCACUGAAUUCAGCAACUCUAUUUAGCCAGUCUCAGACACCCUUAUAAAUCUCAUCUCCUUGUAGAGUAGCCUCUCUAACCAGCGUUUUCACCCUUUCUCUUAUAUAUUCCAGCUCCUUCACUCAAUCUUUUAGCCCAUCUAUGUAGCUUUGGUAUUCGAACACAUAAGAUAUGUGCCGCAUAAUCGGUUCGAAUAAUGCUUUUGAACCUUGUGAUACAAUGCUGGAAAAAGCAGGGAGACACCCUUCAACAGCCAUUGCCUGUUGCUUAACAAUAUAUAUAUAUAAAUACAAGUGUCAAAGAAAGGAAUGCAAAUAAAUUAAAAUGAACUAGAGGGAAAGAUAGAGAAUGAAAAGAUCACAAACAAUAUGGCUAUAUUGAUCUUGAACCAACUAAUAACUAAAUAGAGAAUUUCUUUUUCUUUCUUAAGGAUAAGAGGUUUUACUAUUAACAAAAAGUUAUUUUGAGGGUCUGAAUAAAAAACCAACCAUAAAUUAUCAAAAGCUAGUAAAAACACAGACAUAAAUAAUGAACAAUUACUUAAGCAAAACAAACUAUGAAACAAAGAAAAUCUAAUAAAAUGACAAAGAAAGAAAGAAAGAAAAUACAACAAAAAGUAUUGAAGUAUUGAUCAUGAGCCAACUGAUAUUUAAACAGAUUUUUUUUUUAAUUUUUAGUCUUUUGCUAAAGGAUUAGAGUUUUUGCUAUUAACAGAAAUGUUUCAAAAAUCUAACACUACUAGAAAAGUAUUAAAUAAUGACAGAAAUUUGAUGACAUAUAUCGUUGUGUCACGAAUGUGUCAUAAAAAUAUGAUAGAUUCAUAAUAUAUAUUCAUAUGUCCAGAAUAUAUGACAUAUUCAUGACUUAUAAUUUAACCGUCCUAGAUAAAUGAUACAUAUAAGUCAUGCUUAGGUUUUGUGAACUUAUAAGAUUGUAAAACAGUGUUGUUUAAAUUAACGACACCGUUCUGUAUAACUUAAAACACAUCAACACUUACAGCCAAAUUUUGGCUAAGCGUUGAAUGAAUCCCUCUCUCUCCACUGGCCACUGCAACCUAAAAUGAAUGUUUAAAUUAACGACACCGUUGAAUUAAAGCCUAGCUCAAAUUCCUUUUUUCAAUCGAAAUAAAACGUAGCCACAAAACCCUAAUUCACCACACCAAAUUAUCUCUGCUCGGUAUUCAUUUAAACCCUACCUCGCGGUUCAAUGUCAUUCAAUACGAUUGCAGAUGCCGUUUCAACUUGUCAUUUAGUUAGCGCCAUCCAGUUCCCUAUGGUAAGCCUUAACCCUAACGCUAGUAAGAUUUGCUAAAAAUUUCAUAUUUUGUAUUGUUCCAGUUGAAUUUCAUGUUAAUUUAAUUCUUCUUUGCCUUCUUUUUUCUUCUUCUUUAUAGUCACGCUCUGGCUUUGGUGCUAUGCUUAGUGCAGUUUGUGGUUUCAAGAUUAAGUCAUGUUUAUUUGAUGGCAUCGAUUCCAUCGUUGAGGAUUGGAUUGUUGAUCAAAUGCACCUAGUAAGCUCUUCUUAUUUUAUCUCAGUUUCAAUUUUCUUUUAUUAUCUGCCUCUACCUAAAAAUGGACGUGUUUUACUAGUAAGCAUAGACUUUGUUUAUUUAAUUGAUAUUUUAAUUUUAUGUAUAAGAAUGGAGGUUUAUUUUGAAAAAAAAAAAAGGAAAUUAAAAAAUAGAUUCUGUUGAAGCUAAUUAGUACUGAAUUUUUUUGGUGGUGCGACCAGAGGUGGAAACAGGGUAUGAAAAUGUGUUACUGGUGAGGUUGCUGCUUAAGAUGAGAAUGCAUUCUUUUCAAAAAUCCUUGGUAGGUGUUAUCUAAUUAUCUUUGAUGGAAUAUCAAAUGGCUAAAAAUCUGUCAUACGUUCAAACUUUGUUUGUGUUUAGAAGAAUGGUGUUGACUGUAUAUUCGUUUGGAAGAAUGGUGUUGAUUGUAUAUUCAUUUGCUUAGCCUUUUGACAGAUGGAUUGUAUAAUUGUGUUUGCCUCACUGUUUUUUUUUUAUGAGAUCUAUAAUUGAUCUGGGGAUAUUACUUUCUAGUUCUCAUGCAAGCAAGUUACUACCUUCCCACUGCAUCUCGUCCUUUAUCUGCUAUUCAAGAGAUGCGUGCCAUAAUCUGGUGUUACCUCUGCAAGAUUGUGAAUGAAUAUAAUGCCUCUAAAUUUAUUUUAUACAUAAUGCUGAUGCUGAAUAAUAUAUUGUAGCUCCUGUCAUAUUCUACUUUGACUUUUUAUAUUCUGUUUCAUAUAAAAAUCUUAUUCAACUUUAGUUGUUCAUGAGCAAAUGUCGCAUGUAUAAGCCCAAAUGAUGUUUAAAGGUAGCGCGGCUACCUUUAGUUUGAGCUUACAAUGGAUGAAAAAGAAAUUGAAACUGUUUUUCUGAUUUUUCAAAGUAUUUUAGAUCCUGACUUUUGUUUGGACUUGAUGGUUAUAGAUUGUGUCUAGAUUUGUUAAGUUGUUUCCAACACCUCGUGCCAAAUGAAAGCACAAUCUUUCUGAUUCAGAUGUUUGGUUAAUUAUGCUUCAUUUUUUUGUUAAAGAUUGGAUGGUUGCAUGGAUUGAUGGAGUUGGAGUUCAACCAAUAAUUCUAAUUUUUUGGACUUAAAAUGCCUUUUUCUUCUGUAUAAAAACUUUAGUAAGUGCUAUUGAGUUGACAGAAGUUGAAUACUUACAGGUUGUUUCACACUUUUUAAUAGUUUUACAUAUAUGAAUUUCUGUUUUUUGAAUUGCAGAAAGGAGGUGGAACUAUUGAUUUGGAGCCUUAUCUUACUCACUCAUCGACAACGGAGCCUACCCUCGCUCCCAUGGCAGUGGAACGGACAACGACUACUAGGGCUGCAACAUCAGUUGGUUUGGGUCUGUUUUGAGUUUAUUUUCAUUUAUUUGGCUAUGUUUUGAUAGCGAAUUUUGAUAUGUCAAUAUAAUGUGUAAUUGUUUUGGGUUGAGCUGGUAUUUAUGCUGGAUUAGAUUGGUUUGGUUUUGGUGCUUCUCUGAUGGAACACUGCUUCUUUUAGAAAUUUUGAAUGUAAUAUGAGACUACAUUUAGUUUAAUUGAACACUGCAUCUAGUCUAAUUACUAGAAGUGUGGCAUUUGGUUUGGUUUAUCCGAUAUUCUCCAGAAUUUCACUUGCAUCUGGUUUUGUUGCAUAUGUUUGCUUGCAUUUGAUGGCAGUAGCAGACUGUUUGGUUUUGUGACAUUUGACGGCAGUUUGGUCUGUUCUUGGUGUUGAUUUAAGAUUGUUCCUGUUGUGCUGAUGUUAAUUGCAGGUGCUGGAAUCAGCUAGGGUUGCUGGUUUAUUCAGAUAGUUGACUCAGGCGUUGUUACUGGUUAAUUCAGGUGGCUGACUCAAGUUGUUCAUUUAAUGUUAGGAAGCAAAUUAAGAAUUAAUGAAGUAUUCAUUUAACUAUAAUUAUUGUAGUUAUUUUAUUUCAUAACUGAAUUAUAAUCUAUGGUACUUGUGAACAAAUUAGAGAAUUUUUAUAUAUGAAUUAUAUAUAUGUGUGUGUAUGUACAUUUUGCUAUUUAUGUAAUAAUUUAAAGAAUAUAUUUCAAUUCCCACAAAAAAAAUGGCUCCAAUUUCAAUAAUUCCCGCCAAAUAAUUAAUUUUUUUUUAAUUUACCACUAAAAUAUAUCUUAAAGAAAUUUUAGUUAUUCUUGCUAGAUUUAACAAAAAUAAUUUGUAGGAUUAACAUUUAAUUAAAAUAAUUAAAAAAUUUUAUUAUUCCAAUUAAAAAUGUCAUGUUUAUACGAUAGACAAUAUUCAUGAAUGGGAAGUAUUAGUUACAUAUUUUUCCUUGGGAUUUCAGGCAAAUGAAAAAAAGAUUGAGAAUGAUUUCAAGAGGACAGGUGGAUGAUAAGUAUUCAUUUUUGUAUAUUUGGCUAGUGGAUUUUUAUGGUAUUGAUCUUUUUUUAAAAAAAAAAAAAAAUUUCAAUUAGUUGCAGCCCUAGAGGAAGAGCAGGCUGAUCAAAUUGAUUUGUCUUGUUUUUCGGGCAAUCUACGACACGAUGACUGUGAUAAUGCUCGUGACUGCUGGAAACUUUCUGAUGGAAAUAACUUUAGAGUUCGUAGCAAGCAUUUUUGUUAUGACAAAACAAAGGUUCCCCCAUAUUUUGUUUGUUUGUUAUGGUAUUUAUAUAUCCUGCAUAGGCUAGGUAGACAGGUUAUGAUGUAGUUUGGUUGGCUCUUCUUGUGCUUGUGCAAUUUGUAACUGCAGAUACCUGCGGGAAAACAUUUAAUGGAUCUUGUUGCUGUUGAUUGGUUCAAAGACACAAAGAGAAUGGACCAUGUAGCUAGGCGUCAAGGCUGUGCUGCACAAGUAACUAUUCUUUUCUUUUUAUUUUUCCUUUUCCAUUGAUGCAUUAGGAGAAAAUACUGCCUGUGAGAUACUACAAUGUAAAUAACUUCUCAUGGUUCAUUGAAUCUAUAACACACUGACCCUCUUCUAAAAAAUGUAGGUUGCUUCUGAAAAAGGGCUUUUCUCACUGAUCUUUAAUCUUCAAGUAAGUUUGUUUCAUUUCAGAAGGUAUUAAGUUUCAAACUUAUUGUAUUGGGAGGUUGUAUAGUUGUAACCUAAGCAUCUGCAGGUUCCUGGAUCAACACAUUAUAGUAUGGUAUUUUAAUUAGUCGCAAGGCAAUUGGUUGUGGGAUCACUUUUGCAACGGUUUGUUGAUGGCGAUGAUGAGUUUCGCAAUAGUAGGUUGAAAUUUAUUCCAUCUGUUCCUAAGGUAUCCAUCUUGGCCUUCAUGUAUUAGGACUAUAUUAACGUAUACUAACCCUUUACUGCAUGGUACACUUCAAUUUGUCCAAAGAAGGCAUGCAUUUAGGUGUAAAUGUAUUGAUGGGUUGUACCUUCAAACUUCGUGUCCAUUUUUACCCUCUUGAAUUUGUUUUGCACUUGUUCUUGAUUUUAAGCACUGAAUCAUGCAGGGGUCAUGGAUGGUGCGCCAAGAGUGUUGGAAGCACCCCUUGUUCAUUAGUGAAAGUGGUUGAUUGUAACUACAGAUGAAUUGUUCCCCUUUCAAAUAGCGUCCGAUACCAUUAACAUGGUUUAACAUUGUUCAUCUUUCUGUAGAUUAAUGUUGACAUCGGUUCUUCUACUGUUGCUAAUGGAGUUUUGGGCCUUGUAAUUGGUGUAAUUGCGACAUUGGUGGUUGACAUGGCUUUCCUUGUACAGGUAUGUAUGAUUGUUUUUUUCCCCCACUUCUAAAUGGACACAAGGGAAAAGACAUGAUUUUGAGAUAUUGCACUGCAAUUUGCAUUUUUGCAUACUUGAAUGUUCUCAGAAUGGUAUAAUGCUUCGUGUGUGUCUUCUUUAUCUUGCUCUUCUGUAUGCAGGCAAAUACUACAGAUGAAUUACCGGAGCGGCUGAUUGGUGCUGUACGUGUUUCUCAUAUAGAACUCAAGUCUGCUGUUGUCCCAAAGUUGGAACCAGAGAUAUCAUGACUCUGGUUUCAUUUCACCUCAACUGUGUUUUUUUUUUAAUUAAAAAAAUCAUUUGUUUUAGGUAUACAUACAUGUAUUUUGAUUCUAUUUUCAUUGUAAUUUCUCAUUUACUUUGAAUGAAAGUCAUUGGUGUUUUCGAAUGGGAAUUUUGCAUUAAAAAAUGAAGAAUAGUGAUUUUUGGAGUGUAAUUAGUAGUAAAGUUGGUUUCUACUCGCAAACAAGUGAACUGCUCGAUUCCCGAGUGGUAUCAACCAGUUUCCAACUUUUUAAUAUACACUAAUUGUUAUUGUUUAAUAGCUACUACUAUUAAAACUCGACAGCUAACAAAAAUACUUAAAAAAAACGAUUUUUCUUAUGAUGCUGUGAAAAAAAUUACGGGUUUACUUCUUUCCACGAGAUCUAUAACAUGGUCUUGACUUCACGAAAUUCUUUUAAUUUAAAGCGUGCUGGUGUGAGAAGGUCAGUUUGACUGAUUAAUUCUUUUUAACAGUGGUCGAGAUAAUUUUACUAUACUCAAAAAUAUUCUUAUUCUGAUAAUGCCACAAAUGUUAUGUUGUUUUCUUAGGCUAAGGAUCUUCUAUCAGGAGAGGUUAGAAAUUAAAUGCUUAAAAGAGAAUAAUACAGAAAUUUAGACAGAAUCUAAUCGAAUAUUGCAUGAAACAUGAAACAUCAAUUCAAGUCCUUUCUUUAAACAGAGAAUGCAUCAAACAAAAUCCAAAGUGUCUUGCACGUCUGUAGCAUGAGCAAAAAAUUGUAAAUAUGUAGAACCAAAUUAUUCAAGUAUAGAAGAACGAGCAAGCUAAAUCAUGUAUAAGAGAUUGGCCUGGUUCGAGAUAGCUUCUUCACUGUACCUGAAGGGUUGGCUCAAUAUCUUCUUUAGAAUUCUGCACAUUUUGUAAUUACUCGUGUAAGCAAGCAUACAUUGCCACCAUAAGAAUAAUAAAGCUAGAGUAAUGAUAGGACCACCACCUCUUGUGCACAAACAAUAUUGUAUAAACUAAUGCGAGAUAAUAUGAUUGGUUAAAUAAAAACAUUAUAUGGUCCUCAUAAUUUAUUUAUUUAUUUAUUAUUAUUAUUAUUAUUAUUAUUAUUAUUAUUAUUAUUAUUAUUAUUAUUAUUAUUAUAUAUUUUCAGUCAACCAAUCAUAUUAUAUCACAUUAGUUUCUAUAAAAUAAUUUACUAAAUAGCACCAAAACUUAAUUGAUACUCACCAUUUCAUUGAACAAUUUUUUUAUGGUGUCAUUGAGGUUGCCUUCCCAACAUGCUUCAUCAUCAUCAUCUUCUUCAUCCUGAUCAUCCUUUUCUUCUUCGGUGACGUUCACUUUGUUUAGCAUUGGUGUGUCUAAGACUCCUUGAGAGAAGAUCUUCAUUUUUGGACACUGUCUCACAACUACUUGUUUCAAGGACGGGAAUUCAAGAGCGUAAUUACCCAAACUAAAGCUUGUUAGGCUUGGCAAACAAUCAAGUGUCAAGUACUCCAAUUCCCUGAAAACAAUGCAGUCUUUCGCUUCUUCUCCAACCUGCGAUUGUAUGAUUUCUUCUAUCAUUUUGCAAUCAGCUAUCUUCAUUCUUUGAAGAUUCACUAGACUUUCAGAUGUCGAGAAUGUCAACACAUUUAUCAACCCGUGACAUUUUGAUACUUUCAAAGCCUCAAGAUUUUCCAAAUGCCACGAAGGUGGUACUAAUUUUUGCAACUUACUACAUUCCGAUAUUUUUAGACUUUCCAAAUUUGCAAAUACUUUGUUGGAUUCGGCAUUUUCCUUCCAGAGAUGCUGCACUUUGUGUAAUCUAGACAGCCUUAACUUCCUCAAUUUAGGGAAUGCAACCUGAAAAUCAACAAAAUUAAGUUGUAAAUGAAAAUAUGUAUCCAAUCUCUGGAGUCUUCCCCUGCAUAUUUUAUGGACAAGAUUAAUCACGGCAUUUUAUAUUUUAUCUCCAAAUUAGUAUGCUUUGUAGUAGGAUCCCAAAUAUAAGUAUCAAAUCGAUUACCCUUUGAAACACAUAAAUGAAAUCUGAUGCUAAAUCCAAUAUGAAUUAGCUAGGAAAACAGAGAUGUUACACACAUAAUUAAUAUAGUUCAUCACCUCGUGUUACUAGGCAUCCAAUUAAUUUCAGACAUUUUUAUAAUUCAUACUAUAAAGAUAGUUAAUAACUGCGGUUAUAUUGUUAAAUCAGAUAUAAAUUAAGAUGACAUGCAAAAAGAUGAGUCAUUAAAUUUGACUUGAUUCUAAUGAAAUUACAUCUAUGCGAACGAAAGUGAAGGGAAAAAUAAUAAUAAUAAUAAUAAUAAUAAUAAUCACCUUUUCAUCAAAGAGGGGUUGUACUUGAUGAGCCAGCAAGAAGUUCUCUUCUGAUGUUAAUUUUUCAGGUUUCUUGUUAUCUGUUGUCACGUGCACUACAGAGUUGGAUAUGAAUGUUUCCAUAUCAGGGCAAUUCUCAAUAGUUAGAUUCUCCAACUUAGGCGGUUCAAUUAUAUUCCCAGUGAAGUUGCAGAAUCUUUUGAGUUUUGGAAGAUCAAUGAGCCUUAGCUCGGAAAGCUUAGGAAACGGGGGGCCUAUAUGUUCUUUGUCAGCAUUUAGCUCUUCGAAAUGAAACACCUCUUCUAUUGAAUCACAAUUCCUCACUUCCAGCCAUUCCAAAUUGUUCAAGCACCGUAGCAGAUUGGCAGGAAUAGCACUCGACAUAUUCGUGCAGUCAUCCACCACCAGCUGUGCUAAAUUGUUGAAGAAGCUGACAGGCAGUGCUUGGCCAUGCCAUAUUUCUUGCAAGCGUGGAAAAUGCGAGAGUUGCAAACGGUUUAUAUCAAGGAAUCCAAUCUGCACAAACCAAAACAAUUUUGUUUUUGAAAGGCAUUAUAUAUACACACAUUAAACUUACAUGUUUUGUGUUUUAACUUCUAAAAAUAUAUAUACAAGGGAGGUGUAUAUGCUUAAAUGUGCAAGUGCAGGGGAGAUGCAUGAACAAUUUGGUUGAAUCGAUUAACACAUACCAUUUCGUCAUAGCACUUUUGUAUAGUGGAACUAAGGUUAUUGCCUUCCCAAUGGUGCAGUUCACCCUCUUCCUUUUCAGUCACUUGUACUUUGCAUGGCUUUGGAAUGGAUAAGAUUCCGUGAGAAAAAUUCUUCAUGUUCGGACAAUGUGUCAUAGAAACUCGUUCCAGUGAUGGGAAUUCAAGAGUGUAAUUCUCCAAACAAAAGCUGGUAAGCCUUGGUAAAUCAUCAAGUAUCAAAACUUUUAAUUUGCUGAAAGCAAUACGAUUCUCCUUCACUUCUUGUCCAACAUGUCCUACGAUUUCUUCUAAUUUUGGGCAACCCGAUACUUUAAGAUUCACCAGGCUACUAGGAAUUCCAACCUAAAAAUAAGCAAAAGUGUGUGUACGUUAAAAAAGUAAAAAUGUAAGAAUAUCAUUCAACUAGGUUCAAAGUAUGUUUAAUCAUACAAUUAUACAUUUUAUGAACAUAACAAAUUAUGAAAUGUCUACUAGAUAUUUUUUGUUAAACAAAAAUAGAACAAGAUAAAUAAAUAAAUAAAAGCCAGAUAAAAAAAGAUAAUAAAAAUGCAUUUACACUAUUUAGUAUUAGAAACGUAGAAAGAAUUUAAGGCAAUUUCUAAAUAUUUUAGACUUCUUUUGCAUCUUGAUAUCAGUUUUUAAGCAUAAAUUUGCAAAUUUCAACUAUUCCUUUUUUUUUAAAAAAAAAAACUCAACCAUUUUUCCCUUUUCCUUGGUUCCUUUUUUUAAUGUAUAUUUAAAAAUGGAAAAAAAAUUGGAAAAGAUUUCCCAAUACUGUCAACAAGGGACUACUGUAAAGUGGAUCUUUAUUAAGUACUUCCAAACUCGAGGAAAUUUCUUUACAAUCAAGGGUCAGUUGUAAAUAAUCAUGAAUUUGUGGUUAAUUAAUGGCAUAAUCAAUUCGUAACUAAACUAGAGAUAUUAAUUAAAUUUGAAGACUUUUAUUUUUUUUUCCAAUCGAAACGUGAAGAAUUAAGGAAAAGAGAAAUAUAUAGAUGAAUUUGUGAACCUAUAAGAUGAGAGACGAUCCUUUAAUUUUUGAAAAUCGUACUUUUAAGAUAUGAGCAAAAACAAUUAAAUUGAAAACCGGACUUAAAACGUAGAUUUCAGAGUAGUGGUUAAUUUGAAGUACAAUACAAAAAUGGUUAAAAAAUGGUUGAAUUUUAUCUGGGAAAAAAGAUUCGAAAUGAAUACAGCAACCUUACCAAUGGAGGAAAAAUAUUUCUUAGGUUAUCACACCACCAUAUGUCCAAAUUCUUCAAUUUGCUGAAAGACUCCGAAGCAAGCUGGUGGUGCCAUAUUCUUCUCAAAUUAUCCAUCAUCUCCAUAAGUAAUACCUCCACCCUAGGAAGUCGUACCUGGCAGUUAAAGAUUAAAUAACUAAUUAAUCAAUUAAUGGCAUAAUCAAUUGAUAACUAAAUUAGAGGUGGAUAUUAACUAAAUUUGAAGACUCAAGGAAAAGAAAAAUUAAGUAUUGUGACUAAAAUUAAUUUUUUUAUUAAAAAAAAAAACCUUUUCGUCAAAAAGAGGAGGAGGUUGCAUUUCAGAAUGAAUGGUGUCUUCUGGUGAGCUCGUAGAGAUGAAUCUUAACAUAUUACUGCAACCACUAAUCCGGAGUUCUAGCAAAGAAGGGAAUUCAACAACUAAAUCUGAAUGAAUAUGUCCCGUAUUGGCGAAGCUUGUUAGUUCUGGAAGACAAUGGAGCUCGAGGGAGUGUAGUUUAGGGAAAUGAAUAUGUCCUUCAUCUCUUUCUGACCACCCCGUGGUGUCGACUACCCCUUCCAUUGACUUACAAGCUCUUAUCUCAAGAUGUUGGAGUAGCAAAAGACUAUUAACCAUAGAAUACGAAAACAGAUACUUCAUACGAUCACAACUGCUCACGAUCACCUUUGUUAAAUUUUGACAACAGUACAUUCCUUGAUUAUGAUCGGCCCAUAAUUUUUUCAUGUUUCUUAAUAGCGUGAGAUUCAAUUCCUCUAAGCUCGGAAGAAUAACCUGCAAAGAAAACCCGUACAUUUUUGUUCCUUCAAGUACAACCGUCUAGUAUAAUAUUCUUUUGAUGAUCGAAGAUUAAUCGUGAUAAUAAAUUAAUCAAUUAAUUAUUGUACAGAAAAUUAUCACCUUUGGAGCGGUAUCAUCAUCAGCAAUGAUUUCGUUGAAUCCCAAAGAAGUUGUUGGUUUCUCCCUGUCGGGUCCUAUAAACAAACAAAAACAAUAUACAUAAUUAAUCUUUGUCGUAUUUUUUUUUCAAAAUAAUUGAGGUGAAGUCCAUAAUCCCACCAGUACUUAAUUUCAACACUUACCAACAAUCAUUUCCAGAUCACCGCCAAAUAACACUUCUACCUUUUGAAGCCGCAGUAGGUUUUUGGCCAUGGAGAAUGAGAAAAGAUGCUUCAAUUUGUCACAGCCGCGUACUAUUAUAAUCCUUAAGUUGCUGAAAGAUUGAUCUUCUGUGAGUUGGCUGUCACAUAUUGUCUCCAACUUGCUCAAACACCAAAGAGACAAUGACUCCAGCAAGGGGAAGACUUUGCGACGAACCCGUCCAACUGAACCGACAAUGUGUAAAAUCUCAGAACAACUUUCUACGUGAAGAUGCUUCAAUCGUGGAAAACCUUCCCCAUCAUCUAAUUCAUGAACAACAUUCUGAACACCCUUCAGUUCUUUUAGAUAGAGAUAUUCAGUUCUCUCCAACAACAGUUUCAUCCUGUAAUUCUGCAAAAGAAUGCCAAACUUUUCUAGCCCCUGGAGCUUCAUCAAUCUUGAUAAUCCAGAUUUAACGGACCGGCUGCUCCACCACUCAUUUCCUAUACAUAUCCUAUAGCUUUGCAAUUCCACAGAGACCAAAUCCUGCGGUAGAAUUUCGGCAUCCCGAACGUGUAUCUCCAAAGUAGUUAGCUUUGACAACCCAUUCAAUUCAGCAAGACUGGCGUUACUUCCUCCUUCAACCUUCUCCCAUUGUGAAAAGCUGUUACCAAUGUAUAGUUCUUCUAAUCGAGAUAAUUUUGAUAUGACAUUUGGAGCUAUCACCACAAGGCUGCUACAAUUUCUCAAAUCUAGCAACUGUAAUCUCGUCAAUUGUCCAAUUACAAGUGGCAACUCCUUAACAUCAGAAUCUCGAAAGCUGAGAAUCUCUAAUUUCUUUAGCUGUCCAACUAUUGCUAUAUCGUUCAGUCGGCAACCAUCUAAACAUAAUGUUUGAACGUUAAUGAGGCAACCAAGUGAUGAAGGUAAUGAAGAGAAAAAUAUUCCAGUAAAGUCUAAAACUUUGAGUUCUUCUGCCCCUUCAAAAAAGAGGUGUGAAAUUUGCAAAGAGCUAUCAUGCUUUGCAAACAAAAAAAAUAACUUGAGUUGGGGACAUUCCAACCUCUCAGGGAGCUCUUGAAUAUCUCUAUAAGGUAAGGAAAUAGCGAUUGGACCUUUCCGUAUUGUCUCUUCCAUCUCUCUCUCAAAGUCAGCAACAUUUGGAAUAUUAAACAUAAGCUUCUCUGCGGCAAUUGAUACAGCAACAACAUGAAUGACGUCAUGCAUUUUAGCUUCAUCUUCAGCAUCACCGUCCAACAAUAAGCAUGAAGCUUUUAGACUGUCGAUCAAUGCAUCCACUCUAUUCCUUGCUGCUUCCAAUGUGUAAACAUUUCUAAAUAGACCCAAACCCAUACCAUAUCUCAAUAAGUAAUGUACGUAUAUAGGAUGACCUUCACCAAACAGAGUACAAAGAAGGAACAAAGAUUUUGCUUCAUCACUUUCCAAGAAAUCGUAACUCAAUUUUAUGGAAGAAUACACAUCUGCAUCCAUACCACGAAUUUCUCUUAGAUUGGAACUUCUUAGCUGAUUCAAUGCAUCCUUCCAACUGGCAAGACUCUUAUUUUUCAGAGCACUUGCAACUGUUCUCAGUGCAACAGGCAAUCCCCCGCAUUUUUCAACGAUCUCAUCUGCAGUGGGUUGAAAAUCAUAUGUUUUUUUUGAAUCACCCACUAUCUUCUCAAAUAACUGCAAUGCUUCAUCUUUGGAUAAAGCAUCGAUCCAGAAAUUUUUCUGAGAAUUCAUAUCAUUGCACAAUAAAUCUCGACUUCGAGACGUCAAUAUUAUUGUGCGUCUACUCCGAUCGUCCUCUCUAUCUUUCUCAUCAACAUCCCCAUAAGGAAUUCCAACUUUAUCGAACUCAAGUUUUGUCCAAAUAUUAUCCAGUAUAAUGAGGAGCCGCUUCUCUUGCUUCAACCUUUGACACAGUCGAGAAGCUCUUUGAAAUUCAUUCUCAUUCAAGUCAAAUUCCAUGCCUAAAUCAAAAGCAAGUUUGUCUUGAAUUUUAUGAUGAUCUGGUGUCUGUGUUACCUCAGCCAUAACGACCUUAUCGAACAACUUAUCUUCCAUCACUUGCUUUCUAACUUGCUUAACUAGCGUGGUUUUACCCACGCCGCCCAUCCCAUAGACCCCAAUUAUUUUGAAACUAUCAUCCUUCAACGCAUCCACAACAUCUUGAAAUACUUUCGUUCUUGAAUCGAAGGCCUCGUAAUCUUUCACUGGCAUAUAUUCUGUACUCUUUGGAGCAGGACGGUAGGAAACACUAGAGAAGGUGCCUUUUCCCUCGAGACUAGCGGCAGCUUCUGCGGCCUUUGCUGCUUGUUUACUAAGCUGGUAACGAGAAAUCAAGUUGGGGCACAACCCUUUGAAGCAGGACUUCUUAGCUCUAUCUUCAUCAUCAAUGAUGGAUUUUGCAACCCCUUCACUGAUGAAUUCAUCAACUUUAUUUAGCCAGUCUGUGACACCCUCAUAAAUCUCAUCCCCUUGUAGUCUAGCAUGAUUAACAGGUUGUUGCACCGUUUCUCUUCUAUAUCCCAGCUGCUUCACUUGAUCUUUCAGGCCAUCUAUGUAGCUCUGGUGCUUGAACACAUAAGAUAUCUGCCGUAUAAUCAGUUUGAACAGUGACUUUGAACCUUCUGAUACAAUGCUGGAAAAAGCAGCCAGACCCACUUCUGCCAUUGCCUGCUGCUUAACAAAUCUAAUAAUAUGUCAAAGAAAGGGGAAAGGAAUACAAAUAAAUUAAAAUAAACUAGAGAGAGAAAAAAAGACGGCAAACAGUAUCGCAAAAUUGAUCUUGAAUCAACUGAAACAUGAACAGAGCCUUUUUUCUUCUUUCUUAAGGAUCAGAGUUUUUGCUAUUAACAGAAACGUGCUUCAAGUGUCCCAAAAAAAAAUGAUAAAUGAACAAGCCAUAGAAAUUUUAUCUUGGAAAGUGGAUGGAAAUUAAGAAAGAAAUUGUAUAGAGAUCAAGCAUCAGAGAUUAUGUUAUUAAAAGAAAUUAAUUGAAGGUUGUGGAAAUCCUGUUUAAUUAUGGAAAGUUGAUGAGCUUCUGUAAUCGCCUUGAGUAUUUAAGUGCAAUUUUAAUGAGCAAAAAGUUAAUGUUACCUGCAGAGGAAUGUAAUUAUAGAGAGCUUAUGAGAGUAAUGAUAAUGAUUUGCAAAAGAAGAAGACUCAAUCAUGCAGCCCUUAAUUUCUUUUAUUUUCAGUCGCCGAAGAGGAAAUCUCUUUUUUAUUUUUUUUCCAAGGGGAAUCUCCUUUCGUAAUAUGUCAUGAUUAAAGCAAUCUAUAAAUAAUACAAUAAUCAUAUAAUGUAAUAAUUAAAGGACCCACAUAUUUAUAAUAUUAAUGAUGGGAUCCAUACGUUCAUACUGAUUAAAUUGGUGGACCAGACUUUAUUUGACCUUACUUGUUUUAUAUUCAAUUAAAAAUUGAAACGACAGAGAAAAAUUGUCGUAAUGAUGGUUUCGAUUGUGGAGUUCCGCUGUGGAUAGCACUUGCAAUACUGAAAAAGAAGCUUUCGUCAACUUUCUCACAUGGACGCGCACCAUCACGCAUAAUUGCAUAUUGCAUUAUUUCUCUAGAAAAGCAAAAGCAAGAUUUAUUCUUUUAAUAAGCAAACGCGUCGGUGGGAAUCCAUUCAUUAAACAAGUGGAACAGCAAUAUAUUAAACCAAUGAUAAGCUUUCUUAAGUGGGAAACCAAUUAUGACAGAAAAUUCAAAAUCUGAAUCCGCCUGAUGGACGGGUUUGACCGCAGAGCUCAAGAUAAUCUGAACCACUCUCCUUUCGUAACUGAUAGAUAAUUUCAAAACAGGGGAAUGAAAACAGAGGAGCCCUGUUUUUCCUUCCUUUUUUUUUUUUUUAACCCAACUCUUCUUCCUUUAUAUAUUUUCCUUGGAAUUUUAGGUAAACAAAAAAACUUUGAGAAUAAUUUCAAGAGAAUAGGUGGGUAAUAACUAAAAUAUUUAUUUUUAUAUAUUUGAUAAGCACACUCACUAUUAAUAAAACCCAUUAAAUACUACAACUUAAAUAACUUCUUGUAGUUGAUUGAUGGUAUGUUUGGAAUUUCUUUUACUUCCCAAGAAUUAAUUUUUACCUUGAUUAUCAGAAAAUUAAUUUUAUGAAUAAUUUAGUCGGGUGUUUGGUAAAUGAUGAUUAUUUGACAAUCAGUUUGUAAAUAAUCUACUAGAUAAAUCUGGUAAGUGAAAAUUAAAAGUAUAAUGUUCAUGUGCAAAUUACAAAAAUAUACUCAUUUACUUAUCUGUAAUUUACUUAGAAUAUUAUUAUUUAAAUAAUUUUUCUUAUUCAUUGGAUUUUUAAGAGCAUAUUCUAUUUUGUUGAUUACAUAUUUAAAUAAUUUUUUAUUAACUAUUUUAAUUUACAAUAAAAAUUAACUAUAAUAUAUUUAACUAAAAAAUUUGUUAUGUAGUCCGUAAUAUACACAAAUACUUGAAUUGAUUAAUAAACUUAACUGCAAAAAAGAAAAUGCAAAAAUUUAAUCUUUAUAUAAACUUUUAUGUACACAAAACUAUUGUAAUAAAGUAAUUCAGAGAAAUAUAAUAUUAUAUACAUGUGUAAAGAAAUAUAUAACUAUAAUAUUAUCCACUUGCAGCACUAUUAUUUUUCAAUCUCUCCAUCUCUUGAUCUUCAAGAACAUUAGUACCAUGAUCUGCUUCUUGAGUUCGACCUCCAUUUUCACAGCAUCAACAAGACAAUCAAUUUGCCGUGAAAGCCUUACAGCUCCACCCACUUUCGUCCUUUUUGUAGCCACUCUUUUUCCCUUUCUUUAUUUAGUAGCUUCUAUGGAAACAAACUCAUCGAACUACCAGUACAUUUUUCAAUUAGAUAGGACUGAUAGUAGAUAUUCAGUACUCUCAGAUGGUGUGGAAACAUGAUCAUCAGUGAUUGUUGUCUUAAAAAGCAUUCUAUUUAAUUGUUCCUCUGACUCUGGCAUGCAAAAUUUCUUUAUUCACGAAUUUCCUACGUAUGUUGAUAUCAUAUUAAAAUGAAUUCAAGAUCACAUAUUAUUUUGCGUGACAUUAAAAUUUAGCCGAAUGGAAAAAAAACUUCCCUUUUUGUUUGUCCCACAACUAUAUAGUCUCAUUUUUGGUAAUAAGCUCACAACAUGCACGGGAAUGAAGAUCUAUUAAAAACUUCCCUACGCAUGUUGUGAGCUUAUUACCAAACAUGAGACUAUAUAUUUUAGCCGAAUGGUAAAAAACUUCGGAUGGAGGAUGUGCCAUCUUUUUAUUUUAGAUGCUCUCGGAUGGAGGAUGUGCCAUUUUUUAUUUUACAUGCUUUGUAAGACUUUUGAUGAUUGACUGCAGUCAAUUAACAAAAGCUUACAUAUUAUUUAGGUGCUGAGAUGUCUGUUCUUGAUAAAGUAGAUUUAUUCACACCCAAGCCAACGUAACCAAAGCCUAUUAUACACAAUAAUUAUUUUUGUUAAACUGAUUUCUGACUAAUGAGAUCUUUGAAAGCAUUCAAAGAAGCCACAGAAUUCAUAGGAAAGCCCUGAUAAAAUAUAUGGCGAAGCAUGUGAGCUCGUUUUUUAAUCUCUUGAUCACUCAUAAGCUUUUCUAUACCACUCACUAUAUCAUUCUUUUGAAUCGAUUUUGAUUGAUCAUCAGAAAUCAUGUACCCUCACCUUUAGAUGAUUGAUCACCAAUUUGGCAUUGUAAUGUUAAUCAUCUCUAAUUGGCCAUGUUAAAAUUGGGACCCCACAACCAAUUGCUUCUACCAUUGAAUUCCAUCCACAAUGAGAUAUAAAUUCACCCAUUGAUUGAUGAUUCAGUAUCAAUAAUUGUGGCGCCCAUCCAUCUAUUAUCAAUCCCUUUUUACUGGCUUUACUAUCCAAACCACUAUGAAAAUAAUUGCCUUCUGCUGGCCUGUCUAAGCCGGUUAAAUGACACGGAGGAUCCAAUCUACCAGCACCAGUUUGAAUUACCCAAAUAAAUGGUUCAUUUGAUACUUCUAAAGCAUUGGCUAGUACUAAAUACUCAUCUAACUUGGGACCCACUUCGGUACCAAAUGACACAUAUAACACAGGUCUGCGUGAUUUCAAAUUCAACCAUUAAACGAUCUCAUCUUCGUUCAUGUUAGAACUCCAUCGGUUGGUUCUCAUCUCACGAUCAUGAAGCACUGAGCCCGCCACAUUGGGCCUACUCCCCACAUUGGCUUUCCCAUUUGAUUGACUAAAUAAUGGGAAAUUGUCAAUUUUCCCCUACUAUAAUUAAUAUAUACCAUUUAUCCCCCUACUAUUUUUGUAAUACCCAAAAACCCAUUUGACAGCAUAAGUUUACAAUAUUACCCAUAUUUUCAAUUACUCUUUUAUUUAUAUUUAUUAUAAAUUAAAUAAAUCACAUGAAUAAAAACCAAAUAAAAAAAUUAAGUAUUAAAGACAAGAAGUAUAUGUUUUGAUAUGUGAAAAAAAAUUAAUAAUAAAAUUUUUUUCUUGUAAUUAUUUAUUUUGUGAACAUUUUCUUAUAAUAAAAAUUUUAUAAUAUUUUAAAUUAAAUGUAAAAAGCAUAGGCAAAAUAUUUUAUUAUUUAUCUUAUAAUAAAUUUUUAUUUGUCAUUCAAGUUUUCUUAUAAUAAUUUUUUUAUCAUUUUAUAAUAAUUUUCUUAUAUAUUUAUUACAAGAAAAUUUUCACAAAAUAAAUAAGUACAAAAAAAUUUAUUAUUAAUUUUUUACUCAUAUCAAAACAUAUAUUUUUUAUUUUUAAUGCUUAAUUUUUUAUUUAGUUUCUAUUCAUGUGAUUUAUUUAAUUUGUAAUAAAUAUAAAUAAAAGAGUAGUUGAAAAUAAAGGUAAUAUUGUAAACUUAUGUUAUCAGUGGGGUUUUUGACCAUUAUAAAAAAAGGAGGGAGGUAAAUGAUGUAUGUUGAUUACAAUAGGAGAAAAAUUGGUAAUCUCCUCUAAAUAAUUAAUAAAUGGUCCCUCAAGAUCAUCACACAUGUUGAACAUCAACGCCAUCGGUCCCUCCACUUCCUUCAUCUAGUGUGGUUGAUCACGGGGUUCGAUGGACCCAUUUUCUCUGAACCGGUCGCACCUCGCAAAGGUGGUGGACCACGAGAAAGGGGCCCGUGAGGCCUGUAUUUCAGAUUCGAUCCGAAUAAAGCCGUAUCCUUGGGUAACCCAGGAAGUAAACGGGCCUCUCCCGGUUUGACAUCUUGGAUGCAAGCCUGCUACAUGGCACACACCACGGCUGCUGAGCAAGCACCAGAAGUGAAGAACCCAACAAUGGGAACUUCAAAAUUCUUGCAAACAUCAGCCGUCCAGCCCAUCAUAACGUCGAUGACUGCACAAACGGGUCGCGUUUCGGGUUCCCGGGUUGAAAGGAGGUUUCGAAGGCCUUGAAGCAUUUGGCCGUGCAUGACAACAUGGUGGUGGGAAGGAGGUGGUGAUGCUGGUGAAGAGAGGAAGGGGUGAUGCUGGUGGGGGAAAUGUGAGAGGGAAUAAUGAGGGUAGAUUUGUAAUUACGAGAAGCGAUUUGCUUGCAUAAUUCAAUGCAUGGAAAUAGAUGUCCCUGACCGAAGAAUGGGACAAUCCAAACCUCGGCCUCAGCAGCAGUUGCAACAGAGCUUGACAUCUUUUUUGAAUUAUUUGAUACAUAAUUGUUACUGAUUGCUUUUGCCAUCUUUCAUAAAACAUUCUUUGUUAUAUAUAAAGAGAUGACUUGAUGGAGAAGUAAGUAUUUUACUUUUACAAUUUUACUUGGUCAGCUCUGAUUUUGAUAAUUUGAAUGUUAGUUUUAGUUGGUUAGUUAUGAGAAAGCAUCUUUCAAAAAAUUCAUUCCAAUUUCAACUAAAAUUAACAAUACUGUUUAAAUUAAUUACUUGAUAAACAAAGUCAUAAGACAAAUCUAUCCCUAAUCCCACAUUUACAAAAUAAGGAUUGAAAUGAGUUUCUGUGGCUUUUAACCCAAGCCCUCAAGCCCAGUGGCUGUAAUAUUGACUACUUUGACAUAAUUAUUAUUAGUCUUUUUUCCCCCUCAAUCCUUCACUAAACAUCUUUUGUUAUAUAAUGAAGAAGAUAAGUUGACGGAGAAGGGUUCUACUUUUACUAGUAGAUGAGCUUUGAGUUAAAGAAGAUUAGUUUUAGUUAGUUAAAUAUCUACCAUCCAAAUCAAAGUUCCUUAGACUAUUAUUUAGGUGAGAUGUUUGAGUAACAUAUGCUUGCGUUAGUCGGUGCCUAACAAUUCGUGUGAUACAUGAAACCAACCAAUAUGAAAACCAAAUGAAAUUGGUAGGAUUAGAUUAAUUUAAAUGAAAAUAAAAUUAGUUUAUGCCAUUUAUUAAUAUUAUAAUAUUGAAACUUGAAUGUUUAUCCGUUAACCUGUCAUUGGGUUCAUGACAUGAUUAAAAUAUUCAAGUAAAUAAAUUUAUCGUUUAAAAUUAAUUUUUCAUGUGGUAAAUGCAAUACUAUAUAUGGAGUGGAGAGAAUAAUUUGUAGGGUAUACCCCUACCUUUUAUUUCAUUUCAUUUAAAAAAAAAAACAACAACAAAGGCUUGGUCAACAUUCAAGUAAAAUUAACAAUUCCAUGAUAAAAUUGCUUGAGAAUAAGAAUUAAAAUAAAAAAAGAAAACAACAACUCAAAAACGACAUACAAAUGUUGGUGGUUGAACUUGUGGGGAAUGGCAAAUGUAGAGAAAUACAACAAUAAUGUUGAAACUUUAUUACGUAAAGUAAUGUGUUUACAACUAACUCUGUAUGUAGGAAGAAAAAUAAUAGUAAUAAGUAAACUGCGGAAAAUUUGUGUGCUUUAAGGCACGUUACAAAUGUCGCUUUCCUUAAGACGUUAUUUGCCCCCACCAAUUGAGUAAUGCACAUGGGUUAAGCAAAUACACCUCUAGGAUACAAUGAAGUACUUGUUUGUUUGCUUGCGUUGUGCAUCGACGAAAGCAAACUAGAAUACUCUUGAAUGUUGUAAGCCUGCCAAGAAACAAUAUAUUGUUCCUGCAGAAAACAAUAUAUUGGAUUGUGAAUGCACAAAAGAAAUGGGUGUUUUGUGUUGAAAUUCGUACUAGAAAGGAAUGCUAAGAAAAGAGUGGUGUAGGAUCAUUGUUUUCAUGUUUAAAUGGCUUAAACAUGACCCCUAUUUAUAGAUAUACUUGUGCCCCCUCAUUUGGGUUGUCAUCUUUCAUGAUACCCCUUCAUUCAUGGCCAUUGGAUCUAGAUUUGAUUUUAAUCAAUGGUCCAAAUUGAACCAUCACCAUUUCAAAUGAAAUGUCACCAUGAAAUGAUGCAUCUCUAAGUGAAAUGUUGCCAUGAAAAGUUAUAUCAUUUAGUAAAAAGAUACCUUUUCUACAAGACACAAUUAAAUGGACAUGUCCAUACAACAAGAUAUUAUUUAAUUAGACAUGUCUUUAGUAAAAUGUACAUUUUCUAUAAAGCAUAAUUAAUAGGACAUGCCUUUACCAUAAGACACAUUUAUUUUGAAAAUUUUCCAACAACAAAUACCGCAUAGAGGUUUUUCGUCACGAGAUAUUUUUGGGUUGAGACAACACUUGUAUAACAGAGCAUACAGACUGAAUAACGGUGAGAAUAAGAAGGAAAACGACGCCGCACACCGAAAUGCCAGCCUAUGGAGUAUUGAAGUAAUUUUGUUUUAAGUUUGCCCUCCAUUUGUAGCACGUUCUUUUGCAGUGAUCAUUCAAUCCUUUGCAUAGCCCAAAAAAAUAGAAGCUAUCAGCCAGCAGAGUGGUACCUCUGGAAAGGUUAUUUAUAAGCGUUGACGCUGCCUCUUUAUCCGGAAACCAGUUUGUUGAUGCUGAAAUCUGCUCGCCCUUUGCCCAACCAGAUUUUUACACCAACAUUUAUGUUAUCAACAGUGAAGAUGUCAAUUCCUUCUUGCUUCAACGAUCGCUCUAGCCACUGAAGUUGGAAUUGUCCUUCUUCCUCUCACUAAGCCUGCGUUCACAAAAGUGGAUCAGAGACGCCGGUGGUUUUACCGGCGUAAACCCUCCGAUGCCUAAGUUAGCACAAGGUGUUUACGGGAAAACGGUGCAAUUAAGAUUCCAAUAAUUGCUUAGAAUUGGCUCACUAUUUGUAUUGCAAGUGGUUUGGAUACAAUUUGGCAGAGUUUUCCCUCCUCUCAAUUUUUUCUGUCCUUUCUUCAUUAGUUUCUUUCUCUUUUAUAGCCAUUGUCCUACGUUUCCGUUUACCCUUCAUCCCCCCUCUAUCUCGGAUCGUGGCAGCCCCCAUGGGACUCCAACUGCUAUAUUGUGAGUAAACGUGGGACACCAUACCUCUCUCGACAGUUCUGGGCAUAGCGCAACUGUCGUGAUUUCGUGAGAUCGUGUUCCCGCUUUUUGGGGAAUGGGUAUCUGCUUGGUAUUUGUCUCUGGUUGGUCCUUGCUCGUAAAAGACUCAUUAUCAGUGUUCUGCUCGUACCAUUUGGCUGAGGUGAUCCAUGUUGGGGUGGAAAUGAUGGCAUGGCCAAGCUGGUGCUCUUAUUUACUUAACACAGUUCUCAAUGAUUCCGUUCUGAACAAGCAACUCGACGUCCUUUGUUGUGUUCACGAGAUGAUGAAUAAGGAACACAUAAUCAUUUAUGUAAUUCUCUGAGUAAUGCCGUUGUUCAAAGGCAACGAGAUUACGAAAUAAGGAUUCCGUUUCCAGCUGUAGCUUCAGUUUCGGAAUAUACAAUGUCCUGUUUUUGAAUUCUAUGGCGAACAAAUCAUUGCUCUUGCUCAAACUGAAGUGGACUCCAGCUUGGUGGAGAUCAGUCACACUUGGUGCGGUUUUACCUUUGUGGUAUUGCUGACCUUCUUGUUUUUCCUGAUUCCUCGAUGAUGGUAGAUGACAAAUCCUUAGAAAAUCAAGGAAAUGCUCUACCCUAGCCUCAGUGUAAGGAGGGAAUUUUUGCCGAUUACCUUGUACUGCCUCUAAACCCUUGAAAUACUCGUAUGUGACUGUGAUGAUGGUUGGAUUUUCAUGUUGGUCGGGGAUUUUAAUUGCCGCUAGAGCAAAAAGAUCCUCAAGAAUGAAGAAAAGAAGCUGAUUUUCAAGUAACCACAUAUCAUACCAUAUAUCCUCUAUUAAAUAGGGUUUAUGAAAUAUAUGAUCAUCUUUUUUUUGAAGUUGACGGAAAUGAUAUCUCAAUAAGAGUUCAAUGAUGAAGGCAGCAUCCAGCAGAAUCAUUUCAACAAAUUUAUCACUACUUAGUUCGACUUUUUCUGCAUAAGAACCUCGUAAUUCUGCUUCUCUGAACUUUAUAAUUUGAACAAACUCGUCAAAGCUUAUUUUGGUCCGUUGAAGAAAGUAAUGCAGGUACCGCUGUUUAUGUUCUUCCAUGAACUGUAAGUUUGCUUUGCCAUGGUGAAGAGGUAUCCUCUUAUGAAUUUAGUUUAUAUCCUAAUAUGGGAGAGUCAAUAAUUGGAUGCAAGUCAAUAGCUGCAUGCAAUCUGAGGGCUAACAUUUGUUUGAUCAAUAUGUUAAAAAAAAAAUGUUAUAAAACAGGAUUGAUUGAUGGCCUUUAACAGUCAGUUCUAUGACAAAGUAACCACCACAAAAAAGGGAAUCACAAGACAUCAAGAAGCUUGAACUUGGCAGGGGGUCUCAUUAGCAGUACGCCUAAGAAAUUAAGACAAAGUCAAAGUGCAAGCUUAUGGAGCAAUUUAAGCACUGAAACUAAUAACAGUGAUAGACGAAGGUGCAGAAGUAUGGUAUUGGCAAUUGACCUCUGCUUUUGCUUAGACAUAGGUUCUCAUUACAAAGGACUUAUUAGUAGCCCUCGCCUCACAUGUUUGGAUGUUAAGGGGAAAAAGGAAGUUUGAAUUAUUCAAUCUCUUUUCUAAUGGCAUUCAUGGAGAACCUAUAAAACAAAAUAAUAAAUAAAAAUUUUCAUCCAUGAAAAGCUCAGUAACGAAAAACCGACUCGUUUAUCUACCACUGACCCAAUCCGGACUCUCAGUGGUCAUACCAUGGUCACUCAUUUCAAAAGCAACUAAUGAUGAGAACUUUCAUCAUUAGUUGAUAUGGCCAAUGUAGAAAAACAGAAAAACCCCUCCAGCAUCAAAGCACAAGGAUAAGUUUAGAAUUACACUUCUUAAUUUUUUUUAAUAAAUAAAAGUCAAAAUGAAAAUAGAAAAUAGUUUUGAAUAACUUUUUUUUAAAAAUGAAUAUAGAUAUAAAACUUUAAAAUCACCAAACAGAAAAACAGGGGAAUGAAAAGAUGGCCUCCGUUUCUCCUCUGUUUUGUUUUUACUGUUAUUAAACAGGGGAAUGAGAAAAGAGAGCCCCUGUCCUUCUCUGUUAUGACUUUUUUAUUACUAAACUGGGGAAUGCAAAGAUCACCUCUUAAUGCAUGCGCAAAUUUUUGUUUCUACCUUAGUACCUUCUAAAUGCUGCAUGCAUUAAAAUUAAUCUGACAUAUGCUAGCAUAACAGCCACUCUGCAUGUAAGUUCUGGAUAUAUCCAAAUAAUAUAAUGAUUUUAAAAGUUCAAAUUUAGCAUUUAAUUGUAAAUAUAUUUGUACAUAAAUUUAAUGUGCAUUUCGUAUAUUGCAUUGUUGUUAUUCACAUUUUUUGUAUGCUACAAUGAUCUCAAAACGAUAAAAUGCUUCGUGUGUCUCUUCUUUAUGUUUCUCGUUUCUGUGCAGGCAAAUCCUUCAUUGCAUAGUACGCUUCAGCGUGUACAAAGACGGUAUGCAUUUAGCUAUAAAUAGUAUCAUUAAACAAAGAUACUAAUAAAGAUACUAAUAACUACUGUUUGGGGGAUAUACUUUGACAAGACCAACCAUGAUGAGCAGAUGUCUGGUAGCAGGAUUCCACAAACAGGAGUAUUAUGCUCGUUCAAUAAUGCACCCUCCACGGGGCCAUAGCGGGAGCCGGCCUCCUACUAGGAGUAUAAGGCCAUUCUUACUAAAGGUUGAGGGGGGGAGACCCGGUCAAUGACGGUUGGCAAGACGUGCAUUCCUGCCCGAGAAUCAAGGCACGAAGUCCACUCAGCCACAACUAUGAUAAUGACGCACCCACUUCCGAGAGUUGAGAGAGGUGAUAGACGUGGAUUGCAGGAAGGGCCGGAUUCAAAGGAAUGCUAUAAAAAGGUAACCAACGAAGGUAAAGGGGUUAGACUUUUUGAGAUUAGAACUUAGGAAAAGAGCUUUCUAUUGAGAGAUCAUAAAAGAGCCAUAAUAUUAGUGGUCGUGUUUCCCAAAAAGGCAAAACCUACGUUUCUGACUUGAGCGUUGGAGGGUUUACACUGGAAAAACACCCGGUGUGCUGUGACCUGUCUCUGUGUACGCAGGAGUCUGUGGAGAGGAAGUCUUACGAGGAGAGAUCCUAGUCGUGGAUGAGUUGGUUGAGGAGAGAUCCUGGUCCCGGACGAGCAGAAAACCAGAAUCUCGUAUCAACAUUUUGGCGCCGUCUGUGGGGAGCUAAGCCAAAAGCUUCUGUUAAUAGAGAGAAGAAGAGGAAAGGAAGUGAGGGAACAAUGGAUGUAGGCGGAGGUAGUGCCCAAGAAGGUGACUUGAGACUUAACGAGUCCGUGACAUUGAGAGAGAUAGCCAAUGAAGCACGGGAAAAAGCAAUAUAUAAGCGGAUAGAACGGAUGGAGAAACAGAUGGAGACCCUGACAACCAUCCUACACGAGCUGAGAAGUGAGUGAAGGGGAGUUCAAGAGGAGGGGGUGAGAAGUGGCGGAAUGACACCAGGGCACGACAAUAUGAUGAGAGGUCGGACCACCAGAAGAUUUGGUGGUGAGGGGGGUAACUCAUCUCUACGGGGAGAAAGCCAUCGAGGAGAAGAACAAUCCCCAGGGAGGCGGAUCUUUGAUAACGAUGACAAAGUGGCGAAUGCAGAGGAAAGAGAACUCCGGCAACACCUGCAUGAUGUUGAGCAAGAGCGAGAUCAGGUUGCAGCACGUGACCCUGGUCGUGCUGUACAACUGGAAGAAGAAGUGCGCAGAUUAGCGCAGAUAAUAGAUGACAUGCAAGGGCAGAGCAGAGCACCUGGUUGGAGGAUAAUGCUGGACGGAGAAUCCCUGCUCUUAGCAGAAAUCAUGAGGGCAGUCAUUCCGAGGGAUUUUCACCUCCCAAACCUCAGUUACUCGGGGUAAACUGAUUAGUUGGUGCACAUAGAGUGCUUUAACGACAUAAUUGGGGUGCAAGGAUUAUCGCAAGCUCUAGAGGGACAAGCACGUGAGUGGUACCGGAAACUUCCUCGAGGGAGCAUUAAAUCCUUCGAGCAGAUGUGCCAAGAAUUUGCAGAGCAGUUCUGUAGGGCAAUGGAGCCUGAAGAUGAUAUGAUGGAGCUGACGAGCAUGAAGCAGGGAGAGGAGGAAACCCUUCGAGAAUUCAUCAAAAGGGUCCAUCGUGCUGUCCUCGAUUUGGGAGCUUUCAACCAUCCUCAGACAUUAAGGGGAUUGAAAGAAGGGGUGAAGAUAGGACAGUUGUGAUACAAUUUGAGGAAUCCUACUAUUCAGACAUAUUCAGCCGCUUACGAGCAGGCCAAGAGGGACAUAGAGAUUGAGGAGGAAAAGGCAGCACGGAUUAAGACAGACCAGCUGGAAGGGUUAAUGAGGAAAGAGAAGAGAGCUCUACCAGGAAAUGGGCCUAUUAAGAGGAAGGACCAUCAUGCCUCAGGUAGUGGUGUAGGAGGCCGGGUCACCUCUUACCAGUCUCAUCAGAGGCCACCCCAAUAUUAGCGCAGUAGGGCGCAACCUCCUUGUUCACCAGCCAGAGAUUCAUGGAGAAGGCAUGACCCAACAUAUGGUCAUCCUCAUCCACACCCACACGGUGUUAGAGGAAGCAGACCAGAAGCACUGUUACCCCAUCUAGUUCAGAACGGCACCAACAGGGAAAGGUCGGUAUACAUGAUCGACUAGAGUCAAGACUAUGGGUGGUAUACUUCCUUGAAGAUGCCCCUAGACAAGGUGUAUGAGGCCAUAAAGGAACAGAGAUUACUGUACCUCCCUACCCCAAUAACAAAGCUACCCAGCAAGAGAGAUAUUGUACCUCCUUACCCCAAUAGUAGCGAUAGACUAUUUCAUGAAGUGGAUAGAAGUAGAAGCCCUCAGCAGGAUCACAGAGAAAAAGACGACUGACUUCGUAUGGAGAAACCUGGUCUGUCGGUACGGGAUCCUUUAUACCCUGAUAGCAGACAAUGGCAGGCAGUUUGACAAUCACAACUUCAGGGAGUUCUGCCAGAACCUCGGGAUAGAGCUGAAGUCUUGCUUGCCUGCUCACCCUCAGUCUAACGGACAAGUAGAAGCAGCCAACAAAAUAAUCAAGAGGCUUUUGAAAACUAGGCUAUGAGCAAAAAAGGGAGUAUAGGUUGAUGAGCUACUAGGUGUAUUAUGGGCAUACAGGACAACUCACAAAACAGCAACUGGCGAAACUCCGUUCGCUUUGGCCUUUGGACAUGAAGCUGUUGUACCGAUCGAGAUAGGGGCGACCACGCACCGGACAGAUCACUUCGAUGAGCAGGAAAACAACGACCAAAUGUGCUUGAAUCUGGAUCUGCUGACUGAGAAGAGAGAGCAAGCAUCGAAGCGAUCCGCCGUCUACCAGCAGAGGGUUGCUCGUUAUUACAACCAGAAGGUGUGUAUACGACAGUUCAAGGUCGGCGAUUGGGUACUAAGGAGGGUGGAUCAGAACACGAAAGACUCGACACAAGGAGUACUUGGACCAAACUGGGAGGGGCCGUAUAGGGUCAAGCAAGUAACUGAACCCGGAGCCUAUAAGCUUGUUCGCGCGGAUGGCCACGAGGCGAAACGCCCCUGGAACGCAGAACACCUCAGGAAAUAUUUCCAAUAAGACCCAAUCAUGCUUAAAAGUUAUUUCUAUUCGUUCUUGUUGUUAUUUGUUUUAUGUUAAAUCAACCUCAUGUAAGCCGAAUUCAGAAAUUAAUGAAACGUUGAGGAAUUUCAGUCAGUUGUAAUGUUGUAAAAGUUUCAAAGGCAUGCAAAGGCUCACCAAGUCUCAAAACCUGUGUUAUGGCGAGACCAGAAGCCAAGCGUGCCAGGAUUUGCUCGACCAAGUGAAGGCGAGCAGACCCUCAAAUGUUAAAAAAUUUCUAAGGCAUGCAAAGGCUCACUAAGUCUCAAAGUCUGUGUUAUGGCGAGACUAGAAGCCAAGCGUUCCAGGAUCUGCUCAACCAAGCGAAGGCAAGUAGACCCUCAAAUGUUAUAAAAAUUUCUAAGGCAUCCAAAGGCUCACUAAGUCUCAAAGCCUGUGUUAUGGCGAGACUAGAAGCCAAGCGUGCCAGGAUUUGCUCGACCAAGCGAAGGCAAGCUGACCCUUAAAUGUUAUAAAAAUUUCUAAAGCAUGCAAAGGCUCACUAAGUCUCAAAGCCUGUGUUAUGGCGAGACCAGAAGCCAAGCGUGCCAGGAUCUGCUCGACCAAGCGAAGACGAGUAGACCCUCAAAUGUUAUAAAAAUUUCUAAGGCAUGCAAAGGCUCACUAAGUCUCAAAGCCUGUGUUAUGGCGAGACCAGAAGCCAAGCGUGUCAGGAUCUGCUCGACCAAGCGAAGGCGAGCAGACCCUCAAAUGUUAUAAAAAUUUUCUAAGGCAUGCAAAGGCUCACUAAAUCUCAAAGCCUGUUUUAUGGCGAGACCAGAAGCCAAAACAUACCAACAUCUGCUCGACCAAGCGAAGACGAGCAAACCAUCAAACGUAAGGCGACGGGAAGCUGAACUUUUCGACACCUACUCGACCACAAUGUAAGCGAACAAAAAAUAAAAUAAUCUGCCAAGAGCUCAAAGCGAAGAAAGCAAAUAAGAACAUUCUUAUUAAUCUGCCAACAAAUUAUGAAAGCUGCUAGUCUUAACAUACAAUGUUCCAAAAAAGAAACCUACGACACAAGGUACAUUCAAGAGGACAGCGGGUCAGUAAGCUGGGCCGUCUCUGUUGACUGGUCCACCUCAGGAGCAUGGGGGUCUCACCAGUUGCACUCGGGGGGGUACUUGCCUCGGCAACAUCAGCAGGGACUGCACGAGGAGGAGAUGUUCCCUCCUCAGUUGCAUUUGGCUCCAACUCUUCGACAUCUUCUUUGGCUGCCUCCUCAUCCAUAUAUUGAGCAACACCAAUAGUAAGCUCGUCCAUCUUCAGAUCAGGAUGCUGCUUCCCUAGGACGGCCAUGAUGCAGCGAUAAGAAUGCCGAAGCCCCUGGUCAUAUUGGUUGUCAGCUUCCUUCUCUAGGUUUUCAACCUGAACCUGGUAGGAAUCUUUGAGAGAUUCGAGCUGAGCCUCGUAAGUAGCCUUUUGUCUCUGCAGGUCCUCCUUGACCUUAGUCAGCUCCUCCUUAAGAGUGAUUCCCUUUGCCUGUGCGAGAGACUCUCGCUCUAUCAACUUCAGAUUCUCAAGGUUGAGAUCUCUGGCUUUCUUCUCGGCAACAUGAGCUUUGUUUUUAGCCGAUUGAACGUCUUCUCUCAUCUUUCGAUCAUAGCAGCCGACAUUCGCCUUAUAGUAAGUGGCCAUGCAGCCGAGAUGAAAAGCACUAAACUGCAUAGCCCCCACCAGCUCACUCAGAGUGCUGCCGUCAAAGUCUUCCAAGUCCUUUUUGCUGGCGAGCCUAGAAAACUUAUUGAUAUAGGGGACCAGAUGCUCUGCUCAAUUGUCGGGCAAGCGAGGGUUCGACUCUGUUGGUGGAGGAGGGGAAGUGGGAUCAGUGGUUGUUCCAUUACUUUCGCUGGCUUUGGUAGGAAGAGGUGGUAGAGUCCUCAAGGGGGGACCUGCUCCGUGAUGUUCACCCGUUUCGUAGAGGGAGCAUCCUUAUCCUGGUCUCGCUUAGCAGCAUGAGGUCGAGGACGUUUCUGAUUCAAAGCCCCAAUCACAGCAUCCUCCAUCUUAAGAUCAGUGUGCACCAGGCGAGAUUUGAAGAAGUUGUAAGUAGAUAGCAACUCUCGGCCUGAGCAGGAAUUGGCUAACACAAUCUCGACCCGCUUGAGCGGUUUAGGUUUAAGCUUGUAGUGGACACCCAAAGAACCUGUAGUUCGAACAAAAAUUGGGUUAGAGACAAAUAAAAAAUGAGAACAACUAGGGAUACAAGACAUCUAAAGCGAGCAGACAACCUAGGACCACGAAAUUGGAGGGGACGCGAUAGUUCUUCUUGUCAAUCUGUGCAACUUGACCCUAGGGACCCCCAGUAAAAAAGAACUUUUUCUUCCAAUUUCCACCACCACCCGUUGGAAGACUAGUUAUGGGUUUCCUGGUCUUGGUACUCGACAUGAAGUAAUACCAACCGGUGUCUUUGGGGUUGCUCUUUAGCUGGUACAUGUGCUUUACCUUAUCAAUGGUGGGCUCACUCUGGCAGCAUCUGUCCCACAAUAUGAACAGACCAGAAAGUACCCUCCACCCGUUGGGGUUAAGUUGACUAGAAGCUAAGUUUAACCCACUAAGCAUUCGGGCAAAAUAGGGUUGUAGGGGGCACCUCAUCCCUAACUUAAAACUCUCUAGAAAAAGAGUAACGUAUCCCCUGGGAAGCCGACUGGGAGUAUCAUUUUUUCCUGGGAUCCUAAGGGGUAUAUCAUCAGGAAUGUCAUACCUAGUCCGGAGGUCAACGAGGUCGUGCACGUGAUGAAGUCAAUAGCGUAAUGCUCCGAUAAAGCCUUACCUCCUACUUUGUUCUUCCUAUCUUGUCGCGAUGUUCCUAGUGAGGACAUUUCACCAGAAUCUUCUCAUGGGUCCUCACGCAGGGUAUCUUCCGAACUAGAAGAUCCCUCGCCGCCGCUAUUGCUAGUUGAAGAGGUUAUUUGGGGAGACAUCCUCCUAGCACUUGUCCCAAUACUAGAUCUAAUCGGUUCUAAAGGAAUCCCAGGGUCAAAGGCAGAAUCGGCGAGUAGACUAGGCAAGAAGUCUAACUCGUCGUCAUCAAUCUCAAUUACCUUUUCUUUGCCUUUUGACAUUUCCUAAACUAUGACCAGAGCAAUAUCACCAAACACUACCCAAGCAAAAUAGAGAGAAAAGAAAUUUUCUACAACUAUCCAAAACUGAAGAAAUAGAAAUAAUACAUGUAGUUGUGGCCCAGCCGAAUAGAGACAAGGAAGGUAGCUUUUACGUCGAGGGAGAGAAAUUGCUCAGUCACCGGAGAGGUAGAAGAGGGCUAAGAGACGAGUUUCCUUUUUGAUUUUAUAAAUAGAGAAGUAUCAGCUCUAGAAUUGUUAAAUCCCCACCUAACAAGACAGCUCUUGAGUUUUUCAUACCAAGCUCUUAGAGCUUGCUUCAAUCCAUAAAGACCUUUGUUAAGUUUGCAAACAUAACCAUCUUUUAAUGAAAACCCCUCAGGCUGAAUCAUAUAUACAUCUUCAAUAAGGUCACCAUUGAGGAAGGCAUUAUUCACAUCAAUUUGCCUCACUUUCCAUCCUUGCAUGACAACUAUACUCAGAACAACUCUCACUGUUGAAGAUUUCACUACUGGGCUGAAAGUUUCUGAGUAAUCAAUACCAACUGUUUGAUGGAACCCUUUUGCAAUCAACCGUGCUUUGUAUUUAGAAAUUGAGCCAUCUGUAUUAUACUUGGUUCUAAACACCCAUUUAUAGCCGACCAGCUUAAGCUAUGAGGACAUGGGCACAAGUUUCCAAGUAUUAUUUUUAAUGAGAGCAUUGUAUUCAGCUUGCAGUGCCUUCUUCCAUUUAGGAUCAGAUAAUGCUUCUUUAGUAGUUGAGGGUUCUAGAUUGUUAUGAGCUGAUAAGAAAGCUUUGGGCUUAAAAACACCAGCCUUUGCUCUAGUGAUCAUGCUGUGAGUAGGAAUUAUUGGUUUGGAUUUUUGAGAUGUAGAAUAUGGAAUAGUUUGGGAUGGAAAUGUAUUUGAUGAGGUUUGUAAGUUCUGUAAGGUGGAUGGUAUAAUUGUUUAGUGAGAUGAAUGAGAGUUCUGUGAUAUAGAUUGUGUUUGUAAAUCAGAUGAUGAAGGUACAAGUGAUGUGUUGUGUGAAUAAGUUGAUGAGGGUAUAGGAGAGAAUGAACCAUGUACUGCAGCAUCAGCUUCAAGAUUAUUCAAAUUGCUAUUGGAAACAAAUAUGGUGUAAGACUGAAGGAGAUUAUAUUUAAAAUCAGAGGGAUUGGGCUUUAAAGAAGAAGCAAUAGCAUCAGUUGAAUAGGGAAAAAAACGUUUCAUUAAAUAGAACAUGACUAGCUAUGUAGAUUUUGCCUGAGGAAUGCAAGCAUUUAUACCCCUUUGUGUAUAGGACUGUAGCCCAGAAAUAUGCAUUUAGAAGUGUGAAAAUAGAACUUUUGUUUAUUGUAUUCUCUAAGAAAAGGAAAGCAAGAACAACCAAAAGUUCUCAUAAACUUGUUAUCUGGUUUGUGAUGAAACAUACACUCAUAGGGUGAUUGCAUGGAUAAUGUAGGAGUGGGUAGUCUGUUUAUGAUGUAAGCUGCACUAUGGAAGGAAUCCCACCAAAACUUAAUAGGUAGAGUAGCUUGUGCAAGUAAGGUUAACCCCAAUUUAGUAAUAUGUCUGUGUUCCCUUUCUACCAGGCCAUUUUGGUAGUGAGUAUAUGGGCAAGAGUGUCUAAAUUGAAUUCCUUCUUUGUGAAUAAAAUCAACAAAUGGUUUGAAUUUCCUACCCCAAUCAGAUUGAAGGGAUUUGAUUGAUCUUUCAAGUUGCUUUUCUACUUGUGUUUUGAAGAUUUUGAAAACAAAUAGUGUCUCAUCCUUAGGGAUGGCAAUUUUUGAGUCUGGGUCCGGGUUUGGCUGUUCCAGAUCCGGACCCGGACACUAAAUUCUUAUUAUCAGACCCACAUUGAACUCGGUUUUUUUCCAUCCGGGUCCGGUCCGGGGUCAACCCGAAAAAAUCUGAGUUUCCGGAUUUCGGGUUUUGAACCCAGAUUGCUUUACUUAACUUAAGUUGAUGGAAAAGGAAAAAAAAAAGAACACAAUUACUCAAACCAGAACCAAAUUGCUUCCAGAAUCCAGAUUACUUUAGUUUAGCAACCAGAACCAAAUUGCUUCCAGAAUACAAAUUGCUUUAGUUUAGCUCAACAAAAUUUCAAAUAAAAAACAUAUAACUUAUCCAGGUUCUAAAACAAAUACAACACAACAUAGAAUUUAAAAUUCAAAAUUUUAAAGUAAUAAACAUCCACAAAUACAAAUCCAUAACAUAAUUCUACAAUUUAAAGUUCAAAUUUCAAACCACUAGUGCUAAAGACUAAACUCUCAAUCAUCCACUUCAUUUGACUAUUGUUCACUCAUCCAACUUUCAUUAAUCAAAUGCUCAGCAGAAAGUAUUGCUUCCUCUGGAAUUCCAUCUACAAAAAAUAUGUAAAUCAUAAACACAAUGAACAAGACAACCAAUUAGUGAUAAAUUAAUAAUAAGAACAAUACAACAAAUAAUUUGAUUCUAAUAAAUAAAAUUUGCAUACCUUUUAGGUUUUGUUCAAGCCAAAACCAAUUUCGAGUACACACCAAUGCCUCCAUUAUGGAUGUGUGAAGUAUACUGCGAUGAGGGCUCAAAUGUCUACCUUCAGUGCUAAAAGCGGACUCCGAAGCAACUGUUGAUAUAGGAAUGGCCAAAAUGUCCCUUGUGGUCUUUGCAAGUAUAGAAUAUUUGCCUUGAUUAUUCUUCCACCAUGACAAAAUGUCAAAUUGACUAGUUAAAGGCAAAGUACUCUCCUCAAGAUAAAGCUCUAAUUCUGAUUUGGAAUGAGUAUUCUGUGUGUUUUCAUUUCUAAAUAAUGCCCACUCAUCAGCCAUUUCAUCCAAAUCUAAGUCCAACAUAAUAGAAUCCCCUCCUGAAGCAGCUUGAGAAUUGGCACCAUUAACCCCCCACUUGAAUUUGAUAGAUGCUUUACUUCAUACUCAUGCACUAAAUCAACAAAUAACUUAUGCACUCUUUUAAUUUCGGAUUCAUCUUUUUCCCCAUAUAUUUUAGGAAAUAAAAAGUUAAUCAGUAACAUUUUACGGCUAGGAUCUAACAUAGUCCCCACUGCAAGAACUCCAUGAAUAACAUCCCAAUACUUUUCAUACUUCGUAAUCAUCCUAGUGGCCAUAUUUUUUAUCCCCUCAAUUGGUGAUUGCAACCAUGCAUUCAUUGACAAUCUAAUUUCACAAAUCUUGGCAAAAAAUAAAUUAGAUGUCGGAUAUCAUGUCCCCGGAAAAAAGUUCUAUCAACUUAUAAAAGCUUUAUAGAUACUCACACAUAAGCUUUGAAAAAUUCCACUCUGACUCACUAGGUAAAGAUGUAUAAUUUCUCUCACGUUCCUUUAAAUGAUCAAAUACAUCUUUAUACAAUAAUGCAAUACUAAACAUCAAGUAAGUGGAGUUCUAUCUAGUUUUAUAAUCAAGUACCAAGUUUUUGGUUUCCUUAAUAUCUAAUUGUUUUUUUACAUUCUUAAAAUUUUCAACUCUAGCUGGUGUUGCUGUCCAAUAAUGAACACUAUCUCUAAUUUUCUCAACUCCAUUUUGUAUCACAGACAAACCAUCUCUAACUAUCAAGUUCAAUAUAUGAGCACAACAACGCAUAUGAAAGAAUUUGCCACCCAUAAUCAUUGAACUAGCAGAAAAUUUCCCCAACAACAAGGCAAUCAUAGAAUCAUUUGCAGCACAAUUAUCAACAGUUACAGUGGACAACUUUCUAUUUAUAUUCCAAUCUAUCAAACAACCAUAUAACUCAUUACACAUUACCUCAGCACUAUGUGGAGCUGGCACAUAUAUAAACCUAACAAUGUGAAAAAAAUAAUUAAAAUAUUAGACAGGACACUAAUUUAUGCUUAAACAAAAAAAAAAAUAAGUUUUAAGAAUAUUACCUCAUAAUACGACUUCGCAACACCCAUGAGCUCUCAAUGUAAUGUGCCGUAAUAACCAUGUAUCCUUUUUUUUUUUGUUACUAGCAGUCCACAUAUCUAUAGUAAUUGCGAUUCGACUCUCACAAGUUUCCAAAAUACCUAUUGUCUUCUUCUUUUCAACAUCAUAAAGCUUCAAAAUUUCAGCUUUGAAGGUGUUUCUACUAAUAGUCUCAAUAGAAGGUUGGAGUAGCUUCAACAAGUCAUAAAACCCAACGUACUCAACCAAUGCCAAGGGGAGCUCAUGUAGUACAAUCAUUGUAGCCACAAAAAGCUUUAUUGUAGCCAUAUCCCAUUUUGAUUCAGAACUACAAUUACUAAGUGAAGUGGUUCCACCAACUUUAGAAGAAAAAGAUAAGUGCAUUUGCUGUACAUUCUUGAAUGACCUUCUAGGACAACGUUUAGCAUGGUUUAUUAAGUUAUUAGUACCCCCCGAAUAAUGUCCUUGCAUAACUAACCCACAGUAAUUGCAAAUCGCCUGAACUUCCUCACCCAACUUAACUUUUUUGAAAUGAUUCCAAGCAUCAGAGACUACUCUACCACUACCACCUCGUUUUUGUGAAGUAACAGGAUUAGUAUUAUCCCUACGGCCACGGCCACGACUACCCCCCUGAACUGCUACUAUUGAAUUUGGUUCUAAUUCAACAGUUGUAUCAUUAUUAUUUUCUGAUUUUGUCAUAACUCUCACACAAACACUUUCAUCACUUUUUUUGGAGGCAUCCAAGUCAAUUCUUUGUUCAUUUUCCAUAUCAAUUUUUCGCUCUACAAAAAUUAUGUCAAGACAUAAUUAAUUCCAGAAACUUCUUCUAAUUUAUAUGCUAUGUUUAAUCGUAAAAACUAUAAAUAUUUUAGAGAUACCAUUUCUAUUAUAUUAACAACAACAAUAAAAAAUAAUUCAAAAAUAAAUAAACUAUAAAUAAUAAAGUUGAAGCAUAACUAAGUAUAGAUAUUAAAAAUCACAGAGUUUAGCUAUUAAAGUUACAAAGUAAUGUCAUAAUCAAUUUUUUAUUGUAUGUGUCAUAUAAUUUCUAUUUUAAUUUUUUACGGCUACUCUGUUAUGUUGUGGCAGCCAGAUGAAGUCCUCCUUUGAUGGUUGUCAAAGCCAGCAAAAAUAAAUACCUACUCUAAAUAAAUGGUGUAUAGUGAUUGAGCAGGGUCGUGUCCACAGAGAUUGGUAAUUAUUUAAAUCCUUUUAAAAUGUAAAAUGCAAAAUGGGGGAUUGUUGACAAUAAUAAAAAUCAAAUUAAAAUAACAAGAAUGCAAAUUAAAAUUGUAAUUCAAAUUGGGAAAAAGCUAUGGUUGAAGGAAUUAACUCAGCUUGAUUCGACUACUGAUCAUUGAUUCAAAUAUAAAUCAUUACUACUUAUGAAUUGACUGGUUAUAGCUACUGAGACCCUCUAAUAGCCAAUCUCUCCUUAACUAGUCGAUAACCAAGGUACGACCAUUGGUUAUUUCCCUAAAUCAAUAGACAACUGUUGGUAAAUUUCUAUAAGCAAUUAUUAUCAAUGCCAAUGUGCAAGUAUACACAACAAGUAAUAAAGUGAUGAGUAUUCAAGAUUGUCUCCACAGGGAUUGAUGUUACUCAAAAUGCUAAAGCAAAUCACAAUAAUGCAAAUUAAUUAAGGACCGAAACAAACAAUUGUCAAAUAAUUCUAUGUAACUAAUAGUUGUGAGAGAAGAAAAUAAAACAAUACUGUAAUGAAAUAAACUGAGUUGAAUGUGUCUAAAAUUCAAUUGAGAAUAUAGUAGUUGAAUGAUCAAACUCUCCUAAUGGGAUGACUGUUGUUUACCAAAUUAGUACCAGUUAUUACAAUAAGUGCUGCAACAAUGGGUAGAAUAAAUUUGCAUCCGCAGUUAUCCCAUGUUGGAAAUCUCAUACCUUUAAAUCUACUAACAAUGACCAGUUGCUCAUAUAUUUAUGGUAUGGCAUUAUCACCUUUAAUCUCUCUACUCUACAAGGUGAACACCUAUGUCUAGAGUGUCACAAAUCUUAACUUCAAGUAUUGCCCUUAUAGGAUUCAAGAUAACCUAAUCCAGGAAACUCGACUUAAGAACAAGUAAUACUCUAAUAACGUCCGCUAAGACAUGCCCUUUUGCUGCUCUAUCUUAACUAAAACUAUUAAAUGGGUGGUCAACCGAAAUAACAGUUGUAUUUAUAAAAACUACUAGAGUAAAAUGCUACAGCAUUACCAUAACAACAUAAAAGAACAGUCAAGACCCCAUUGGAUUAUUUGUCGCUCAACCACAAAUAAAUUUAGUUCAUAAUCUGGAUGAGAAAAGUAAACAUAAAUAUAUUGGUCUCAGAAUACAUCAAAUCAAUUAAAGGAAAAAAAUAAAUAUAAGUUGAGCAUAAUGAAAAUCAAAGUCAAGUAAUUCUGCACGAUUGUCCAAUGUUGCCGAAACAACACUCUUCAAUUAUGAUAUUCUUCUCCUUCGUUCCUUUUAAUUACUCUAAUGAUAAUUCCUUGCCGCCCUUCUAUGUGGUGCACACCUCCUUUUUAUAUUGCGAAUUAGGUUAAAACCAAAGCCCAUGAGCGUGCAUGUGUUUAAAUUAGGAAACAUGCAGAUCGCGACUUUAUGGCUGACUCACGCCUAAAUUUUCUCCCGUACUGCUCCUAAAUUGCUACAGCACUGGUUGCUCUAACAGCCGCUACAACAUUGUUUUCUUCCCGAUUGUGCUUUACUUCUUUUGUGGUCAUCUUCCUUCCUCCUCUUGCUCUUCUAAUGCUUCAACAUCCUCUCACAAAUUUAAAACCUACAAUUUAAAACCUGUUUUUAGCACAAAUUACUAUGAUUCAAUCAAAACUUUUUAAAACUCAACUAAAAUGAAUGUUUAUGCAAAAGGUACCCAAAAUGUAAUAAAAACACCUUAUUUGUUCUCUAAGUGGCCUUGAUUCAAGUCUAGAAUUGAUGUAAUAACUCUCAUUUCCUAGAGUUAUCAACAACCCUAGAUACGAUCAUAGGAUUUAAUCAAUUGACAGCCUAAAAAACCAGAGAGACCAAAAUCCUAAUCAACAAACGCAUACGAUGGUUCAUUUAAAUUAGAUUGUUUAUUCUCAUAACAUAACGCACUGCUAUGUUAUUUGUCACAAACAUUAAAAUCUUCAUAUGAUAAAUCUUUUAAUUGAUAAUAGAUUAAAUUGAUAAUUAAAUAGUGGCCAAUUAUCUAAUUAACAAACAUAAUCAUGACAAUAAUAUAGAGAAUAAACAAAUACCCAAAAAGCAAUAAAACAAUUAAAGCAUAAGAAAGAUCUCACAGUAAUGUUGAAUCAAAGCUUUAUUAAUCUUCAACCAGAAUAAUAGGUUUAAUUCUUCAUAGAGAGAAGAGAAAAAUCUAGAUCUAGGGUUUUUUUUUAUUUGAUCCCCUUCAAAAAUCUACCUGCCCUUUGUUUUUCACGUCUCUUCUCUCUUAUAGAGUUCUUCCAAAAAUAAAAUACUAAUAUCUAAAAUAUUAUCUAAAUAUUAAAUUCAAAAUUACAAAAAUAACUAAAAAGACAAAACACGUUAAAAUAAAAACUGCAGGUCCUUAGUUGACAGCACGUGCCCAUGCCUUAUCAACAAUGUUCUUCUAAAGCUCAUAAUUUCUCCAGGAAAAUAAUCAUCCUCAAGCAUCAUCUUGUAGCUCAAUUUUAGCAUCAAUCAAUAGAAUUGCACCUACAAGAAUAAAACACAAGUAAAUCAUUAUUAUUAAGUGCAAAACGUCGAUAUUAAAGGAAGUAAACAAUACAAAACUAGUGCAUAAAUUACACUCUAACAUCCUUCACACGACACAAAGUCACAAACAGAGCAAAACAACACAUAAAUUGCAAACACAAUCUAAUUAAAUUGUGAAGACAGUAUAAUCAGAGCAUAACAACACAUAAAUUACAAAGACAAUAUAAUUAAAUUCCAAAAAGAGUAUAAUCAGAGCAUAACAGCAGGUAAAUUGUAAAGACAAUAUAAUUAAAUUGCAAAGAGGGAAUAAUAAAAAAGUAAUAGAGCAUAAACUGUAAAGAGAAAAGCCAAGACUCACAAAUAUUCACAGCAGUAGCUUAACGCAGCCGCACCGUGAGAGAGUGAGAGAGAUUAAUUGAGAAACGGGUGAGACUUGAGAGAGAUUGAGAGAGGAACCGAACAGAUGAGAGAUUGAGAGGAGAAAUUACAGUAGAGUUGAAGAGAGUGAGAGAUCGAGAGAGCAAUGAGUGAGAGAGAUUGAGAUUUGAGAGAGGCAGAGAGCCAAGACCGAGAGGAAGUGAGGAACGAAUUGAGAUUUGAGAGAGCUAGGUUUUUUUUAUUUAUAUUUAUUAAUUUCUAAAAAAUUAAUAUUAAAAUAAAUAAUAUAUGGAUCCGGGUUUUGGAUUUGCGGGUUCACUUGAAACCGGAUCUGGACGUAUGUGGGUUCUAAAAAACCGAUCCGGAUUCCGCAUUAAAUUUGUUCCGGUGCGGGUUGAACCCGGAUCGGAUUAUCCAGGUUCAGUCUGGGUUCGGUUGCCAUCCCUACUCAUCCUUAGUUUUUAGAGGAAAGAUCCAUGUAAAUCUAGUGUAUUCAUCAACAAAGCUUACAUAGUAUCUAUACCCCUGAAUUGAAAUUAUAGGGGCAGGUCCUCAAAGAUCAAUAUGUAUGACUUUAAGAAGAUGAUUGGUUUUUGUUUUUGUUGCUGGAAAAUGUAAUCUGUGCAUUUUUCCAACUUUACAAGCAUCACAGGAAUCACUAACUUUGUUUUUAUUGACAAACUUGAAAGAUGGACAAGACUGAAUUACAUGAGUUAGAAUUCUAGAAUUUGGAUGACCAAAUCUUUGAUGUAAUACAGAUGUACUCAACAAACAUUUGGAGUUUACACAAUCAUCUGUUGCAGUAGGCAAACAAGAAGUUUUAUUUUUGAAAUCAGACUCAACAGCAGAGAACAUUAAAAGAGGAGUUUCACUAGCUACUGCCUCAAUACCAGCAACAUGACUUUGAAAGGUUGUCGAAGGAAUUAUUGUUUUAGAGGAAACCAAUAGCAAUUUGUAUAAUCCCUUUUCAGCCUUACCUUGUAGCAUGAUCAAGUUCUUCACUUUGUCCUUCACAAAACAAAAUUUAUUAGUGAACUCAACUACAACAUUAUUAUCUUUAGUUAGCUGUGAUAUGCUAAUCAGAUUUUUGGUGAUUUGUGGUACAAGAAGUAUGUUAUUUAGUUUAAUUGUGGGAGAGGUAAUUAAGUUCUUUAGCUUAAACACAACAUGACCAACAUGUGUUAUGCACAAACUAGCUCCAUUUCCAACAAAAAGUUUAGAAGUACUUGUGAAAGCUUCACUGAUAUGCAUAUUACUCACAUCAUUUGUAAGAUGGUGUGUUGCACCACUGUCCAGGUACCAAUUACUAUCAGAUGGUCCAUCCAUGUUGGCUAGAUAUGUUGACCUUGGAUUUCUAUUUGGUGGUGGUCUAUAAGCACCAGAAGCCAUGAAUUCAGCAAGUUUCCAGCAGACAUUUGCAGUAUGUCCAGUUUUGAAGCAAAUCUGACAGGUUGGUUUAGAAGUAUUCCAAUUAGGUUUAGUGUUUCCAAAAGUUUUGGAGUUAUUGAAAUCACUAGGUCCAGCAUCUUGAUUCCAAUUUCCCCCACCACCUCUUUGAUUAUCUCCCGGAUAGCCUCUGUGCUGUGCAUUAGUACCAAAAGCAUUAGUAGAAUAACUAGAGUUUCCUUAUCCUCCUCUAUAAUCAUUAUUACCAGAUUUUUCAUUAUAGCCAUAACCAGAACCGUAUCCAAAAUUAUCAAAACCUUUUCCUCCUGACAUAUUUCCUCUCUUAGGUCCUCUGUUUUGAGAAAAAUUAGCCUCAAAGUUUUAUUUUACAUCUAUACCAGCAAGCAUAUGAUUUUGUUGCUCAAUCCUAGCCUCUUGAGUUAAAAGCAUAAGAUAGGCUUCAUUAAUAUUCAUCUUCCCAACACCUACUUGUCUAGUGAUACAUGUGGCAACAGAAUUAUAAUAUGGACCUAAGCCAGAGAGUAUGUGCAAAAUUAAAUCAUCAUCACUCAAAGUACUUCCAUCUGCAGCCAUAUUAUCAACAAUAUUUUUCAUCUUAAUAAAGUAGUCAGUGAUCUUCAAAUAAUCUUUUCUAGUGGAGUUCAUCAUGUACCUUAAGUGCAGAAGUCUAGAUUUAGAUUGUGAUCCAAACUGAGUUUCAAUAGCUUUCCAUACCUCCAAAGAAGUUUCCAGGUUGAAUACAAGACUGAUGAUGCCUUCACUCAUUGAGGAGAGUAACCAUCCGAGAAGCACUUGAUCUUGUGAGCGCCAUGUUAUGAAGUCUGGAUUUUCAACAAAUCUGAGAUCAUCACCAACUCUCUGAGCAAUGUGAGAAGCAAGUGGAGUGAUAGAUUCAUCAAUGAACUUCUCAAGUCUGUUACCUCGAAUUGAAGCUAAGACUUGUGACCUCCAUAUCAGAUAGUUUGACUGAUCAAGUUUAACAGGUGUAUUAAAAGUAAAGGUUACAGUCGAUGAGUUGACAUUAGUAUUCUGAAUUGGUGUAGAGGAUGAAGCAAGAUUUACUGAGGCCAUAGCUGGCUCUGAUACCAAGUUGAAAAACAAGAAAAUGAUGUUUGGAUACUGAGAAAGUUUUGAAAGAAGAAUUGAGAGGAAAUAUUCCAGAUCUUUCUAAUUCAUUUCAUUGUUCAUAAAAACAUAAUACAAUGAAGUUUAUUUAUAUAUACAAGAAUGCUGAACUGUAAUUAAGCUAAUUUCAACUAACUCUACAACAAACUAUUUUAGCUAACUUACUAACUAAUCAUGCACGUGUGACUUUGUAACCAUAUGAAGCCAGCUGGUAAUCCUUCUCAGCAACUUGUUGUGCUUCCUUAACAGCUGGUUUGAGAAGGCCAACUUGACAGAUUAAUUCCUUUUAAUAAUGGUCAAGAUAAUUUUAAUCUUCUCGUAAAAAAUUCUUACACACUUAUAUAUGAUAACGCCAUACAAAUGUAAUCAGCAUUGUCUUGUGCUGUUUUCUUCACUAAAGAUCUUCAAUCAAAACAGGUUAGAAAUCAAAUGCUUAACAUAGAAGUUGAAACAAAAUCUAAUUGAAUAUUGCAUGAAACAUGAAACAUCAAUUCAAGUCCUUCCUCAAACAGAGAAUGCAUCAAACAAAUCCAAAGUAUCUUGCAAGUCUGUAGCAUAAGCAAAACGCUGUAAAUACAUUUGGGGCAUUUAGUGUAAAUGUGUAUGAUAAAAAAUAUUUCUGGGAUUUAAUUUUUUGAUGGUUUUGUGUUUACGGUAUGUGAUUUGUUUGGAUUAAUGUGAUGUGUGUUCAUGCAUGCAAAAUUAGAGCAUGCCCAUAUCAAGAUUUUGUCUUAUUAUUAUUAUUAUAAUCAUUAUUUUUUUAUCUGAAUUAUGAAUUUAUUGAUUGGUUGGGGUCUUACAUGAUAAAUCCAAUUUAAUCUUAGAGACACUUUUAAUUUUUUAUUCUUUUUCUUGUUCAUGAUUGGUUGAGUUGUACACAUGAAAAGAAUUUAGUGGAAAUAUUUCUCAAUACUUGUAUGUGUUGGUACCUCUGUAUGUCAGUGAAUCAUGGUUACUCGUUUGAUAUCCUAGAAUCAACGUAGAAAUGCAUGUGGGAGGCUCUGUUCACUUUGAAGAUUGCGAAGAUUUAAUUUUGAGAAAGACAAGUCGAAGUAGAGAUAGAUCAUAAAUUUCCAGUUUGUUUUCAGUCAAAGCUUAAUUGUCGAAUACUUUCUUAAUAAAACUUGCAUUAUAGAUUUCUAUUUCCCGUACACGUUAGUGUGUCCAUCUUUGAACAUAGUGUACCUUACAGCUAACAGCACUCACACCGUUCGGCACAAGUUUCUUUAGUAAAUAUUCAUGCUGUGUAAGUGUGAUUGAAAAAUGAAGGGGAAAAAAAUCUUAAUUGUAUCCAUUACUUCAUAUCCAAAUUUUUUCCCCUGCUCUGGAAUGCUGUAUCAAUAUGGUAUGUCUGGUUGCAGUCAUGCUUCACUGUGGCCUGUGAGCUACCAGAAAUUGAUAAAUUCAUGGUUGGUUGAAGUAAUUUAAUCUACCCGCACCAAUUUAAAUUACCCAAAUAAAUGACUGGUUUGGUACUUCUAAAGCAUCGCCCAGUUGUGAAUACUCAUCAAAGGUAGAAGGUUAGACCAACCUUAGUACCAAAUGACACGUACAACACAAAUCCAUGUGGCUUCAAAUACAACAUUGAACGAUCUCAUCUUCAGCCAUGUUAGAACUCCGUCGGUUGGUUCUCAUCUCACGAUCGUGAACCAUGGAACCGGCUGAUUUGUGAAAUUGUUCGGGUAGCAAUGGAGCGACUUCCCAAACUGGCUCCCCAAGUUGAGAGAAACAAUACCUCAAUAAGAGUUCAAUGGUGUAGGCAGCAUCCAGCAGAGUCAUUUCAACGAAUUUAAUCAACACAGCUUAAUUCGAUUUUUUCUGCAUAAGAACCGAGUAAUUCUGCUUCUUUGAUCUUUAUGACUUGAACAAACUCCUUAAACCUUAUUUCGUCCGUUGAAGAAAGUCUUGGAGGCACCGCUGUUUAUGUUCUUCCAUGAACUGUAAGUUUGCUUUGCCAUGGUGAAGAGGUAUCCUCUUAUGAAUUUAGUUUAUAUCAAAAUAUGAGAGAGUCAAUAAUUGGAUGCAAGUCAAUAGCUGCAUGCAAUCUGAGGGCUAACAUUUGUUUGAUCAUUAUGUUAAAAAAAAAAAUGUUAUAAAACAGGAUUGAUUGAUGGCCUUUAACAGUCAGUUCUAUGACAAAGUAACCACCACAAAAAAGGGAAUCACAAGACAUCAAGAAGCUUGAACUUGGCAGGGGGUCUCAUUAGCAGUACGCCUCAGAAAUUAAGACAAAGACAAAGUGCAAGCUUAUGGAGCAAUUUAAGCACUGAAACUAAUAACAGUGAUAGACGAAGGUGCAGAAGUAUGGUAUUGGCAAUUGACCUCUGCUUUUGCUUAGACACAGGUUCUCAUUACAAAAGACUUAUUAGUAGCCCUCACCUAACAUGUUUGGAUGUUAAGGGGAAAAAGAAAGUUUGAAUUAUUCAAUCUCAUUUCUAAUGGCAUUCAUGGAGAAUCUAUAAAACAAAAAAAUAAAUAAAAAUUUUCAUCCAUGAAAAGCUUAGUAAUGGAAAAACCGACUCGUUUAUCUACCGCUGACCUAAUCCGGACUCAUUUAAUUAAAAAAGAAUACAAAGCCAAACUAAAAGACACAAAUUGCAUACAUGUCUAGGAGCCAUAUCAAAGCUGUUAUAUAACUUAUCCAAUUAUUAAAUUCUCUUACGGGUCAUAGCGUGCUUACUCAUUUCGAAAGCAGUUAAUGAUAAGAACUUUCAUCAUUAAUUGAUAUGGCCAAUGUAGAAAAACGGAAAAACCCCUCCAACAUCAAAGCACAAGGAUGAGUUUAGAAUUACACUUCUUAAUUACUUUUUUUUUAAUAAAUAAAAGUCAAUAUGAAAAUAGAAAAUAGUUUUGAAUUAAAAAAAAGUUUUGAAUAACUUUUUUUUUAAAAUGAAUAGAAAAACAGGGGAAUGAAAAGAUGGCCUCCGUUUCUCGUCUGUUUUGUUUUUACUGUUAUUAAACAGGGGAAUGAGGAAAGAGAUCCCCUGUCUCUACUCUGUUUUGAUUUUUUUAUUACUAAACUGGGGAAUGCAAAGAUCAAUUCUUGUUGCAAUCGCAAAUUUUUGUUUCUACCUUAGUACCUUCUAAAUGCUGCAUGCAUUAAAAUUAAUCUUACAUACGCUAAAAGUUCUGGAUAUAUCCAAAUUAUAUAAUGAUUUUAAAAGUUCAAAUUUAGCACUUAAUUUUAUAUGUUUGUACAUAAAUUUAAUGUGGGUAUCGUAUAUUGCAUUGUUGUUAUUCACAUUUUUUGUAUGCUGCAAUGAUCUCAAAACGGUAAAAUGCUUCGUGUGUCUCUUCUUUAUGUUUCUCGUUUCUGUGCAGGCAAAUCCUUCAUUGCAUAGUACUCUUCAGCUUGUACAAAGACGGCAUGCAUUUAGGUAUAAAUUCUUACACACUUAUAUAUGAUAACGCCAUACAAAUGUAAUCAGCAUUGUCUUGUGCUGUUUUCUUCACUAAAGAUCUUCAAUCAAAACAGGUUAGAAAUCAGAUGCUUAACAUAGAAGUUGAAACAGAAUCUAAUUGAAUAUCGCAUGAGACAUGAAACAUCAAUUCAAGUCCUUCCUUAAACAGAGAAUGCAUCUAACAAAUCCAAAGUGUCUUGCAAGUCUGUAGCAUGACCAAAACGCUGUAAAUACAUUUGGGGUCAAAUUAUUCAAGUACAAAAAAACGAACAAGUUGAAUCAUGGAUAAGAGAUUGUCCUGGUUCGAGAUAGCUUCUUUAUUGUACUUGAAGGGUGGGCUCAAUCUUUUCUUCAGAAUUUUGCACAUUUUGUAAUUAUUAAUGUGUAAGCAAGCAUACAAUACCACCAUCAUCAUCAUCAUAAUAAUAGUAAUUAAAAAAAUAGCAAGAGUAAUGAUGCGACCACAAACUCUUUUGUACAAAUAAUAUUGUAUAAACUAAUGUAACAUAAUACGAUUGGUUAAACUAAAACAUCCAAUGACCCUCAUGAUUUAUUUUUUAUUAUUAUAUAUUUCAGUCAACCAAUCAUAUUAUACCAUAUUAGUUUCUAUAAAAUAAUUUGCUAGCUAGCACCAAUAUUUAAUUAAUUAAUACUCACCAUUUCAUUGAACAAUUUUUGUAUGGUGUCAUUGAGAUUGCCUUCCCAGCAUCCUUCUUCUCCUUCGGUGAGUUUCACUUUGUUUAGCUUUGGUGUGUCUACAACUCCUUGAGAGAAAAUCUUCAUCUUUGGACACUGUCUCACAACUACUCGUUCCAAGGACGGGAAUUCAAGAGUAUAAUUACCCAAACAAAUGCUUGUUAGUUAAGGCAAACAAUCAAGUCCCAAGUACUCCAAUUUCCUGAAAACAAUGCAAUCUUUCGCUUCUUCUCCAACUUGCGAUUGUAUGAUUUCUUCUAUCAUUUUGCAAUCAACUAUCUUCAUUUUUUUAAGAUUCACUAGACUUUUAGAUGUUAAGAACGUCAACACAUUUAUCAACCCGUGACAUUUUGAUACUUCCAGAGUCGCCAGAAUUUCCAAAUGCCAUGAAGGCGGUACUAAUUUUUGCAACUUACUACAUUCCGAUACGUCUAGACUUUGCAAAUUUGCAAAAACUUUGUUGGAUUCGGCAUUUUCCUUCCAGAGAUGCAACACAUUGGGUAAUCUAGACAGCUUUAACCGUCUCAAUUUGGGGAAUGCAACCUGAAAAUCAACAAACUUAAGUUGUAAAGAAAAUACAUAACUAAUCUCUGCAGUCCUCCCAACAUUUUAUAUUCAAAUUGGUUUCAUUUUUGGAAGGAACCAAAAAAAAACAAACAAAUUAAUUACCCUUGAAACACAUAAAUCAAAUCUAAUGCUAAAUCCAAUAUGAAUUAGCUAGGAAAACAGAGAUGUAAGGCGUAAAAUGGAUAUAAUUCACACCAUGUUACCGAUCAUCUAAUUAAUUUGAGACAUUUUUAUAAUUCUUAUUGUAAAGUUAGUUAAUAAUAACAAUAAUACUGUUAAAUCAUAUAUAAAUUAAGACAACUUCUAGGAAGAUGAGUCAUUAAAUUUGAUUUUGAGUCUAAUGAAAUUACACCUAUGCGAAUGAAAGUGAAGAAGAAAUAAUAAUAAUAAUAAUAAUAAUAAUAAUAAUAAUAAUAAUAAUAAUAAUAACCACCUUUUCAUCGAAGGGUGGUUCUAUAUGAUCAGCUAGCUGGAAGUUCUCUGAUUUUAUUUCUUGAGGUUCCUUAUUAUCCGCUGUCAUGUGCUGCGCAGACAUAGAAUUGGAGAUGAAUGUUUUCAUAUUAGGGCAAUUCUCAAUGGUCAGAUGCCACAACUUAGGUAGUUCAAUUAUACUCUCGUUGGAGUUGCAAAAUCUUUUGAGUUUUGGAAGAUCCAUGAUUUUUAGUUCCCGUAGUAAAGGAAAUAGUAGACCAAAAUGUUCUUUGUUAGUGAAUUAGAUGAAGCUGGAGCAGAGCAUGAUGUUGCUAUGUAGCUGGUUGUAGCAGAUCAAAUCAUUAAGCUAACCUGUCAAAGUUAGUUAGCUGGUUGAGCUUAUGUGUCAAGUUAGUUAUACAGCAAAUGGUUAUGUGUUGCAACAAUCUCGUGUGUGUGUAAAGAGAUUGUAGCUCAAUAUAAAUAUUAAUCAGUAGUCAUUAAACUGUAAGCUUGGAAUAAUAAAAGAUCCAACAGAUUUCUUUGCAAAGCUCUUUUUUUUUUUUCUUUCAUUUUCUAGCCUACCAAACAAUAUAGAACUAAGUUUCUUUCAUGGUAUCAGAGCCAUAAAUGGCAAAUAUAGUUCAAAACAACAACUCUUUCAGUUUUGUUACGCCAUGUUACGCCAGUAAAGCUAGAUCAAAACAACUUCAUUCGGUGGCGCACACAAAUUUUAACUUCAAUCAAAGGAAACAGUUUGGAAGGGUUUAUCAAUGGCGAUCGAGAAUGUCCUGAGCAGUUCCUUUCUUCUGGAAACAACAAUGGAGCUGAAGUUUUAACUGAAUCUGGAUCCAGAUCUAUUAAUCCAGAAUUCGUAGCUUGGAUGAAGACUGACCAACUCUUACUGAGUUGGAUGAUGUCAUCGAUACAGCAAAAUCUGCUUGCUACUGUGAUUGAUUCUACAACUUCAAAACAGCUUUGGGAGACUCUUGCUAGUAUGUUUAUCUCUCAAUCACAAGCUAGAAUUCAAACACUUAGAAUGCAAAUUCAAACUAUUAAGAAAGGUGCAAUGCAUAUGUCUGAUUAUUUUGUAAAAGUAAAACGCAUAGCUGAUACUUUAGCUCUAGCUGGAAAACCUAUUAAGUUAAAUGAUCUUCUGAUGCAUAUAUUAACUGGUCUUGAUUCAUCAGACUAUGAGUCUUUAGCCACAGCUGUGUUAGCUCGAGGUGAAAAGAUCACAUUAGAUGAACUAUAUUCUUUGUUGUUGAAUCAUGAAAAUAGAGUUGAGCAAAAGAAAGGAAAAAUUGCUGGUGAUGUGAUGCAUAACAUGACAGCAAAUAUUGCUCAGAAGAACUCAAAGCUUCAACAACACUUUUAUAAUUGAGUCACAAUACAAUUUACAGUAGUGUGAGAAUCUUUUCAAGGUUACAAUCUCACAAAACUCGUGAGCACAGAUUCUAAUACACAUAACAAACUUUUGGAGGGAAGCUGAUAAGCUCUAUAACUAACUGCAAAACUGACUUCCAGCGUGGCUUGAUGACUCAGCAGCUGACUCAUCAUAUGUUAUUCUUAACACAUUUUUGUUCCUUCAACUACAACUAUCUAAUAUAAUAUUCUUUUGAUGACUGAAGAUCAAUCGUGAUAAUAUUAAUUAAAUAAUUAAUCAAUCAAUUAAUUAAUUAUUAAACAAAAAAUUUUCACCUUGUGAACAUGAUCAUCCUCUGCAAUGAUUUCUUUGAAUCCCUGAGUAGUUGUUGGUUUCUCCUUGUCGGGCCCUAUAAAUGAACAAAAACAAUAUAUAAUUAACCUCUAUUGUUUUUUUCACCAAAAAAAAAAGAAGAAUGAGCCAAUGUCAAUAAUCCUACCAAUAAUUAAUUUCAACACUUACCAAUAAUCAUUUUCAUUUCACGGCAAUCUUCCACUUCUACUUUAUGAAGCCGCAAUAGGUUUUUAGCCACAGAGAAUGAGAAGAGAUGCUUCAAUUUGCCACAAAAAGCUACUUUUAUAAUCCUUAAGUUGCUGAAGGAUUGAUCUUCUCUGAGUUGGCUGUAGCAUAUCGUCUCCAAAUUAGUUAAAAACAUAAGAGACAAUGACUCCAGCCAGGGAAAGACUUCGCAACGAACCCGUCCAACUGAACCGACAAUAUGUAAAAUCUUAGAGUUGUUGGAAAAAUAUGCUCUUUAAAAGCAUAUGUGUUUAUUUAAUUGUAAUAAACAAUUUUUCUGAUUAAUAAAAUAAAUGAGGUAUUUUAUUCAAAUAUCUUAAUUACAUUAAUAUUUGUAUUAAAGUCCAUUUAAUCAUAUUAUAUGUAUUUAUGUGAUCACCAUGUGGAUUCACAGAAGACAUAAAUACAAGUUAUCUUAUGAUUAAAUAAGUUUAGUUCGCAGUUGAUAAAUAAAGUUGGGCACUUUAUUUAGGUAUAAACUGUAAUAAAUUCAUUGAAUGAUUUGUCUUAAUCAUGUAUGAAUUUAUUGAUGUAGUACGACUACAUUGAACAGGAUCACAUAUGAGAUUUAAUUAACUUUGUAAUAACUGUCAGACUUAUUAAAUCUCAUAGGCAUUGAUUUUACUGUAAUCUUAAUCUUGAGUUAAUUAUGAUUUCAUGAUUGUAAUUGUUAUUCCAUUUGAGUUACCAAUGGGCACGACACAUACUUGUGGUCAAGAUUACCCGGUAUCUUGGUGGGAGCAAUUAUGAGUAUUGGAGUUAUGGAUUAACAAUAUAGAAUUUGUACAACACAUCUCUUGAUAGGUUUUCGGCACUUGAUCAUUGAAUUCUCUGGCCAAAGUGCGUCAACAUAUUUAGUAUGUUGAAAAUGAUCAUUAGAGAAAACCAGUAAGGAUCAAGGAAAAAGAUGGUAUUAAAUUGAUUGGACAGUUGAGAUAUCAAUUUAAUUAACGAUGUGGUACAAAGGAUUGUGCAGUAAAGAAAUCAAUGUGGCUUGGGACGAAUUAUUAUUCGAGCAUACAAUUAUGGAAGUCAGUUCCAAUCUUUUAGUGGAGUAGAUUUGGAAUUAAAUAAUUAGGCUAGUUUAAUUACAGGCCUAAUUGUUAUAGCCACUAUUGUAUGUUCCCAAAUGAUCCCCGGGUUAGCUCAUUUAAUUGACUGCACCACUACUGGACUAAUAAGCAAGAUAACUAGCUAUUUGGGCCAAAAGCCUAAAUAUAUCAUUUAGUGAGAGGCUCCAUUUAAUUAGCUUAUGUAAGGGGCCUUAUGUUAUUUUACAUGGUGGGUCCCCUAUUAAAUGAAAAGUACCGUGUAGGGUUUUCACUAAAGGGAGAUAUAUAAGGCUUAUUUUCUUAAAAGAAAAAGGUGGAGCCACUUUAUACAGAUCAGAGAAAAAGAUUUUUCUCUCUAUUGUUGAGAGAAAAAUUUUCUCGUGCUAGUUGCUUUGGUAGUGAUAAAGGCGCCCACACGUCAAGUGCAGAUCGAACCUGAGUCAUAAGCUGGAAGAUCAUUGGUGACAGUUCAUGAUCUAACAAGCGUGUUGGUGCAGGAUCGUGAUCUAACAGGAGUGGUGGUGGCGGAUCGUGAUCUAGGAGCCUAAAUCACUUCAACGGAAAAAGCCAAAUCGGAUUUUCAAGGUACGAUUUCUAGAAUACAAAUUCUUAUAUAUUAUAUGAGAGCGAUCUUCAAAAGGUUUUAUAAAAAUUUAAAAACCUGAUUUUUCCCAACAAGAGCAAUAUGUUACAUUAAGAUGCUUCAACUGUGGAAAACCUUCCCCAUCGUCUAAUUCAUGAACAACAUUCUGAACACCCUUCAGUUCCCGUAGACAAAGAUCUUCGGUUCUCUUCAUUAACAUUUUCGUCCCAUAAUUCUCCAAAAGAAUGCUAACUUUUCCUAGCCUCUUGAGUAUCAUCAAUCUUGAUGUUUCAGAUUUGACGUGCCGUUGGCCCAACUUAUCUCCGAUACAUAUCCUAUAUCUUUGCAAUUCCACAAAGACCAAAUCCUGCGGCAGAAUUUCGGCAUCUGGAACAUCUAUCUCCAAAGUAGUUAGCUUUGACAACCCCUUCAACUCGGUAAGACUGGCAUUGCUUCCUCCUUCAACCUUAUCCCACUGUGAAAAGCUGUUAUCCAUAUACAGUUCUUCUAAUCGAGAUAAUUUUGAAAUGACAUUCGGUGCUAUCACCUCAAGGUUCCAACAAUUGCUCAAAUCUAACAACCUUAACCGUGUCAAUUGUCCAAUUUCAAGUGGCAGCUGCUCAAUAUUAGAAUCUCGAAAGCUGAGAAUAUCUAACUUCUUUAGCUGUCCAAUUAUGGCUAUUUCAUUCAGUACACAACCAUCUAAACAUAAUGUUUGAACAUUGAAGAGGCAACCAAGUGAUGAAGGUAAUGAAGGGAUUCGAGCAUUAGUAAAAUGUAAUACUUUGAGUUGUUUCAUGCCUUCAAAAAAGAGGUCUGGGAUUAUUAAAGAGCUACGAAACUUUGUAAACAACAAAAGUAACUUGAGUUUUGGACAUUCCAGCCGUUCUGGAAGCUCAGAAGCCUUUCUUUUGUUUAAAGGUAGAGAAAUAGCGGUUGGUUCCUUCUCUAUUGUCCUUUCUAUCUCUUCCUUCAAGUCAGCAACAUUUGGGAUAUUAAACAUAAGCUUUUCUGAGGCAAUUGAUACAGCAAUAGCAUGAAUAAUGUCGUGCAUUUUAGCUUCAUCUUCAGCAUCACCAUCCAACAAUAAGCAUGACGAUUUGAGAAUGUCGAUCAAUGUAUCCACUCUAUUCCUUGCUGCUUCCAAUGUGUAAACAUUUUUAAACAAACCCAAACCCAUACCAUUUCUCAAUAAGGAAGGAACUUCUAGAGAAUGACCUUGACCGUAUAGACCACAAAGAAGGAACAAAGACUUUGCUUCAUCACUUUCCAAAAAUUUGUAACUCAAUUCUAUGGAAGUGUAGACAUUUGCAUCCAUUCCAUGAAUUUCUCUUGAAUUAGAAUUUCGCAGCUGAUUCAACGCAUCCUUUCAAAUGGCAAGCCUCUUAUUUUUCAGAGCAUUUGCAACUGUACUCACUGCGACUGGCAAAGCUCCACAUCUUUUAACAAUCUCAUUUGUUAUAGGUUGAAAAGCAGAUGUUUUUGUUGAAUCGCCGACUAUCUUCUCAAACAACUGCAAUGCUUCUUUGUCUGCUAAGAUUUCAAUUGAGAAAUUUUUCUGAGAUUUCAUAUCAUCAUGCAAUAAAUCACGACUUCUAGACGUCAAUAUUAUUGUCCAUCUUCUCUGAUCAUCCUCUCUACCUUUCUCAUCAACAUCUCCAGAAGGAAUUCCAACCGCAUCCAACUCAAGUUUUGUCCAAAUAUUAUCCAAUAUAAUGAGGACCCGCUUCUCUUGCUUCAACCUUUCACGCAGUCGAGAAGCUCUAUGGUGUAUACUAUCAUUCAAGUCAAAUUUCAUGCCUAAAUCAGAAGCGAGCUUGUCUUGAAUUUUCUGGGGAUCUGGGUUCUCUGUUACCCACAGCCAUAGCGACCUUAUCGAACAAGUUAUCUUCCAUCACUUGCUUUGCAACUUGCUUGACGAGCGUGGUUUUCCCCACGCCGCCCAUCCCGUAGACCCCAAUUAUCUUGAGCUUAUCGUCCUUCAACGCCUCCACAACAUCUUGAAGUACUUUCAUUCUUGAAUCAAAGGCCUCGAAAUCUUUCGCUUGCAUAUGUUCUGCCCGCUUUGGAGCAGGACGGUAGGAAACAUUAGAGAAGUUGCCUUUUCCCACGAGACUAGCGGCAGCUUCUGCGGCCUUUGCUGCUUGUUUACUAAGCUUGUAACGAGAAAUCAAGUUUGGGCACAAUCCUUUGAAGCAGGACUUCUUAGCUCUAUCUUCAACAUCAAUGAUGGAUUUUGCAACCCCUUCACUGAUGAAUUCGUCAACGCUAUGUAGCCAGUCUGUGACACCCUCAUAAAGCUCAUCCCCUUGUAGCCUAGCAUGAUUAACUGGUUGCUGCACCAUUUCUCUUUUAUAUCCCAGCUGCUUUACUUGAUCUUUUAGCUUAUCUAUGUAGCUCUAGUACUUGAACACAUAAGAUAUCUCCCGUAUAAUUGGUUUGAACAGUGACUUUGCACCUUCUGAUACGAUGCUGGAAAAAGCAGCCAGACCCACCUCUGCCAUUGCCUGCUGCUUAACAAAUCUAAUAAUAUGUCAAAUAAACUAAAAUGAACUAGAAGGAAAGACAAGAAAGGAAAAGACAGCAAACAGUAUCGCAACAUUGAUCUUGAAUCAACUGAAACAUGAACAGAGCAUUUUUUCUUCUUUAUUAAGGAUCAGAGUUUUUGCUAUUAACAGAAACGUACUUCAAGUGUCUAAAAAAACAACUAUAAAUGAACAAUAACUACAAAACUCAAGCAAAACAAGCCGUAAAAGUUUUAUCAUGGAAAGUGGAUGGAAAUUGAGAAAGAAAUGCUAUAAAGAUCAAGCAUCAGAGAUUAUGCUAUUAAAAGAAAUUAAUUGAAGGUUUUAGUACAAGUGCACAUGUUUAAUUAUAUGGCAUCAGAAAGUUGAUGAGCUAAUGUAAUCGCCUUGAAUAUUUAAGAACAAUUUCAAUGAGCAAAAAAAUUUCUGUUAACUGCAAAGGAAUGUGAUUAUAGAGAGCUUAUGAAAGUAAUGAUUUGCAAAAGAAGAAGACUUAAUAAUGCAGCCCUUAAUAUUUAUUAAAUGACUUGUGAUCAUUUCUUUUAUGAAUAAAAUGCCAGCAGCAAAAAUAGAAAAAAGGGCUAAAUUUACUAAGUCUUAUUUUAUUUUUGAUUUCUUUUAUUUUCAUUCGCCGAAGAGGGAGUCUCUCUCUCUUUUCUUUUUUCUUUUUUUUUUAAAGGGAAUCUCCUUACCUAAUAUGACAUAAUGAAAGCAAUCCGUAAAUAGUACAAUAAUCAUAUAAUAUAAUGAUAGAAAGCAAGUGCAUGAGCCACGAAGAUCUGGAAGAAUGCCAAAGCCAAACCAUAAGUAUAUUACGUGAGAGCAUAAGUUGAUUCCCAUGCAAGCCAUGCAUGACACAUGCAUGUGCAGUUUCACGUGUGGAAAUUGUAAAGAUGAGUACUGGAGCCAUGAUUUUGGGAUGACCUUAUCAAGUUGAUUUUGGGAUGACCUUAUCAAGUUGCUUUUGAUUAUCUUUACGAAAUAUUAGCUAGGUCGUUAUUUUAAUAUUUGUUUUAUUGAUUUCAGCCGUGAUUGUAGAUUGAAAAUCAAGGUCUUGUGAUUAUAAAUAAGCUCCAGAAUAUGAAUAAAGGCAUUGAGAAUUCUAAACAACAAUUAUUGGGUCCUUUCUCGCCAUAAGCAGAAAAAUAUCACUUGUGUUACGCGUGAUCAUUGGCUGUCUCUGACUGGGACCUAACAUUGGUAUCAGAGCUAGCUAUCAAUGAGGACCAACAAGGAGCGCAUCGAACGAAUUGAAACUGAUAUCGGGAGCUUACAGAACAAGAUGGAACAAAUGGAAAUUGGGUUCAAUGACAAGCUGCAACGUCUGGAGGAUACCAUGAACAAAUUGGUUGAAUCUUUUAGUGCAACCAGAGGCACUGCCAGUCACGGCACUAACGAGAACAUUGGAUCUUCACGACACGACACUAACGAGAACAUUGGACCUUCACGAUCAUUCCGCGAGGAAAGUGAAAGAGGUCGACCACCGAUGCCGACAAGACUUGCUAAGUUGGAGUUUCCCCGCUAUGCCGGCGACGACCCAACGGAGUGGUUCAAUCGGGUAACGCAGUAUUUUGAGUACCAAGAAACCACAGAUGAGCAGAAAGUAGUCUUAGCGGCAUAUCACUUGGAGGGCGAAGCAAAUCAAUGGUGGCAGUGGAUGUGCAAGGCUUACCGAGAAGAAGGUCGACCGGUUACGUGGGAAAUAUUUGUUGACGAGUUGUGGGCGCGCUUCGGACCCACUGAUUGUGAAGACUUUGAUGAAGCAUUGUCUCGGGUCAAACAAACAGGUUCUCUGCGAGAAUACCAAAAGGAAUUUGAGAGGUUGGGAAACCGAGUUCAUGGGUGGUCACAGAAAGCGUUGGUAGGCACUUUCAUGGGAGGGUUGAAAACGGAGAUUGCAGAGGAUAUACGGAUGUUCAGGCCACGAACGUUAAAGGAAGCCAUUAGCCUUGCUCGUAUGAAAGACGACCAGAUAACACGCCAACGAAGAUUAUUCCGACCAACAAUUGUCAGCCGAACACCGCCGGUCCCCAAUCGAGCAUCACCAACAGUACCCUUCAAACGACUGUCUUGGGAGGAGAUGCAACGUCGACGUACACAAGGGUUAUGCUUCAACUGUAAUGACAAGUUUACCGUUGGCCACAAAUGCACCAAGGCACAAUUACUGAUUUUAGAAGGCGAACCACAAACAGAAGAAUUCAUCUAUGAAGAGGUCACGGAAGAUGAUCCAACAACGGGACCAGCAGAAAUGGAAAAACCUAAAAUCUCUUUAUAUGCAUUAACGGGAUGGACUGCACCUCAAACAAUGCGAGUCAUGGCAAGGAUUGGGCCGUACAAAAUAAUAGUCUUAAUAGACAGUGGGUCCACCCACAAUUUCAUUAGCACUAAACUUGCUAAUUUGCUCCAAUUACCCGUCAAACCAAUGGAGACUUUCACAGUACGCGUUGCCAACGGUGAAAGAUUGACAUGUCAAGGGAAGUUUGAACAGGUACAACUUUUCAUUCAAGAUAUUUCUUUUUCACUCACGGUUUAUUCUCUACCGAUAUCAGGAUUAGAUAUGGUACUGGGUGUGCAAUGGCUCGAACUAUUGGGUUCAGUCGUAUGUAAUUGGAAGACAUUAACUAUGGAGUUUGAGUGGGGAAACCGGAAACAACGCCUACAAGGGAUAAAUCCGCAAAUGGUACAGCCAGCAUCGGUGACAGAAGUAACGAAGGAAAUUAAACAAGGUCAUGAGGUAUAUGCAAUUUGUUUCCAAAUAAAACUAGAAGAGUCGCUGGGCACGUUACCACCAGAUAUGCAGCAGCUGUUGACAAAUUAUGAGGCAUUGUUUUGUGAGCCCACGCAGCUCCCUCCUCCACGAGACAUUGAUCAUCGAAUUCCAUUAAAGGAAGGUACCGAGGCAAUUAACGUAAAACCGUACCGGUACGCUUAUUUCCAAAAAGCAGAAAUUGAAAAACAAGUACAAGAGAUGCUCACUUCAGGGUUAAUCCGGCCAAGCACCAGCCCUUUCUCCUCACCGGUGCUGUUGGUAAAAAAGAAGGACCGCAGUUGGCGCUUUUGUACCGACUACAGAGCUCUAAAUCAAGUCACCAUCAAAGACCGUUUUCCAAUUCCAACGGUUGAUGACAUGUUAGGCGAUCUCCAUGGUGCCGCAUAUUUCACAAAAUUGGAUUUAAGGGCAGGGUAUCAUCAGGUGCGAGUUAAUCCUGCGGAUGUCCAUAAAACUGCAUUCUGAACUCACAACGGGCAUUGCGAAUACCUAGUGAUGCCGUUCGGAUUGUGCAAUGCACCAUCAACGUUUCAGGCUUUGAUGAAUUCUAUUUUCCGUCCUUACCUCAGAAAAUUUAUACUUGUAUUUUUUGAUGACAUACUAAUUUACAGCCCCACGUGGAGCUGCCAUUUGAACCAUAUGAAACAGGCACUAGAAAUUCUUCGAGAACAGCAACUUUUUAUCAAGGCAAGCAAGUGCAAUUUCGGGCAGUAGGAAUUGGAGUAUCUAGGUCACAUAGUCACUUGUCAUGGCGUAAAGGUAGAUGACAAGAAAAUUGCGGCGAUGGUAACUUGGCCCCGGCCACAAAACAUCUCCGAGCUGAGGGGAUUCCUUGGUCUCACCGGAUAUUACAGAAAAUUCGUGCAAAGGUAUGGGUUGCUUGCUCGGCCACUCACUAAUCUUUUGAAGAAAGGACAGUUCGGCUGGAGUGACGAAGCGGAAAAAGCUUUUGACAAUUUAAAGAAGGCUAUGACUAUUACUCCAAUGCUCACCAUGCCCAACUUCAAUGAUACUUUCAUUAUUGAAACUGACGCUUCCGGCGAUGGUAUUGGUGCGGUGUUACAGCAGCAAGGAAAACCAAUAGCGUACAUGAGUAGAGCUCUCGGCAUCACAAAGAAAGCUUGGUCAGUUUACAACAAAGAGAUGCUCGCCAUUGUGGAAGCUAUUCGAAUAUGGAGGCCAUACUUGUUAGGGCAGGGUUUCACAAUCCAAACUGACCAUCGCAGCAUCAAGUUCUUCCUGGAACAGAAAGUCGCAACACCGGAGCAACAAAAAUGGAUGGUAAAAUUAAUGGGCUAGGAUUAUGAAAUUGUUUAUAGGCCGGGUCGAGAAAAUACAGCCGCAGAUACGUUGUCACGACGUUUUGACAGCCCAACUCUAUUUCAUGUCUUUAUUCCGCAGGUUGCUAUAUGGGAAGAAAUAAAAAACGCGGCCAGCAAUGAUGAGUACAUGAAGAGAAUAAAUUCAGUUGUGCAAGCCCAACCUUCAGGGCCUUACACGUUGCGGGAUGGCAUGAUAUUUUUUAAGAAUAAAGUAGUAGUUCCACAAGCAUUACGGGACACACUCCUAUUUCAAGCACAUGACACAAAGAUAGGAGGUCACUCUGGAAUUCUUCGCACAUUCAAACGUUUAUCACAACAGUUCUACUGGCCAUCCAUGUUCCAAACUGUGCGUGAAUACUUGAGUAAAUGUGCAACUUGUCAACAAACAAAGGCAGAAACACUCAAGCCGGCAGGACUUCUCCAGCCUCUGCCAAUCCCGUGUCAGGUGUGGGAUGAUAUUACACUAGACUUUAUUGAAGCUUUACCCUGGUCACAAGGGAAGAAUGCUAUUUUGGUAGUGGUAGAUCGACUGAGUAAAUCAACACAUUUUAUGGCUCUUUCUCAUCCUUACUCAGCAAAAACAGUGGCGGAAAAAUUUAUUGAGGGAGUAGUGAAGCUGCACGGCAUGCCCAAAUCAAUCAUUAGCGACCGAGACCCUAUAUUCAUCAGCAGAUUUUGGCAAGAGUUCUUCAAUUUAUCCAGCACCAAACUCAAAAUGAGCUCGGCGUACCACCCGCAAACCGACGGCCAAACGGAGGUAAUUAAUCGAUGCUUGGAACAGUACUUGAGAUGUUUUGUUCACCAAUGGCCGCGAAAGUGGCAUUCUUUUUUGCCGUGGGCAGAAUUUUGGUACAACACCACAUUCCACGUCUCCACCGGAAUGACUCCAUUCCAAGCUUUGUAUGGAAGACCACCUCCAACCGUGCCCAUGUAUCAACUUGGUUCCUCGCCGGUGCAUGAGGUUGAUCAAGCCUUACAUUCACGUGAUGAACUGCUCUUACAAUUAAAGAAAAACUUAGUCACAGCAGCUAACAGGAUGAAGCAAACAGCUGACAAGGGUUGCCGCGACGUUGAGUUCAAACAGGGAGAUAUGGUGUUAUUAAAGUUGCAGCCCUAUCGGCAGACUUCAGUGUUCAGAAGAGCACAUCAGAAAUUAGCUUGCAGGUACUUUGGGCCGUAUUUAGUUCUUCGCAAAGUUGGAGCCGUGGCCUACGAACUACAAUUACCAGAGAAUGCUCGAAUUCACCCGGUGUUUCACGUCUCUUUGCUUAAGAAAGCCGUGGGUGAUUAUGAUAGAAAGCAAGUGCAUGAGCCACGAAGAUCUGGAAGAAUGCCAAAGCCAAACCAUAAGUAUAUUACGUGAGAGCAUAAGUUGAUUCCCAUGCAAGCCAUGCAUGACACAUGCAUGUGCAGUUUAACGUGUGGAAAUUGUAAAGAUGAGUACUGGAGCCGUGAUUUUGGGAUGACCUUAUCAAGUUGCUUUUGGGAUAACUUUAUCAAGUUGCUUUUGAUUAUCUUUACGAAAUAUUAUCUAGGUCGUUAUUUUAAUAUUUGUUUUAUUGAUUUCAGCCGUGAUUGUAGGUUGAAAAUCAAGGUCUUGUGAUUAUAAAUAAGCUCCAGAAUAUGAAUAAAGGCAUUGAGAAUUCUAAACAACAAUUAUUGGGUCCUUUCUCGCCAUAAGCAGAAAAAUAUCACUUGUGUUACGCGUGAUCAUUGGCUGUCUCUGACUGGAACCUAACAUAUAAUAAGUAAAAAUACCCAUAUAUGUAUAAUAAUAAUGAUGGGAUCCAUAUGUUUAUACUAAUUAAAUUGGUGGACCAGAAUUUAUUUGACCUUACUUGUUUUCUAUUUAAUUAAAAUUGAACCGAUAGAGAAAAAUUGUCGUAUUGAUUGUUUCGAUUGUGGAGUUCCAACACUGAAAGUGAAGAUUUCAUCAACUUUCACAUGGACACGUACCGUCAUGCAUAUUGCAUUAUAUUCCUAGAAAAGCAAGAUUAAUUCUUUUAAUAAGCAAACGCGUAGGUGGGAAUCCAUUCAUGAAACAAGUGGAACGACAAUAUCAAACCAAUGAUAAUUCAAAAUCUGAAUCCGCCUGAUGGACGGCAACUCAUCUGAACCAUUCUCCUUUAGUAACAGGAGAAUAAAAUUAUAUCGAUGAUAGAUAAUUUCAAAACAGGGGAAUGAAAACAGAGGAACCUGAUUUUCCUCCCCUUUCUUUUUUCCCCCAACUCUUCUUCUUUUUAUAUUUUCCUUGGAAUUUUUGGCAAACGAAAAAAAAAUAUUACUAGUAAGCAAAGGGGAUUGAUUGAGGGUACAUUUGGGAUUUCUUUUAUUUCUUUAGGUUAUAGGUGGUUUACUUAUCAUGACUUGCACUUAGGAAUGGAUUAUGCACUUGUUUAGUCAUCAAUCAUGAGAACAUUUCUUUUUAAAGCAUCUAAUCAGCUUCAAACUAAUAAAAAAUUCUUUUUUCCCCCAACUCUUCUUCUUUUUAUUUUUAUAUAUUUGAUAAGCACGCUCACUAUUAAUAGAAUUCAUUAGAUAUCUUAAUUUAAAUAACUUCUUGUAGGGUGUUUGGUAAAUGAUGAUUAUUUGACAAUCAAUUUUCAAAUAAUCUACUAUACAAAUUUGAUAAGUGAAAAUUAAAAGUGUAAUAUUCAUGUGCAAUGAUAAAAAUGUACUUGUUUGCUUAUUUGUAGUUUAUUCGGAAUAUUAUUAUUAACAUCAUUUUUUUAUUUACUGGAUUUUUAAAGAGUAUAUUCUAUUUUCUUUAUUACAUAUCUAUAUCAUUUUUUUAUUAACUAUUUUAAUUUGCAAUAAAACUAACUUUAAUAUUUUUUUAACUAAAAAAAUUCAUGCUAACAUAUUAUCAAAUUGAUUAAUAAAUAAGUGCAAAAAGAAAAUGCAAAAAUUUAAUCUUUAUAUAAACUUUUAUGUACAUAAAACUAUUGCAAUCAAAGUAGUUCAUAAAAAUAAAAUAUUAUAUACAUGUGUGUAAAAAAAUAUAUAACUAUAAUAUUGUCCACUCAUUAAACUUGCAGCACUAUUAUUUCUCAAUCUCCCCAUCUCUCGACCUUUAGGAACAUUAAUACUAUGAUCUUCUUCUUAAAUUCGACCUCCAUUUCCACAGUAUCAACAAGGCGAUCAAUUUGCUGUGACAGCCUUUCAACUCCUCCCACUUUCCUCCCUUUUGCGGCCGCUCUUUUUCCUUUUCUUUCUUUGAUAGCUUCAAUGGGAACAAACUCAUCUAACGACAAGUACAUUCUUCAACCACAGUAGAAUUGGUAGUUGAUAUUUUACUACUCUCAGAUGGUAUCUAAACAUGGUCACCAGUGAUUGUUAUAUUAAAAAAAAUUCUAUUCAAAUUUUCCUCUGACUUUGUGUCGAUACCUUUCAUGCAAAAUCUAUUUGCUUCAGAAAUUUCUUCCGUAUGUUGAUAUCAUAUUAAAGUGAAUUCAAGAUCCUAUAUUAUUUUGCAUGACAUCAAAAUUUAGCCGAAUGGUAAAGAAUUUCCCUUUUUGUUUGUCCCACAACUAUAUAGUCUCAUUUUUGGCAAUAAGCUCACAAUAUGCACGGAAAUGAAGAUUUAUUAAAAACUUCCCUAUAAUAUUAAACACUAAACAAUAUCACUAUGUUGUGCAUAUGGUGCCUCGUCAACAAUUUGAUGUUCAUUUUGUUGCUCGGGUGAAUAUGACUACUUGCGUUGCGAGUCCAUGCUUUUGUCGUUUGGAUGGAGGACGGGCCAUCUUUUUAUUUUAGAUGGUUUGUAGGACUUCUGAUAAUUAUUUUUCUAAAACUGAUUUAUGGUUAAUAAGACCUAUGAAAGCAUUCAAAGAAGCCACCGAACUCAGAGGAAAGCCAUGGUUAAAUAUACUGUGAAGCACGUGAGCUCGUUUUUUAAUCUCCUGAUCACUCAUAAGCUUUUCUAUACCACUCACUAUAUCAUCCUUUUGAAUCGAUUUUGAUUGAUCAUCAGAGAUCAUGUACCCACCUUGAGAUGAUUGAUCACAAAUUUGGCAUUGUAAUGUUGGUCACCUCUAAUUGGCCAUGCUAAAAUUGGGACUCGACAACCAAUUGCUUCUACUGUUGAAUUCCAUCCACAGUGAGAUAAAAAUCCACUCGUUGAUUGAUGAUUCAAUAUCAAUGAUUGUGGCGCCCAUCCAUCUAUUAUCAAACCCUUUUUACCGACUUUAUUAUCCAAACCACUACGAAAAUAACUGCCUUCAGCUGGUUUGUCCAAAUGACGUAGAGGAUCCAAUCUACCUGCACCACCUUGAAUUACCAAAAUAAACGGUCGAUUUGAUGCUUCUAAAGCAUUGGCUAGUACUAAGUACUCAUCUAAGGUCGGAUCCACUUCAGUACCAAACGACACAUAUAACACAGAUCCACGUGAUUUCAAAUUCAACCAAUCUCAUCUUCCGUCAUGUUAGAACUCCGCCGGUUGGUUCUCAUCUCAUGAUCAUGAAGCUUUGAACCGGCCGAUUUGUAAAAUUGUUCAGGUAACAGUGAGCCCACUCCCCACACCGGCUUUCCCAAUUGAUUGGCUAAAUAAUUAAUAAAUGGUCCCUCAAGACCAUCACACGUGUUGAACAUCAACGCCAUUGAUCCCUCUACUUCCUUCAUCCAGUGUGGUUGAUCACCGGCUUCUAGUGGACCUUUUUUUCUCGGAACCGGGUGCACCUCGCAGAGGUGGUGGACCACUAGGAGGGGGCCCAUGAGGCCUGUGUUUAAGAUUCGAUUCAAAUAAAGCCAUAUCCUGGGGUAACCCAGGAAGUAAACGGCCCUCUCCCGGUUUGACCCCUUGGAUGCGAGCCUGCCACAUGGCACACUCCACAGCUGCCGAGCAAGCACCAGAAGUGAAGAACCCAACAAUGGGAACUUCAAAAAAUCUUGAAAACAUCAGCCGUCCAGCCCAUCAUAACGUCGAUGACUGCACAAACGGGUCGGCUUUGGGUUCCCGGGUUGAAAGAGGUUUCGAAGGCCUUGAAGCAUUUGGCUGUGCAUGACAACAUGGGGGUGAGGAGGCGAAGGAGGGUAUUUCAGUAACUUCAAAGAGAGGAUAUUGGUGAAACGAGGAAGGGAUAAUGCUGGUCGCGGAGAUGAGGAGGAUAUUUCAAUAACUUCAAAGAGAGGGUAUUGGUGAAACGAGGAAGGGAUAAUGCUGGUGGCGGAGAUGAGGAGGAUAUUUCUGUAACUUCAAAGAGAGGGUAUUGGUGAAACGAGAAAGGGAUGGUGCUGGUGGCGGAAAUGUGAGAGGGAAUGAUGAGGGUAGAUUUGUAAUUACGAGAAGCGAUUUGGUUGCAUAACUCAAUGCAUAGAAAUAGAUGUCCCUGACCGAAGAAUGGGACAAUCCAAAUCUCGGCCUCAGCAGCAGUAGCAACAGAGCUUGACAUCUUUUUGAAUUAUUUGAUACUUAAUUGUUACUGUUUGCUUUUACCAUCUUUCAUAAAACACUCCUUUUUAUAUAUAAAGAGAUGACUUAAUGGAGAAGUAAGUGUUUUAGUUUUACAGUUUUUCUAGUAGGUAGUAGGUGAGCUCUGAGUUUGAUAAUUUGAUUGUUAGUUUUAGUUGGUUAGUUAUGAGAGAGCAUCUUUCAGAAAAUUCAUUCCAGUUUCAACUAAAAUUAAUAAUAUUAUUAAAAUUAAUUACUCGAUAAAUAAAUAAUUAGAGAUAAAUCUAUCUCUAAUCUCACAUUUAUAAAAUAAGGAUUGAAAUAAGUUCUUGUCGGUUCGAACUCAAGCCCUCAAGCCGAGUGGCUGGAUCUUGACUACUUUGACUUAAUUAUUUUAUAUAUAUAUAUAUUUUUCAUUCUUUCAUUGAACAUCUUUUGUUAUAUAAUGAAGAAGAUAAGUUGACGGAGAAGGGUUUUGCUUUUACUAGUAGAUGAGCUUUGAGUUGAGAACGUUAGUUUUAGUUAAUUAAAUAUCUACCAUCCAAAUCAACAUUCCUUAGACUAUUAUUCAAGUGAGAUGUCUGAGUAACAUACGCUUGAGUUAGUCGGUGCCUAACAAUUCGUGUGAUACAUGAAACCAACCAAUAUGAAAACCAAAUCAAGUUGGUAGGAUUACAUUAAUUUAAAUUAACUUUCAAGUUCCAACAUUAUAAGAUAAAUAAAUAGCAUAAACUAAUUUUUGUUUUCAAGUAAAUAUGUUUAUCGUUUAAAAAUUAUUUUUUCUUGCGGUAAAUGCAACACUAAAUAAGGAGUGAAGAGGGUAUUUUGUAGGGUAUACCCCCACCUUUUAUUUCAUUUCAUUAUUAAAAAAUAAAGGCUUGGUUCAACAUUCAAGUAAAAUUAACAAUUCCAUGAUAAAAUUGCUUGAGAAUAAGAAUUAAAAUAAAAAAAGAAAACAGCAACUCAAAAACAACAUACAAAUACCGUACAGAGGUUUUUCGUCACGAGAUAUUUUUGGGUUGGGACAACAAUUGUAUAACAGAGCAUACAGACUGAAUGACGGUGAGAAUAAGAAGGAAAACGGCGCCACACACCGAAAUGCCAGCCCAUGGAGUAUUGAAGUAAUUUUGUUUCAAGUUUGCCCUCCAUUUGUAGCACGUUCUUUUGCAGUGAUCAUUCAAUCCUUUGCAUAGCCCAGAAAAAUAGAAGCUAUCAGACAGCAGAGUAGUACCUCUAGAAAGGUUAUUUAGAAGCAUUGACGCAGUCUCUUUAUCCGGCAACCAGUUCUCAAUGAUUCCGUUCUGAACAAGCAACUCGACGUCCUUCGCUGUGUUCACGAGAUGAUGAAUAAGGAACACAUAAUCAUUUAUGUAAUUCUCUGAGUAAUGCCGUUGUUCAAAGGCAAUGAGAUUACGAAAUAAGGAUUCUGUUUCCAGCUGUAGCUUCAGUUUCGGAAUAUGCAAUGUCCUGUUUUUGAAUUCUAUGGCGAACAAAUCAUUGCUCUUGCUCAAACUGAAGUGGACUCCAGCUUGGUGGAGAUCAGUCACACUUGGUGCGGUUUUACCUUUGUGGUAUUGCUGACCUUCUUGUUUUUCCUGAUUCCUCGAUGAUGGUAGAUGACAAAUCCUUAGAAAAUCAAGGAAAUGCUCUACCCUAACCUCAGUGUAAGGAGGGAAUUUUUGCCGAUUACCUUGUACUGCCUCUAAACCCUUGAAAAACUCGUAUGUGACUGUGAUGAUGAUUGGAUUUUCAUGUUGGUCGGGGAUUUCAAUUGCCGCUAGAGCAAAAAGAUCCUCAAGAAUGAAGAAAGGAAGCUGAUUCUCAAGCAACCACAUAUCAUACCAUAUAUCCUCUAUUAAAUAGGGUUUAUGAAAUAUAUGAUCAUCUUUUUUUUGAAGUUGACGGAAAUGAUACCUCAAUAAGAGUUCAAUGAUGAAGGCAGCAUCCAGCAGAAUCAUUUCAACAAAUUUAUCACUACUUAGUUCGACUUUUUCUGCAUAAGAACCUCGUAAUUCUGCUUCUCUGAACUUUAUAAUUUGAACAAACUCGUCAAAGCUUAUGUUGGUCCGUUGAAGAAAGCAAUGCAGGUACCGCUGUUUAUGUUCUUCCAUGAACUGUAAGUUUGCUUUGCCAUGGUGAAGAGGGCCAAUUGAGACUACCUGAGGUGUAUAUACCUUUUCAUUUAUCUGACGUAAUCGCUCUGGAACUCUGUAGAUGCAGCAGUUUGAGGGCAAUGGUGAUAAUUUUUUCAACUUAACUUGCAAGCAUUCUUCCAUGUUAUAAACUGAAAACAUGGCGUGAAAUUUAAUCAAUUCAACACUUAAUAAGGCAUAGUAAUUAAAAAAGAAUUAAAAAAAAAAAACCAAAUACAAGAGCAUUCUUACACGUACAGAAGCACCUCAAUCCCUACUAUUUGCAGAGCUGUAGCCAGGAUUCAAUGAUAGACCGGACUGAACUAAAAGGAACAACUUUCUUAGGAAUAUGUUAUCGGCAUUUUCUCUGGCCUCAGGCCAUCAACAAAGCAGUUUCAGUGCUUCUUAUAUAAUUCCUUGGAUUAUUCCUUGCCUUUACAGAUGAUAUAAGUCACAAUUCAUAUAUUAAUUUCUCCAGAUUCCGUACAAGUGGACCAUAACUAUGGAAAAAUUCAAAGAAUGCAACAGCCAUUUGAUUGGUCCAUGUCAGAAGUUAAUCUGGGGAAAGAAGCUUGAUGUAGCUGUAAAAUUCUCUCCUUCAAUCAGUCAGUUUGGGGCAGCAACAAGAUCAAAGCCACCAAGCAAACAUUUACUAAAGUUUAUAUAAUAUUCUUGAACCUCAUCUUAAGUAAAGCAACAAAAGCCUCCACUGUUUCUUAACAACUUUAUUGCUCUAACACAUAGCAUAACACUUUUAAAUUUGCAUAAAGCACAAUAGUACUUUAGUUUGUAACAACAGCACAGAUAAUAAAUAGCAUUUUAUAGCUUUAACAAAAGCAUACAAAAUUCUUAAACCUUGUUUCAAGCAAUUCAUUAAUGCCACAAGGAUGUCUUUUUGCUUCCUACAGUUUUUAUUGAAAUUCAUAUAUUCUUCUUUAUCGAAUUAAGUAAUUUUCCUUUUUCAAAAAAUCAUGAAGGUUUUGACUGCAUGGAAAUACAGCACACAAUUACUACUAUUCCCGGAGUAAGAAAUUCAUAAAUGCAAUAUAAACAUACAUUUUCAUAAGACAUCAGAAUCAAAGAAUCAUCAAUGCAUCAAAUCUGUAAACCCAAAAAUGUUGAAAGCAUCAAGAGAAAAUUAUACCGCAUGGACCCUUUACAACCCUUAUAACGAGUUCAGACAGCCUAAUCCAAUUUAAUAGAUUUGAGGACAGCUACAAUGUGCAAUACAAAAUUUCCCAAUACUAUUUAGAACAAAGUCUAGAAAACAAAACUUAUAUAUUGUACAAAAUCAUGAAAACCAGAAAUGACGAAAAACCUGCAAAUGUAAUUUUUGGGUUUCUUCAACAUAUCUUCCAUCCAAAUCAAACAAGAAUCGAUAAAUCAACAACAUUCAUCUUUAAACGACAUAUUACCACAAUAAAAUUGUCAACCAAGCC
rnacentral:lncRNA from 1 species